CCUGACGUUGGGAACAAUGCUACAAUGUUUUGAUUGGGAAAGAGUAGGGCCUCAAUUGGUGGAUUUAGAAGAAAAAUCUGGUAUGACUUUGGACAAGGCCAAGCCUUUGGAAGCAUUGUUCAGGCCACGCUCAUCCAUGAUUGAAUUGGUUUCUCAGCUUUGACUAAAGAACAUGACUGGUGGCUUUUGAAGAUUGUAUCAUAAUAAUAUCUGAAAUACUUAAAGCUCAAACUACAAAGGUGCACCUAUUGCAAAGUGUGAAAAAAAGUGAAAAUAAGAGGAAGGAGAAUAUAAGCAUGAAAAUCUUUCAGUCUAUGCAGUUAUUAAAGAUUAAAUAGGCUUUGAACUAAACCGUGUUUGGCUUUUUCUUUUUGCUUUUUAAUAUUGGUCUUUUAAAUUCACUGUAAGUGCAUCUACUGGAGGUCUUUGGUUUUCCACAUUUGUAAUUAUAGAAAAUCUUCAACCUUAACUGGGUUUCUUUGUUGGUACAUAAAGUGGUUAUGGGGUUUCAACAAAACAAGCAAAAAGAAUGUCGUUUGAGUAGAGAUGUCAAUCACAACCCAAUUAUAUUGAUUCGUCCAAAUCCGCCCACCAAUGAAUCGCUCAAACUCACCCACUAAUUUUGAAUGAAUUUAAAUGAGUACCCAAUUAAGUCCAUUUAAUUAAUGAAUGGUGAGUUGACUCGAUUCAUCCAUUUGUAUCCAUUUAAAAAUAAUUAGACAUUUAAACUCAACUUUUAAUUAGUGUUAAGCAAAUAAAUUUGAAUUUCUUAUCAAUUUAAUAAUAAUAAAUACCGUUAUUUCUUAUCAAAUAGCAUGCAAAAAAAAGUAGAAUUGUAAGUGACUCAUAAAUAGAUAAUUGGGUAUAUCUAUACUCAUUUAUUAAAUGGGCAUAAAUGAAUUGACUUAAUUAUACCCAUUACUUAAUUAUGACUGUCCAAACCCACCCAAAUCACUCAUUUUAGCACCUCUACUCAUGAGUAGCGAGGUUAUCGAGCUAACUCGAACCCAAUUAUGGGUAACUCGAGCUAGACAUCAAAGAAAAUUAGCUAAGCUCAAAAUCAAGUUUAAGUUCGACAGUGAAUUUCCUUUCUUUGUCAUAACUCAGUGCAUGACCAUCUUCAAUUUAUCCACCAAAACCGUUGCUAAGUUAGCUUAAGAACUCUUUUAUUGGUAUCAGUGUCUUUUAUUUCACAUUCACUCAAAACUUUUACAUGUUUAACUUCCUUUGGCAUACUUUUUUCUUUGUCAAAAUUUUGUUGGCGGUGUAUAAAGCUUUCAUGUUUUUCAUAUAUCUGUUUGAUGUAUUAGACAUGCAUAAUUUUGAUGUUGCAAGUAAAUUUAUGAAGAUACAACUCUUUUCGUGAGUUACAGGUGCACAUUCACCAUUUCGAAUCCCAGAUUAUUAGAUUUUUUUUUUGUUUUGCAUUUUUUUGAAUUUUCAAUUUAUUUGUGAACUUUUCAAAUUUUUGCAAAAAUUUGUUCUUUUAGAAUGAUGACAGGUAUUUUAGAAGAUGUCUGUAGCUAAUUAUAAGUUCAAUUUAUCCACAGUCUCGUGAACGUUGAAGGACCAAUACCUGUUAAGAUCGCAAAACUAAUUUUGGAGUCUCCAGAACACAUAAUUCUUAAAGAAUAGGGUUAAUUCCACUUUGUCUCCCCAAACUUUGGACGAUUACCCACUUUAGUCCUUAAACUUCAAAAUGGGACACUUAAGUUCCUAAACUUAUAAAUACCUCCCACUUAAGUCCCAAAACUUAUAAAAUGGGACACUUAAAUCCCUAAACCCUUAUAAAAUGGGACACUUCGACCACCAACGGCAUUCAGGAUUUGUUAACAAUUUUCCUUAAAUGGAAUGUAUUUAUAAGUUUAGGGACUUAAGUGUCCCAUUUUGAAAUUUAGGGACUGAAGUGGGUAAUCGUCCAAAGUUUGGGGGGACAAAGUGGUAUUAACCCGAAAGAAUAUUCAAGCCAUUUUUUUUUCAGGGUUCGUUGUCACACUCUAAUUUUUCAACUCUACAUCAGUUAAUCAAAUGACUUCAAUUUAUUAGUGCCACUGAUUUCAAGGUCAAAUUUGCUUAAAAUUUUCAGUUUUGCAAGUCCCUGGAAACUUUUAUCAUCUUCAUCUCAAGUAUCCCUGUAUUCUUGCUUUUAUUAUUCACCCAUGUAAUCUUGAUUCUAAAUGCACAUAUGCCUCAUUGCUAAAGUUUUUAUUCAAUGUUACUUGAUAAUAACUCAUAAGUAUGCCCUUAUGAAACAGCAACAAGGAAGAUCUUGAAUGCGCCUAUUCGCAACCCAGGAAUAAAUUAACCUAAGUACAUACCAGUAACAUGGAGAAUCAAAUCAUGGUUUCACAUAAAAUAUGAUGGACCAAACCUUUUUUCACAUAUCAAAAUAAAAAAAUAUAACUUGAAGCAACUUGACAUAAGUUACCCUGGAAUGAUAAUGCUAUAAGGGGAGGGUUGGGUUGGGUGGUACAGGGGGAGGGAGUGUAAGCAAGAGGUCUCGGGUUGAGUUCUACUGUUUACACUAAAAAAAAAACAAUAAUAUCUGCUACAUAAACUUCUCAAUUAUGUCUGUUUUUUUUUUUUUUUAACUUCUCAUUUAUGUCUAACUGCUUCUAAAAAAUGUCAGUGUCAAUAUAAUCAUUAAGAAGAAUAAUAUUGGACUGCAAAAGUGGACUUUAAGAGUAGGUUCAAGAAAAAAGGAGACUGUGCAAUUAAAUGGCAAACAUCACUUUGAUAACAAUACUUGUUUACUUAAGAAGAAUUGUAUAAAAGAAUAAACGCAAAGACUAAGAUUGCAAUUUUUUUUAAAUUUUUUUUUAAAUAUAAGAAUCACCUAUUAAGCUCUAUAAUUAAUAUUAAAUCUAAAAAGUCAAUUAUUUGGCCUUUAAAACUGCGUUCACAAACUUUUUAUCUCUUCAUAUUCAGAUUUUAUAUAAUGUUUUAGCAAAAUCAAUACGAACACAUGAGAAAACUAUCUCUAAAAGGCUAAGGCCGUAAAAUAAAGAGAAUGACCAAGGCAAACAAAGAGCAAUAAUGAGCAAAAUAUGACACGAAAUAUUUGUCUCUAAAAAAGGACAAGCUCAGUGCUAAGAAAGGUAUAAAAGUUUCCUAGAAAAAGAAGCUUAGAACCAUACAAUUUUAACUAACCUAUUUCACAUUUGAAGUUAGAAUAAUUAAAAAUUCAAUGGACCGAACUAUUGUCUUGAAAUAAUAUGAUGAGUUUUGCAAUUCUACGGUAGAUUCAUAAAAGUGCUUAAGAAACACGUGGGAUAACACUGUUGAGAAUGAUGUGUUCACUGAAUAACGAAAUAUGAUUUCAUCACAACUCCAAAUAUUAUCAUAGAAAUUUAUAAGUAAGAUAAUUAAGUAGUAUUAUCUUAAAGCUAAAGGGAGAAAUUUUGUUUCAAUGUCGACAAAUGCAACGUGCAUUUUCUUAGUCUAUUAUUAAAAACUUGUCCAAGGAUUCUUCCAUUUUUAUAAUAGGUGUUAUCUCAUUUUAUAUGCUAAAAUUACUAAAUUAAUUUUGAGAGGUCGUUAAGUCUAUUCUAUAUCUAAGGUACCCCUUCAGAUGAUAAACUAUUUAGGGGGAAAAAACUGUGAAUUUGAGCAUGCCUAAAAGAAUUAAGAAAUAAAUUUACAAUAAGGAAAGAUAGACUUAUUAUCAUUAGUGGUGACUGAAAGCAUUUUUUGUUUGAGUGAGAAUGGCCCCUAUUUUUUAUUAGAUAAAAAAUUUAAAGAAUUAAAGAUGCUCAUAAAAUAAGAUGAAACAAUAAGGGAAGGAAAUAAAUUAAUCCACUAAGGUUGUAGGCGAGGAACCUUAAAACUUCCUACAAAGAUAUUCUAGAAUAAGUCUGAAAAUAAUAGAAACAAAGUUGGUUUACAUUAAUAGCUUGAACAACACAAGAAAAUUAUUAAAAAAUUUUAGUAGUUUGCCAUAGAACACAAACCGCCUUAUGAAUUAUACUUGUUUGACAAUAUCAAAACUCUUUCCACAAAGCACUUAAACACCACAUACAUCAUCACACUUGAGCUCGAAUCCAGCUCAAAUCUCGGAUCGUUUACACCCAAUACUUGAGUGGUUGAGUGAUCUAGAAGUGGGCCGGAUUUUUGAAACUGAAAAAAAAAUAUUUUUAUAUUUGUAAUGAUUUGACAAUUUAGAUUGAAUCAUAUAAGUCCAGAUUUUGGAUGUAUUGGAUGGUACGGUGAAGCGAACGUAGAACAAGAUUUUAAAAGAAAAGGUCCUUAGUUAAACUGCAAAUUAACUCAUGUGAUUAGCUCGUGAUUGUCCACACGGAGGAUCGAAAGUGGUAAGAGAUGACACUAAAGUAUCAAAUUUAUGUUGUCCCGUACUAUUUGGAUUUCAUUGAGGUUUAUGGAGUAAUGUGAAAUCUCAGCGUACAAAAAGGGGCCGCAAUCAAGAAUAUUUUGACUGAUCAAGCGCUUGCAUUUUGUCUUCUUCCUAUUUUUUGUUUCUAAAAUGCCAUCCUAAGGUGCAUUACCAAAUAAAGGCCCACCUGGCAAAUAAGUUUUUUGGAUGUUUGUUUAAAAUUUUACUGUAAUUUACUGUCAAAGUUGUAGAAAAAAUUUUUGAAGUAUGUAAAUUUUUUGAUAUUUUGAUAUGUAUAGUUUAAAAGUUUUAAGAAAUUUUUUGAGAUUAAUAUAGUUAAAAUAAUUAAAAAACUUGUAACAAACAAAUUUGACAAAAAACUUGCUCGCCAAACAUGCCCAAAAUUUGCUUUGACCACUUUGCAGAUCAAAAUAGUCUUCAGAUUUGUAAACAUUAUUAGUUCAAAGAAUUACUCUAGAGUGCAAUUUAGAAAUCCAUUGUAAGCGAGAACAAGCCAUGUAACAAGAUGUCAAACAAACUAAGAAGAAUUUUUUUCAACAAAAGUCCUUUAUUCAAUCUUUAAAAUAUCCUUUUCAUUUGUUCCAGUUGAAAAGAAUUACUCCACGAUCAAUUUUUUACAAAAGUCCUGUUGAAUAUCUGUUGGCGCAUACUAAAUUUAAAAUUGUAUUGUUAUGUUAGGCUUUACUUUCAUUUUGACAAUAAAUGCCUUGUUGUUUUGCCUGAUUAUACUGCAGGAUUACACACUUCAGCUCUGACCAUGGAGUGGUUUAUGUCCCUUAUGCUAAGCCACCUUGAGGUAUUGGAGAAGGCAAGAAAUGAAAUAGACAACAAUGCCACACAAUCAGGGCAACUGAUUGAGGAUUCAGAUCUCUCCAAAUUGCGUGUUUAUGUUGAAUAAUUAAAGAAACAGUCGGACUUUUUCCGGCAGCACCAACGCUUGUGCCUCAUUAUUCAUUUGGGGAUUGCAGUAUAGGAGGCUUUAAAAUUCCUAAAAGGCAAACUUCGUUAGUAAAUACUUGGGUUAUUCAUAAAGACCCUAAUGUCUGGGAAGAACCAAUCAAGUUUAAGCCAGAAAGCCAGAAAUUCGAGGGAUGUGAAGAAGGGUUCAAAUUUCUUCCAUUUGGAAAAGGUAGGAGGGCUUGUCCAGGGACAGCCUUGAGCAGGAGAUUGAUUAACCGGUCAUUAGGAACAAUGCUACAAAGUUUUGAUUGGGAAAGACUGGGUCCUCGGUUGUUUGGAUUUGGAAGAAAAAUCUGGUUUUGACUUUGGGCAAGGGCAAGUCUUUGGAAGCAUUGCGCACAAGCCAGCUCAUCCAUGAUUGAUAAUCAUUUCGCAGCUCCGAGUUAGCUUCCCAAGGUAACUAAAGAAACAUUUAUUUAGUUGUUUAUGAAGAUUGAAUCACGAUAAGAUCGAAAAUCGAUGCGCCCAACGCUUCACGAAAAAAAAAAAAAAAAAGAUGCGCUCAAACGAAAAAGGGGCACCCAAUGCUAAGCGUGUGCAACAGUAAAAAUGAGAGCAAAGAAAUAUAAGCAUGAAUAGUUUUCAGUCCACGCACUUAUGGAUUAAAUAAAAACAUUAUAGAUAAAUAGGCUUUGAAUAAAACUAUAUCUGGUUUUCUUUCAUUCUUUUUUAUUUUUUCGGCCUUCUGAAAUUACUGCAAAUAUCAUCUAUUAGUUCUUUGGUUUCCAAAUUUGUGAUAUAGAACUCCCAUAGUUCAAUAACCUUAAAUGAUUUUCUGUUGGUAGUCAUAAACUGGUUUUGGGGCGUUUUACAACACAAGCAACUGAAAAUACAUACCGCAUGUGUAGGAUGCUAUCAAGUUGAGUCAAACCCAUAUGCACAAGGUUCUUGAGUUCGAGUUCAAAAAAAAAUUAGUUAAACUUGAAUUCGAACUCAAGUUCAACAAAUAUCAUAUAUUAGUGCUCAAUCUUGAUUAAAGAAAAAUAUGAGGAGCUCAAUUAGCUUGUUUAAGCAAAUUGAGCUCGGCAAAAUAAAAUUGUAAUUUGUCCUAAAAAAACUAUUAUGUAGAUAAUUUUACAUUUAUAUUAAAAACAUGUACACGGACACACAGAUUCACACAUAUAUAUUCAACAAGCUUGAUGAAAUUUUGAGUAGUAUUAUGUGGAGAUCUUGAUGUGUUAAGUUCAUGAGUAAAGAAUUGUAUCCCACAUUGAUUUCAACGAAAGAGAAAGAGUCCUUAAUAUGUUAGUAAGGGUUUAGAAUCUAAUAGUUUAAGUUUUUGGGUUAGCGUUCGAUUUCUGACUUAUAUUAUUGGGUAUCUUUGGUGAGCUCUCACGAGUGUUUCUCCCUAAUAAGUUGUAUCAGAGUUUCUAGUUACGGAACUAGACUACUUAUAGGCAAGUCGACUCUUCUUGAAUUUGGACCAGUGAAAUUCUCAUCUUGGUGGUGGAUCAAAGUACCAAGGAAUUUGGUUGAUGUUAGACCAGAUGCACUAGGAGUUUGGUAGGGGAUCUAGUUGGUGUUAGAUCAAGGAGUUAAGGGUUGGUAGGGUCUAAGAUCCGAUUUGGAUGUUGAAGAAGAGUCGGUCCAUGAGUUGAGAAGAGGUGACCUUGAGUGUUAAGGUGCAAGGUGCACUAAGAGUUUGGUAGGGGAUCCAGUUGUUGUUAGGCCAAGAUGCUAAGGGUUGGUAGAGUUCGAUAUUCGAUUUGGAUGUCAAAGAAGUGUAGGUCCAUGAGUUGAGAAGAGGUGACCUUGAGUGUUAAGGUGAGUUUUUAUUAAGUAUUAAAGUGAACUCAGUUGAACUUCUAAACUUGGAUUCAAUAUAAGUGCCACGGGAUUUGAUUGAUGCUGGACCAAGUGCGUCAAGAGUUUGGAAGGGAGUUCAGUUGGUAUUAGACUAAGGAGGUAAGGGUUGGCAGGGGGUUCAAGAUCCAGUUUGGAUGUUAAAAAAGAAUGGGUCCAAGAGUUGAAAAGAUGUGAUUUUGAAUGUUCAGAUGAGUUUGCACUGAGUAUUAAAGUUUCGAAAAAGAACUUGUAAACUUGUAUUUAAUGUGAAUGCCAAGGGAUUUGGGUUGUGUUGGACUAGGUGCACUAGGUGUUCCGUAAGGGGUUUAGCUAGUGUUAAACCAAGGAGCUAAAGAUUGAUUGGGGUUCGAGAUCUAGUUUGGAUGUUGAAGAAGAAUGAGUCCACGAGUUGAAAAGAGGUGACGUUGAAUGUUAACGUGAGCUUAUAUUGUGUAUUAAAGUGGAAUCAAAAUAGAUCUUGUAAACAUGGAUUCAAUGUGAGUAUCAAGGAAUUUGGUUGGUGUUGGACCAAGUUUAGGGGGGGUCCGAGAUCCAGUUUGAAUGUUGAAAAAGAGUAGGUCCAUGUGUUGAGAAGAGGUCACCUUGAUUGUUAAGGUGAGUGUACAUUGAGUACUAAAAUGGGUCAAAGAAGAGUUUGUAAAUUUGGGUUCAAUGUAAGGAGCUACUCAUUAAGGAAAAAAUUAUUAGGUUCACGAGUAAAGAAUUUUGUUUGACAUUGGUUUGAAAGAUGGAGAAAGAGUUCUUAAUAUAACUUUAUGAGUAAAGAAUUGUGUCUAAUAUUGGUUGAAAGAUAGAAAAAAAGUCCUUAAUAUAUAAGUAAGGACCCAAAAUCUAGUAGAUUAAACUUUUAGGUUAACGUUAGAUUCCUAACUUGUAUAUUAGGUCUCUUUGAUGAGGUCUCACAACAAACUUUCAAGUAGUAUUAUGUGGAGAUCAAACUCGAUUUAUCGAUGAACUUGAACUACUUGAAUUCGACUUGACUUUUGAAUUUCACUGAACAUGUUUGAGCCGUUGACUGAGCUGCCUGAUCUAUUGCCUGCUUUUUUUAAAAAAAAAAUCCUAACAAAAAGUCAAGACCUCUAAUUUUUGGACCCUCAAUUUUAACCACUACACUAAACCAAGGCAUCCUUGACCUUUUUUUCUAAUUAUUUUCCUAUCAAAGGAAGGGUAGAAUUUAAGAAACGAGAAAGAAGCAGGUGACUAGAAUUUAGAACCUCUAACUCUUGGGGCCUCAACCCACUUGGCAUUCCAUAAGCUCUCCAUCAAAUACGGCCCCUUGAUUUCCCUUUAUUUUGGGACCCGCCGCAUCCUUGUCGUGUCAUCUCCAUCACUUGCAAAGCAAUGCUUCACCAAGAAUAAUGAUAUUGCCUUUUGCAAACCGGCCUGAUUCCAUUUCCGCUCAGCACCUUGGCUAUAACUACACUAGCCUUGCGUUUUCUCCAUAUGGAGAUCACUGGCGUAAUCUCCGCCGUCUAACGGCCAUCCAUAUAUUUUCUUCACUUACUGUCCAACAAUAUUCAUCAAUCUGGAGAGAUGAACUACGUUUUGUUGUCAAAAAACUGUUCUCAAGUAGCUCUGAUGAGAAAACAUGGAAAGUUGCAGACCUGAACUCUUUGUUCUUGGAAUUGCUUUUCAAUGUGGUAAUGAAAAUGGUUGCAGGAAAAAAAUGGCCAUCCGAACAAUGAGGGGAUAUAUUUACACCAAGAUCGUUCUUGGAAAUUUGUGUGUGUUCCAAUUUUAAGGUGGAUCGGUUUUGGAUGGCUGGAGAAGAGUAUGAUUUACUUGCACAGGAAAAGAGACAAAGUUCCCUAGGGUCUGAUUGAUAAAAUUCGAAAAAAGGAAGGUAAAGAUGUUGCAUGUUCAACCAAGAGAAAAGAUAUCAUUCAAGCAUUGAUGUCUCUGCAAGAAGCUGAUCCUGAAUACUACACCGAUGAAUGAAUGUAAGCCCCUUUUCAUUUCAAAAAUUUCAAUUAGAAUUACCCUCAGUUAUGUUUUUUAAGCAAGAUGAUUCACGGCGUGAUAAAUCUUGUGCCUUGUAACCACAUCCAAGGUCAUAUAUCACUUUCCAGCCUGUACUGUCUGUCAUUGCAGUUGCAGGUUCAACCGCAGACAGCAAUUUGUGGUUUCAAUCAGUAGCUAAUGUGGCCGGACAUAGGCUGCUGAUCCCAAAUGUUCUUUUAUUUCAUUUGCUAAAUUUGAUAAUCAAGCAAACAUUUUGAUGAGGCCGGUGAUUAACUUUCACAGUUGCACCUAGUAAGGAUCACAUUCACUGUGUUGAAAUUUGGGGGCAUGACGUUAAAAUCAUUGAGUUUUACAAAAUUUCAUCUGCAUUAACGGACAAAUCCUCGUUGUUAAGUGUUGCUAAUGGUCAGUAGCUCAGCUUUGAACAACUAUGUUUCCUAUAUACCAUUUUAUAAUUCAUGAUUUCUGUUUCUGCAUGUCUCAAAUUAUUUUUUGGUGGCUCAAAAGGGAAACAGAAAAAUACUAAUAUCCUUGUUUUUACCCUUAUAAAAUUUUUAACAAAGAACAUUAAAUCAUGUUUCCACAAUAAAUACUCCAAUAAACCACUUCAGACUUUAACACUCCAAAUAUAACUACAAAAUCUUUUAGAUACAAAUCGAGGGACAAUCAGGAAAAAAAGUAAAUUGCAACUCGUCAAACAUCAAUUUCUUGAACUGUGAGUAUAACUAAUGAAAAGGAAAGGAAAAAUUAUCCGUAACCUUGGUCGCGUAAAAAGAGUCAAGACUUCAACUGCUGAGGUUCCAGAUUGAUAUGACUUGAUGAAAGAUCUCAAAAACUAGGCAGAUGAAAGCGUCCAGAAAUGAGCUUCUGAAUUCUUAGUUCCAGAUUGAUGUGUGCUGAUGAAAAGGGUAAAAAGAGUCAAGACUUCAACUGCUGAGGCUCCAGAUUGAUAUGACUUGAUGAAAGAUCUCAAAAACUAGGCAGUUGAAAGCGUCCAGAAAAGAGCUUCUGAAUUCUUAGUUCCAGAUUGAUAUGUGCUGAUGAAAGCUCUCAAAAUCUGGGCAGUUGAAUUGAAAGUGUCUAGAAAAGAGCUUUGACGCAUAAGGAGUCGAUUAAUUUGGUGCACUAAAGAAUUUUUUUUUAAGUGGUGACAUGUAUAAGCAUCUAUAUUAUAGUUUAACUGAUAAAAUGGAUAGAUUUUUUUUCUUUUUUUUUACGCAAAAAAUAUCGUAAAGAUCUUAAUCAUAGUUUUCACAAGAGGAGACCAUCAAAUACAUCAGAGGAAUUAAAAACAUGGAUACUUGAGAGAAAUUUCCAAAAUUAUGAUGAUUUUUAAAAAAUUUCUGCAAAAGGGACACUUUGAGUAUGCAAUUCCAUCAAAGGGGUCUUCGCAAUCAGCAAAUACGAGCUCCAUGAGCUCGCAUUUGCUGAAUGCAAAGUCACUCUGAAUUUUUAGACCCACAAAGUCCAAAAAAAAAAAAAAAGAAAACCAGACCUAGCAUUCAAAAAAUGCGAGGUCUGGCACCUCGCAACAAAUUGAAAGCUUUGGUAUUUGCUAAAACGAACUCGUGUUAAGAAGUAGAACCGCUAAAAUUUUAUUGGCAUUGACCUCUCAGUUUGUUUUCUCCUCAUUUGCUGUGUUUUAUGAUCUUUGUGGGAAUUCUUUGCCAACAUUAGUAGUUCCUCUAGAGAACGUCCUUUUGAAACCAGUUAGGAGAUUCUAAAAAUUGACCAUUACUACAAUUGGUGCAAGCCAUUUUGCUAAACGUGAGCUCUAAAAUUUUUUUUUUUUUUGUUAGAGGUAUCAUGAUAUGAAAAAUAUUUGUUCUGUAAGAGAAAAUAAAUAUUUUUUUAAAUAUUUAUUGUAACUAUGAUCAUUUUGCUCUUUUUGACCACUUUGCAUAUUGUCAUUUACUAAAUGCGAGCUCCUAAAAAAAUUAAAUUUAAAUAAUAUUUGUUUUCUUCUAGCGAGCUUCUACAAAAUUAAAUUUAAAAAAGAUUUGUUUUCUUAACAGUACUAAACGCGAGCUCCUAGCGAAUUAAAUUUAAAAAAUAUUUGUUUUGCAGAUCUCUCAUUUACUAAAUGCAAUCUUUAGUAAAAUCUUAUAUUUUUUUUAAAAUAAUUUUUUAUGCAUUCAUUGAGUGUGAGGAGUAAAUAUUUUGGAUUUCGCAUUCGAUAAAUGCGAAUUCAUAGAAAAUUACUUAAAAAAAUUGGGGUACCAGAUAAAUGCAAAUUCGAUAAAUGCGAAUUCGAUAAAUGAUCUAGGAUGUAUUUUGAGUAAUUGGGGGUACCAAAUGUGAUUUUCAAAAGUUAACAUUUCUGCAAAAAUUUGCAUAAGAAAAUGCAGUUCUAGUCGCGUAUUACAGAAAGUGCGUUUUCAAUUCUAGAAGCUUAAGGCAUAAAACGCGACUUGAAGGCGCAUAUUCAUAAUGGCGCGUUUUCAAUUCUGCAAAUACAACAGAAUACGCGACUUGAAGUCGUGUAUUGAAUUCUCCAAGGAAUAAGUUGCGUAUUCUUGAAGUCACGUUUUGAAUUCUCCAAGGAACAUGAAGAAAACGCGACUUAGCAAAAUGUGACUUGAAUGCGCGUUUUGUGAAGUCACGUAUUGUCUCACUUGUACGAAGCUUUAAAACACGAAUUCCCUCUCAGUUUUCUUUUCUCCUUCUUCCAGUCGCGUUUUCUUUCCACUCUUCACACACAAUUCACCAAAUUCUAUUUUUGCUCCAUAUCUUGGUUAAAAAUCAUCAAGCCAACAACUUUUGAGCAUUAUAUAGCCUUUCUAACCUAUUAAAAUCCAAUAAAAACACCUCAUAAUUGGUUUUAAGGAGAUUGAAAGCUAGGGUUUCUAGUUUUUAAUUUCUUCAAUUAGAGGUCAAUUAGAGGGCGUUUCAUAGGGUUUUUUGCACAGUCAUCAUCUCCAAACAUCCUUCUGCAUAAUUGAGGUAAGUUUCUUCAUCAAAUUUACGUAUUUUAGAAAUUGAUAUUUUUCAAUUUUCUGAGCUUUUUGACAUGUUUUAAUUUCGAAAGUUUGAUGAUGUUUAUAGAUGUUUUUGGCCUCUAUUAUGCUUGUUGAUGGUAAUUAAGUAUGUUUACAAGUUCAAAUGUAGCAAAUUGAUGAUUAAUAGUUCUUUAAAUUUUUAAGUUGCUAUAUUUGGCUAAAAUUCGAAAGUUGGCUUGGAAUGUUGUUGAGCAAUUGGUGAUCAAUGAUUAUGGUAUAAAAUGGUUAGUUGAUGAUGUUUUAACAUGUGCAUUGUGUAUAGAGAGUGAUUUGAUGAAUUUUGUGAGUUAUUAGAAUACAUCUUGCUUAACCAUGUUUAUAGCUAAAUGUCCAUUAUUGUUGCUAAAAUUUGGCUGCUAUUAUCUUGAUUAGUGCCAAUUUCACUUAUUUGGAUAUAUUUGUGGCCUAUUUUGAUAUAUUGAUGAUUUUAGUAAUUUUUGACAUUUUGACUAUGUCAUUUCUCUUAUGUCAUAAUAAUGAUUGUUUAACUAUAUUUAUUUGAUUUCUUAUGACAUGGAGGGAUGUAUUUGUGGUAAUUUGAAUCAAUUCAUGUUAUUUAUUGUCAAAAAUAUGAAAUAUGUCUUAGUACAUGUGAAUAAUUGAAUCCUUCUUAUUAGGUACUAUGGCUAGGGGAAAACAGGUUGUAUAUUCAUCCUCUAGUAGUGAUGAUAUGGAGGUUAGUGAGAAGGUCGAAGUAAGUGAGGAGGAGAGGUCACCUUCUCCUUAACUGGUUAAAGGACGACUAGGUGAGGGUACUUCUCGUGGUGCCGAAGCGUCCGUCUUUGACAGUGCUAGGUUUUCUACCCUGAGGAAUCAAGAGUGGCAUGAGGCGCACACUAAUUUGGAGUUUCUUUUUGAGAUGCACGUGAGUCCAGAAGUUAAAAUGGUUGGGUGUCAAUCAACUUGGUUGGGUGUCAAUUCUCACCUUGCCGAUUCACUACUACACUGACUUGGUGCGCGAGUUCUACGGCAACAUUGAUUAUAAAGCGUGCCACAGUGGUGAGAUGGUGGAGUCAUGGGUGCGUGGGAGACGUAUUGUUUUGUCGAGGGAGCGCCUAGCUGCCAUUUUGGAUUGUAACAACCAGGAUCGAGCUAUCGACUUGAAGAAGGGAUUCGUCGCACCAAAUAGGCAGUGGGAUCCAUCACAUGCCAUGACUAGGUUUGGUCUUGAUUACCAACCUUUUCGGUCCUCGAGGAAGGAGACAAUGUUGGCGAGUGUUUUCGAACCUCGCCAUCAUCUCAUUAUCUAUAUGAUGGCCCACAAUGUCAUACCCAAGAAGACGGGACAUACGGAGGUCCGCAAAAGUGACAUCUACUUUCUUGACUACAUGUUUCAUAAUCGGCGGAACUCCUCCUAUGCUUUUGCCGAACAUCAUUAUUAGCCACAUAAGGUCUACGGUGAGGCGGAGAGCGACGUCAUUCAAAUUGGCAUUUCCUCGUCUGCUUUCCUUGGUGUUCGAGAAUUUUGAGGUUAAUUUGCAAGGUAUACAGCAGGAAUUUGUUACACCUAAAACCGAAUUAUAGGUUUCUACCCUUUGUCUUCUCGGUAUUGGCACGGAGAACAUUCCUCGACCUAUUCGAGAAAGGGGACAAAAGGUAAGACAUGGCCAAGAGGAAGCCGGACCUUCUACUACGGCAUCUCCUCCUCCACUGCCAUAAUCGAAUUGGCAGUGACUGUUCACUCGCUUGGACGAUAUCGAGUAUUGAUUGGGACGGAUGGACACUCGCCUGGAGCGGAUCAAGUAUCAUUUGGGCAUUCCUCCACCUCAUGAUGGUGAUGAAGAUGAAGAUGGCGACUGAAGUUGCACCUUUAGGAUGGCUAUUUUGUUGCUUCAAGAUUUGCUUGUCAUUUUGUUUUUAAUCUGUUGGAUGUAGGGUGUUUAACUUGACCUUUUCUGUUUUCAAGUUUUCUGUUGGAAUAUGAAUUGUAUUCAAAUGUUGUUAAUCUUGAGUCUGCUGGCAGGGAGUUUAGUCCAAUUUUAAGCGGAAAUUCUAUCAAAAUUUUUUCAAAAUCUUGUCCAAAAUUAUAAAAUUGCCGCAAAAGGUUUCAAAUUUUUUCGAUUUUAUCCAAAGGGCAACAAGUUCCCUACAAGUAGUUACUCAUAUUCUUUCUACUUUUGAGAUAAAUAUAUAUGACUUUAAAACUUCUCCAUCUAUACCCUAACUGUAAUAGAGAGUCGCUAAUAUCGCACUAAAAUCAAUUGUGCAAAUGAUUACAAAUGAGUUCUGAAGAAAAUUUUAUCUACUACUAAUCCUUUGUAUAUAAAUAACAAAAAGUUAUAUUUCUUCUAUAUUAAAAGAUUUGAUAAUUAUACGGUUGGAAACACCUAAUUUUAUUAUUAAAUAAUUUUGUAAAGAAAUAACUAUACAUGUAUAAUUCUUUAUUUUCACAGGUCAAUAUAAAAUACAAUAAAAGUGUUAAUAUGUUAAGUCUUAACUUUUGAUGAAUAAAAUUCUCUUUUUUUAUACUUCUCAUACGAGAGCAUCAAAAUUUUUUGUCAUAUGUUUAAUAGAAGAAAUUUUUUCUCAUAAGAGAGCAUCAAAAUUGUUCGUGGGAAAAGAGAAUUUCUUUGUAAUUUUAUGAAAGUUUCUAGUUUUGUAAAAAAGGAUCGAUAAGAUAUACGUGAUCAAGUUUUUCUGCUAAUAUUUGGGAAAGUAAAAAAUAUAAACAGGAAAUGACACAAUAAAGUAUUUCAGCCAUAAUUAGUUAGUUUAUACAAUAGCUACACAAUCAGGGUAUCAUCAAUGAUGUCCAAAUUUUUCAUGAGUACCAUAUCCUCUGGGUUUGCGUACUCUUUGUGUUUGACGUGGUUGGUCUUGCAUUACUGUAUCGACUUGAGUAAUCUGUGACUCAAGUAUAGCAUCAUGAUGUUGGGUACUCUGACCUUCAUCUAUACCUCCUGCAUGUUGUGCAGAAGUGUCAUGAUGUAAGUCUUUAUAGGGCGUAAACUGUUAAAAAGUCACUGGGGACCUAGAAUCGCCAAUGGAUGCACUGUGCAGUUGCAUGACUUCAGUCUGAGAUGUGACUAAAGAAGAUGCGUCAACAUGGUGCUCAGUAACCUGUGACCCUCCAUCGAAUCCAAUUUGGAUGGUGGGUUCUGGUGAUCAGAGUCUACGACGUCAUCUACCGCCAUACUGACCUCCGUGAUUAUUCGUAGGAGCUCGUUGAACACGACUUGCAUCUACGUGUUGUGGAAUGCAAGUCGGGAUGACUCUCCUACAUGAUGCAAUGUUAUUGAUACAAAGUACUUCAUUGCAUUAAAAUAAUUCAUGUGCUAUUCGUCACUAUGUGCUAGAGAGUCCUCAGUCAUAUAAUAUACCUGAGACAUAGCAUUCAUCUAGAGUGCAAAUAUUGGAAUGAAUAAGUAUUAAUAACGUUAAACCUUAAAAAAUUCACUACUACAAAAAUAUCCUUUUAUGACAUUUGAAAGCGUCAUUAUAGCUCCAUGUUAUGACGUUUUAACUAUAAUGACGCUCUGUCAGAAGCGUCAUCCAUUCUAACGUCACUAUAAGUUUUAUAACAGUUUCUAUGCGUCCUAAUUUGUAGUUCUUCUGGCACUUAUAAAUGUCAUUAGUUAUCGCUAUUAUGACACUUUGAAAUGACAAGAAAUGCCAAGGCACAAUUGAUGUUAUAUAAACUUAAGUGAUGCACAUAACUGUCAUAUUUUGAAACUAUCUUGACACUUCUGUCAUGUAAGUACAAUAAGAUAUUAUAACACACUCACAUAAGUAGAAUGAAAUAUUAUGAUACUUUUUGGUAUAACUAGAUUAGGUGAUUAUGACACUUUUUAACAUGAAAUUUUGUGAAUAUUAUGUACAAUAAAAGUCGAAGUGAUGACACUUUUAAGUGUUAGUACAGUAUGUUGCAUUACUCCUAUAUACCAUCCGUGUUUUAUACCCAUAAGCAGAAAUCACAUUUCAUCCUGCUUGCAUAUUGUAAAUCCUAAUUUUUGGAAUAAUAAAGUAGUUAGUACCAUCAUAUAAAGGAAAACCAAAGUUAUUUACAUCUUCGUAGUAACUGGUGCAAUACAAUAAUCCAAAUUGGUGCAAAAAUAUAUUAUCUAAGCAACUCACCUUAAAACUAUGUCAACAAAUUACAUGCUAAUUCAGAGAUUUCCCACUAGUGAUGAGUAUUGCAGUAGCAUUGUCAAUAUAUAUAAAGGAAGCAGUAGCUUGACAGGAACUCGACUAAAAAGCAUUAACAAUGUCUUCAAAGAAAUAGCCAUUUGAUCCAAGGAUCAUUUAGUUUUCUUCAAGAUUCACCUACAUAUAUCAUAAACCAAGCAAUUGGAGUUACCAAUCACACAGCUCUUCUUUUACAGUUUUAAUCUUAGAAAACAAAUAAAAACUAAGUUAGAGUAAAGAUUACCAAGUUUAUUGGCCAAGUAAUGGCCACUCCAAUUACAUCUCCAGUCUUGCGAAAAUUAUGGUAUGGCCUCAUCAGCUUUUCAUCACUCUCCACAAACACAUUCACAUAGAUUUUACACCAAUGCAAUCCCAAAGACAUGUCACCAAGACAAAUCAUAGUUUCUGUGAAUGCAUAUUCAUGACAAAUAUUUAGGUAGGCUCAUGAUUAAAAGAGAACCAAAUAUUAGAUUAGGUAUGUCAUUAAAGGUAACUUUUCUAGUAGUAAGCAAUGUUAGAUUGACCCUUAAGUCACAAGGAUAACUAUGCACAUAAGCUAAUAACUUAGAAGAGCAAACACAAGUCAUAAGGAUUUAUGUAAAGUUUUAUUAAAGAAUUCAGUAAUACAAAUUUAGACAUUUAGCGAUGAUAAACAAUUCCAAAAUUAGAGCUACAAGUAUAUAUUGAACACAAGUACAUGGUUUUGGUCAAUCAUGUUAAUCAGAAUAAUGAUUUUCAUCUAUAUCUUGUUGUAAGAUUUCAAUUUAUGAAGUUAAAUGUGCACUAGUGUGUAGUGAACAUAUAUUUCUUACAUUGGACUUACAUAACAUUUAAUAGAAAUUGGAAAAAAAGAAAGACUAAUAGUAAUUGAAACAAGGACAAAACAAGAGGGGAAAAGCUAGACAAAUAUUAGAACCAAGAGUUUUGCCAUUUCCUGUCAGUAGUAUUCUGGUGACCCUAUUGAACAACGUUGCUAGACAAAGACCCAGUGAAAACUAAAGUCAUUAGAAAUUAAACUAACCACUGGAAUUUAUAAAAGGUGUACACUUCAUCACUGUCUUUGUACCUUGUGCAACGAGAAAUUGGGAACAAGAAUAGAACAAAUUUCAUAGUAUAAUGCACUUUGUCCCAACCAUCUAAAAUGUCUUUGUCACCUAUUAAUUUUGUCAAAUUAAACUUAUGAGAUAUUUUAGUUAUACAAACACAUCCAUAAGUAGGUCUAAUAGCACCAAUGAAAUUAGAACAACGCUAACAUAAAUGUAAGAUUAGCCUUGCUUAUGUCAUUCUCCAAUUUAACAUAAAUGUAACAUGAGCCCCGAAAGCAUCAGCUUGGCACCAAAUAGUAAAAGCUUCCUUAUGCUUUUCUAUAAGCAACAUUUUUUUUUCCUCAUUCUUGUAACUGUAAUAUCCAAAUCUUUGAUCAGUAUCUGAAUAAAAACAGACAAAGUGAUUUCCUAAGUGAAGUGAGACUGUGAGAGUGUCCAAACUUUUUAAAAGGCAAGAAACAACUUUACAUAUUGUCUUCACUCAAUAUAUAUCAUGCAUAAAUACUUAAUGAACAAACAAUAAUAUCACAUGACAAGAGUUGCCAAGCUACUGCUUCAUUAGGCAAUGGUCUGAGACAAAAGUAGCUAAAUACCUCAAACAGAAAAUGCAUGUUCAAACUAAAGAUCCGAAGAGAAAACAUAAAGACACAUUCAACCAUGUUGCAGUAUUUCAGUUCUCUAUUCAACUCAAGAUUAGUUUAUAAAAUUAAUUUCAAGAAAAGAAGGCAGAGCCUUGGCAAAAAACUAAAGGGCAUGCUGCUUGGAAGAAUUGAGUAAACUAGAGAGCAAAUCCAUUUGGCCAGCAAUGAAAUACUUGUUUAGUCAAUUUAUCAAACAUGUGGUGGGUCAUGGAUGCUACCAAACUGAUGCUAAAGAAGGCUAUAACAUUUACUCGGAAUCUUUUGACGGCAUCCAAUCAUCAAGAAACUUUGAUACAACCAUCAAGAAACUUUUAUUGUCUGCUAAAAAACAAAAAGAAAAAAUUUCAAACAUGAGAAUGAAUCAAAACAAUGACACAUCCAAUCAACUGACAUUUUGAAGGCAUACUCAAAUAGCUAAGUAGAAGACAACCCUAAAUUGUUGAUGCCAUCUACCUUUUUGCUUAUUUUAGACAAAAUUGGAGAUGUAUAUGUAGACCUAAAGUUAAAAUUAUCUCUUAAAUACAAGAAAUCAAAAAGAAAACAAUCUUGAUGUUAACAAAAAAUUGAAUAAUUGAUAUUCAAUAAACUAAACAAACAUCUUAAUUAUCGUACCUCCAUCAGUGGGAUGAAUCCUAGUUGCUUUCUCCUUGAAAAAUUAGCUGAUUGGCAAGAAAAUUGGCUAAAUUUGCCCUAAAUUGAGAGAAACAAAAGAGGGAGGGACAGGUCACAGUACAGAGAGAGAGAAAAUGCAGCGGGUGAGGAGAGAAGUGAUUAGAUAUGGUAAAUAAGAAAAGGGAGAAAAUAUUAGAAUUUUGGGUGAAAAUAAUUAUACGCUAAGGCAUAGCACCAAUUUUCAAAAUUAAGGGUGAUACGAUAUAGUUUUGUCUACUUUUGGCACCUUUUUAAUGACACUCCUUACUGACUGUCAUGUUAACACCCUAUUAUGACGUUUAGGAAAAUAUGUCAUAAUACAAGUGUCAUUAAAAGCUAUUUUUCUAGUAGUGAUUAUUUAAAUAAAUUUUUAUAAACGGGUAGUGGUUAGGCAAAAACUUACAAGAUAUUGUGCUCUAGCGCUAUCACCCUAAAACCCCUCCGGAAAAGCGGGAUACCUACUUGGAUUUGAAAUAUAAAGCAUUGUCUGCUCUCGAUACCAAUGACGAUACUCAUCUGAUGGAUAUGUAGGAUCUUCAACUACAGCACCGUCUUGUACAUGCACACGCCGAUCAGUCCACACAUCAAUACAUGCUCUAUGCGUAGUUAUCCAGUCUUAAUUCCCUCUUACCAUGAUGAUCUAGAGAAUGUAGGGCUACUUGAUUUUCAGUCAACUUAAGAGCAGGCAGGGACUGAUAAUAUCCAAAUUGUUGUAUAACUGGAUGCGGAAGAUGCGACUCGACAACUUUUUAACAUAUAAGAUAUUGUCACCUCCAAAUGUCAUGACCUGUAGUACAAUAUGCAGGCAAAGAAGUGAGAACAUCCUCCAAAUAUGGCUACCAUAUGAACUGCAAAAAAAAUAAAUGAAUAUGCACAAACCACUAAGUUAAAUUGGUCUCCACAAACAAUUUACUAUAUGCACCAUUGAAUAUUGUCAAAUGAGAAAAGCAUAACAAAUUUAAGCAAAUUUCUGUCAUUUUACAUAUUUUUUAAGAAAAUUUUGACAGCAUCUCCCCCAUAACUGGAAGAAAACUCCCUGCCAACAAAUCCAAUUUUAAAAUAAUCAAAUACAAUCUGCAUCUAUUCAUCUAACAGUUACAUAUUUUAUUAACGUAUUCAAAAAAGGUAAAGUAUUAGAUGUUCAACGUCAUUGCACAAUUACAAUACCUCUUGAGGAUGUAGACCUAUCAACUGAUCUCAAAAUAUUGACACGACAUGUCUUACAACUUUGUAUAGAUAAAACCCAACAUUCCACCUAAAUAGAAUAAAUGAAGAGUUUUUUCAAAACAAAUGAUUGUUAUUUAAAUUACAAAUUAUGGUCACAACUACAAUUGAUGUAUACGCACCGAACUCCAUAUGGACCAGGAUAGUGCUCUAACAGUUGCACUCGAUCAGGACGCAUUGUAGGUAUACGUUCCCAUACCCAUAUCAGUAAUAAAAAUUGGAAUCAUUUCAUAAUUGUAAUAAAAUAAUAAGUAAAUAACCUUACUUUUAUUGAGUGUAAUGUACCUGUAGCAAAACUAAUGGUCCUGCAAUAGUCGAUCUAGAGGGUGAUGUGGCUAUACACAGGAAUCGAUAGAGAGUCACUAAUAUCGUACUACCCCAAUUAUACUGCCCAAUAGUUUUCAAGUCUCGUAGUAAGGGAAGAUAUAUUAACGGGACUUUAUUGUCGAAUUUAUUGGACAAUAAAUUACCACCUAAUAAUAGGAGGAGGUAUAUGCGUGCUCGCUGUCUACAUUCGACAUCCAAAGCAUCGGUUGGCAACUUUGUAUCUAAUGCUCUGGAUAAACACCAUAAUUUUAACCUUUGUCCAUCAAAAUCCGACGGGGACGAAGAAAAACUAAUAAGCUCCUCACAUAUGAGUCCCCAUUCCUGAACACUAUGAGAUUUAUCUAUUCCAGUGAUCGGAGGACUAUUGAUCGGUAAUCCCCAUAGAACCUCUACAUCUUGUAAGGCAACUGUAACUUCUCCAAUGGGUAGAUGAAAGGUAUGAAUCUCGGGCCGCCAUUGCUCCACUAAACUAGUGAUCAGAGCAUGAUCAAUCAUCAUAUAUCCACUCUCGAGCACCCCUUCAAACCCAGUCAAAUGAAAAUAAUGCCAAACAGUUUCGGGAAUAGGUGUAUGCUCCCAAAAAUCCUUAUCACAUCAUCUGACAUAGAGCUGAUUACCCAAAAUAUGCCAGAAAAAUAUGGAAUGUGCCUGAUGUGUAGUUCCUGCCGAGAUAAUAUCGUACACGAAUGGCCCCGGAUGCAGAUCUGCUGGUGCAGGAAUGUCGAUCAUAUCGAUGUGAAUAUCUGCAAGAAUAAGUACAAUAAUGCAAAAUUUGUCAUUCCUUAUAAUCAUAAACUGAAUCAUCAAAUACAAAAUAUUGAAAGAUUCAACUAAUAUAUAAGACUGUAUACUAUAAUGCCUAGAAUAGGAGUUUGAGAACCCAUACUAACUCGACACUUUAAGAAAUACGACCCCUUCAAAAUAAAAAUAUAUAUAUUAUUUUCAUAAUUUAUCAAUAAAUUGUACAUAGCAAAAUAUACUUAUUUCAUAAUGCCUUCUAAUAGGAUUACAUGGGUUCCUAUCUCUAAAUUAUUUCAUUCAAGGUCUAUAAUUCGAGCAAUUUCUUCUAUUGUGACCUAACUGAUGAUAAUUUGUACAUUUUCUUGGUUCCUCUGGAUCUCUCUCAUCCAUCUCAUUCCGAAUUCUUCUUACUCGUACCCUUCCUGCCCGACAUGCAAUAUAUUUACUUUGAUCUAUAUGUAGCUCCCAAUCAGGUUGGAGCCAAGUAUCUGGAUGCGGUAAAGGGUUAAACCUUCCUGAAUACUGCACCGGCCACCACCUUUUUGUAAAUUAAGGAUCCACAAGCAGUCCCAAAUUGUCUCCUCGAUGCCUGCACAUUGUCAUCAUCACGUGUGAACAAGGAAGCCUAUACUACUGCCAUUUGGCACAAGAACAAAUUUUAUCAAAAAUUUGACCGUUUGUGUAUUAUCCCCUUUGCCAUCCAUAUGUCGGUCUGUCACAACUUUGUACAUUCUUGUUGAGACAUCGAACUCCACAAUCCUGUGUAGUCCGGCUUUCUGAUCAGAAUUUUUAAACCGCCGCCAUAUCUUUGGAGGAAAAGGGUUACAGUAAUGUCUGGCAUUCUCACUUCUCGUUUUAAACGACUCAACUGUCCGAUAAAAUGUCAUAUUGAUACAAGCCCGAAUUGGCAAAUGAUGUGCCCCUUUAAGUACAUUAUUAUAGCUUUCGGAUAUGUUGAUUAUAAGAAUACCUCAACGAUGGCCACCGUCAUGUGUUAGACACCACUUUCGGGUCCAAUGUCAGACAAAUAAGUUCAUGCAUCAGAAACAUGUUUCUUAUUUCUCGUUGGAACCCUCGCCACUUGCGCAAUUGUCUAGUUUUUUCCAUUGCUCAACAUAACCUUUUAAGAUGCAAGCCUUUGAAGUGUGUCAUUAGUUUGCUCCUAACGUGUCGUAGGCAAAACCUAUGAAACGCCAAAGGUUCUUUCCAAUAAUCAAACUGUGUCAUGGCAUGGAUGAUACCAUUAUAACGAUCCAAAAUGACACAAAGAGGAUACCGGUCAUGAGCCACAUGGUAUCUAAAUUGUUCCAUAAACCAUGACCAACUAGAAAUAGUCUCUUCAUCACCAAUGGCAUACGCAAUUGGAAUUAUCUUGUUGUUGGCAUCUUGCGUAACUGCAACAAGUAGUUUGCCUUUAUAUUCACCAAGCAAAUGAGCGCCAUCGUCCAAAAGCCCAGAAUACAAACUUAAAUGUUUUUACUCGAUCUGUGCUUUUCGAAUGGUGCUACCACUUGACCAUAGUUCCCGGAUUUGACUGAACAAGUGCAUCAAUAUAUUUUGGUAGUUCAGCAAAAUUGGCAUCCCAAGAUCUAAAUACAAGUUCAAUAGCUUUGCGUCUGACAUACCAGGCCUUUUUGUAAGAAACAUCCACCUUCAUGCCUUCCUUAAUAUGACUCAUUAUAUUCUUAAUUUUAAAUCUAGGAUCAUCUUCAAUGCUACAAAGUAUGUGUCUAGCAAUAACUGAAGAUGUGAGACUUGUAUUGCUAUUACUCAUCAAAUCACUUAGACAAUUGUAGUUGUUGACCCAUUUGGUUAUUUGCCACAACCUAUGAGUCUUCUUUUUCACUGUUCUAACACACCAGUCGUAUGCCGGAUACGAUGGGACGACUGCAGUGCUAGUACUCCUAUCAAAUGCAGAUUUGCAUUUGGCAACCCACGUGUUACUCUUGCUCUCAACCACCCUGAACUCCCUGUUAUGAUUGAUAGACUACAUCCUAAUAGCUCUACUGAGCUGGUGUUUGCUCUCAAACCUUAUAUGUAGGCAUAUAUUAUUAUUCUUCUCACUGAAUGUAACAAUGUGCUCUAACUCACUUUUAUUAGUGUGUUGGUCAUCAUCAUCUAUGUUUCCAAGGUCAAAGAAAAAUCUAAGACCUCUUGGAACAUAUGAGAGGCCCAUAAUUGCAUUGUUUGACCUACUAUCUCCUCGCUCAGUAUUCGCAAUGCUCGUACCAUUAAUGAGCUGUUGGGUCUCGAGAUCCGGGUGAAAACCACAAGCUUCAUGUUCGUCAUCUGAGCUAUUGUCGGACGCAUCAAUCGACUCAGAUUCUUCUAUGUCUUCUGCGUCAUGUUCCGAAUCAUCAUCUCCUCUAAAGCAGGGAGCUUGUCAUGUCCACUGGCAUACACAUUAUCUUCAGUUGUUGUUGGAUGACUUAGACCAGGGGUGGAAUCUAAGCCAUAACAAGAUAAAUGAUACGGCGAUCCUGGAUAUCUACAACUUGGAAUCGAGUCAAGGUCGUGAACAUAUUCAACAUCACGCCUUAACCUUGAUGUGAUGCUUGACUCUGACGAGUCCCUAUCCCAAUCUCCAUGUGUAUAUUGAGAGGCCGAUGCAGCCUCUGAUACUACUGUACUAGAGUGGGACCGGAACCUUGUUGGAUCCAUGCAUGCAUGGACAAGCGACAUCAUCGGACCAACAUUGUUAGUUGAUGGAAUGAUUACGCUACUGACUGGAGGAUUUUGGGAAAUUUCCUCCCUCGAUAUAAAGCUCGGCUAUGCAUGGAACAAUUUCGUUCCAUAUAUCGUACAUUAUCUCCAGAGUUUCAUCAUCCACCACUGUGAAGACAUUAUAAGAGGUACGGCCACACGGUUGACGGAAAAAUAAAUUCAACUUGAAUGUCCCCUGAUCGACCCCCAUAUAUUAAUAAAUUAUGUCAACCAACUCCUUAUAUCCAAUUCUAUGCCGCAAUGUGAACGUAUGGUUGGAGGUACGAGGCAAGUAACAAAUUGACCCAUUCUUGUAAUGUAUUUUACCUCCCCAAUAAAGAGACACUCGCAGAAGUCUUUCUACAGACAUAUGUGCGAAAUGAAUCCCUAUUUUGGAGAAAAUAAAUUAGAAUUUGUAAUACAAGAGUAUGGAACAAAUGACUAUUGGAUUAGGACUCUCUUCAAAAUAAUUUUCGCAUCAUCUCUCCUAAAUAUUAGCUCAAACUUUUCAUUAACCAUUGACCAAUUUUUUUUAGCUAUCAAUGCACUGUAAAUAAUUACUAUUUCUUAACUAGCUAAAGAAAACACUAUAUUAAUUAUAUCAUGCAUAUAAUAGAAUAUGAAACUACAAUAAUUUGGAGGAGAAUUCAAUAUAUCAAUGUUAGAAGCAGCCUGCUUGUAAAAGUUAAUUUUUUAGUUAAUUUUUUAUAGAAUUUGAAAGCAUAUUUUAAGUUAAUAUUCCCUCUAACUCCCUUAUAAAUUGGCUAUAAAUUUCGAUAGAAUGUUAUUCAAGAAUUCUUAUUCUGCAAAAAAAAAAAAAGAAAGAUAAGUUGAUUAAGUUCAAUAGCUUUCCUUGUUUUAUUUCACAUUUCAAAACACCUCUUUUGAGUCACUAUUGUCACCACUCCUCAAAAAUACUUUUAAGUUAAUAACUAACCAAAAGAGCCCAAAAUUAUAUCUAAGCAUGUAAAUGUCAAACUUUUUGAACAACUUAGUAGAAUUUUUGAAAAAAUUUCGACAGAAUCUCCCCUAUAACUACGCUAAAACUCCUUGCCAACCAAUCCAAGCACGUAUCAAUUUUCAAAGCUAUUUUAUUUAAUCGCCUAAAAUAUUAUGAUGCAUUCGCCAAAUACAUCUACAUCCACCAAAUUCAUCAAAUUCGUCAUCUUUAUGGUUCAAAAGUAAAACUACAUAAAAGACCAUUCAAAUAAAAUAAUAAAGCCAAAACAAAAUGGUCAAUCAAAAUUUUCAAAUCCCCGGUAAUUUGGUCAAAAAAAGAUGUAUAUCUCAUUCUGUCAUGUUUGAGACAACCGGAGGGAUCAAAUAAAACCUACUUGUUCAAGUAAAAUGAACUUGUUCAUAUAGUUGGACAAAUAUCGUAAAUAUAAAGAGAGGCAACUUUGUUAAAGUUGUAAACUUAUAAAUUUACCUAAUAAUUAGUCUCAGAUUCCAGAGAUGCACUCCAACAGAGAUUUGAUCCUACUAUUAUCAACCAAAGCCUCUUCAACUGAUAAUGUGCUCGUGUCACCAACUUUGUGUGCAUCUGUAUGAACAUGAUGGAGUUAAUGACGAAACAAAAAAAAAUUUAAAAAUUAGUCGUAGCAUGUAUUUGUCAAAAAUUUUUAAACAACUUUGAUAGUUUUUAAAGAGAUUUUGACAGAAUCUCCCCUAUAAAUGGGUUAAAACUCCCUGCAGCUGAACAAAUCACAUCAAUUUAGAACACUGCAAACUGUGAUCUCCUAUUUUGCUGUAAGAGUUGAUUGCAAGGGUUAAAACUGAAAAUUCUGCUAAAAUGUCCAGGUUUAACAACAUUGCCCCCUCUAGCUUUUAAAUUGGACUUGAACUUUUUCAUUUGCAUAAAAAUGAAAUUUAUAAGUAAAAAUUCAACCUACUCGAAUGAAUGAAUUCGAUAAACACUCAUUCAGGUCCAAAAUCCAACUUAUUUGAAAAAUUAUAGCCUUUGGUCAUGUCUUUCAUAAUAUCUUCCAAUUUUCUAUUUUUAUUUGUACUUUGGUCCAAUAAAUCUGACCUUUUAUUAGGUCCAUUUUAGAGAUUUCUGAGUUAAAGUCUUCUUGUUCCUUUUUUUUGUUCCCCCUCGAGGAUGAUCCUUUGGUCAUUGUGACUAUCUUACGGCCCGUUCAAUUGGAUAACAUCCACAAACAAGAACUUGUACCAAGCAUUCAUUACCAGUUUGUAUUUGUUUAUCAUAAUAGAAAGUUGAAUGGACUCAUAAAUGGCCCAUAUUUUUGUCAAUUCACCAUUGUAUUGGCUACCUAAACGUCCUGCAUCUCCUCCCACAUCUUAUAGUAUUAGUUAAUUGAGUUAAUAAAAAAUUGGGCCCUGCUUUCUGUUGCCUAAUGCUGGAUUAGUGCAAACAACUUAAAAUCCAAAGAUGUCUGUAAUCUCUAUGAUGCACUGUAUUUACCUUCAAAUCCAAGUUCAUGUACAACUUACAAAUCUAUUAAAUUAGGAUUGAAUGUCCCAAACUCAGGAUUUAAUAGAAUUCCUAAUCCUCAACCCAUUUUCAUCUACUAAUACACUGGUAUCUCAAUUUGUCAUUAACCUAUUAUGUUUGUUCUCAAAAUCUCCUUCAUUAAUUGUCACUCCAGCUAACAUUUUCAUCAAAUAUAACCCAACUCAGCAGUCUUGACCCCUUAAACCACUUUCCAGGCUAGGAUAUACCGCCACAAUUAAUGAUACCAAAACAGAGGGAAUGUAUUAAAUGUCAAUGUUGCUUUGUCAAAUUUCCUCCACCAAGGCAAAUUAUGCAUCGGACAAUUAUCUUUUGAUGGGACCAAAUUUUUGUCAGCAAUUGAAAUUCUGAGCAGUCAAAUUAACUGCCGUGAUUCUUGAGAGAGCAGGCCAUUAAGGAUAGUGAUUAAGAACUAUAUGUUGAGCUUAGUCCCUAGCUUUUGAUGUUUACAAAACAAUGGAUGAUACUAAUAUCUUUUCAAGAAAUACUUUCAACUAUGAAACAAAUCUGAUUCAAAAAACAAGAGCAUUUGAAAGAGAUAAAAGAAGUUGAAAGCUGUCGGACGCUCGCGAAGACAACAUCGGACGUCCGAUAAACAAUGCAGCACUUCGAACACAUGAAGAACUCCAUCACCGGACGUCCGAAAGAAUUAACAUGAUUUCUCAAACUUACUAUUUAUAUAAAUAGCGCAUGGUCAGAAACUUCAAACAACUUUUGCACACUGAAGAUACAAAAGAUAUAGAGUAGUUUUAGUGAAAAAACACUCUCCAAGGAAGAUUUGUAAUCUUGGUGGUGUGAAAUUCAUUGUAAGCUUUUCAUUUAUAAGUGAAUACUUCAAUAGUGUAGCUCUGUGAGGGUUGUCCUGAAGGAUAGUAAAACUUCCUAACUUGACCGAGUAGAAUUUGGGACAAGGAGGAAGUGAGCCUUCCUUUGUACACAAGAUUGGUUAUAUUUCAUCAACUUGAAGAAGCUUGUUUGAAUUGAUCUACAAGCUCAAGAGGAGCUUGGUAGUCAAAUGGUUUGCAAUUCUUCAUUUCUUAUUUACUUAUUGUUAUCUUGUGAUCUUUAAAUUGCUUAUAUCUUCUACUUCUCUCAAGUAAUUUUGUUCAUUCAUUGAUUGAUUCAUUAUGUGAUCACUUAGAAAAGAGGGUAAAUUUUAUAUUGAGCAAAAAGUGCCCAUAAUCUGAUUAGUUUCUUAAUCAACCUAAUUCACCCCUCUCUUAGGUUGUCUUCGAUCCUUACACUAUAAAUAAGUGGGAUUUUGUAAUUUUAACUCCACAAUAAGAACAUUUGUAUUCUCUUCAUGUCCUUAAGAACAUCUGUACCAUUAAUGAACAUUGAUGUUUAACAAAAGAAAAAAAUAACGAUUAUUGGUAGCAUUCCUUUUUCACCAGAAAAAGAAACAAAAUCAAUAACUACGGGCAUUUCAGCAUCUUCUUCCGUCACUGGCCAUAGCAUCAGAAAGCUUACCUUGUUCACCGAAAGAUGGCUGUAGCUUCAACAUUUUCCGGUCUCCAUUUUGCAGCUUUUCAGCCCUUCAACUUUCCGGUCUCUGUUUUGCAGCUUUCUGGCGAGAGCUUCCGAGAUGACCAGAGUUGGACUCCUUCCCUCCAACGGCUGCAUUCUUGAUGAAUGCUGCUGCUUCCGAGGAUUUCAAUGGCGAAUUUGGGAUGCAAUUUCCCCUCAAUUUGUAUUUCCCAAUUUUGUUGUUUCUUAUGGUUUUCUGGUUAAAUGAGUCAAAGAGAGGACGGAGGUUGAAGGAGCUGGGUUUUCGUUUUUGAUCGACAGACAAAGGACCUCACAUUUCUCAAAUGCAAGGUCUAUUUAAAAAAAAAAAAUGCUACUUGGCUUUUUGUUAGCUCGCAUUUGCUGAAUGCGAACUAAGCUAGUUCGCAUUCAGAAAAUGCGAACCACCUAAUUUUAGAAAUUACCCCACAAAUACCAUCUCUUGUAGAAAAACUUUUUUUUCCAUAAUAAUUUAAGAAUUUACUCGGAUAGUUGAUUGGUAUUAUAAGAUAAAUCCAUGACGAAGUAAGGGAAGUGGAGGUCAUUCCAUGUCAUUAGUUAGGCAGCGUUGAAAGAUCCCCUAAUACUUCUUAUAUGACAAAGGAGAGUCACAAGGGAUAAAGGUGAUCAAUCAAAAUAGGAAGUUGACAUUGGACUACAACUACUUUUGUUCCAAUAAAUACAUAUUUUUAUUUUGCAUAUAUUUUUUAAACUAAACAUUAGUAGUUUGUCCAAAUUAUGUUUACAGCCGGAAUACAUACUUCGGCCCUGACCAUGGAGCGUGCAAUGUUCCUUCUGUUAAAUCAUCCUGAGGUAUUGCAGAAAGCAAAGAGUGAAAUCAACAACCAUGUUACUGAUUCAGGGCCUUUGUUGGAUGACCUUGAUCUCUCCAAAUUGCCAUAUUUAUGUUGCAUAAUAAAUGAAACACUAAGACUUUUACCUCCAGCGCCAAUUCUUGCACCUCAUUGUUCAUCUGAAGACUUGGGCCAUUCCCAGACCCCAACUUAUGGGAAGAGCCAAGCAAGUUCAAGCCAGAAAGGUUCGAGGGUUUGGAUGUAGGAUUUAAAUUUCUUCCAUUUGGUAAAGGGAGAAGGGCUUGUUCAGGAGCUGCUAUGGCUAUGAGAUUGGUUGGGUUGGUAGUGGGAAAUGUGAGAACCUUGGUUCAAUGCUUUGAGUGGGGGAGUGUAGGAUCUGAAACGGUAGGCUAUAAUGAAAAAUCUGGCCUCACUUUUGGUAAGACCAAGCCUUUGGAGGCAAUGUACAAGCCUUGCCCUCCCAUGAUCAAUAUAAUUUCCCAGCUUUGAGUUAGUGUUGCAACUUGUUUCUUGGUGUAUACCAAAAUCAAAUGAAAAUAGGCAACUUUUUCUAAGGUAUAUUUGAAUUUAGAUACAUGCACUUGCUAAGGAAAUAUGCAAGAGACUAUAAUAAUUGAAGAGUAAUGUCGUGGAAAGAAUUCUCAAACUAUGCAAUGAUGUAGGAUAAAACGAAAUAUUGGUAGUUGUUUAUACUUUUUUUUUAAUUUUGAGUUUCUCAUCAUACUACAAAAAUAAAAACCUAUUUUUAUUCUGACGUACCCAUAAAAUUCCUUAAGGCACAAGUUUGUUAGUAGAUGCUUCGGCUACUCAUAAAGAACCAAAAGUUUGGAAAGAACCAAACAUGUUUAAACAAGAAAGAUUUGAGGGAAUCAAUGAAGGGGAUGUGAUGAAGGGUUAGUUAUACUUUGAAUAUUUUUACAUUUUUAACAUUUUAUUGGCCCUGGUUAUCAUAUAAAUCCAGAAGAAUGGCAAGUCGUAAUUUAGGCUUUUACAGUGCAUUGAUGUAGCUGAUGGUUUGAACAUGUAGCUUUUGCAAGAUAUUGCUUUGUGGAGUAACUUUUACCUUUACUUGGAAGUUUUCCAUUUCUUUGAAAGCUAUAAAAAAAUUUGUGACAACACAAAUUUGUUCCAAACUUUUACCUAUAACAACUAACAAAUACAAAUUUGUUUCAAAUACAAAUUUUUUUUUAAAAAAAAUUAUCUAAGAUGUCAUACUCAAUAGGCACUUGCAAUGAGGUAAUGUAACGUAAAAUCAAAGAGCAAUUUUAAGUGGAUGUGACGAGGCCUAGACGACAUUUUUACUCAAUUCCUAGGCUGCAGUAAGCAGAUCUAAAGGACCGUUCCAAAUCCCCUAAUUUGGCCUGGAAAUAUAGCAAUCUUGACAAUUUUCUCAAAAAAUCUGGCAAAUUUCACUCAUCAGCUAGCAACUCCCAUAAUAUAGCAACCUUGAUGAUUCUUAUCCAAAAAUUUACUAGCAAUUUUUACUCAUCAGCUUGCAACUGUUCCCCAAUUCUUGACAUAGCUUAUACGACAUGAUGCUGCUUAACCAAAACUGAAUGAAGCUGUCAGCAUUUACAAGGAACUUGGGUCAGACUUCGACCAAGAUCAAGUAAACUACGAUCUCGGUUCUAUUGUGUCAACAACAAAUUGGAACCUAAGCACUUGAACAAAUAUUGAACAUCCCAAUAUGCUCUGUCAAAGGGAUUACUGACCGCAUCAAUGUGUACGGACCUGGAAUGCUGGGAUCCCAACCUUCACCACUUUUACUGAAACCUCUAUAGUACAUGAUAACACCAUUACAGUAAAAUAUUUGUGCUCAAUACAGCUAGUCAAGUUGUUUCGUCCAGUCAAAUGGAUCCCAAUCUUGGGCAAAAACAGCAACAGCUUGUUUCUGCAUCUCCAACGAUAUAUGCUUCUGUCGACAGUGCAUGUCUCCAGCAGGCAAGCGUAGCAUACCUCUUAUCACAUUUAGGCCAAAGUUGCUCUUAAAUUGCUUUUCAUCAUCAAUCACGUGAACGAAUCCCUUGUCUAGGCCAAAUUCGACAUGAAAGUAAGGGAAGUUCUUUGGAACUGAAGCACGGAGGCCCUUCUGACUGGUAUCAAUCAGCUUCUUGGCAUUAUGUUGACUCCACUCCUCCUCUGCCUCAUCAAUUGCCUGUGACAUAUCAAAAAGUAGCCAAAUGUUAACUAUCCAAGCAUGAAACUCGAGCAGUUUUUUACUUUAAAGACAUCAACAUGUUAAACCAAAAUAAUCAAUCAAAAAGAUCCGAUUCAUCAAUGACUAACUAAUCUAUAAACAACAAACAACAGGAGUAAGUACGAUUGGUUUAGUAAGGAAAUUCUUGCUCUAAAAGGACACAAAAGAGAAUUUACUCUCUUCAGUUUUCAAGUACAAUCAUAAGAAUAUAGAUUUACUUCCAACAUGUAACAAACAUCUCAUAUGUCUCCUUCUAGCUGAAUCACAACUAUCAGAGUUGGAUAGAACACCUACACCAGAUCAUGACAAAUUAUUUUUAAGGUUUUCUGAUGCACAAACUGAGUUAUUCAUAAUCAUCAUUGCUCUCCAUACAAAUCAAUCAAUUUCUGCUUUUUCUUUGCAUGCCUUGAUCAAUCAACAAUUUCGUCAAGAACUCAAAGGACUACUUUCACACUUGAUUCAGGUAACACCUAGAAAAGCUAUUGCAAGACUUCUUAAACAGUUAACACUGUCAAUAAUAAAAAUGAAAAGUGGACACCACCCUCCAUGCCCUUAUCUACGCAGCAAACUCCAUAUCGUUAAACACUUUAUCAUACCAAACUAAACACCACAAAAUUUUGGUCUAGAAGGAACCCCAUGAGCUCCAAUUUAUAUUUUUCUCCAAUCUUCAGCAAGUACUGAUUGGUCAAAAUUGAAAAAGAAUUAAAAAAAAAAACACAUUCACACACACGGAUAGCCUCCAGAGUCAGGAUCACCUUUAAGAUUAACCAUCAGAAUGAUGCAAAAAAAAAGAAGAAAAUGAAGAAAACUAACCUUCUUGAAAUACAAAGGUGCCUGUUUUGCAUCUUCAUGGGGCAGCGGAAUGCAAUCCAGCAAACAAUGGCGGCGUUGCUGUGCCAAGCCCAUCACUGUUUCAAGAAACACAACAUCCUUAUCCUGCUUAGCAAACAUCAUUAUCAGGCACUUCUUGAAAUUCCGGAUUUCGUCCCAUAUAUUGUUGUCUACAGUUCUUGUCCGAGACUCAUGCUGCACAUGUCAAAAACCAUUGUUAGUGCUGUGGGAUGAUGACAAUAAUUACAAGAUCAACUCAGCAGCAAAGUCAACUUUCUUUCGUUUCCUUUUCAACAUUAUUAGUGCGUAAAAACUUAAAUGUCCAUCACAAAGUUCUACAUGGCAAGCAGAACGAUAAUCUGGGUUACCAAGGUUUCACAUUUUUCAGCAACUAAUGAACUGUUAAUUUGGAGUAUAUUACCUUUUGCUGCCCUAUGGAUUAAGCACAAACACUUGUAAGAAUAUAGCCUGAACCCCAAUUUGGUUUUAAAGAUGCAAAUGCACAACCUUCACUAGGGCAUACAAGUAGCUAUAACAUAUCAUGAAACAUCUGUAAUGCAUAUCCAUUCUGGUUCUCUUAAUUGGUUGUUUAACUGAAAAAUGCAGACCUAACCACUUUGUUGUAUACAGGGUAUCUCUAAAAGAAAGGAGAAAGCAAUUCCUAUGAGUCUAAGUUUGUGAAGCAGAGUGCUGAGAUAUCUCUAAAGGAUUAGGGACAUGCAUCUUUAACAUAUAACAGACUAGAAAAGAGGCAUUCUUCGUACACGCUCAAACUCCAGAAUUACAGUGGAGCAAUCCUGCUCUGGUCUAGAUAUAAACUGUAAAUAUGGGGAGAGAGAGAGAGAGAGACAGUUCACCUGCAUAGUUAAAAUGCAGCAAUGACCAGGGACAACAGGCUGCCAAUGAGGUAAUGAUAAGUAGGUGAAAUUUGCAAUGGCAACAACAAGAUGCUUUGGUCUCACUGGAUUCUCAAAACAAAAUUGACACCUCUCUUUCUGUGUCAAGAGGCGAUUUGCAAUCCUAGUUGCCUGACUUAUCUCAUUUGGUUUUUGGUCUGUACCCAUUCCUUUGUGCCGAGUCUUUUUCCUUGGACCAUCAUCAUAAUCAUACUCAUCAUCUGCCUGACCAGAGAUGUUAUACUGCUGGUUCCACAUUAUCUUUUGAGCCAGAUACAAGUCAGCGUCCUCCUCCUUCAUCUUUUGUCGAGCAGAUACACCAUGCAUGAUAUAUCUGCUUGUGCUCCCAUCAAUCCGUGGUCUGUGAGACUCAUCCUCAGCAUCUGACUUUGCCUUUGUGUUUUCAGCCUCCACAAGUUUUUCAGCCUCUUCAUGCUUCCCUUUCAUGUGAAGCUGCAUGACUUUGGCAGCCAACUGGUUUGCCGUCAAUGCUGGCUUCACAGUUGGACCAUCUUCACCAUGUCUUUCAACCAAAUUUGAUUCCACUAGUCUGUCAUUUUUUGCAUUUGAAGAAUUGACAGGAUCAUUUGAACUAUCAUUUUUCUUUUGCAUAAAGUCACGCAUAAAGCUUCCAUCAUUGGAAAACUUAUUUAAGCUAGACACUGCAGCAGAGAGGUUGAUAUCCUGAGCAGGCAUCUUACGCUUUCCCCAGGAUAAAGAAUCCUGAACUUUUGGUAUUCUCAUAUUAGCAUGGCACGAAGACCCAUCCUGCAAAAAGUUACUGUUAGGAUUCUAAAACUUAUCAAGAAAGGGAAGAAAACCAUCCAUAAAGAAAUAUGACUGGGAAAAUCUGGGAAGUUUUUGAAAAAUUACCAAAAACUAAUCACAUACUUCUUUUGAAAUUGGAAAAUUUUGUAUCAUUAAGCCAACGUCUUUCAGAAACAAUACAGUCUGGAGAAACCAUACCUUCUCAAUAAAUAUUCCCUUGUCUCUAUCUGCAUCUGUUUGUUCUCCGUCCUUCAGCCCUCUCCUCCGACUUUUUAUCGCAUGAAGAUGAGCAUGAUUUGGUGCCACUCUAUGGGAUGCCACAGAAACUGCCAGCUCUCCAAGAGAGCCCCACCGAUCUUCAACCACCUGUACAAAGUUAGUUCAUUACACAAUACUAGCUUGAAUGAAGAAUCUUCAAAUAAGAAACCUAAGACAAUCCCACAUACCUCCUCAAGCUUCCGUCCUUCACAGGCUGCUUGCUCCUGAGCUCGUUUCAAUGCUUUCAACCUCCAGCUUGCACCUCCAUCACCCACAAGUGAAGAAAAAAGAACUUGGUUCUGACAAGCAUUAACAUCUGAAUCUUCUGGAUACCCACUACCAUUAUUCUUCAAAUAUGGAUUCAAGUCCCUGGGAUUCAUCUUCUUAGUCUGAACCAAAAAAUAUACCAGGAAAUAGAAUAACCAAACUGUAUUUGAAAAUGCAUGAUAACAGCAAUUUGGCAUCUACAGAUAAAAUCAGCCCAGAGAACAAUCCACAACAGGCAAGAUAAACACUCUCAACGUUGACAAGAAAACACAAGUAUUGGCAGAUCGGUCAAACCAAUCAUAUAAAAAAUUACAUGAAGGCACAACUCAACUGAACAAAAGCCACAGGGCAAUGCUUCCUGCAAGAACAUGUAGUUUUGUGCAUAGACGAGUUGAUUUCAGACCCAAAAAUAAAUAAAUAAAUCAAUAAAGCACACACACACACAAGUUUGGAGAAAAGAACUAAAUAAAAAUGGAAAAAAUCCAGAAGGGAAUUUAGAUUAUCACUUUGAAUUGAGAUUGACUCAUUCAAGGUCAUCCAGGAUUGAAAUGUUACCAUUGCUACUAAGCUAAUAGCACGUGAGAAUAUACUACAAAAGAACCAAGUCCUUAAUCCAAUUACUCCAAGAGAGCCGUUAAAGCCUCUCCAAGUGUCUCUAGUCUCCCCUGUCUCAUUUUUAUUGAUCCUAAAUGCUUGUUCUGUCUAUUAUCCAUUAACACCAAAGUUCCUCAAACUCCAAUUACCAACAGGCAGCCCCUAUCCAUUUCUCGUCUACAAAAAAGAAGAAAGCGGGGCAAACGAUUGAACCAAAAAUGUCAAUUUUUUUUUUUUUUUUUUUUGGGCGAACCAAAGCACAUAAAAGUUCCUUUACCAACUGUUGUUCCCAAGGUUUCUCCAUCAACAAAAUUCUGGCCUUUUUAAACUAAAACGUUGCCGCUACAGUAUGUUCAAUGGUAGAGAACAAACAUCAGAUUUACGCGUUUGCAGAUUUUACAUUAAAAAAAAAAGUCUAAAUAAUUUGAAAGCUAACCUCUUCAGGUUCAACCUGAACCUCCUGUUGCUUGUCCGAAACCGUUGCCGGAGUCUUUUCCAUGGUAUCCUUCGGUCGCAGCAUCCAGUCCAAACCCAUCUCUUUCCUUGAAAUAUCUCUCAAGUUCUGGGAUUCAGAACCUCCACCAUUAUCUGACCAAUUUAGCAAAAGAAUAGACAGAUUAGUGGAGUCAAAUAAUUUCAUCAAUGAAUGGAGACUUUCACCAUGAUUUUCAGAUACUUUCAGGGUAUAAACAAAUUUUUUUUUAAAAAAGGGGGAAAAAAAAAACCUUACCCGUAUCCCAUUUACACGAGAAAUUGCACAGAAAGGCAGCCAUAACAAAUCAAUCUUUAACCCAAAUUUAAUUCUCUGUUUGAAGACUCUUCACUAAACAGCAAGUCGGUAGCAGAAAUUCAAGAGAAGGAGAAGGAAAAAUAAAAGGGCGAAGAAAACGAGGAGGCUUUCAUAUCAUAUGCGCGGUGGGUGGUGGUGAAAUUCGAAGCAGCGAGGGAGAAUAGAAUAACAGACUCGAGUUGGAAACCUCCCUCGAAGAGGUUUUUGGCGGUGCUUCACAAACCUCCCUUGAAAAAGUUUCCAACGGUAUCUUGAAAAAGUUACCAACGGUAUUAGUACUUUUUUUUUUGUCAGAUUAGACAUAGCCUAUCUAUCCUAAACUACAGGAAAUGAGAGCCUAAAAAGGCUUUGUAUUAGGAACUAAUAGGUACACAAAUUUUAUUAGAUCAAGGGAGUAUUUUAGUACAACUCUUCGAUUUUUGUGCCGCAUGUUAGAUUUAAACCCCUCACCUACAGCACAAGAAGGGAUUUAACACCUUGCGACUGAGCCAAGCACAGUAGUUUCUAAUGGUAUUAGUCAAUACCCUUAAUUUUGAAAAAUCUCACUUCUCUUAAUUAUUUUUGGAAAAAUAGUCAUUUUCGUCCCUAAACUUUUUUUGUCCGUCAAUUUAGUCCCUAACUUUUAUUUUUAGCCAAUUUAAUACAUGAAUUUAAUUUUCGGAUCUAAUUAAGUCCUUUUACGGCGGCGCCGCCACUUAAAAGUAAUUUAGCUCCUAAUUUAACAUUAAACAAGAGCAUUUUGAGAACUUUGAAUUAUCUCCUCUCCACUACCAGCCUCCGCCACCAACCACCCGCCUCCUCCUUCAUGAUCGGCGAUUUUGGAAUGCCAGCAACACCAGUAAUCCACACUUUGGCAAUUUGGCAACCCCGGCGAGGCCCCUGCAAUCUCAAGACCCCACCAACGAAGAUGAACCACCACCACCACUGCCACCCAGCAGCUGCCCCUCUCACCACUACCACAGCCACAACUACCCCAAGAAAACCAACCUUCUGUAAGGAUCGAAGACAACCAAUCGAAAAGUCAAUUGAUAAACAAUUAAAAGAUCACAAUAUAACAAUGAAUAAAUAAAAGGGAAAGAAUUUGCAAACCAAUUAACUACCCAACUCCUCUUGAGCUUGUAGAUUAAUUCAAAUAAGCUACUUCAAGUUGAUGAAUUACAAUCACUCUUGUGUACAAAGGAAGGUUCACCUCCUCCUUGCCCCGAACUCCACUCGGUCAAGUCAGGACGUUUUACUAUCCCUCAGGACAACCCUCACAGAGCUACACUCAUGAAAGAUUCACUCACAAAUGAAAAGCUUAAAAUGAAUCUCACACCACUAAGACUACAAAUCUUCGUUGAAGAGUAUUUUCUCACUAAAAUCACUCUAGAUCUUUUGUAUUUUCAGUGUGCAAAAGUUAUUUGAAAUAUCUGACCAACCACUAUUUAUAUAGGAUCAAGAAAGUGCCUCAUUAGUGCUUCCAACGGAUAGAAAGUAGCUGAAGAGUCAACUAGCCGUUGGAGUAUCGGACGUCCGAUGCUUGUGUCCGAUACUGUCGGACGUCCGAUUCUUGCGUCCGACAUCAGGCAGUGAGUUUGAAAAAUUUUCUUCAAUUCUAUCGGACGUCCGAUAGGCUGGUUUUCUGCGUCCGAAGGUAUGAUGUAAAACUGAGAAUUUUUCUUCAAUUCCUUAGAACAUCCGGUAGGCUGGUUUUCUGCGUUCGGACGUCCGAUUCAGUCUUUUUGAGCGUCUGACAACUUUCAGCAACCUUUGUUUUCUUUCAAUUGCACUUGUUUAUGGAAUCAAAUAACUUCAUAACUAAAAGUAUAUCUUGAAGAGAUAUUAGUAUCAUCCAUUUGUUUUAUAAACAUCAAAAGAUAGGGAUCAAGAUCAACAUUCUCCCCCUUUUUGAUGAUGACAAAACAAUGGAUGGAAAGAAACAAAAAUAAGUAUAAGCUCCCCCUCAAUCAUUGCAUCCAAAACUUUCAAGAGUCAAACUCGUAAUCUCAGAAUAACUCCCCCUUACUCAUUACAUCUAUUUCUCCCCCUUUUUGUCAUCAUAAGAUGAGAGUAAAAAUCAGCUACCAUAAUUCAACAACAAUAACAAAGAAUCCAAUAUUUCAAGUAAAAACAGAGAAAUGACAGCAAUAACUAUUAUAUCACAGAGAAUUGAUAUCAAAAGGAGUAUCAAAAAGAGAAAUAACAAUCAAAAUAAUUAUCAGACCAAAUCAUCAUUAGAUCAGAAUUGUUCUUUACUCUCUUUUUAACAUCAUACAGAUCCAGUAAUAUUCAAAAAAUAUCAGCGAAAACUCAGAUCAAAGUAUCAGAAAUAUCAAAAGAAAAAAAACAUAAUGAACAAGAAUUACUGCAAUGAUUAAUAAUAUCUCCUACUUGUUAAAGUUAACAUCAUGUCUAACUAUCCACAUGCAUUUCAUGCCUUUUUUUAUAUUCUUUCUCACAUAGCAAUCACUUUUCAUGUGACCUUUUUAACAACAGAAAUUACACAUAGUUAUUGGAUCAAUCAAAUGAACAGGUUUAAUAAAUCUGACUUGCCUUCUCCUGUAGAUAUUAAACUCAUUUUUGCUAUAAUUCAAUCUUGUCUGAUGAGUAUUAAGAUGAGGUUCAGUGUCAUUCUUUUGAAGGCGGUUCUGUUUUAUAUAUUGCAACAAUUGACAUAAAUCAUCCAUCCUCCUUUUUAGACUGCAUUGUUCACUUCUGAGUAUGUUACAGAGUUUUGUCCUUUUGUUAAGUUCAGCAAGCACAUCAGUUUCAAUCCUCUUCAGGUUUUCAUUUUCAUGCUUAAGACCCUUGUUUUGUCGAAAAAGAUUUGCAUUAUCUUGUAAUAGAAAGCUAACUUUCUGUUUUAGUUCCUUGUUUUUAACAUAGGAUUCUUUCAAGCUGUUAUGCAUUUUUUCUAGAAAAGAAUUAACAUCUUCAUCGGAUUCACUAUCACUAUCAGUUUGAGAGUUGCAUUGAAUUACCUCUUCAUCUCCAGUGGUCAUGAAAGCCACUUGAGCAGAUUACUCUUCUUCCUCAACUUCACCUUCUGAGUUGCAAUCAUUCCAGGUGAUCUGGAAAUUGUUGAACUUUGGUUUUCGUUCAACCUUGUUCUCUUUCUUUUUCUUCAUUGGACACUCAUUUGCAUAAUGUCCUGGUUGGCCACAUUCAAAACACUUGUCAGUUUGCUUUUUGUUGAAUUCCAGCUUUCCUUUAUUUCUGAAAUUAUUGGACUGAUUUGGAAAGGAAUUGCUAUGUCCUCCUUUUCUGAAUCUCCUCUUGUUGAGUAUUCUUUUGAAGCCUCGUGUGAUGAGUGCAAUAUCACUAUCAUCACAUUCCAUGUCAUCUUCACUCACGGAGGCUGUAUCAUCUUCAUCUUGUGAAGCUUUUAAAGCAAUACUCUUUCUCACCUUUGUACCUUCUUCCUCCUGCACCUUGAACUUGAGUUUCAGCUCAUAAGAAAUUAGAGAGUUAAUAAGAGAUUCAAUGGGCAAGGUAUUUAGAUCUUUAGCUUCCUCAAUAGCAGUCGCUUUACUCUCCCAAUCCUUCGAUAAGGCAUUCAGAAUUUUUCUGUUUUUCUCACCUAGAGAGUAUUCUUUUUCCAGCACCUCCAAAUCCUUAAUGAGGUCAUUAAAUCUACAAUACAUCUCAUCAAUGUUUUCAUGAGAUUGCAUCUUGAAGGAUUCAUACUUUGUAACCAGAAUAGACUUCUUUUGUUCUCUAACAUUCUCACUACCUUCAUGAAAUUCUCUCAAUUUAUCCCAAAUUUCCUUGGCUGACUUGCAGCCUUUGACUCUAGCAGAUUCAUUUGAAUCUAAGGCACAAUAUAACACAUUCAUGGCUUUUGCAUUUAAGGUGAGAUGAGCUCUAUCCACAGCAGUCAGUUCACUUCUUAUUUUUGGUCUAGAUGUAUGAGUAUUUUCAUCUAUAAAAGAGGUAUCAUAUGGACCUUCACUAAUAAUAAGUCACAAUUCAAUAUCAAUUGAUUGCAAAAAGAUAAUCAUUCUUUCUUUCCAACUCACAUAAUUUAAACCAGUAAACAUGGGUGGUCUAAUCACAGAAUGUCCUUCAAAAAAUAUGACAUUGUUGGUUGUCAUUUUUACUCCCAAGCCGAUUGAUGUGAGAACCCGUUUUGCCCUAAUAUUUUCCUAGGGUUUAUUUUCCCCUUAAUUGCAUGUUUUCUGCAUUUUCUGGCUUAGAAAUAUUUUCUUAGUGGAUUUUAUGAGUAAUUAUAGUUUUUAGAUGAAUUUUCUAGUAUUGGAGAGUUUUUAGAAAAUUAAGAAUAUAUAUUGGACGUGGGACCCACUAGUGCGAAAGGUACGGGAAAAUUCGGCCAAUAAGGUUAAGUUUCGGAUACUGUUAGAAAUUUAUCGGGUGUUAAGUGAUAAGUAGAGUGUGUGAAGUGAUUGAUGUGAGAGAGAAAAGAAAGAUAAGAAUGCAUUGAUGAAAGUGCCACAUGUCAUCUUCUCAUUGGUUGUACCUUAAGAAUUACUAUUCACCUUUUGACAAUUUUUUUGACUUUUACCACUUGAGUUAAAUAUCUCAAAAAUUACAAAAAAACUCACUCUUCUCUCUUCCCUCUUGGCCGGCCAUCCCAAGCUCCACAAGGAAGAAAGCUCUUCAAAUUUUAAGCUUCCACUUGGUGCAAAUCAACCAAAACCAAUUGUUUCCAUCCAUUUCACUCCAUAGGAACUUUGCUUCUAGUGUUAAUAAGUGUACUAGUGAAGUUGUUUUGAAGCUCUAAGGUGGCCAACCUCUCUAUCUUUCUUGUUUCUUGGUAAGUGUUGCUUGAACACUCUACUACCUCUAAUAAUGGUUAUAUGAUGCUUAGAAGUGGCAUGAGUGUGAGAAAAUGUGAUUUGUUUCUUGAUUUGAAGAGUUUUGGUGAAGUUUUCAUUUUAUUGAGAAUUUUUCUGGUUUAAUAUGAAAUGAAGGUUGUGGCUUUGCAUGAUGAAUGGUAAUGGUUGAUGAUGACUCUAUGAGGUGUAUUGGAUAGGAAAAUGCAAUCAAUUUUGGAUUUGGUGUGAAAUUGAAAAGUUAGGGUUCUUAAUUCCCAAAUUCUGUCCGGUUUUUGAUCAUAGGGUUAGAGGCCGAAUUUGACUUUGCUUAAAACAUGAAAGUUGUAGGUAUUGAUGUGAUGGAGAUACCUGUAAAAUUUCAGAGCAUUUGGAUUAGUGUGGAGUGAGUUAUGACGAAAUUACUGUAGCUGUUCUGCUUUGGACAGAAUGCGAAAACUGCGAUAGUAAUUGGCUAUUUUGACUGGAAUUGGUUUGGAUUUUGGAGUUGGUGUCUUCUGAUGAAAUGUAGCUGGAUGACUUAGCUAACAUAUGCCUUUGGAAUUUCGGCAAUUGGACUUGUAUGGACUGAGAUAUACUGAUUACAGUUUUUGGUGAUUUGCAAACCUGUUUUGGUAAUUCUGGUUUAGUAUUUUGCACUUUUGACCUAGUUAAGCUAGGAACUGGAUUGAGUGCCCUUCUACAUUGUUGUAGCCCUGUUUCAUAGCUUCGAAAUGGUGGGUCUUACACCCCCAACCGAUAACCGUAGUGAAUUUGACGCCAUUACCGCAUUAUAAGAUCAAACACGGUUUUUCUAUCAAGGCUUAAGUUAAGGCCAUAUUUUAAUUUCUGGUUUGCUAUCAUGCCUACUUAUGCAUGUGAAACCCUAUUGGGGUUGUGUUUAGCAUUGUUUGGUGACUCGUUCUCGAGUCUCAUUGUAUGUGUUACAUGUUCUAGGGCUUGAAGGUAGUGCUCGACGGCUUGGUGAUCGUGGUACAUGAAAAACCACUUACUUGCGUGGUGAGUAUACUACUCACUUAAUUGUUACUAUGUGGCUUUGCUAAAUGUAUAUGUGAUGCCUUGAAGGCUUACUUGGAUAUUGGAAUUGAUUAAGGUGAGGGUGUACUUGACCGCCCUCACCCCUUUUGAUAGUAUCACUGAUUGGCUACCGUUUUACUGCAUUACUGAACUUGAUAUACUGGAUACUGAAUUCCAUUCUAGGAAACUGAUUUGGUGUCAUUUGGGCGAAUGUCCAAUGGCUUCACUGUAUUACUGAGCUCAACCCCGUUUGGUAGUCAAUUGGAUCGAGCCGGCGAGGGCUUGGUCGUGAAAAUUGUCAUGCCACGGGGACUGUACUGAGGAACCUUGUGGUAAUGAGACCUUUGGUUCCGGUAUACUCGAGUAUUACCAAAAUGACUGAAUGGAGUGCGGGCCCGGUUGGGGUAUGUUGGGUGGAAGGAAUGGAAGUGAAGUGAGGUCUACGGUUUGGUACUUUCAACAUUGACGGAGGGUCAAUGAGUGUGGAUCAAGAAUGUAAGCGUGGAAAUGGGCUCUUGAGAGUCGACCGUAUCCUUUCACUGAAUUGCUUACUUCGAAAUUGCAUACUUGAAUUGAAUGGUUAUGCUUAUGUGAUCUUAACUGCUAUUGUGAUAGUUGCUCACUGAGCUUUAGCUCACUCCGUUCCAUUUGUUUUCCUUACAGGAAAAUGAAUACUUUUGGAAAAGGUUGUAAUAGUUGAAUGACAAGUUGAGCUCAUGUACAUGUAUUUUGAAUAGCUCCUUGAGGGUGAAACCCUAUGUGUUUUGUUUCACCAAUAUUUGGUGUGUAAAUGGCUAUUGUAUGUGAAUGAACUAAAUGGAUCUCUUGGUAUGCCAAUUUGGCUUGACAAUGUUGGAUUUCCAUGUAUAUAUGUUAAGUUGAUGUUUGGAUGAACUUCUGAACGUUUCGGCUUUCAAACGGCAAAAGAAAAUUUUUGACGGAAAGGCACUGGACUGAAUCCGGCCAGGAAUCCGGCCAGAAACUGGCCGGAUUGUCGGCCGGAUUGCUUGGAAAAUUUUGAAUCCGUGAAGUUGCUCACUGGACAGUAUCCGGCCAAGAAUCCGGCCGCUAAUCCGGCCAGAUUCCGGCCGGAUUCUGCUGUCCAGGUUACUAUUCAGUUUUUCGUUUUUUUUAUUUUGUUAUUUUGAUACUUGUGACCUGUCUGAGCGCACUUUUGCAUUCCCGAAACGUAUUAGAACGCGUGUAACUGCUCCGUAGUCCUGGCGAGAGCUGGGCAGACAGUCCGCUAACCCCUUUGGUUCGCCUUAGGGGAAAGUGGGGCUGUUACAAUUGAGCUUAAUCUCUAGGAGACCAAACUCUGAUACCAAUUGUAAGGAUCGAAGACAAUCAAUCAAAAAGUCAAUCGAUAAACAAUUAAAAGAUCACAAUAUAACAAUAAAUAAAUAAAAGGGAAAGAAUUUGCAAAUCAAUUAACUACCCAACUCCUCUUGAGCUUGUAGAUUAAUUCAAAUAAGCUACUUCAAGUUGAUGAAUUAUAAUCACUCUUGUGUACAAAGGAAGGUUCACCUCCUCCUUGCCCCGAACUCCACUCGGUCAAGUCAGGACGUUUUACUAUCCCUCAAGACAACCCUCACAGAGCUACACUCAUGAAAGAUUCACUCACAAAUGAAAAGUUUACAAUGAAUCUCACACCAUUAAAACUACAAAUCUUCCUUGAAGAGUAUUUUCUCACUAAAAUCACUCUAGAUCUUUUGUAUCUUCAGUGUGCAAAAGUUAUUUGAAGUAUCUGACCAACCACUAUUUAUAUAGGAUCAAGAAAGUGCCUCAUUAGUGCUUCCAACGGAUAGAAAAUAGCUGAAGAGUCAACUAGCCGUUGGAGUAUCGGACGUCCGAUGCUUGUGUCCGAUACUGUCGGACGUCUGAUGCUUACGUCCGACAGCAGGCAGUGAGUUUGAAAAAUUUUCUUCAAUUCUAUCGGACGUCCGAUAGGCUGGUUUUCUGUGUCCGAAGGUAUGAUGUAAAACUGAGAAUUUUUCUUCAAUUCCUUAGGACGUCCGGUAGGCUGGUUUUCUGCGUCCAAAGAUACUCAAUGGUUGUCGGACGUCCAAUUCAGUCUUUUUGAGCGUCCGACAACUUUCAGCAACUUUUGUCUUCUUUCAAUUGCACUUGUUCAUGGAAUCAAAUAACUUCAUAACUGAAAGUAUAUCUUGAAGAGAUAUUAGUAUCAUCCAUUUGUUUUGUAAAUAUCAAAAGAUAAGGAUCAAGAUCAACACCUUCCACCUGCGAAAUUUGCAUCGAACCCAUAAUUUCACCAACCCAAUUAUUCAAAAGCCCAAACAAUGAAAAAUGCGGGCCCCACCCAUUCUGCAAAUUGUCAACCAUAACAACUAUACUACUUCCAUGGCGGUAAAAAUCACAAAACCUCAAGUCUCCAAGAGUGGAAUCCCAUGUUUGAAAGAGAAGCCUAGCCACCUUAGGCAUGCAUGUUUAGAGUAGAAAUAGGAAUUCCCUCUUCCAGACUCACUGACACAAUAAGACAAAAUCAAAGCAUCUCAAGGAAGGCUGAAGAGUUAACGAAGGCAGAGGCAGCAGCCAAGUUGAGGGAGCAAUGGUGACUAGAGGAGAAAGCUAAGGCUCUGGAGGCACUAGAGAGGAAAAAGAGGAUCGCAGAAAAAGCGCAAAUGAGGGCUGAAUUACGAGCACAGAAAGAAGCCAAGCUCAGAGACAAGGUAAGAAAUUUUGAAUUUCCAAUUCAUAUGCCUGAGUAAGUGUGCUUUUCUUCACUUGGCUUUCCAUCAAUGAUGUCCAUUUGAUUUGUCUAGGAAAGGGAGAAGAGGUUGAGGAAGAAGGCCGGUGGAGCAGAAGUUCCCGAUGGAAACGAUAUUGGGGAAUGCACUCCAAAAUCUGAAAUCGUACCUGGAACAAUAAAGGAAUCUGAGGUUAAGUACUGUUUUCCUACCGUUACCAAAAGAUCUCAAAAACUAUCAGUUGUGGUGAAGCAAAGCAAGACAAAAUCUAUCCCUCCGCCACUUAGGAACAGAGGUAAAAGAAAAAUGCAGCAGUGGAUGUGGAUAAUUUUGACAUGCGUGGUUGUUAUUGCUCUGUUCUUGCUGGGAAACAUUGGCUUCUUCUCCAAUCUUUCAAAUUUUAGGCCGCGGAGCCAUAGUAAUCCCUCCGCCGGUGGAUUACUGGUGUUGCUGGUAUAUCUAAAAUCGCCGAUCAUGAAGGAGGAGGCGGGUGGUUAGUGGUGGAGGCUGGUAGUGGAGAGGAGAUAAUUCAAAGUUCCUAAAAUGCCCUUGUUUAAUGUUAAAUUAGGAGCUAAAUUACUUUUAGGUGGCGGCGCCGCCGUAGAAGGACUUAAUUGGAUCCGAAAAUUAAAUUCAUGUAUUAAAUUGGCUAAAACUAAAAGUUAGGGACUAAAUUGACAGACAAAAAAAUUUAGGGACGAAAAUGGCUAUUUUUCCAUUAUUUUUUUGGGAUAAUUUCAGAAACCUCCCUUUCAUGCAGACACGACCAAAUAUCACCAUUAGAAACCUUCAAAUGAUCAAAUUUCCCUUAAAAACUUGUGCCAAUGAAUAUUGAAAAUAUGAGAAAAAGAAAUUGUUUUAAAGUAUAUUUUUUUUCUGCUACUUGGCACCAAAUAGUUGGAGGUAUAUAUAUGUUUAAAGUGCCAAAUAACACUUAUAAUAGCAUUAUCUAAGAAAAUCCAAAAUAGCUUAAAAAAAAACCAAGGAACUAGAGGCUCAACAGUUUGUGAUACUUCACUUGGUGAAGGAUUUGUGCUAAAAGGUGACAAAUAUACCACAAUUUAGGUUCCAUCAAAAUCACUAGAUGUAAAAAGAUCAAAGCUUUUUUUGGUUUAUUAAACCUACUUAUAAGUUUUCUAAGUAUUGAUUGUUAUUUGUCAUAUUAAUGCACCUAAUGCUUGUCAUGGAUAUAAUUUAAAUUAGAAGAUUAUUAAGUUUUCUAAGUAUUGAUUGUUAUUUAUCAUAUUAAUGCACCUAAUGCUUGUCAUGGAUAUAAUUUAAAUUAGAAGAUUAUGCUAUACUUGUGAAUGUGCCUUUAUGCUAUUUGAUGAUGGUUACAGAUGACUUUGUUUAUAGAAUAUUAUCAACUAAAGUUGGCAUGAAAUUUUCUUUUGGCAAUUUUGCUAGCCUUAUAUGUUGGCAUGAAAGAUUCAUUGCACUACCAACAACUUUUCUUAGGUUUAAUGAUUAAAAGUGUAACUUAUUAUAUGUUUUUUUUUCUUGCUUUCCUGAGAGAAUUAGACUGAGGGCAAUCUUUUUCCUUUUGCUAUUGGUAUUUUCCUCAUCAAAAGUAUUAAUUGUUUUCUUCUAGAGACAAGAAGGGUAAAUUUGGAAGAAAUUUAUGUGUCAGUACUUUUGCUUCACUUUUGAGGUUACUUUUUAUGACAAGAACUGACUUUGUUAUUAAAAAUGUCAAUCAAGGGAAGACCAAUGUAAUUUUUAAUAUUAGAGAAUAGUAAUGUGAGAUUGUCAGAAACCUCGAGGGAGGAUUCUGAAAUUAUCUCUAUUUUUUAUAACUUUUGCAAUCCAUUUCAAAAUAUGAUAUUAAAAACUCAUUUGGGAAUAGAGGAUAUAAUCUCAUUUUAAAUUUACCCUUUUAUUUUGGACUCUUGAUUGUCAUAACACAUUAAUUUUCUUUCUUAAUUUUUGUAAAUGUGGUCAGCAUAGUUUUUUAAUUGAAAUUUAAAAGUUGGUAAUGGGGUCAAAAGACCUUUUAAUAGUUUUUUACGUCACUAGUUUGGACAAGAAAUAUAAAGAUAUUGAAAAUUAUAAAUAAUUUAAAAUACUUGUAAAUGACUUGAAAUAUUUUAUAACAAUGAAAAUGAGUUUUUGUGCCAACUUGAAAACAUCACAAACAAGUUUAUAUAUAAUUUUCAUCAUAUUUUAUUUUUCUAGUUUUCAAAUCAUUGAUUAAAAAAAAACCUAAAAAUUUGAAAAAAAAAGUAAACGAUUUAUAAAACUCCUUAACUCAAUACAUACAGUAAAGAGAAUAAUACUUUUGUAACUUGUAGAAACUUCAAAUAAACUUUAAAAUAUUAACUCUUUGUAUUUCAAAAGCGACCUAUAUUUUGUCCUAUUAGAAUUCAACUUUCAUUUUUUUGAUUCUAUUUUUUAAUAUAUUCAAGCGUUUAAAAUUAUUAUAUUUGUUAAUGGGUAGUACUCCUUUUUUAUUUGUUAAUUUUUAUCACAUUUAUUGAGGUUUUGGUUAAAUUCCUCUCUUUCCUUUAUUUUUAUAUAUUAAUAAAGUAAAGGGCUGGCAAAAAUAUUUUGUACUAUGGACUUAGACAACAAAAGGGUAAAUUUGGAAUGAAAUUAUAUUAUUUCUCUCACAAAAUGAGGAUUUUAAUAUUAUAUUUUGAAAUGGAUUUUAAAUGUUGCAAUAAUCUUAAAGUAAAGAGGCAAAUGAGAUUUUCAAAGUUGAAAAGUGUCAAAUAAUGCUGUUAAAAACCUCAAGGGAGGUUUAUAAAAUUAUCUCAAAGAUAAAACUGUAUGUCUCUAAUUUGCAAGUGGUGGAUUAAUUAACUCAAGUAAACAUGUAUAUCUCUAAUUUGCAAGUAGUGGAUUGAGAGGUGACUAAUUUGCACUAUACUUUGAUGAAAUAUUUUGUUUGUUUUAUUCAUUUUUGGGAAAUUAUAGGUUGAAACAAAAUAAUUUGAGGUUAAAAGGUGAUUAAUGGUUUUUUAUAUGGUUUAAGUCCCUUUUACUUGCAUUUUGUCUAUGUUUCUUGUAGGAGAUAGAAAUGGACUCCACUUGGGACAAGAAAUAAUUAUUCUUUAUGUGAUUGAAGUCCUAAAGGUUGCAAGGUUAGUGAGUUUCAAGGGUAGAUCGAGGCACAAGAACAAAAAAAAUGAGGAAACUUGAAGAUGAAGAAAAUUGGCCGAAUCCCUCUAUGAAUCCCUCCAAGAACCAGUCAGAUUGUCAGAGGGAUUCAUGGCAAAAUGUUGGCUUGAAGUAGAAAUGAACAAAAGAAAAAUAGAGAAAGAAUCUCUCCAAGAAUCUGGCCAAGAUUCCAAUUGGAUUGCCCAAGGGAUUCCGGUCAAAUUUUGCGACUUUCACUUGCGCAACUUGUUUUCACCUCCAUUCUUUCACAUCUUUUGACGGAUGUUUGGCAACUAUUUUGCAGCUGUAAAAGUAACAUUUGAAGCUUUAUUUCUUAACUUGUUUCACUUAUAAAUAAAUCAUUUGCUUUAAGAAAGGAUAGUUUAGCUUAGUUCAUCCUUUCUUGUGUAGUAACUAGAUGAAGAUGAAGUUGGAGGAUGAAGAAACAAGGAGGAAACUCAUGUGACAAGGGUUACUCUACAUUUCUAACUCUUUAUCUUUUUGUAAUUGAUCCUAAAUUUAGUUAAUAUAUAAGUUUGGAUUUUAUCUUCAUUAUGUCUUUCUAAAGUUUAUGCCUUGAGUUUUGGUUGAACUUUUUGUGAUUGUAUUGUGUUGAUUUCUUGGCUAUUUGAUGCCAGUAUUUUGACGAAGUUAUUUAGCACUUUUACUCCUCUAAUCAUAGUUAACUUGGUACCAUUAAUUAUGAUUAUCUAAAGGUGUUGUUUUUUUAAUAAAUAUUGAGAUUUAACACUAGUUCAAGGAAGUGCUAAACCUAGAGAGUACACUCACAAGAAUUGAGGUACACCUUUGUGGCUUUGGUGGAUUUGUUCCAUAUCAUUUCAUUGAAGUAAUGAACUUGUAGCUAAUUUCAUAAUUAGAAAAGUAGGCAUGAAUUAGUUAUAUGUAUAGGUGAUUUGCUACAACAGUAUGUUUCACAUACAUAACGAAAUUAUGCCAUAACUAGCCAAGAUAGGAGUGUUCAAUUAUCCAAAUUUUGCAUUUGUAUGAGUAGUUAGGGAUACCAUGACCUAAGGAGUUUUUAUUUGCUAUUUUCUUGUACAUUUUAACAUAGUUUUAUUUUCUUUAAUUUGUUGAUUAUCUAAAUAGUAGAGGAAUCUUAAUAUUGCCAAUAGUUGUCCAUUCUUUCUUGUGGUUCAACCCUUAAUACCCUAUACUCAAUAUCGACUCGUAUACUUGCAAAAAAUUGUGUGUGGGAUAUUUAAAAAUUUGUCAAUCUAAAACUUAAUUAUGGAUUGAGCUUAAUUUUGUAUGCAUACCCCGCACUCAUCAAGUUUUUGGGGCCAUUGUUGGGGAAGAUUUGUGGCAAUAUUAGCAUGAAGAGCAACUUCUUUAGUUUAGACAUUUUACUUGUUUUCUUGUAUUCAUUGUGUCUAGUUUGCUUGUAUAUUUGUUGAGUUUUUGUUUGUGUGCUUUUGUACAUGUCAAAUUACCUAUUUUUCUUGACUAAACUUAUUUUUGAAUUACUUUGAAGGCAUGUUAAUGAACUUAAGGAGGGUAGUAAACAUGGGUGGACAAUGUAUGAGAAGUGGAAGUUCAGCAAUAAAUUGUUACUACAUGCAAAGGUCCAUGAAUAGAAGUAACCAAGCGGUGUUCGAAGAUACAUCAAUGAAAAACAGUAUAUAGGCAAAACAAUUUAAUAAUUUAAGUAGACAAUGAAGUUAGGUCAAUGAAGUCCACCUUUAACAAUUUAAAUAGGCAAAACAGUAUAUCAAUUAAAAACUUAAUAAGCACAAGAUUUCUUACUGUUUGGAGAUCAUGGCUGCCUGAAGUACCCUCAAUCAUAUGGGGGCACACACGAAUAUCGUAAAUUAUGGGUGUCUCAAACCAAGGAAUCAUAAAAUGAAUUCCUUUAGAGUAUACCUACAAGAUGAUGGGGAUGUCAUUUUUUUCCCUAUUUCCCUUCCGUUGCCCAUCUAUCAACACCCAAAAGGUAAAAAGAAAUGGAAAAUUGAAGAAGGAUGACAUAAAGAGAUGGAAAAAUACAAUAGUUGGGUCCAUGAUUAUGAUUCUUUUGUAGUCUCUAACAAAAAGAAUGCAUAGCAAAUAUGAACAUAUUUUAGGAUGCAUUUCUAUUAAAAACAAGAUGUUAGAAAUAGAAGUGAUCGAUUUUAGUUAAAUAUGUUGGAGAUAUUCAGGCAACUGCUUUUUAAGUACCUGAUGUAGAAUAUCUGAAACACUAUAGAGGAUUAAGCCAUUUCACUAACAUUUCAAGGCAAUAAUAUGCAUAUGCUUAGGGUUGUUCAACAUUAGCAUUGGCAUUGAUGAGAAAAGGAUGAGUCUUUCACUGAUUUUUCUUUCUUUUUCUAACUAAAUAUACAAUUUACACCUUGAGGAAAGCUAACAUCUAUAACAUAAUUUGCAGGCUAUGUAACAUCCAGGAUGCAUCAAACUCAUCAUCAAACCCAAUUCAGAAUGAAGCAAGAUAGAUGCACAUGAAUAACAUUUUGCCAUAUUAAGAAGAGUUUCUUUCAAGUGGAUCAGAUUUCUGUCCUACUUCAACAUUGCCAUGUUGAGUAGAGUUUCGUUCAAGUGGAUUAGAUUUCUCUGCUAUUUCAACAUGAGUUGGGACACAUAACUCCUAGAAAAUAGACAAGUGAAUAUGCGAAAUUUUACAUUUAAGAACAUUUACCCAAUUACUAUAGUUAUAUCUUUGCAUAGUGUUAAGAAUAAACUUAAGAUGUAAAUGCAUUGCAAAGCAGAAUAUGACAAAGAAAAGAAGAUCUGGCUGCAAAGGAAAAUUGGGAAAUACAAUUUAUCAUUAACAUAUAAGGAAUGAAACUAUUUGACAUAAUGGCUAUUGGUUUAAGUGUACCUUCUUUUUCACACCAACAAUACGAUUAAAUGCAACAUCUCUCUAACCUCCUUCCAUAUUGUAAAGGCUCUCUAACAAAAUAUAUGCUGUAGCAACUCCAAGAACUCCAACUUUUAUUAGAGCGAAGGCCCAUCCUAGCAACUUGGGCACAUUAAGCUUAAACUUGUCAAUGUUUGAAUUCUACAAGAGCAAGAUAUUGAGAUCAGCAUGUAAUCAUGUGCCAAUAUUAACACUAAAAAGCUAAGACUAAAAAUCAAACUCUUAUGACAAUGAGGUACCAUAUGUUCAUAGGCACCCAAAUUAAACUUACAAAAUAUAAUAAGCUACCGGUCCAAAGGAACAUAAAAAGAUUAAACAAUUCUAAAAAUUGUCAUUUCUCAUACUUAAAGCCAAUCCCCUUAGUUUGCAACACAAAUUGCCAGUAGUAGAGACAGAGAAACUAAUGAACUUAAAAAUUAAUAACAAUCUUCAAAGUCACACAAUAGAGUUCAGAAUAUGCAUAAGUAUCCCCCAAACCUUUUUAUUUUUUGAAAGAAAAACCUCAAAUAUCCUAUAAUCAAAACCCAGGUUAAAAUUCAUGAAAAUCAACAUAUAAUAAAAAAUAAAUAACAUCCUAUAAAAUGCUUAGGCCCAAUAGACGUAUACACUGCAAAACAUAGAACUCAUAGCCUCAUUUGCUGAAGAAAAAAUGAUAAGCAAAAGUAAAAAAAUACCUUUUUUCUCUUUUUAGAGAAAAUAAAAGGCUGCUUUUAGUAGAAUGACUUUGGUGAACGGCCCUUCUAAAUUGAGUGUAACUUUACCGUUUGGAAAAAAAAAAAGACUUUGGUGAACGGCCCUUCUACAUAAACAAGCAUAGAGAUAAUCAUAAAUCCCUCAAUUCCAACCAUCAAAAUUAGCUCAACUAUGACUAAAAGACCUAAAAUACACAAACCCCAAACACCAAACUCACCAUAAUUAACUAGUAUUUCACCUCUUCCUAACCCCUAUCCCCAUUCCACAAAAAUGAAUUAAAAAAAAAAGGAAAAGAAGAAAACCUCAGCCCAUUACAAAAUCACAUCAAUCUGGGGAUAGAUCCAUAAGAGUAAAACAAAUAACCAGAGCAAAGUAAUUACAAGAAUAACUUCAGUCAAAAAAGAAGUUUACAAUAUUUAAAACAACAAUAUUACCAUAAAACUAACAUGUAAUGAUAGAAUUUGCUAGCAGCAUUCCAAUCCUAUGAAGAUCAUGAAGUUAUUUGUCCAAAAAAAACUUUUACUUGACACAUAAACAGAUAAAAACACAUGUAGAAGAAGAGGGCGCAAAAGCCUCCUUGAAGUAUAAGGGAAAAACAUUUAAAAAAAAACUGCAUACGAAAAUUGAAAAAAAAAAUCCAUUUCCAAUAAAAAUAUUUAAAAAAGUGAAAAAUUUUCCAUUUAUUUUAAUUACUAGGUAUGUGAGAUUAAAAGCAAAAAGUUUCAUAGCUUAAGAGUAGGGAAGAAGUUUUUUAUACCUGAGUCUAUAUAUUUGCUCUUUUUUUUUUCCUUCUGUCAAAACCAAUGAUGCAACCAAUAAUGUUCAUGCUAUCUACCCUAAUUAUACCCCUAAUUAAAAUGCCCUUGAUAGAAGAAGCACCAGGCUUGUCCCCUUUGCCUUUUGAGGAAGCACCAGGUUUGCCCCCUCUGCUGCUUCUCUUAUUUCCUUUAUUUCCAUCCCCAUCUUUGUCCUUCUCUUUUUCCUUACUUUUGGAAAGGCCUAGCUCAUAAGAUUUUACACCCCUAUGAAUCUUGAAUAUAAGCUCCCUCUUGAUUUUUCCAAUCUUAUUGUGUCCAAAACCAGUACCCCAUGAAUUCUUGAAUUGAAAUAUCUCAACCCCAUUUUCAACCCAAAACCCCGUCAACAAAAUAGCAUAGUUUUCCUUAAGACUAUCUUCGAUAUUUUUUCCCUCUUCUGUUGGUCCAUGAUAAAUGCCCUACAGUAUACUUAAGAUUCAAUUUUACAUCAUAUAAAAUGUUUGUGCUCGUACUUAAUUUUACUGGAUUCUAUUCCUAACCUUUCCCUUGAGAUGGAUGAAGCUUGGAUAUACCCGUAUUACACCAGUAAGAGGAAAUCAUGAGAGUGCCAAAUUGACUCCUUUUUUGGUGUGUGGCUUUAUAAAACUUUUUGCAAAGAAUCUCUUUAUCUGUAAAGACAAGGAUUCAAAGAUUUUUAUUUAGUAUUAGAUAUUUAAAAAAUUACAAAAAAAAUUAACUAGAACAAACUUGCAUUAUGAGGUGGAUUACACCUCCUGUUGAUGCGAUCCCGUGGGUAAUCAUCAUUCAAACAAUAUCUUCGAGCACCUGCAUAUUCAAAUACCCAUUUAUAGGAGUUUCAAUUUUCCUUCACAUGGCUGAGAACUUGCACGCUAUAGUAGUAGUCUCAGCCUCUUGUAUAGACAACUGCUGGUGCUCCUCUUUAGGGUGGAGAACUUUAUAUUAUGAAGACAUUGCUUCCAAUCCAACAAUAGCUCAACAUAUAUCUUAAAAAUAAAUUACAACUACAUUAAGAUCCAAAACUACUGCUUACUACUCAUUACUGCUAAACUAAAAUAUUAUAUUAUAUUAUAUUAUAUUAUAGGACACAUAUCUUAAUAAACACAUUAAUAUCAAAAACUAUUGCUCACUACUAGUAAAAUAUUAUACUAAAUACUACUCAUUAAUAGUAAGCUAAAAUAUUAAAUAUUAUAUUAUAGGACACGUAUCUUAAAAUAGAUUAACGAAUACAUUAAUAUCCAAAACUACUGCCCACUACUAGUAAAAUAUUAUACUAAAUAUUAUAUUGCAGGAUAGGAAAUAAAGUCAUUAGCUAAGCCUAAGUCUUGCUUAAUGACUAGUAGCACAACUCUAGCCUCAUUUAAUCAUGCACGAUGUUCCUGUACAUCAUCACAUAUCAUAAAAGUUUCUAGAAACAGAAAAAAUUAGAAAAGUUUCCAAGAAUGUAAAAACAAAUUAAAAGACAGAUGUACUAAGUUAUACUUUAAAAAAUUCAACUUUUUAGUAAAGAUGCAAGUUUUACAAAUAUUAUCAGUAACAAAAAUGGUGAAAAACACAAUUUUUUAGAAAAAUAAGUGAAACGAAGGGAUUUAUGCAUCCAAAACCUACUUCUUUUUACCCACGACAUCAAAAAUUCAAAAAAUAAGAGAUCCUUAUUCCAGGAUAUCUGAUCUGUCAUUGGUCGAAAAAAGGAAGUUGAAAUAUAUGACACUGAUGAUUUUAGAUUUGCAGUACGUGCAGCCAAGAACUAGUGAGCCGAAUUAAGGUGAAAUGCCGGACGAACUAGAAGUGGUUGGGACUAAUCCCCUAAUUUCACUCCAAUAUUUAAGUCUGAAGUUGUUAGAAGUUGUAGAGGAUAAGUAGGAUUGCAUACCUUUCAAGUGAAGAAGGUGUUAUUAUUUAUACUAAAAGAGAUAAAUAGAAAAUGAAGAGGUAUAAUAGUAGUCUAAACUCGUAACAGAAGAUAUGGUUGCGAUGUCAAUAGUAAGGCGGAAUUGUAGAGUGGGUGAAUGUCACAUCAAUCAUGCUAAUCACCAACUAUAUUUUAAAACUCAGCCGAGCAGCAACUUGAUCGAGGUCAAGGAUCAAUAGGUUCCACCGGGAUCAAAUCCAUUUAAGAAUCAGAUAAUGUCAUCAGGAUGUCAUAAGUAUAAUUAAUUUUAAAAAUUAAUAUACAAUGUAAAAUUUUUUAAAGUAUAAUAAUAUAAAGGUGUGUUCAUGCAUGUUUGAUUUAUUCAAAACUAUUGCCCAUUACUAGUGAAAUAUUAUACUAAGUAUUAUAUUACAAGAUAGGAAAUAGAAUCAUUAGUUGAACUUGAAUCUUGCUUAAUAAUUAGUAGCACAAGUCUAGCCUCAUUUAGCCCCGAACAACAUUCCUGUACAUCACCACAUAUCAAAAAAGUUUCUAGAAAUAGAAAGAAAAAAUUAGAAAGGUUUCCAAAAAUGUAAAAAAAAAUAUAUAAGACAAAGAUGUAUAAAGUUAUACUUAAAAAAAUUCAACUUUAUAAUAAAGAUUUAAUUUUUACAAAUGUUUUCAGUGACAAAAAUGGUGGUAAACACAAUUUUUAAGAAAAAUAAGUAAAAUAAAGGGAUUUAUGCAUUCAAAACCUACUUCUUUUUUACUCAUGACAUCAAAAAUAUUAGAAACAAAAUGUACUUAUUCUAAGAUACCUGAUCUAUCAUUGGUCGAAAGAAAGAAGUUGAAAUAAAUGAUACUAUUUCUUGCGAUUUUAGGUUUGUCGUGCAUGCGGACGAGGACCAACAAGUCGAAUUAAGAUCGAAUCCCGGACGAGUUGGAAGUGUCGGGACUAAAUCUCUCAAUUUCACUCUGAUAUUUAAGUCAUAAAUUGUCGUGAGUUGUAUAGGAUAAGUAGGAUUGCAUACCUGUCAAGUGAGGAAGGUGUUGGUAUUUAUACUAAAAGAGAUAAGUAAGAAAUGAUGAGGUCUAAUAGUAGUCUGAUUUCGUAGAAUAAGAUACGGUUACGAUAUCAAUAGUAGAGCUGAAUUGUAGGGUGGAUGAAAUUUACAUCAAUCAUAGUAGUCAUUAGCUAUAUUUUGAAACUCAAACCAGGCAGAGACUCGAUAGAGAUUAGUAGUAGGGGUGGCAAUCGGGUUCAAAUCAGGUUGAGACCCGAUAAAAUAAAAAAUUCGCUGACCUGAACCUGACCCGUCAACCCGAAACGGGUCAGGAUACCUGACCUGAACCCGAAAUUUUCGGGUUGGCAGGUCAAACGGGCUGACCCAAAACUACCCGAAGUUUAAUUUCAUUUUACUGAUUUAUUGGUUAUGAUUUUUAACAGAAUAAAUUCCAAACUAAAAAAAAAAACACCAUAAGAGUAGAAACUAAUCCCAGUGGUUCAAUUGUUGCAUUUGGCUUGCAAAUUGCCACUAGCAACAACACAAGGCAGCUAAUCAGAUACAAUGAAUUUAAGACCAAAUCAUCUACCUUGGCUAAGAAUAACAACGCCUGUUUCAUUUCUUCUUCUCUGAAACAGAGAAUAGAAAAAGAAACUAGUUCAACAAUAUGAUGGUCAAAAUACUAAAACAUGCAGAAGCUAAGCUCGAUCUAAAUCAGUAAAUCUGCAUACAUUUUUCGCUUCUUUAAUAAUCGAUCUAGAUCAGGAAUUGCUUGCUGCUCAGACCUCAGAGAAGAAAAGCCGUUGCUUGCUUCUAACCGCCGUCUGCUAGUGACAGGUGAGGACCGUGAGGUGAACUGGUGAACGGCAAGGCGGCUCUUUCUGGUUUUGCCGUUUUGAAGAAAAGGGGAAGAAAGAUUUAGGUUAGGUGAAGUAGUGAACUGUUAAGAGGAAGAAAGAUUUCGGCUUCGGGUGAGGAUCAGGUGACAACAUUUGACUAUUUGGGCAACUUUUCAAAUUUUCUUCCUUGGCUGCUGCUUAAAUAGUCCACCUACAAGCUAGACAAAUUAAUAGGGCCAGCCAAGUCAAGUGAAUGUGAAUUGUUGUUUUGGUGUGCAGUGAUAUUUACUAUUUAGUCUUAAGAUAAGUUUUUAAUAUUUAUUUAUUUAUUUUUAUUUUAGAAUCGGGUUAGCGGGUCAACCCGAUUUGGACCUGAUUUGGACCUGUGUUUUUUUCUGGUUUAUUGGGUCUGACCCGAUUCUGACCCGAAUCCUCAAAAUCUAAACUCAAACCUAUUAAUUUCGUGUUAAGUUCGUGUCGUGUUUUCAGGUCGUAUCGGAAAUUGCCACCCCUAAUUAGUAGUUCUGAGUCAAUCGAUUCCACUAGGGUCGGACCCAUUCAAGAAUCAAAUGAUGUCAUCAGGAUAUCACAAAUAUAAUUAAUUUAAAAAAUUAAUGUACAAUGUAAAAUUUCUAAAAGCAUAAUAAUUUCAACAUGUGUUUAUGCACGUUUGAUGUAUCCAAAAGUAUUGCCCACUACCAGUAAAAUAUUAUACUAAAUAUUAUAUUAUAGAAUAGGAAAUAGAAUUAUUAGCUGAACAUGAGUCUUGCUUAAUAACUAUUAGCACAACUCCAACUUCAUUUAGCCAUGAAUGAUGUUCAUAUACAUUAUCACAUAUCAUAAAAAGUUUUUAGAAAUAGAAAGAAAAAAUUAGAAAAGUUUCUAGAAAUGUAAAAAAAAAUUAAAAGACAAAGAUGUACUAAGUUAUACUUAAAAAAAAAUCCAACAAUAUAGUAAAAAUUUAAAUUUUACAAACGUUAUCAAUGAAAAAAAAUGGUGGUAAAUACAAUUAUUUAGAAAAACAAGUAAAAUAAAGGAAUUUAUGCAUUCAAAACCUACUUCUUUUUACCCACAAUAUCAAAAAUACUAGAAGCAAGAUGGACUUAUUGUAGGAUACCUGAUCUGCCAUUGAUUGAAAGAAAGAAGUUGAAAACAAAUUACACUAUUUCUUGUGAUUUUAGGUUUGCAGUGCGUGCAGACGAGAACCAGCAAAUUGAAUUAAGGUUGAAUGCUAAAUGAGCUAAAAGUAGUCAAGACUAAAUUCCGUACGUAGUUUCACUCUGAUACUUAAGUUAGAAAUUAUCGGGAGUCGUAUAGGAUAAGUAAGAUUGUAUACUUUUCAAUUGAGAAGAAUGAUGAUAUUUAUAUUGGAAGAGAUAAGUAGGAAGUGAUGAGAUCCAAUAAUAGUCUGAUUUCGUAGGAUAAGAUAUGGCUGCUAUGUCAAUCAUAUGGCUCAAUUGUUGGAUGGCUGAAUUUCACAUUAAUUAUAGUAGUCACCGUCUAUGUUUUGAAAUUCAAAUCGGGUAGGGACUCGGUCGAAAUCAGUGGUUAGAGGUUAAUGGAUUCCACUGGGUCGGAACCAUUCAAGAACCGGAUGAUGUUAUCAUGAUAUCAUAAAUAUAAUUAAUUUUAAAAAUUAAUAUACAAUGUAAAAUUUCUAAAAGCAUAAUAAUUUCAGCGUGUAUUUAUGCAUGUUUGAUAUAUUCAAAAGUACUGCCCACUACUGGUAAAAUAUUAUACUAAAUAUUAUAUUACAGGAUAGGAAAUAAAAUCAUUAACUGAACAUUAGUCUUGCUUAAUAACUAGUAGCAGAACUCCAUCCUCAUUUAGCCAUGAAUGACGUUCAUGUAUGUCAUCACAUAUCAUUAAAAAAAAUUUUAGAAACAGAAAGCAAAAAUUAGAAAAAUUUCUAGAAAGGUAUGCAAAGAUUUACUAAGUUAUACUUAAAAAAAUCAACUAUACAAUAAAGAUGUAAGUUUUACAAACAUUAUCAGUGACAAAAAUGGUGGAAAACACAAUUUUUUAGAAAAUUAAGUGAAACAAAGGGAUUUAUGUAUCCAAAACCUACUUCGUUUUACCCCCGAUAUCAAGAAUACUACAACCAAAAGGUACUUAUUUUAGGUUACCUAAUUUGCCAUUAAUCGAAAGAAGGAAGUUGAAACAAAUGACACUAUUUUUGGUGAUUUUAGGUUUGUAGUGUGUGAGGACGCAGACCAGCGAACCGAAUUAAGGUUGAAUGCCAAACGAACUGAAAGUAGUCGGGACUAAAUCUCACAAUUUCAUUCCAAUAUUUAAGUUAGAAGUUGUCGAGAGUUGUACAAGAUAAGUAGGAUUGCAUACCUUUCAAGUUUCAAGUGAGGAUGGUGUUGGAAUUUAUACUAGGAGAUCGAGAUAAGUAGAAAAUGAUAAGGUCUAAUAGUAGUUUGAACUCGUAGGAUAAUAUAUGGUUGCGAUGUCAAUAGUAAGGAUAAAUUAUAGGGUGGUUGAAUGUCACUUCAAUCAUACUAGUCACCAGUUAUGUUUUGAAACUUAGACCAAAUAGAGAUUCGAUCGAGAUUAAGAGUUAAGGGUCAAUAGGUUCCAUCAGCGUUGAAUCUAUUCAAGAACUGGAUGAUAUCAUAAUUACAAUUAAUUUUAAAAUUAAUAUAUAAUGUAAAAUUUCUAAAUGCAUAACAAUCUCAACGUAUGUUCAUGCAUGUUUGAUGUAUUCAAAAGUAUUGCCCCCUACUAAUAAAAUAUUAUACUAAAUAUUAUAUAAUAGGAUAAGAAAUAGAGUCAUUAGCUGAACCUGAAUCUUGCUUAAUGACUAGUCACACAACUCCAUCCUCAUUUAGUUAUGAAUGAUGUUGCAAUACAUUAUCACAUAUCACAAAAAAUUUCUAGAAAUAGAAAGAAAAAAUUAGAAAAUUUUCCAAAAAUAUGAAAAAAAUUAAAAGACAAAAAUGUACUAACCUAUAUAAUUAAAAAAAAGUCCAUCUUUAUAGUAAAGAUGCAAGUUUUAUAAACGUUAUUAGUGACAAAAGCAGUAGGAAACACAAUUUUUUAGAAAAUAAGUUAAACAAUGGGCUUUAUGCAUCUAAAACUUGCUUUUUUUUACCUACGACAUCAAGAAUAUUAAAAGCAAGUGAUACUUAUUUUAGGAUGUUUGAUUUUCCAUUGGUCGAAAGAAAGAAGUUGAAAAAAAUGACACUAUUUUAGAUAGUUUUAAGUUUGCAGUGUGUGCGGACGAGGACUAACGAGGCAAAUUAAGGUCGAAUGUCGGACGAACUAAAAGUGGUCAGAACUAGAUCCCCCAAUUUCACUCCAAUAUUUAAAUCAGAAAUUGUUGGAAGCUGUAUAGAAUAAGUAGGAUUGCAUACAUUUUAAAUGAGAAAAAUGUUAAUAUUUAUACUAGAAGAGAUAUAUAUGAAAUAAUGAGAUAUAAUAGUAGUUUGAUUUCGUAGGAUAAGAUAUAGUUGCGAUGUCAAUAGUAGAAUUAAUUGUAGGGUGAUUGAAUGCUAUAUCAAUCAUACUAGUCACCAGCUAUGUUUUGAAAUUUAGACCAGGUAGGAAUUCAAUCGAGAUCAGAGUUUAGGGGUCAAUGGAUUCUAUGGGAGUCGGACCCAUUCAAAAUCGGAUGAUGUCAUAAACAUAAUUAAUUUUAAAAAUUAAUAUACAAUGUAAAAUUUCUAAAAGUAUAAUAAUCUCAAAGUGUGUUCAUGCACGUUUGAUAUAUCCAAAACUACUAUCCAUUAUUAGUAAAAUAUUACACUAAAUAUUAUAUUACAAUAUAGGACAUAGAGUUAUUAGCAGAACAUGAGUCAUGCUUAAUGACUAGUAUACAACUCUUGCCUUAUUUAGUCAUAAAAAUAUUCUUGUACAUCAUAAGAUAUCAGAAAAAAUUUCUAGAAACAGAAGGAAAAAAUUAGAAAAGUUUCCAAAAAUGUAAAAAAAAAAUUAAAAUUAAAAAAAGAUGUACUAAGUUAUACUUAAAAAAAAUUCAAUUUUAUAUUAAAUAUGCAAGUUUUACAAACAUUAUCAGUAACAAAAAUGGUGAAAAACACAAUUUUUUAGAAAAAUAAGUGAAACAAAGAGAUUUAUACAACCAAAACCUGUUUUUUUUUUACCCACGACGUCAAGAAUAUUAGAAGCAAAAGGUACUUAUUUUUGGACAUCUGAUCUUGUGACGCCCUCACUUCUCCCUAAGGCGAACCAAAGGGUAUCCGCAGGACGCCUGCCCAUCUCUCGCCAGGACUCGAGACAAAUCCAAUUCAAACCUAGUCUAAUACUAACAAUGAAAGUCGGAAUAAAGGUACGAAGUCAUUUCCAUACAUAAAUAUCCAGUCUUACAUCACAAUUUCAAAUUUACAAUCACUUUCCCCAAAAUAUACAACUUCCAAAAUGUCUAGUCGAUUACAAUUACAACACUAAUACAAAAGUGUCUCAAGUCGGCAUUUGCUUAACUCCUUCCAAUCGGGUUCCUGUUAAGGAAAACAAACUAAUGGGAUGAGCCAAUACUCAGUGAGGCCAAGAAACACACAUGCAAACAUGUAAUCCAAGUAGCCACAAAUUACAUAGUAAGUAAAGUUAUAAGUUCGAAUAAUUCACAUUUCGAAUAGGAAAAAAUAAACAGAAACAAUUCAAGGAUACUGUAGCUCUCAGGAGCUAAAUUCCACGUAGUCGAGUCGAAGUCUUGAUCACAUCUCAUGUUGACACUCCGUCAACCACAUAAGUAUAAAAUCCGUAGAUACACCACUUUACUUCGAAUCCCGUCACCGUUACACCCCCUUACCGAACCCGCUCAUCAAAGUUUUGAUAAUACUCGAGUAUAUCAUGAUAAUACUACACGAGUAAUGCCGAGCAAGAUCUCUCCAAUAGAUCAUACUCUACGAAUAUCUCAUGGUUUGCUAAGCUUAUCGACCAAGCCCAUGCUGGCUCUAUUCGCAAAGUUAACCAACGAGUUUGGGCGUCCCCCGAAUACGAAUACGAAUAUAAGUCGAUGAGCAACGCUCAAAUCGAUGAUUCCAAAUACGAAUCACGAAUACAAAUCACAUAUACGAACCACAAAUUCGAAUCACAUCCACAUUACUAUGUACAAAUCGGAUAUGAAUUCACAUAGCAAAAUACGAAUAUAAUUUCAUUUGGAAGAGAACGAGUGCGGUAAAGUACACCCUCGUUUCAAAAUUUUAAAUUCAUAUAACGGAUAAGAAACAGAUAACCACUUAACAACAAGUUCAUGCACUUGACACUCACCAAUCGAAAUAAGGGAAUAAGUGUGUAAACGAGCCCUUAGGUGUUCCCCUCGAGAUCCUCUUGAAGGUCUCCUUGAGCACCUGAGCAAAUAGUAAUUGUCUAUUACACACUAUCGUUUAAAACCCCUAAUUAUUGAGGGAGAUUGUACACUUGUACAAUCUAAGAAAAUUUCACGAAAAUGAGCCUUAAUUACUCGUAAAUCGAGGCUCAAAAAUGGGGUUUUAAAACACAAGCGAAAUCUGAUUUUCAUCUCUGAAAUCAAGUGUAAAACGGUUUAGCAAUAUCAAAGGAAAAUAGAGAGUUCGCAACCCUCAAUUUCCUAUAAGUUCAGAAAUUUCAGAUUUGUCACCCAUACUUUGAAAAAUUGUAUCUCAUUCUCUAUAAGUCCAAAAUUGGAAAACUUGGUGCCUUUGGAAACUACUUCCAAAGUACUAAAAGUUUCUAGAAGACAAUUUUCCAUGAUUCCAAAUGGAAAGUAUUCAAAAAUUAGCUCAAAGUUGCUGUUCUGGGGCAUAGAAGACAGGUUUAGGUUGGUUUUUGGUCAACUUUGUAAAUUCGGCAAAAUUCACUUGAUCCGAACUAACCUCUGAAAUUUGGAACUCUAUUAGAGUUGCAAUCCAAGUUUAAGAGAAAACAAAUGGAACAAGAAUUGGAGUGUUGAACACCAAGAUAUGAUAGCUCAAAGUUGGUGAAAAUCGAAACUGUUAAGCAAAAUUUCCAGAUUUAAACUUCAAACUUUGGGACUUUAGUUAGGUAUCGAAAUGGACUCGGAAUGGCACCAAAUUUAGCAGUAUAAUACUACCAUAUAGGGACUAUUCCUCUGCCAAUUUUCAUAGAAAAAUAUGUACGGAAAGUUGGUUAACGAAACCACUAAAGUCCCAAGAAGUUCCUCGGCAAAUCUGCCUUGGACUUCCGUUUUUCCGUCUUCAAAACGUUUGGCCAAUAAAACACCUCAAACACGGUUCAUUUCAGUAUAUAAUGUCUAAAAUGUCCAAGGUACAUUUGAUAGGUGAUUUACACUAAGAAACUUCGGAUAACAAGUCCCAAAUCAUUGUUAGUUUCAAAUCUGUCCAAAUGCGUGGUAUUUCUUCACAAGACCAGAUUCGAAUUUUGAUCAUAAAUCACUCAAUUCAACUCGGAAUUGAGCGUGGUUGGUAGCGUUGGAAAAUAGUCUCAUAAGGAUAUAUUUCCUCAGAAGAAACCAUUUUCAAAAUCUGUCCAUAACUAGCUCAUUCGUGAGCAUCAAGUUACAGCUCAGGUGCUGCCUUCCAGGAAGCAACGAAACAGGACAGCGAAUUGCAAACGAAUGGUUUGGCUUUCUCAAGUGGAACCAGGACAUGUAUUUUAUACCAACAGAAAUCUGGAAGUGUCUAGUUUCCAGUGCCACAAACGGCACUCGAUUCCGACAUCGGAGCGAUGAGUUAUAGCCAAAACAAGAUGACUGCCUGGCCAGUGACGGGAACCAAUUCCAGAUUUCUAAGCUUCCGAAAUUCCAACAUUUGGGUGACCAAAUCAAGCUAUUUUUCAAUGAAACUUUUUACACAAUCAAUAUAACAUGUAAACAACAUAAACAAGCCAUUAGAACCUCAAAAUUUCGCACCAAAGUGCUCGAACAAAGCACGGGCAAAAUGGUCACUUUUGGUUAUUGCACCACCUUGAGUUUCUAUCAACAACCCAACAUUAAUCCACUAGUUUAGGCACUAAAUAAAUAUUAUUACCAGUAAAACACCACAAAUCAGUCCAUAUAUCCAAGGUGUGAGUUCAUAGAGCCCACACAACCAUUUUUCCAACAUAAACAAGCUACCCAUAUACAUGCAUGAGUUUAAAUACACUCUAUUACUUCCAUAAAUCGAGUUUCCAAGGGUUGAUCGUUUCUUACUUGUUUAGAUGAACCAAGCAGAAAUUUCGGUCCAAAAGUGCUCAAGAAAAACCACGGACAGCAGCUCCUUUUCUUAGCUAGAUGUAAUCUCCAAGUGUUGAGCUAACUACGGUUGAAAUUUGAGGUGAAAUGAUGAAGGUUUAGUGAAGAAAUUGAGAAGAAAUUGAGGCUGUUUUACUCUUCCUCUUGGUCGGCUAUUUGGAGCAGAAAAAGAAGAGCUAAUGCUGAAGGUAAGCUUCUGUGAGAAGCUUUAUAAGUUGUGGCUAAAAGUUGCUUCAAAGUCAACUAGGAAUAGUGCGCGCACGCGCGCAUUUUGUGCUCGAUUCCUCUUAAGUUUGUUGCACUAGUGCACUAAACCUCUAAUACACUUGUAUUCAUAUUAAUAUUAUUUACUCUUAAUUGUCCCAAAAUAAAGGUCUAAAGUCCCUCAAUUAAUCGCGCGCUUAAAAACGCGUACUUCCGAUUUGUGCGCGAUAAAGUGAAAUUUUCAAGAAUUUCUUAUAACAAUAGUAUCACUAACUAAUAAUUGAAUACUUAAACAUAAAAAUACCUAUUUCAAGACUAAUGUACAAGUCUCCAAUUUUUCAAACUUAUUGUAUUUUCGAAUCGAUUAUUGUUUCCAAACGUGUAUUCACUAAUCUCACUUAACAAGUUUUCAAAAAUUAAAUUUUGAAAGGAGUCAUUUUAAAAAUAUAAGUAAGUCAUAGUUCCAUGUAAUUGGGUCUAAAAAGAUUUGAAAUAAAUUAUUCAGAGGAAAUGGGUGAAUAAAUACUUAAUUAAGCCAGUAGAAUAAUAUAAAAUAAGAAAAUUUCGGGUCCUCACAGAUCUGCCAUUGAUCGAAUAAAGGAAGUUGAGAAAAAUGACAUUAUCUUUGGUAAUUUUAGAUUUGCAGGGCGUGCGCAUGAGGACCAACGAGCCAAAUUAAAAUCGAAUGAUAGAGAUUCAAUCAAAAUCUGGGGUUAGAAGUCAAUAGAUUCGAUCAGGGUCGAAUCCAUUCAAGAACCAAAUGAUGUCAUCAUGAUGUUAUAAAUGUAAUUAAUUUUUAAAGUUAAUAAACAAUGUAAAAUUACUAAUAAUCUCAACGUGUGUUCAUGAACGUUUGAUAUAUCCAAAACUACUGCCCACAAUUGGUAAUUAUUAUACUAUAUAUUAUAUUAUAAGAUAGGAAAUAGAGUCAUUAGCUGAAUCGGAGGUUUGCUUCAUGACGAAUAGCACAAUUUCAACCUCAUUUAGCCAUGAAUAAUGUUCCUAUACAUCAUCAUAUAUCAUAAAAAUUUUCUAAAACUAGAAAAAAUUUAAAAAUUUUUCCAGAAAUAUAAAAAAAUUUAAAAGACAAAGAUUUACUAAAUUAUACUUUAAAAAAAUCCAAUUUUAUAGUAAAGAUGUAACUUUUAUGAACAUUAUCAGUAACAAAAAUGGUGGAAAACAAAAUUUUUAGAAAAACAAGUGAAAUAGUGGGAUUUAUGCAUCCAAAAUCUGAUUCUUUUUACCCACAACAUCAAGAAAACUAGAAACAAAAAAUACUUAUUCUAGAAUAGUUGAUUUGCCAUUGGUCGAAAGAAAAAAAUUGAAACAAAUGAUACUAUUUUCGGUGAUUUUUUAUUUGUAGUGUGUACAUAUGAGAACCAGCGAGUCGAGUUAAGUUCGAGUACCGGAUGAGUUAGAAGUGGUUGAGACUAAAUCUCUCAAUUUUACUCUGAUAUUUAAGUCAUAAGUUAUCGGGGGUUGUAUAGGACAAGUAGGAUUGCAUACCUUUCAAGUGAAAAAAGUAUUGAAAUUUAUACUAAAAGAAAUAAGUAGAAAAUAAUGAGUUCUAAUAGUAGUAUAGACUCGUAGGAUAAAAUAUGGUAGUGGACAGGGACUCAGGUUCCACCGGAGUCGGAUCCAUUCAAUAAUCAGAUGAUGUCAUCAUGAGUCUUGCUUAACAACUAGUAGCAUAACUUCAAUCUCAUUUAGCCACGAAUGACGUUCCUGUACAUUAUCACAUAUCAUAAAAAUUUUCUAGAAACAUAAGAAAAAAAUUAGAAAAGUUUUUAGAAAUGUAAAAAAAAAAUGUAAAGAUGUGUUAAGUUAUACUUAAAAAAAUUCAACUUUAUGAUAAAGAUACAAGUUUUACAAACAUUAUUAGUAUAAAAAAUGGUUGGAAACACAAUUUUUUAGGAAAAAAAAGUGCAACAAAGGGAUUUAUGCAUCCAAAAUCUGCUUUUUUUUACCCACGACAUAAAAAAUACAAGAAGCAAAAGAUACUUAUUUUAAGAUACCCGAUCUAUCAUUGGUCAAAUGAAGGAAGUUGAAACAAAUGACACUAUUUUUGGUGAUUUUAGAUUUGCAGUGCAUGCAGAUGAGGACCAGUGAAUCGAAGUAAGGUCAAAUGACAUGGGCUUAGUCGAGAUCAGGGGUUAAGGAUCAAUAGAUUUGAUCAGAAUCUGAUCCAUUAGAGAAUCAGAUGAUGUCAUCAGGAUGUCGUAAAUAUAAUUAGUCUUAAAAAUUAAUAUACAAUGUAAAUUUUCUAAAAACAUACUCCCUCCGUCCCGUUUUGUUAGUCUUAUUUUCCUUUUUCGUCUGUCCCGAAUUAUAGUCCACUUUCCAAUUAAGGAAUGUAGUAAUCUUUCAAAUUGUCUAAAAUACCCUUAUUAAAUAUCUUGUUAUUAAUACAUUGUUAUUAAAUACUAACCCACUACAUUGAAUACAUUGAGCUUUUCCAAUACAUAGAUAAAUGAAAAGUCUAUCUUUGUUAUUUAUUGGCACUAUUGGCGGUAAUUGAAACAAUCAAGGUGCACUAUUGGCGGUAACUGAUAUUUAUUGGCACCAUUAGCUGUAACUGAUAUUUAUUGGCACCAUUAGCUGAUUAGCAUAAGGGUAUUUUAGAAAAUUAUUAAUCUAAAUUUAUGUUUCCAACCAAAUUAAUUACACUUUCUUAAUCUGUGUGAAAAAAAAAAUCAAGACUAACAAAACGGGACGGAGGGAGUAAUAAUCUCAAACGUGUAUUCAUGCACGUUUGAUAUAUCCAAAACUACUGUCCACUACUAGUAAAUUAUUCUACUAAAUAUUAUAUUACAUGAUAGAAAAUGAAUCAUUAAUUGAAUCUGAAUCUUGCUUAAUGACUGGUAGCAUAACUUCGACCUCAUUUUGCCAUGAAUAACAUGCCUAUACAUUAUCACAUAUCAUCAAAAUUUUCUAGAAUAGAAAAAAAUUGAAAAAGUUUCUAGAAAUGUUAAAAAAAAUUAAAAGACAAAGAUGUGCUAAGUUAUAUUUUAAAAAAAUCCAACUUUAUAAUCAAGAUACAAGUUUUGCAAAUAUUAUCAGUAACAAAAAUUAUUAGCAAACACAAUUUUUUAGUAAAAUAAGUUAAACAAAGAGAUUUAUGCUUCCAAAACUUGCUUCUUUUUGCCACAACAUCAAGAAUACUAAAAGCAAGGGGUAUUUACUUCAGAAUACCUAAUCUGCCAUUCGUUGAAAGAUGAAAGUUGAUACAAAUGACACUAUUUUUGCUAAUUUUAGAUUUACGAUGCGUGUGAACGAGGAUCAAUGAGCGGGAUUAAGAUCGAAUGCGGGAAGAGCUGGAAGUGGUCGGGACUUAAUCCCACAAUUUUACUCCGAUAUUUAAAUAAGAAGUUAUCAAAAAUUAUAUAGAAUAAGUAGGAUUGCAUAUUUUUCAAGUUAAGAAGGUGUUGGUAUUUAUACAAGGAUAGAUACGUAGAAAAUAAUGAGGUCUAUGUGACAGCCCCACCUUACCCUAAGGCGAACCAAAGGGUUCGGCGGACCGCCUGCCCAACUCUCGCCGGGACUCACUCACUCACUACGGACAAAAUAAGAUAAAAUCUUAAGGAAAAAAAUAAAACAAAAAUAAUUCCCAAACUUAAAACGCAUACUUACAUUCAUUUCUGUCCCGAAAUAAAAUACAACCCCAAAUAUAACAAGAGGUUUAAGUUCCCAUACGUUGCACUAGAGCGAGUACAAGUUGCAAUAAAAUUCAAAAGGACUAGACGAUAUUAUUCUAUACAGGUCUCUCGCCCUUGCUCGCGUCCCCUGUUAAGGAAAACAAAACUAACGGGAUGAGCUAAAAGCUCAGUGAGAUUCCAAACACAUAAACAAACAAUAAGUACAAUACAUAACUAUAGAUAGCAAGUAAUUUAAGAAAUAUGACAAUAUAAAGCAAUAAUAACAUUCAUUAAAAGGAUACGUGCUCACAUGGAGCCAUUCAUUCAUUCAUUCAUUCUCCUUUCAUUUCCUUAUUCCUCCAAUCGUUUGAAAAUGUAUUUUGAUAAGUAAAACCCUUCAUUUACAUUGACAUUCAUUCAUUCAUUUCAUUUCACCCCCUCUUGGACGUUGGUCAGGCUCCACCAGACUACAAGGUAAUACUCGAGUAUACCAAACGUUCACCCAGGGUCACUAAAUCGCCCGACCGAAUCCGCUUCUGGCUCCAGUCGAUCAGUAACAAAGGGCAGGGUCCAGUUCAGUCAAGAGUCUUACAUUCUUGCACAACUAACAUUUAAUCACUUAAACAUUGAAAAUUUCACAUUUCAUAUAGGUCGAGUGCGAUAAAGUACACACUCGCCUAGUAAAAUUCAUUUGUAACAAACAUUUAUCAUUUAAUCAAAUAUCCACAACAAAUCAUAUAGUUCAUGGAAACAUAACAAACAAAGAACACUCACCUAUUUACGCAAAAUAACGUCCAAAGUAUCCUUUCGGAUAAUACCCUCAAUCACCAAGGAACUCUAAUAUAAUCAAAAGAACACAUUAUGCUUCAACCAUCAAAGAUUUAAGUGAUGCAAAGAAAAUUUGAAUACGUACUAGUACAAAGUAUAAAUAUGGUUUUGGUAGUGAAAAGAAUACAUUUAAACCAACGAACAGAAGUAAAAUAUUUGUAACACUUAUGCUCACUCGUAAAACUUUAAAAUCUCCAUUUGAGUCGAAGUGACAAAGAAAACGUAUUUUCAUUAGUCGAAAAUUUCAUUUUUCCAAGGGUACAAGUUUCGGCCAAAUUCUAACUUAUAUACCUCGAUAAAAAAAGACGUAAAUACCCUAGAUGGUUCACGUGGUAUUCGCUCUCAAUCCUCACUCAAGUCGCAAGUAUAUCUACCUAGUUCUUGAGCGUAAAUUUGGGCAGCAUGCCCUUUGUAUUUACCUAUUUUUCAGCCAUUUAUGGCUUCAUUCUUUUCCUCAAUCAAUCCCAAAGUCACACACAAAAUCAUCUCAUUUCAAUAGCCAUUCCAUAGGCUCCAAGUCAUACAAGUACAAAAUCAAGAUAGGAACAUGUGCGGAAAUGAAGAUUGAGUCAAAAAACAAAAGACAGAUUUGACGUUGUUUUGCGUAACGGACACAACUGAGGCUACGCUUAUUGGAUUGAGGUGCAAUUUAUACCAUUUCGAAGCUAAGACAGAGGGCUACAAUUUUGAUGAAGACCACUUAGUCCAGUUUCUAGUGUAUCCAAGUCAUAUUCCCAAUUUAUAGAACCAGAUUCCUACCAAAAGGCUAGUUAACUGCACUACAUUCAAAUGGCCAUAACUCAAGCUACCGAAGUCCGAUUAAGGCGUUCUCAGGGGCGUUGGAAAGCUAAGAUAUAGUACUACAACUUUUAUGUUUUGGCUAAAUAGUAGUUCAGUACAUAUCAUGGUGAAAAGACACGACCAGAUUGGUAAAAUAUUCAAAAUUGAUCACUGGAUUCACCUAGGGCAGUCAAGGUAUUUCAGUCUUUUCACAGGCUACGUUGCUCCGAUUGAGCUGAAAUUUUGCAGGCAGCUAUUAACAUCAUUUGCUACAAAUUUCAAUGUUUUAACCUAAGCUUGAUUCGGCCUCUAACAUGGUCAAACAGAACCGGGUAGAACAGGGCAAAUUGGAACCCUAAAACUGAAAUUUCCGCACAAAACCGAAAUUUUCCGCAAACAACCACAACUAACAUAUAAAAGCUUCAUUUUACACCAUAUCAAGCCAUCAUUCAUGGCCAACCAAUAACUAUCAUAUAAAAACAGAAAAAUUCCCAAAAAAAAACAGAAAUUUAUCUAACUCUACCUCAAACCAUAAAAUCUUCCAUACAAUAACAUAUUUAACCACCACAAACCACUAAUUUGACAUUAGCAUGAACAAAGAGGAAGUUUGUAAGCAAAGUACCUUAACACCUCAAGAAAGAUGAUAACUUAGGGUUUUCCUUUCACAAAUCCCUCCACUAGAAGCUUUAAUCCUCCUUGUCUAGCAACUUUGAUGGUGUAUUUUGCAACUUACUUGGUUAGAACUCAAGAUUGAAGCAAAUUGAAGUUGGCAAAUGAAGUUUUCUCCCUUGGUUUUUCUCUUCAAGAAGCUCGGCCAAGAAGGUAAAGAAUGAAGCAAAAAUUGGUCAAAAUUAAGGUUUUAGUAAAGGUAAAGAAAGUUAGGCAAGUCCAACUUCCAAUCGUGUCGCGACACAUGGCACUUUUAAUGGUUCAAACUUAUCUUCUUUCUUCCAGUGGUUAAUCUAUCUAGCUAACCUCUAAUUAUCUCCUAGCACCUUAUAAAAUAAUAACACUUAGCACAAAAAUCACUUAGUCACCAAACUUAUAUCGCACUAGCGGGUCCCACGUCUAUAACGCACUUCAAAUUAACGUACACUAACUCAUACUAGGAAAAUGAAUUUAAAACUGUACUUGCUUGUAAAAAUGCAUAGAAAUUUUAAUAUUUCCAAGGAAAGUAUAAAAUAUAGGCAAAGAAAUAAAAUAAUGCUGAGAAAAUGUGACAAUUUUUGGGUUCUCACAGUCUAAUUGUAGUCUGAUUUCAUAGAUUAAGAUAUGAUUGCAAUGUCAAUAAUAGGGAUAAAUUGUAAGGUGGUUAAAUAUCAUUUUAAUCAUACUAGUCACCAACUAUAUUUUGAAACUCAAACCAGAUAGGAACACGGUCGAGUUCAGGUAUUAGAGUUCAAUGCCUUUCAUUGGGGUCGGACCCAAUCAAGGACUGGAUGAUGUUAUCAAGAUGUCAUAAAUAUAAUUAAUUUUAAAAAUUAAUAUACAAUAAAAAUUUCUAAAAGCAUAAUAAUUUCAACGUGUGUUCAUGUACGUUUGAUGUAUCUAAAAGUAUUACCCACUAUAAGUAAAAUAUUAUGCACAAUAUUAUUUUAUAAGAUAGAAAAUAAAGUUAUUAGUUGAAUCUGAUUGUUCCUUAAUGACUGGUGGCACAACUCUAGACUCAUUUAGCCAUGAAUGACAUUCCAAUACAUCAUCACAUAUCACAAAAAGUCUCUAGUAACAAAAAGAAAAAAUUAGAAAAGUUUCCAAAAAUGUAAAAAAAUUAAAAGAUAAAGAUGUACUAAGUUAUAUAUUUAAAAAAAAUCUAAUUUUAUAUCAAAGAUACAAGUUUUACAAACAUUAUCAAUGACAAAAAUAGUGAAAAACACAAUUUUUUAGAAAAACAAGUGAAAUAAAGAGAUUUAUGCAUCCAAAAUCUGCUUCUCUUUACCCACGACAUCAAGAAUACUAGUAGCAAAAGAUACUUAUUCUAGGAUACUUGAUUUGCCAUUUGUUAAAAGAAGAAAGUUGAAAAAAAAGAAGAAGAAGAAAGUUGAAACAAAUGAUACUAUUUUUGGUGAUUUCAGAUUUACAAUGUGUGCAGACGAGGACCAGCGAGCCAAAUUAAGGUCGAAUGUCGAACAAGCAGAAAAUGGUCGGAACUAAAUUUUUCAAUUUUACUCCAAUAUUUAAUUUAGAAUUUAUCGAGAAUAUAGGAUAGGAUUGCAUACUUUUCAAAUGAAAAAGAUAUUUGUAUUUAUACUAGGAGAGAUAUGUAGGAAAUUAUAAGGUCUAAUAGUAGUCUGACUUUGUAGGAUAAGAUAUGGCUGCGAUGUAGGGUUGAAUUAUUGGGUGGUUGAAUGUCACAUCAAUCAUACUAGUCACUAACUAUAGUUUGAAAAUUAGACCGAGCAGGGACUCGAUCGAGAUUAGAGUUUAGGGGUCAAUGGGUUCGAUUGGGGUCAGACCCAUUCAAGAACCAGAUGAUGUUAUAAAUACAAUUAAUUUUAAAAAUUAAUAUACAAUGUAAAAUUUCUAAAAGUGUAAUAAUUUCAACAUGUGUUCAUGCACGUUUGAUAUAUCCAAAGCUACUAUCCACUACUUACCAAAAUAUUAUAGUAAAUAUUAUAUUACAUCAUAGGAAAUAGAGUCAUUAGUUGAACUUAAGUCUUGCUUAAUGACUAGUAGUACAAUUUCAACCUCAUUUAGACAUGAAUGACGUUCCUGUACAUCAUCACAUAUCAUAAAAAGUUUCAAUAAACAAUAAGAAAAAAUUAAAAAGUUUUUAGAAAUAUAGAAAAAAAAGACAAAGUUGUACUAAGUUAUAUUUUAAAAAAAUCAACUUUAUAGUAAACAUUCAAGUUUUACAAACAUUAUCAGUAACAAAAAUGAUUGAAAACGCAAUGUUUUAGAAAAGAAAGUGAAACAAAGGGAUUUAUGCAUUCAAAACUUGCUUCUUUUUACCCAUGACAUAAAAAAUACUAGAAAUAAGAGGUACUUAUUCUAGGAUACUUGAUCUGCCGUUGGUUGAAUGAAGGAAAUUGAAAUAAAUGACACUAUUUUUGGUGAUUUUAGGUUUGCAGUGUGUGAGGACGAAAACCAACGAGCCGAAUUAAGGUUGAAUGACAGGAACUCGAUCAAGAUUAGGGGUUAGAGGUCAAUGAGUUCGACCGAGGUCGGAUCCAUUCAAGAACCAAAUGAUGUUAUCAUGAUGUCAUAUAUAUAAUUAAUUUUAAAAAUUAAUAUACAAUGUAAAAUUUUUAAAAGCAUAACAAUUUCAACGUGUAUUCAUGCAUGUUUGAUUUAUCCAAAACUAAUCCUAUUACCGAUAAAAUAUUAUACUAAAUAUUAUAUUGUAUGAUAGGAAAUGGAGUUAUUAGUUGAAUCUGAGUCUUGCUUAAUGGCUAGUAGCACAACUCUAGCUUCAUUUAUCCAUGAAUGACGUUUUUGUACAUCAUUACAUGUCAUAAAAAAGUUUCUAGAAACAAAAAAAAAUUGGAAAAGUUUUUAGAAAUGUAAAAAAAAUUCAAAGACAAAUAUGUACUAAAUUAUAGUUAAAAAAUUCAACUUUAUUGUAAAGAUACAAGUUUUACAAACAUUAUAAGUAACAAAAAUGGUGGAAAACAUAAUUUUUUAGAAAAACAAUUAAACAAAGGGAUAUUAUGCAUCCAAAACUUGGUUCUUUUGACCCACGGCAUCAAGAAUACUAGAAGUAAGAGGUACUUAUUUUAGAAUACCUAAUCUAUCAUUGGUCGAAAAAGAAAGUUAAAAUAAAUGACCCUAUUUCUGGUGAUUUUAGAUUUAUAGUACAUUCGAACGAGGACCAGUGAGCCGAAUUAAGGUCAAAUGCUAGACAAGUUAGAAGUGAUCGGGACUAAAUCCUCCAAUUUUACUCUGAUAUUGAAAUCUGAAGUUAUCGAGAGUUGUAUAGGAUAAGUAGGAUUGCAUACCUUUCAAGUAAAGAAGGUAUUGAUAUUUAUACUAGUAGAGAUAAGUUGAAAAUGAUGAGGUCUAAUAAUAGUUUGAUCUUGUAGGAUAAGAUAUGGUUGCGAUGUCAAUAGUAAGGCUGAAUUAUAAGGUGGCUAAAUGUCAAUAGUAGGGCUGAAUUAGAUCGGGCAGGGAAUCGGUCGAGGUCAGGAGUUUGUGGUCAAUCGGUUUGACCAUGGUCAGACCCAUUCAUAACCGGCUGAUGUCACCAUAAUGUCAUAAAAUAUAACUAAUUUUAAAAAUUAAUAUAUAAUGUAAAAUUGCUAAAAGCAUAAUAAUCUCAAUGUUUGUUCAUGCUCAUUUGAUGUUUCUAGAAUAUUUUACAAGAAAAUGUAAAUAAAAUAAUAUAAUCAAGUAGAAAUCUAUACAAUUUAAUACAUAUUCAACAAGUUUGGAAUUAAAUUGGAGGGAUUAUUUUAAAAAUAAUAAUAGAUUUAGGACAAAAGUUAUAAAUCAUAAAAUGUUACUAGCUAUACUAAUAGUUUUCUAACACUAGGGGUCAAAUCAUAAAUUCAAGAAAAUUUUGAAACCCUAAAAUUGAUUUGAAUUCAAUGGUGUGGACCUGCGGGGCCCUCAGAGUGAGGUCCAACUGUCAGAUUUGACUCACUGAAAUGUGGAGUACAUACUAGUUAUCAUAGUGAAUGAAUUCCUACUUUUUCUCCUUGUUUCUCUCAUCACCCAUUUUCUUCCUUUCUUGCCUUGUCCUUUCUUUUCCAGCCGCAGUUUUCUUCUUGUAUUUCUCACAUUUUUUUCUUUUUUACUUCUAAAUCUUUGCAUAUUUUUCUCUAUUCACUACAAGAAAUCAACUUUUAUUAUUCAUGCUCUUUUUCCCUUUACUUCUCUUCUCUUUUUUUUUUCUCAAUUCUUUUAAUCCUAACUUUAUAUUGUUCAAUAUUAUGUUGAAAGAGCCAUAUGUGGUAGUAGCAGUGGAUAUGCGCUCAAGGAUCGAAUGCUAUAUUAAAAGUUUUAGGAGUAAAAAUGUUUGAAAUUGAAUUUUGGAAAACAAUCGAGUUUUCUCGGUUGUUUACGGUUUUCAAUCAAACGCAGUUUUGAUCAGGUCCUUGUCCACCAGAAAACUCAAACAUGACAUAUUUGAUGGGGUUCUUGUCCACCGGAUUUUUGAACACACUCAAACAUGACAUGUAUCCGGUUUUUGAUCCCACUGGUUGAACCGAUUGGUCCAAUAUGAAUUUAAAAAUAUGGGUCACCAGUCACCAGUUACAUUGAUGACUAGUCGAAACUUUUGAUACCUCGGGUAGAUGGUCAUCCCGAGAUGAAUUCCUGUCAAAAAGCAUCUAGGCUGAGAUAUUAUCUGCACCAGGUUAACCGAGAUGCUUUCUCAUUCGAGGUAGAUGAGGUAUUCACACUGAACCCCCUAAUUUCGGAAAGGAUAAAUAGUUCAGAGGACUGUCUUUUUCAAGGUUAUAACUCGAAAUGAUCAUGGAAUACACAUGACAAAUCAUAGUGCUACUAAAGAGACAAUAUGUCAAGAUGGAAUGACGAAUGUUAGCACAGAAAACUAAUAGCAUUAUUUUGUAAUGUCACUAAAAUUUUAGGAAACAUUUGUAGAAAAAUAAAAAUGUAAUCUACGGAUGCCAAACCUCCUUUCCAUACACAAUCAAAUGAUAUCAGAAGUUAGGGUUUCGUAAUCUAGAGCAGUUCUUAUCUGAUCAUGCCAUCUUGGCUAUCUUCAAGAACAGUUACCCGUAAUAACUGAAAAAAGAAAUUAGGGAAAUUUUUUUUCCAAAUGCAAAAAUCAUUCCUGUAGCAGAAGUAGGAUACAAAACUAACACAUGAAAUGGUCUCCAAAGUUCAAGCUCCUGGUGUUAAAGUCAAAGUUAUCCAAAUAACCUUAAUUAAAAAUUAUAUAAUAAGUAUCUAAGAGGACAAAUAAGUAAUUCCGAAAUGAAUUCCCAUCAAAGAGCAUUUAGCCCGAGAUAUCCUCUACACUAGAUUAAUCAAGAUGCUUUCUCAUUUGAGAUAGAUAAGGUAUUGACACUGAACCCCUUAAUUCCAGAAAGAAUAAAUAGUUUAGAGAACUAUCUUUUUGAGGUUAUAACCCGAAAUGAUCAUGGAAUACGCAUGGUAAAUCAUAAUUCUACUAAAGAGACAAUAUGACAACGUGGAAUGACAAAUAUGUCCCUCUUCUAAAAGGUGUUAGAUAAACUGUCAGUCAUUUAUGAGGGAUGAGAGUCAAGCACUUCAAGAUUCAAAAAGUCCACCUUUUCACCUUCCUUAACACCUAUAAAUAGGGGGUAAUUUAAUUCAUCACCCAUUUUCACCGUAUAAUCAAAUUGUAAUUUUUCAUCUAAAAUAAUCAAACGAGGUGCUUUGACAUCUCCAUCCUUGCCGAGAACUCUAUGAAAUAGUAUGCCAUAUUUUGUUGUAAUAGUUAUGGUUAAAAUAGCAAAAACUUACAAGGAAAGAGUGAGCCGAGUUUUUCUGAGAAAAAGAGACCUAACCCUACAGAAGAGGAGACAACGUAUACAAAACAAACUUCCAGUUCAGGAGAAGAGUCUGUAGAAGAAUCCAAAAUAGAGAGGGUAGAAGGAUUAUCCCGGUCCACCGAGGAGUUAAAGGCAUUGUAUAAUGACGCUUAUGGUUCUGAGAUGCCUCAAGACGUUGGGAUAGUUGUGCCUAAAACACCUCUUAACCUCGGCCUGGUUGGCUUUAGCAAACUUCCCUUAUUCAGAAGCACGAUUGAGGAGGCUGGGUCGAGAGUCUUGUUAUGAGCCUACCUGUUCUGCCGAGAUUACAAUACAUAUUGACAGAGCCGAAUCAAUUAGUGGUCAUUUCACCCCAGGACCAAGUGGCAAUAUAUGCUGACCAUUUCCAAUUCCUCUGAAGGGAAGCACGAUCGAGGAGGCCGACUCAAGAGUCUGGUUAUGAGCCUACCCAUUUUAUCGAGAUUACAAUAUAUAUUGAGUAAAACCGAAUCAUUCAGUGGCCAUUCCAUCCUAGGACCAAGUGACAAUAUAUGUUGAGCAGUUCCAAUUCCUCUGAGACAACCUUCAGUACUAAGGAACUCGGAUUACCUAGUUGACUCUGAAUGCCAUCCAAAUCUUGGUAGGGUUCGAGACGUUAUACCGAAAAUAAGGCGUGGUUCCCAUGGUCAAUCUCUUCCAAAGAUUCUAUAUAACUAAGAGUGGUGGAAAUGUGGAGAGGUGAAUGUAAUUUGGCACCCAAUCCAAGAAUAUCGAGAAGUUAGUUGUGGAUGCCUUGACUUCCAUUAAAAGAUAGAAAAUUAAUUUUGCUUUUGUACCACACGAGAACUUUCCUACGGAAUUUUGGCGGAGAUCACAUAAUGCACCAGGCGACCCAUCUCUAGGACUCGUGGAAAAGUAGAAUUUUUAGAAGAUAAAAUAGUCAGGUCUCAAGAUAAAUAGUCGGUUCUUCCCUGAGGCAGUUCUAGUGGAUAGGGGCAUCAGCCAAACUUUGAUUAGCCUCAACAAAUCUCCCUAGUAUUUUUCUAGUUUUGGCAGUACUUGUAAUUUCUUUUUUCAUUAAGUAAUUUUGUAAUUAUUCCUAUUGCUAAGUAAUAAUUUGUCUCUUCUUUACAGUGGUGAAGGUAUCUGACUUGAUCAUCUCGUGGGCUAAAAUAGUAGCUAAAAAGCAGAAAUGCAAGGCCUCUAAUGCAUAUUCUGGAGCGGGAAAGAAGCAGAAGAGUGUCUCAGCCAUUUCCAACUUUAGCACAUCAUAUAUCUGUUCCUAAGGGCAUUGCUACCUAAAGUUUCACUAUUAUCUUGGUUGGGCAUGAGAAGGAGAAGCUUCUCCACUCCUAUCCUUUAGUUAUUGUUGGGUCAUCUCUGCGGAAUAGACAUCUUAUCCCUUUUCUGAAGCCUUCCUGUCCUGAGAUAAGGCACCUUGAGGAGUACUUUGGCUCACCUUGGCAACUUACCAUCAAUAACUGAUGCCAGGAUCUAGGUCAAUCUCGGGAAUUGCUUCUUAACUCGGUACUGCCAUAAGAUGUUGAUUGGUCCCGAGCUGAUUGACCACCUGGCCAUUGCUUGGGUCUCGUCCAACAUCUUUGUAGCCAAUAUGAUUCAAUGGUUUGGGGUCAUGUAGGGUGCCCAAUUGUCAGCUGCACCUCUCCUAAAGAAUGUGAAGGUUUUAGAAACGGAGCUGGAAGUGGUCAAAGAUGAAAGCGACCAUGCUAUUAUCGAGGCCAACUCCCUAAGAAUGACCUAUAAGGAAAGCAAAAAAGACUUCAAGAAGAGAGAACGGCCAAUGAGAUAACCUUGGAGAAGGCUUGGAUCUCAGUGGUAGAGGCCUUCUUGAAAUCCACAAAUUUUAAUAAAGACUUGGUGAGCUGACUACCUCGAGCUUUAUGUUUGGCUUCACUACAAUUAUCAAUAAGGUCAACCAUCUGCUGUCUGAGGAGGAACUUGAAAGGAUCAAAACCAAUACCAACUACAACGAGGAUGCCAAAGAGUUGUGCGAUUAGAUGGCAGCUGGUAUCUCUCAUGCUAUUGACCUCUUCUCUUGUCAAUUGUCUUUGUAGCAAGUUCUUCUCCCCCUUUCUCUUCCUACCUCUAACAGCCUAGCCUAAUUGCACAACUCCACCUGGCACGACCUUCUGCAACCGAUAAUUUGCCUUAUAGGUACUGAGCAAUGGCUAGUUUUGAUUGUGUACAAAUGUUAAUUCUUUGAAAAAAAUUCAUUUUGGAGUAUCAUGUUUGCUAAAUUCUUUCUGCAUUUCCACAUUUUUAGAUGAUUAAUUAUGGAGUAUGUGCAUAGUGUUCCGAUUUUAUCUAAAUUUCGCUAUGUUAGGCUGAUUUUAUGGAAAGGGCACUACUGACUGUCAUGAACAAUUUAGAUGAAGGUAGCCUCUACAAAAUGGAGACAGAUAGAAUAAAUAAUAGCAUACUUGCAUUAAAAAGCAUUUAUGGCCUGAGGUUCCUAAAUUGUUGAAGUAUUUAUCCUUUAGUUCUCUAUUUCUUAAACCAUCUGCUAUUGGUAAUAUAACUAUGACUAUGAAUUUCCAGUUUUUACAUACAUCAUAUCGUUGUUUACAAACUACAUAGCGAUAAAGUUGCAAAUAUUAGUAGAUGAGAAACCAUAACUGCAUAUGAAAUUUAUUGGAACGUGUUCUAUUGCUUGACUUCAAAUUUUUAGAUAUUUUCACCUUGAGCAACUGCAUCUGGAUUAAGUUUUCUAUAGUUAAAUAUCUGUAACAUUAGGUUUUAUAAUCUAUGAUGGAACCAAAACGGUUGCUUUAAGAAAGACUUUGGAGUGAACAUAUGAGUUUUUCAAAUUAUUGUGGCAAGGAAAAGUUUAAUUUUCGAGGACACUUCUAAAAAUUCUCAAAUCUUUAAGGGGAAAAACCAUGGAUUACUAGGACUUGGGGUGCAUUGGUCCCUGCUUGCCUCCCCUUAGUUCUCAUGUUAAGUGUAAUUUGUAUAUUUACAAUUUUGAGUAUGCAUAUGCUUACAAUUGCUUAAAGCCAGGAAUCUAGUGGUAAGGAAUCUAUGCCUCUUUUUAGAAGAUAAAUUUGGAAGUGCAUAUACUUACAUGUCUUCUGUUGUUUUGUGAAAAUUCUAGGGUGUAUAAUCGAUUUACAUUCUGUAGGAUGAAAGUCUCAAUUCAUUCUUUUGUCAGUUGUUAUGGGCUCUGUGGCUUUUUAGGAAGCAAGAUCAUGCCACAGUGCUUGAGCUAAACCAAAGUUUUAGUUAGGUGAACGAUGUUGAUAGUGCACUUUUCAAGAGAUAUAUGUACAAUGACUUUUUUUGUCGAUAUGUUUUAAUUUCUUGAAACCAUUUCCUUUGGAAAGAUAAUUGAGCUUUUUUUCUAUUGUUGGAAACGAUAAUAGGUUGUUGACAUAAUAUUGUAGUUGGAGAUGACUGGUGAUUAAGUGUGAAUUCAGUUGAUUUGCAGUCUUCAGAAGUUUAUCACAAGGUUGAACUUAUUCAUCUAGUCCUAUCUGGUAUACAGUAUCACAACAAAUGGCUUCUAAAGGUAAAAGUUUUAUAGGUAAAAUGAAAAAAAAUUUCAUCUUCACAUUAAUUGUUAAAGAUACUCAAUGAAAGAUGUGUCCAGAUUAUGGUAUGUUAUCCAUUGUAAGAUCUAAUGCAAUAUUUUUCAUUUUUCUUCCAUUUGUGGUUUACCCUUUCUAAAUUUUGUAUCUGGUCCCUUCCAUAAACUUUCUUUGAAUCUACAUUGAAAAAUUUUAGGUUAACAAUGUAGUUGUUGUGAGCAAGCAUACAAGUCCACAUCAAUUCAGUGUCAAAGGAGAGGGGGAUUGCAAAAUAGCAAUCAAAAGUCCCUCAUCUUAGGAAGUCUAAAUAAUUUACUCUUUUCUAUUUGUGGUUGCAAACUUAUAGCAACCUAUUAUUUUGUGAUAGGUGAAAAAGAAAUAGCUUGUUAUAUUUCUCCCGAUAUAAUUAUUAGGAAUGCGUAUGUGUUACAUUGAUGAAUCAUGUUGAUUUGCUUCAGGGUUAGAUUGCCAUGCUGAUGCCUCAUGAAGAAGCUUCCAAUUCCUUGAAGCAGUGCGAGUUCCCUUCUUCAGAAAUAUAUGUUAUGGGAAUUAACAAUAUGGCUCUACAAACACAGCUGAAGUAUCAUUCAUUUAUGUGCGAGGAGUUUGAGCAUCCACAUAUGGCAAGGUUAUCUCAUGCGGAAUUCUACCGAUUACCCAAAUUCUUGGUAAAAUGCUCUUGUCCUCUACCUGCUUCUAUUAAAACCAAAAUCCACGCUUUAGGAUUGUCUUAGACUUGCUCAAAGGUCAGCAUGAUGUUAAAAUCAUCAAUCUUAUGAUGGAACUGUUGAAAUCAGUGCCUUUGUGUUUUGAUAGAGUACUUUGAUCCCUCUAUUCUUUAAGGGCAAAGUGAACAAUCCAAAGGUAAGAGCCACUAUGAGAUUGCAAUGGUUAUGGCUGGCAUGAGUAUGGAAGCAAGCGUUGAGUGUACAUGGUAGGGUGAAGGAAUUAACACGGGACCAAUUACCAAUGAUGAGCAGAAACAUCUACGAGUAUCAGAUUAUGCUUGUGCAUAUUAAAAAUGUGAUAUCCAAGAUCACUAAGAAUGAAAACAGUCCAAUGAUAGAAUACAUAACAAUUCAGCUGCUGAGCUUCAAGGCAAAUCGGCAAAACUAGCUGUCGGAUUUAAAAUAGACAACCAAAGUAGUGUGAGGUAUGCUGAGGCUAAUUCUUAGGUUGAAAAGCCUAUUUAUUCUGCUUUGAAUUCAAGAUACCUCCACAAGUAGAAAUGAUCGUGCACUAUGUUGAGUUGACAAUGCAAGUGUUGAUAAUAUUUUGAAGUUGUUAAAUGUGGAUGCGUUUGGCAUGAUAGGUAGUACUUCUAUUGUACAUCAAUUGCAAUAUCCCAUGUACUCCUGGGCUAAUUGGUUGAUGUUUGAAUUUUUUUUUUUGUUUUGUUUGGCAUCACAUCAUUUGGUAUUGAAUCCGUUGACAGGAAACCUAGUAUCUCAUACUGUAGUAUCAUCCAAUAAUUGAUUUUUUUUGAAAUGUAGUGACAAUCACUUGUUUGUUCUUAUUUAGUUCUAGCAUCACUUGUAACUUCUUGAAACAUUUGUAAUUGGUUACAGGCAGUUAACUUGGUUUACUAGCAUCCUAUAGGAUGAUGGACACUAGUGCAUUAUUUCUCAUAGUAUUUGAUGUAUCAAAAGCACUUGAUGUUUGCAUUUCUUUUUAGAAAUUAAGUUAGUGAGUCUUACAAAAGAAAAUUUCUGAAGUGCAUGUAUUCUGCUUUUAGUUACUAAAUUGCAAGAAUGGUUUCUUCUUAUCAUGGAGCUGGUUGUUGUUGUGAAAUUGGAGGACUAGGAUGAUACUGCUGCUAGUGAAAUUUCGGUGGCCUUGCAAAUAUAACUAAAAUUCAGAUGAUCCUUCCACCCUGGAUUGUAGGUGUUUGAAUAAGGAUCAUAGUGCCUUUGAGGUGGAUCAGGAAAUCCCUCAUCUGCAUUCGCAUAUUCAUUCAAAUCAUCUUGUAGUGUAGGGCACAUGUCAGUUGGAUGAUCCGAAACAUAGUAAAUUCUAUAUGUUUUAUCCUGUUGUACCUGUCCUACAACUAAUUUUUCCACUAAAGAGGUUAGAGAAUCUAAUUUUUGUUCAAUAGAAGAAGCACUUACCUCAUUGACUUUUCUAGGGACAUAUUCCUAUCUAUCACCAAAUUGUUGACCAUUGACUACCAUACUUGAAAUUAUUUUCCUUGCUUCCAUUGGCGUUUUAUUUACCAAUGCUCCUCCACUAGCAGCAUCAAUAAUUUUCCUAUCUGUUACUAAUAAUUCCUUAUAAAAAUAUUGAAUGAGAAGUUGGUCAGGGAUUUGAUGGUAAGGGCAACUUGCACAUAACUGUUGAACCUUUUUCAAUACUCGUGCAAAGCUUUUCCAUUGAAUUGUCUAAUCCCACAAAUAUCUUUCCUGAUGCUUGUAGCUCGGGAAGCAGGAAAGAAUUUUUCAAGAAACUCUGUCUUCAUCUCAGUCCAGGUGGUGAUUAAUCUAGAUGGUAAAUAACAUACCAGUCCUUUGCUUUAUCAGCUAAAAAAAAUGGAAAGACUUAAUUUUAUUUGCUCCUCAGUGACUCCUUGGGGCUUUAUGGUCGAGCAUACCACAUGAAGUUCCGUGAAGUGCUUGUAAUGAUCUUCACCUAGAAACCCAUGAAAAGAAGGAAGUAAGUGAAUUAAACCAGAUUUUAACUCAAAUGGUACAUCUAAAGUAGGACAUCUGAUGCAAAAAUGUUGCUGAUUUAAAUUAGGUGCAGCUAAUUCUCUCAAAAUUCUCUCGUUCUCGUUCGCCAUGCUUUUAAUCUUCUCUUUAGAUUCACUGGAAGAUUCAACUAAGCCAGAUGCCAGUUUUAGCCCAGGGAAUGAAGAUGAUAGCUUUGCCGUUGCUUAGUUUCCCUUUCCAAUCUACACGCUGUCUACUCUAUCUCAAGAUUGUAUUGCAAUUCACCUAUAUGAGAAGAUCGAAACAUAAUCUAGCAACAAAAUAAAAAUGAAAAUCCAAAGAAAAUAAAUCAACAAAGGUACCAAUCCCCCACGAUGGCGCCAAAAUUUGUUGACUGUCAAAUCAACAAAUAUAAAAAUUCUACACCAAAAAUAUAAAUUCAAUAGUGGUAAGAAGGGUAGUAUCCUCAGGGAUUGGGUGAUUUAUUUUAUUAAAAAAACAAUGACAAUAAAAUAAGAUGGGGGAUAUUGGAAAAAUUAAUCUAAGUAAUUUAAUCGACGAAAAAUAAUGAUGCAAAAUUAAAUAAAAAUAAUCCAAUAUGAAAAAAGUCUCUAGUCAAAGGUUAAUCGCCACUUUGGUUCAUUUACUGAUCAUCUAUGAAAAGAAAUAAAUCAUUUAUUUAUAAACAAACCGGUUAUGGUUGUAAACAAACUCUAACAACCAGCCUCUCCGUACUUCUUCGAUAACCACAACAAACUCUAUGAUUAUUUCCUUUACCAAUUAAACAAUCCUAAUCAAGCUCUUAGGAUUUAAUUUAUUAACAGUAUUAGUUAUUAGAAAGACUACCAACCUCAACCAACAAACACAUAAGAUCAGUUCAUUUAAACUAGAUUGUAUAUUCCCGUGCUAAUAAUCCGAAAGUUUCUACUACAAUUAAAUUAUAUCACUCGCCACAGAUACUAAAACUAUCAAACAAUUACAGAUUUGAUUUUUUUAGAUGACAGUAGAUUAUUCUAACAAUUAAAUAGUGAUAAGGUAUUUAACCGUAGAAAAUAAUCGUAUCAAUAACAAACAUAGAAUAUACAAAUCUUCAUAAAUAAAUGUAACCAUAAGAACAAAUUAAAUCUCACAGUAUUUGUCAAACCAAAAUUUUGAUUAUCCUUUGACUAGAACAGGGAUUUAACCAUGCCUAAUGGUUGAAUUACAGGCAAAGACAUGAUUAGGGUUUGUUAUUGUAAAGGAAAGAAAGAAAAGAAAGUAUCUUCUACUUUAUUCUAAUGAAGGAUAAGCUAAAGCCAAAAAAGUCAGUAUUUUGCUCCGACUUGUGCUCUCCUAAUCGUUUUUAAAAGUCACCAUCAUCCUCUACUAAUACUUGCCUCCUUGUUCUCAAAAGGAUGAGAAUCCUUUUAUAUAUAAUACUACCAAUAAUACUAAAUAAAAAUAAAAGAUAUUAUUCCUAAAAAUUAAUCAAUAUGAAACUUCGAAAAGGAAAUAAAUCUCUUGAUUAGUAGAAAAAAUUUGAGCAGGGCCCACUUCCAAUCUCGAGAUGUCCACACUUCACAACAAGUUAAGACGUGAUCGCGGCAUUUUGGAAAUUCAGCUUUUAAUACCCUUUUUACUCCCUUUUCACAAUAAAUUCCUAGAAAUAACACCAAAAAUCAAAUAUGAGUAAAAUCAAGCAAUUAAUACCAUAUUUUGGCAAAAUAAAAAGGAAAAAUAUAUACAAAUUAAGUGUACAAUUAACCAUCUAACACCUUCACAAAAUUUUUUCUUCCCUGCUUGAAUUUCUUGGCCUGCUUAGCGUCGAGCUUGAUCAAACACCACUAUGACAAUCAACAAUUUGGCAAGACUUUUUUCCCUAAUCAGUGCACAACACCAACAAUCUCAACAGAAUCCCUCUUUUUAGACUUCUAUCUAAUUAGGAUCACUUCUCCCUAAUUCCAACUAAUGAACGAGUACUCCAAGACCAACUUCCGUGGCCCAAUUUUUCAAUACACGAGUACUUUAGCAUAAUCUCUACACCCUUCUAUGGUAUAGGCAUCUCUAUCACAAACUCUGCACAUCCUUCAGACACCACAGAUACCCUAAGAUCAAACUCUUGAACAUAGAGUUCUGAUACCACUUGUUAGGAUAAAAAAUCAUGCAGCGGAAGAAACGUGAAAUCUUCACAAAUAACAAAGAAUAAGAAAGGCACAGGAGGAAACAAAAUAUUUUGCUUCAAUUCAACUACAAACUUAGGAUUCCAAGUCUUUAAAUAGAGAAAUAUAACCACAAAUCCUAUUCUAAUUAUAAUACCAAAACAUGACUCAACUCUAUUUCCUAAACCAACUAUGACACCAAAUCUAAUAUAAUUACCAAAUAACAAAUCAAUUUCUAAAACUAUUAAAAUUCUAAAUACGUUUGAUUUAAAAUAUAUCAACAAAUUGCAUAUCUCCCCACGUCUAUGAUUAGUUAAGGGAUAAUUUCAGAAACCUCCUGUAAGGUUUGUAGCAAUAUUACUUGGUACCUAUGAAUUUUGAGAAAUCUCACCUACUUCCCUUAAUUUUAACAUUCUGUAUCAUUAUCAACCCAAUUCGAAACAUUAUCAAGAAACUCAUAUUUGGAGAUAGCAAAUAUUUUCAUGCCAAAAUUGCCCUUGUAUUAUACUAAUAUUUUUCCAAAAGUGAACAUAUAUUAUUGAAAGCAUGAAAAUAAAGACAAAUAGUGUGAAAGCAUAGUUCUAAUAGAAAUUAUAUCAGUAGGUGUUUUUAAGGUACAAAAGAUUAUUAUUUAAAAGUAUGUUUAAGAUGCUUCGAGUUAAAAAAAUUAUUUCAUUCACUAUUAGGUGCUUUCGUUAAUUUGAGGAGUUUUAAAAUUUUAAGAAUUUUGAACUUUCUAAAUUUUUUUUGUAUAAACCGAUGAGUUGAAUAUUAGAAACAGGCACAAUAUCUAAAAUUAUAUUUACAAAGUCAUUUGAGGUAUUUUCAAAAACGUAAAAAUAACUUUCUUUAUUACAAAAUAUUUUUGAAUGAAUUUAGAAUAUUAUAAAUUAUUUAGAAUUUUUUUAAUGCUCUAACUUUUUGCCCAAAUUGAUAACUUGACAACAAGAGAAUGAUAAAUUAUUAACAAUACAUUUAGAAACUUAUUUUAUGUAUUUUCACUAUGCAAAAUGUUAUUUUUUACAAAUUAUAACAAAAAUUUUUCUUUUGCAUUUCUUGUCUAAACUGAUGACUUCAAAAAUUGCAAAUGAUCUUUCAACCUAAUUAAUAUGUUGUAAUUCUUAAGCAUUUAAUUUGGUUUGUUAUGAAAAAUUAAGGUCUACAAGAAAAGGACAAUUUUGAAAUAGAAAUGUUUUAUCUCUCUCAAAAUGAGUUUUCAAAUCACAUCUUUUGAAAUGGGUUGAUAAAGUUAGAAAAAGUUAAAAAUAAGGGUGGUAGAUGAGAUUUCUUAAAAUUUAAGAGUACAAAAUGAUAUUGUCAUAAACCUCAGGGGAGGUUUUUGAAAUUAUCCCAUUAGUUAAUUACGACCACUAUUUCUUUGGCUUUGCAAUUAGACAUUCAUGCUCGUCUCCAUGAUAGUAUUUUGACAAAGGAGAUUUGGAACUAUAUGAACAAAUUAAUGUUAAGAGUGUGACAUUUUUUUAACGUAGUUCAAUUUCCCGACCUCUACCCUCAAAACCACCUUUGAAUUGUGCUUUCUCCUAUUUUGAAAAGCUAACAAGAUAACGGUCAACAAGGCAUCGUUUGAUAAUAUUAAAAUCUAAAAUCUGAAUUCUAAAACCUAAAAAUUAAUUACUGAAAACAUUACAUUGCUGAAUUGAUGAAGUUAUAUCUGUUUGAUAGCUAAGUGUAUUUAAGCAUUGAAUUGAAAUAUCACACAAGUACGGGAACUUUAUUGUUAAAAAAAUUGUCUUUAUUUGUGUAUUGGUGAAAACGAAAAGUAUAUGUGGGAGAGAGAAAACAUUGAAAUAAUUGAGAGGUGGUCUUUAAGUAUGGUUAUUUGAGUGUGAGAAUGUGUAUAUUUAAAGAGAAAAAGAGAAAAAAUGUACUUUAUAUGAGAUCAUAUAUAAGAGUGUAUUGUGUAUAUGAGAAGGAUAAUAUAUGUAGCCAAUUCAGAAAAUUUAGUGAAAAUUUUUCACUUAAAAUUUUGAACAAAAACUAUAUAGUGCGGGAUGUAUUAAAUGGUAAGACAUUUCCAUUAUCAAACAUGCUAAAUUUAAAAAAUUCUCAAUAAAUUACUUUUCAACAGAUCCAAAAUCUAGUUUGUACACGAAUUCCCUGAAUUCAACCAUAGUUUGUGCCUGCGUGUGUGCUCGUCGGAUGCACUGAUGAUCAUGGGAGAAAUUGUAUUUCCCAGUUGAAGAGGAUUGUUUUAGUUUAGAUCAUUUUCGAGUGUAGUUGAUGCUUUUAAAAUGAAACUAGUUGAAUUGGGCCUCACGCGCAGCAUGAGGUUACCCAGGAUUUCAGUGUUUUUUUUUUGGUUGUUAUUUCUAUCGAUAAGAGCACAAAUGAUGGAUGCCUUGGUUGUUAACAUAAUUGGUGUAGUAUUUUGACUUGCAUAAUGAACAGUCUAGCAAACACAGUUUUAAAUGAUUGAGUUUAAAAUUUUCAGAUUUGGCCAAAAAAUUAGCAAGUUCUGACCUUGACUGUGUGUUGUUUUAUUUCUAAGUGCAAGUUAAUAAUUCCCGACUGUGUGUUCUAACCUUGACCGUGUGUUGUUUAGUAAGCUGCAAUGUAGCCUCCCGGUAAAGCUUGGUUUUUUGUGUCCUAACGUAAUAUCCAUUUUGUUUUAUCAUAUAAUUUAAUAAAUCAAAAUUAUAUCAAUACGAUUAAUAAAAAAAGUAAAAUAUGAUUAAUAUUUCUCAAAAACAUUUAGUCAUUAAUCCAAAACAAAAUUUCCACGUGUCAACAGAUUAGAAAAAAAAAACCAAAAAUCCAUUGUUUUCACUAAAGAAUGCAAAAUGGCGAAGGGCUGUGUUUACUACCAAGAGGGUACUCAUCACUUUUAACGUCCGUUGGUGCAGCCAUGCAGUAAUAAAGUGCAUUUUUGUUAUUGCAAAUCCAUCAUCUAAAACUGAUAUGAUCCCGUCAAUGGACGAAACUCGUAUGUGAUCAGUCUAGAAUCUAUGUCCUAUGGAUCAAAUUUGCACAACACUCUGACCGUGGUUGCAUAUGACUUUAAGUCUAAUAGAUUUUUAUAAGUUUAAUUUGACAAAACAACAUAAUUUUAGUGCAUUUGAGAAAUGCUCACUUAAACAAGCUUUUAUCUAUAUAUUUUUAUUGCAUUUUUCAUCACUAUUCAAGGAUCUACAUCUCCCGCUGGUUCAUUCCCAGGGAUGUUCCUAUAACUCAAGUCAUGCACUCUCUAAUCAAUCAGAGGAAAGUAAACAAUGCUAGCAUGAUUUGUUGGGAAAAAAGGAAAUCAAUUAAAUGUCUAGUUAGAAAUUAACAAGGACCAAAGUCCGGAAGAAUCCAGUUUGGACAACCAUUUUCUGCUUGCGUUGUUUUCCGUGAUCACAUUUUCCUAUUACCUUUUUUUCUCACAUACAUCAAAUCGCUACAAUAAUUUUUCUUCAAAAAAUCCUAGAAACUGCAAUCCAAACAAGGCCUAAAAAUCCAAACAAGGCCCUUCCGGAACUUGCAAUUUCUUUACUACUUUUUGCCAAAAUUGAUCAUAAUAUGAAAUGCUAAUACAAAUAAAUGCUAGUCAAAUAAGAGUUUAGCAACAAAUAGGGACCAUAGACAAAGAACAACUGCAAUUUCCGGUAGCAAGUUGCUGGCAUUUUACCAAAGAACAUAUGUGCAAUAAAUGAUAAACUCAACUUUCAACAAUUGACUGAACACAUUAACUUCGUGCAUAAGCUGUGAAUGAAGCAUUUCAAUACUUUAAAGGGGUAAAAAAAAAAAAAAAGUUUCUACUUCUCCUAGCAAAGCUUUCUUUAACAAAUCCAUUUAAACAAACUUUCAAACUACACAGUGGAAGUAUUAUGUUGAAUUGAUUGCCAAUUUAAGAAUUUGAAAAUCAUUCUCAUACUCAAUUGGAGCUGCUACUAUUUCUACUGAAUGGCAAAAACCAUAUCAGAGAAGAAAAAAACCUGGCUUAAGUUCUACUUGUCUAAAUCUGAUGGUACUUAACUUGUUAUAGCAGUUACCAACAAACUAAAAUACAAAUAUAUAUAUAUAUAUAUAUAUAUAUAUAUAUAUAUAUAUAUAUAUAUCCAUUAACAACUUUAAAAUUUAAAUCAACUACAAUCCAAAAAUUAAAAGCUGAAGAAAUUAGGCCGAUUAGAAGACUUCUAGAAAAAUUUGGUCAUCCUACCUAAUAUUCCAUGAGUAAGCUGAAGAACUUAGGCCGAUUCAAGCUUUCCAUGAAAAGACAACCAUACCACACCUCAUUAAACCAAGUUACAAUCAUAAUUGAGGGCUAUAAAAGAAUUACAUGAGCAAUAUUUUUGUCAUCACGCAAAAUCAACCUCACACUUACCAGCGAGCUGGCCACAUACAACCAUUCAUGCCACCAAAUACCAUAAAAGUCCAUAAUCUUGUCAUCCAAUCAGAAGAGAAAUAAGAGGACUAAACCAAUCCCAAUUGAAAAUUCCCUCUUAGAUUAGUCAAGAUAGAAGACACUACAAACAUUACGGUUGUCACAUCAUCAGUGACAAGGAAAGGCAAAACACGGUUCAUCAAUAAUUGAAAUGACUAUUCAGGGCUUCGGAUAAUUAAAAAAAUACAGUAAAACUGAAUAUAAUAAUUGGGGCAGCUCGUAGGAAGAAACUGGACGGAUCUCAUGAAUCAUUUAUAAAGAAUUCCCAAAAAAAAAAAUUGUCAAUUAUUACAUUUCCUUGUUGAAUUCAUAAAGUUGGUCUGAAGUGUUUAUUGUCUUCUACCUAUGAGCCUUCAGCUAAGAAGCUUGAUUUCUCCUGCAAAAGAUUCUGCAAUAAUCUUAAAAUAGUCAAAACAGCCAAAAGAAAAAUAGUAAAGAAAUGAAACUACUGGCCCCGGAUAUCCAUUCAAUCAUUCAUACAGGAAAAUUGGAGUGAAACACCAAAUUCCUCUCCCUCUUGCUUCUUGAUCAUGGAGAUUCUAUUGAGUGUUCUGAUUCUGAUCUUCUCCAUCUUGAUUGCUCUAAUACUAUACCUCCAGCGAAAGGAGAACAAACAGCCUCCAAGUCCACCAGCCCUUCCAAUUGUAGGCCAUCUCCACCUCUUGAGAAAUACUGCUCCUCACUUGGCAUUUCAUAAGCUCUCCAUCAAGUACGGUCCCCUGGUUUCCCUUCGUUUUGGGAUUCGCCGCAUCCUUGUUGUGUCUUCUCCAUCACUUGCAGAGGAAUGCUUUUCCAAGACUAAUGAUAUCGUCUUUGCAAACCGGCCUGAGUCCAUUUCCAGUAAGCACCUUGGCUAUAACCACACUACUCUUGUUUUCUCCCCGUACAGAGAUCACUGGCGUAACUUACGCCGACUGACCGCCAUCCAUAUCUUUUCUUCAAUCAGUCUCCUCCAGUCCUCCUCAAUUUGGACAAAUGAGAUGCGUUUUAUUGUCAAAAAACUGUUCUCAAGUUGCUCUGAUGAGAAAAGUUGGAAAGCUGUGGACCUGAAUUCUUUGUUCUUGGAACUGGUUUUCAAUGUGGUAAUGAAAAUGAUUGCUGGCAAAAGAUGGCCAUCCGAUCAGUCAGGUGAUGCAUUUACGCCGAGUGCAUUCGCGGAUAUUUGUGAUUAUAUUCCAAUUUUAAGGUGGAUUGGUUUUAGAGGGCAGGAGAAGAGUUCGAUUAACUUGCAGAGAAAAAGAGACAAAGUUUUGCAGGAUCUGAUUGAAGAAACUCGGAAAAGGAAUGGUGAAGAUGUUUCAUGUUCAACUAAAACAAAAGAAAUUAUUCAAGCGUUGUUGUCUCUACAAGAUGCUGAUCCUGAAUACUACACAAAUGAAACAAUCAAAGGAAUAAUGCAAGUAAGUCUCUUUUUGAGUCUUUUCUUUUCAAAGGAUAUAUCCCUCUACCAGCGCCUUUUUAUUAUUUUAUAUAUAUAUAUAUAUAUAUAUAUAUAUAGGGAAAACAAAAUUGUUCAAUAUGGUAUUCGUACAUGUAGCAUCAUCCAAGAUAUGUAGUUCUAGGUUGCCCCAUACUAUUUGGGGCACAGGUUCAAUGUGCACUAGAGGCGAAAAUUGAGUACUUGAUAUGAAAUUUAACAACUUUGGACUUUGCUGUCGACUCGUAGGUCCUUGGAGGGCUAAAAGGAAAUUUAGUGGAAUCACUGAAUAGCCUUCUAUUUUAUAAUGGCCUAUACAGGGUCCCGGCUGAUGUUGCCUUAACAGGGCGGCUGAGAUCAAAUUUUUCUUGGUUAAAUACAAAAGACUCCCUUAUGGUUUAAUUGAAUGUUAAACUUAACUCUUUAUAGUACAAAAGCAUACAAUUUAUUUCUCGUAGUUUGUGAGUUUUUGAAAUACCUACAACAAGAUUCAUUAAACUUAACCCUAGCAACAUGUCACAAUUUUCCCUGUACAAAUAAAUGAGUUAAAAACCAAAGAUCCUACUGUAAUAAAGAGAAUGUUCAACUCAACUCUACCAUCACAACUGCAAUUACAGAAUCCCCUGAUCCGUCAACCCAAUAGACCUCAUAUUCACAUAUUUGAAGAUGCGGCCACGCAAUAAAAUGAUUCGAGACAAAAUAUUGUCAGCGUUGAAUAAAUGAUAAAUAUGCAAAAUUUGAAUUUAAAAUUCAAUUUUUGCACAUAUGUCAUAGAUUCAACAGUGAUAGUGUAUAUUCACAUAUUUGAAGAUGCGGCCACGCAAUAAAAUGAUUCGAGGCAAAAUACUGUCAGUGUUGAAUGAAUAACAAAUAUGUGAAAUUUGAAUUUAAAAUUCAAUUUUUGCACAUAUGUUAUAGAUCUAACAGUGAUAGUGUAUACACUGUCAGUGUAUAUAAUAUUUACUCUAAAGUAUUUCAUGUACAUUUGUGGAUAUAUGAUUGUUGUCUAGUGUUGUGAACGGUCAAAAUAUUACUCGACUACACAAUUGACUUUCUCCCUGCGUGCCAUUUUGUUAAUCAUAAUAACUAUUUUUGCAUGAUUAAAUACUUUCCAAUCAAGAACACUUAAUUCAUAUUACUACAUUAAGUACUUUAACAAACCACUGCAAAAUUUAAAACUGCAACACUUUCAAUUCAAAUUGAGGGACAGUUAUGAAACGAGUAAUUCUCUGUUUAGUCAAAUAAUCAUUUUUAAACUGUCUAUGAUGUAUACUCUUGGCAACCAACUAUUGUAAAGGCCAGGACUUCAACUGCUGAGGUAAUUCAUAUAUAUAUACCUUGGCGUUAGCUCUAAAAACCUGGCCCCUUGAAGGUUUCCAGGACUGAGUUUUGAUGCACAAGGAGCUGCCUAACUUGGCAUGUCAAAAACAUUUCUUUUUGUGUGGUUAACAUGUAAAACUACUAUGUUUUUUUUUUUUUUGUGUAUGUCUAACAAUCUAGAUUUUGAUAAACAAUAUUGAUAGUUUUUUGGUAUUAUAAUGUAAUUUUCCAUAAUAGACGAAAAUGAAGGUCAUUUUGUAAUUAAUCUUGUAAUGUAGAAACAUCCCGUGGUACUUCUUAUAUGAUUCGAAAAGUCUCAAUGUACAAAGUUUAUCUUCACUGAUGAUUAAUAAAAGAAAUUGACAUCAUACCGCAAUCAAUUCUGUUUCUAAAAUCAGAAUUUUUUCCUUGGAAGUGGAACUAACAAUUACUAUUAUUUCUGAGCAUUUAUUUCGAUUUUGCUUUGAUUUUGACUAAACUUCAGUUUGUUUGUCUAGAUUAUGUUUACAGCAGGAACACACACUUCAGCUUUUACCAUGGAGCGCGCAAUGUCAUGCCUGUUAAAUCAUCCAGACAUCUUACAGAAAGCAAAGAAUGAAAUCGACGACCAAGUCACAUACUCCGGGCGUUUGCUGGAGGAUUCAGAUCUCUCCAAAUUGCCAUAUUUACGUUGUAUAAUUAACGAAACACUUAGAAUUUUUCCUCCUGCACCAACUCUUGUACCACAUUAUUCAUCUGAAGAUUGCAUCAUUGGAGGCUACAAAAUUGCUAAAGGUACAAAUCUGUUUGUUAAUGCUUGGGCCAUUCACAGAGACGCCAACUUAUGGGAAGAGCCAAGCGAGUUCAAGCCAGAAAGGUUCGAGGGUUUGGAUGAAGGAUUUAAAUUUCUUCCAUUUGGAAAAGGGAGGAGGGCUUGUCCAGGGGCUGCAAUGGCUAUGAGAUUGGUUGGAUUGGCGGUGGGCACUUUGGUUCAAUGCUUUGAGUGGGAAAGUGCAGAAUCUCAAAUGGUGGAGUUUGAUGAAAAAUCUGGCGUCAUUUUGGGCAAGACCAAGCCAUUGGAGGCAUUGUACAAGCCACGCCUUUCCGUGAUCAACUUAAUUUCUCAGCUUUGAGUUUAUAUAAUAACUAGUUUUGUACCCGUUCGUUGAACGGGAAUCAUCGAAAAAUAAUAAACUAUUUAGUUAAUUUUAUAAAAAUGUCGAUAUAAAAUAAAAAUUUAAUUUAUAAUCUAUUAUAACUUAUCUUAAAUAUAUUACUAUGUGCGUAUUGUAAUACAAAGUAUUCUUAUAAUAUAAAUUUGAACAUCUAAUUCAGUGAAUAAUAAUUCAAAAAUAGAAAAAAUAUCAUUGAACAAUACCAUAACAUUAAAAAUUUUGAAAAUAAAUAAAAAGUGCAGUAAAUAGUAUCAAAUAAUAUUCUAUUCUUCAGAAACUUAUUUUUGUUUUUCUUCUAUUUGAACAUUCUCCUCAAUCUGUCCGUGCAAAUAAGCAUUUAUUGAUUUUCCAUUAUCGCUACAUGAUAGCAAAGCAGGACAACUAAGUAUUGGAAAAAAAAUGAUUUAUAACAUUCAAGAUUGUGUAUAACAAUACGUAAAGAUUAUAAUUUAAGAAAGUAAAAUAGUAUAUUAAAUCUACAUUCUCAUGCAAAUCUUUUUAUGAUGAUUCCCUUCCACUGUGGUUUUUGUUGAACCCUCUGAUGAAUGAUUCACAUGAAGUGUAUUGAAAUGUUGUUGAUUAGAAUCAUCUGUUAUACUAAUUGGGAUCUGGGAAGAAGAUGCUUCAGGUUAGUAUUGGUCGUCGAUUCCAUCAAUCUGACAAUGAUUUAUCAAAAUUAAAGACAAAAAUAUUAUGUGAGAUAUAAUAUGUGAAAUAUAAGAGAAAUUUAUUGCACAUUACCUGUGAAAGCAUGAAAUGCAUUUCUCUCCCGAAAUCACAGUGAAACCAUCUAGUCAGUGUAAAUCUAUUACUACCUUGUUCCGGAUUGUAAUUGUUCAACUUGACUUGGAACACAAAAGGUUUCCAUUUGAUUUUAUUUAUAAUUGAUGACACAAUUUCACUACUAAAUCUUUUCUGAAAAUGAAAUGCAUAAUAGAUUUUUUUUGUUAGAAUAUUCAACGGUUAAGAUAAGUCUCGGAUUGUCUACUAUUAUUAAAAAUAUUUUUAAAAAUUAGAUAUAAGUUUACUUUGUUAAAUUCUUCAAGAACAAAAGAAAGUUUGUGUUCUAUUAUUCUUUCAGCCUCUUGAUCAAAUAUAACAAACCAAGCACUACCUGUUGCAUCACUUGCCAAGACUUUUAACAUACACCUAUAUAAAUACACAUAUUCUAAAAGUUAUGUUUAUGUAGAUAUUUUACCAAUUAAAUGAUAAAAAGGUUAACACCUACGACAUACCUCAUUUAGGAUACUCCACAUUUUGAUUGCAAGCAUUGCACACAAAAUUAGAUCUUUCUAAUGUCACUUUUCUCUGACAUUUUGGACAUGCUUUGUAGUACAGUUGACUAUUGAAAUCAACCUUCACAUGGUGGAGUUUGAUGAAAAAUCUGACGUCAUUUUGGGCAAGACCAAGCCAUUGGAGGCAUUGCUCAAGCCACGCCUUUCCAUGAUCAACUUAAUUUCUCAGCUUUGAGUUUAUAUAAUAAUUUGUUUUUAAGGUAAAACAGAGACGAAUUUAAUACUUUAUCAGGUAUAAUUACUAGUAUAGAUGGCAAAUGGGCUGGACGGACAAACUUUGGACAGGAUUCAAAUGGGAUCGAAACAUAUGGUCUAUAUCAAAGCAGUCUCAUAUUACUCACGGCAUUAAUAUGGGCUAGUCCCAUUUUGAUAAUGGACCACACACCUAACAAAUUGCUGUUACUUUUUUUUUUUUAGGAAACUUCUAUUCUCAAAAAUUGGUUGUCCUUGAAAUUUUCUAUUUACUUUGUUUUUAAUAUUAUUUAUUUUUUUAUUCGUGAAAGCUCCAUACUUCUUUUUAUUCAUCACACAAUGAUUUUUAAAGUAAACAUUUAUAUUGAAUAUCAUUCAUUCUUUUCCUUGUCUCAUUGAACCCAAAAAGUUAACAUAGAUGUUGAUUUGAUAAAUUAAUGUAAAAAAAAAAACAUGCUGAACAAUAAAAAAGCAAACAACUAAAUUAUAAAAAGACAAAUCUGUACUACUACUACUACUUUCUAUUGUGUAAAGUCAAAACUUUAGUUUUAACACUGGAAAAGAGUAUUAUAUUCUUUGUUUUUGGAGUAAACUGAAAAAUAGAAAAGAUCAAUCAUAUAUAUAUAUAUAUAUAAGUCGUACCCUUAUUCUUAUCCCUUCAUGUUUUCUCUUUCCUACGUGGCUUAACGAGACGGUAAGUAGUUUUCUACGUGGCUUGCUCCUUUUUGUUUAGAUAUAUAUCAAUUUUUAUUUCCUAUAAGAAUUCUUAAUAUUAUAUGAUUCUUAUUUCCUACCCAAAAAAGGAACUGAAAAGUAAUGCGAUAUAAAUAAAAGAGACAUAAAUAUCUCUAUUAGAUAUAUCUCCAAAUUCAUGCCAAUAAUUUGUGUACUGCAUAGGGAACCGAAGUAAAUAAGAAUUGUUAUCACUACAAGAAGUAGAAAAGUAACUAAUUACCGAAAUAAAUUAUUAGAUGUUCAAAUUUAUAUUAUAAGAAUACUUUAUAUUACAAUGCACAUAUAGUAAUAUACUUAAGAAAGGUCAUAAUAAAAUAGACAUUAAGUUUGUAUUUCAUAUCGAUAUUUUUAUAAAAUUGAUUAAAUAGUUUAUUAUUUUUUGAAGAUUCCCGUUCAACGAACGAGUACAAAACUAGUUGGUACAUAAAAGUGGAAGUUGUUAAAUCGGAAGUGGGCCACACCUCCCAACACUGCACCAGUACUACUAUAGUAUUUCAAGUUUCUCAUCAAUAAAAACUUGAGACAUGAAGAUGGUACUCGUAACCACAGAGCUCUAGCUCAGUGGCCACCACCACUUUAGGUGGCAGUCUUAAUUGACUUUUUUCGAUGGAGUCUUUACUCACAUCGAAUCCUCCUCCCCUUCCUCCUAGUACUAGAGUAUAUUAAAAAAAAAAGUAAAUCUUAUAUACACUAUCACCGUUAAAUUUAUGAUAUUUGUGCAAAAGUUGAAUUUCAAAUUCAAAUUUUUACACAGUUAUCACUCAUUCAACACUGAAAGUGUAUACACUGUCAGUGUAGGAAAGAUUAAUUCUAUUAAAAAAUGAAUUCUUUUUUUUUUCUAUUAAAGUAGAUCAACGCUAUAAAUAUAGAUGACCAUGCUAAAAUGAUUAAUAAACAACUAAAAAAAUGAAAAUCUUGUAAAUUGUCACUUUGGAAUCUCAAAUAAUAUCCAAGCAUUCCCAUUUAUAGUUGGGUAUUGUUGGGAUUGACCUCAUUUAAAACCCAACCUCCAUCACUUAAGCCCAUUCCGUCCAAAAUUCUUUUGGACACGGAUAGCUCCAUUGGAAUUUGAGAUCAAUGCACUUGAUAAAAAAAAAGAAAGAGCUAAAGAAUAAAUUAGAAAAUCACAAAUGGCACAAAAAGAAAUUUUAAGCAAUGUCAAUGAUGAAUUUUGCAAACUGACAGGUAGAAAUAUUUUAACUUUUUUUUUAUCGUUUUGUUUCUCAUCACAUGGUCAGUAAAAUUAUUAGCAAUACUUACGCAUAUUGUAGGAAUUAAGUAUUUAAUUAACUGCUCAGCCAAGAUUAGUCUCAAGUCUUAACAGUUCUACAGGCUUGACCAAAUUUUAUGGAGCCCCCUGGAUUCCUUUUAAGAUCAGGCCUUAAGUCUUAAACUUCGAUUUAGUAAGUGCGUUUAAAGUAUUGGGGUCAAAAUUCAAAAUGUAAAGUAUAGCAUACGUGGGAAGUACAUGCAUCCUAAGACAUCUUUAUUCAAUAAUGAACAACCUAAAAUCAUAUAAAAAAAAAACACCAAAAGGUAAAAAUCAGCAACAAAAAAAAAAAAGUGUCUGGCAUAGAGUGUAUCUUGAUUAUGAUAGAAUUAUUCCUUUAAUGGAACAAGAAUAUUGAAACAACUAUAAUCUUCUUUAUCUUAAAGGCUCAUAAUUGUAUCGUAUUCUACCCUGUUUCCCAGCGUUUGUCAUAAUUAGUUAAUUAUGUCUUCGGCUUUAGAAUUAGAGAUUAAUGGUCUCAUAUUAGGUUCGAUAAGAAAAAUAUCGAAUCGAAAGAAAGAAAAUUGUUAAGAGUUCAGUAUUUUGCAGAUAAAGGUUAGAAAAGAGGUAAAUUACUCAUAACUAGGGGCAGAGGUAAAUGUCCAUGAGGGUGGGCAAUUGCUACCACUCGAAUAUUUUAAAAUUGCUUUGUUACCCAACAAACAUUUUUAGUCAUGCUUUAAAUUAGUUAUGAUUUUGUUGUUUGCACCCCUUAAAAUCACAAAAAAAAAAAAAAGUACUUGGCACCCCUUCAAACAAAAAUUGAAGGGCAAAUCACUAAGGUGGCGUUUGGUUCGCACAUCGGUAUUGGAUUCGGAUUCGGAAUUGGAUAUCUUGGGUUUGGAAUGAGGUCAUUCAUUCCAAUACAUUUGUUUGGUUCAAGUACCUGGAAUGUGUAUCAUUACUAUAGUUGAUGUUUGGUCGUCGACUCUUUCGGAAUGGAAUAUAAUAAAUAUAUUAUAAAACCCCAUCGUAAAUGAUAGUUAUUGGCUCUUUGUAAAUGGGAUAUAAGAAAUCUUCACUAAUUAAAUAUAUUAGUAUAAAUGUAUUAGUAAAUUUAGUCUAACUAAUUAAUAAUUUCUAUUAGUAAACAUGUAUAAUUAUUAGUAUAAUGGAUAAUAUUAAUUAUAUUACAUAAAUUAAUAUACAUUAUAUAAUACAUAUAAAUAAUAAUAUUAUUAUUAUAAGUUUGUAACUAAUUAAAUUAAAUAUUAUAUAUAUAAUUAAAUAUAAAUAUACAAAUGUUAUAAUAUAAAUAUAUAAUUAUAUAAUUAUAUAAUAUAUACAAAUAUUAAUUAUAAUAAUAUUUUAUAUAAAUAUAAUAUAUAUUACAUAUUAAAUAUAGUUAUUAUUAUAUAUUAUUAUAUUUAAAAUAAUUAUUAUUAUAAUUAUAUAACUUAUUAAUAUUACAUACAUGUAUAUAUUAUAAUUAUAUGCACAUAUAAUAUACAUUUAUAAAUAUACAUAUAUAUUAUAAAUAUAAUAUUAUAUAAUAAUAAUAAAUUUAUAAUAUAUAUUAUAUAAGUAUAAUUAUAUUUAACUAAAUAAUUAUAAUAUAUAAUUAUAUAAUACAAUAACAUCAUUAUUAUAAGUUUGUAACUAAUUAAAUUAAAUAUUAUAUAUAUAAUUAAUUAUAAUUAUACAAAUGCUAUAAAAUAAAUACAUAAUUAUAAUUAUAUAAUAUAUAAAUAUUAAUUGUACUCAUAUUUUAUAUAAGUAUAAUGCAUAUUAAUAUUAGAUAUAGUAAUUAUUAUAUAUUAUUGUAUUUAAAAUAAUAAAUAUAAAUAUAAAUAUAAUUAUACAAUUUAUUAAUAUUAUAUACAUGUGUAUAUUAUAAUCAUAUGCACAUAUAAUAUGCAUUUAUAAAUAUACAUAUAUAUUAUAAAUAUAUUAUUAUAUAAUAUUAAUAAAUUUAUAAUAUAUAUUAUAUGAAUAUAAUUAUAUUUAACUAAAUAAUUAUAAUAUAUAUUUAUAUAAUGUACUAAUAUUAUAAUUAUAAUAUAUUAUAUAUAUGUAUAUAUUAUAAUAUAUAAUAAAUAUAAUAUAUAUAAAUAUUAAUUAUAUCAUUGUAUAAUUAUAAUAUGUAAUUGGAUUUGUUUCUUGGAAUCAAACUUGGGAAUCGGACAAAACCCACCAAAAUACUUGGGAAUGGAGAAACACCAAAUUUUUAGAAAUCAUUCCAAGAUUUCAAUUCCCAUUCCAGUGAACCAAACACCAUUUAUGGGGUUCAUUCCAUUCCCCGAAUCCGAUACCCUCUUACCAAACGCCCCCUAAGUAAAAUCAAUUGAAACCCAAUGUAUUAUAAGAAAGAAGUUAAGAGAAAACAACAAUUGAGAAAACAAGUUGAUAUAGGCAUAUAUAAAAUCAAGCUACCAUAUUGGAUUGAGAGCAACAAUUUAGGAAUGCAUUGACAAUUGACAAAAACAGUUGAUGUCUUUAAUGAAAGAAACAAGUUAAUUACGUGGAAAGAAAUAAACAAAAUGAGAGAAAAGACUAGAAAAAGGAAACAUAAAAGUUUUGAUACUAUAUAUGGAACAAAAUGUACAUAAGAUAUUUCUUUUUUUUUUUUUAAUUUGAUUUACUCCUAACUCUUACCAUCAUUCAUUUUUGUAAAUUAGCAACAAGGUUUUACGCCGAUGAUUUUUAAUUUUUCUAACCGAUUUAGAUAUUAAAUAGUUUACAAUUCAAUCGGUGACAAAUUACAAAUUCAUUUGUGGAAUAGUAUUAUUGUACUAAUUCACUAUGUGAAUGAAGAUGCCAAAUUCUAUCACUUUACGGACAAAUUAUCCAUAUUCUCCACCAUGGAGAUCCUCGAAAGCUGUUUGGUCCUGAAUUUACCCAUAUUCUCAAUUACUCCGAACUCCGAUGUACUUACUUCAAGAAAUUUAGAAAAUCUAAAAAUCGUUUCCCCAAGUCCACUUGCACUUCAAAUGAAUUUUUAUAUUGCACGUUUCAUUUUACUUUUCUUUAGCUUUAUGUUCCAUCUAUUUUCUUUCAUAAUGGUACCACGCUAGCAACCUUGGUAUUAACAAAGUGGAAUAUACAUAGGCAAGAAAAUCAAUGUUUUUAAAUUCGUAUUGGUGAGUGAAUUGGAUGAACUUUUGAUCCUGAUUUAAUAGUUUGGUCAAAUGUUUAACUUUUUUUAUUUUCUUUAAUAUCAAAUAAUUUGGAUGAUACUGAAAUAUAUAUUAAAAAAAUUCAGUGGUAACUGGGUCAAUGGUCUGGAUUUUGAUCAAUUUAAUCAGUUUUUGACUGAGGUUAAUAGAGUUUUUUUUUUUCAUUUUCUAAGCUUAGCAAGUAAUUGGACCAAUGCCAUUACUAGUUCGCAGUCCAACAGGUCGAACCACUUAAUCAGGUCUGGUUUUUAAAAUACUUAAAUGAGUUUAUCAAUCCAUUCGUGAAGAUUAUUGUAAACGCAUGAUUGAUUACCACCAUCUUUUUUUUUUUUUUUUUGCUUUGCAAGGAAAUACAUCACAUGGAGUUGAGGAUUAUAAAAUGAAAUGAUAAUGUUUGAUCUUUUGAAUGAGCAAGAAAGACCUGCAAAUAAGUUUGAUGUCUGCAUCACAGUUUUUGAAACGAUAAAUGGGUGAAAAUGGUUGCUAUUAGGCUGCAAUUUAAAACACAUUCUUCCAUUUUUUUAUUUUUAUUUUUUUCUUUUGAUAUAAUCUUUUACUCUUGGGAUAAUAUAAGCUAAGCCAUCUUAUUUGACAAAAACAUGCUAUGACAGCGCAACAAGACAGAGAAAUAAAAUAUGCCUUUUCGUAAGCAAAUUGAAUUAAGCUCAUUGUGACAACUGACAGCCUUUGUUGAUGCCACUACAAUAUCGGGGCAGGUCAUAACAUGAAUAUGUAAUUUUUUCAGAAAAUAUCUUUGGUAAAAUGUACAAAAAUUUGAUUAGUGUGUAAAUCUUUGCUGACUAUUCCAUUUCUGAUUGUUUUUUAUUAGUGUGGCAACAUCUUAUUUUCCAUUAGCAGACCAAGAAGUUUGCACUAUUAUAGUCGAUCUUAUUUUGCUUUUUAAGAGUAAAGUACGUCAAAGGUUAUCAAACUUUUCAACAGCUUCAUUUUACUCUCGUAACUAUUUUUGUACUAAAUAGUCCACUAAAUUUUUUAAAAGUCUCAUUUUAUUCAUUGAACUAUUUUUUUUUAUAAGAAAUUGCUCACUAAUUUUUGUUAAAAAUUUUAUUUUACCCAUUCAACUACUUUUUGUACCAAAUAACCUACUAAACUUUUAAAGUGGUUAUCUGGAUCGUUCUGUUAGAUUCUACCAUUAAGACAGAUAAAAGUUUGCCAAGUAGUCCUAUUUUAAAUGAAUUAUUUUGUCAUUUCACACCCAGAAUCUAUAUAUCCAAAUCAAUUUAAAAAUUUUAUAGCUUCAAAAAAACCACAAAUUCUAAUUUGGAUAGGGCCAAAAAUAGUUUCUAUGAGGAUCGAGAUUUUAUUUUGGGAUUUAGGUAUUUUAAAAAGUGAUUGAAUAGUUUAAUCCAUUGGGGCAGAUGGAUUUUAGACGCGCAAUGAUGAAAUUGUCCAUUUAAAUCGGGCUCACAUGACAAACUUUCGUCUAUCUUAAUGGUAGAAUUUAACAAAAUAGUCAAGAUGAAUCACUUUCAAGAGUUUAAUAGGUUAGUUGGUACAAAAAGUAGUUGUCUGGGCAAAAUAAAACAUUUAAAAUGUUUACUAUGCAGUUUGAUAGAAAAAAUAGUUCAAUGAGACUUUUAAAAAGUUUGAACGUCUUUAAUCAACAAUUAGCAACCUUAUAUUGUUUUCUAAUGGUUCAUAGAAAGGACUUAAAGUCUAAAACUGUCCCUUGUCAUAGUCUUAUCUACUCUUGUCUAUUUUCAGUUAACAAUCGUCUAAUAGUUGCAUUAAAAGAAAGGGAUAAUUUCAGAAACCUCCCCUGAGGGUUCUGACAAUUUCACUGAGUUCCUCUGAAGUUUGAAAAAUUAUACAUAUCUCCCUUGUCAUUUAAAAUGACAAUACUAUCCUGAAAUAUUUUAAUGAAAUUCCCUUGUUUGGUAUGCUUAUACUUAGAAUGACUUUUAAAUUAAUUUUUCAUUCUUUUUCCUUUUUAUUUUAAUUUUUUGCUAAUAAAAUUGUAAAAUUACCACUAUUGUCUCUAAUUUCUAUUGUAACCAAAUGUCAAACUAGUGAUUUUUUUAAUGAAUUAACUUUAUACGUAAUUCAAUAUUUUUUGCUAAUCUUUAUUUUCUAUUUUUUGGUAUUAAAAUUAACAAUAAAGCAAAAAAAUUGCCCAAAACCACUACUAAAUUAUGAUAAUCUUACUACUCGAAAAAUUCAUAAAUUCUGAAUCAAUUAUUUCAACGUUUUAUUUUCUAUCUUAUAAAUCUAAAUCCAUAAUAAAAUACUAUCAAAGUAUCGUAUCAUAGUGAUAAAAUUAUUAUUAGAGUUGUUUAUCAAAUAUAGGUAUGGAAAUAAAAAAUUAGGUACAUUUUCCUUAUAAUUACAUUAGAUAAUCUUAUAAUUCUAUAGAGAAGUAAAUUAAAACUCAUUACAUCAGGGCAUUUUUAGGUAUUCAUUUAAAAAUUUGACCAAGUCAAUAUUAUUUUAAUAUUUUGUUACUAAAACUAUCAAAUUAAGGGAGGUAUGUGUAACUUUUUAAAUCUCAAAGGAGCUUAGUGAAAUUAUUAGAAACCUCAGGGGAGGUUUCUGAAAUUAUCCCUAAAAGAAAAUCCACACAUGAAAAAUGAAGUGUUAAACCUUAACUUAUUCAGUAUAAAGUCAACACCAAACUUCUCUCUUUCUUCUUGCCAGUUGCAUUCUGAAUCUUGAUUAUGUAGUUACUCUACAGCAUCCUAAGCCUCAUUUUUUUCCGUUUUCUGGAUUGCUGUGAAGUUUCAGUACUACUUCUCACAGAAAAACAGGAAAUUUCCCACAAAUUUGAUAUUUUGUCUGGUAUAUUACCAGAUACAUGCACUUGGCAAGAGAAGUGCAAAUGGCUUGAAGGAGUUGUUUAAGCAAAUGCAAUGAUGGAUUAACUUAGCAGAAGUUGGAAAUAUUUCAACUUUUUAUGUUUCUGUCUUGUGCUUUCACAUCAAGAAUUUCCAUGUGUUAUAAUUUUUCUUUCUACACAGAGCAACUUGACCCCAUGUCUCUCUCUUUUUUUUUUUUUUUUACAGUCGUCACUUAUGAUUUUUAUAUCUACUCCUAUUCUUACUCUAAUAUAUUUUAAAGAAAGGCCAACUAAACCCACAAGGGAAUCGACGGGAAUUAAACCAUCGUUGAACUAGACGUGUUCACUAUGCACCAUUAUAGAUCUAGAAGAAGCCACUUAAAGCGGCAAGAGACGUGCACCCCAUGUCUAAUAGUAACGUGAAUUGUGAAUUUUAGAUGCUUAUCAAAGCUCGGAAAGAGGGUGCUGCAGCCGGACCAUAUCGUUUGCCUUAAAUAAUGAGUUUCCAAUAAAUUGCAUAUUUCGCCAGGUUAAGGGCACAAAUGGUUGCCAUGUGGACUGUUUCGGAAUGAUUUUGUCUGUUUUGAACGCAAUGUAAAUCAUUUUGAACCCAAUGAAAGAUCUAAGCCUUUCAUUCAGUCAUGUAAAUCAUUUUGAACGCAAUGUAAAUUUAAAAUAAAUUUUUGUGAAUUCGAUAAAUAUGGUGUGAAAACGAUUUACACCACAUGAUCUCAGCCUUAUCUAUAUUUUGGGUUAAUCCUGAUUCUCAAACCACUCCAAAACUUCUACUGCCCCAGUUGUAUUUUUCCAUGGUUUGCUAUGACUAGUUUCUUACGAGGACUGAUAGAGAUUUAUGCUAAUCUCCAUAUUAGUUUUGACAAAGAAGAAUUUGAAUUAAAUUACAAAAUAAUAUUAAGAGAAUAGUUAAUAAAAUACGGAGUGAGAAUAAUACGAAGUGUUAUGCGUACCCGCAUUUCACAAGUUUUUCCUCAAAAGUAUAAAUAGAAGUUCAAUUGCAAAUGCGAGCUUAUUAUAUUUACACUUAAAAUUACACACUUAUUUACCAUAAAUUUUAGAUCUUAUGCUCUAUUAACACUAGUUUUCAAUUGUAUUUUUGUACGUGAAUUGAUUAUAAUUUUAUCGAAUAGUUAUAGAUGCAAGUAUAUGAAAGUACCAUGUGAGUCUGUUAUUUUUUUUAUAGCUCAUAAAAUACAUAUUGUUUGAAUGGAAAUUUUAAAAUUUUGUCAUGAAUUGAUGUUUUUUCUGAAGUAUGAUAUCAUAAAAGUUUAUUAGGUGCUUUUGUUGAAAAGUAUGAGUAAUUUUUGUUGGAAAAUAGUAUUCAAGCCCUUGCGUUUUCAGUCACUUUUGUAUUGUUGGGUAAUAAGGGUGGUCACAUAGGAUCACAUCCCAUUGGAUUUAUAAACUAGAAGUAGCGAAGACAUUGGUUUUCUUUGUAAGCCGCAUGGAGUUUUUAUUGUUGGAAAAUAAUAUUCCAUACUAACACAACUUUAUGAUAUAAAAAUAGAAUAAAAGAUGAUCCACCUUCGAUUUCUUAGAUUGCCUAAUUUGAGUUGCUUUUUGUAACUGAAUUCUUUGUUAUUUAAAGUGUCACUUUCACAUUUCUUUUGGGUUGUUGCUGGAGCCUUCACUUAUUGUUAAAUUGAAAAAAUUAUUCUUAAAACUUAAUUUAGUUGGUAGGCACAUUUUUUGAGGUGAUACAAGUUAUACUUUGAAAUGAAAGAAAAUUCCAAAUCCGCUUUGUCUACUAACAAGGAAGUUAUAAGUAAUGUAACUAUGAAUCUCAUGGAGAGUUUAAUCCUGAUUUAGGAUGAACGUUGACGGCAAGAUUUUUAAUUUGACUUUCAAACAUUUCUCGUGUAAGAUUUUGAGUCUUUUCUUGAACCAAAUAAAUAAUUAAAUAAUAUAACAUAAAACAUUUUUCCCUUUGCAUCUUAUGGAUUUUCUUGAGAACUCUUGCUAUGAACGCGUACUAUUCGAUAUAAUACGAGUUUUUCUACACUAUGAUCGGUAGGAUCGUACUCUCGGUGGGGGAGAAAGCCAAGGAAAGUUGAUUCAAAUUCCUAACCUCUACCUUCGACCCUCAGUUUUGCUUUAAUAGUCCCUACCCAAAUGAUUAAAAUAGUCCCUCAACUUUUUUUGUUCAAAAGUUUGUGUGCCCCAACUUUAGUUCAUUAGCUGAUUAAGUCACCAGCUAUUUAACACUCAGUUACUUUGUUUGGAUAGUGAAUUAUUUAAAAAUUUAUUUGCUUGUAUCAAUACAUUUUUUAAUUAUUUUUUUAUUUUAUAUAUAUCACAUCAAAAAAGUGAUACACCAUUAUUCUAUCUCACAUACAUCACAUAAAAAAGUAUUACAAUAUUUGUUCAAAAAAUUAUCCUAAAUAAUCUACUAUCCAAACACAUAGCUUUGGAGCAUCAAUGAAAUCUCCUUGCAAGGUUGGCAUUUUUCCAAGAAGUUUUUAUAUGUGUUAUCUUAGAACAAUGGCAAUAAGCAACUCGAUUUGCCAUGAUCUGGUGCCCCAACCAUGAAAUUCCAAACUCCAAUUAUUGGUCAUUGUACAAGUUGAUUUAUAGAUGACGGUAGCAUCUGAUUCUCGAAAAAAGGGUUUCUACCAAAUAUUCCUAUUUUCUUUGCCUUCGAUCAUUUUUUUUUAACAUUAACAAAUAUGUGCUUCGUCCAAUUAAGGAGGAUGGCAAAUUUGCUUUUUAAUCGGAGCCUCGGUGUUCCCCGAACAUGCCUUUCGAAGAUGGCUUCCUCGUAAGCUCCCGAAGUAGAUGGCUUGGCCUCUCCCUCUACCCCCGAAAAUAUCAUAUUUUUAUUAAGUUGAAAUCAGGGAAAAAUUAUCCCACACGCAUGGAUGUUCCAAUGGCCAAUACCGAAAAAAAAAAUAGUUUGUUGGGUGUGGGCUAGCCCAUUUGUGGGCCAACCCAUUUGUGCAAGUAAACAACACUUGAGGGCUUCUCAAGUUUAACUACAAAGUGGCCCGCAUGAGGUAAUUUCAAUUCUUCGGUCCUUAUGCGACAGAAAAAAAAAGGACAGUCGCCAUCUUUUGCUGGUUGAGAGAAAAACGAAGAGAGAGAAAGAGCUAGAGAGAGAGAAACUUCAAGAUCUUAAUUGGAGGGUGAUUUAAAACCCGAUUGAGACGAAAUUUUACACACGCGAUCCUCUUGUCAAGCUCUACUCAUCUACCGGUUCAACUUUCAGAUUUCUUCUUUGUUUGGUAACACUUUUUCAAACUCACUUCUUUGACAGUUGUAGUUUUUUGGGGUGAUUUUGUAACAAUUUCACUUGAUUGGUGGUGGUGAUAUUAUUAUCGUCCGAAUAUUUCGGAUAGACCUGUGUAUUUCCACUAUUGUCAUAGUGGAGAUUUUGGCUGGACUAGAUCCCGUGAUUUUUUCUAAUUGGAUUUUUCACGUAAAAAUUUUGGUGUCCUGUGCCUUCUAUUUUUCUUGCAUUUUAUUAUCACUGCUGGCAUUAUUACUUGGUGAUUUGAUUUGUUUCUGUUUUAACUGGUACUUGAGAAAAGAGAAAUUUGUUUUGGGCUAACUCUGAUAUUGUGAGUCUGUACUGGUACCCCUUUCCCAACAAGUGGUAUCAGAGCAGUCAGGUUAGGCUGCUCAUUUGUACUGGUUAAAAAUGAAUGAUUCAGAUAGUGGUUGCAUGAUAAAAUUGAAUGCCACUAAUUAUUCAAUUUGGAAACCCAGAAUGGAAGACUACUUGUAUUGUAGAGAUUUGUUUGAACCUAUUCUAAGGGAUAAAGGCAGACCAAGUGAUAUGAGUGAUGAAAAAUGGGCUAUUAUGCACAGAAAAACUGUUGGUAAUAUUAGAAAAUAGAUUGGUCAAACUAUUUUUCAACAUUUUGCUAAUGACACCAGACCUGAUGUAUUAUGGAAAAAGUUUGAGAGUAUGUAUGAAAGGAAGAUCGGUUUGAACAAAACUAGUCAUCUGAAACAGAUUAUUCAGAUGAGAUAUAAGGGUGGGAAAGAUAUGAAUGAACACCUGAUUAAUUUUCAGGGAUUGAUAAACCAGACAACUACGUUAAAUUUGAAAUUGGAUGAUGAAGUGCAAGCUUUAUUAUUAUUCAAUUCACUACCGGAUAGUUGGGAAAUUAUAGUGGUCUUUGUCAGCAAUUUAGCUCCAAAUAGUGUGUUGACUAUGGCUAUUACAAAAGAGGCCGUGAUGAAUGAAGAGUUCAGGAGGAAGGAACAAGGAAUUGUCUAUGAGUCCCAAACCCUGGUGACAGAAAAGAAAAAAAGAAGAAGGAGAAGCAAAAGUAGAGGACCCCACAACAGGAAUGACAAAUCCAAAGAUAGGUAUGAGUCACAAAAAAAUGUUGCAUGCUAUUAUUGUAAAAAGAAUGGACAUUAUAUGAAGGAGUACAGAAUCCUAAAACGGGAACAAGCUGAGAAAAAGGGUAAGGCGAAAGAAAAAGGUGAUGAAGAGACUACAGCAGUUGUGGCAGCUCAUGAUGAUAUGUUUGUGUUCUGUGAUGAUGGUCAGGUGAAUAUUAUUCAUUAUGACAGUGAUUGGGUAGUUGAUUCGGGUGCAUCUUGCCAUGUUACUCCUCACAGGCAUUUCUUCUCAACCUACACCGAAGGAAAUUUUGGAUAUGUUAGAAUGGAAAAUGAGGUCUCAUGCAAAGUUGUUGGCAUGGGAUACAUAUAUUUGAAUACAGAUACCGGGUGCCAGCUGAUAUUAAAAAAUGCUCGACAUGUCCUUGAUAUUCGCCUUAAUCUUAUCUCUACAGGAAAACUUGACGAUAUGGGUUACCAUAGCUUGCAAGGUGGAGCCAAAUGAAAACUCAGCAAAGAAAAUAUAAUUGUUGUUAGAGAAAAGAAACAGAGUACUCUCUACUUGAUGCAAGCCAAGUUUGGGAAGAGAGAAGUCAAUGCAGUUCGUAAUUCAUUAAUUGACCUGUGGCAUAAGCGACUUGGGCACAUGGGUGAAAAAGGAAUUCAGAUACUUGUUCGCAAAUAAAUCUUACCUGAACUUAGAGGUAAUGCACUUAAAUCUUGUAUUGACUGCAUUUAUGAGAAACAACAAAGAGUUGCAUUCAAAACUUUUCUUCCAUCUAGAAAAUUAAAUCCGUUAGAAUUGGUGUACACUGAUGUUUGCUAUAUGAAAGAUAAGUCUCUUGGUGGUGCUAUUUAUUUUGUAACUUUUAUUGAUGACUUUGCUAGAAAGGUUUGGUGUUUUGUUUUGAAAUCCAAAGAUCAAGUUUUGGAUGUGUUUAAAGAUUUUCACAACAAAGUUAAAAGAGACUAACAAGCAGUUAAAGUGUAUUUGUGCUGAUAAUGGUGGUGAGUACAGAGGAUCAUUUGAAAUCUAUUGCAAGUCCCAUGGAAUCAGAUUGGAGAAAACUGUACCAAAAAUUUCUCAAGAGAAUGGAGUAGCAGAGAGGAUGAACAGAUCCAUCAUUGAGCGGGUUAGAUGUAUGCUCUCUAAUGCUAAACUGUCAAAACCCUUUUGGGGUGAGGCAAUGAGGACUGCAGUUGAUUUGAUAAAUCUUUUUUCAUCAGUUCCUCUAGAUGGUGAUAUCCCAGAAAGGGUAUGGACGGAAAAAGAUGUGUCCUUUAAACAUUUGAGAGUUUUUUAUUGUCGGACAUUUGUUCAUAUUCCCAAGGAUGAAAUAUCAAAACUUGAUGUAAAAUCAAAACAAUGCAUUUUCUUGGGUUAUGGACAUGAAGAUUUUGGUUAUAGGUUGUAUGAUCCUAUCGAGAAGAAGGUGAUCAGGAGUAGAGAUAUUAUCUUCUUUGAAGAUCAAACCAUUGAAUACAUUGAUAAAAGUGAUAAGUCAAAAUUCUCAAAUGACAUUCCUGCUAGUUCAAAUUCAGAUCCAGAUCUAAUUCCAGUACCUAUUGAUUUUAAUCAAGGGGGAAUUGAGAUAGAGCAGAGAGAGGAUGUUAAUGAUGGUGAUAGUCCUACUACUGAUGAAUUUGAGCAUGAAACACCAUCUACUCCACCACCACCACCACAAGAUGAGAUUAGGAAAUCUACCAGAGAGAGGAAACCUUCUAGCAGAUAUAAUUCUCAUGAAUAUUUGUUGUUAACAGAUGGAAGAGAGUCAGAGUCCUACAGUGAGGCUUUAGAGCAUGAGAACAAAGAAGAUUGGUUGCAAGCCAUGCAAGAGGAGAUGGUGUCCUUGCAUGAGAAUCAUACUUAUGACUUAGUGAAACUGCCUAAGGGUAAGAGAGUUCUGAAGAAUAAAUGGGUCUACAGGUUGAAGGCUCAGGAGCACAGUUCACAACCAAAGUACAAAGCAAGAUUGGUUGUGAAGGGAUUUAGUCAAAAGAAUGGUGUAGAUUUUGAAGAAAUCUGUUCUCCUGUGGUAAAAAUGUCAUCAAUUCGAGUUGUUCUUGGUAUUGCAGCCAAUUUGAAUUUAGAGAUCAAACAACUUGAUGUGAAGACAGCCUUCCUGCAUGGUGAUUUGAAAAAGAAGAUCUACGUGGAGCAACCGGAGGGGCUCAAAGAAAGUGGUAAGGAAAAUUUUGUAUGCCGUCUCAAGAAGAGUUUGUAUGGAUUGAAACAAGCACCAAAACAGUGGUAUAAGAAGUUUGACUCCUUCAUGACAGACCAUGAGUACCACAAGACUACAUCUGAUCACUGUGUUUAUGUGAAAAAUUUUUCAAAUGGUGAUUUUAUUAUUCUCUUGCUAUAUGUUGAUGACAUGUUGAUUGUUGGCCGUGAUACUAUAAAAAUUGACAGGUUGAAAAAGGAGUUAAGUAAAUCCUUUGCAAUGAAGGAUUUAGGUCCGGUUAGACAGAUACUGGGGAUGAAAAUCUCACGUGACAGGCAGAAUGAGAAGCUCUGGUUGUCUCAAGAAAAAUACAUUGAGAAAGUGCUCAAUAGCUUUAACAUGAGCAAUGCUAACGAAGUUUCAACUCCACUUGCAGGUCACUUUAAAUUGAAUAUCAAACAGUAUCCUACAAGUGAGAAAGAUAAAGAAGACAUGAAGAAGGUUCAUUAUGUUUCGGUUGUUGGUAGUUUGAUGUAUGCUAUGGUUUGCACCAGACCAGAUAUUGCUCGUGCAGUUGGAGUAGUCAAUCGGUAUCUCUCUAAUCCUGGUAAGGAGCAUUGGAAUGCUGUCAAAUAGAUUCUCAGGUAUCUCAAGGGAACUUCUAGAUUAUGUCUAUGUUUUGGAAAUGGUAAAACUAUGCUAGAUGGAUACACUGAUGCAGAUAUGGCAGGUGAUCUUGAUAAUAGGAAGUCCACAUCUGGGUACUUGAUGAUCUUUGCAGGGGAGCAGUGUCAUGGCAAAGUAAGUUACAGAAGUGUAUCGCCCUUUCUAGUAUGGAGGCUGAGUACAUUGCAACCACUGAAACAUGCAAGGAGACUCUUUGGUUGCAGAAAUUUCUUCAGGAGUUGGGUAUGAAACAAGAGAAGUAUAGUAUUUAUUGUGACAGUCAGAGUGCUAUUCAUUUGUGUAAGAACUCUAAAUUUCACUCUUGAUCCAAACAUAUUGAUGUGAGAUAUCAUUGGAUUCGGGAAGUAUUGGAUUCUAAGUUAUUGACACUUGAGAAGGUGCAUACAAAUGAUAAUGGUGCUGAUAUAUUUACCAAAGCACUGUCUAAGGAAAAACUUUUAUUUUACAGACAAGAAACAAGGUUAGUGGAACCCCUCAAAUGAACUGGAGGGGGAGAUUGUUGGGUGUGGGCCAGCCCAUUUGUGGGCCAACCCAUUUGUGCAAGUAAACAACACUUGAGGGCUUCUCAAGUUUAACUACAAGCGGCAGCCGCAUGAGGUAAUUUCAAUUCUUCGGUCCUCGUGCGAGAGAAAAAAAAAAGGACAGCCGCCAUUUUUUGCUGGUUGAGAGAAAAACGAAGAGAGAGAGAAACUUUAAGGUCUUAAUUGGAGAGUGAUUUGAAACCCGAUUGAGAUGAAAUUUUACACACGCGAUCCUCUUGUCAAGCUCUACUCAUCUACCGGUUCAGAUUUCAGAUUUUCUCUUCGUUUGGUAAUACUUUUCCAAACUCACUUCUUUGACAGUUGUAAUUUUUUGGGGUGAUUUUGUAGCAAUUUCACUUGAUUGGUGGUGGUGAUAUUAUUAUUGUUCGAAUAUUUCGGAUAGACCUGUGUAUUCACAUUAUUGUGAUAGUGAAAAUUUUGAUUGGAUUAGGUCCCGUGAUUUUUUCCAAUUGGAUUUUCCACGUAAAAAUUUUGGUGUCCUGUACCUUCUAUUUUUCUUGCAUUUUAUUAUCACUGCUGACAUUAUUACUUGGUGAUUUGAUUUAUUUCUAUUUUAAUUGGUACUUGGGAAAAGAGAAAUUUAUUCUGGGCUAACUCUGAUAUUGUGAGCCUGUACUGGUACCUCUUUCCCAACAUAGUUAUACACUAUUCAGCACACUCUAAAUAAAAUACAAUCUAAUUAGUCAACUACAACAGUACACCACUAGCAAAUGACUCGAGCAAAAAAUUUCCGAUCUAAGUCUCAACUGGUACUAAUCUUCCAAUUCUUGCUAAAUCUAUCUACUUAUAAGGGUACAAUUUACAGCAUGAACAAUUCAUUCCACCACUAUAGAGCAUGCAUAUUUGACGGUUGGCUAGCUAGUCUAUGCAGAAAAUGUAACAUUUGGGUAGCUCAAUCACACAAGGACAAAAUUGGCUACCACAAAAUACUUCGAGGACUUAGUUAGCUAAAGUUAGGAGUUGAAGCACUAAAAUGGUUUAGUAAAAAAGUUCAUUUGCUCUAUUUCCUCCAACAAAUUUAGGGAAAAAAAAGAGAUUAUUUCGCCCAAUUAAGUCCACUGCCACUGGCACUUCCAGUAACUUAUUGUGGAGGUAAGUUCUUCUUCUUCUUCUUUUUUAUUUCUUUUCCUUUUCUUGAAAUUUGAUGUUUGACACACUUUCUUUGGUAAUGUCAUACUGCCAAGGUUUGUAUUAACAGAGUUGAGAAUAUAAAGGCAAAAAAAAGUUUAUCUAUCCACUGAUGGAAAUUUGUGAAUGGUGAUUACCAUAAAAAAAAUUUUUAUUUCUUCUUUUUUUUUGGUUAACAUUACCUGGAAUCAGGCUUUAUGAAAUAUAGUCAUGAUGUUUGAUCUUUUGCAUUUUGAGCAAGAAAGACGUAUACUUUUUGUCUUUUGGAUUUCUGAAGGUAAGAGUUUGUUGUCUUUGGCAGGGUUCAUCAAACCAUAGCUCUAUUAUCAGGCUUUAAAAUAAAACACACUUAACUUUUUCGAAAGCAAAUAAAAUUAAGACAACUCACAACCUUUGUUUGAUGCCACUGAAGUAUUGGGGCUGGUCAUAUAUAAUAUAUAAAUUUUGGGUACUGCCAGCAAAUAUCUCUGGAAAGAUGCACAAAAUUUAGAUUAUUACAUGCAUGAUCCCAAAUUUGGGAAGCACCAAAAUGUAGAAACAUGAUAGAAGGAACUAAAACUCAUAGGCCCACGUUUCAAUCUUAUUCAUUUCAAAAUUGCCCAGCUAUUGCCUUAGAUCUACUUUUACCCACACAUGAAAAAUGAAGUGAAACAUGAUAGCUGCAAGGACUCUCUUCAAUGGUCACUUGUCAAAGCAACUCCACUAUGCAAUAAUUAAUUAUGGGGUGAACUUCAAAUUAAAUAAAUGAUAUUUAUAGUAAGACAAGUAUUAAUGAGGGAAAGAAUUACUUCCUCCGCCUUAUUUUAUUAGGUUUGCUUUCUAUUUUAGUUUGUCCCAAAUUAUUUGUCAUAGCCUAAAAGAGAAAAAUGAAAAGAGACCAAUUUGCCCUUUUUUACGCUUCAUAAAAAAGAGUAUUAAUGUCAUGUUUUAGCAUUAAACGCUUUAACAAACUAUUAUAAAAUUCCCAAAAUCAAAAGCAACAAACAAAAUUUAAAUUCAAGUUAAGAGGUAAUUAUGGAAACAUUUAUUUGUUGGUUGGUCAAAAAUCAAAUUCCUUAACGUAUGUGCAAAAUUAUACAUGACAAGUCAAAUGAGACGGAUAGAGUAUUAUGUGUUUUAAUGAUGUCAUCUUAGUGCCUAGAUUUGUUGGUUUAUUGUCCAUAUUUUUUGAAUUAAUGUUGUAACUUUCAGUAAGUAAGUUAGAGAUUUUGAAUCAGAAUCUCUUACUCAUGAUCCUUCCAUUUUAUUAUCUAACCCGACCCGACCCAUCCCACCCCCUAUUUAUUGAAUCAAUAUUGAUGCUCAUGUAUGAAACAACUGAUACUGGUGAUCAGAGAGUGCCCAAAUGCAAAAUUACUACACUGCACAUAAAGUCAACGACAAACAUCUUUCUCCUUGCUUCUUGCAUCUUGAGCCUUGAUCAUGGAGUUACUCUACACCAUUCUUGGUCUCUUCAUAUUCUUGAUGGCUGUAAAGUAUCAGUAUCUCCGAAAAAAGAACCGAAAACUGCAGCCUCCAAGCCCUCCAGCUCUUCCAAUUUUGGGCCAUCUUCACCUUGUGAAAACUGCCCCUCACCUUGCCCUGCAAAAGCUCUCCAUCAAAUAUGGUCCCCUGAUUUCACUUCAUUUUGGGAUUCGCCCUUUCCUUGUCGUUUCCUCACCAUCUCUUGCAGAGGAAUGCUUAACCAAGACUAAUGAUAUUAUUUUUGCGAACCGGCCUGAGUCAGUUUCCAGUAAAUACCUUGGCUACAACUCAACUGCUCUCAUAAUCUCCCCUUAUGGAGAUCACUGGCGAAAUCUCCGCCGAGUCACAACCAUCCAUAUGUUUUCUUCGAUUCAACUCCAGCGUUUCUCCUCCAUCUGGACUGAAGAAAUCCAUUUCAUCAUCAAAAAAUUGUUUUCCAGUAACUCUGAUGAGAAAACCUCGAAAGUUAAGGACAUGAGUUCUUUGUUCCGGGAGUUAUUAUUCAACGUGAUAAUGAAAAUAGUUGCUGGAAAAAGAUGGCCAUCUGAUCAGCCAGGUGAUAUAUUUUCACCGCGAGCACUCACUGAUCUUUGUGAUUAUAUUCCAAUCUUGAGGUGGGUUGGCUAUGGAGGGUUGGAGAAAGGUGUAAUCAGUUUGCACCAGAAAAGGGACGAGUUUCUUCAGGGCCUGAUUGAUCAAAUGCGGAAAGAGGAAGCAGAAGACGGUUCUUGUUCGACGGAGAGAAGGAAAACAAUUAUUCAAAAAUUGUUAUCUCUACAAGAAGCAGAACCCGAAUACUACACUGACGAAAUUGUUAAAGGAAUUAUACAAGUAAGUCUCUUCUACCUGAAUCUCUUUUACAAAUUGGUCUAUAAUUCAUUAGGACAAGGUCAUCUCACCCAUGUAGCAGCAGCACAAAUUGUCUAGCCAUAUUUAGUGGUAGGGCUAAGACUAGUGACGAGGGAUGCAAUGCUUCUGAAUUUUGAAAUGAUCAAAUCAAAUUGUAGCUUGAUGUUGUGGUCAGAUCUGAACUGUAGAAAACACCUCCGACAGCACAAAGGCACCGGAUCUAGUGGUGAGUGGGGAAAUGGUAUAUGCCACUAACUUCAGUGUUGGUGUCUAGGGAAGAAAUUUAGUCAAAGUCUUUCCAAAAAUUUGGUUUUGUUUGGGUACACAUGAUUUCAACAUUAAAUGUGCCAAUAUCUAGUGGUGACUGGUAAGUUGGGGCAUCCAUCAACAUGUAAAUUGGGUAAAAUCUUGUCGUGGUUCUCUAACGUAACGGGAGAGGGGCUAGUGAGGUUGGAGUUUGGUAUUACAUUUUUUACAUUGUUUGGUGUAUAAUUACAUUAUAUUAUUAUAUUUGAAGUAAAAGUAGUGUACAUUAAUAAAAUAUUUGACACAUAUUCAGUACAAUAUUACGAUGUAUUUGUACACUAAAAAAUUUAAACUUGUACAAGAAUUGGACGAAAUUAUACAAAAUAUAAUUGUACCGAAUUCUUGUCCCAAAGUAACAUAUCAAUUUAUGGCUGUAUCUAUCAUUUUAAACCAUAAAAUAAUCAAAGAAUUUUUAAUGGUAUGUGACAAUAUAUAAGGUUUUAACAAUCUUUUCCGCUAAUAUAAUUUAGGAAUCUAGUUCACAAAAUUUAUGGACACAUGAGGAUAACUUAAACGAACGAAAAAGAUCAUUUUACAAAUUACCUUUAAAAGUUUAGAAAGAGUUGUCAAUAUAACUAUCUAAAAAAUGUACAACACUUGUAAUAAAGUAAAAUUCAUCACAAAAUAAUCUGCACAACUUUAUUACAAGAAUGUUAAAAAUCAGUCUCCUCUUAACAAAAAAUACAUGUAAUUGUAUCCUACUAUUGGUUGUACAUUUUUUAAAUUUUGUUUUGUUGGCCAAAUUAAGGCCUUUAAAAUUUGGGGAAGGUAUCCCUACCCCUGAUGGAGGUGAUAUACUAACAAUUGAUACACGUGAUAAUAUUCAAUAACGGACAACAGAAGCAAAUCGGAUGAGAUAAGAUAACAGCCACUUGAACAAUUGGUCACCACAAAAACUUUAAAGUAAAGUCUUGGUGAGAGUGAUAGAUCAAGUUCAACCCUUACUUUCCACCAUAUACUUGCCAUUUAAUUAUUGCGCCUGACACUUUUAAUGACUUUCUCCCCUAAAUUAAAAUAGAGUAGAUUAUAAAAAUAUAUAAAAAAAGAUGAGAUAAGAUAAUGAGACCUUAACCAAGUUACUCGUGGUUGGGGCUAAGUCAACGGUGGAGGCUGUGAGACAUUUUAAAAAGUGUUCAUUUGAGCAUAGAUAUUAAGUAAUACUUAUGGCACAAUAUUUUAACUGGUUGUCUCUAACAAAAUAUUUUUAUUUUCAUUGAAACAUUCCACAUCUUUAAAUCUUACCUCUCUCUUGUUAUAAAAAAAUAAAAUGUAUAUAUUUUAUUAGUAAUACUUUCGUUUACAUAACUAUAUAUAUAUAUAUAUAUUAUGUGCCUCAUUGAUGUUCCAUAACGAAUACUUUAUUUUCAGAUUUUUAGAAUGUAAGUGGUUGCAAAUGUUUGCACCACAUAAUUGCCCUAGCAAGUUUGGUUUGAUGUGCGUUGUUGACAAAUGUCUGAACCGAACUCCCGCAGAAUUAGCUCAGUUAGUAAGACUAUUAGGCAGAUGAUCGUGAAAUCUUUGUUGAAUUCUCAAAUCUCCCUUUUUCUCUUUAUAAGGCUUUGAAUCUCUCUUAAAAAUAAAAAACAGAAAUCUCGAUUACGAACUCAUCUAGUGAGGCUCCUAAUUUAGAAUCAGGGAACUCGAUAUUUGUUUGGUGCCACUUCUACGGAGGCCAAUUGACAGCCAAGAAUCGGGGAUAAAUUAACUCAACAAAAAGGGUUGCUUUCAAUUUAUACCCGUGUUUAAGGGUUAAAUGCAUAAAACUCCCGCGAACUAGAACACUAGUUGCACUUUACACUCUAAAGUAUUUUACUAAGCACUUUACACCCUUAGUCAACUAAAAUAUUACACGAAAAUUAAUUUCAUCCAAAUAAUUGAUGAAAUGAUUAAUUUAUCCUCCAUUAAAAACUUUAAGUGAUAUGAGAUUGGCUACCCUAUUGGAAGACAUUCAUCAUUUAAAGUUGUUGUUUUAUAUAUGCUCCUUUUGUUAAGUUAGCAAGGAUCAUAAUCAUAUUAGUAAUAGGAUUAUCUCAUAUGCUUUAGCAUCAUUUAAGAUGAGAAACUUUGAUUCCUCCGUGUUAAAAUACACUGAUUGUAUAGUUCCAUCGAACCCUAACUCGAAACGGUAAAGUUUUUGUUAAUCUAUAAAAUCACUUAUCGUUUUUAAAAAAAUUAAAAUCUUAAGUGAUAAAAAUACUAUUUUGGUGGGGAAGAUUACUACUUUAAAUAGACUAAGUUUCACUUUAUAUCAAAAAGUCUAAUUGGUAACACAUAAAAAAUUAUUUUGAGUGAUGAUUAGGACUAUUGGGGUCAAAAUAGGGGCAAAAUAUAGAAAUAUUGAGUGCUCACUAUUGCAAUUUUUAAAAUCUCAUAAUUUUCUUCAAUGCAUCAUAAUGCUAUAACUUCAUAUAAUCAGCAAAAUUUCACUCGGAAUCUUCACAAGCAUAAAAUUGGAGUAGAACCCCAAAAUUUUCAUAUGAAUUUAGCACAAUAUUUGCAAUAAAAUUCAAUACUGAACCAAAAUUAGACGCUGUAUAUUAGGAAACAAAAUAUUGAGCUCAAAAAUUUUAAUAAAACACCUAAAUCAUUUACUUUUCCUUGACAACAAUCUUUUCUUACAUAGGCUAACUUGAAGUACGUAGGAAAAUAGGGUUGAUGAGAUUCUUGAAUUGAAUUUAUUCCUUUUCUUAUUUUUUUUCCUACUUCUUUUGUUUUAAUUGUCAUUUAAAGUGAUCAUAUAUUUUAUUGUUAUAUGUUUUCAAUUAGAAAUUUAUUAUGAAGUGAAAAUUAAUCCAUUUAAAGUGACAUUUUUUUCUACCAAAAGGGUAUUUUUGUCACUUAAAAGCUUUUAAUGGACGAUAAAUUGGUCAUUUCAUCAAUUAUUUAGAUGGGGUUAAUUUUCUUAUUAUUUUAUAGUUGACCAAGGGUGUAAAGUAGGAAUGGCAAUGGGGCCUCUCCCCCGCUCCCGCCUCGCCCCCCCCUACCGGCGGGGAAAAAGUUUAUAAUUAGUAAAAAUAUAUAUUUAGUAAAAAAUUUAAUUAGUAAUUUAAUAUAAAUAUAUAGUUAGUAAAAAUUAUAUAAUAAAAUAAAUGCAUAAAUAGUAAAAAAUAUAAUAAUAAUUUAGUAUAAAUAUAUUAGUAUAACUAAUCAAUAAUUUGUAUUAAUAUAAAUAUAUAAUUAUUAGUAUAACUAAUAAUAUUAAAUAUGUUAUGUAUAUAAUUAAUGUAUAUGUAUAUAUAUACAUAUAUUAUUUUGUUUAAGUGGGGGAUAGAGCAGGGGAUGGGGCGCGGGUAUAGUCCCUUAUACCCCACCCCAUUUUUAACGGGGGAGCAUUUUAUCCCCCACCCCUAUCCUCCACGGGGUGGGGUGCCCGCGGGACUCGCCCAAUUGUCAUUCCUAGUGUAAAGUGUCUAUUAAAAUAGUUUAUGGUGCAAAAUGCAACUAGUGCAAUAGCUGGUGGGGGAGGGGGGUUUACAUUUAACCCCUUAUUUAAUUUUGGCUUUUCAGUUUAUACUGUGAACUAUGAAUUGUGACACUUAAAUAUAAUAUAUUAUCAAUUUUGGGGCACAUCGUCCAAAUAAGAUAAAACCAAUUAAUUCUUUUAACAACUUUAGAAUGAAACAUUUUAAUACCACUAAAUGAAUUAGAGAAUUUGGACAAACAACAAAUUAAGGAUAUGUGAAGCCUUCUAAGCUAACUAUAGAAAAAGUUAUUUGGAUUUGAGUUGAUUUGACCAAUGGGCCAACAAAAGAAUAGUAUAAGAUACUAAAGUUCUAAAAUUAGCAAUUUAGAGAGUAACAAGCAAAUUGGUGAUAAUUUAGGAGUGCAUAUUGGAAUUAACCCAAAAAAAGUAGUUCCUUCAUGCCUCUACAUAUAAUUGAGGUCUAUAAAUAUCACAUGCCACAAUAUAUGGUUCCCUUCUUAUGUUGACCAUUGGACAUUCAUUUGCGAUCAAUGUCAAAAGUGUAAAGUAUUGAUUCAUGAUCUACAUCAAGAGAAAUGACAUUAUUUGUCAACAACCUAAUUCUAAAAACUAAUUCAUAUUCUUUUCUUAUUCAUUCAAAAAGUUCCAUUGAAUUUGACUGUACAUUACUUCUUGUGUAGAUAAUGUUCUCAGCCGGAACCCAUACUACAUCUCAGACAAUGGAGUGGGCAUUGUCCAGCCUAUUAAAUCACCCUAAUGUACUGCAAAAGGCAAGAGAUGAGCUAGAAAAAAUGCAGCCUGGCCAUCUGCUAACUGAUUCCGAUCUCUCCAAAUUGCCUUAUUUACGCUGCAUAAUCAACGAGACACUAAGGUUAUUUCCUGCGGCCCCGACUCUUGUGCCUCAUUUUUCAUCUGAGGUUUGCACCAUAGGAGGCUACAAGGUUCCUAAAGGUACAACUUUGUUAGUGAACGCUUGGGCCAUUCACAGGGACCCCAACGUUUGGGAAGAGCCCAACAAGUAUAAGCCAGAAAGAUUUGAAGGAAUGGGUGAGGGAGGGUGGAAUGAAGGGUUCAAGUUUCUUCCAUUUGGAAAAGGCAGGAGAAUUUGUCCAGGAGCUGCCAUGGCCAUAAGGUUGGUUGGGUUGACAUUGGGCACCCUGAUUCAAUGUUUUGAAUGGGAAAGAGUUGGGCCUGAAAUGGUGGAUUUGGAAGAAAAUCAAGGAGCAACUUUGGGCAAGGCCAAGCCUUUGGAGGCAUCUUACAAGCCACGCCCAUCUAUGAUCAAAACAAUUUCUCAGCUUUAAGUUAGAUAUGUUGUUGUAUUAAGAUAAAUUGGGAUUUCUUUUUUUUUUUUUAAACUUAAAUAUCAAGAAAUAAGUGUCUGUUUUUUUUGGUUUUGAGCUCCUCUUACAAUUUCAGAUUUGUUGUUGUAACUAUCUUUCAAUACAAGUUAAUGCUAAAAUUAUACAAACUUAAAUAUUUUACGUGAAAAUGUGGAACAUUAAAUGAUUCCAAUUCUACAUUGUGAAGGAGGAGAUGGAAAGCACAACCCCACAAGCCUAAUUAGGCGUCUUAUUUAUUCACCAAUCCAUUUGAACACCAGGGAGCCUGAAAACGGUAUGAAGAACCAAAACGAAACAAUCAUUAUAUCAGUACAGUGGUAAUUGCACUGCUUUUAAAUUGAAUAUCAUAGUUUGCCCAAAUUGCAGAAUUCAAAUAAUAAGAGUUGAACGUAACAAUGACCGGAGAAAACUGGGAUCCAUGGUGACCCUAAUGUUUGGGAAUAAUGGAAGGGGGAUGCAAUGAAGGGUUCAAUUUUCUUCCAUUUGUUAAUGGGAAGAGAGCUUGUCUAGGAGCUGCUUUGGCUAUGAAGUUAGUUGCAUUGUCAUUCAUGUUCGCCGUCACGAGUUGCUGUUGCUGGUGUUCCACGUCUGUCACAGUAUAUUGGUUGAAUAUUGGGUAAUAUGUAUAUUAUAGCACAUGAAAAUUUUCAAAAAAUCUGAAAAAAUUAUUAAAAUUAGAUAAAGCCAAAAAAGGCACAAUUUGAAAAAAAUAUUCGAGUUGAUUCCCAAUGGAUUCGAAUAUAUUGGUCGAUACCAUACAUCACGGAUUUGAAUUGGUCGAGUCAAAUCGAGUCGCCACAGAUAUAUUGUUAUCCACAAUUCAGCGAUCAGUAUCGUGCCUGUUUCCUCCGUUCUGAUUACGACUUGGCUGAUUAAAAUAUUCCUAUACACUAAGGGCUUGUUCUAAAACUGCUUAAAAUAUGGGAAUCCCUUCCCACAUCGACAGUUUCUUGGCUUUUUUUUAUCAGUGGUCACAUAUUGAAUAUUCCUAGUAUUUAAUGUCGCAUUCAAACAUUUCAAUUUGACAAAAACAUGCUAUGACAGGGCAACAAGACAAAGAAAUAAAAGAUGCCUUUUCGUAUGCAAAUUGAAUUGAGCUCAUUGUGACAAGUGACAGCCUUCGUUGAUGCCACUACAAUGUCGGGGCAGGUCAUAACAUGAAUAUGUAAAAUUUUUUCAGAAAAUAUCUUUGGUAAAAUGUACAAAAAUUUGAUUAGUGUGUAAAUCUUUGUUGACUAUUCCAUUUCUGAUUGUUUAAGUUUUGUACUCUUGCACGUUUGGCAAGAUUUUAUUUUACAUUAGUAGACCAAGAAGUUUGCUGCAUUAUAGUCGAUCUUCUUUUGUUUUUUAAGGGUAAAGUAUGUCGAAGGUUAUCAAACUUUUCAAUAGUUUCAUUUUACUCUCGUAACUAUUUUUUGUAAUAAAUAGUCCACUAAAUUUUUUAAAAGUCUCAUUUUAUUCAUUGAACAAUUUUUUUUAAUAAGAAAUGGCUCACUAAUUUUUGUUAAAAAAUUUCAUUUUACCCACUCAACUUCUUUUUUUUUUUUUACCAAAAAACCUACUAAACUUUUAAAGUGAUUUAUCUGGAUCGUUUUGUUAGAUUCUACCAUUAAGAUAGAUAACAAGUUUGCCAAAGUAGUCACAUUUUAAAUGGAUAAAUUUUUCAUUUCACACCCAAAAUCUAUAUGUCCAAAUCAAUUAAAAAUUUUUAUAGCUUCAGAAAAAACCACAAAUUCUAUUUUGGAUGGGCCAAAAAUAGUUUUUGUGGGGAUCGAGAUUUUAUUUUGGGAUUUAGGUAUUUUAAAAGUGACUGAAUAGUUUAAUCCAUUGGGGCAGAUGGAUUUUAGGCGCGCAAUGACGAAAUUAUCCAUUUAAAUCGGGCUCACAUGACAAACAUUCGUCUAUCUUAAUGGUAGAAUUUUAACAAAAUAGUCUAUUUUGUACAAAAAGUAGUUGACCGGGCAAAAUAAAACUUUUAAAAUGUUUAGCAUGCAGUUUGAUAGAAAAAAUAGUUGAAUGAGACUUUUAAAAAGUUUGAACGUCUAUAAUCAAAAAUAGCAUUAUUUUCUAAUGGCUGAUAGAAAGGACUAAAAGUCUAAAACCGUCCCUUGUCAGAGUCUUAUCUACUCUUGUCAAUUUUCAGUUAACAAUCGUCCAAUACUUGCAUCAAAAGAAAAUCCACACAUGAAAAAUGAAGUGUUAAACCUUAACUUUGUCAGUAUAAAGUCAACACCAAACUUCUCUCUUUCUUCUUGCCAGUUGCAUCUGAAUCUUGAUUAUGGAGUUACUCUACAGCAUCCUAAGUCUCAUUUUUUUUUUCGUUUUCUGGAUUGCUGUGAAGUUUCAGUACCACAUCCCACAGCAAAACAGGAAACUUCCCACAUAUUUGAUAUUUUGUCUGGUAUAUUACCAGAUAUAUGCACUUGCCAAGAGAAGUGCAAAUGGCUUGGAGGAGUUGUUUAAGCAAAUGCAAUGAUGGAUUAACUUAGCUGAAGUUAGAAAUAUUUCAACUUUUUAUGUUUCUAUCUUGUGCUUUCACACCCGACGUCUAAUUUUUUUUUUGAUAGUCGUCACUCAUCUUUUUUAUAUCUAUUCCUAUUCUAACUCUAACAUAUUUUAGAGAAAGGUCAACUGAACUUAUAAAGGAAUCAAGCGGAAAUGAACCAUCGUCGAAUUAGACGAAUGCACUAUACAUCCUUAUUGAUCUAGAAGAAGCCAGUUAAAACUGCAAGAGACAUACAUCCCAUGUCUAAUAGUAACGUGAAUUGUGAAUUUUAGAUGCUUAUCAAAGCUCGGAAAGAGAGUGCUGCAGCAGGACCAUAUAUCACUUGCCUUAAAUAAUGAGUUUCCAAUAAAUUGCAUAUUUCGCCAGGUUAAGGGCACAAAUGAUUGCCAUGUGAACUGUUUCGGAAUGAUUUUGUCUAUUUUAACAAGAUCUAAGCCUUUCAUUCAGUCAUGUGAAUCAUUUUGAAUGCAACGUAAAUUUAAAAUAAAUUUUUGUGAAUUAGAUAAAUAUGUCGUGAAAACUAUUUACACCACGUGAUCUGAGCCUUAUAUAUAUUUUGGGUUAAUCCUGAUCCUCAAACCUCUCCAAAACUUCUACUGCCCCAAUUGUAUUUCCCCACGGUUUGCUAUGACUGGUUUCUUGCGAGGACUGAUAGAGAUUUAAACUAAUCUCCAUAUUAGUUUUGACAAAGAAGAAUUUGAAUUAAAUUACAAAUAAUAUUAAGAGAAUAGUUAAUAAAAUACUGAGUGAGAAUAAUGUGAAGUGCUAUGCGUACCCGCAUUGUACAAGUUUUUUCUCAAAAGUAUGAUUAGAAGUUCAAUUGCAACUGCGAGUUUAUUAUAUUUACACUUAAAAUUACACACUUAUUUACCAUAGAUUUAAAUCUUAUGCUCUAUUAACAGUAGUUUUAAAUUGUAUUUUUGUAUGUGAGACGUGACAUUGAUUAUAAUUUUAUCGAAUAGUUAUAGAUGCAAGUAUGUGAAAGAAAGUAUCAUAUGAGCCUGUUAUUUUAUUAUAGCUCAUAAAAUACAUAUUGUUUGAAUGGAAAUUUUAAAAUUUUGUCAUGAAUUGAUGUAUUUUUCUGAAGUAUGAUAUCAUAAAAGUUUAUUAGGUGGUUUUUUUGAAAAGUAUGAUUAAUUUUUGUGGGAAAAUAUUAUUCAAGGCCUUGCGUUUUCAGUCACUUUUGUAUUGUUGGUAAUAAGGGUGGUCACAUAGGAUCGCAUCCCAUAGGAUUUAUAAACAAGAAGUAGCGAAGACAUUGGAUUUCUUUGUAAGCCGCGUGGAGUUUUUAUUUUUGGAAAUAAUAUUCCAUACUAACACAACUUUAUGAUAUAGAAAUAGAAUAAAAGAUGGUCUACCUUCGAUUCCUUAGAUUGCCUAAUUUGAGUUGCUUUUUGUAACUGAAUUCUUUGUUAUUUAAAGUGUCACUUUCAUUUCUUUUGGGUUGUUGCUGGAGCCUUCACAUAUUGUUAAAUUGAAAAAAUUAUUCUUAAAACUUAAUUUAGUUGGUAGGGACAUUUUUUGAGGUGAUACAAGUUAUGCCUUGAAAUGAAAGAAAAUUUCGAAUCCGCUUUAUCUACAAACGAGGAAGUUAUAAGUAAUCCAACUGAGAAUUUCAUGAAGAAUUUGAUUCUGACUCAGAAUGAAUGCUGGCGGAGAGGUUUUUAAUUCGGCUUUCAAGCCUUUCUCGUGUAACACUUUGAGUCUUUUCUUGAACCAAAAAAAUUAAAUAAAUAAUGUAAAAUAAAACAUUUUUCCCUUUGCAUAUUCAUUGAUUUUCUUGAGAACUGUUGCUGUGAACGUAUACUAUUCGAUGUAAUACGAGUUUUUCUACACUAUGGUCAGUAGGAUGGUAUUCUCGUGGGGGGAGGAAGCUGAGGAAAGUUGAAUCAAUUUCCCAAGCUCUACCUUCCGACCCUGAGUUUUGCAUUAAUAGUCCCCACCCAAAUGAUCAAAAUAGUACUUCAACUUUAGUUCAUUAGCUGAUUAAGUCAACAGCUGUUUAACACUCAGUAACUAGUUACUUUAUUUGGGUACUGAAUUAUUUUUAAAAAAAUUUAUUUGCUUGUAUCACAACACAUUUUUUAACAAUUUUUUUAUUUCAUAUACAUUACAAUAAAAAAAAUUGGUACAUCACUAUUUUAUCUCGCAUACAUCACAUCAAAAAAGUAUUAUAUUAUUUUUUCAAAAAAUUAUCCUAAAUAAUCUACUAUCCAAACUCAUAGAUUUGCAGCAUCGAUGAAAUCUUCUUGUGAGGUUGGCAUUUUUCCAAGAAGUUUUUAUAUGUGUUAUCUUAGAACAACGGCAAUAAGCAACUCGAUUUGCCAUGGAAAAUUUGCUUUUUAAUCGGAGCCUUGGUGAUUCCCGAAGAUGGCUUCCUCGUAAGCUCCCGAAGUAGAUGGCUUGGCCUCUCCCUCUACCCCGAAAAUAUCAUAUUUUUAUUAAGUUGAAAUCAGGGAAAAAUUAUCCCACACGUUCCAAUGGCCAAUACCGAAAAAAAAAAAGAAUAGUUAUACACUACUCAGCACACUCUAAAUAAAAUACAAUCUAACUAGUCAACUACAACAGUAAACCACUGGCAAAUGACUUGAGCAAAAAAUUUCCGAUCUAAGUCUCAACUCGUACUAAUCUUCCAAUUCUUGCUAAAUCUAUCUACAAGAGAAGUAUAGUAUUUAUUGUGACAGUCAGAGUGCUGUUCAUUUGUGUAAGAACUCUAAAUUUCACUCUUGAUCCAAACAUAUUGAUGUGAGAUAUCAUUGGAUUCGGGAAGUAUUGGAUUCUAAGUUAUUGACACUUGAGAAGGUGCAUACAAAUGAUAAUGGUGCUGAUAUAUUUACCAAAGCACUGUCUAAGGAAAAACUUUUAUUUUACAGACAAGAAACAAGGUUAGUGGAACCCCUCAAAUGAACUGGAGGGGGAGAUUGUUGGGUGUGGGCCAGCCCAUUUGUGGGCCAACCCAUUUGUGCAAGUAAACAACACUUGAGGGCUUCUCAAGUUUAACUACAAGCGGCAGCCGCAUGAGGUAAUUUCAAUUCUUCGGUCCUCGUGCGAGAGAAAAAAAAAAGGACAGCCGCCAUUUUUUGCUGGUUGAGAGAAAAACGAAGAGAGAGAGAAACUUUAAGAUCUUAAUUGGAGAGUGAUUUGAAACCCGAUUGAGAUGAAAUUUUACACACGCGAUCCUCUUGUCAAGCUCUACUCAUCUACCGGUUCAGAUUUCAGAUUUUCUCUUCGUUUGGUAACACUUUUCCAAACUCACUUCUUUGACAGUUGUAAUUUUUUGGGGUGAUUUUGUAGCAAUUUCACUUGAUUGGUGGUGGUGAUAUUAUUAUUGUUCGAAUAUUUCGGAUAGACCUGUGUAUUCACAUUAUUGUGAUAGUGAAAAUUUUGAUUGGAUUAGGUCCCGUGAUUUUUUCCAAUUGGAUUUUCCACGUAAAAAUUUUGGUGUCCUGUACCUUCUAUUUUUCUUGCAUUUUAUUAUCACUGCUGACAUUAUUACUUGGUGAUUUGAUUUAUUUCUAUUUUAAUUGGUACUUGGGAAAAGAGAAAUUUAUUCUGGGCUAACUCUGAUAUUGUGAGCCUGUACUGGUACCUCUUUCCCAACAUAGUUAUACACUAUUCAGCACACUCUAAAUAAAAUACAAUCUAAUUAGUCAACUACAACAGUACACCACUAGCAAAUGACUCGAGCAAAAAAUUUCCGAUCUAAGUCUCAACUGGUACUAAUCUUCCAAUUCUUGCUAAAUCUAUCUACUUAUAAGGGUACAAUUUACAGCAUGAACAAUUCAUUCCACCACUAUAGAGCAUGCAUAUUUGACGGUUGGCUAGCUAGUCUAUGCAGAAAAUGUAACAUUUGGGUAGCUCAAUCACACAAGGACAAAAUUGGCUACCACAAAAUACUUCGAGGACUUAGUUAGCUAAAGUUAGGAGUUGAAGCACUAAAAUGGUUUAGUAAAAAAGUUCAUUUGCUCUAUUUCCUCCAACAAAUUUAGGGAAAAAAAAGAGAUUAUUUCGCCCAAUUAAGUCCACUGCCACUGGCACUUCCAGUAACUUAUUGUGGAGGUAAGUUCUUCUUCUUCUUCUUUUUUAUUUCUUUUCCUUUUCUUGAAAUUUGAUGUUUGACACACUUUCUUUGGUAAUGUCAUACUGCCAAGGUUUGUAUUAACAGAGUUGAGAAUAUAAAGGCAAAAAAAAGUUUAUCUAUCCACUGAUGGAAAUUUGUGAAUGGUGAUUACCAUAAAAAAAAUUUUUAUUUCUUCUUUUUUUUUGGUUAACAUUACCUGGAAUCAGGCUUUAUGAAAUAUAGUCAUGAUGUUUGAUCUUUUGCAUUUUGAGCAAGAAAGACGUAUACUUUUUGUCUUUUGGAUUUCUGAAGGUAAGAGUUUGUUGUCUUUGGCAGGGUUCAUCAAACCAUAGCUCUAUUAUCAGGCUUUAAAAUAAAACACACUUAACUUUUUCGAAAGCAAAUAAAAUUAAGACAACUCACAACCUUUGUUUGAUGCCACUGAAGUAUUGGGGCUGGUCAUAUAUAAUAUAUAAAUUUUGGGUACUGCCAGCAAAUAUCUCUGGAAAGAUGCACAAAAUUUAGAUUAUUACAUGCAUGAUCCCAAAUUUGGGAAGCACCAAAAUGUAGAAACAUGAUAGAAGGAACUAAAACUCAUAGGCCCACGUUUCAAUCUUAUUCAUUUCAAAAUUGCCCAGCUAUUGCCUUAGAUCUACUUUUACCCACACAUGAAAAAUGAAGUGAAACAUGAUAGCUGCAAGGACUCUCUUCAAUGGUCACUUGUCAAAGCAACUCCACUAUGCAAUAAUUAAUUAUGGGGUGAACUUCAAAUUAAAUAAAUGAUAUUUAUAGUAAGACAAGUAUUAAUGAGGGAAAGAAUUACUUCCUCCGCCUUAUUUUAUUAGGUUUGCUUUCUAUUUUAGUUUGUCCCAAAUUAUUUGUCAUAGCCUAAAAGAGAAAAAUGAAAAGAGACCAAUUUGCCCUUUUUUACGCUUCAUAAAAAAAGAGUCAGACGGUAUUAAUGUCAUGUUUUAGCAUUAAACGCUUUAACAAACUAUUAUAAAAUUCCCAAAUUCUAAAGCAACAAACAAAAUUUAAAUUCAAGUUAAGAGGUAAUUAUGGAAACAUUUAUUUGUUGGUUGGUCAAAAAUCAAGUUCCUUAAUUAUGUGUUUUAAUGAUAUCAUCUUAGUGCUUGGAUUUGUUGAUUUAUUGUCCAUAUUUUUUGAAUUAAUAUUGUAACUUUUAGUAAGUGAGAGAUUUUGAAUCAAAAUCUCUUACUCAUGAUCCCUUCCAUUCUGCUAUUCAAUUCAACCUGACCCAUCCCACUCCCUAUUUAUUGAAUCAAUAUUGAUGCUCAUGUAUGAAACAAGUGAUACUGGUGAUCAGAGAGUGCCCAAAUGCAAAAUUACUACACUGCACAUAAAGUCAACGACAAACAUCUUUCUCCUUGCUUCUUGCAUCUUGAGCCUUGAUCAUGGAGUUACUCUACACCAUUCUAGGUCUCUUCAUAUUCUUGAUUGCUGUAAAGUAUCAGUAUCUCCGAAAAAAGAACCGAAAACUGCAGCCUCCAAGUCCUCCAGCUCUUCCAAUUUUGGGCCAUCUUCACCUUGUGAAGACUGCCCCUCACCUUGCCCUGCAAAAGCUCUCCAUCAAAUAUGGUCCCCUGAUUUUCCUUCAUUUUGGGAUUCGUCCUUUCCUUGUUGUUUCCUCGCCAUCUCUUGCAGAGGAAUGCUUAACCAAGACCAAUGAUAUUAUUUUCGCGAACCGGCCUGAGUCAGUUUCCAGUAAAUACCUUGGCUACAACUCAACUAUUCUCAUACUCUCCCCUUAUGGAGAUCACUGGCGAAAUCUCCGCCGAGUCACAACCAUCCAUAUGUUUUCUUCGAUUCGACUCCAGCGUUUCUCCUCCAUCUGGACUGAAGAAAUCCAUUUCAUCAUCAAAAAUUUGUUUUCCAGUAACUCUGAUGAGAAAACCUGGAAAGUUAAGGACAUGAGUUCUUUGUUCCGGGAGUUAUUAUUCAACGUGAUAAUGAAAAUAGUUGCUGGAAAAAGAUGGCCAUCUGAUCAGCCAGGUGAUAUAUUUUCACCGCAAGCACUCACUGAUCUUUGUGAUUAUAUUCCAAUCUUGAGGUGGGUUGGCUAUGGAGGGUUGGAGAAAGGUGUAAUCAGUUUGCACCAGAAGAGGGACGAGUUUCUUCAGGGCCUGAUUGAUCAAACACGUAAAGAGGAAGCAGAAGACGGUUCUUGUUCGACAGAGAGAAGGAAAACAAUUAUUCAAAAAUUGUUAUCUCUACAAGAAGAAGAACCCGAAUACUACACUGACGAAAUUGUUAAAGGAAUUAUACAAGUAAGUCUCUUCUACUUGAAUCUCUUUCUCAAAUUGGUCUAUAAUUCAUUAGGACAAGGUCAUCUCACCCAUGUAGCAGCAGUAGCACAAAUUGUCUUAGCCAUAUUUAGUGGUAGCGCCAAGACUAGUGGUGAGGGAUGCAGUGAUCCACAACCGCAUGCUUUUCAUGGUUGAAAUUGGAUCAUAUUAGCUCGAUUUGAUCUGAAUAUUGAAAUGAUCAAAUUAAACCGUAUCUUGAUGUUGUGGUCUGAUCUGAACUGUAGAAAACACGUCCGACUGUAGAUAGGCACCGGAUCUAGUGGCGGUGAGUGGGGAAAUGGUAUAUGCCACUAACUUCUGUUGGUGUCUAGAUAAGAAAUUUGGUGAAAGUCUUUUCAAAAAUUUGGUCCACAUGUUCGUCAACUUGCAAAUUGGAUAAGUCUUCUUGACGGGAGAGGGGAGAGAUUUGGCGUAGUUUGGCCCAAUUGUUAUAUUUUUUAUAUUAUUUGGUGUGUAAUUAUAUGAUAUUAUUUUAUUUAAAAUAAAAGUGAUAUACAUGAAUACAAUAUUUGAUAUAUAUUUAAUACAAUAUUAUGAUAUAUUCGUACAUCAAAAAAUUUAAACAUUAACUGUGAUGAUAUUUGACAGCGGACAAUAGAAGCAAAUCAGAUUAAGUGAUGAGACGUUAACCGUGAUACUUGUGGCUGGGUUUAAGUCAACGGUGGAGGCUGUGAGAUAGUUUUAGAAUUGGUCGUUCUGAAGGCUCUUUUUGAAAAAUAUACAGAAAAAUGUGCACAAAUCCAAAAUUUAAUCAUGUACAACUCAAGCCACGUCAAGUCGGAAAUUUUUGGACUUUUUUUUUUAAAAAAAAGAACUCUAUCAAUUACUAAAGACAUUUUAAAAAGGUAUUUAAGGCUUAAAUGCAUAAAACUCCCAUGAACUAGUUCACUGGUUGGACUUUACACUCUAAAGUAUUUUAAUAGGCACUUUACACCUAUAGUUAACUAAAAAAAAACAUGAAAAUUAAUUUCAUCCAAAUAAUUGAUGAAAUUAUUAAUUUAUCCUCCAUUAAAACUUAAGUGAUAAAAAUAAUAUUUUGGUGGGGAAGAUUACUAAUUUAAAUAGACUAAUUUUCACUUUAUAUCAAAAAGUCUAAUUGUUAACACAUAAAAAAUCGAUUUGAAUGAGGAUUAAGACUAUUGGGGUCAAAAUGGGGGCAAAAUAUAGAAAUAUUGAGUGAUUACUCUUGCAAUUUUUAUAAUCUCAUAAUUUACUUCAACGCAUCAUAAUGUAGCAAAAUUUCAUUUGAAAUAUUCACAAGCAUAAAAUUGGAGUAGAACCCAAAAAUUUGCAUAUGAAUUUAGCACAAUAAUUGCAAUAAAAUUUCAAUACCGAACCAAAAUUAGAAGCCAUAUAUUAGGAAACAAAAUAUUGGGCUACAAAAUUUUAAUAAAACACCAAAAUUAUUUACUUUUCCUUGACUACAAUCUUUUCUUACCUAGGCUAACUUGAAAUACAUAGUAAAAUAAGGUUGAUGAGAUUCUUGAAUUGAAUUUAUUCAUUUUCUUGUUUUUUCCUGCUUCUUUUGUUUUAAUUGUCAUUCAAAGUGAUCAUAUAUUUUAUUGUUAUAUGUUUCAAAUUAGAAUUUUAUUAUGAAGUGAAAAUUAAUCCAUUUAAAGUGACAAAUUUUUUCUACCAAAAGGGUAUUUUUGUCACUUAAAAGCUUUUAAUGGAGGAAAAAUUGGUCAUCUCAUCAAUUAUUUAGAUGGAGUUAAUUUUCUUAUUAUUUUAAAGUUGACUAAGGGUGAAAAGUGCCUAUUAAAAUAGUUUAGGGUACAAAAUGCAACUAGUGUAAUAGUUCAUGGGGGUUUUCUACAUUUAACCCCCUAUUUAAUUUUGGCUUUUCAGUUUAUACUCUGAACUAUGAAUUGUGAUACUUAAGUAUAAUAUACUAUCAAUUUUGGGGCACAUCGUCCAAAUAAGAUAAAAUCAAUUAAUUCUUUUAGCAACUUUAGAAUAAAAUACUUUAAUACCCCUAAACGAAUUAGAGAAUUUGGACAAACAACAGAUUAAGGAUACUUGAAGCCUUCUAAACUAACUAUAGAAAAAGUUAUUUGGAUUUGACCAAUGGGCCAACAAAAGAACAAGAUACUGAAGUUCUAAAAUUAGCAAUUUAGAGAGUAACAAGCAAAUUGGUGAUAAUUUAGAUGUGAAUAUUGGCAAUAACACCCAAAAAAAGGUAGUUCCUUCAUGCCUUUACAUAUAAUUGAGGUCUAUAGAUAUCACAUGCCAUAAUAUAUAGUUCCCUUCUUAUGUUGACUGGUGGACAUUUAUUUGCGAUCAAUGUCAAAAGUGUAAAUUAUUGAUUCAUGAUCUAUAGCAAGAGAAAUGACAUUAUUUGUCAACAACUUGAUUCUAAAAACUAAUUCCUAUUCUUUUCUUAUUCAUUCAAAAAGUUGCAUUGAAUUUGACUGUACAUUACUUCUUGUGUAGAUAAUGUUAUCAGCCGGAACACAUACUACAUCUCAGACAAUGGAGUGGGCAUUGUCCAGCCUAUUAAAUCACCCUAAUGUACUGCAAAAGGCAAGAGAUGAGCUAGAAAAAAUGCAGCCUGGCCAUCUGCUAAAUGAUUCCGAUCUCUCCAAAUUGCCUUAUUUACGCUGCAUAAUCAACGAGACACUAAGGUUAUUUCCUGCGGCACCAACUCUUGUGCCUCAUUUUUCAUCUGAGGAUUGCACCAUAGGAGGCUACAAGGUUCCAAAAGGUACAACUUUGUUAGUGAAUGCUUGGGCAAUUCACAGGGACCCCAAUGUUUGGGAAGAGCCCAACAAGUAUAAGCCAGAAAGAUUUGAAGGAAUGGAUGAGGGAGGGUGGAAUGAAGGGUUCAAAUUUCUUCCAUUUGGAAAAGGCAGGAGAAUUUGUCCAGGAGCUGCCAUGGCCAUAAGGUUGGUUGGGUUGACAUUGGGCACCCUGAUUCAAUGCUUUGAGUGGGAAAGAGCAGGGCCUGAAAUGGUGGAUUUGGAAGAAAAUCAAGGAGCAACUUUGGGCAAGGCCAAGCCUUUGGAGGCAUCUUACAGGCCACGCCCACCGAUGAUCAAAACAAUUUCUCAGCUUUAAGUUAGAUAUGUUGUUCUAUUGAGAUAAAUUGGGAUUUCUUUUUUUUUUUUUGAAUUUAAAUAUCAAGAUAUGAGUGUCUGAUUUUUGGUUUUGAGCUCCUCUUACAAUUUCAGAUUUGUAGUUGUAACUUUCUUUCAGUACAAGUUGACGCUACAAUUAUACAAACUUAAGUAUUUUACAUGGAAAUGUGGAACAUUAAAUGAUUCCAAUUCUACGUUGCGGAGAAGGAGAUGCAAAGCACAAUCCCACAAGCCAAAAUAAUGAAAACGGUGUGAAGAACCAAAAGGAAACAAUCAUUAUACCAAUACAAUGGUAAUUGCACUACUUUCAAAUUGAGUAUCUUAGUUUGCCCUCAUUGAAGAAUUCAAAGAAUAAGAGUUGAAAGUGACAAUGACUGGAGAAAACUGGCAUCCAUGGAGACCCUAAUGUUUGGGAAGAAGCAAACAAAACGGUGUGAAGAACCAAAAGGAAACAAUCAUUAUACCAAUACAAUGGUAAUUGCACUACUUUCAAAUUGAGUAUCUUAGUUUGCCCUCAUUGAAGAAUUCAAAGAAUAAGAGUUGAAAGUGACAAUGACUGGAGAAAACUGGCAUCCAUGGAGACCCUAAUGUUUGGGAAGAAGCAAACAAGUUUAAGCCGGAAAGAUUUGAAGGGAUUUAUGAUGAAGGGUUCAAUUUUCUUCCAUUUGGAAAUGAGAAGAGAGCUUGUCCAGGAGCCGCUUUGGCUAUGAAGUUAGUUGCAUUGUCAUUGGGCACUUUGAUUCAAUGCUUUGAAUGGGAAUGAAUAGGGCCUGCAAUGAAGGAUUUGGAAGAAAAUAUAGGCUCAAAUGGGGGCCGAGGCCAGCCUUUGGAGUCAUUAUACAAGCCAUGCGAGUGUAUGAUCAACUUGAUCUCUCAGCUUUAGUUAAGUUAGAGAUCGAUGUAGUAUAAUCUGUUCUUCUCUUCACUGAAAUAAAAAGAUUGAAAUAUUUCGUUCCAGAACAUAAAACUGCAAGUGGGGUAAGAAUGUCUAGGAACAAAGAGGAAUAUGGCAUGAAGAAUUAAAUGCUUGAAAGCGAACAUCCUAUGCUCUGCAGUUCAGGCUUUUCAAUCAGUAGAUACAACAAGGUCAUGGAAUCCCUUCCCAUAUUGGCAGUUUCAUGGCAUCUCUUAUCAGUGGUCACAUAUUGAAUAUUCCUAGCAUUCAGACAUUCCAAUUUGACAAAAACAUGCUAUGACAGGGCAACAAAACAAAGAAAUAAAAGAUGCCUUUUCGUAUGCAAAUUGAAUUGAGCUCAUUGUGACAAUUGACAGCCUUUGUUGAUGCCACUACAAUGUCGGGGCAGGCCCACAUAUUUUUGGUAAAUGUUGGGAUGAAGAAUCCCCGUGCACACAGCGGAAGCAAUUCUAACACAUAAAAAAUAUAUGUGAAGAGGAAGAGAACAAACACUCAAUAAUUUAUUUAACUCAAAAUAAAUACUAAGUCGUAGCCUUUCGGUCACAACAACUUACAAAUCUCAACUAUGAAAUUUUCUCUCAGGUCUAAUCUCUAGACUCAACUCAACUCUCCACACAAUAACCUACUAGACUAUUAGUAUUUAUAGACUCCAAAAUUUCCUAAAACAAAUACGGUUGUAAACCAAAACUUAUUUGAAAACUAAUUUGAGAUUUCCUAAUCUAAUAUGAAAACUAAACAAAUAAGAUACCAAAACGAAUUAGGAAACUAAAAUAACUUGGUUUAUUUUCCUACAUUGCCUCCCUUAAACUAAGCUCUUCAAAUUUCACCAUGCUGAGCAUUUUCUUCAAUUUCAUGAACCUCUCCAAUUUGAGUAGUUUUGUCAAAAUAUCAGCUACUUGAUCUUCACUUCUGCAAUAAUCAAUGACAAUUUCUUGCUGUUGAACGAACUCACAAAUAAAAUGAUACUUGAUGUCAAUAUGUUUGCUGCGCCCAUGAAAAAUUGAAUUUUUUGUCAACUCAAUCGCAGACAAACUAUCACAAAAUAUUUUGGUAGGACCAUCUUGCUUGUGUUGUAAGAAUCCAAGCAUUCUCCGCAACCAAAGUGCUUGAGUAGCACUACUUGUGGCCGCCAUGUACUCCUCUUCUGCUGUGGACAAAGCAACCACCUAUUGUUUCUUUGAGGACCAAGAAAAUACACCAGAUCCCAAGUAAAAUGCAUAACCAGAAGUGCUCCUCCUUUGUAUUAUGUCACCAGUCCAAUCAAAGCUUGCAAGUGAGACUGGCGCAGAGAUUCCAUGAAUCUGCUAAUCAAACCAACUCCAUAAGUGAUUCAGGUCUCGUGAAAGUUAAAUACUUGAGACUUCCUACCAACGUCCUAAAGUAAGUAGCAUCAACAAAAUCACCAGUACCAUCUUUGGUUAAUUUCAAUAUUUCUUCAACCAGGGUCAUCAUUGGUUUAGCCACAUCCAUCUUAAACUUCUUUAGAAUAUCACUUGCAUACUUCCUUUGUGAGAUAAAAAUUCCACCAUCCAACUAAUGAACCACAAUACCAAGAAAAUAAGACAUCAAUCCCAAAUCUGUCAUCUCAAAUUGACUAAUCAUGGCCUCCCUGAAUUUAGAAAUUAGUUUGGGAUUAUUGCCUGUAAAUAUCAAGUCAUCCACAUACAAGCAUACAAUAAGGACAUCUCUUCCAAGGUUGAAUUUGAUGUACAGAGUAUGAUCAUAUGGACAUCUCAGAAAACCAUGCUUAAUAAAAUAAGAAUCAAUGCAAGUAUCCUAAGCUCUAGGAGCUUGUUUCAACCCAUACAAUGCCUUUUCCCAUCUAUACACUUUGUUUUAUUGACCAUUUCUAACAUAACCAACAGGCUGCACAACAUAUACCUCUUCUGCCUUUUGCUUAUGGCCUUUGACGACCCUACCUCCUCCUAAGGCGAACCAAGGGGUUCGGCGGACCGCCUACCCAACUCUCGUCAGGACUCGUUCACUCACUUAUAGCUUCAAGAGCAAGUAAGAUGUGCCAAUCAAACUUAACAUAUAUACAAUCAUUAACACAGAUAUACAAUCCUCAAGGUUAAGUACAAAAGCUCAGGAUCCAACCAACUACUAAUACUAUCACUAUUACACAACAAAAGUUCUAGUCAAAAGUUUAGUCUUUCUCUAAUCACCCGUCCUUGCUCAAGAACCCUGUAAGAAAAACAAAAACUAAAGGAAUGAGUUAAAACUCAGUGAGGUUCCCAUGCACAUAAUCAAGCAAUUGAAACAAGGAUAUUAUUCAGUUAAUAACAAUCAAUCGAGAAAACAUUCACAAUAUAAAAACAAUGAGAAUACACUCAUUAAAAGGAUACAUGCUCGCGUGGAGCUAUUCGUUCAAUUAUUCAUUCAUUCAGCUAGUCAUUCUCCUUCAUUUAAUCAUUCAUUUCUUCCCUUAUAAAUUCAACAUUUCCAUUCAUUCAUUUCAUUUCUCGCCACUAGCCAAUUCACUGGCCAAUUCUCCACCAAAUUUCGUGGUCAUACUCGAGUAUACCAAAAAUUAUCUCAAGGUCACCAGUCGCCCGAUCGAGUCCAUUUCUGACUCAAGUCGACUGGCAACAAAGGGCAAGGGUCCAAUUCAGCCAAUGCGGUACCAUACAACCCACAUAGUUUACAUUCAUGCACAGGUAAUGCCCAAUCAGUUAAUCAUUAGAAAUUCACUUUCGCUUAGAUCAAGUGCAAUAAAGUACACACUCGACCAUUGAAAAUCCAUUUAACAGUCAUUGGAAGCCAUUUAACACUCAAUCGAAGAUUCACAACAAGUACACAGUCAUUUAAUACACAAACAUGCAAGAAACACUCACCUUAAACAAGUCACGUUUUAUCAAAAUUUAGUUCAGGGCCGGCAUCUUGGCCACUCCCGAAAUCUGCAGUCAAAUAUUAUCUACAAAGAGCCAAUCAUAUACGAGUGCAAGCUACAUAACUUAUAUUUCUAUAUGAAAGUAAAAAGGCCAGAAAAGGAUAGUAAGUCAUAUAGGCAAGGUGCACGCAUAAUUUGUAAAAGAAAAUGAUCAAAAGCGGUUAAGUUCAAAACCAAUAUGUGCAACUAAAAAUCAUGUUUCGAAUACUUGUUUAGAAUGUUGGAAAUCAGGUUUAGAACACUUGAGAAGUAAAUGUUAAGUCAGAUCAAGGAAACGAAAAACAAGAGAAAUGCAACGAGAAACAAUGAAGAUAGCAGCUUUACCAUCCUUUGGUGUUUUGAUCACAACUGAAGCUACACUUAUCGGCUCGAGAAAAAUUUUAUGAUGUUUCAAAAUAAGACCUAGACUUACAUUUUCUAUGAAGACAUCGACACCCAAUUCUCACAUUUUCAGGGUAAAAAAUGGACAGUCAAAAGCACAUGAAAAACAGGUCAGAAAAAUUAGAGUUUUUGCGCAGUCAGGAGUGCUCUGGCCAAAUUAUAAGCUAAAAUGAUUCAAUUGAUCUAAAAUUUUGCAGGUAGAAAGUUAACUCAAAUCCCAAUAACUUUCAUGUUUUGUCUAAAAGCUGAUUCAGUCUAAAACAUGGAGAAAUUCGCAGCACAAAUUGAUUCCAAAAAUAGGGCAGAGCUGAAAUUCACCAAAUUGUCUAGUUUUCUUUAAAGUUUCAACUCCCAACUCAAACCCAAUCAAGAUUACAUCACUACGCUACCUCCUGUUAACUUAACCCUGGAUACAAAAGUUUUGGCAGCACCUCUCCUAUUUUCAAUCCUUUUCUCCUUGAAAAUCAAGGUGUAAACCACAGUAAUCCCAACACAAUCAAAGCCACAAGAUAUUACAAGGCUUAUUCUAGUCUAUCAAAACCCUUCAAAAUUCACACAAAUAGAAAUUAACCGAAAGACAUCAAAGCUGAAAUUUCCCAAUUCAAGUAAAAAAAUCACUUAUUGAAGUUGUAAACAUGCAUAUCAAAGCUCAAUCACCUUCUAAUACGAUUGGACAACCUAUAUCAAAAUUACAAACUUAACAAAAAUUAAAAUUUCACUUCUUAAGGUAAACUUUGCAUAGAACUAUCACUAAUUGCGAUUAAAAGUUAGAAAUUCCACCUUAACACUAAACUAGCUUCUACUAAUCAUAUACAUGCCAAAUCAAAGAUGAAAUAACUUAUAUAAAAUCUGAAAAAUAUCAAUAAAACUGAAAUUUAUCAUCCCAACCCUAAAAUCACAAGAAUCUCCAAAAAAUCAAUAAAAAUCAAGUUAUCCAACAACUUAAUCACAAGAUUAAAGAACAAAAGGAGCUUCUAAUGAUUACACCUUCCAACACCCUGAAAACAAGCAAAACAAAUCCUUUUCUUCUCAAAAUACUCCACCCUUAGUUUGCUAUCACCUUAGAUGCAAAGUUAAUCGGAGUAGUUUUUGGCAAUUGGAAGAAAUCUCUCAAGAUUUGGUAAAGGAAAUCAAAGGAAAAAUGGACUUAACUUGCUUGGUUUUACUCCUCUUGAGGUUCGGCCAGCUCGGAGAAGAAAGAAUGAAGAGUUUUUGUGUUCCAAAUGAAGUGAUAAAUAUAAAGACUUAAGGGUCCGUUUGGAUUCUUGUUGUUUGGCCUGUUUUUGAAAAACUGUUUUUCACAAUCCAAAUGCUACAGUAAAUGUGUAUUUCAAAAACAACUCCAAAAACACCAUAUCCAAACAAUAUAUUAAAAACAACUCCAAAUACAUAUUUAAUAUGUUUAUUUCAAUUUGUAUAUUUCAAUUAUGCAUAGGAUAUUUAUAUAGUAUAUUAAUUUAAAUAUAUUUAUUUAUACAUAUUAUAAAUAUUUUAUUUUAUAUAAAAUAUAUUUUUAUAUAUUUAUAUAAAUAUUAUAUAUUAUAUAAAUUAUAUAUAUUAUAAAUAUGUUAUUAUACAUUUAUAUAAAUGUUAUAUAUUAUAUAUAUUUAAUAUAUACAUAAUAUAUAUUAUAUAUAUUGAACAUUUAUAUAAAUGUACAUUUAAACAUAAUAUAUAUUUAUGUAUAUUUAUAAUAUACAUUUAUAUUAUGUAUUAUAUAUAAUAUAAUACAUUUAUACAUUUAUAUUAAUAUACAUAAUAUUAAUUAUAUAUUUAUACAUAAUAUUAAUAAAUUUAUACAUUUAUAUUUAUUACAUUAAUACAUUAAUACAUAAUAUUAAUAUAUAUUUAUAAUAUAUUAAUUUAUAGAUUUAUAUAAUAUUCAUUUAUAAUUUAUACAUUUAUAAAUAUAUUUAUAUUAUGUAUUAUAUAUAAUAUAAUACACUUAUAAUACAUUUAUAUAUUUAUUUAUAAAUAUAAUAUAUAAUAAAUAAAUAUAAUACGCUUAUUUAUUUAUAUAUAAUAUAUAAAUUUAUUUAUAAAUAUAAUACACUUAUUUAUUUAUACAUAAUAUAUAAAUAUAUUUAUUUAUAAAUAUUUAUAAUUGUAUUAUAAAUGCAUAAAUGUAUAUAAAUAUAAAAACAUAAAAAUUAUAAAUUAUAAUAUACAUUUAUAUAAUAUUCAUUUAUAAUUUAUACAUUUGUACAUUUAUAAAUAUAUUUAUAUUAUGUAUUAUAUAUAAUAUAAUACAUUUAUAUUUUUUUAUAUAAAUAUAUUUAUUUAUAAAUGUAUAAUUGUAUAUUGUUAUAAAAAUUAAAAAUUAUAAAAAUACUCGAAAAUAUGUUUUAAAAAUACAUCUAUAAAUAAUCUAUAAAACAUCUACAGUAAAAGUUUUUUAUAUAAUUUUUGAAAAACAACCCAAAAAACAACUAAUCCAAACGGACUUGUAUUUGAAAAACGAAAUGCUACAGUGCUAUUUUUGAAAAACAAUCCAAAAAACAGCUAAUCCAAACGGACCCUAAGUGUUCCAAGACUAAAUAAAAAUGCGACACGUGGCACUAUUUUGAUUAUUACUUAUCUCGUGAUCUUUUUUCUUAGUUUUUUAUCAAUCAUUUAUGUGGUGCUCCUCUAACUCACUCUUAACACUUCUAGGCAUAUAUUUCUUGGUAUAUAACAUCCGUUCAUGUCCACUAAAUUUAAUAUACACUUACUAGUGAGUCACACUACCAAAAUGUAAUAUAACUAAACACGCACCACAAUAUAAAGUAAACAAUUAAAAUUUAACACAACCAUAAAAAUACCUUAUAAAUUAAAGGAUUUAAACUAGAGUAUGUCAAAAUAUUAUUGAACGCAUGCAAAACGAGAAAAGAAUUUAAAAUUUUUUUUUUCAAAAUUUCAUAAUCUCUCCCCUUAAAAAAAUUUCGUUCUCGAAAUUCUAACCUUCAUAAGAUUUUGGAACGGGUUGUUGAUCCAAAGAGUAUACUCUAGUUGAUGCCCUGGAUCUAUUUCCUCUUUCUUGGUUUGGCUUAGAAGUAAUCAGAUCUCUUUAUUGUUCAUUCAACCUUCUUUGUUGCUUUUUCGGACAAUUGUGAAGUACUUGAUGAUCAGCACUUUCACAUAUCAAGCAUUUCUUUCCCUUUAUCCAGCAUGCAUCCUAAGUAUGAUUUAUUUUUUCACAGUAACCACAAGCUAAUCGAGGAACUUCUAUUGGAUUUUUUAAAGAGACUUCCUCUUGUCGUCCUCUUCCUACCUGACUUUCCAUUGUUGAACUUCUCUCAUAUUAUCCUUGCAUCCAUGGUGGGUAAGAUAGAAGGAUUACUCUUCUAGCUUUGGAAGGUGGUAGGGUGUCCUUAAGUUCCUCAGACUCACUAUUCGGUGCACUUCUUUUUCGUGUUUGAAAUACUUUUACUUGCGCCCUUGCAAUUUCAACCCUUUGAACUUUCUCAAGAACUUUUGUGAACGUAGUGAUUUGAGCCGCCGCAACAGCUUUCUGGAUUUUCACAUUUAAUCCCUGUACAAACUGCCUUACUCUUCUUUGCUCCGGAGUUACUAAUUCAGGGAUAAAUUUAGAUAAUUUAGUGAAUUGAGUUUCAUAUUCUGACACACUCAAGGCUCCUUGACGUAAUCUAAUGAAAUCGUCCUCCCUUUUUUCUUGGACUAAGGGCGGAAGGUAUUUCUCAUUAAAUUCCCAUAUUAAAUGUACCCAAGUUCGCGCUAUUUGUUCCCUCUCCCACUUAGCUCUAAUCACAUUCCACAAAGCACGAGUUGACCCUUCAAAUUGAAAUACCGCAAAAGUCGCCUGUCUCCCCUCUGAAUAAUUUAGCGCGGCAAAAAUAUUAAUCAUUUGUUCUAACCAAUUCUUGGUUGCCUCCGGAUUAGAUCCUCCAAGAAAUUUAGGAGGAGAAAACUUCUGAAAAGACUCUAGGGCCCUAUCCCCUCCCCCCUCAGAUUCUCUGGGUUGGUUAACAGGUGCUUGCCCUUGUUGUUCCACUAAACGCGCCAAAAUAUCGGUCAUUCGUUGUAUGGCUGUUGCUACCUGAUCCCCUGUUUCAGCCUGUGGUUCAUGUUGUUGUUUAGCUGCCACUUCUCUUUCUUCUCUUGGUUCUUGAGCUUGCCUAACCCUACGUCCAUGAUUAACCCCUCGUCCUCGGUUUCUUCGUCCAUCCAUACCUUUUUUUUUAUAAACUAUAUACAUGUAUGAGCAAAAAAAGAUCAGCUAUAUAUAUAGAAUAAGAAUAAAAUAACAUAGGCCAAAAAUGAGAAAUACCCUUAGAAUGCAUAACACAAAAAAUUCACAAGCUAAAUCACAAAAAUAUUGUACAUAUCAUCCUACCAAAAUCAAGUUCACAAAACAUGUCUAGUAUACUAUACAUAUCAGUCCGCAAUAUGGCAAACACAUACAUACAUACAUGCAGAACAAAACAAGAGACAACGAUUUUUCAAUUUCUCCAAGGGUAAAUUCUAAACCCCAAGUUCAUCCGUCAAAGAAAGUUCAAAAGAUCUCUACUAAAGCAAUCGCCCCAAAAAUUAUAUCUAAUUUCUUAUAAAUGCAAAUGAAUAUCAAAACUCUAAAGGAUACCUUAAUGAUCUUUAAAGUCAAAGUCAGUCCCAUAGUUGUUCAAAUAGUAUCGUUGUUCAAGAAACUGAUCCAUUACUCUUCAAAUCAAUCUCACACAAUUCUCUUCUCUUCUCGCUAAUCCAAUAUAAAAACCCUCAAACAUCAAAUCUUGUUAUCCAUCAGGAACAUAACUGCUUAAUAUUGCACUUAAACUUUACAAUACCCCACAGUCCAGCAUUUUAAACUUUAAUCUUAUGAUACACUACAGAGAUCUAAAAUCUAAACUCUGAUACCAACUGUGACGACCUCAUCUCCUCCUAAGGCGAACCAAGGGGUUCAGCGGAAUGCCUGCUGUGGAGACCCCACUUCCCCCUAAGGCGAACCAAAGGGUUGGCGGGCCGUCUGCCCAGCUCUCGCCAGGACUCACGCAAGCAUUCUAGCUUAAAAUCCUCCAGGGAUUAACCUAAACUACUACAAAAAUAAUUCUUCCGAAAUAAAUCAAUUUCUAUCACCUCAUUAGCUUCAGAGAUAACGGCAUACAACUUAGCCAAACGACGGCUCUUAACCACUUCACACGUUACUCGCAAGGUUAAAGACAUACUAUACUAAUAAAAACAUACAAACCGAAUAUUAGAAUUUGGGAUUACAUUUUUCCAGCUUCAAGUGGCAACCAAAAUAAAAGGUACAGUACUUAACGUAGAAUUCAUUACAAACCGAAAUCUAAAUUCAAGCUAUUCAAAUACAUUCAUAGGAAAUAUAAGCAGCUCAAAUUCUUUCAACUUCCAGACCUGUAAGGAAAACAAAUAAUCGUGGGGUGAGCUAAAGCUCAGUGGUGCCCCAAAACAUGCAUUCACAUAAAUCAAACAGCGAGAAAUAACUUAAACAAAUUGAACAGUUAGGAAAGCGUAUAACAACACAAGGUAGGAUACAAGGGCUCUCAGGAGCCAUUUUCCUCGCUUGAUCGCCAUUCAUCGUAGUUGACCCUCCGUCAACUCUCACUACUUAUAGUCCAUGUAGAUCCACUCAUUUUAAUCCUAACCCGUCACCAUUCAUACCCCGGUCUUGGGCCCGAACGUCGACUAAGGACGCAGUAUACUCGAGAUAUACCCGUAGAUAAUUGGUCGAGGGAUUCACCCAACGACUUUUUUUUUUUUUUUUUUUGUAGUUCGAUUCAAGUGCCGAGGGAUUCACCCAACGACGUAACUACUUUUAGAUUCAGGGAUUCACGAGAAAAAUGAUUCACUCAAGUCACCACUCGAACGGCUAGUGCGAUAAAGUACCCACUGCUCACUUCGAUGGAUCAAAAACUCGUUUUGCAAUUUAUCAUAUAUCGAGUCAAGAAAGCACUUAAUUCAGGUAGGAAAAGAACAGGUAGGGACACUCACCAAGAGUGGAGUUCAGAUAUCAGGUUGGGAAUCGAAUUCCGCGUCCUCGCGAUAUCCUAAAAACCAGAUUUUGAAACUAUAAGUUUCUAUUCAGUUUUUAAACUUAUUCGUAUAAGAAUUUAUUUAAUAUAAUAUUAGUUUACUUCCUCAAGAGAUUUUCAAAAAUCUAUUUAGAUUGAAACUUGACAAAAGUAGUAAAAGUGUUCCUUAUUUUUAUCCUUAGAGGUGGGUAACUAGUAUCCUUUUCUUAAAAUAAGUUGACAAAUCUUUAAACAAUAAUGUUAGAAAGUUACUUUGAACAUUCCCUAAAGUUACGGCUUUUGUAAAAAUUAUCCUUAAAAACUAUUUUUCUUAAAAUAGGGUUUCUUGCUGAGCAAGUCUCCCAAGCUUUUCACUAAAAUUGGUAAAGCUCGUAUUUUGGAACUUUUCCUAUAGUUAACUAUUCCAAGUGCAAAGCUUAAAGAAAGAAAAAGAAUUAAAAUAAGACUUAGAGUUUCCAAAAACUAUUUAACUUAUUUACUAUAGCGAUCAAGGCUAAUUUGAGCUAAAGGAAUUUAUCGAGUUGGAAAGUUUUAGGCAAAACACUAAAUAUGGAGUUUUAUAGUAUAAUGCUAGCUGGAAAAUAUUUUUGAUUAAUUUUGAUCACAACUACUCGAGUUCGCAAGGUCGAUAUAACUUCCACAGCUCCGAUUCCUUUUCGAAGACAUAUUAUGGACCAAAAUAUGGCAAAAAUCACAUAGCAAAUUACUAGGGCUUCGUCAAUCAUUAGCCCUAGCUUUAGGCAAUUGAAAUUCUGAAUAAAAUAAAAUGAUCAACCAAGGCUUCAUCAAUCAUUAGCACUUGGUUUCAGCAAACCCAUCAUAAGCAAGUAAAAAUAAAAGUAAAGCCCCAAGACAUUCCAGCAAUUAACUUCCAUCAUUCAGUAGUACUUUAUAAAUUCAUUCCAAUGGCCAAGGGCUUCAUCAAUCAUUAGCCCUGGACAACAUCAAUCACUCCCAACCACAAUUUAGCCAAGAAUUUAAACCACAAGUAAGCUAAAAUCUCAGUCCAAAUCCAACUUUAGUUUCACAAGGAAAUCAGACAUUCAUACCAGGCAAUCUACUUUGAGGAGUCACGAAUAGCAGUAUACAUGGCGGAAAAAUAUAAAAUUUUUACAGAACAAAGGCCCAUGAGUCUAUUUUCAUAUGCCACUGACGGCACCUCAAUCGGAUUUUCCUACACCAAGAUAUAUGCAUUUUGCCUAGACUGGUCAGAAGUUCCGAAAAUCUGGAAGCUCUUGAUCACAUGUGGAAAAGCUCCUUUUUCUCUUUUUAAAACCACAAGGCUUUUAGUCUAACCAUCCAUACGACUCUAGUAGAAUUUUAGCACCACAUUUUCUAGACAAUUUCAACCAUUAUAAAUUCAAAGAAAGUUUCACAAUCAAGCUGGAAUUUUUAACUCAAACUUUGGCGAUCACAAGGAAAAUUUCCAACAGUUGUAUAUCCAUGUUUUUGGUUAAAUCUUUCAAAAUAUCAAAUGACUCAUUGCCAAAUAGCUUUCACAGAUUACAUGUACAUUUUGUCAUGCAUUUCGAGAUCCUAACAUCCCAAGGAAAAAAAUUCCAGGAACCACUUAAAAAAAUUCCAAGUUCAAGUUCACUGCGUUUCACAAAGAAAUUCCAGCAAUAACAAUGGUUCUAAACAGAAUUUUCUUUGGUUAAAACAGAAUUUUUUUUUUGGUACUCUAUUAGGACAUGCAAACACGUAGUUAGCUAGUAAAGGUUUCCAAAUUCAAACUACAAUUACACACAUCUAACACAAAUCCAGAAAUUAUAUCAGCUAGUCUCGAAUGAUCAUUCAUGAACCAAUUUUUCUGCUUUCAUUUUAUUUUCUUGAUUAGCCGAACUACUUGACCCUAUGCAAGCUUUAAUUAACAUGUUGUUAACUAGUUAAUCGUAUAAAUCAACUCAUAUCAUCACCAUAAGACAGAUUGAUAAUUAAAUAUCAAAUUUAAGGUCUCGGAAAUUUUCAGCUCAUAAGAAUUUCCAAUUCAUCAAACCAUAAUUUCUUAGGUUCCUUAAUUCAUCAAUCAACUUCAUAGAAUUAACAUGCAGGGUCCUAGACAUCAUAAACAUUAAGUUCCACUCGGCUAAUUACACUUGAGUGCUCAGGUUAUCACAAGAAAACAUAAUUUCAGUUGCACUUCCAAACCAUUCUCUCGGCAGAAUCAUUCUCAACAAAACAGAAUUUUCUAAGCUCCUUAGUUCAUCAUCCAAUAUUUUCUUCAGUUAAAGCCUUUUAUUUUGCCCUUAAUUCUCACAUGCACAAUUGCUGAGUUAAUUAGCUAACAUCCAGACCAGAAAAUCAGCUCGGCAGCAGCAAAACACAUUCAUAAUUCCAGAAUUUGGUGAGACUACACUCGGAUGAGUUUGCAUGUGAAAAGUCCUGUUUCAUUUUUAUUUCCAAGGUAAUCCAGGCUAAUUAAAUUCAUGCAUGACCCUAAUCAUAAUAAUCAUCCAAGAUUUGAUUAGUUAAUCACCAAAGCAUGCUCAAAUCAUUUCCGGAAAACACAUUAGAGCUGCAAUUCCAACUCAGCUAUUCGGCAGGGACAUUUAACCAAAACAGAAAUUUUUCUAAUAACUUGAUUUCAUCAACCGAUUGUACCACAAUACAUGCAUGCUUCAAGAUAGCUCAAACUACCUCUGAUUAGUCCUAAAAUGAUCCAGAAUUUUACCUCACCGCAAGCUAAUCUUUCACACGAAAAUCUGGAAAAUUUUUCUUCCUCUCGGCUCUCACGCACGCGGCAGUGAUUGUGGUUGUGGUUGUCGGUGGAGCUGGUGGUGUCGCAGCCGUGAAGUUGGGUGCAAUGGAGGUGCAGAAUGUGUGGAGCUUGCUCACGGUUUCUCUCUGCCUUCACUCCAGCUUACGGCCAGAACCAAACAGAAAGAAGAUUGCAGUUCGCGUUCUUCUUUGUCGAUGAUAGCGAGACGGAGAGGGAAUGUGUUUGUGGAGAGGAAAUGAGAUUGUGGCUUGAGAUAUGAAAGGGAGAGAAAGGUGUAUGGUGCCGGUUUAGGAGAAGAGGUUGAGUGUUAGCAAAGAUUGUGUACUGUAGUGGUGAAGAUGCCGGUUGGUCAGCUAAGGUGGUGGUAUGUUGAAGUGGUGAAGGAUGGGGUUGGCCGGCUGGGGUGGUGGCUGAUCAUGCUGUCCGAGGAGUUGUUUGGCUGUGCAUGGAAUGGUUGUGGUGUAGUGGAGGGUAGUUUAGUCUUUUCACUUCUCCUCCUAUUAUUCACUUAAGUCCUUAGUUCUAACUUAGCUCCAAAAAUUAUCCCCAAGUGUGAUUUGAACGCCUAAUGAUUCGCUAAUCUUGCAAAGCUUUGGUUAUCGAAAUUUUAUGUCCUAAAUAUGGUUAGAGUACUUGUAUUGAUUUUAUCUAGAAUUUACCGGUUGCAUAAACAUAUAGAGAUAUCUAGCUACACUUAACCUUAUUCGAAAUUAGAAUUAGCUAUAUAACAAAAUUAAGGAAUUAUUUUCAAGGAGUAAACUUAAUAUAACUCAAGAAUUAUUAACUUAGUGUAGCAAAGCUAAGUGCUUUAAUAGUUAGCACCGUUAUAUUAUUUUGCACACGAAAAUUAUUUUUAUUUACUUGUUUAAAACAAAUGAAAUAGUGUGGUAGAUUGGAAUAAGAACUACGAAUGAAAUAUGCACUAGUAUAUAAAAGCGAGUGAAAGUAAUACUAGAAUAAAGAAUACGAAUGCUAAAUAAAAGUGAAAUUGAAGUAUGCAUUGGUAUUUCUGCAAAAUUCAAGGUUCUCACACCUGCCCAACUCUCGCCAUAACUCGUUCACUCACUUUUCGCUUCAAGAGCAAGUAAAGAUGUGCCAAUCAAACUUAACAUAUAUACAACAAUUAACAUAGAUAUACAAUGAUCAAGGUUAAGUACAAAAGCUCAGGAUCCAACUAACUACUAUUACUAUCACUAUUACACAACAAAAGUUUUAGUCAAAAGUGUAGUCUUUCUCUAAUCACCCGUCCUUGCUCAAGAACCCUGUAAGGAAAACAAAAACUAAAGGAAUGAGCUAAAGUUCGGUUCCCAUGCACAUAUGAAAACAAGGACAUUAUUCAGUUAAUAACAAUCAAUCGAGAAAAUAUUUACAAUAUAAAAACAAUGAGAACACACUCAUUAAAAGGAUACAUGCUCACGAGGAGCCAUUCGUUCAAUCAUUCAUUCAUUCAGCCAGUCAUUCUCUUUCAUUCAAUCGUUCAUUUCUUCUCUUAUAACAUCAACAUUUCCAUUCAUCCAUUUCAUUUCCCGCCACUAGCCAAUUCACUGGCCAGUUCUCCAUCAAAUUUCGUGGUCAUACUCGAGUAUACCAAACAUUAUCCCAGGGUCACCACUCACCCGACCGAAUCCAUUUCUGGCUCGAGUCACUGGCAAUGAAGGGCAAGGGUCCAAUUUUGCCAAUGCGGUACCAUACAACCCGCAUAACUUACAUUCAUGCACAAGUAAUGUUCAAUCAGUUAAUCAUUUGAAAAUUCACUUUCGCUUAGGUCAAGUGCGAUAAAGUACACAUUCGACCAUUAAAAAUCCAUUUAAUAGUCAUUGGAAGGUAUUUAACACUCAAUCGAAGAUUCGCAACAAGUACAUGGUCAUUUAACACACAAACAUGCAAGAAACACUCACCCUAAACAAGUCGCGUUUUAUCAAAAUUCAGUUCAGGGCCAGCACUUUGGCCACUCUAGAAAUUUACAGUCAAAUAUUGUCCACAAAGAGCAAAUCAUACACCAGUGCAAACUGCAUAACUUAUAUUUCUAUAUCAAAAGAAAAAGGCAUGAAAAGUAUAAUGAGUCAUAUAGGCAAGGUGCACGCAUAAUUUGUAAAAGAAAAUAAAAAAAAACGGUUAAUUUCAAAACCAAUAUGAGCAACUAAAAGCAAUAUUUUGAAUACUUGUUUAGAAUGUUAGAAAUCAGGUUUAGAACACUUGAGAAGUACAUGUUAAGACGGACGAAGGAAACGGAAAACAAGAGAAAGGCAACGAGAAACAAUGAAGAUGACAGCUUUGCCAUCCUUUGGUUUUUUGAACACCACUGAAGCUACACUUAUCGGAUCGAGACAAAUUUUAUGACGUUUCGAAACUAAGACCUAGACCUACAUUUUCUAUGAAGAUAUCGACACUCAAUUCUCACAUUUUUAGGGUAAAAAAUGGACAGUCAGAAGUACAUGAAAAAUAGGUCAGAAAAAUUAGAGUUUGUGCGCAGUCAGGAGUGCUAUGGCCAAAUUAUAAGCUAAAAUAAUCCAAUUGAUCUGAAAUUUUGCAGGUAAAAAUUUAACUCAAAUCCCUAUAAUUUUCAUGUUUUGUCCAAAAGUUGAUCCAAUCUAAAACAUGGAGAAAUUCGUAGCCCAAAUUGAUUCCAAAAACAGGGUAGAACUGAAAUUCACCAAAUUGUUUAGUUUUCUUCCAAGUUUCAACUCCCAACUCAAACCCAAUCAAGAUUACAUCACUACGCUACCUCUUGUUAACUUAACCCUGGAUACAAAAGUUUCGGCAGCACCUCUCCUAUUUUCGAUCCUUUUCCCCUUGAAAAUCAAGAUGUAAACCACAGCAAUCCCAACACAAUCAAAGCCACAAGAUGUUACAAGCCUUAUUCUAGUCUAUCAAAACCCUUCAAAAUUCACACAAAUAGAGAUUAAUCGAAAGACAUCAAAGCUGAAAUUUCCCAAUUCAAGUAAAAAAAUCACUUAUUGAAGUUGUAAACAUGCAUAUCAAAGUUCAAUCACCUUCUAAUACGAUUGGACAACCUAUAUCAAAAUUACAAACUUGAAAAAAAUUGAAAUUUCACUUCUUAAGGUAAAUUUUGCAUAUAACCAUCACUAAUUGUGAUUAAAAGCUUGAAAUUCCACCUUAACACUAAACUAACUUCUACUAAUCAUAUACGGGAAAGUGCUGGUUUUCAUCCCCAAACUUUGGGGUAAGUACACAUUUCGUCCCUCAACUUUUGGACACGACACAUUUGAUGUCUGAAUUAAUAAUUUUUUACCAAUGUCAUCCUCAAACGGCAAUUUAGCCAAUUUUUAACGGAACUGGUCACGUGAAAAUCACAUGACCGUUAAGUAAACUUAAAUCACAUUUUUAACAAAACCUACCAGUUUUUCAUAAAGAGCUAGUAUGUUAUGGGCAAUUUAUUAUUUUUUUUAAAUUUCACAUAUUUAAUUUAUGUUAAAUACAAAACAUACUAGUUUUCUUUUGAGCGCUAUUUAACCAAUUUUUCCUAUAAAAAGUUGGUAUGUUUUCCAUAAAGAGCUGGUACAAAACAUACUACAAAACCUGCCAGUUUCCCAUAAAGAACUGGUAUGUUAUGAGCAAUUUAUUAUUAUUUUUUUAACUUUCACAUAUUUAAUUUAUGUUAAAUACAAAACAUACUAGUUUUCCUUUGAGCGCUAUUUAACCAAUUUUUCCUAUAAUGAUCUGGUAUGUUUCUCAUAAAGAUUUGGUACAAAACAUACUACAAAACCUGCCAGUUUCCCAUAAAGAGCUGGUAUGUUAUGGCAAUUAAUUUUUUUUAAUUUUCACAUAUUUAAUUUAUGUUAAAUACAAAACAUACUAGUUUUCUUUUGGACGCUAUUUAAUCAAUUUUUCCUAUAAAGAGUUAGUAUGUUUCUCAUAAAGAACUGGUACAAAAUAUACUACAAAAUUUGCCAGUUUUCCAUAAAGAACUGGUAUGUUAUGGGCAAUUUAUUAUUCUUUCUAACUUUCACAUAUUUAAUUUAUAUUAAAUACAAAACAUACUAGUUCAAUGGGUAAAAAUAUGUUAUGAAUCACUCAAAGUUUAUACUUUUAAUAGUUCAAUGGGUAAAAAUAUGUUAUGAAUAAUUGAAGGGCCAAAUUUUUACUAUUCAAAUAGUUCAAUGGCUGUUCAAAUAAUUUGCUCUUAUAUAAAUAGUAAAAGUAUGCAAAGUAUAUGUAAUUUUUAAAUUUUGAGAGGAGCUUUUUGUAACUAUUAAAAUCUCAAGGGAUGUUUGUGAAAUUAUCCCUUUUCAUUUUUCAUACUAAUUAUUUCUUUUCUUGCCAAUUUUUCAUUUUAUCCUUAUUUUUAACUUUUUCCCCCCUUACGUACGGGACGCAAGUGUUUAUUGAUGGAUGCUUAGUUAAAAUUGCCAAAAGUUGACUGAUUGCAUGCAGGAAACUGGCAGGUUUUGUUAAAAAUGUGAUUUAAGUUUACUUAACGGUCAUGUGAUUUUCACGUGACCAAUUUCGUUAAAAAUUGGCUAAAUUGCCUUUUGAGAAUGACAUUGGUAAAAAAUUCUUAAUUUAGACAUCAAAUGUGUCGUGCCCAAAUAUUGAGGGACGAAAUGUGUCCUUACCCUAAAGUUUGAGGAUAAAAAUAGGCAUUUUUUCAAUCAUAUACAUGCCAAAUCAAAGAUGAAAUAACUUAUAUAAAAUCUGAAAAAUAUCAAUAAAACUGAAAUUUAUCAUCCCAACCCUAAAAUCGGAAGAAUCUCUAAAAAAUCAAUCAAAAUCAAGUUAUCCAACAACUUAAUCACAAGAUUAAAGAACAAAAGGAGCUUCUAAUGAUUAUACCUUCCAACACCUUGAAAACAAGCAAAACAAACCCUUUUCCUCUCAAAACACUCCACCUUUAGUUUGCUAUCACCUUAGAUGCAAAGUUAAUCGGAGUAGAUUUUGACAAUUGGAAGAAAUCUCUCAAGAUUUGGUGAAGGAAAUCAAAGGAAAAAUGAACUUAACUUGCUUAGUUUUACUCCACUUGAGGUUCUGCCAGCUUGGAGAAAAAAGAUUGAAGAGUUUUUGUGCUCCAAAUGAAGUGAUAAAGAUGAAGACUUAAGUGUUCUAAGACUAAAUAAAAAUGCGCCACGUGGCAGUAUUUUGACUAUUACUUAUCAGCACUUCCACAUAUCAAACAUUUUUUUCACUUUACCCAACAUGCAUCUUAAGUAUGAUUUAUUUUUUCACAGUAAACACAAGAUAAUCGAGGAGCUUCUAUUGGAUUCUUUAGAGAGACUUCCUCUUGUCGUCCUCUUCCUACCUCACUUUCCCUUGUUGAACUUCUCUCAUAUUGUCCUUGCAUCCAUGGUGGGUAAGAUGGACGGAUUACUCUUCUAGCUUUGGAAGAUGGUAGGAUGUCCUUAAGUUCCUCAGACUCACUACUCGGCGCACUUCUUUUUCGUGUUUGAAAUGCUUUUACUUGCGUCCUUGCAAUUUCAACCCUUUGAGCUUUCUCAAGAACUUCUAUGAAUGUAGUGAUUUGAGCUGCCGCAAGAGUUUUCGGGAUUUUCACAUUUAAUCCCUGUACAAGCCUUACUCUUCUUUGCCCCGUAGUUACUAAUUCAGUGGUAAAUUUAGAUAAUUUAGUGAAUUGAGUUUCAUAUUCUGACACACUCAAGGCUCCUUGACGUAAUCUAAUGAAAUCGUCCUCCCUUUUUUCUUGGACUAAGGGCAGAAGGUAUUUCUCAUUAAAUUUCCAUACGAAAUUUACCCAAGUCCACGCUAUUUGUUCCCUCUCUCACUUAUCUCUAAUCACGUUCCACAAAGCACGAGUUGACACUUCAAAUUGAAAUACCGCAAAAGUUGUCUGUCACUCCUCUGAAUAAUUUAUCGCGGCAAAAAUAUUAAUCAUUUGUUCUAACCAACUCUCGGCUGUCUCCGGAUUAGAUCCUCCAAGAAAUUUAGGAGGAGAAAACUUCUGAAAAUACUCUAAGGCCCUAUCCCCUCCCCACUCAGGUUCCCUGGGUUGGUUAACAGGUGCUUGCCCUUGUUGUUCCAUUAAACGAGCCGAAAUAUCGGUCAUUCGUUGUAUGGCUGUUGUUACCUGAUCCCCUGUUUCGGCCUGUGGUUCAUGUUGUUGUUUAGCUGCCGUUUCUCUUUCUUCUCUUGGUUCUUGAGCUUGCCUAACCCUACGUCCACGAUUAACCCCUCGUCCCCGGUUUUUUCGUCCAUCCAUACCUUUUUUUUUUUUAUAAACUAUAUACGUGUAUGAGCAAAAAUAGAUCAGCUAUAUAUAUAGAAUAAGAAUAAAAUAACAUAGGUAAAAAUGAGAAAUACCCUUAGAAUAUAUAACACAACAAAUUCACAAGCUAAAUCACAAAAAUAUUGUACAUAUCAUCCUACCAAAAUCAAGUUCACAAAACAUGUCUAGCACACUAUACAUAGCAGUCCGCAAUACGGCAAACACAUACAUACAUACAUGCAGAACAAAACAAGAGACAACGAUUUUUCAAUUUCUCCAAGGGUAAAUUCUAAACCCCAAGUUCAUCCGUCAAAGAAAGUUCAAAAGAUCUCUACUAAAGCAAUCGCCCCAAAAAUUAUAUCUAAUUUCUUAUAAAUGCAAAUGAAUGUCAAAACUCUAAAGGAUACCUUAAUGAUCUUUAAAGUCAAAGUCAGUCCCAUAGUUGUUCAAAUAGUAUCGUUGUUCAAGAAACUGAUCCAUUACUCUUCAAAUCAAUCUCACACAAUUCUCUUCUCUUCUCGCUAAUCCAAUAUAAAAACCCUCAAAUAUAAAAUCUUGUUAUCCAUCAGGAACAUAACUGCUUAAUAUUGCACUUAAACUUUACAAUACCCCACAGUCCAGCAUUUUAAACUUUAACCUUAUGAUACACUACAGAGAUCUAAAAUCUAAACUCUGAUACCAACUGUGACGACCUCAUCUCCCCCUAAGGCGAACCAAGGGGUUCAGCGGAAUGCCUGCCCAACUCUCGCCAUAACUCGUUCACUCACUUUUCGCUUCAAGAGCAAGUAAAGAUGUGCCAAUCAAACUUAACAUAUAUACAACAAUUAACAUAGAUAUACAAUGAUCAAGGUUAAGUACAAAAGCUCAGGAUCCAACUAACUACUAAUACUAUCACUAUUACACAACAAAAGUUUUAGUCAAAAGUGUAGUCUUUCUCUAAUCACCCGUCCUUGCUCAAGAACCCUGUAAGGAAAACAAAAACUAAAGGAAUGAGCUAAAGUUCGGUUCCCAUGCACAUAUGAAAACAAGGACAUUAUUCAGUUAAUAACAAUCAAUCGAGAAAAUAUUUACAAUAUAAAAACAAUGAGAACACACUCAUUAAAAGGAUACAUGCUCACGAGGAGCCAUUCGUUCAAUCAUUCAUUCAUUCAGCCAGUCAUUCUCUUUCAUUCAAUCGUUCAUUUCUUCUCUUAUAACAUCAACAUUUCCAUUCAUCCAUUUCAUUUCCCGCCACUAGCCAAUUCACUGGCCAGUUCUCCAUCAAAUUUCGUGGUCAUACUCGAGUAUACCAAACAUUAUCCCAGGGUCACCACUCACCCGACCGAAUCCAUUUCUGGCUCGAGUCACUGGCAAUGAAGGGCAAGGGUCCAAUUUUGCCAAUGCGGUACCAUACAACCCGCAUAACUUACAUUCAUGCACAAGUAAUGUUCAAUCAGUUAAUCAUUUGAAAAUUCACUUUCGCUUAGGUCAAGUGCGAUAAAGUACACAUUCGACCAUUAAAAAUCCAUUUAAUAGUCAUUGGAAGGUAUUUAACACUCAAUCGAAGAUUCGCAACAAGUACAUGGUCAUUUAACACACAAACAUGCAAGAAACACUCACCCUAAACAAGUCGCGUUUUAUCAAAAUUCAGUUCAGGGCCAGCACUUUGGCCACUCUAGAAAUUUACAGUCAAAUAUUGUCCACAAAGAGCAAAUCAUACACCAGUGCAAACUGCAUAACUUAUAUUUCUAUAUCAAAAGAAAAAGGCGUGAAAAGUAUAAUGAGUCAUAUAGGUAAGGUGCACGCAUAAUUUGUAAAAGAAAAUGAUAAAAAACGGUUAAAUUCAAAACCAAUAUGUGCAACUAAAAGCCAUAUUUUGAAUACUUGUUUAGAAUGUUAGAAAUCAGGUUUAGAACACUUGAGAAGUACAUGUUAAGACGGACCAAGAAAACGAAAUGCAAGAGAAAGGCAACGAGAAACAAUGAAGAUGACAGCUUUGCCAUCCUUUGAUUUUUUUUAUCACAACUGAAGCUACACUUAUCGGAUCGAAGCAAAUUUUAUGAUGUUUCGAAACUAAGACCUAGACCUACACUUUCUAUGAAGAUAUCGACACUCAGUUCUCUCAUUUUCAGGGUAAAAAAUGGACGGUCAGAAGCAUAUGAAAAACAGGUCAGGAAAAUUAGAGUUUUUGCGCAGUCAGGAGUACUAUGGCCAAAUCAUAAGCUAAAAUAAUCCAAUUGAUCUGAAAUUUUGCAGGUAAAAAGUUAACUCAAAUUCCUAUAAUUUUCAUGUUUUGUCCAAAAGCUGAUUCAAUAUAAAACAUGGAGAAAUUCGCAACCCAAAUUGAUUCAAAAAAUAAGGCAGAACUGACAUUCACCAAAUUAUCUAGUUUUCUUCCAAGUUUCAACUCCCAACUCAAAUCCAAUCAAGAGUACAUCAUUACGGUACCUCUUGCUAACUUAACCCUAGAUACAAAAGUUUCUGCAGCACCUCUCCUAUUUUCGGUCCUUUUCUCCUUGAAAAUCAAGGUGUAAACCACAGCAAUUCCAAUACCAUCAAAGCCACAAGUCAUAGGAUAUUACAAGCCUUAUUCUAGUCUAUCAAAACCCAUCAAAAUUCACACAAAUGGAGAUUAACCGAAAGCCAUCAAAGCUGAAAUUUCCCAAUUCAAGUAAGAAAAUCACUUAUUGAAGUUGUAAACAUGCAUAUCAAAACUCAACUACCUUCUAAUAUGAUUGAAUAACCUAUAUCAAAAUUACAAACUUAACAAAAGCUGAAAUUUCACUUCUUAAGGUAAACUUUGCAUAUAAUCAUCACUAAUUGCGAUUAAAAACUAGAAAUUCCACAUUAACACUAAACCUGUUUCUACUAAUCAUAUACAUGCCAAAUCAAAGAUGAAAUAACUUAUAUAAAAUCUGUAAAAUAUCAAUAAAACUGAAAUUUAUCAUCCUAACCGUAAAAUCGCAAGAAUCUCUAAAAAAUCAAUCAAAAUCAAGUUGUCCAACAACUUAAUCACAAGAUUAAAGAACAAAAGGAGUUUUUAAUGAUUAUACCUUCCAACACCUUGAAAACAAGCAAAACAAACCCUUUGCUUCUCAAAACACUUCACCCUUAGCUUGCUAUCACCUUAGAUGCAAAGUCAAUUGGAAUAGAUUUUGACAAUUGGAAGAAAUCUCUCAAGAUUUGGUGAAGGAAAUCAAAGGAAAAAUGGACUUAACUUACUUGGUUUUACUCCUCUUGAGGUUCGGCCAACUUGGAGAAGAAAGAAUGAAAAGUUUUUGUGCUCCAAAUGAAGUGAUAAAGAUGAAGACUUAAGUGUUGCAAGACUAAAUAAAAAUGCGACACGUGGCACUACUUUGACUAUUACUUAUCUCGUGAUCUUUCUUCUUAGUUUUAAAUCACUCAUCUAUGUAGUGUUCCUCUAACUCACUCUUAACACUUCUAGGCAUAUAUUCCUUGGCAUAUAACAUCCGUUCAUGUCCACUAAAUUUAAUAUACACUUACUAGUGAGUCACACUACCAAAAUGUAAUAUAACUAAACACGCACCACAAUAUAAAGCAAACAAUUAAAAUUUAACUCGACUAUAAAAAUAUCUUAUAAAUUAAAGGAUUUAAACUAGAGUAGGUCAAAAUAUUAUUGAAUGCAUGCAAAACGAGAAAAUAAUUUAAAUUUUUUUUUUCAAAAUUUCACAAUCUCUCCCCUUAAAAGAAUUUCGUCCUCGAAAUUCUAACCUUCAUAAGAUUUUGGAAUGGGUUGUUGAUCCAAAGAGUAUACCCUAGCUAAUGCCCUGGAUCUGUUUCCUUUUUCUUGGUUCGGUCUAGAAGUAAUCGGAUCCCUUUGUUGCAUAUUCAACCCUCUUUGUUGCUUUUUCGGAUAAUUGUGAAGUUGAUGAUCAAUACUUCCACAUAUCAAGCAUUUCUUUCCCUUUACCCAGCAUGCAUCAUAAGUAUGAUUUGUUUUUCCACAGUAACCACAAGCUAAUCGAGGAGUUUCUAUUGGAUUCUUUAGAGAGACUUCCUCUUGCCGUCCUCUUCCUGCUUGACUUUUUCUUGUCGAACUUCCCUCAUAUUGUUCUUGCAUCCAUGGUGGGUAAGGUGGAAGGUUUACUCUUCUAGUUUUGGAAGACAGUACAGUGUCCUUAAGUUCUUCAGACUUAUUACUUGGCGCAUUUCUUUUUCAUACUUGGAAUGCUUUUACUUGCACCCUUACAAUUUCAACCCUUUGGACUUUCUCAAGAACUUCUGUUAAUGUAGUGAUUUGAGCCACCACAAGAGUUUUCUGGAUUUUCACAUUUAAUCCCUAUACAAACCGCCUUACUCUUCUUUGUUCCGUAGUUACUAAUUUAGGGGCAAAUUUAGAUAAUUUAGUGAAUUGAUUUUCAUAUUCUGACAUACUCAAGGCUCCUUGAUGUAAUCUAAUGAAAUCACUCUCCUUUUCUCUUGGACUGAGGGCGGAAGGUAUUUCUCAUUAAAUUUUCGUAAGAAAUUUACUCAAGUCCGCGCUAUCUGUUCCUUCUCCCACUGAUCUCUAAUCACGUUCCAUCAAGAACGAGCCGACCCUUCAAAUUGAAAUACUGCAAAAGUCACCUGUCUCUCCUCUGAAUAAUUUAACGCUGCAAAAAUAUUAAUCAUUUGUUCUAACCACCGCUUGGCUGCCUCCGGAUUAGAUCCUCCGAGAAUUUAGGAGGAGAAAACUUCUGAAAACACUCUAGGGCCCUAUCCUCUCCUCCCUCAGGCUCCCUGUUUGGUUAACACGUGCUUGCUCUUGUUGUUCUACUAAACAUGCCAAAAUAUCGGUCAUUCGUUGUAUGGCUGUCGUUACCUGAUCCCCUACUUCGACCUGUGGUUUAUGUUGUUGUUUAGCUGCCGCUUCUCUUUCGUCUCUUGGUUCUUGAGUUUGUCUAACUCCACGUCCACGAUUAAUCCCUCGUCCUCGGCUUCUUCGUCCCUCCAUACCUUUUUUUUAUAAAUUAUAUAUGUGUAUGAGCAAAAAUAGAUCGGCUAUAUAUAUAGAAUAAGAAGAAAACAACAUAGGCCAAAAAUGAGAAACACUCUUAGAAUAUAUAACACAACAAAUUCACAAGAUAAAUCACAAAAAUAUUGUACAUAUCAUCCUAGCAAAAUCAAGUUCACAAAACAUGUCUAAUACACUAUACAUAUCAGUCCGCAAUACGGCAAACAUAUACAUACAUACAUGCAGAACAAAACAAGAGACAACGAUUUUUCAAUUUCUCCAAGGGUAGAUUCUAAACCCCAAGUUCAUCCGUCAAAAAAAGUUCAAAAAAUCCCUACUUAAGCAAUCACUCCAAGAAUUAUAUCUAGUUUCUUACAAAUGCAAAUGAAUGUCAAAACUCUAAAGGAUACCUUAAUGAUCUUCCAAAGUCAAAGUCAGUCCCAUAGUUGUUCAACUAGUAUCAUUGUUCAAGAAAUUGACUCAUUACUCUUCAAAUCAAUCUCACACAAUUCUCUUUUCUUCUCGCUAAUCCAAUAUAAAAACCCUCAAACAUCAAAUCUUACUAUCCAUCAGAAACAUAGCUGCUUAAUAUUGCACUUAAACUUCACAAUACCCACAGUUCGGCAUCCUAAAUUUUAAAUCUAGAAUACAUUACAGAGAUCUAAAACCUAAACUCUGAUACCAACUGUGACAACCCCACCUCCCUCUAAGGCAAAUUAAGGGGUUCAGCAGACCGCCUGCCUAACUCUCGCCAGGACUCGUUCACUCACUUAUCGCUUCAAGAGCAAGUAAAGAUGUGCCAAUCAAACUUAACAUAUAUACAAUCAUUAACACAGAUAUACAAUCCUCAAGGUUAAGUACAAAAGCUCAAGAUCCAACCAACUACUAAUACUAUCACUAUUACACAACAAAAGUUAUAGUCAAAAGUUUAGUCUUUCUCUAAUCACCCGUUCACGCUCAAGAAUCCUGUAAGGAAAAUAAAAACUAAAGGAAUGAGGUAAAACUCAGUGAGGUUCCCAUGCACAUAAUCAAGCAAUUGAAACAAGGACAUUACUCAGCUAACAACAAUCAUUCGAGAUAACAUUCACAAUAUAAAAACAAUGAGAACACACUCAUUAAAAUGAUACAUGCUCACGUGGAGCCAUUCGUUCAAUCAAUCAUUCAUUCAGCCAGUCAUUCUCCUUCACUCAAUCAUUCAUUUCUUCCCUUAUAAUUUUAACAUUUCCAUUCAUUCAUUUCAUUUCCCGCCACUAGCCAAUUCACUGGCUAGUUCUCCACCAAAUUUCGUGGUCAUACUCGAGUAUAUCAAACAUUAUCUCAGGGCCACCAAUCGCCUGACCGAGUUUAUUUCUAACUCGAGUCGACUGACAACAAAUGGCAAGGGCCCAAUUUAGCCAAUACGGUACCAUACAACCCACAUAGCUUACAUUCAUGCACAAGUAAUGCUCAAUCAGUUAAUCAUUUGAAAAUUCACUUUUGCUUAAGUCAAGUGCGAUAAAAUACACACUCGACCAUUGAAAAUCCAUUUAACAGUCAUUGAAAGGCAUUUAACACUCAAUCGAAAAUUCACAAUAAGUACACAGUCAUUUAAUAUACAAACAUGAAUGAAACACUUACCCUAAACAUGUCACGUUUUAUCAAAAUUCAAUUCAAGGCCGGCACCUUGGCUACUCUCGAAAUCUGCAGUCAAAUUUGUCCACAAAGAGCCAAUCAUACACGAGUGCAAGCUACAUAACUUAUAUUUCUAUAUCAAAGGAAAAAGCCAUGAAAAUUAUAGUAAGUCAUAUAGGCAAGGUACACGCAUAAUUUAUAAAAGAAAAUGAUAAAAAACGGUUAAGUUCAAAACUAAUAUGUGCAACUAAAAAUCAUGUUUCGAAUACUUGUUUAGAAUGUUAGAAAUUAGGCUCAGAACACAUGAGAAGUACAUGUUAAGUCGGACCAAGAAAACGAAAAACAAGAGAAAGGGAAUGAGAAACAAGAUGGCAGCUUUGCCAUCCUUUGGUAUUUUUAUGACAACUGAAGCAACACUUACCGAAUCGAGGUAAAUUUUAUGGCGUUUCGAAACUAAUACCUAGAUCUAUAUUUCCUAUGAAAACAUUAUCACCCAGUUCUCGCAUUUUUGGGGUAAAAAAUGGAUGGUUAGAAGCACAUAAAAAAUAGGUCAGGAAAAUUAGAGUUUUUGUGUAGUAAGGAGUGCUCUGGCCAAAUCAUAAGCUAAAAUGAUCCAAUUGAUUUGAAAUUUUGCAGGUAGAAAGUUAACUCAAAUCCCUAUAACUUUCAUGUUUUGUCCAAAAGCUGAUUCAGUCUAAAACAUGGAGAAAUUAGCAGCCCAAGUUGAUUCCAAAAACAUGGCAGAACUGAAAUUCACCAAAUUGUCUAAUUUUCUUCCAAGUUUCAACUCCCAACUCAAACCCAAUCAAGAUUACAUCACUACGCUACCUCUUGUUAACUUAACCCUAGAUAGGAAAGUUUCGGCAGUACCUCCCCCAUUUUCGAUCCUUUUUUCCUUGAAAAUCAAGGUAUAAACCACAGCAAUCCCAACACAAUCAAAGCCACAAGUCAUAAGAUAUUACAAGCCUUAUUCUAGUCUAUCAAAGCCCUUCAAAAUUCACACAAAUAGAGAUUAACCGAAAGACAUCAAAGCUGAAAUUUCCCAAUUCAAGUAAGAAAAUCACUUAUUGAAGUUGUAAACAUUCAUAUCAAAGCUCAACCACCUUCUAAUAUGAUUGGACAACAUAUAUCAAAAUUAAAAACUUAACAAAGGCUGAAAUUUCACUUCUUAAGCUAAAUUUUGCAUAUAACCAUCACUAAUUGCUAUUAAAAGCUAGAAAUUCCACCUUAACACUAAACUAGCUUCUACUAAUCAUAUACAUGCCAAAUCAAAGAUGAAAUAACUUAUAUAAAAUCUGAAAAAUAUCAAUAAAACUGAAAUUUAUCAUCCCAACCCUAAAAUCGCAAGAAUCUCCAUAAAAUCAAUCAAAAUCAAGUUAUCCAACAACUUAAUCACAAGAUUAAAGAACAAAAGAAGCUUCUAGUGAUUAUACCUUCCUACACUUUGAAAACAAGUAAAACAAACCCUUUUCUUCUCAAAACACUCCACCUUUAGCUUGCUAUCACCUUAGAUGCAAGGUUAAUCGGAGUAGAUUUUGGCAAUUGAAAGAAAUCUCUCAAGAUUUGGUGAAGGAAAUCAAAGGAAAAAUGGACUUAACUUGCUUAGUUUUACUCCUCUUGAGGUUCGGCCAGCUUGGAGAAGAAAGAAUGAAGAGUUUGUGUGCUCCAAAUGAAGUGAUAAAGUUGAAGACUUAAGUGUUCCAAGACUAAAUGAAAACGCGACAUGUGGCACUACUUUGACUAUUACUUAUCUCUUGAUCUUUCUUCUUAGUUUCUAAUCACUCAUCUAUGUGGUGUUCCUCUAACUCGCUCUUAACACUUCUAGGCAUAUAUUCCUUGGUAUAUAACAUCCGUUCAUGUUCACUAAAUUUAAUACACACUUACUAGUAGGGAUGUACGCGAGCCGAGUCAUAAUCGAGUAGCUCGCGAGUAGCUCGGUCAACGGCUUGGCUUGAACUCGGGUUGACCGAGUUCGAGCCGAGUCUCGAGCUACUCGAUUGUCAUUCGAGUCGAUUUUCGAGCCAAUAUUUUGAGGCUCGAGACUUGUCGAGCUACUCGUCGAGUCGGGGGUAUUUAAAUAAUAUAUUUAUAAUUUAAAUAAUAUAUACGUAUUAUAAUUAUAAAAUGACCAUUAUGGGUAUAAGUUUUACGGAAUUUACAAUAAAAUCUUCUUUAUAAUAAAAUUUCAUAAUGGCAAAAAAGUAAUAACAUAAUUGUAAAAAGACCUAAAAAGAAAAAAUGUCUAAAAAAGGGAAGAAAAGACGAAAGUGUGUCAAAAAGCUUGAUUAGGCUCGACUUGAUAAGGUUUGACUAAAGGUCGAGCCUUAUUGAGUCGAGUCUCGAGGUUAAAACGAGUUUCUCGAGUCAAAUUUCGAGUAUCGAUUUUUUGUACUGGGUCGAGCUCGAGUCGAGCUCGAGCCUAGGUAUAUAUGAGUCGAGUCGAGCUCGAGUAUAGCAAUACUCGAGCUUGAUUUGACUCGAUUACAUCCCUACUUACUAGUGAGCCACACUACCAAAAUGUAAUAUAACUAAACACGCACCACAAUAUAAAACAAACAAUUAAAAUUUAACUCUACCAUAAAAAUACCUUAUAAAUUAAGGGAUUUAAACUAGAGUAGGUAAAAAUAUUAUUUAACGCAUGCAAAACGAGAAAAUAAUUUAAAUUUUUUUUUCAAAAUCUCACAGCUUUGAAGCGAUCCAUCUCUCCUGUUGGCUUAUAUUUGGUCUUAUAUACCCAUUUCACUCCAAUUGGCUUCCUUUCAGGUGGGAUAGUGGUCAAUUCUUGUGUAUCAUUUUUCGCAAUGGCAUGAAUUUCUUCAUCCAUUGCACGAACCCAAUGAUCAUCUUUGGCAGCUAUGAGAUAGGCUCACAAUCUGCAAAAAGAGAAAAAUUCACAAUCUCUUCAUCAGUUAAAUCAUUAUCUUUACCAACAGCAUAAUCAUCAAAUCGGGCUAGCAUGUGGCGUUCUCUCUAUGGUCGACUGGAUGUCUCAACCUGAAUAGUGGAAGGUGAGGGAUCACCAUGAGGCUGCACAACUUGCUCCACUGCUUGCUUAUUAGCACUCGGUCCUAUAAUGGGAGAAAUGGAUGGAUACUUUGGCGAUACUUCAGGGUCUUGUUUGGACCAAUCCCAAACUCCAUGUUCAUCAAAAGUCACAUCUCUGCUAACAAUCACCUUUCCUGUGUUUGGAUUGAAUAACUUAUAUCCCUUAGUCUCAUGACUAUAUCCAAUAAAAAUACACUUCUCUGCUUUGUCAUCCAAUUUCUUCCUGAAAUGAUCUGGAACAUGCGCAUAUGCAAGACAACAAAAUACCCUGAAAUGAGAAAUAUCCAGUUUCAUACCAAUCCAAACUUCUUGUGGGGUCUUCCCAAAGUUGCAUCUAGCAGGGCACUUGUUCAAAACAUAAAUAGCACAAGAUACUGCUUCUGCCCAAAAGGAUUUAGGAAUACCUUUGGAGUGCAGCAUAGACCUCACCAUGUCCAUCACAGUCCUAUUCUUCCUUUUAGUCACACCAUUUUGUUAAGGUGUAUAUCUGGCUUUCAAUUGAUGUUUUAUGCCACUUUCCACCAAAUAGUCAUCACAAAAAAGAUACUCAGUGCCUCUGUUAGUUCUCAAAGUUUUAAUAAAAUAGCCACUCUGCUUCUCUACAUAAUAUUUGAAUUUUUUAAACACAUCACAUGCAUCAUAUUUAUUUCUUAAAAAAAUACACUCAUGUCUUCCUGCUGAAAUCAUCAAUGAAGGUAAUAAAAUAUUUACUACCACCAUUGGAAGGAACUUCAACUGAGCAUAAAUCUAAAUGAAUCAAUUCAAGUGGUCGAUUAGCCCUCCAAGCCUUGCCUUUUGGAAAAGGAUCACUGUGCUUCUUUUUCAAAAUACAAGACUCACACUUGUUGUCAGGAAACUCAAUAGAAGGCUACUCAAUAACUAAUUUCUUUUUUUCAAGAAAUUUCAAACUCCCAAAAUUCAAAUGCCCAAAAUGCAUAUGCCAUAACUAAGAAUUAUCACAAGUCACGGAAUUAAAGCAAGGUAAAUCAUCACAGUUAAGGGAAAGAGGCCACAGACGACUACGAUUCAUCUUUAUCUUGGCAAUUAAUCCCAAUUUUCCAUCACUUAUGGUGCCCUCACCAUAUUUAAAAUGAGGAUCAUAACCUUUCUCAAAUAAUUGUCCCAAACUCAACAAAUUAUGAUAUAAACUUGGCACAUAGAAAAUAUCAGAAAUAAAAUUCGAAGACCUAUCUUGCAAGAUAAUUCUGAUUUUUCCUUUUCCAAGAACAUGCACUUUUUCAUUGUUUCCAAAUCUCACAGAUACAUGAAAAGAUUCAUCUAGGUCAGAAAACAUCUCCUUUUUACCGCACAUAUGAUUACUACAACCAGAAUCAAUAAACCAAUCAUUCUUCAUAGACUCUUCAGAUGUAGAACUAGAAAACAACAAGGUCUCCUCUCUAUCACUACAAUUUUCAGCCACUUUAGCAUGCACCUCUUUAUUGGACCAACAUUCAUUCUGAUAAUGACCAAUUUUAUCACAAUUAUAAUAUUGGACAUUAGAUCUAUCACGCCUUUGAAAAUUAUUUCUUUGACUUUACUGUUGAUUGUUUUCCUGAUCCCUAUUAGAAUUAUUUCUGGGUUGGUGAGAAUAAUUACCUCUUCCACGACCACGAAAGUUACCUCUACCUCCAUGCCCUCUACCUCUGAAGUUCUGGCCCUUUUGAUUUGUGUCCAUGUGAUUUACCUCCUCUUUUCCUUUUGGGUGAUCCACCUUGGCUUGUAACACCUCUUCUACUAUAUCCGAUGGCUGCUGAUUCAGGGACAUCUCAUACGUCAGCAAUUCACCUUCCAAUUCAGCAAGUGGCUAAUUGUUAAGGUCCUUUGUGGCUUCAAGGACUGUCUUCUUGGUGUGAAAUUUAGCAGCUAGAGAUCUCAAAACUUUUUCAACAACUCUAACCUCUUCCAAAUUCUCACUAUUGGACUCCAUAUCAUUGACAAUUUCUUUAAUUGUACCAAUGAAAUCUUUAACUGACUCCGUGGAUUUCCUCUGGGCCAACUCAAAUUGUCUCCUAAGUUCUUGCAAUCUGAUUUUUCUCACGUUAGCACCUCGAUUUGAGUUCACUAAAAUUGUCCAAAUGUCUUUUGCCAACUUUGCAUGUAUAAAUUUUUUGCAACGUGCAACUGGACUUAAGUGUUGAGAUAGUACAUUGCCUUGCAAUCCAACUGUCUAUUUCUCUCUAAUUCUUUAACUGCAUCGCUUGAUAAUUCUAUAUCUACCACCGGUUCCAUAUAUCCUGUCUCGACAAUAUUCCAAACUCUAAUAUUUUGGAAAAAAAUUCUUCAUCAUUGACCUCUAAGCCUCAAAAUCGCUUUAACCAUCGAAGAUAAAAACGUGACAAUUGUACAAAUAAUGUGGAUCCACACUUUAAUUUCAUGAACAAGCUCCAAGCCCCGAUUUUGCAAACAAGGCCCAGGAUCAAAGCCUAGGACUCUGAUACCACUUGUUGGGACGAAGAAUCCCCAUGCACACAGCGGAAGCAAUUAUAACACAUAUAAAAAAUAUAUGUGAAGAGCAAAAGAACAAACACUCAAUAAUUUAUUUAAUUCAAAACAAAUACUAAGUCGUAGCCUUUCGGUCGCAACAACUUACAAAUCUCAACUAUGAGAUUUUCUCUCAUGUCUAAUCUCUAGACUCAACUCAACUCUCCACACAAUAACCUACUAGACUAUUAGUAUUUAUAGACUCCAAAAUUUCCUAAAGCAAAUACGGUUGUAAACCAAAACUUAUUUGGAAACUGACUUGAGAUUUCCUAAUCUAAUAUGGAAACUAAACAAAUAAGAUACCAAAAAGAAUUAGGAAACUAAAAUAGCUUGGUUUAUUUUCCUACAGUAAAAUGUACAAAAAUUUGAUUAGUGUGUAAAUCUUUGUUGACCAUUCCAUUUCUGAUUGUUUAAGUUUUGUACUCUUACACAUUUGGCAGCAUUUUAUUUUACAUUAGUAAACCAAGAAGUUUGCAGUAUUAUUAUACUCGAUCUUUUUUUGUUUUUUAAGGGUAAGUUACGUCAAAGGUUGUCAAACUUUCAAUAGCUUCAUUUUACUCUUGUAACUUUUUUUGGUACUAAAUGGUCCACUAGUUUUUUUUAAAAAUAAAUUUAUUGUACCCAUUCAACUACUUUUUGAACCAAAUAACCUACUAAACUUUUCAAGUGAUUUAUCUGGAUCGUUCUGUUAGAUUCUACUCUUAAGAUAGAUAAAAAGUUUGCCAUGUAGUCCUAUUUUAAAUGGAUAAUUUUGUUAUUUCACACCCACAAUCUAUAUGUCCAAAUCAAUUAAAAAAAUGUAUAGCUUCAGGAAAACCACAAAUUCUGUUUUGGAUAGGGCCAAAAAUAGUUUCUAUCACGAUCGAGAUUUUAUUUUGGGAUUUAGGUGUUUUAAAAAGUGAUUGAAUACUUUAAUCCAUUGGGGCAGAUGGAUUUUAGGCGCACAAUGAUGAAAUUGUCCAUUUAAAUCGGGCUCACAUGACAAACGUUCAUCUAUCUUAAUGGUAGAAUUUAACAAAAUAGUCAAGAUGAAUCACUUUCAAGAGUUUAAUAGGCUAUUUUGGUACAAAAAGUAGUUGACUGGGCAAAAUAAAACUUUUAAAAUGUUUGGCAUGCAGUUUGAUAGAAAAAACAGUUCAAUGAGACUUUUAAAAAGUUUGAACGUCUAUAAUCAACAAGUAGCAACCUUAUAUUAUUUUCUAAUGGCUGAUAGAAAGGACUAAAAGUCUAAAACUGUUCCUUGUCACAGUCUUAUCUACUCUUGUCUAUUUUCAGUUAACAAUCGUCCAAUACUUCCAUCAAAAGAAAAUCCACACAUGAAAAAUGAAGUGAUAAACCUUAACUUAUUCAGUAUAAAGUCAACACCAAACUUCUCUCUUUCUUCUCGCUAGUUGCAUCUUGAAUGGAGUUACUCUACAGCAUCCUAAGUCUCAUUUUUUCCGUAUUCUGGAUUGCUGUGAAGUUUCGGUGCUACUUCCCACAGAAAAACAGAAACUUCCCACAAAUUUGAUAAUUUGUCUGGUAUAUUACCAGAUACAUGCACUUGACAAGAGAAAUGCAAAUGGCUUGAAGGAGUUGUUUAAGCAAAUGCAUUGAUGGAUUAACUUAGCUGAAGUUAGAAAUACCACAGGAUUUAUAAACUAGCAGUAGCGAAGACAUUGGUUUUCUUUGAAAGCCGCAUGGAGUUUUUAUUUUUGGAAAAUAAUAUUCCAUACUAACACAAUUCUAUGAUAUAGGAAUAGAAUAAGGGGCAAAUUACACUUUAUCGCCCUGUGGUUUAGUGUUUUUGUAUAUUACCCCCUAUGAUUUUAAAAGCUAUAUAUAAUCCCUUCAUGGUUUGGAUUAAAGUGUCAAAAUAACGGAAUUUGCAAUCCAUAAUGGAGUCACCUAAAAUGUCAAAAAUACCCCUAUGUAAAGUUGAAAGUUAUUUAUUAACCACAGGAGAGUUAUGUGUAUAUUUUAAAAUCAUAAGGGGUUAUAUAAUAAAAUAUUAAAUUAUGAGGGGGUUAUAUUUUAAAACAUAAAAUCAUAUAGGGUUAUUGCGUCGGUAUAUUAUAUUUAUAUAUUUUGAUCAUUUCACCAUUUUAAUUUUUAAACAAGGGUAAGUUUGACAUUUUAAAAGGUUCCGGAGUUAAUGAUCAUUUUCAUGAUUUUGACACUUUAAUCCAAAUUAUGAGGGAGUUAUAUAUAGUUUUUGAAACUAUAGAGGAGCUGUGUACAAAAAUACUAAACCAUAGAGAGGUAAAAUGUAAUUUGCCCUAGAAUAAAAGAUGGUCCACCUUCUAUUUCUUAGAUUGCGUAAUUUGAGUUGCUUUAUGUAACUGAAUUCUUUAUCAUUAAAGUGUCACUUUCAUUUCUUUUGGGUUGUUGCUGGAGCCUUCACAUAUUGUUAAAUUAAAAAAUUAUUCUUAAAACUUAAUUUAGUUGGUAGGCAUAUUUUUUUUUGAGGUUUCUAAUUCGACUUUCAAGCCUUUCUCGUGUAAAACUUUGAGUGUUUUCUUGAACCAAAAAAAUUAAAUAAAUAAUAUAAAAUAAAACAUUUUUCCCUUUGCAUCUUCAUUGAUUUUCUUGAGAACUUUUGCUAUAAGCGUAUACAAUUCGAUAUAAUACGAAUUUUUCUACACUAUGGUUAGUAGGAUGGUACUUUCGUUGGGGGAGGAAGUUGAGGAAAGUUGAUUCAGUUUCCCAACCUCUACCUGCCGACCCUCCUUUUUGCUUUAAUAGUCCCUACCCAAAUGAUUAAAAUAGUCCCUCAAUUUUUUUGUUCAAAAGUUUAUGUCCCUCAACUUUAGUUCAUUAGCUGAUUAAGUCACCAGCUGUUUAACACUCAGUAAUUAGUUUGUUUGGAUAGUGAAUUAAUUAAAAAAUUCAUUUUCUUACAUCAAUGCAUUUUUCAAUUAUCUUUUUAUUUUAUAUAUAUCACAUAAAAAAAGUGAUAUAGCAUCAUUUGAUCUUUUGCAUUUUGGACAAGAAAGACGUAUACUUUUUGUCUUUUGGAUUUCUGAAGAUAGAGUUUGUUGUCUUUGUCAGAGUUCAUCAAACCAUAGCUCUAUUAUCAGGCUUUCAAAUAAAACACAUUUAACUUUUUCGAAAGCAAAUAAAAUUAAGACAACUCACAACCUUUGUUUGAUGCCACUGAAGUAUUGCGGCUGGUCAUAUAUACUAUAUAAAUACUGGAUACUGCCAGCAAAUAUCUCUGGAAAGAUGCACUAAAUUUAGAUUAUUACAUGCAUAUGGAUUAAACUAUUUCAAUUUUGAUUAUUUUAGUUUUGUACCACUAUUACACUUCUGCGCUCUGACUUUGAUUAUGUUCAAUCAAAUGCUAUUAACUUAAAUUAAAAACCCACUGAUUUCUGAAUUUAAAAUGUUAAAUUACAUCAUGCAUGAUCCCAAAUUUGGGAAGCACAUGCUUCCCAAAAUGUCUUUAUUCAACAAUCAGCAGCAUAAAGCAUUUGGAAAGCACCAAAAUGUAGAAACAUGAUAGAAGGAACUAAAAUUCAUAGGCCCACGUUUCAAUCUUAUCCACCCUCUGUAUUACCGCACAUGAAAAAUGAAGUGAAGCAUGAUAGCUGCAAGUAAAGACUCUCUUCAAUGGUCACUUGUCAAAGCAACUCCACUGUGCAAUUUAUGCUCCUUAAUUAUGGGGUGAACUUCAAAUUAAAGAAAUGAUAUUUAUAGUAAGACAACUAUUAAUGAGGGAAAAAAUUACUUCCUCCGUCUCAUUUUAUUAAGUUUGUUUUCUAUUUUAGUUUGUCUCAAAUUAUUUGUCAUAGUCUAAAAGAGAAAAACAAAAAGAGACCAAUUUCCCCCAUUUUACCCUUCAUUCAAUUUUCCAAAAAAAAGAGUAUUAGCAUAAUGUUUUAGCAUUAAAUCCUUUACAAACUAUUAUAAAAUUCUCAAAUUCAAAAGCAACAAACAAAAUUUGAAUUCAAGUUAAGUGGUAUUUAUGGAAACAUUUACUUGUUGGUUGGUGAAAAAUCAGAUUCCUUAAUCUAUGUGCAAAAUUAUACAUGACAAAUCAAAUGAGACGGAUGAGUAUUAUGUGUUUUAAUGAUGUCAUCUUAGUGCCUAGAUUUGUUGGCUUAUUGUCCAUAUUUUUUGAAUUAAUGUUGUAACUUUCAGUAAGUAAGUGAGAGAUUUUGAAUCAGAAUCUCUUACUUAUGGUCUUCCCAUUUUAUUAUCUAACCCGACCCCACCCACCCCACCCCCUAUUUAUUGAAUUAAUAUUGAUGCUCAUGUAUGAAACAACUGAUACUGGUGAUUAGAGAGUGCCCAAAUGCAAAAUUACUACACUGCAUAUAAAGUCAACGACAAACAUCUUUCUCCUUGCUUCUUGCAUCUUGAGCCUUGAUCAUGGAGUUACUCUACACCAUUCUAGGUCUCAUCAUAUUCUUGAUGGCUGUAAAGUAUCAGUAUCUCCGAAAAAAGAACCGAAAACUGCAGCCUCCAAGUCCUCCAGCUCUUCCAAUUUUGGGCCAUCUUCACCUUGUGAAGACUGCCCCUCACCUUGCCCUGCAAAAGCUCUCCAUCAAAUAUGGUCCCCUGAUUUUCCUUCAUUUUGGGAUUCGUCCUUUCCUUGUUGUUUCCUCGCCAUCUCUUGCAGAGGAAUGCUUAACCAAGACCAAUGAUAUUAUUUUCGCGAACCGGCCUGAGUCAGUUUCCAGUAAAUACCUUGGCUACAACUCAACUAUUCUCAUACUCUCCCCUUAUGGAGAUCACUGGCGAAAUCUCCGCAGAGUCACAACCAUCCAUAUGUUUUCUUCGAUUCAACUCCAGCGUUUAUCCUCCAUCUGGACCGAAGAAAUCCAUUUCAUCAUCAAAAAAUUGUUUUCAAAUAACUCUGAUGAGAAAACCUGGAAAGUUAAGGACAUGAGUUCUUUGUUCCGGGAGUUAUUAUUCAACGUGAUAACGAAAAUAGUUGCUGGAAAAAGAUGGCCAUCUGAUCAGCCAGGUGAUAUAUUUUCACCGCGACCAAUCACUAAUCUUUGUGAUUAUAUUCCAAUCUUGAGGUGGGUUGGCUAUGGAGGGUUGGAGAAAGGUGUAAUCAGUUUGCACCAGAAGAGGGAUGAGUUUCUUCAGGGCCUGAUUGAUCAAACACGUAAAGAGGAAGCAGAAGACGGUUCUUGUCCGACAGAGAGAAGGAAAACAAUUAUUCAAGAAUUGCUAUCUCUACAAGAAGCAGAACCCGAAUACUACACUGAUGAAAUUGUUAAAGGAAUUAUACAAGUAAGUCUCUUCUACUUGAAUCUCUUUUACAAAUUGGUCUAUUAUUCAUUGGAACAAGGUCAUCUCACCCAUGUAGCAGCAGCACAAUUUGUCUAGCCCUAUUUAGUGGUAGGGCUAAGACUAGUGGUGCGGGAUGCAGUGCUUGUGUGGUGCAGAUGCAACUGCAUGCUUUUCACGGUUCAAAUUGGAUCACAUUAGCUCGAUUCCAUCUGAAUUUUGAAAUGAUCAAAUCAAAUCGUAGCUUGAUGUUGUGGUCUAAUCUGAGCUGUAGAAAACUCCUCCGACUGCAUAUAGGCAUCGGAUCUAGCGGUGGCGAGUGUGGAAAUGGUGUGUGCCACUAACUUCAGUGUUGGUGUCUAGAUAAGGAAUUUAGUCAAAGUCUUUUCAAAAAUUUGGUUUUCAAGAAUUUAGUACACGUGAUUUCAACAUUAAAUAUGCCAAUAUCUAUUGGUGACGGGUGAGCUGGGGCAUCCGUUAACGUGUAAAUUGGGUUAGUCUUGUUGUGGUGCUCUAACGUAGCGGGGCAGCCCGUCCCCCGUCCCCCGUCCCCCCUAAUAAAAAAUUAUUAUAUAAUUUUAUUAUGGUUAAAAUUUAGCAAAUAAUCAAGUACUAAAAUAUCAACACAUCAUCAAAUUAUUAUUCAUUGUAAUUUUACAAUUGAAACGUAUAAAAUCAAUCAAAUAAAAAUUAUUUGAAUACAAUCCAACAUUAUGAAAUAAAUAUAACUAAAGUAGUCAAGUUUUCACUUUUGGCACAAAUACAAUCACUAAUUCAUUAUUGUGCUUGUGCUUUUUUUAAGAAAAAAAUGUUAUUGUAUUAAGUGUAAUUAGGGAUUUAGUAUAAAUGUAUUAGUAAAUUUAGUAUAACCAAUUAAUAAUUUGUAUUAGUACACAUAUAUAAUUAUUAGUAUAAUUAAUAAUAUCAAUUAUAUUAUAUAUACUAAUAGACAUUAUAUAAUACAUAUAACUAAUAAUAUCAUUAUCAUAAGUUUGGAACUAAUUAAAUUAUAUAUUAUAUAUAUAAUUAUAUACAUAUAUAUUUUAUAUAUUUAUUUUUUUAAAGCGGGUGGCGGGGCGGGGGUACACUCCCCCGCCCCCCCGCCCAGUUUCUAAGCGGGGGGAAAAAAAUUCCCCCGUCCCCGCCCCAACCCCCUCCCCAUUAGCCCCCCGCGAGGCGGGUGCCCGCGGUCACCCGCCCCCAUUGUCAUCCCUAGUUUGGUACAAUUGUUAUACUUUUCACAUUAUUUGGUGUAUAAUUAUAUUAUAUUAUUUUUUUUAGAAAUAAAAGUGAUGUACAUAAAUAAAGUAUUUGACACAUAUUCAAUAUAAUAUUAUGAAGUAUUUGUACACUAAAAAAUUUAAACCUAUACAAUGGUUGGACGAAAUUGUAUAAAAUACAAUUGUACCAAAUUCCUAUUCCAAAGUAACAUAUCAAUUUAUGGCUGUAUCUAUCAUUUUACACCAUAAAAUAAUCAAAGAAUCUUUAAUGGUAUGGGGCAAUAUUUAAGGUUUUAACAAUAUUUUCCGCAACCGUAGAUUUAGGAAUCUAGUUCACAAAAUUUAUAGACACAUGAGAAUAACUUAACAAACAAAAAAGAUUAUUUUAACAAGUUACUGUCCUUUUUUUCCUCAAAAGUUUGGGAUUCAAUAUAAUGGAUGUAAUAGCCUUAAGAUGCCCUUAUAGUUUGGCUUGGCAACAUGGGAUGGAAGCAAUUGCCAAUAUAACUAUCUCAACAGUGUUGAACUUUCGUAAUAAAGUAAAAUUUAUCACAAAAUAGUGUGCACAGCUGUAUUACAAGAAUGUUAAAAAUCAGCCUCAUCCUAACGAAAAAUACAUGUAAUUGUAUCCGAAUAUUAAUUGUACAUUUUUUAAUUGUUGUUUUGUUGGCCAAAUUAAGGCCCUUAAAAUUUGGGGAAGGUUGCUGCUUGCUCCCAGUCCCUACCCCUGAUGGAGGACAAAUAGGUAAAUUCACAUUGCUGAGGUGAUAAACUGACAAUUGAUACACGUGAUGAUAUUCGGCAACGGACGAUAGAAGCAAAUCAGAUUAGAUGAUGAGACAUUAACCAUGACACUUGUGGCUGGGUUUAAGUCAACGGUGGAGGCUGUGAGAUAGUUUUAGAAUUGGUCGUUACGAAGGCACAUCAAUGUUGCUUUUGAACCUUUGUCCUGGCUCUUUUUGAAAAAUAUACAGAAAAAUGUGCACAAAUCCAAAAAUUAAUCACAUCAAUGUUCUUUACAACAGAAAAAUCAAACCACGUCAACUAGGAAAUUUUUGGACUUUUUUUUUAAAAAAAUCUAUCAAUUACUAAAGACAUUUUAAAAUGUGUUCAUUUGAGUACAGGUAUUUAAGGUUAAAUGCAUAAAACUCCCACGAACAAGUACACUAAUUGCACUUUACAUUCUAAAGUAUUUUAAUAGGCACUUUACACCUUUAGUUAACUAAAAAAUUACAUGAAAAUUAAUUUCAUCCAAAUAAUUGAUGAAAUGAUUAAUUAUCCUCCAUUAAAACUUAAGUAAUAAAAAUACUAUUUUGGUGGGGAAGAUUACUAAUUUAAAUAGACUAAUUUUCACUUUAUGUCAAAAUGUCUAAUUGUUAACACAUAAAAAAUCGAUUUGAAUGACGAUUAAGGCUAUUGGAGUCAAAAUGGGGGCAAAAUAUAGAAAUAUUGAGUGAUUAAUGUUGCAAUUUUUAAAAUUCCAUAAUUUUCUUCAAUGCAUCAUAAUGCAACAAAAUUUCAUUUGAAAUAUUCACAAGCAUAAAAUAGGAGUAGAACCCAAAAAUUUGCCUAUGAAUUUAGCACAAUAAUUGCAAUAAAAUUUCAAUAACGAACCAAAAUUAGAAGCCAUAUAUUAUGAAACAAAAUAUUGGGCUAAAAUUUUUUAAUAAAACACCUAAGUUAUUUACUUUUCCUUGACAACAAUCUUUUCUUACCUAGGCUAACUUGAAAUACGUCGUGAAGUAAGGUUGAUGAGAUUCUUGAAUUGAAUUUAUUCCUUUUCUUGUUUUUUUCCUACUUCUUUUGUUUAAUUGUCAUUCAAAGUGAUCAUAUUUUUAUUGUUAUAUGUUUCCAAUUAGAAUUUUAUUAUGAAGUGAAAAUUAAUCCAUUUAAAGUCACAAAUUUUUCUACCAUAACGGUAUUUUUGUCACUUAAAAGCUUUUAAUGGAGGAAAAAUUGGUCACUUCAUCAAUUAUUUAGAUGGAAUUAAUUUUCUCAUUAUUUUAUAGUUGACUAAGGGUGCAAAAUGCCUAUUAAAAUAGUUUAGGGUACAAAAUGCAACUCGUGUAAUAGUUCGUCAGGGUUUUCUGCAUUUCACACCCUAUUUAAUUUUGGCUUUUCAGUUUAUACUCUGAACUAUGAAUUGUGAUACUUAAGUAUUAUAUACUAUCAAUUUUAGGGCACAUCGUCCAAAUAAGAUAAAAUCAAUUAAUUCUUUCAGCAACUUUAGAAUGAAAUACUUUAAUACCCCUAAACGAAUUUCAGAAUUUGGACAAACAACAAAUUAAGGAUAUUUGAAGCCUUCUAAACUACCUAUAGAAGAAGUUAUUUGGAUUUGAGUUGAUUUGAUCAAUGGGCCAACAAAAGAGUAGUAUAAGAUACCGAAGUUCUAAAAUUAGCAAUUUAGAGAGCAACAAGCAAAUUGGUGAUAAUUUAGGAGUGCAUAUUGGCAAUAACCCAAAAAAAGUAGUUCCUUCAUGCCUUUACAUAUAAUUGAGGUCUAAAGAUAUCAAAUGCCAUAAUAUAUAGUUCCCUCAUGCCAGAAUAGGGGUUCAUUUUUUCGAAUAUCACAUGUAAUUCUCAUAUUUCGCUUGAACCUUCUUAUGUGACUAGUGGACAUUCAUCUGCGAGCAAUGUCAAAAGUGUAAAUUAUUGAUUCAGGAUCUAUAGCAAGAGAAAUGACAUUAUUUGUCAACAACUUGAUUCUAAAAACUAAUUCAUAUUCUUUUCUUAUUCAUUCAAAAAGUUGCAUUGAAUUUGACUGUACAUUACUUCUUGUGUAGAUAAUGUUGUCAGGCGGAACCCAUACUACAUCUCAGACAAUGGAGUGGGCAUUGUCCAGCCUAUUAAAUCACCCUAAUGUACUGCAAAAGGCAAGAGAUGAACUAGAAAAAAUGCAGCCUGGCCAUCUGCUAAAUGAUUCGGAUAUCUCCAAAUUGCCUUAUUUACGCUGCAUAAUCAACGAAACACUAAGGUUAUUUCCUGCGGCACCAACUCUUGUGCCUCAUUUUUCAUCUGAGGAUUGCACCAUAGGAGGCUACAAGGUUCCUAAAGGUACAACUUUGUUAGUGAAUGUUUGGGCCAUUCACAGGGACCCCAAUCUUUGGGAAGAGCCCAACAAGUAUAAGCCAGAAAGAUUUGAAGGAAUGGAUGAGAGAGGGUGGAAUGAAGGGUUCAACUUUCUUCCAUUUGGAAAAGGCCGGAGAAUUUGCCCAGGAGCUGCCAUGGCCAUAAGGUUGGUCGGGUUGACAUUGGGCACCCUGAUUCAAUGCUUUGAUUGGGAAAGAGUUGGGCCUGAAAUGGUGGAUUUGGAAGAAAAUCAAGGAUCAACUUUGGGUAAGGCCAAUCCUUUGGAGGCAUCUUACAAGCCGCGCCCAUCUAUGAUCAAAACAAUUUCUCAGCUUUAAGUUAGAUGUGUUGUUCUAUUAAGAUAAAUUGGGAUUUCUUUUUUUUUUUCUGAACUUAAAUAUCAAGAAAUAAUUGUCUGUUCUUUGGUUUUGAGCACCUCUUACAAUUUCAGAUUUGUAGUUGUAACUUUCUUUCAAUACAAGUUAAUGCUCAAAUUAUACAAACUCAAGUAUUUUACAUGGAAAUGCGGAACAUUAAAUGAUUCUAAUUCUACACUGUGGAGAAGGAGAUGGAAAGUACAACCCCACAAGCCUAAUUAGGCGUCUUAUUUAUUCACCAAUCUAAUUGAACACCAGGGAGCCUGAAAACGGUGUGAAGAACCAAAACGAAAUAAUCAUUAUACCAGUACAGUAGUAAUUGCACUGCUUUUAAAUUGAAUAUCAUAGUUUGCCCAAAUUGCAGAAUUCAAAUAAUAAGAGUUGAACGUAACAAUGACCGGAGAAAACUGGGAUCCAUGGUGACCCUAAUGUUUGGGAAUGAUGGAAGGGGGAUGCAAUGAAGGGUUCAAUUUUUUUCCAUUUGUUAAAGGGAAGAGAGCUUGUCUAGGAGCUGCUUUGGCUAUGAAGUUAGUUGCAUUGUCAUUCAUGUUCGCCGUCACGAGUUGCUGUUGCUGGUGUUCCACGUCUGUCACAGUAUAUUGGUUGAAUAUUGGGUAAUAUGUAUAUUAUAGCACAUGAAAAUUUUCAAAAAAUCUGAAAAAAUUAUUAAAAUUAGAUAAAGCCAAAAAAGGCACAAUUUGAAAAAAAUAUUCGAGUUGAUUCCCAAUGGAUUCGAAUAUAUUGGUCGAUACCAUACAUCACGGAUUUGAAUUGGUCGAGUCAAAUCGAGUCGCCACAGAUAUAUUGUUAUCCACAAUUCAGCGAUCAGUAUCGUGCCUGUUUCCUCCGUUCUGAUUACGACUUGGCUGAUUAAAAUAUUCCUAUACACUAAGGGCUUGUUCUAAAACUGCUUAAAAUAUGGGAAUCCCUUCCCACAUCGACAGUUUCUUGGCUUUUUUUUAUCAGUGGUCACAUAUUGAAUAUUCCUAGUAUUUAAUGUCGCAUUCAAACAUUUCAAUUUGACAAAAACAUGCUAUGACAGGGCAACAAGACAAAGAAAUAAAAGAUGCAUUUUCGUAUGCAAAUUGAAUUGAGCUCAUUGUGACAAGUGACAGCCUUCGUUGAUGCCACUACAAUGUCGGGGCAGGUCAUAACAUGAAUAUGUAAAAUUUUUUCAGAAAAUAUCUUUGGUAAAAUGUACAAAAAUUUGAUUAGUGUGUAAAUCUUUGUUGACUAUUCCAUUUCUGAUUGUUUAAGUUUUGUACUCUUGCACGUUUGGCAAGAUUUUAUUUUACAUUAGUAGACCAAGAAGUUUGCUGUAUUAUAGUCGAUCUUCUUUUGUUUUUUAAGGGUAAAGUAUGUCGAAGGUUAUCAAACUUUUCAAUAGUUUCAUUUUACUCUCGUAACUAUUUUUCGUACUAAAUAGUCCACUAAAUUUUUUAAAAGUCUCAUUUUAUUCAUUGAACUAUUUUUUUUAAUAAGAAAUGGCUCAUUAAUUUUUGUUAAAAAUUUUCAUUUUACCCACUCAACUUCUUUUUUUUUUUUUUUUUACCAAAAAACCUACUAAACUUUUAAAGUGAUUUAUCUGGAUCGUUUUGUUAGAUUCUACCAUUAAGAUAGAUAAAAAGUUUGCCAAGUAGUCCAAUUUUAAAUGGAUAAUUUUUUCAUUUCACACCCAAAAUCUAUAUGUCCAAAUCAAUUAAAAAAUUUUAUAGCUUCAGAAAAAACCACAAAUUCUAUUUUGGAUGGGCCAAAAAUAGUUUUUGUGAGGAUUGAGAUUUUAUUUUGGGAUUUAGGUAUUUUUAAAAGUGAUUGAAUAGUUUAAUCCAUUGGGGCAGAUGGAUUUUAGGCGUGCAAUGACGAAAUUAUCCAUUUAAAUCGGGCUCACAUGACAAACAUUCGUCUAUCUUAAUGGUAGAAUUUUAACAAAAUAGUCAAGAUGAAUCACUUUCAAGAGUUUAAUAGGCUAUUUUGUACAAAAAGUAGUUGACUGGGCAAAAUAAAACUUUUAAAAUGUUUAGCAUGCAGUUUGAUAGAAAAAAUAGUUGAAUGAGACUUUUAAAAAGUUUGAACGUCUAUAAUCAAAAAGUAGCAACCUUAUAUUAUUUUCUAAUGGCUGAUAGAAAGGACUAAAAGUCUAAAAUUGUCCCUUGUCAGAGUCUUAGCUACUCUUGUCAAUUUUCAGUUAACAAACGUCCAAUACUUGCAUCAAAAGAAAAUCCAAACAUGAAAAAUGAAGUGUUAAACCUUAACUUAUUCAGUAUAAAGUCAACACCAAACUUCUCUCUUUCUUCUUGCCAGUUGCAUCCUGAAUCUUGAUUAUGGAGUUACUCUACAGCAUCCUAAGUCUCAUUUUUUUUUUCGUUUUCUGGAUUGCUGUGAAGUUUCAGUACCACAUCCCACAGCAAAACAGGAAACUUCCCACAGAUUUGAUAUUUUGUCUGGUAUAUUACCAGAUAUAUGCACUUGCCAAGAGAAGUGCAAAUGGCUUGAAGGAGUUGUUUAAGCAAAUGCAAUGAUGGAUUAACUUAGCUGAAGUUAGAAAUAUUUGAAUUUUUUAUGUUUCUAUCUUGUGCUUUCACAUCUGAAUUGAUGUAUUUUUCUGAAGUUUAUUAGGUGGUUUUGUUGAAAAGUAUGAGUAAUUUUUGUGGGAAAAUAAUAUUCAAGCCCUUGCAUUUUCAGUCACUUUUGUAUUGUUGGGUAAUAAGGGUGGUCGCAUAGGACCACAUCCCACAGGAUUUAUAAACUAACAGUAGCGAAGACAUAGGUUUUCUUUGAAAGCCGCAUGGAGUUUUUAUUUUUGGAAAAUAAUAUUCCAUACUAACACAACUUUAUGAUAUAGAAAUAGAAUAAAGGGCAAAUUACACUUUACCCCCCUGCGGUUUAGUGUUUUUGUACAUAACUCCCAAUGGUUUCAAAAGUUAUACAUAACCCUCUCAUAAUUUGGAUUAAAGUAUCAAAGCAACAGAAUUUGGAAUUCACAAUGGAGUCACCUAAAAUGUCAAAAAUGCCCUAUGUAAAGUUGAAAUUUAUUUAUUAACCAUAGGGGGUAUGUGUAUAUUUUAAAACAUAAGGAAGUUAUAUGGUAAAGUAUUAAACUAUAAGGGGGUUAUAUGGUAAACUAUAAAAUCAUAUGGGGUUAGUGCGUCAUGUAUAUUAUAUUUAUAUAUUUUGGUUAUUUUAACCAUUUUAAUUUUUAAACAUGGGUAAUUUUGACAUUUUAAAAGGUUCCGUAACGAAUGAUCAUUUCCAUCACUUUGACACUUUAAUCCAAAUUAUGAGGGGGUUAUAUAUAAUUUUUAAAACUAUAGAGGAGUUAUGUACAAAAAUACUAAACCAUAAAGAGAUAAAAUGUAAUUUACCCUCGAAUAAAAGAUAGUCGACCUUUUAUUUCUUAGAUUGCGUAAUUUGAGUUGCUUUAGGUAACUGAAUUCUUUGUCAUUAAAGUGUCACUUUCAUUUCUUUUGGGUUGUUGCUGGAGCCUUCACAUAUUGUUAAAUUAAAACAUUAUUCUUAAAACUUAAUUUAGUUGGCAGGGACAUUUUUUGUUGAGGUUUCUAAUUCAACUUUCAAGCCUUUCUCGUGUAAAACUUUGAGUGUUUUCUUGAACCAAAAAAUUAAAUAAAUAAUAUAAAAUAAAACAUUUUUCCCUUUGCAUCCUCAUUGAUUUUCUUGAGAACUUUUGCUUUGAGCGUAUACUAUUCGAUAUAAUACGAGUUUUUCUACUCUAUGGUCAGUAGGAUGGUAUUUUCGUUGGGGGAGGAAGCGGAGGAAAGUUGAUUCAGUUCCCCAACCUCUAGCUUCCGACCCUCAGUUUUGCUUUAAUAGUCCCUACCCAAAUGAUUAAAAUAGUCCCUCAACUUUAGUUCAUUAGCUGAUUAAGUCACCAGCUGUUGAACACUCAGUAACUUACAUUAUUUGGGUAGUGAAUUAUUUUUUAAAAAAAUUAUUUUCUUGUAUCACAAUAUAUUUUUUAACUACUUUUUUAUUUCAUAUACAUCACAUUAAAAAGAAUUGUACAUCACCAUUUUAUCUCGUAUACAUCAUAUCAAAAAAGUGUUGCAUUAUUUUUUCAAAAAAUUAUCCUAAAUAAUCUACUAUCCAAACUCAUAGAUUUGCAGCAUCGAUGAAAUCUUCUUGUGAGGUUGGCAUUUUUCCAAGAAGUUUUUAUAUGUGUUAUCUUAGAACAAUGGCAAUAAGCAACUCGAUUUGCCAUGAUCCGGUGCCCCAACCACGAAAUGCCAAACUCCCAUUAUUGGUCACUGUACAAGUUAAUUUAUAGAUGAUGGUAGCAUCCCAAUAUUCCUAUUUUCUUUGCCUUCGAUCCUUUUUUUUAAACAUAAACAAAUAUGUGCUUAGUCCAAUUAAGGAGGAUGGAAAAUUUGCUUUUUAAUCAGAGACUUGGUGUUCCCCGAACAUGCCUUUUGAAGAUGGCUUCCUCGUAAGCUCCCGAAGUAGAUGGCUUGGCCUCUCCCUCUACCCCGAAAAUAUCAUAUUUUUAUUAAGGGUACGUUUGGUCCCCCAUAGAAUUGGAGUGUAGAAUUGGAAUUGGAGCCCCAAUUUCAAUUCUUGUGUUUGGGUACUAUCUUUCCUGUAGAAUUAGAAUCGAACUGCAAUUCCAAAUCGAUCCAAUUCCAUGGUUCCAAUUCUUUGGCUGGACCAAAGAAUUCCAAUUCCAAUUCCACGGACAAACUUCCAUUCGGGUCAACACGCGGACUUUAAAUGGGUAAAGCUUCCAAAACGGGUCAACUAUAAAGCUGGAUUAAAAAAAAAAUACAAAGCUGGCUUCUUUCUCUCUUCUCGUGUGCAAUCGCUCUAGCGUUUUCUGCCACCACCACCGCCGGUGCCGCCUCCUCUUCCCAACACUUCACCCGUAACCCCUCCAGGCCUUUCCUCCCUCUUCUCUCCUCCCCAACAUCGUGUGGGUGAAAUCGCUAUAUCUAUUCUGCUAUAUCGUGGUAAGCUUUCGUUCCGCUGUAUCCUCUCUCUUUCUAUGUGAUUCGCUUCUUCUCUAGAUUUGCAAAACUAGGGUUAUUUUGCUAUAGAUACAGCCCAUAUGAUUGCUGAUGACCAUGUCGUAGAUGUCAAAAUCAUACAUAAAAAGUAACAGAGAAGGAAAAGAAAUUGUAAGAAUCAUCACGUUUCUUCAUAAAAGGAAAUACGAAAAAAAAGAAAGAGAAGACAAAUUGCCAUUAUAUCUUUCUUCACUUUCUGAAAAAACGAUGUUUAUGAUCUAUAGAUGUGGAUUUUCAAUGUGACUAAAAGGACUCCAGGCAUAGUAGAAACUAGAAAGGGUACAGAAAUAAAGUAGACAAGAUGUUAAAACUUAGAAACUAAAAAAGAAUUUACGACUUAAGCUAGUAUAGAAAACUUCAAUUUUUAGCAUUGAUUAAUGCUAGAAUUUAUCAUGGGACCAGAUAUUUGAGAAUACAUUUUUCUAUUUCUUUUAGUGAGAAUACAUUUGUUAGACUUUUAGUGAGAAUGCAUUCUUAUAAAGUACCACAAAUUUGUGUUGCAAUAUUUUCUAUUUAUAUUGUCAUUGUUGGUUGUGGUUUUUGCCUGAAUGUAAAGAGCAAUAUACUUGGAUUUCCGGCUGGAUUUUGCCCAAUCGUUGGAGUUGGUGGACAUAUAAGUGGUGGUGGCUACGGUUCACUGUUGCAAAGAUAUUGCCUGAUGGUGGAUAAUGUUCUUGAUGCUCAGAUUAUCGAUGUUAACAGCCAGGUUUUGGAUAGAAAAGAAAUGGGAGAAGAUCUGUUUAGGGCUAUUAGAGAUGGUGGUAGUGCUAGUUUUUGUGUUGUUUUUGCAUAUAGAAUCAGGUUAGUCAGAGUGCCUGAAAUUCACACUGUUAAUGUGCAGAAGACUGAGGCAGAGAAUGCAACAGAUGUUCUUUACAAAUGGCAAAAUGUUGCUGACAAAAUUGACAACGAUCUGUUCAUUAGAGUUCUUGUGCAGCCAAAUACUGGAAAAGUAAAGAGUCCAAAAUCAUUAGAUUGACAUUUUUGGGACAUUUUCUUGGAGAUGCAAACAGGUUGAUUUCUGUUAUGAACACUGGAUUUCCUUAACUGGGAUUGAAGAGAAGUGAUUGUUUGGAAACAAGUUGGAUUGACACGAUGCUCUGGUGGUAUAGCUACAAGAUUGGGACAGCAAAGGAAGUAUUAUUAGGAAGGGCUUUUGAUCAAUUGAUCUUCUUGAAGAGAAAAUCAGAUUAUGUACAGAACCCAUUCCUAAAGAUGAUUAGUAUCACUAUUCAAGAAAAUGGUUCAACUUGGAAAAACAAGACUUGUUUUCAAUCCUUAUGGUGGAAGAAUGAGUGAAAUUCCUGAGAAUGAAACACCAUUUCCUCAUAGGGCGGGGAUCAUCUUCAACCUGCCAGAUUGGUGAAAGUGAAGGCUACCGUGGAUCCUCAAGAUUUCUUCAGGAAUGAACAGAGCAUCCCCACUUUGAACCUUCAAACCUCUAAAGGGAGGAAGGGACGAAAGUAAAGAGCAACAAAUGAUAAUUGCUCAUAUAGUAACGAUUAUCAAGUAGCAGAGGUGCCUUGUCCUAUUAAUGGCUUUAGCAUAAAAUGUAAUGUUAAUGAAUGGAUAUAGUGAGCAUUACUUUUGUAGCAUUGUAGCACCGAAUGGUUGCUUGUGCAUUAAAGAGGCAAAAGUGAUGUACAAGGUUUUAACUGUAAGAAAAAUAUCAAGGUUUUAACUUGAUGAAUAUUAACUACUUUUUAAGUUAGAAUAUAUAAUUAGUUUUUUAUUUAAUAUAAUUUAAUUAAUAAUAAAGGAAACAAGAAUAAUAUAUAUAUUGCAAAAAAGGAACUAAUUGGUUUUCUUUUUCUUUAAAGCUUUAGUAACAAUUAGUUAAAUGCAAGAAAAAAUAAAUUAUUAAAGGCACUAAUUGGUUUUUUCCUUGAAGCUUUAGUGACAGUUAGUUAAAUAUCAAAAAAAUUAUUACAUAGGAAAAAGAAAAAAAGAAAAUUUUUAUGUAAGCAAAUGUUAGAUGGAAGCAAUUCUAAUUUUUAAUGAAUUCUUCUUUCAUCAAAACAAAGAAUUUGAAAUUCUAAAUGAAUUCUGCAUCAAUUCUAUGCAUUUUCCAAACAAAAGAAUUCCAAUAUUUUGGAAUUCCAAUUCCUAGAAUUUUAAUUCUAUAGAAUUCCAAUUCCAAUUCAAUUCCAAUUCUAUACAACCAAACGCACCCUAAGUUGAAAUCAGGGAAAAAUUAUACCACACGUAUGGAUGUUCCAAUGGCCAAUACCAAAAAAAAAAAAAAAGAAUAAUUAUACAAUCUAACUAGUCAACUACAACAACAAACCACUAGCAAAUGACUCAAGUGAAAAUUUUCCGAUCUAAGUCUCAACUCGUACUAAUCUUCCAAUUCUUUCUAAAUCUAUCUACUCUUAACAGUACAAUUUACAUCACGAACAAUUCAUUCCACCCCUAUAGAGGAUGCAGAUUUGACGAUUGACUAGCUAGUCUAUGGAAAAAAUGUAACAUUUGGGUGGUCCAAUCACACAAGGACAAAAUUGGCAAAAUACUUCGAGGACUCAGUAAACUAAAGUUAAGAGUUGAAGCACCAAAAUUGUUUAGUAAAAACGUUGAGGCACUAUUUUGCUCAUUUGCUCCAAUAAAUUUACGGAUAAAAAAAAGAUUAUUUCACCCAAGUCCACUGCCACUGGCACUUCCAGUAACUUAUUGUGGUGGUAAGUUCUUCUUCUUCUUCUCUUUCAUUUUUUUGGUUUUUCUUGAAAUUUGAUGUUUGACACACUUUCUUUGGUAAUGUCAUACUGCCAAGGUUUGUAUUAACAGAGUUGAGAAUAUAAAGGCAAAAAAAAGGUUUAUCUAUCCACUGAUGGAAAUUUGUGAAUGGUGAUUACCAUAAAAUUAUUUAUUUAUUUUUGGGUUACAUUACAUGGAAUUCAGGCUUUAUGAAAUAUAGUCAUGAUGUUUGAUCUUUUGCAUUUUGAGCAAGAAAGACGUAUACUUUUUUGUCUUUUGGAUUUCUGAAGAUAGAGUUUGUGGUCUUUCUCCUUGCUUCUUGCAUCUUGAGCCUUGAUCAUGGAGUCACUCUACACCAUUCUAGGCAAUGUUUUGAAAACCGGACCGGACCGGCCGGUUCGACCGGUUGAACCGCGAACCGGCCAUGCACCGGUCCGGUUCAAUGACAUUGUUGACUUUGCUAGAAAACCGGUCAAAGACCGGUUGAACCGUGAAAACCGCCGAACCGGAUUGAACCGGCGGUUUUUCGGUUUUCAGCUUUCCUUUUUUUUUUUUUUUUUUUUUUGCAAAAUGCAACUAUCAAGAUUCGAACCAAGACCUUUGUAAUAAAAGACCAAUGUAUUAACCGUUGCACCAUCACAUUUUAUUAGUUUUUUUUGAUAACUUAUUUAUAUAAAGCAAACACUUAUAUUUCUUUUUUCCAUUUUUCUUACAAAAUCUCAUGCUCUCAUGGCUCUUUCUUUUUAAUUUUCAACUCUCUCUCUAUUCUCUUUUCUUUUGUCACUCCCUUUUUAAUCAAAGCUCUUUAUUUUUAAUUUAUUGAUGUUUUCUUCCAUCUUUUAAUUUUGUUUUUAUCCAUUAAAUUGAAAAAGGUUAAAAAAGAAUUUUUUUUAACCCAAAUUAUUUAAUGCCACAACCACUCACUUUUAUCUUAUUUUUUGUUUCUUAUCAAGUUUACAUUUCUAUUUUCAAUUUUCUUGACUUCCUUCGAAUUCCAAAUUUUCUUUUUUAAAUUGCAAUAUCUAAAUUCCAAAACGUAAAUUAAAAUUUAAGUUCCUAAUAUCUAAAUUCUCAGAGACAUGAAUUUUGUAUAAUUUCAAAAUAUUGUGAUAUUUUGGGGUUGGAUUUAGAUAUAAUUGAAAUUGAGAUGAAAUUUAUUUGUUUUAACUUAUAAUUUAAAAAAUUUAUUUUUAAAAAUCCAAGUUAUUAAAAAAUAGUAAAUUUUUCAUCAUAUAAAAUAUUAAAUUAGUCUAUUACAUGUCUUAUUUUGUACAUAUAUAUAUUUAUAUAAAUUAUUUUUUAAAAAAUUCAUUGAACCGAGGUUGAACCGGUCCGACCGGUUGAACCUCGACCCUUUCACUUCACCGGUUCAAUUAACGGUCCGGUUUUUAAAACAUUGAUUCUAGGUCUCUUCAUAUUCUUGAUGCCUGUAAAGUAUCAGUAUCUCCGAAAAAAGAACAGAAAACUGCAGCCUCCAAGUCCUCCAGCUCUUCCAAUUUUGGGCCAUCUUCACCUUGUGAAAACUGCCCCUCACCUUGCCCUGCAAAAGCUCUCCAUCAAAUAUGGUCCCCUGAUUUCCCUUCAUUUUGGGAUUCGUCCUUUCCUUGUCGUUUCCUCACCGUCUCUUGCAGAGGAAUGCUUAACCAAGACGAAUGAUAUUAUUUUCGCAAACCAGCCUGAGUCAGUUUCCAGUAAAUACCUUGGCUACAACUCAACUGCUCUCAUAAUCUCCCCUUAUGGAGAUCACUGGCGAAAUCUCCGCUCACAACCAUCCAUAUGUUUUCUUCGAUUCAACUCCAGCGUUUUUCCUCCAUCUGGAUGUUAUGGUAUUGGACCAAUAAGCGCAAUGGUGACAGAUUACUUGCAGCAGAAAGAAUUAACCCUUGACACUUUUGAAUGGAACAGGAACUAGUAAUGAGUAUUGGAACUUAAGUUUCUGAUUGACAGUAGGUAGGUCAAUUACAGAAUAGAAUCAACGGAUGUAGGAUUGGAAAGGAAAGAUUGAAGGAAUUGAAAGAGAGAAGAGAGGGAAAUUGGCAGAGCCAAUUUCUGUUACAAUCAAUGGAAAUGAUAUGACUAAAAUCUAUCUAACUCCCGAAUUCUUCAGCCUUUUAUGGCCUUUUCCGGACUAACUAACUUCUAACUAGCUAAUCAGGUGAGGCCACGUGGAAGUUCUGGAAUCAUCAGCUCCACUUGCGCCAAACAGAAGCAUAAUUCUGUUAUAUCAGGUAGAAGGCGUGAUUUGUAAGUCACGCCUUUCUUCCUCAAGUUGAGCAGCUGCGCCUUUCACAUAAACUGGAACACGCCUUCCUCCUUCUUCAAGCUGGAACACGUUUUUCAUGUAUUCCAAAUCACGACUUCCGUAUAUCCUUCAUACUCUAUGACAGAGCCUCCCUCUUUAAAGAAUCUUGUCCUCAAGAUUGGAAAUGAGGAAAUUGCCUCCUAAUUUCGUCUGCAAAUUCCCAUGUUGCCUCUGCUGGAUCUGUUCCCCACCAAUGUACCAGCCAUUGAACAGCAGCUGCAUUCUUUCUCUUGACUGUUCUUCGUUCUAGCACUGCAACUGGUUCGAUCCUUAAGUGCCCCCUCCCAUCUGUUUCUGGUAGUUGUAAGACAGGUGUGGUCUGGUUCCCAACCUUCUUCUUCAGCAGAGAGACAUGGAAAACAGGAUGAAUUUUGGAAUCUGCUGGUAAUCUGAGCUUGUAUGCAACCUCCCCCAUCCUUCCUAUUACUUCAUAUGGUCCAUAGUAACGUGCUGAUAACUUAGUGUUACCUCGCAUGGCCACUGAACUCUGCUUGUAAGGCUGUAACCUCAGGUACACCCAAUCACCUAUAUCAAACCUUCUUUCACUCCUGCUUUUGUCUGCGUACUUUUUCAUCCUCUCCUGAGCUAGCUUUAGGUUCUGCUGCAGUAAGAUGUCAACCUUGUGUCUCUCCCUCAAGUAGUCCCCAACAACAGCUACCUUGGCCUGAGUAUAUGGCCCUAUAGCUAAUUGGGGGGGUGCCUGCCCAUAUAGAGCCUCAAAAGGGGUCAUUUGGAUGGCUGUGUGGUAGCUGGUGUUGUACCACCAUUCAGCCAUAGUCAACCAAUGAUUCCACUUCUUUGGUUCCAAAUGUGAAAAACACCUGAGGUACAUUUCCAGUACCUGAUUGACCCUUUCAGUCUGGCCAUCAGACUGGGGAUGGUAGGCGGUACUGUGGUCCAGUGUAGCUCCCAGGAAUGUAAACAGUUCUCCCCAGAACUGACUGGUGAAGACCCUGUCUCUGUCUGAUAGCAUACUCUGAGGUACUCCAUGCAACUUGACCACCCCAUCUAGAAAAAUCCUGGCGAUCUUUGGGGCAUCAUAAGGAUGUGAAGUGCUCAGAAAGUGGGCAUACUUAGUGUAUCUGUCCACUACUACCAUGAUGGUAUCCUUUCCUUCAGAGUUAGGUAAUCCUUCGAUGAAAUCCAUAGUGAUGUGGCUCCAGGGGUACUGUGGAAUUGGCAGGGGUUGUAGGAGCCCUGGAUAGGAUACAUGCUCAUCCUUACACUUCCUGCAGACAUCACAUUCCAGGAUUGCUGUCUUGAUGUCUCUGUGCAUUCCUGGCCAAUGGAACAACUGCUUGGCUCUCAUGAAACUGGCCUGGAUCCCAGAAUGUCCCCCCAAUUGGGAGUCAUGUAAGGUGUUGAUCAGCUUUUUCCUUAUCUCUCCUCCUGAUCCCACUACUACCCUUCCUUUAAACUUCAGUAUACCAUUCUGAUAGCUGUGAUUGGCAAUCAGGUCUGGUUUAAGUAGAACUUCCCUGAUGAUAUUCUGUGCCCAGUCAUCUCCUUGGUAGCUACUAAUCACCUCCUUGAUCCAUUCUGGUACUAUGGUAGUUAUUGCAGUGCACUCCAAGCCUGAUUUUCUCCUGGAAAGGCCAUCAGCUACCACAUUCUCCUUUCCCUUUUUGUAGUGGAUCUCAUAACUCAUCCCCAUGAGCUUAGUUAACCACUUCUGCUGCAGUGGUGUGGUGAUUCGUUGUUCCAGCAAGUACUUCAAACUCUGAUGAUCAGUGUUGAUGAUGAAGUGUUGGCCCUCCAAGUAGUGUCUCCAUUUGGAAAUUGCUGUAACUAAAGCUAGUAGCUCCUUUUCAUAGAUAGAUAGCCCCAUGUUUCUUGGCCCCAAACUUUGACUGAUAUAGGCUAAAGGUCUUCUGUUCUGCAUUAAUACUGCCCCUAUCCCAUUGUAACAGGCGUCAGUUUCUACUACAAAGGGUUGGUUGAAGUCAGGUAGAGCCAGGACAGGUGUGUCACACAUGGCCCUUUUUAGCUUUUGAAAUGCCUCCUCUGCUUCUGUUCCCCAAUGGAAGCUGUCUUUCUUCAAUAGUGCAGUCAAUGGUUUGGCUAUACUACCAUAUCCCCUAACAAAUCUCCUAUAGUACCCUGUCAGGCCUAGGAACCCUCUCAGCUGUUUCACAUUUCCUGGUUUAGGCCAUUUCACCAUACCUUCAAUCUUCUCAGGGUCAGCUUUUACUCCUUCAGCAGUUAUGAUGUGUCCCAGGUACUCCACCUGUGUUUGGCCAAAGGCACAUUUGCUCCUUUUGGCAUACAGUUGGUGUUUCCUGAGAAUGUCCAAGACUUCUGUAACAUGCUUCAAAUGUUCCUUGAACUCGUAGAGCCCUUGAUGGGUUCUAAAUGCAGUCUUGGAAAUGUCUGCUGCUUUCACUCUGAUCUGGAAGUAGCCUGCCCUCAAAUCUAUCUUGGUGAAGUAUUUGGAACCUGUCAAUUCAUCCAAAAGUUCAUCAAUAAGGGGUAUAGGGUAUUUGUUUUUGACUGUCAGCUCAUUUAGCUGCCUAUAAUCAACACAGAAUCUCCAGGUGCCAUCCUUCUUUUUUACCAGAAGUACAGGGGAUGCAAAGGGACUGGUAUUGUGCUGAAUGAUACCAUUUUCCAACAUUUCUCGCACCAGCUUCUCAAUCUCAGUCUUUUGAAUAUAUGGACAUCUGUAUGGCCUGAUCUGGAAAGGUUUGGACCCUUCUUUAAGGGUAAUGGUAUGAUCAUGACCCCUCUCAGGGGGUAGCCCUUGAGGUUCCUUGAAUAUCUCCUCAAAAUCCUGCAGUACCUCCUCCAUCUCUGGGGGUGUAGUAGCAUUGGUAUGUACCUCCUCCUGGACUGCACUGAGUUGAGCCAUAAUUCCAUAGGCCUGUUUCCUGGCCCACUUGUGCAAUCUGCUCCCCUUAAUCAACCUUAGCUGCACCUGAUCACUUUCCCCCUUCAAUUCUACCUGCUGUUUUCCCUUCCUGAACUUCACACUUAGUCCCUUGAAAUCAAAUUCCAUAGGACUGAAUCUGGCAAGCCAAUCCACUCCCAGCACCAUAUCACAUCCCCCUAGCUUCAGUGUAUUAAACUGGUGCUGGAAUUCAUAGCCUUGCAUCUUCCAGACUACAGGCUUAGCUAGGCUGUUGGACUGUACCUUUUCCCCAUUAGCUACCUUGACAACUAGGGGUGGACCACUACUAACCAGUUUCAGGUUGCUAGCCAGUUGUGCAUCCAUAAAACAGUGAGUGCUACCACUGUCAAUAAGUGCAGUGAUAGUUCUCCCUUUUAUUAACCCCUUUAGUCUAAUAGUUUUGUGCUCACUACCCCCUGCUAAAGCAUUGAUGGAGAUUUCCAUAUGUUCAUCCCCAAUUUGGCCCUCAAUGCAAUCGCAGAAAACUUCAGAUUCAGCCUCCUUCCCUCCCUCACUGGUCACAGGGUUCUCACUGUCAUCAUGUGCUAGCAGAAGAUGGAUGUGGGAUUGUUUACAUACGUGGCCAAGUGUGUAUGGUUCAGCACAUUUAUAACAUAAUCCUUUCUCCCUCCUUAGGUUGAACUCACUAGGGGUGAUCUUUUUGAACUGGUUAGUGUUGCUGUUUGGGGUCCUGUAGUUGUCUGUGGGAGGUUUAUCUGAGGUUCUGGAUGUGGUGGGGUUCCAUUUGUUAUGGCUCUGGGGGUGGAAAGGGGUUCUGUGUGUCUGGAAGCUGUUAGGUGGGGGUUUGUGAAACUUUUGCAUAGCUUUUAGGUUCUUUUCUUGUAGCUUGGCUGCUUCAAUUGCAUCUGCCAGGGUUAGAGGUUUGGCCAUUUUAACCAUAUUGACUAUUUCUUCCCUUAAACCACUCAGGAAGCAUGCUUUAUAAUAGGAAUCAGACAAAUGUGGGAGGGAAGGCAUUACCAGUGCUUUGAGCAGCUCGAACUUUUCCAGAUAGUCUGCUAUGGAUCCCUCCUGCCUAAGCUUGUUGAAUUCUUCAAUAGCUUCCUCUGGUGUACCUUCCCCAAACCUUUUACACAAAGCAGUAGCCAGUUCUGUCCAUGGUAUGUUUCCCCUGCCACUGAAUACCCCGUGGAACCAAGUAUCAGCUCUGUCCCUCAGGUAUAGCUCAGCAAUCUCAGUUUUCAUGUUCUCCUCCACUCCAUUGAUCUUGAAGAACUUGUUAGCCUUACGGAUCCAUUCCCUGGGAUUAUCUCCUGUGAAGUUAGGUAACUCCACCUUAGGCAUUCUGGUGUAGGAUCUAGUUUCUUUCCAUUCUGAUCUGCCACAGCCUCCUUCCUGAGUUGCUUCCUUCUUAGGUCCUUCAAUGGAGCUACUGCUUUCUGCCUCCUUGUCCUUGUCAUUGAAUUUUGCCAUCAUCUGAGCCAUCAUAGCCAUCAUACUUUCAUAUUUCUGAUCUAGAUUUUUGAGAGUUCGUUCUGUGCUUUCUUGUCUAUGCCCCAACACUUUGACCACACUGCCUAGCUCAGAGAUAUCCUUCUUUAGCACCUCCUCCUGAGACUUUGUCAUCCCAAUGGCUCGUAGCUAAGCUCUGAUACCACUGUUAUGGUAUUGGACCAAUAAGCGCAAUGGUGACAGAUUACUUGCAGCAGAAAGAAUUAACCCUUGACACUUUUGAAUGGAACAGGAACUAGUAAUGAGUAUUGGAACUUAAGUUUCUGAUUGACAGUAGGUAGGUCAAUUACAGAAUAGAAUCAACGGAUGUAGGAUUGGAAAGGAAAGAUUGAAGGAAUUGAAAGAGAGAAGAGAGGGAAAUUGGCAGAGCCAAUUUCUGUUACAAUCAAUGGAAAUGAUAUGACUAAAAUCUAUCUAACUCCCGGAUUCUUCAGCCUUUUAUGGCCUUUUCCGGACUAACUAACUUCUAACUAGCUAAUCAGGUGAGGCCACGUGGAAGUUCUGGAAUCAUCAGCUCCACUUGCGCCAAACAGAAGCAUAAUUCUGUUAUAUCAGGUAGAAGGCGUGAUUUGUAAGUCACGCCUUUCUUCCUCAAGUUGAGCAGCUGCGCCUUUCACAUAAACUGGAACACGCCUUCCUCCUUCUUCAAGCUGGAACACGUUUUUCCUGUAUUCCAAAUCACGACUUCCGUAUAUCCUUCAUACUCUAUGACACUGGACUGAAGAAAUCCAUUUCAUCAUCAAAAAAUUGUUUUCCAGUAAUUCUGAUGAGAAAACCUGGAAAGUUAAGGACAUGAGUUCUUUGUUCCGGGAGUUAUUAUUCAACGCGAUAAUGAAAAUAGCUGCUGGAAAAAGAUGGCCAUCUGAUCAGCCAGGUGAUAUAUUUUCACCGCGAGCACUCACUGAUCUUUGUGAUUAUAUUCCAAUCUUGAGGUGGGUUGGCUAUGGAGGGUUGGAGAAAGGUGUAAUCAGUUUGCACCAGAAAAGGGACGAGUUUCUUCAGGGCCUGAUUGAUCAAACGCGGAAAGAGGUAGCAGAAGACGGUUCUUGUUCGACAGAGAGAAGGAAAACAAUUAUUCAAAAAUUGUUAUCUCUACAAGAAGCAGAACCCGAAUACUACACUGACGAAAUUGUUAAAGGAAUUAUACAAGUAAGUCUCUUCUACUUGAAUCUCUUUUACAAAUUGGUCUAUAAUUCAUUAGGACAAGGUCAUCUCACCCAUGUAGCAGCAGCAGCAGCACAAAUUGUCUAGCCAUAUUUAGUGGUAGGGCUAAGACUAGUGAUGAGGGAUGCAGUGCUUGUGCGGUGUAGAUGCAACCGCAUGCUUUUCAUGGUUCAAAUUCGAUCUGAAUUUUGAAAUGAUCAAAUUGUAGCUUCAUGUUGUGGUCUGAUCUGAACUGUAGAAAACACCUCCGACAGCACAAAGGCACCGGAUCUAGUGGUGAGUGGGGAAAUGGUAUAUGCCACUAACUUCAGUGUUGGUGUCUAGGGAAGAAAUUUAGUCAAAGUCUUUCAAAAAAUUUGGUUUUGUUUGGGUGUACACAUGAUUUCAACAUUAAAUGUGUCAAUAUCUAGUGGUGACUGGUAAGUUGGGGCAACCAUCAACAUGUAAAUUGGGUAAAAUCUUGUCGUGGUUCUCUAACGUAACGGGAGAGGGGCUAGUGAGGUUGAAGUUUGGUAUGGUUCAAUCUAGUUAUUACACUUUUUAUAUUUGGUGUAUAAUUACAUUAUAUUAUUAUAUUCAAAGUAAAAGUGGUGUACAUUAAUAAAAUAUUUGAUGCAUAUUCAGUACAAUAUUAUGAUAUAUUUGUACACUAAAAAAUUUAAACUUGUACAAGGAUUGGACGAAAUUGUACAAAAUACAAUUAUACCGAAUUCUUGUCCCUAAGUAACAUAUCAAUUUAUGGCUGUAUCUAUCAUUUUAAACCAUAAAAUAAUCAAAGAAUCUUUAGUGGCAUGUGACAAUAUAUAAGGUUUUAACAAUCUUUUCCGUUUAUAUAGAUUUAGGAAUCUAGAUCACAAAAUUUAUGGACACUUGAGGAUAACUUAAACAAACGAAAAAUAUCGUUUUACAAGUUACUGUCAAAAGUUUAGGAUUCAACAACGUGGAAGUGAUGGCCUUGCGAUGCUCCAUGGGAUAGAAAGAGUUGUCAAUAUAACUAUCUCAAAAGUGUACAACACUUGUAAUAAAGUAAAAUUCAUCACAAAAUAAUCUGCACAACUUUAUUACAAGAAUGUUAAAAAUCAGUCUCUUCUUAACAAAAAAUACAUGUUAUUGUAUGCUAAUAUUGGUUGUACAUUUUUUACAUUUUGUUUUGUUGGCCAAAUUAAGGCCUUUAAAAUUUGGGGAAGAUUGCUACUUGCUCCCUGCCCCUGAUGGAGGUGAUAUACUAACAAUUGAUACACGUGAUAAUAUUCAAUAACGGACAACAGAAGCAAAUCAGAUGAGAUAAGAUAACAGCCACUUGGACCGUUGGUCACCAUUAAAACUUUAAAGUAAAGUCUUGGGGGAUGGUAGAUUAAGAGUUCAACCAUUGCCUCUCAUCAUAUACUUGUCAGUUAAUCGUGCCUGACACUUUUAAUGGCUUUCUCCCCUAAAUUAAAAUAGAGUAGAUUAUAAAAAUAUUAUCGUUACGAUAAAACAAAAAGAUGAGAUAAGAUAAUGAGACCUUAACCAAGUUACUCGCGGUUGGGGCUAAGUUAACGGUGGAGGCUGUGAGACAUUUUAAAAAGUGUUCAUUUGAGCAUAGAUAUUAAGUAAUACUUAUGGCACAAUAUUUUAACUGGUUGUCUCAAACAAAAUAUUUUUAUUUUCAUUGAAACAUUCGGCUGGAAUAAAUCCUACCUCUCUCUUGUUAUAAAAAAAUAAAAUGUAUAUAUUUUAUUAGUAAUACUUUCGUUUACAUAACUAUAUAUACAUAUAUAUAUUAUGUGCCUCAUUGAUGUUCCAUAACGAAUAGUUAAUUUUCAGAUUUUUAGAAUGCAAGUGGUUGCAAAUGUUUGCACCACAUAAUUGCCCUAGCAAGUUUGGUUUGAUGUGCGUUGUUGACAAAUGUCUGAACCGAACUCUCAGAAGUUUGGGCCACAAACUAUCCCACAGAAUUCACUCAGUUAGUAAGAUUAUUAGGUAGAUGAUCGUGAAAUCUUUGUUGAAUUCUCAAAUCUCCCUUUUUCUCUUUAUAAGGCUUUGAAUCUCUCUUAAAAAUUAAAAACAGAAAUCUCGAUUACGAACUCAACUAAUGAGGCUCCUAAUUUAGAAUCAGGGGCCUCGAUAUUUGUUUGGUGCCACUUCUACAGAGGCCAAUUGACAGCCAAGAAUCGGGGAUAAAUUAACUCAACAAAAAGGGUUGCUUUCAAUUUAUACCCGUAUUUAAGGGUUAAAUGCAUAAAACUCCCACGAACUAGUACACUAGUUGCACUUUACACUCUAAAGUAUUUUAAUAGGCACUUUACACCCUUAGUCAACUAAAAAAUAACACGAAAAUUAAUUUCAUCCAAAUAAUUGAUGAAAUGAUUAAUUUAUCCUCCAUUAAAAACUUUAAGUGAUAUGAGAUUGGCUACCCUGUUGGAAGACAUUCAUCAUUUAAAGUUGUUGUUUCAUAUGUGCUCCUUUUGUUAAGUUAGCAAGGAUCAUAAUCAUAUUAGUAAUAGGAUUAUCUUAUAUGGUUUAGCAUUAUUUAAGAUGAGAAACUUUGAUUCAUCCGUGUCAAAAUACACUGAUUGUAUAGUUCCAUCGAAUCUUAACUCGAAACUGUAAAGUUUUUUUAAUCUAUAAAAUCACUUAUUGUUUCGAAAAAAAUUAAAAUCUUAAGUGAUAAAAACACUAAUUUGGUGGGGAAGAUUACUAAUUGGUAACACAUAAAAAAUUCUAAUUGGUAACACAUAAAAAAUCAUUUUGAGUGAUGAUUAAGACUAUUGGAGUCAAAAUAGAGAAAUAUUGAGUGAUUACUGUUGCAAUUUUUAAAAUCUCAUAAUUUUCUUCAAUGCAUCAUAAUGCUAUAACUUCAUAUAAUCAGCAAAAUUUCACUUGGAAUCUUCACAAGCAUAAAAUUGGAGUAGAACCCCAAAAUUUUCAUAUAAGUUUAGCACAAUAUUUGCAAUAAAAUUUCAAUACCGAACCAAAAUUAGAAGCUGUAUAUUAGGGAAAAAAAUAUUGAGCUCAAAAAUUUUAAUAAAACACCUAAAUUAUUUACUUUUCCUUGACAACAAUCUUUUCUUACAUAGGCUAACUUGAAGUACGUAGUAAAAUAGGGUUGAUGAGAUUUUUGAAUUGAAUUUAUUCCUUUUCUUUUUUUUCCUACUUCUUUUGUUUUAAUUGUCAUUCAAAGUGAUCAUAUAUUUUAUUGUUAUAUGUUUUCAAUUAGAAAUUUAUUAUGAAGUGAAAAUUAAUCCAUUUAAAGUGACAUUUUUUCUACCAAAAGGGUAUUUUUGUCACUUAAAAGCUUUUAAUGGAGGAUAAAUUGGCCAUUUCAUCAAUUAUUUAGAUUGGGUUAAUUUUCUUAUUAUUUUAUAGUUGACUAAGGGUGUAAAGUAGGAAUGGCAAUGGGGCCCCUCCCCCGCCCCCGCCUCGCCCCAUCCCACCCACGGAGAAAAAGUUUAUAAUUAGUAAAAAUAUAUAAUUAGUAAAAAAUUUAAUUAGUAAUUUCAUAUAAAUAUAUAGUUGGUAAAAAUUAUAUAAUAAAAUAAAUGUAUGAAUAGUAAAAAAUGUAAUAAUAAUUUAGUAUAAAUAUAUUAGUAUAACUAAUCAAUAAUUUGAAUUAAUAUAAAUAUAUAAUUAUUAGUAUAACUAAUAAUAUCAAAUAUGUUAUAUAUGUAAUUAAUAUAUAUGUGUGUGUAUAUAUAUAUUAUUUUAUUUAAGUGGGGGAUAGAGUGGGGGAUGGGGCGAGGGUAUAGUCCCUUAUACCCCACCCCUAUUUAACGGGGGAGCAUUUUAUCCCCCGUCCCAUCCUCCGGGGGAUGGGUGCCCUCGCGGGACCCAUCCAAUUGUCAUCCCUAGUGUAAAGUGCCUAUUAAAAUAGUUUAGGGUGCAAAAUGCAACUAGUGUAAUAGCUCGGGGGGGGGGGGUUUGCAUUUAACCCCCUAUUUAAUUUUGGCUUUUCAGUUUAUACUGUGAACUAUGAAUUGUGAUACUUAAAUAUAAUAUACUAUCAAUUUUGGGGCGAAUCGUCCAAAUAAGAUAAAACCAAUUAAUUCUUUUAGCAACUUUAGAAUGAAACAUUUUAAUACCCCUUAAUGAAUUAGAGAAUUUGGACAAACAACAAAUUAAGGAUAUUUGAAGCCUUCUAAGCUAGAAAAAGUUAUUUGGAUUUGAGUAGAUUUGACCAAUGGGCCAACAAAAGAAUAGUAUAAGAUACUGAAGUUCUAAAGUUAGCAAUUUAGAGAGUAACAAGCAAAUUGGUGAUAAUUUAGGAGUGCAUAUUGGCAAUAACCCAAAAAAGUAGUUCCUUCAUGCCUCUACAUAUAAUUGAGGUCUAUAGAUGUCACAUCCCAUAAUAUAUAGUUCCCUUCUUAUGUUGACUAGUGGACAUUCAUUUGCGAUCAAUGUCAAAAGUGUAAAUUAUUGAUUCAUGAUCUAUAGCAAGAGAAAUGACAUUAUUUGUCAACAACUUGAUUCUAAAAACUAAUUCAUAUUCUUUUCUUAUUCAUUCAAAAAGUUAAAUUGAAUUUGACUGUACAUUACUUCUUGUGUAGUUAAUGUUAUCAGCCGGAACCCAUACCACAUCUCAGACAAUGGAGUGGGCAUUGUCCAGCCUAUUAAAUCACCCUAAUGUACUGCAAAAGGCAAGAGAUGAGCUAGAAAAAAUGCAGCCUGGCCAUCUGCUAAAUGAUUCUGAUCUCUCCAAAUUGCCUUAUUUACGCUGCAUAAUCAACGAGACACUAAGGUUAUUUCCUGCGGCACCAACUCUUGUGCCUCAUUUUUCAUCUGAGGAUUGCACGAUAGGAGGCUACGAGGUUCCUAAAGGUACAACUUUGUUAGUGAAUGUUUGGGCCAUUCACAGGGACCCCAAUGUUUGGGAAGAGCCCAACAAGUAUAAGCCAGAAAGAUUUGAAGGAAUGGAUGAGGCCAUAAGGCUGGCUGGCUUGACAUUGGGCACUCUGAUCCAAUGCUUUGAGUGGCAAAGAGUUGGGCCUGAAAUGGUGGAUUUGGAAGAAAAUCAAGAAGCAACUUUGGGUAAGGCCAAGCCUUUGGAGGCAUCUUACAAGCCACGCCCAUCGAUGAUAAAAACAAUUUCCCAACUUUAAGUUAGAUAUGUUGUUCUAUUAAGACAAAUUGGGAUUUCUUUUUUUUUUUUUUUUAGAACUUAAAUAUCAAGAAAUAAGUGUCUGUUUUUUUUUUUUUGGUUUUGAGCUCCUCUUACAAUUUCAGAUUUGUAGUUGUAACUUUCUUUCAAUACAAGUUGAUGCUAAAAUUAUACAAAAUUAAGUAUUUUACGUGAAAAUGUGGAAAGUUAUAUGAUUCCAAUUAUACGUUGUGGAGAAGAAGAUGAAAAGCACAACUCCACAAGCCUAAUUAGAAUUCUUAUUUAUUCACCAAUCUAAUUGAGCACCAGGAGCCUGAAAACGGUGUGAAGAACCAAAAGGAAAUAACCAUUAUUCCAAUACAAUAGUAAUUGCACUGCUUUCAAAUUGAGUAUCUUAGUUUGCCCUAAUUGAAGCAUUCAAAGAAUAAGAGUUGAAAGUGACAAUGACUGGAAGAAAACUGGCAUCCAUGGAGACCCUAAUGUUUGGGAAGAAGCAAACAAGUUUAAGCCGGAAAGAUUUGAAGUGAUUUAUGAUGAAGGGUUCAAUUUUCUUCCAUUUGGAAAAGGAAAGAGAGCUUGUCCAGGAGCCGAUUUGGCUGUGAAGUUAGUUGCAUUGUCAUUGGGCACUUUGAUUCAAUACUUUGAUUCAAUGAAGGAUUUGGAAGAAAAUCCAGGCUCAAAUGGGGGCAGAGGCAAGCCUUUGGAGUCAUUAUACAAGCCAUGCGAGUGUAUGAUCAACUUGAUUUCUCAGCUUUAGUUAAGUUAGAGAUCGAUGUAGUAUAAUCCGUUCUUCUCUUCACUGAAAAGAAAAAAGAUAGAAAUAUUUCUUUCCAGAACAUAAAACUGCAAUUGGGGUAAGAAUGUCUAGGAACAAAGGGGAAUAUUAUAUGGCAUGAAGAAUUAAAUGCCUGAAUGCAAUGGUGGAUAAAGUAGACGAACAUCCUAUGCUCUGCAGCUCAGGCUUUUCAAUUAGUAGAUACAGCAAGGUCAUGGAAUCCAUUCCCAUCUUGACAUUUUUAUCGCUUCUCUUAUCAGUCAACGAAAAUUUUCUUUGCAGGGACUUGUCACAUGUUAGUGGUCACAUAUUGAAUAUUCCUAGUAGUUAAUGUCGCAUUCAGACAUUCCAAUUCACUAAGGCUUGUUCUAAAACUGCGUAAAAUUAAAAAUUAAACAUUACUUCCCAGUCAGCUUUAAAUAAUAUAUACACGAGAGAGAGAGAAAGAGAGAGAUUGAACAAAUAUUUUCUCUGAGAGGGAUUGAACACAUAUUCCAAUAGACUCAGGGCUUGUUCUAAAACUGCUUAAAAUUAAACAUUAACAUUCGCUUCCCAGUCAGCUUUAAAUAAAUAAAAAAAGGAUUGAUCAUACUAUGUCCCUUCAAGGUAUGGUUUAGUCACUCUUUAUAACGCAACAUCAGAAAUAUAUACUUUACCCCUCUCUUGACUAGUCAAAAUGUUAAAAAUGCUUAACACUGUUAAAAAAAAAAAAAGUGUUGAUAAGACUAAAAUAGCCAUGAUUUGGUACUGAAGGUAUAAUUGUAGCCUUGUUUUGGUGGAAAAUUAAGCAUGCAGUGCAUAUGACCUCAAAAAAAAAAAAAAGACAUUAAGUUUGUUUGGAUUGACUUGAUUUCAGAUAAAAUAAUUUACUUCACAAAUUUCAACCACCUUUUUAUCUUCCCAAUCAUCUUUUUAUCUUACAUACAUCACAUCACAAAAAGUGAUACAGUAACUAUCUCAAAUAAAUCAUCCAAAUAAACUCCUAUCCAAAUGCUAAGUGAAAAAAAAAACUCAUAGUUGACAGCAAGUAUGGUAAAAAACCCUUGAAGCAUCGAGAGAAACUAGAAAAAUUUGCCAAGAUGUGCUAAAGGGCUCAUUUGGGUUGUGAUGACUUAUCAAAAAACAUUUAAAAAUUGUUUAGGGUUGUGGUUCUUUUGUUAAAAAAGUGUUUUUGGGGGAUAAAAACACUUUUAAUGUAUUUGAUGGAAUUGCUCGAAUUUAGGAGUAGAGCUUUUCGCCAUAAAAGAGCUUUUAGCAUAGGUUUUAAAUUUUGAACUUUUAAAGUAACUUUUAUGUUUCAAAAAAAUAAAAUUUAACUUUAAUAAUUUUUUUUAAAUUUUGAGCUAAAAAAAGAGAUAAAUAAUUUAUAAACUCAAAAUUGCAUAUUAUUAAAUAGAAAAAGUACUUAUAUAAGUGUAUGCAUCUAAACAAUAUGAUUAACAACUUUGACUAAAAAAGUCUGUUUGGAGUUGCAGUAGUUUAUUAAAUAACAUUUCAAUUAGUAGAACUUUUCGUUAUCAAUGUACUUAUAAAGUGUUUAAUCAUAUUAUUUGGGUGUGUACUACUCCCUCCAUCUCAUAAAAUUUGUCAUGUUUGACACUUUUUCUUGUGCAAAAUUAAUUGUCAUUUUAGACAAGUCAACCCAUUUUUUUAUGAAAUUUUAUUUUUAUUCUUCAUGUGACUCACCACUUAUUCAAAUAAAAGAUGAUCUGCCACUAAAGAUAUAAAAGGAAAGUAAAAAUUCUCUUUCCUACUAAUAUCACUAUACAUAAAUUACACAUUUUUUGAAAAUAGAAUAAUACUUUUUCUAUUUGAUAAUGUGCCCUUUUGAAUUUGUAAAACAUAUUUAUCUUUUCAUUUAGUUUAAAAUUUAUAGUGAGAUUGUUAAAUUGAUUUUUUGUUUUUGAAAUACAAAAGUUGCUCUAAAACACUUAAAAAUUCUACUCCUAAAUUCAACAAAUUACACUCACCAAACAUAUUAAAUGCACUUUUAUCCUUCAAAGUACUCUUUUAGUAAAAGCACCCAAUCCCGGACGAGCCUACACUUUCACUUGAUUAAUGAAAAGGACGAAUUAGGCAACAAGAACAGUGCGCAAAACCAAAACCUUUCGCUACCACUUCCCCUUAGGCGGCUAAGAACUGCUCACUUCGGAAAUGUCCAUCGUUCUAGAGAGGAGUCUGUUCUGUUUCAUGGUCAGAAGAGCUUGGCUUCUGCGAAAGUGUUGCGAUCUGCUAGUCCAAGGUGGGGCGGAUCUUGUGCUUAUGAAGGUGACCAAGGACGGCAUUGCCUUGCAAACUGUAGAGGAGAACAUACAUGCCUCCGUCUUGAACUCUAAGUUCUUCCCUAUUUUCGUCCUAGAUAGUGACCAAUUCAUGAUGUAGAUGCCGUACAAUGGCUGAUCAAACUUUUCAAUUGGAUGGUAGAUGGAGACUUCAUGAGCUUCUUCUAUUGGAAGACUGGAUCGACGUAAUUCUUGUUCGAUCUAUAUCAGGAACCCUGUUGGUAACUGGUGGACAUCUGGUCGAGGCAUCCUAUUUGCUGAAUGGCUUUUAUGUAACAUAUUGAGAAAGAUUAGAAGACUGAUUCAUGAUUUCUCAGCUUUUAGACGGCGUAUUUUUCAGGAGGUCAAUUCCUCUGCGAAUAGGUUAGCGGCUAUUAGAACAUCUGGUGAAUUGAUAUUUGAUCAUAUGCAGUAGUUGCCUUCUCUAGUUGGAACUCAUCUUGUUCUAGUUUCGCAAGAUUUGUCAUCGGUUCGUAUGAUAUUGUCUUCAUUCGGUUGAGGUCAGAUUUUGGCUGUCAGUUCUUUUACUCUUUCAAUUUUAUGGUAAUAAAAAAAUAUUAUUUCCCGCUAAAAAAAGAUUAAAAUACAAAGUAUAAGUAUAAAACUCUCUUAAUAUCUUGUCCAAGAGGAAAAAUCCAAUUUUGACCAUGUCCACGACCAUUUUGAUGCUGUGACCUACAAAAUUCAUAAAGACGCAUAUUAACUUAAGAAAUACAAGAAGCAUACUAAACACUAGAAAAACACUAAAUGGUUGGAUUACCUUCCAACAAGUGCUUUGUUUAAAAUCGUUAUACUGCAGUUUUCACUAUUUAUUUUAAUGAAGAGAAGAAGCCCCUGAGUAAACUACCCCUUUUGGGGCUAUUUCACUUGUUAAAUAAGUCUUUAAACUCUACCCAUUCACCUUAAAAGAUUCAUUUUUACCAUUUGUUAUGUCUACCGAUUCAUAGGAAAGUACUCUUGUCAGUUCAAAUGGAUUAGAGCACCUAGAUUUUAACUUGUCUGGAAAAUAAUUUAAGGUAUGAAUUGUACGAUAACACCUUAACGUCCAAUUUCAAAUUGUUCAUGAAGGAUGCUUGUCAUGUUGAAACUUCACAUUUUUCUUAUAUAUCUUGGCAUUCUCAUACAAAGUCAAAUGAAAUUCCUCCAAUUCACUCAAUUCAAGCAAUUUCUUCUCACCUGCAACAUGAAAAUCCAUAUUAAUAGCCUUCAUAGCCUAAUCUGCUUUAUGCUAGAUGGCAUAUUUUUCAAUAAAUUAGUCGAUAAGGCGACAUUCCCAACAGAGUCUUAAAUACCAUGCUAUAGUUCCAUAAUACAUCAUCUAACUUAUCGUCUAAUCCUUCCUUGACUUGUUCACUAUUUUCUCUAAAAUGAGUUUGAGCUCCCAAUUAGCAAACUUUGCUUGGCCAUUCACUUGCAGGUGAUAAGGAAGUGAAAUUUUGUGCUUGCAACCAUAUUUAAGCAAUAAAAUGUCAAAUGAUUUAUUACAAAAAAUGUUUGCCUUUGUCAUUUUUAAUGGUUUUUGAAAUUCCAAACCUGCAAAAUAUAUUACUUUUAAGGAAUUUAAUUACAACUUUAGCAUCAUUAAUAGGCAAUGCAAUAACUUUUACCUAUUUCGACAUAUUGUCAACUGCUACAGGAGUCAUUGAAGUUUCCUUGAAUCUCUUCUUCUGCUUUCUUUUUUGCUCUAAAAUACUGCAUGUAAGUUGAUCUAACAUCAUACUUUUUCAUCUUAGCUCCUAUCCCCUCGUUAGAUAUGAUAAGAUGAUCUCUCAUCAAAGGAAUCAGUUUUUUUAUAAUCUAGUCAGAUGUAGUCUCAAUAUUAUUCCUAUCCAUCGCACAAGUGUGUUUAGGUUGGUAGGCUUUAAUCAUAAAAGUGAUGGAAUCAGCCACUGGUGAUGCAUGAAUCCUCCAUUUGCAACCAUCCACAUCAUAAAUAGCAGUCACUCUAGUUUUCUCAUUCUUCAAACUAAGUAUUGAAAAUCGUUUUUGAAUUACAUAAUCUUUCAAGAUUGCUAUAAACGAAUCCACAUUAGUGAAGAAUUGAACUUUUUCAAAUUCUAUAUCAUCUCUAUGGUUGUAAGUCCACAUUUUUUAUCUCAACACUUCUAUCAUAGGGUGAGACUCUUGAUCAAAUUCAGAAUUAAAAACAAUCUCACCAUCUUCAUUUUCUUCAAAAUUAGAAAAAUUGGCAUCACUUGAUUCACUACUAUUCACUAACAUAGCAUUAGCAUUUGCAUCAACUUCAUUGUCACUGUCAAGCAUAUGUUUUCAUGAAUCAUUAAAACUAGAAUCCUCAUAUUCAUCAUCAGAUAUUUCAAGGUUAGUAAUCAUCCUUUUAGAAGUCUGAUCAAGACCUAAAUUCUCUUGAGUGUUUUCAAAAUUUUUAUCAGCAUUGGUAUUACCAUAUUCAGUUGAAAUAAUUUUUAUGUCAUAUACAUGUAAAUUGAUUACAAUUUCAAAUUGAUGCAUUUUGAACAUGUCGACAACUGCAUCAUCAUCAUUAACAUCGCACAUUUUAUUUUCACCGGGAAUUUCCUUCCUUGUAUUUAUCAGCAUAUUUACAUUUUCUGACAUUUCUCUCAAUACUUUUUAAAUCACAUCAUAUAGCAAGUUACUGUACAAGUAUUCAUUAGGAUCAACAUUCGGGAUCCUGACUUUCUUUCCCUUGCAGUGCACAACUAUGUCAUAAGUACCAAUGACCAUCUUACAUUAUUCACAAUAAUUGUUAAUUACUAACAACUACAUGUGAAAAUUCUACCAUACACAUACAAUUUUACUCAACAAACCAAUAAUAAAUGCACAAUACAAAUUUACAAAUCAAUAAUCAGAAUAAACAACUUAUGUCUCGCAUAUGCACUAAAAUUAUUUAUAUAGUCAUCUGAUCAAUGAGUCUAUCAAAUAACUUUUCUUAUAAACACAUAUGACAUACAUAAUUGUACUGCCUAACAUUGAUAAAAUAAUGUCACCAUCUAUCCAUAUAUAGAAUCUGUAAAGACUCACAAAAAAAAAAUAUCUAUUUUAAACUCAAAAUUCUAGCUUAUUUAAUUAUUUAUUUGGCCAAAUGCUCCGAUUAUUAUUUUCUAACCUUUUUAGACCUAAUGUGAUGGAUCUAUAGCUUAGUUAUAUUUUUAAAGUGUCUCGUUUUAAAAUUUAAUUUCUAAAGGCUCGUUAAGUGAAAAUAGUUAAUACGCGAUUGGAGUAAAUAAUCGAUUCGAGGAUACAAUAAGUUUGGAAAAUUGGAGACUUGUACAUUAGUUCUAAAAUAGGUAUUUUUAUGUAUAAGUGUUCAAAGGUUAGUUAGUUAUAUUACGGUUAUAAGAACUUCUUAGAAAUUUCACUAUCUCGCGCUUAAAUUGGAAAUACGCGUUUUUACGCGCGCGAGUAAUUGAGGAGCCUUAGACCGUUAUUUUGGGAUUAUUAAGAGUGAAUAAUAAUAAUAUGAAUGUAAGUGCAUUAGAGGUUUAGUGCACUAGUACAAUAAAGUCGAGAGGAAUCGAGUAAGAAACGCAUGCGCAUGUGCAUUAUUUUAGUGGACAACUUUGAGCAAAUUUGAGCCACAAGUUUUAAGCUUACCUUAGAAGCUAAUAACAUUAGAAUUUCCUUCCUCACAUACACUCAAACAGCCGAGCAACAAAGGAAGAACAGGACAAGAAAAUUCUUCCACUCUUUCUCCUCAAUUCCUUGCUCAAAUUACCUCCAAAUUUUACACACAACACUCAAAGCACUUGGUGAUCAAGAUAAGCUAGGAAAGGAGCUGCCUCUCACGAUUUUUCUCCAGCUCAAAGUGACCGAAAUUUCUGUCUUGGCUCUCUAAGAAAGUAAGUAAUGAUCAACCACUUAAUUCUUGAUUUAUGGAAGAUAGAUUACACUCAUGAGCUCUUGAAUUCUCAUGGGCAGCGUUAAAUUGUUAGAAAAUUGGUGAGUGGGCUCUAUGAAAUCCCACAAUGACUUUGAUGAUCUGAUUUGAUAAGAUUGGAUGUUAAUUGUGUUGAUUAGGUGUUAAUUUAGUAGAGUUAAGUGAUAAAAGUGAAAAGGAAGUCAAAUGAGGGGUUGCAUGUGAAGGUGCCGAUUCUGCCCUGCCAUUUUUGUGCAUUUUAGUGUACUUUCUUGAAGUCCAAUUGACUUGUUUCUAAUGCAAAUGUGUAAUAUAGGUUGUGUAUAAAGUUUUCUCAAAAUUUUACGUGAUUUGGGUGAGUGCAUGUUGAGAUUUAGAAAAUUUGCCAAAACUGGAAUUGUGUCCCGUAUUAUUCUGGCAAUGAUUUUGUUUAGACUAUAACUCUUUGUCCCGAUGUCAAAAUCGAGUGCCGUUUGCGGCACUGGAAAUUAGACAUUCCCAGCUUUCCAACAUUAUAAAAUACACAUUCUGAUUCCACUUGAGUGAACUACACCAACCGUUUGAACUUGGCUGCACUGUUUCGUUGGUUCACUGGAAGGCAGAACAUGAACUACAACUUGAUGCUUAAAUGUGGGCUAGUUGUGGACAGAUUUUGAAAAUGGUUUCUUCUAAGAAAUUGUAGCUCUAUGAAUGUGUUUUCUAAUGACACAACCAUGCUCAAUUCCGAGUUGAAUUGAGUGAUUUAUGACCAAAAUUCGAAUCUGGUAUUGUGAAGAAAUACCAUGCAUUUGGACAGAUUUGAAACUAACAAUGAUUUGGAACUUUGUUAUCCGAAGCUUCUUAGUGUAUAUCACUUAUCAAAUGUACCUUGGACAUAUUUUAGACAUUACCUACUGGAAUGGACCAAGUUUCAGAUGUUUCUUGACCAAAUGCUUGGAAACGGCAAAACGGAAGUUCAAAGGCAGUUUAGCCUUAGAAUUUCUUGUGAUUUCAACGGUCUCGUUAACCGAUUUCCGAGCAUAUUUUCCUAUGAAAUUUGGCAAAGGAGUGGCCCUUAUACGGUAGUAUAUUCAUACCAAAUUGGCUCUGUUCCGAGUCCGUUUUGAUACCUAACUAAAGUCCCAAAGUUUGGAACUUAAAUCUGGAAAAUUGGCUUAACAGUUUCGGUUUUUCACCAACUUUGAGCUAUUGUAUCUUGAUGCUCAAAACUUCGAUUCUCGUUCCGUUUAUUUUUUUUUAAACUUGGAUUGCAACCCUAAUAGAGUUCCAAAUUCCAGAGGUUAGUUCAAAUCAAGUGAAUUUUUCCGAAUUUUCAAAGUUGGCCAAAAACCAACUUAAACUUGUCUUCAAUGUCCCAAAACAGCAACUUUGAGCUAAUUUUUGGAUACCUUCCAUUUAGAAUCCUGGAAAGGUGUCUUCUAGGAACUUUUAGUACUUCCUAAGAGGUUUCCAACAGUACCAAUUUUUCCAAUUUUGGACUUGUAAAGAGUGAAAUACGAUAUUUCAAAGAUCUCGUAUCAAAACUGAAAUUUCCGAAUCUUAAGGAAAUGGAGUUUUUCAAAUUCUCCUUAUUCCUUUGAUAUUACUUGAACGUUUUAUAUUUGAUUUCAAAGAUGAGAACUCGAUUUCUUUUGUACUUUAAAACCCCACUUUUGAGCCUUAAUUCGCAAGUAAUUUAGGCUCAUUUUAGUGAAAUUUUCUAGGAUUGUACAAGCGUGCAAUCUUUCUUGAUAAUUGGGCUUUAUAAGUAUUUGUUCACUAUUAAUUGCUCAGGCUCGCACGAGAACCUUCAAGAGGAUCCUACUGUAGAUGCUUGAACUUCAAGUAACAAUUCUCCUUGGUUGACUUGGUGAGCGUCAAGUGCAUGACUACUUGAAUUCCUGUGGACUUGAUACACGUUUACUUGUUAUUCAUGACUUGAAAUUUUGAAAAUGGAGUCGAGUGUGUACUUUAUCGUACUCGUUCUCAUUUGAAAUAAAUAACUCAUGAUUAACUUGCUUGACAUGAAAUAAAUGACCUGCUGGACAUCACCUGAAUGCUUGAAUACAUCAAAUGCUUGCUUGACUUGAAAUAGUAUGCUAUGGCUGCAUACGUCACUGAAGUAAAUCUCCUUGACACUCAAAUGCACAUGGGGGACGCCCAAACUCAUAGGUCGACCUUGGAACUCGAGCUGGCAUGGGCUUGGACGGGAACCUCGGUGUGCCAUGAGAAUCACAUGAUAAGCUUGAUCUAUUGGAGAGAUCUUGCUUGGCAUACUCGUUGAGUACCGCCUCAUAAAUGACGUGCGGGCCCGGUUGUGGUAUGUACGGUGGACGGACAUGAGAAGUAAGUGGAGAUCUACGGAUUUGAAAUACCGACCUGGUUGACGGAGAGUCAUCGCGGGAAGGUAUACGAAUGACCUUGGCAAAGCAAGUGAAACUUAACUCCUGAGAGCUACCAUAUCCUUGAAUUGUUUCUGUUUACAUUUCAUUGGAAUUGACAAUUACUUGUACUUUAUUAUGUGACCUGUUAAUUGGGCUUGUUAUUUGGACUAUGUCCUUGCAUGUGUGUCCUUGACCUCACGAGCGUUUUGCUCACCCUGUAGAUUUGUUUUCCUUAAUAGGAUUGGGCAUGGAAUGAUACUUGGAGGAACUCUUUUGAUGCAUUUUUGGCUUAGUGUUUCUAAUAUAUUUUGGGCUAGACCUUUUAUUGGUUGUACUAUUGGGAACUUAAUGUAUGAUUUGGAUAUUUGAUGUACCUAGAUGUUAUAUAUUUUGGGUAUUGAUGUAACUUUUGGGAAUUUAAUGUAAUGAUUGGAUAAGCGUUAUAUAUAUAUUGUUAAGUUUGGAAGUUUUCCGCACUUUCUUACUUAUCUAGUAUUGUUGAAUAGUUUUACAUUAAGCUUGAACGGAAAUUGCUUGAGUCUUGGUGAGAGUUGGGCAGGCGUCCCGCGGAUACCCUCUGGUUCGCCUUAGGGAGAAGUGGGGGCAUCACAGUUGGUAUCAGAGCACUAGGUUAGAGAUCUAUAUGGGAGACAUACUAGAUACUUUACCCUUAAGACCUGAGACCGGACGAUUUAGUCAUACCUUAAGUGAUAUUUGGGCGAACUAGUGACUAUGUUAGACAUACCCUAAGUGACAUCUGUGCGAGUGAGUGAUUAAGGUUCUAACCUAAAAAGUGUAAUUGUUUUGCAGGGAUGGAAAAUAGAAACGAGACUUCGGCAACUAAUGGGAAUGGCCAUGCUAAUGGUCACGUAGAGUUUUCUAGGCCCAUUUACUACCGAGUUCUGAGUGGAGGAGUUCACGUGCGAUAUGCACCUUAUGAUGGAUAUCCUCGUUGCCCAUGUAGGGUGAUAUUUGCCUACCCGAAUCAUAUUGUGCUAGCAUUGGACGAUGAGCGUCGUCAGUUGGUGACCGCCAACUUAGACUUACAGGCCGAAGUGAACGAGUUUAGACAGAUGGUUAGUGCUCAGGGCGAGAGGAUCGCUGAGGUUGAGGAGGUAGUAGAGGGCGAGGUGGCUACAGCUGCAGUUGUUCGUGAGGAGCUCCAGAGUAUUAGAGCUUGACUUACUAGAUUAGGAGGAGAGGUCCGUGAUCGGGCUUCCAGGAUCUUGGCUGAUGCCACUGAGAUGAUAGAGGGAGUGGCGGAUAUAGUUCAGAGCCCGGUCCAGGAGGAGGACCCUGAGGAGGAGAUUCCGCCUGGUAGUCCUGCUGUGGACUAGGUCCCUAGUGAUCGACUCUUUUAACCCUUUUGACUGGUGUAGAUAGGAUUAGCAGGGGUGAUGCUACGUGCUGAGGCCAUUGUAUUUUGCAUGACUGUGUAACCAACUUUUGUGGCACUUGCUUUUACUUUAGUCUUCUGUGACUAAAAGUACUCUUGUAGCACUUGCGUGCUAUAUUUUUAUGAUUUUUCCAUGACUUGCUAAUUGUAUGAACUUGAAAUGAUAAUGAAUGUAAAUUAUUGUUAUUUUCAAUGCUUUCGUGAUUGGUUCUUGUUUUAAGUAUUUUCUCACGAAAUUGAUUUAUUUCUUGCACUAGGCACAUCUAGGAUAAUGGACGGACAAAGAAGUGGUCGAGACCGUGAUCGAGGCCGUGGGCGAUGGACUGGACAGGCCAAAUCUCAUGGAGAUGAUCAGGGAUCGGCAACUGGACCGACCCAGGGACAGGAAAAUAUAAAGGGAAAUCAAGUGGCUACUGCCAUCAAUAGGAGGACUGAUAUCCUAGAACGCUUAGCUGAUAGGCAAGGUCCUGGACCACUUAACCAACCUGGGGGACGGGAAAGAGGAGAGAACUGAGCCUUAGAAAGAUUUUUGAAGUUUAAUCCGCCUAAAUUCGUUGGUGAACCCGAUCCUGAGGUAGCGAAGAAUUGGUUGGAAAGAAUGACUAAUAUAUUCGCCGCCUUAGACUAUACCGAGAAUAGGCAAGUGAAUUUUGCUGCUUUCCAAUUUGAGAGAGUGGCUCGUGCUUGAUGGGACAUGAUAAAAGGAAAACGAGAGAGAGUUCAAACCCUUUGGACUUGGGAGAAUUUCACGAGGGAGUUUAAUGAAAAAUUUCUUCCACCUCUGAUUCAAGAAAAGAGGGAGGAUGAAUUUAUCAAGUUGAAACAAGGGACCCAUAGUGUAGCUGAAUAUGAAGGAAAAUUUACUAAACUUUCUAAGUACGCUCCUGAAUUGGUAACCAAUGAGCGAAAGAGGAUAAGGCGGUUUGUGCAGGGACUUAAUGUAGAAAUCCAAGAGGGCUUAGCUGCACCUCAAAUCUCCACCUUUAUUGAGGCUUUAGACAAAGUACAACGGGUAAAAAGUGCAAGAAUGCAAGUUAAAGACUUUCACAAUAAGAAGAGAAACUUUUCUAGUCGUACUUCUGGACAGACUAGUAAGAGUUCACAGCCUUCUAAAGUUGGAAAAGGAAUGGGAGGAAUAAGGACUACUGGACCUCUUAGUGGAGCUUUAUCCAGAGGAGGUCAUAGUGGACCGGUUCAGACUAGGGGAGCGCCUUCUAGUGGUUCAGCCGUGACCCCUCAAGUCACUUGUGGAUACUGUGAAAAAUCCAACCACUCUGAGAAUGAAUGCUGGAGGAAGUUUGGGAAGUGUUUAGCUUGUGGUAGCACGGAGCACCAACUCGUGAACUGUCCAAGUAAAACGAAGAUGGGAGGUAACACUCAGAAGCCAGAAAAGUCAACCUCUAAACAGACUAGUGCUGGAGGAAGUCGACCGAAAGUACCGGCUAGGAUCUAUGCACUGGACUAUCAACAGGUCCCUGAGGCGACUGAGGUGGUUCAAUGUACAAUUCCAAUUUUUCACCGUUUAGCUAGGGUUUUAAUUGAUUCGGGUGCAACACAUUCUUUUGUAAACCUUAACUUUAUGAGUGUGAUAGAUUUGAACCCAAUUAAAUUACCAUAUGACUUGGAGGUUAGAACACCUACUGGAGACAAAAGUUUAAUUGCUAACCUGGUGUAUAGGGAUUGUGAAAUCUGUUUUGGGGAACGAAAAUUGUUGGCCGAUUUGAUAGGUUUAGCAAUUAAGGGAUAUGAUGUGAUUUUAGGGAUGGAUUGGCUAGCCCGUUAUAAUGCCCAGUUGAAUUGUAGGACAAAAAUUGUAGAAUUGUGUAUUCCAGGAGAAGCAACCCUGAAGUUGGAUGUGAGGGGUAAGUUGGUUUCGUCUGCACUUAUUUCAGGAAUUCGGGCUAGAAGAUUAUUAAGUAAAGGAGUUCAAGGUUAUUUGGCCUUCCUUAUUAACACCCCUAGUGAUAAGGUGAAUUUGGAGGACAUGCCUGUAGUAAAAGACUUUCUAGAUGUUUUUUCUGAAGAGUUAGAGUCUUUGUCCCCGGAACGGGAUAUAACUUUUAAGAUUGAUGUGACCCCGAGAGUAACACCUAUCUCUAAGAUGCCAUAUCGAAUGGUUCCAGCCGAAUUGAAAGAAUUAAAAUUACAACUACAGGAUUUGUUGGAACAUGAUUUUAUAAGGGAAAGUGAUUCACCGUGGGGAGCCCCGGUUUUAUUUAUUAAGAAGAAUGAUGGGAGUUUGAGACUGUGCAUAGAUUACCGAGGCUUAAAUGAUGUUACAGUUAGGAAUAAGUACCCACUGCCCCACAUUGAUGACUUGUUUGACCAAUUUUAAGGGGCGGUAGUAUUCUCGAAAUUGGGUUUGAAACAAGGUUACUAUCAAUUGAGGAUUUUGGAGAAGGAUAUACCAAAGAUUGCUUUUAACUCAAGAUACGGGCACUUUGAGUUUGCCGUAAUGCCGUUUGGGUUAACAAAUGCACCUGCUGCUUUCAUGGAUUUAAUGCAUAGGGUUUUUAAACCUUACUUGGACCAAUUUGUCGUGGUCUUUAUUGACGAUAUUUUGGUGUAUUCUAAAAAUAUGGAGGAUCAUGAGAAGCACUUGAGGAUUGUUUUGCAAACUCUAAGGGAACAUCAAUUGUAUGCUAAGUUUAGCAAGUGUGAGUUUUGAUUAAAAGAAAUGACUUUCUUGGGACACAUAAUUUCUAAGGAAGGGAUUAAAGUAGACCCGGCCAAAGUUGAAGCUGUUUCAAAAUGAAAACGACCGGAAAACCCUACUGAGAUCUGAAGCUUUAUUGGAUUAGCAGGGUAUUACCGGAGAUUUAUUCAAGAUUUUUCUAGAAUUGUUGGACCCAUGACCGAGUUAACCAAGAAAAGUAAAAAGUUUAUAUGGAGUUCUAAGUGUGAAGAAAGCUUUCAAGAGUUAAAAAGACGUUUGACUAAGGCGCCAGUGUUACCCCUAUCGAACGGAAAAGAUAACUUUGUGGUCUACACAGAUGCUUCCAAGGAAGGAUUAAGUUGUGUUUUAAUGCAAAAUGACAAAGUGAUAGCCUAUACCUUUAGGAAAUUGAAACCGCAUGAAGGAAAUUACCCGACCCAUGACUUGGAGUUAGCAGCGGUGGUAUUUACUUUAAAGAAAUGGAGGCAUUACCUGUACGGGGUGACGUUCGAUGUUUUCACUGACCACAAAAGCCUUAAGUACUUAUUUUCUCAGAAGGAGCUGAAUUUAAGGCAACGUAGAUGGAUGGAAUUUCUAGAAGAUUAUGAUUGCACGAUAAAGUAUCAUCCAGAAAAAGCCAAUAUAGUGGCUGAUGGUCUAAGUCGUCAAGUACAAGUGGCCGAAUUGAUGAUUAAGGAGCUUCAUUUGUUAGAAGAAAUUAGUUAUUGGAAUCCUCGAUUGGAGCCGAGAAAAAUAAUCUUUGGGAACAUUGUAGUGAAUUCCAUUUUGAUAGGACGUAUUAAAGAGUCUCAGGAAAAAAAUCCUGUAGUGCAAAAGUGGGUGGAAAGUGUCGAAAAGGGAGAAAAGUCGGAUUUUAAUUUGGGAUCAAAUAGUAUUGGGUAAACAACAAAAAAACCCCUUGUGGUUAAGCAAUCAUACAUAAAAAUCCCCUGUGAUUUCAUAUCAUACCAGUCGAUAUCCCGUGGUUUGAAUUAACCUGAAAAGUGGACGGAAAUCGUCAAAACAGACGGAGCUGAGUGAAUAGACGAAAAUAUCCUUUUGAUAUAAGCGAAAAUUGCAGAAGUAAUUUUGCACUUUCAUUCUAUCGAAACCAACGAAGAGAGAGAGAAAGAAAUAGAAAACCCUAGAGAGAGAUAGAGCAGCCCCUUUUCUAGCCAAUUUUCAACAAAAUGGGGCGUGAUUCAGCGGACGACGUUCAAGGACAAGACGUUUCCGGAGUCAGACGAUCAAACGGGGUUGGCUUAUCUGAUCCUGAAAGAGAGAGAGAAAUGGGGGAACAAAAUUUACAUGGAGGAUGUAUAUUAUUUUGAGGGGUACUGGAUGGAAAUCGUGGGGACGCUGGAGAGCAUCACCGACACAUACACGGGGAUUGAGAAGCAGGAGAGGAGACUGAGGAGGCGGCAUGCAGAGAGAGUGGGGGAGAGUUAUGGUAAGGUGUGGGAGCAGCACCUUAAGGACGCUGGGUAUGGGAGGGGGAGUUGGAGGAGACCGUUCAUGACUCACUUCACGGGGUGUCAGCCUUGUAGCUGGGACCACAACCAGAUGUACUCUGGCCAGUCUUGCUGGGAUGCAAUGCAAAUUGCUUUGAAUUUUGCUGAUAAUCAGGUGCUUAGGAGAUAUGGGUUCGUGCACCGGGAUUUAUUGGAUACGUCCACCGUCUUGCCUCUGUCGUUCGAUUACCCAGCAUCGGACCUUGUUGAAGGCGCUUCCGAGAAAUAUUUUAUUCUAACCAACUGUUUCCUACCAUCAUCGGAGGCUUUACUAGUAGUAUCAUUAUUGAUUUAUGAAACGAUUAGUGUCAUAUAGAAAGAACCCACAUUCAUUUUUUUCACACAUAAAAUAUAACAAUCCUUUCGAUGGCUUUUCCGACUCAACAAUCUUUAGCUUUGCUUUCCUUCGACAAUUACAUACCUUGUACUGGUAUCGAAGACCUCUGCCUCCAUUUCCCCCGCUUGUUGGUCGAGAGCUUGAGGAAGACAUCUUAGGGUACUUUUUGCACUUUUCCUUUAGAAUUUGCAGACCGAAUAUAUACAAAUAUAGUUCACAUUUUUACCUUAAAGCUUUGUUUCCUGCAAUUCCUUUGCUAGCCUGCAAGCUCUGCACAGGCUUCGAAUGUUGCCUUCAAUCUUCAAUUUUGGCCGAACUUGAAGACUCGGAAGACUUGGAAGCUGGUCUCUUAUUAUUAAAGAGUGAAGGGUAAAGUAGGUAUAUCAGGUGAAAGUUUGUGGUGGAAAUCUAUUUUUCGCAUAUGCACGCCCCUUUGCAGUUCGUUUAAGACACACGCCGAAUAUUUGACGAUUUCCGUCCACUUUUCAGGUUAAUUCAAACCACGGGGUAUCGACUGGUAUGAUAUGAAAUCACAGGGGACUUUUAUGUAUGAUUGCUUAACCACAGGGGGCUUUUUUGUUGUUUACCCAAUAGUAUUUUGAAGUUUCAGAAUCAGAUAGUAGUGCCAAAAGAUGAAGGGUUUAAGAAGAAAAUUUUAGAAGAGAAACACCAAUCGAAGUUUACGGUACACCCUGGAGGGAAUAAAAUGUACCAAGAUUUGAAGAGUUUGUACUGGUGGGAGAGCAUGAAAAAGAAAAUUUUCCAAUUUGUCCAAACCUGUUUAAUUUGUCAACAGGUUAAAGCCGAACAUUAGAAACCAUCAGAAAUUUUGCAACCUUUGGAAAUACCUGAGUGGAAAUGAAAGAACAUCACUAUGGAUUUUGUAUCAGAAUUACCGAGGACACAAAGUGUCCAUGAUGCCAUUUGGGUAAUAGUGAAUAGAUUGACCAAAUCGGCUCAUUUUCUGUCGAUUAAUAUGAAAUACCCAUUGGAGAAGUUAGCUAAACUGUACAUGGAUGAGAUUAUCAGGUUACAUGAAAUACCGGUAAGUAUUGUAUCUGAUAAAGAUCCAAGAUUUGUUUCGAGAUUCUAGCAAAAAAUGCAAGAGGUGCUGGGGACUAAAUUGAAUUUCAGUACUACUUACCAUCCCCAAACCGAUGGACAGUCCGAGCGGACGAUUCAAACACUUGAGGAUAUGUUGAGGACUUGUGUUUUGGAUUUUGGGGAGAGUUGGAGUAAAUUUUUAACACUAGUGGAAUUUGCAUAUAAUAAUAGUUUUCACUCUUCUAUUCAAAUGACUCCAUAUGAAGCACUUUAUGGUCGGGAGUGUAGAUCACCGAUUUAUUGGGACGAAAUAGGUGAACGAAAGAUUUUAGACCCGACUACAGUGCCCUGGAUUGAGGAAGCUAAUGAGAAAGUAAAGUUAGUACGUCAGAGAAUCCAAACUGCACAAAGUCGUCAAAAGAGUUAUACAGAUAAUCGGAGAAAGGACUUGAAAUUUGAAGUUGGAGAUCUAGUAUUUCUCAAGAUUACACCUCUGAAAGCAAGUUUAAUGUCUGGGAAGGGAAAGAAAUUACAACCAAGAUUUGUAGGACCUUACAAAGUUAUCCAACAUGUAGGAAAUGUAGCCUAUAAGUUGGAAUUGCCACCGAGGCUGUCUCGGAUUCAUAAUGUUUUCCAUGUGUCCAAGCUUAAGAAGUACCAUCUAAACCCUUCUCAUAUUUUGCAACCUGGAAAGUAUUGAGAUUGAUAAGACUGUGAUCUAUGAGGAGAGACCGGUGAAACUUCUGGAUAGAAAGGUAAAAGAAUUGAGAAAUAAGCAGAUACCUUUAGUAAAAGUUCUCUGGAGGAACCACGAACUAGAGGAAGCGACCUGAGAAGUUGAAGAGGCAAUCCGAGGAAAGUAUCCAGGCCUGUUCGCAGAUCAAGGUAAAUUUCGAGGACAAAAUUUUCUUAAGGGGGAGAGGAUGUAAAGACUCACAAAAAAAAUAUCUAUUUUAAACUCAAAAUUCUAGCUUAUUUAAUUAUUUAUUUGGCCAAAUGCUCCGAUUAUUAUUUUUUAACCUUUUUAGACCAAAUUAGAUGGAUCUAUAGCUUAGUUAUAUUUUUAAAGUGACUCGUUUUAAAAUUUAAUUUCUAAAGGCUCGUUAAGUGAAAAUAGUUAAUACGCGAUUGGAGUAAAUAAUCGAUUCGAGAAUACAAUAAGUUUGGAAAAUUGGAAACUUGUACAUUAGUCCUAAAAUAGGUAUUUUUAUGUAUAAGUGUUCAAAGGUUAGUUAGUUAUAUUACCGUUACAAGAACAUCUUAGAAAUUUCACUAUCUCGCGCUUAAAUUGGAAAUACGCGUUUUUACGCGUGCGAGUAAUUGAGGAGCCUUAGACCAUUAUUUUGGAACUAUUAAGAGUGAAUAAUAAUAAUAUGAAUGUAAGUGCAUUAGAGGUUUAGUGCACUAGUGCAAUAAACUGGAGAGGAAUCGAGCACGAAACGCACGCGCACAUGCAUUAUUUUAGUGGAUUUGAGAAAAUUUGAGCCACAAGUUUUAAGCCUACCUUAGAAGCUAAUAACAUCAGAAUUUCCUUCCUCACAUACACUCAAAUGGCCGAGCAACAAAGGAAGAACAGGACCAGAAAGUUCCUCCACUCUUUCUCCUCAAUUCCUUGCUCAAAUUACCUCCAAAUUUUACACACAACACUCAAAUCAUUUGGUGAUCAAGAUAAGCUAGGAAAGGAGCUGCCUCUCACGGUUUUUCUCCAGCUCAAAGUGACCGAAAUUUCUGUCUUGGCUCUCUAAGAAAGUAAGUAAUGAUCAACCACUUAAUUCUUGAUUUAUGAAAGAUAGAUUACACUCAUGAGCUCUUGAAUUCUCAUGGGCAGCUUUAAAUUGUUAGAAAAUUGGUGAGUGGGCUCUAUGAAAUCCCACAAUAAUUUUGAUGAUCUGAUUUGAUAAGAUUAGAUAUUAAUUGUGUUGAUUAAGUGUUAAUUUAGUAGAGUUAAGUGAUAAAAGUGAAAAGGAAGUCAAAUGAGGGGUUGCAUGUGAAGGUGCCGAUUCUGCCCUGCCAUUUUCGUGCAUUUUAGUGUACUUUCUUGAAGUCCAAUUGACUUAGUUCUGAUGCAAAUGUGUAAUAUAGGUUGUGUAUAAAGUUUUCUCAAAAUUUUACGUGAUUUGGGUGAUUGCAUGUUGAGAUUUAGAAAAUUUGCCAAAACUGGAAUUGUGUCCCGUAUUACUCUGGCAGUGAUUUUGUUUAGACUAUAACUCUUUGUCCCAAUGUCAAAAUCGAGUGCCGUUUACGACACUGGAAACUAGACAUUCCCAUCUUUCCAACAGUAUAAAAUGUACAUUCUGAUUCCACCUGAGUCAACCACACCAACCAUUUGAACUUGGCUGCACUGUUUCGUUGGUUCACUGGAAGGUAGAACAUGAACUACUUCUUGAUGCUUAAAUUUGGGCUAGUUUUGGACAGAUUUUGAAUAUUGUUUCUUGUAAGAAAUUGUAGCUCUAUGAAUUUUUUUUCUAACGCCACCAACUAUGCUCAAUUCCAAGUUGAAUUGAGUGAUUUAUGAUCAAAAUUCGAAUCUGGUAUUGUGAAGAAAUACCAUGCAUUUGGACAGAUUUGAAACUAACAAUGAUUUGGAACUUGUUAUCCGAAGCUUCUUAGUGUAUAUCACUUAUCAAAUGUACCUUGGACAUAUUUUAGACAUUACCUACUGGAAUGGACCAGGUUUGAGAUGUUUCUUGACCAAAUGCUUGGAAACAGCAAAACGGAAGUUCAAAGGCAGUUUAGCCUUAGAAUUUCUUGUGAUUUCAACGGUCUCGUUAACCGAUUUCCAAACAUAUUUUUCUAUGAAAUUUGGCAAAGGAGUGGCCCUUAUAAGGUAGUAUAUUCAUACCAAAUUUGGCACUGUUCCGAGUCCGUUUCGAUACCUAACUAAAGUCUCAAAGUUUAGAACUUAAAUCUGGAAAAUUGGCUUAACAGUUUCGGUUUUUCACCAACUUUGAGCUAUUGUAUCUUGGUGCUCAAAACUCCGAUUCUCGUCUGUUUAUUUUUUUUUAAACUUGGAUUGUAACCCUAAUUGAGUUCCAAAUUCCAGAGGUUAGUUCAAAUCAAGUGAAUUUUUCCGAAUUUUCAAAGUUGGCCAAAAAUCAACUUAAACCUGUCUUCAAUGCCCUAAAACAGCAAUUUUGAGCUAAUUUUUGGAUACCUUCUAUUUAGAAUCCUGGAAAGGUGUCUUCUAGGAACUUUUAGUACUUCCUAAGAGAUUUUCAACGGUACCAAGUUUUCCAAUUUUGGACUUGUAAAGAGUGAGAUACGAUUUUUCAAAGAUCGCGUAUCAAAACUGAAAUUUCCGAAUCUUAAGGAAAUGGAGUUUUUCGAAUUCUCCUUAUUCCUUUGAUAUUACUUGAACGUUUUAUAUUUGAUUUCAAAGAUGAGAACUCGAUUUCUCUUGUACUUUAAAACCCCACUUUUGAGCCUUAAUUCGCAAGUAAUUUAGACUCAUUUUAGUGAAAUUUUCUAGAAUUGUACAAGCGUGCAAUCUUUCUUGAUAAUUGGGCUUUAUAAGUAAUUGUUCACUAUUAAUUGCUCAGGCUCGCACGAGGACCUUCAAGAGGAUCCUACGGUAGACGCUUGAACUUCAAGUAACAAUUCUCCUUGGUUGACUUGGUGAGUGUCAAGUGCAUGACUACUUGAAUUCCUGUGGGCUUGAUACAUGUUUACUUGUUAUUCAUGACUUGAGAUUUUGAAAAUGGAGUCGAGUGUGUAUUUUAUCGCACUCGUUUUCAUUUGAAAUAAAUAACUCAUGAUUAACUUGCUUGACAUGAAAUAAAUGACCUGCUGGACAUCACCUGAAUGCUUGAAUACAUCAAAUGCUUGCUUGACCUAAAAUAGUAUGCUAUGGCUGCAUACGUCGCUGGAGUAAAUCUCCUCGACACUCAAAUGCACAUGGGGGACGCCCAAAUUCAUAGGCUGACCUUGGAACUCGAGUCGGCAUGUGUUUGGUCGGGAACCUCGGUGAGCCAUGAGAAUCACAUGAUAAGCUUGAUUUAUUGGAGAGAUCUUGCUUGGCAUACUCGUUGAGUAUCGCCUCAUAAAUGACGUGCGGGCCCGGUUGUGGUAUGUACAGUGGACGAACAUGAGAGUAAGUGGAGAUCUAUGGAUUGGAAAUACCGACCCGGUUGACGGAGAGUCAUCGCGGGAAGGUAUACGAAUGACCCUGACAAAGCAAGUGGAACUUAGCUCCUGAGAGCUAUCAUAUCCUUGAAUUGUUUCUGUUUACAUUUCAUUAGAAUUGACAAUUACUUGUACUUUAUUAUGUGACUUGUUAAUUGGGCUGAUUACUUGGACUAUGUGCUUGCAUUUGUGUCCUUGGCCUUACGAGCGUUUUGCUUACCCUGUAGAUUUGUUUUCCUUAACCGGAUUGGGCAUGGAAUGAUGCUUGGAGGAACUCUUUUGAUGCAUUUUUGGCUUAGUGUUUCUAAUAUAUUUUGGGCUAGACCUCUUAUUGGUUGUACUAUUGGGAACUUAAUGUAUGAUUUGGAUAUUUGAUGUACCUAGAUGUUAUAUAUUUUGGGUAUUGAUGUAACUUUUGGGAAUUUAAUGUAAUGAUUGGAUAAGCGUUAUAUAUAUAUUGUUAAGUUUGGAAGUUUUCCGCACUUUUUUACUUAUCUAGUUUUUUUGAAUAGUUUUACAUUAAAUUUGAACGGAAAUUGCUUGAGUCCUGACGAGAGUUGGGCAGGCGUCCCGCGGAUACCCUCUGGUUCGCCUUAGGGAGAAGUGGGGGCGUCACAGAAUCAAAAUUUGUACCCAACUAUCAUAACUUUGUAACUAACUAUUUUUUUUUAUAGCAUAUCAUUAGAUCAUACAAUACCAUUACUCAUUAAAAUAGAUGAUCAUUUUUUUCAUUUUUCGCUGUUUAUAAGUUAGUUAAGUCAAUAGUUUUCAUAGGCCUGUUUAACUUCUCAUCAUCAACUCACAAAUUUUCAUGAUCUAGAACUUAUAUUGACUUUUUAAUAUUAGAUUGAGACAACAGAAAUUGCUAACCUGUAUUCUGUGUCUUGUUGCAAUUUACAACAGAAAAAUACCAUAUGUUGUUUUUUAUACUCCUUUCUUUCUCUUGCAAAGUCAAAAUAAAUACCAUCACAACCACGAAAUCAGGUGCUGUAUUUUUCAACCUUCAUUCUCUCUUGCAUUCUUCCUUAAUUUUCUUUUUUGGACGAGAUGCAUUCUUUUUAUUUUGCAAUCCAGUACUGAUUUGAUAUGUUUGUCACUAAUGUCAUUCAAUAAAUGGCACCAAAUUGGUGUAGAAUUGGUAAUACAAUAUAUAAGCAAUUGGUGUCAUUUGUCUAAUAGCUAUUAGGAGCUUUCUGAUGGUACUUUUAAUCGUUAAUCAAGUUUAACUAAUUUAUUGUGCCAUAAGUACUAAUUGUUAUAUAUUAGCCUUUGCAUACUUCAAAAUCUUAUGGGUAUAACAAUAAAUUCAUCUCAUGUGAUGUAAAGAGGUGGGUUCAAAAUUCUACUAUAGAAGGUUAGUGUAAUUUUGAAAUCCUUAGGGGAGGUAAGUGAAAUAUUCAGAAUCUCAGGGGAGGUUUUUUGAAUUAUCCCUUAUUUAAAGUCGUUAUAUUGGACUUUUCACUAUUCAUCUUAAUGAAGAGAAAAAUCCCCGACUAAACUACCUCUUUUGGGGCUAUUUCAUUUGCUAAGUAAGUCUUUAAGUGCUACCCAUUCACCUUAAAAGGCUCAUUUUUACCAUUUGUUAUCUUUACCGUUCCAUAGAAAAAUAGUUUUGUCAGUUCAAAUGGACUGGAACACCUAGAUUUUAGUUUAUCUAGAAAAUAAUCUAAGGCGUAAAUUAUACAAUAACACCUUUCCUUUUUGGCAAAUUUUAGUAAGUGCUAUUAUAUUUCAGUAGUGAGAAAGCGAGGCCAUUUGAUAAUCAACAAAGAAUCUCUAUCCAUAUAGUAAAAACUAAUACUCGCUCAAACAAAGAUUGAAAAAAUCAACUUGGUAAAUAGAACACAAAGAGCAGUCAACUCGAAUUCUUUUUUCUAAUUCUAAAAUCAAAAUAUGGCAGUCAACUCUAAUUCUUCCUUCUAAUUUUAAAAUCAAAAUAUCACACCAGACCACUGUUAAAAUAACAUAUAAGAGACUAUAGAUGUCUCAUAUCCUUAAAUGCAACUCUUUCAUAGAUGGUCAACUGAUAAUCGUCAUUCAAUUGAUUUGCCAAUUCAAAAUUUAGUUCUCCCAUAGAUGGUAAAUUGGCUGUCGAAUUGUUGAUUGCAUCCCGAUAUCUUUUAAGCAUAUUCUCCUCGACUACAUGAACUUGAAAAUAUCUAAGAAAUGCAAGUUAAGAGGACCGAGUAUCUAUGUAAUAUAGAGAAAUAAUCACUGGUGUUGAUUUUAUCUUUUUCUAUUCUUCCUUCCACUCUUUAUUUUCUUGUUUAACUCCUCCUUUAACUGCAUAUUUUUCUACCUCCGCUUCUCUUUUGGAUAAUCAAAGAUUAUGUCACAAAUGGAUUUAGGCUUAAUCUUUUAGUCCAAUCUCUCUAAUAGGUUGAGUAUGUAUCCAACACAGGUAUCCGACCCGAUUGAGGUCUAACCAUUAACAACAUGUAGAUACAAGUUGGAAAAGCCAGCCUCUCUACAUGACUGAAUAGGAACAGAUGAUAGUACGUUCCUUCAUUCGCAUAGUUCUUCUACAAGUAAAAAUUAUCGCUCUCGACAGCUAACAAUGACUUAGUCGGUAACAAAGAAUCAAACAUUCGUUGGCGGCAUAUGCUGUCAUUAGUCCUCACUGUCUCAUUCCAUUUUGUUCUAUCCAUGAUUCUGUGAUAGUAUUUUACAAGCAAAUGCCUAACCUCCUCCCUCUUCUUGAUUAAAAAAAUGUGUUUAGCAAUCAUAUCAUCGUGUUCAAUCUUUUUUUUAUCCAGUUAUUGAAAACAAGUUAAGACUCCGCGUAUUUUCUCGGUAAUCUAGGGCAAUAGCACAUCAUAGGCAUCAUAUAUUCAUUCUCAUUUAGCUGCAAUGUACGAGUCUAGGCUAUGAUUGAUUCUCUCCAUGAUGAUUCUAUAUUUUUCCUUCCCAUUCUCACAUUCCAUGGCUGUACCCAUCACACGCAGAAAACACCUUCCUCUUUUCGUUGCAACUUCGACUGUCGCAUCAAAAUCAGUCUUAACUGAAACAUCGAUGAUGGAACAGGGAAUCUCUCGAUCGAUGGAAUCGCCCCUAAAGAAGCCAUGGUGAAGCUACUCUUCAACGUUAAACUGUUGAAUCUUAUAUUAGAUGCCGGUUGCAGGUCUAAACAUUAGCAAAGUAGGAGAGUAAAAGAGAAGGCUCGAAAACAAUGAAAAUGAGGGAAUUGGACAAAAGGUAUAGUAGGAGAAUAUUAGGGUUUGGAAGUCUUAAGUUUGGAGGAGGAGAUGAUUAUGCUUUGGAAAGGAGACAUGAGCCGUCAUAGAGAAACGGGAAAUGUGAAGGGAAAAAGACGGCAUGGAACAAGAGAAAAAGUUUAGGGUUUUAGGACUCUUGAUGCUUACAUAAGUAUAUUAAAUAACCAUCGUAGUAUCUACAAUAAUACCUUUUGUCCAGUUUCAAAUUCUUUAGGAAGGAUGCCUGUCAUGCUAAAUUUCACCUUUUCCUUAUAUAUUUUGACAUUCUUAUACGAAGUCAACUGAAGUUCUUCCAAUUCACUUGAUUCAAGCAAGCUCUUCUCACUUGUAAGACAAAAAUCUAUAUUAAUAGCUUUUAUAGUCUAAUCUGCUUUAUGUCCAAUUUCAACAGGUAGAUCGCAUGCCUUUCUAUAAAUUAGUCGAUAGGACAACAUUUCCAAUGAAGUCUUAAAUACCAUCCUAUAGUCUUAUAAUGUAUCAUCUAACUUUUCAUCCAAUCCUGCCUCGACUUGUUCACCAUUUUUUCUAGGAUAAGUUUGAGUUCCCGGUUAGCCAACUCCAUUUGACCAUUCACUUGCAGGUGAUAAGGAAGUGAAAUCUUAUACCUGCAACCAUAUUUAAACAAAGUGUCAAAUGAUUUAUUACAAAAAUGCUUACCUUUGUCACUUUUAAUUGUCGUUGAGAUUCUAAACUUACAAAAUAUAUUCCUUUUAAGAAAUUCAAUUACAUCUUUUGCAUCAUUAAUAGGCAAUACAAUAGCUUCUACCUUUUUCGACAUAUUAUCAAUUGGUAUAAGAAUGUACUUAUUAUUAUAGGAAUUAGGAAAGGUCCCAUAAAAUCUAUACUCCACAUAUAAAAUAAUUCAACUUUCAUAAAAAUAGUUAAAGGCCUUUUAUUUUUCUUAGAAAUAUUGUUAGUUCUUUGACACUUAUGGCAUUUGAUAAAAUUUCUAAUAUUUUGGUGUAUAGUUGGCCAAUAAAAACCUGAUUACCAUACUUUCGUCACUAUUUUUGAUGUACUAAAAUGUCCUCCCAUUUCAAAGCAGUGACAAUACAAUAAAAUACUAUAUAUCUCUUCUUGCAGUACAUACCUUCUUAUCAUGCCAAUAGGAUAAUGUUUGAAGAAAAAUGACUCCUGGCAAAAAUAAUGUUUGGCAUCAUGAAAAAAUUUCUUCCUUUGGUGGUUGUUUAAAUUUCCUGGAAUGACUUUACUAACUACAAAGUUAAUCAAAUCGGCAUACCAUCUUCAUUUUCUUCAAAAUUAGAAAAAUUGGCAUCACUUGAUUCACUACUAACCACUAACAUCAUAUUAUGAUCUGCAUCAACCUUGUUGUCACUGUCAAGCAUAUGUUUUUAUGUCACUGUCAAGGUUAGUAACCACUCUUUUAGAAGUAUGAUCGAAACAUAAAUUCUGUUGAGUGUUUUGAACAUUUUUGUCAGUAUUGAUAUUUGAUAGGGUACAUUUUAGUGGGGUAUUUUGGGCAUUAUUGCACAAUUAAUUGACUAAAUAUUUUUAUUAAUUGGGUGGAUUCUACUGAUAUUUUGUUUUGGUGCUAACUGCAGGAAUUGGUACCAAAAAGAGCUUGAAAUCGAAAUUUAGAAGAUUCGUCGAACGGGAGCCAUUUCAAGUACUGGGGUCCGCUCGAGAAGUUGAAGAAACUUAAUUGUAAUAGAUAUUAUUUUAUUCUAUUUUUGGAGGGAGGCUUGUUAUUUUAUUUUGGGAAAAAAAAGGAAAAACACAACUGCCUGGAACUUCGGUCGACAACAGAGGCGAGAGUUAGUUUUCUUCGGCUGGCUUAGGUUUUUAGGGAGGCUAUGCGUUUAAAAGGGAGAUUGGCCGCAGCUUUGAAGGGGGAAUGAGCAGAGACAAGAGCCACCAUUCUUGACUUCUGUACUUUUCUUUCCAUCUUUUGUGGACUUGAAAACUCAAAUUCUAAGUUUGGUUGACCGAAAUUGGAAGAACAAAAGAAGCAAUUGAAACCUUUCUCUCGUAUGUUUGUUUUGUGAGGGACCAAUAUGGGCCACCAUUGUUGACCAUUUGGCACUUACUUUACUCUUUCAUUUUGACCGAAUUAAUGGAGAGAGCAUCAGACAAUUUCUUUGCUUGGUGAGAAACAACUGCAGAUCGAUUCCUCUCGCUCUUUUCUAACUCUCUCGGUUGACCGAUUCCCAACGCAAGAAUUGGCGGCCCUUGUCAACUACGUUCGCAUGGCCUGUUCACUAAUGGGGAACUAAACCUCUAUUUCUAGUCAAGGGAGCAACUGAUGAAUUGGUUCAACUAAUACUGUGAGAUCUAAAUCAUUCUUUAUUAUUUUUCUCAUUUAUUGAUACUUAUAUGUUCCUGGCUUUUAAUCGCUAUAGCCUUGUGUAUGAUUGGUUAGUGCGCAAUAAUUAAUUAUUCAUAUAGGCUAUUUUGCUAAAUAUGGGUAAUUGAAUCCGUAAUUGUUCGUUACCUCUGUGUUAGUAGCAACUGGCGUAAUUGGCUUUAUGUCAGGGGAACAUAUGAUCUAUCUUAAAUAAACCCUCGUAGCGUGUUUGUUAGUUAGGAUUGGGCAUUUCUAAUUAUUAAUGCAAUCUAGAAAUUAAAUCCUACGGUCGUACCUAGGGUUGUUUUUGGGUUAGAGAAAUAGCUAACGGUCGUACCUUAGCUGUCGAGAAAUUAAGGAAAGGUUGGUUGUUUAUCGCGUGCAUGACAACUAUAACUAAUCUGUUGAUAAAUGUUGGAAUUAUUUCUGCAUCAAUGAUCAGUGCAUGAACCAUUUCUGAAGUGUACCCUUGGCUAGAGCUUCUCUUAAUUAUUUCUUUAAAUUAAUUAUUCUCUGCAGUUACUUUAUUCUUAGCAUUUAAUCGUGAAAACCCCCCAUUUGUCUUGAUUCGAAAAGGAAUAAAUUUCUCUCCAGUCCCUGAGGAGACGACCCUGCUUACCACUGUCUACUAGUUAGUGAAUUCAGUUAAAUAAUUAAUUCAGGUAUAUCGGAUUAAGUAAACUCUUCGGGAACAGGGUGAAUCAAGUAACCCAUUGCACACCUAGGGUCCUUGCUCCAGUACUCGAAUUAAUUAUUGACUGCUUUAGGUGGUAGUUAGGUUUUAUUUAUUAUUAUUGCACAGGUUCGGCACCUGUCAAUUUUUGGCGCCGUUGCCGGGGACUGGCAUCUGAAUUAUUUGUUUCUUUUUGAAUUCAGCCUUUUAUUUUGUUUUAUUUUAUUUUAUUUUUCUUGAUAUUUUUGCUAGUUUAUGCCCAGUUCUUCUCGCACAGGUGAAUUGAUAUACGAACCUGAGGUUGAGAAGGCAGCACGUAGGCGAAGGCAAGAGACCAAGAGACGAAAAGAAGGGCACUUAUCUUCUGCAAACGAGUCAGUAGAAGAUGAAUUUAGCAUGGCCAACACCCAGACAUUAAGGGAGCUGGCUACCCCGAAGCUGACUCAUCAGCCCUUGUGCAUCACUUUCCCAACUCUGUCUGAGAAUACCUCCUUCGAGCUGAAAUCGGGAUUGAUUCAGCUCUUACCUUCGUUUUAUGGUCUUUUUGGUGAAGAACCUCACAAACACGUCAAGGAGUUCGAAGUGGUUUGCUCUAGCAUGAAACCUCCUGGGGUCACUGAGGAGCAAAUAAGACUUAGAGCUUUCUCCUUCUCUCUCAAGGAUGCAGCGAAGGAUUGGCUAUACUACCUACCUGCAGGUAGUAUCACCACGUGGGCACAAUUGAAAAAGAAAUUCCUAGAAAAGUUUUUCCCCGCAUCCCGGGUUGCGAGUUUGAGGAAGGAGAUAUGCAGCAUCAAGCAGUACUCCGGGGAGUCCUUGUACGACUAUUAGGAAAGGUUCAACAAGUUGUGCACUAGAUGCCCACAGCAUCAAAUUAGUGAACAAUUGUUGAUCCAGUACUUCUAUGAAGGGCUCCAGUCAAUUGACAGGAGUAUUAUUGACGUUGCGAGCGGAGGAGCCCUGGCGAAUAAGACAGCGAAGGAAGCAUGGGACCUGAUCGAAGCCAUGGCAGAGAACUCCCAACAAUUUGUCUUCCGUGAGAGCAACCCUACCCGUAGAGUCAACGAGGUAGAGACUUCAUCCAUACAGCAGCAACUGUCAGAGUUGACGUCUGCUUUCAGGCAAUUAACCAUGAGAGACACGCCGCGAGCUAGAGUUUGUGGCAUCUGCACUAGCAUGGACCACUGCACGGACACGUGCCCCCUUUUGCAAGAGGACGGGGCAGAACAGGUAAACAUGGCCGGAGGCGUGCCCGCACCCCGCAGGCAGUAUGACCCGUAUUCCAACACAUACAACCCCGAUUGGAGAGACCAUCCUAAUUUCAGUUAUGGGAACCGACCGCAAAAUUCACUCUCAAAUCGUCCACCAGGGUUUCAGCAACCAUGGCAACCGAAACCGCAACCUUCAUCCUCCAACGCAGGAAGUUCCUUGGAAGAUAUUGUCAAGAGUCUGGCUACGACUACCGCCCAGAUCCAGCAAGAGACUAGACAGCUCCAGCAGGAGACCAGGUCAUUGACCACGAAUAUGGCUCAACUCCAGCAAGAAACUAGAGUUUUAACCAUGAGCACCACUCAGUUCCAGCAGGACACCAGAGCAGGCAUGAAAGAUAUGGAUGCUCGAAUAAGCCAAUUGGCAACUGCCAUCAAUCCCCUGGAGUCCCACGCUCAUGGAAAAUUGCCAUCUCAACCUGAGAAAAAUCCUAGAAAUGUAAGUGCCAUGACGCUGAGGAGUGGUAAGGAACUGGAAGGGCCUAAAGUGGAAAAUUCAAAAAGCAAAAGUGAGGAGGAGAAAGAAAAGGAAAUCGAAGAGGAAGGACACAUUCGCGAAGACCCUAAGGUAACAUCUAUUCCUACAAUCCCUAUUAAAUCUAAUCUAGCUCCUUUUCCUUGCAGGUUGGAAAAGACAAAGAGGGCAGAAAGGGAAAAAGAAGUCCUGGAUGUGUUCCGCAAAGUUCAAGUAAACAUCCCACUAUUGGAUGUGAUUAAGCAGGUACCCAAAUACGCAAAGUUCUUGAAAGACUUGUGCGUUAACAAAAGAAAGCUAAGGGGUGAUGAAAGAGUGAUGGUAGGAGAGAAUGUAUCAGCUGUACUUCAAAGGAAACUUCCACCCAAAUGCGGGGAUCCAGGUAUGUUUACUAUUCCCUGUAAGAUUGGACAUUCUAGUAUCAAAAAUGCCAUGAUAGAUUUAGGGGCUUCUAUUAAUGUGAUGCCUAAGUCAAUCUAUAAUUCCCUAAAUUUAGGACCAUUAAAAGAAACGGAGAUAAUAAUUCAAUUGGCUGAUCGUACAUGUGCUUACCCGGAUGGGAUAAUUGAGGAUGUUUUAGUGCAAGUAGAUGGAUUAAUUUUUCCUGCUGAUUUUUAUGUGCUUUACAUGGAUGAUAGAAGUGCCCCAAAUCCAUCACCCAUUAUAUUAGGAAGACCAUUUUUGAGUACUGCCCAGACUAAAAUUGAUAUUAGUAAGGGUACUCUCACGAUGAAAUUUGAUGGAGAAAUAGUCCACUUUAAUAUCUUUGAUACAAAGAAACAUCCUGUUAACUUUCAGUCUGUAUAUGCUAUUUAUGCCACUAAUCCCUCUGUACAAGAAUUUUCUAAGUUUGCUGGUAGGGGUAAAUUCAAGGUUGCUGCGAACAAGUCCUAUAGGAUGAAAGCAGUUUAUGAGGUGAAAAUGGAGAGAAAAUUUAGGAAAAAGGGUGCACUCAAUGGCCACGUGGAUCCCGGAGGAAGGCCACCAAUUACAAGGAAAAUUCAAUUACAUCCAGACUAAAGAGUGGUGCAAUGUCUAGCCAAAGACAUUAAAGAAAGGCGCUACUUGGGAGGCAAUCUAAGACUUUGUUUCAGUUUUCAUACAUUUUUGAAGUUUUAGUUAAGUGUUAGUGUCAAUUAAUAGUUUGAUUUUUUGUGGCAGGAAAUUGGCAGUUAGACGUGCCCACGUUAAGUGGUCACGUCUGAGGAAAAGGGUUGGAAGGUGACGGUCAGAAGACUCUGUAGCAAUUAAGCGUGCCCACGCUAGGUGGUCAGGCUAAAGGAUCAAGAAUUUUCGUCGGAUGGUCAAAAGACUAGGGGCAGUUAGGCGUGCCCACGCCUAAGACAGGAGUUCUUCGUUUACCCGAAAAAAAUAAUAAUAAUAAUAAUAAUAAAAAAUAAAAAGAUGAAAUUGCCCUAAUCCAAAAAGAAAAAAUAUAUAUAUUUCAAAGGACCCGCAACCCAACUCUUUUUUUCUUCUUCUUUCUUUUCUUUUUCUUUCUUCUUCUUCCUUAUUUUCUUUCUUUUCUUUUUUCCCCUCUUUUGCUUCGUCCGCCGCCGCUCCUCACCGCACCGCACGCCACUCAUUGCUGUUCGACGCCGCCGCCCUCCAGCUCAGAUCCUCCGCCAGCGGCCACCCUGCUUCAGCGCGCCGCUGAGCGCGCCCUCUGCGCAAGUUCCUUGUGCGCCGCCCAGCCCGCGCGCAGCGCGCGACCGCUCCACCUGGCACGCCUGGGCCCCAGCGCAGUCCAGCGCAACCCAGCGAGCCCAGCAGCUCGCGACAGCCACGCCAGCGUACUACCCAGCGCACGUCACCCGUGCGCCUCCCCUUCGUAAGCUCCAGCCUCUGCCCAUCGCGCGACCAGAGCACCAGCACCAGCAGCCAGGCGCGCAGCUCAGGCGCGGCGCAGGGGCGCGCUCGACCAACGCAGCAGCAGCAGCAGCCCACGCGCGUGGCUCUCACGCGCGUCGCACCUUUCUCCUCCGUGCCGCCUCUUCUCUCUUCACUGUCAUCCACUGCCUACUCCAAACCUCCGGUGAAUUCUUUCUUUAUUUUUCUGUCACUAAGUAGCUGAGGCCAGAUUACUAGUUUUCAUUAGCUGAUGCCAGAUUUUAAUUUCUUAGCUGAGGCCAGAUUGUUGACUUGCUAGCUGAGGAUAGAAAUUUUGUGCUUGUUUAGGUGCUGUGGUAUAUAUCUGUGGUUGAUUGCUGACUAAUAGUUAAAUUUUGUCUUCAACCAGUGAUAUUUGGGGGAUGUUCUUAUUUGGGUUGCUAAUUUAAUUGAUUUUUUGGGGAAUGUUGCUGCGGUUUUCUAAUUAAGUGAUUUUUGGGUUGAUCUGGUAGUGUUUGGGGAAAAUUUUGCUGUUCACAGGAUUAAUUAGCUUUUAGGGUAAGUUUAUUGUCUGUUUUUGCACUUGUCUGUGAUUGGAAGCUGUGACUGGGAAUCAUUUACUUUGCUAGCUGUUUGUUGACCUCUUUGGAAUAUCAUUCCCUUGCCUUUGCCCUGCCCUCUGAUUUCAAAUGACUAAACCAAAAAAUAAGGGCAAGAACAAGCAUUCCACCUCCACCCCACAGGCUACGGUCCCCUUGAGUGGACCUGCCCCCUCGACUGGGCCGGGAGGGCCCCGGACCGUACUCUUCGGUGCCUCCACCGUCUUCCUCCGCCGAUAGCCAGGGUACAGCCCUUCGAUUCCAGAUGCAGCACAUGGACACUCGUAUGGAGCGGAUGGAGCGUCAGAUGGGCGGGAUGGCCCAGAAUUUAGCGCAGUAUCUCCAUCAUGUGGGUUUCCGCCCGCCUUUUCCUCCACAGCUGUAGUCCAUUUCUGUCCUCCUCCAUUUUUAAGGGAAGUGUCGUUGCCCCAAUACCUCUGUUUUGAUCUUUCUUUGCUUACAUUGAGGGCAAUGUAAGGUUUAGGUGUGGGGGAGGGUUAACUAUGCUUUAGUUGUGUUUUUAGUUGUCUGAUUAAAUUUUCCUUGCCUUAGUAGUUUUCUUCUUUAAACGGUGAUGAAUGAAAUCGGGAUAUGAGUAUAAGUAGUAAGUUCAUACCAUGGGGUGUUUCAUUUUUCCUCGAUGAUGUGUUGAUUGAUGAAUAUGCCAAACUUGACAAAAAUUUGAUCACUUGUGCAAUUUUUGAGCAUAAUUUUUCGUUUGUUUGAGUGGUUAGUGCACAUGGUUUGUCAUUCUAGAACUUGCUUGGUUAUGCAUGUCAAGACCACAUUUAAAUGAGUUUAAUGCAUUAAAAUGAUAGGGCACCUAGGAAUGAGCCAUUUUUGGACUUUCUUAAAACCAACCCUCGGAUUAUUUACAACCAUUUGGGAGCCAAGUUGAGCCUUAACUCCUAUUCUUCACUUGGGACCCUAGUUUUUAGCCGUAAAAUCUCUUUUUAGACUUUCUUUUGAACCUCGUGUGAAGAAGUGCUUUGAUUUCAUUAUACAGAAUUUUGGAGUAUUAAUUGAGAGGCAUUACACCUAUCCCGUACAAAAAAAAAACACAAAAAAAAGAGAAAAGUGAAAAGAAGACAAAGUGCAGGAAAUCAGCAAGUAAAGUUGAUUUUUAUGGUGCUGGUUGGGAGUUAUUGAAAAUCUUUCUCGGAAAAAGAAGAGCAAAAGAAAAAAGAGGAGAAAGAAAAGUCGAAGGUUGUGGCAAAUGCCAAUUUUUACUUCGCUUGAGGGAUGGUUGAGGUGCUUUGAAGUUCCCAAUGUGCAGGAAUCUGUGUAAUGAGUUUCUGAGCACUUUCUUUAUACUUUUACACCCUUUUGAAUCCUUUUUAUCCGACCUCCUCACCCUAGCCCCAUUACAACCUUGCAAAGUCCCUUGAUUGUUGCAUUUAAAUUCACAAGUAAGUGGUGGCGAUAUGAUAUAAGAGCAAGCUUAUGGUAGUGCCAUCCUAUUGUGUUGAAUGAGGGCCAUUUUAUAUACAUAUCCUAUACACCUUGGAGUGAAUGAGUGCACUUUGAACUGUGAGCAUUAUUGAUUUGGUAUAUUUUGAUUUCAAUGAGGUUAUUGGGGAAUUUGGAGUGCCAUUCUUGGUAUGGACUGUUGUAAACUGCUCAGUAUCUUGUUUGCACUUCUGAGUUAAUUAUGCUUGAGGGCAAGCAUAGUUCAGGUGUGGGGGAGAUUGAUAGGGUGCAUUUUAGUGGGGUAUUUUGGGCAUUAUUGCACAAUUAAUUGACUAAAUAUUUUCAUUAAUUGGGUGGAUUCUACUGAUAUUUUGUUUUGGUGCUAACUGCAGGAAUUGGUACCAAAAAGAGCUUGAAAUCGAAAUUUAGAAGAUUCGUCGAACGGGAGCCAUUUCAAGUACUGGGGUCCGCUCGAGAAGUUGAAGAAACUUAAUUGUAAUAGAUAUUAUUUUAUUCUAUUUUUGGAGGGAGGCUUGUUAUUUUAUUUUGGGAAAAAAAAGGAAAAACGCAACUGCCUGGAACUUCGGUCGACAACAGAGGCGAGAGUUAGUUUUCUUCGGCUGGCUUAGGUUUUUAGGGAGGCUAUGCGUUUAAAAGGGAGAUUGGCCGCAGCUUUGAAGGGGGAAUGAGCAGAGACAAAGAGCCACCAUUCUUGACUUCUGUACUUUUCUUUCCAUCUUUUGUGGACUUGAAAACUCAAAUUCUAAGUUUGGUUGACCGAAAUUGGAAGAACAAAAGAAGCAAUUGAAACCUUUCUCUCGUAUGUUUGUUUUGUGAGGGACCAAUAUGCGCCACCAUUGUUGACCAUUUUGCACUUACUUUACUCUUUCAUUUUGACCGAAUUAAUGGAGAGAGCAUCAGACAAUUUCUUUGCUUGGUGAGAAACAACUGCAGAUCGAUUCCUCUCGCUCUUUUCUAACUCUCUCGGUUGACCGAUUCCCAACGCAAGAAUUGGCGGCCCUUGUCAACUACGUUCGCAUGGCCUGUUCACUAAUGGGGAACUAAACCUCUAUUUCUAGUCAAGGGAGCAACUGAUGAAUUGGUUCAACUAAUACUGUGAGAUCUAAAUCAUUCUUUAUUAGUUUUCUCAUUUAUUGAUACUUAUAUGUUCCUGGCUUUUAAUCGCUAUAGCCUUGUGUAUGAUUGGUUAGUGCGCAAUAAUUAAUUAUUCAUAUAGGCUAUUUUGCUAAAUAGGGGUAAUUGAAUCCGUAAUUGUUCGUUACCUCUGUGUUAGUAGCAACUGGCGUAAUUGGCUUUAUGUCAGGGGAACAUAUGAUCUAUCUUAAAUAAACCCUCGUAGCGUGUUUGUUAGUUAGGAUUGGGCAUUUCUAAUUAUUAAUGCAAUCUAGAAAUUAAAUCCUAUGGUCGUACCUAGGGUUGUUUUUGGGUUAGAGAAAUAGCUAACGGUCGUACCUUAGCUGUCGAGAAAUUAAGGAAAGGUUGGUUGUUUAUCGCGUGCAUGACAACUAUAACUAAUCUGUUGAUAAAUGUUGGAAUUAUUUCUGCAUCAAUGAUCAGUGCAUGAACCAUUUCUGAAGUGUACCCUUGGCUAGAGCUUCUCUUAAUUAUUUCUUUAAAUUAAUUAUUCUCUGCAGUUACUUUAUUCUUAGCAUUUAAUCGUGAAAACCCCCCAUUUGUCUUGAUUCGAAAAGGAAUAAAUUUCUCUCCAGUCCCUGAGGAGACGACCCUGCUUACCACUGUCUACUAGUUAGUGAAUUCAGUUAAAUAAUUAAUUCAGGUAUAUCGGAUUAAGCAAACUCUUCGGGAACAGGGUGAAUCAAGUAACCCAUUGCACACCUAGGGUCCCUGCUCCAGUACUCGAAUUGAUUAUUGACUGCUUUAGGUGGUAGUUAGGUUUUAUUUAUUAUUAUUGCACAGGUUCGACACCUGUCAAUAUUACCAUAUUUAGUUGAAAUAAUUUUCAUGUCAUAUACAUGUAAACUGAUUACAAUUCCAAUUUGAUGAAUUUUGAACAUGUCAACAACUGCAUCAUCAUCAUUAACAUCACACAUUUUAUCUUCAUUAGGAAUUUCAUGCCUUGUAUGUAUCAGCAUAUUUACAUUUCCUGACAUUUCUCUUGAAGAUUUUUCAAUCACAACAUAUAGCAAAUUAAUGUACAAGUAUUCAUUAGGAUCAACAUUCAGGAUCCUGACUUUGUUUCCCUUGUAGUGCAUAACUAUGUCAUAAGUACCAAUGACCAUCUUACGUUAUUCACAAUAAUUAUUAAUUAUCAACAACUACAUGUUGAAAUUCUGCCAUACGCAUACAAUUUUGCACAACAAACCAAUAAUAAAUGCACAACACAGAUUUGCAAAUCAACAUUAAUCAAAACAAACAACUUAUAUCUCUCACAUGCACUAAAAUUACUUAUAUAUUCUUCUGAUCAAUAAAUAUAUCAAACAACUCUUCUUAUAAAAAUAUAUGACAUACACAAUUGUACCACCUAACAUUGAUAGAAAAGUCAUCAUCUAUCCACAUAUAGAACCAAAAUUUAUACCCAACGAUCAUAGUUUUACAACUAUAUUUUUUAUAGCAUAUCAUCAGAUCAUACAAUACCAUCACUCAUUAAAAUAGAUGAUCAAUUUUUUCAUUCUUUACUAUUUAUAAACUAGUUAAAUCAAUAAUUUUCACAUGCCAGUUUAACUUCUCAUUAUCAACUCACCAAUUUUCAUGAUGUGAGACUUUCUAAUAUUAGAUUGAGACAACAGAAAUUGCUAACCUGUAUUUUGUGCCUUGUUGCAAUUUACAGCAGAAAAAUAUCAAAUGUUGCUUUUUAUACUCAUUUUUUCCUCUUGCAAAAUCAAAAUAAUACCAUCACAACCAUGAAAUUAAGUGCUGUGUUUUCAACCUUUAUUCUCUCUUGCAUUCUUCCUUAAUUUUCUUUCUUGGACAAGAUGCAUUCUUCUUAUUUUGCAAUCCAGUACUGAUUUGAUAUGUUUGUCACUAAUGUCACUCAAUAAAUGGCGCCAAAUUGGUGCCACAAUAUAUGAGCAGUUGGUGUCAUUUGUCUAAUAGCGAUUUGGAGCUUUCUAAUGGUACUUUUGAUCGUUAAUCAUGUCUAGCUAAUUUAAUUGUGCCAUAAGUACUAAUUAUUAUAUAUUAGUCUUUCGAUACUUCAAAAUCUUAUGGAUAUAGCAAUAAAUUCAAUCUCAUAUAAUGUAAAGAGAUGGGCUCAAAAUUCUAUUAAGGGAGGUCAGUGUAAUUUUGAAAUCCUUAGGAGAGGUAAGUAAAAUAGUCAGAAAUUUCAGGGGAGGUUUUUGAAAUAAUCCCUUGUUUAAAGUCAUUAAAUUGAAUUUUUCACUAUUCAUUUUAAUGAAGAGCAGAAUCUCCUAAGUAAACUACAUCUUUUGGGGCUAUUUUACUUGCCAAAUAAGUUUUAAGCGCUACCCAUUCACCUUAAAAGACUCAUUUUUACUAUUUGUUAUCUUUACUGCUCCCUAGAAAAAUAGUCAUAUCUGUUCAAAUAGAUCGGAACACCUAAAUUUUAGUUUGUCUAUAAAAUAAUCUAAGGUGUGAAUUGUACAAUAAAAUCUUUUUUUGACAAAUUUUAGUAAGUGCUACAAUAUUUCAUUAGUGAAGAAGCGAGACCAUUUGAUAUUCAACAAAGAACCUCUAUCUAUAAAUUAAAAACUAAUACUUGUUCAAACAAAGAUUGAGAAAAUCAACUUGGCGAAUAGAGCAUGAAGAGCGGUCAACUCUAAUUUUUCCUACCAAUUUUAAAAUGAAAACAUGACAGUCAACUCUAAUUCGUCCUCUUAAUUCAAAAAACAAAACGUGAAAUUUAAUUCUAAUUUUUUUAGCGUAUCAUUUUCGACUACAUGAAUUUGAAAAAUUUUAAGAAAUGCAAGCAAAGAGGACUGAGCAUCUGUGUAAUCUAGAGAAACUGUCACUGGUGUUGGUUUUAUCUUUUUUCUAUUCUUCCCUUCUCUCGUUAUUUUUCUUGUUUAACUACUCCUUUAACUGCAUAUAUUUCUACCUCCAUUUCUCUUUCGUGUAGUAAAAAAUUACACUACAAAUGGAUUUAGACUUAAUCUUUUUAGUCCAUUCUUCCUGAUAGGCUGAGUGCGUAUCCAAUACAUGUAUCCAAUCCGAUUGAGACCUAACCAUCAACCAUGUCUAGAUACGGAUUGGAAAAACCGGCCUCUCUACAUGAUUAAAUAGAAACGGAUGAUAGUACGUUCCUUCAUUCGCAUAGUUCUUCUGCAAGCAAAAAUCACCGCUCUCGGUAGCUCACAAUGACUUAGUGGAUAACAAAGAAUCAAACAUCCGCUGGAGGCAUAUGCUGUCAUUAGCUCUCAUUUUCUCAUUCCAUCUUAUUUUACCAAUGGUUCUAUGUUACGAGUAAAAACUUAACCUCCUCCAUCUCCUUGAUUAAAAAAAUGUGGUUAGCAGUCACAUCAUCGUGUUCAAUCAUUUUUUAUCCAAGCAUUGAAAACAAGUUAAGACUCCAUGUAUUUUCUUGUCAAUAGCACAUCAUAGGUAUCAUAUAUCUGUUCUCGUUUGGCUGUAAUGUACAAAUCUAUGCUAUGAUUGAUUUUUUCCAUGAUGAUUUGGUAUUUUUUCUUUCCAUCCUCACAUUCCACGUUUGUAUCCAUCAUGCAUAGAAAACACUUUCCUCCAUCCGUUGCAACUUCGACUGUCACAUCAAAAUCGGCCUUAAUUGGAACAUCGAUGAUGGAAUAGAGAAUCUCUCGAUCCACGGAAUAAUCCCUGAAGAAGUUAUGGUGGUGCUAAUCUUCAACGUUAGCCUGUUGAAUCCUAUAAUAGAGGAUAGUUGCAGGUCUAAACAUUAGCAAAGUAGGAGAGUAAAAUAUAGGGACCGAAAACAGUGGAGAUGAGAGAAUUGAACAAAAGGUAUAGGAGGAGAAUGUUAGGUUUAAACAGAGUGUUAGGGUUUGGAAGUCUUAUGUUUAAGGGAAGAGAUGAUUACGCUUUGGAAGGGUAACAUGGGCCAUCAUAGAGAAACCGAAAAUGUGAAGGGAAAAAGAAGGCAUGGAACAAGAGGAGAAAUUUAGGGUUUCGGGGCUUUUUAUGCUCACAUAAUUAUAUUGAGUAACCAUCGUAGUAUCUACAAUUAAACCAUUUGUCCAAUCUCAAAUUGUUUAGAAAGGAUGCCUGUCAUGCUAAAAUUUCACCUUUUCCUUGUAUAUUUUGACAUUCUUAUAGGAAGUCAAACAAAAUUCUUUUAAUUCACUUGAUUCAACCAAUCUCUUUUCACCUGUAUGACGAAAAUCUACAUUAAUAGCCUUUAUAGGCUAAUUUGUAUUAUGUUGAAUCUCAACAGGUAAAUCAUAUGCCUUUCCAUAACUUAGUCAAUAUGGCAACAUUCUCAAUCCUUCGUCGACUUUACUAGUUGCAUAGUUAAUCAAAUCGCCACACCAUCUUAAUUUUCUUCAAAAUUGAAAAAAUUGGCAUCAAUUAAUUCACUAUUAUCCACUAACACCAUAUUAUCAUCUACAUCAAUCUCAUUGCCACUGUCAAGCAUAUGUUUUCGUGAAUUAUCAAAAUCAGAAUCCUCAUAUUCAUCAUCAGAUAUUUCAAGGUUAGUAACCACUUUUUUAAAAGUCUGAUCAAGACCUGAAUUCUGCUAAGUGUUUUGAACAUUUUUGUUAGCAUUGGUAUUACCAUGUUUAGUUGAAAUAAUUUUCAUGUCAUAUACAUGUAAAUUGAUUACAAUUUCAAAUCGAUACAUUUUAAACAUGUCGACUACUGUAUCAUCAUCAUUAAUAUCACACAUUUUAUCUUCAACAAGAAUUUCAUUGUAUGUAUCGGCAUAUUCACAUUUCCUGACAUUUCUCUCAAUGAUUUUUCAAUCACAUCAUAUAGCAAGUUAAUGUACAAGUAUUUAAUAGGAUCAACAUUCGAGAUCCUGACUUUGUUUCCCUUGUAGUGCACAACUAUGUCAUAAGUACCAAUGACCAUCUUACGUUAUUUGAAACAAUUAUUAAUUAUCAAUAAUUACAUUUGAAAAUUCUGCCAUACGCAUACAAUUUUACUCCACAAACCAAUAAUAAAUGCACAACACAUAUUUGCAAAUCAAUAUUAAUCAGAACAAACAACGUAUGUCUCUCAUAUGUAUUAAAAUUACUAAUAUAUUCAUCUAAUUAAUGAGUCUAUCAAAUAACUCCUCUUAUAAACACACACGACAAACAUAAUUGCACUGCCUAACAUUAAUAGAAAAGGUCACCUUCUAUCCACAUAUAGAACCAAAAUUUUUGGCCAACUAUCAUAACUGUACAAUAAUAUUUCCUAUGACAUGUCAUCAGAUCAUACAAUACCAUCACUCAUUAAAAUAGAUGAUCAUUUUUUUCACUCUUUGCUGUUCAUAAGCUAGGUAUGUCAAUAGUUUUUACAUGUUGAUUUAACUUGUCAUCAUCAACUCACAAAAUUUCAGGAUGUGAAAUUUAUGUUGACUUUCUAAUAUUAUAUUGAAACAACAAAAAUUGCUAACAUGUGUUCUGUGCCUUGUUGCAAUUUAUAGUAGAUAAAUAUCAUAUGUUGUUUUUUACUCCUUUUUUCUUGCAAAGUUAAAAUAAAUAUCAUCGCAACCACGAAAUCAGGUGCUGUAUUUUUCAACUAUCAUUAUCUCUUACAUUCUUUCUUAAUUUUCUUUCUUGGAUGCCCUCUUCUUAUUUUAUAAUUUAGUACUGAUUCGACAUGUUUGUCCCUAAUAUCACUCAAUAAAUGGCACCAAAUUGGUGUAGAAUUGGUGCCACAAUAUAUAAACGGUUGGUGCCAUUUGUCUAAUAUCUCUUAAGAGCUUUAUAAUGGUACUUUUGAUUGUUAAUCAGGUCUAACUAAUUUUAUUGUAUCAUAAGUACUAAUUGUUAUAUAUUAGUCUUUGCAUAUUUCAAAAUCUUAUGGGUAUAGCAAUAAAUUCAUCUCAUGUGAUGUAAAUGUGAGGACCCGAAAAUUUUCUUAUUUUUAUCGAAUAUUAUUGGUUUAUUCAAAUAUCUAUUCACCCGUUUUCUCCAAAUAAUUUAUUUCAACCAUUUUAAAUCCAUUCGUAUGGAACAAUGUCUUCCUUGUGUUUUAAACGUCCCGUUAGCAAAUUUAAUUUUUCGAAGGUUCAUUUAAGUGAGGAAUAAUGAGUACAUGUGUUUUGACGUGAUAUUCUAUCCGAGAGUGCAAUUAUCUUGGAAAAUUAAGAAUGAUUAAUAGUAGAUUAAGAAAAGUUAAUUGAGGAAUUAAAGGUGAAUGAGUUCUAAUUAAGCGCAUACCGCUCGCGCGUCGAUAGUUUUUCGAAAGACGCGCUGAUACAAAUUAAUUAGAGAUUUGACGAAGUAAUACUAAACUCAUGUGAGGACUCAUGUUUUUGUUACUAAAAUAGGUAAAUUUUAUGUCUAAUUACCCUAGUAUUAGUUAGUUAUAUCAUCAUUAUAAGAAUUUCUUAGAAAUUUCGCUUUAUCGCGCACAAGUUGGAAAUUCGCGUUUUCGCUCGCUUGACUAAUUGGAGGAUUUUAGAAAUUAUUGUUAGACUAUUAAGAAUGAAUAAUAAUGGUGAUAAAGGGAGUGCAUUAGAGGUUUAGUGCACAAGUGAAAUAAACCCGAGAGGAACCGGGCACGAAACGCGCGCGUACGCGCUAGGAAGAAUUGACUUUUGUGCACUUAAAGUCACCACCUACCAAGCUUCUCCAAGAAGCUUUCUAUAUCAGAUUUCAUCUCUCUCUUUUCUCUCUCAAAGCUGCCGGCCACCCCAAGGAGAAGAAGAAGGAAACUUUCAUCAUCUCACUUCAAUUUCUUCCAUCAAAUUCACUUCAAAUUCACCGUACAAACUCAAAACAACUUGGAGCUUCACUUGGACUAGGAAGAGACCAUCAUUUCCACGAUUUUCUUGGAGCUUUUAGUGGCCAAAAUUUCUGAGUUUCUUCACUCAAGAGGUAGUGAAUCAUCCAACCUUUGAAUCUUAGUUUUAGUGAGUUAAAUUGCACUUAGAAGCUUGUAGCUUCAUGUGGGUGGCUUUGGUUCGUUGAAAAUCACUCGAGUGGGCUCUAUGAAAUCCCACAAUGGACAUGUUGGACUGAUAUGAUGAUUUUGGAUGUUGUUUAUGUUGAUUAAGUGUUAAAUAAGUGGUUAUAAGUUGAAAAAGUGGAAAGAAAAUCAAAAGAAAGUUGAAAGCUAAGAAGUGCCGAAUCUGCCCUGUCCUUGCCGCAACCUUAGUUCUAUUUUUUAGUGAUAAAAUUGCCUUUAUUUUGAUGUAGAUAUGUUGUAUAGGUUGUGUGAAAAUUUUUCACAAAAAUCACUUGAUUUGGUUGGGUAAAAAUUGCAUUUUCAAAAAUCCUUCAAAGCUGGAAAACGGGUAACAGGGGUUACCUGGCAGCGAAAUUUAAACGAUCAUAACUCUUUGCUCCGACGUCAAAAUCGAGUGCCGUUCAUGGAAUUUAAAACUAGAUACUUCCAGUUUUCUAACGGUAUAAAGUACAUCCCCAAAUUCGAACUGAGUGAGCCGUACUAGUUCUUCAAAUUUACCUGUUUUGUUUUAUUGUUGUGCUUGAGAGUUAGUGAUGAGCUGAAGAUUGUUGCUUGAAUUUGAGCUAGCUAUGGACUGAAUCUUAAAACAUUUUCUUCUGAGAAAUUGUAACCCUAUGAAUUUAGUUUCCAACACCACCAGCCAUGCCCAAUUUCAAGUUAAAUUGACCGCGUUAUGGCCAAAUUACAGACCUACAUCAGAGAAAGAAAACCCUAAUUUUGGGCUACCCAAUGGCUUAGCUCGAAUUGGGACUUGUUAUUUUGAAAAUUUUGGUGUAAAUCACCUACCAAAUAUAUUUUGGAUGUUUCUUAGACCUUUGUUUUAUAAAUGAACCAGAUUUGAAUUGAUUUCAUUGGCCAAAUGUUCGGAAAGGAAAACGGAAACUUGAAGACAGAUCUGUCUUCGGUUUUCCUUAAAACUUUGGUAGCUUAGUUAACUACCUUCCCUUGUGAAUUUUUAAGUGAAAUUUGGUAUAGGAAUAGUCAUUAUAUGGUAGUAUAAUCAUACCAAAUUUGGUGCCAUUCCAAGUCCAUUUAGAUGCCCAACUGAAAUCCCAAAGUUUAUGUUUCAAAUCUGGAAAUCCUUGUUCCGUGAGAAAAUUUCAGCAACUUUGACCUGCUAUAUCCUGGCACUCAAAACUCCGAUUCUUGUUCCAUUUGUGGUGUUUUAAACUUUGAUUUUAACUCUAAUUGAGUUUCAAAUUUUAGAGGCUACUUCAUAUUCUGUAAAGUUUGCCGAAUUUUCAAAGUUUACCAAAACCAACCUUGAAUCUGUCUUAGAAGUGCAAGUCAGUAGUUUUAAGCCGAAAUUUAAGUGUCUUCCAUUUUGAAUCAUGGAAAAGUGCCUUCUAGGAACUUUUAGUACUUCAGAACUAGUUUCCAACGAUAUCAAGUUUUCCAAUUUUGGACCUACGGAGUGUGAGAUAUGAUUUUUCAAAGAUUACACCUCAAAUCUGGAAUUUCUGAACUUAAAGGAAAUUGGAUUUUUAGAACUCUCCAUUUUCCUUCGAUAUUUCUUGAUCGUGUUACACUUGAUUUCAAAGAUGAAAAUCAGAUUUUUGUUGUAUAUUUAAAUCCCACUUUUGAGCUUCGAUUUACGAGAAAUUAAGGCUCAUUUUCAUGAUAUUUUCUUAGAUUGUACAAGUGUACAAUCGUCCUUGAUAAUUAGGAUUUUUAAGUGAUAGUUAAUUAUUGUUUGCUCAGGCACUCAAGAUUUUUAAGUGAUAGUUAAUUAUCGUUUGUUCAGGCACUCAAGAAGACCUUCAAGAGGAUCUCACUGUGGACGCCUAAACCCUUGAAUUGCGCACUACUUCCUAUAUUAUUUGGUGAGUGUCAAGUGUAUGUGAAUUUGUUACGUGCUUAAUUGUUAUUAGUGAUUGGAGAUUUUGAAAAUGUUGAGUCGAGUGUGUACUUUACCGCACUCGUUCUCACUUGAAUGAAUAAUGAUUGAAAUGAAAUGAAUGAAUCAUGAUUGAAUUGAUUGAAAUAAAGUGAAUGGAUUGAAAUAUAUUGAAUGGAUUGAAUGAAAUGAAUGGUAUGCUAUGGCUGCAUACGUCGUUGGAGUAAAGCUCCUCGACUCAUAAAUGUUAAAUGGAGGACCCCCAAACUCAUAAGCCGACCCUGGGACUGGAGCCGGUAUGGGAUUGGUCGGGAACCUCGGUGACCCAUGGGAAAAAAAUGAUAAGCUUUAUCUAUUGGAAAGAUCUUGCUUGGCCUACUCGUGCAGUAGCGCCUUUAUCGAAGUUCGGACCCGGUGGGGGGGGGUUGUAAGGUGGAAGGAAUUGUGAAGUGAAGUGGAGUUCUACAGACUUAAAAUACCGACUCAGGUGACGGAGUGUCAUUGUGGGAAGGUAUUUAAUCGAUGUUGGCAAAGCAAGUGGAAAUUAGCUCCUGAGAGCUACCAUAUCCUUGAAUUGUUUCUGUUUAAAUUUCAUUUGAAUUGUUAAUUACUCGAAUAUUAUUGUUUUACUUGUCAAAUGGAAUUGUUACUUGGACAACAUGCUUGCAUGUGUGUUUCUUGGUCUCACGAGCAAUCGCUCACUUCGUAGAUUUAUUUUCCUUAACAGGAACGGACAUGGAGUGAAACUCGAAAAAACCCUUGGAAUGUACUUUUGUGUUAGGGUUUCAAAUGUAAUCGACUAAACACCUUUUGGCAGUUGUAUAUUUUGGAAAAUUGAUGUAUUUUGAACUUGUGGUGUAAGAUCGAAUAUUAUUUAUGGAAGCAUCUGCACUUCUUCUUUUGUCUUGUCAUGAUAGCUAUUAUUGUAUUAAGUUUGAACGGGAAUUGUACCGAGUCCUGAUGAGAGCUGGGUAGGCGUCUCGCGGAUACCCUUUGGUUCACUUUAGGGAGAAGUGAGGGUGUCACAGUAAAGAACUGGGGUCAAAAUUCUACUAGGGGAGGCCAGUGUAAUUCUGAAAUCCAUAGGAGAUUCAGAAAUCUCAUGGGAGGUUUUUCAAAUUAUCAUAUUGUUGAAAUACGUUAAAUUGGACUUUUCACUAUUCAUCUUAAUGAGGAGAAGAAUCUCCUAACUAAACUACCUCUUUUGAGACUAUUUCACUUGUUAAGUAAGUCUUUAAACGCUGUCCAUUCACCUUAAAAGACUCAUUUUUAUCAUUUGUUAUCUUUACCAUUCCGUAAAAAAAUAGUCUUGUCAGAUCAAAUGGAUCAGAACACUUAGAUUUUAGUUCCCUGGAAAAUAAUCUGAGGCGUGAAUUGCACAAUAAAUCCUUUUUUACCAAAUUUUGGCAUGUACUAUUAUAUUUUAAUAGUGAGAAGCGAGACCAUUUGAUGUUCAACGAAGAAUCUCUAUCCAUAAAAUAAAAACUAAUACUCGCUCAAACAAAGAUUGAAAAAAUUAACUUGACAAAUAAAAUAUGAAGAGCAGUUUGCUCUAAUUCUUCCUUCUAAUUCUAAAAUCAAAACAUGGCAGUCAAUUCUAAUUCUUCCUCCUAAUUCUAAAAUCAAAACAUCACACAAGACCAUUGUUAAAAUAACGUAUAAGAGACAACAGAGGUCUCAUAUCCUCAAGUGCAACUCUUUCAUAGAUGGUCAACUGAUAAUCAUCACCUAUUUGACUUGCCAAUUCAAAACUCAGUUCUCUCAUAGAUAGUAAAUUGGCUGUCGGAUUGUUGAUUGCAUCCAGAUAUCUUUUAAACAUAUCCUCCUCGACAACAUGAACUUGAAAAUGUCUAAAAAAUGCAAGCCAUGAGAACCGAGCAUCUGUGUAAUUUAGAAGAAUCAUCACUGGCGUUGGUCUUAUCUUUUUCUAUUCUUUCCUCCAUUCGUUAUCUUCUUGUUUAACUCCUCCAUUAGCUGCAUAUAUUUCUACUUUCACUUCUCUUUCGGAUAGUCAAAAAUUACAUCACAAAUGAAUUUAGAUUUAAUUUUCUUAGUCCAUUCUUCCUGAUAGACUGAGUAAGUAUCCAACACACGUAUCCGAUCCGAUUGAGGCCUACCAUCAAUUGCGUGUAGAUACGGGUUGGAAAAGCCCGCCUCUCUGAAUGAUUGAUUAGGAAUGGAUGAUAGUACGUUCCUUCUUUCGUAUAGUUCUUUUGCAAACAAAAACCAUCGCUCUCGACAACUAACAAUGAUUUAGUGGGUAACAAAUAAUCAAACGUCCGCUGGAGGCAUAUGCUAUCAUUAGCUCUCACUGUCUCAUUCCAUCUUGUUCUACCUAUGGUUCUGUGAUACUAUUUUAUGAGCAAAAGCCUAACCUCCUCAUUCUCCUUGAUUAAAAAAAUGUGUUUAGCAGUCAUAUCAUCGUGUUUAAUCUUUUUUUAUCCAGAUAUUGAAAAUAAGUUAAGACUCAGUGUAUUUUCUCCACAAUCCGGGCAAUAGCAAAUCAUAGGCAUCAUAUAUCUGCCCUUGUUUGGCUGCAAUGUAUGAAUCUAGGCUAUGAUUGAUUCACUCCAUGAUGAUUCUGUAUUUUUUCUUCCCAUCCUCUCAUUCCACGGCUGUAUCCAGCAUGCGCAGAAAACACUUUCCUUCUUUCAUUGCAAGUUCGAUUAGCACAUCAAAAUCAGUAUUAACUGGAACAUCAAUGAUGUAACAGAGAAUCUCUCGAUCGACGGAAUCGCCCCUGAAGAAGCCAUGGUGGAGCUACUCUUCAACGCCAGUCUGCUGAAUCCUACAAUAGAUGCUGGCUACAGGUCUAAACAUUAGCAAAGUAGGAGAGUAAAUGAGAAGAACCGAAAACAGUGGAAAUGAGAGAAUUGGACAGAAGAUGCAAGAGGAGAAUAUCAGAUUUAAGGAGAGUGUUAGGUUUAAGGGAGGAAAUGAUUACGCUUUGGACGAGUGACAUGGGCCAUCAUAGAGAAACUGGAAAUGUGGAAGGAAAAAGACGGCAUGGAACAAGAGGAGAAAUUUAGGAUUUCAGGGUUUUUUAUGCUCACAUAAUUAUAUUGAGUAACCAUAAUAGUAUUUACAAUAAAACUUUUUGCCCAAUCUCAAAUUGUUUAGGAAGGAUGCCUGUCAUGCUAAAAUUUCACCCUUUCCUUAUAUAUUUUGACAUUCUUAUACUAAAUCAAACGAAGUUCGUCCAAUGCACUCAAUUCAAGCAAUCUCUUCUCACCAACUAGACUGUUUAUCUCAGUCCGUAACUUUUAAUGAUUACAAAAUAAAUAGAUGUUACUGAUACUCUCUGAUUAGACCUUUUCAGAAUUGGAGCAAAACAGGUUCAAAGGCUAACAUAUGCUAAAAUAGCUGUCGAACGCACAAAAAAAAUGCAUCGACCGUCCGACAACCAAUGAGUAACUUCGGACGCACAAAGAACUCACCCUCGGACGUCCGAAGCUGAUAAACCAAGUCCUCUAAGCUUACUGAUCUCGAUCGGACGAACAACACCUGAGCAUCGGACGUCCGACACAUGUUGCGACACUUCGGACGCCAAGCAUUGGAGGUACCGGACGUCCAAAGGAAUUAAAGAAGAAUUUUCAGUUUUACAUCAUACGUUCAGACGCAUAUUUUGGAGGUACCGGACAUCCUAAAUAUUUCAAAAAAACUUCUUGAACUCACUGCCUGCAUUCGGACGCAGAAAACUAGCCUACCGGACGUCCGACACCACUAAAGGCUAGUUUACUCUUCAACUGCCUUCUAUCCGUUAGUAGCAUUGAUUGAAGAACUUUUUGGUCUCUUAUAAGUAGAACAAAGUCAACCACUUCAAACAGACUUUGAACAUUGAGACUAAAUCAGAUCUUGAGUGAUUCAAGCGUGAGAAUACUCUUUAAAAAAGAUUUGUACUCUUAGUUAUGUAACUUUUUCGAUAAACUUUUCAGGUGUGCUUCAAUUUUUUCAAUAGUGUAGCUUUGUAAGGGUUAUUCGAGCGAUAGUAAAACUUCCUUACUUGACCAAGUGUGGCUUGGGGUGAGGAGAAAGUGAUCCUUCCUUUGUUCACAAGAGAUUGGUUGUAAGUUGAUCAACUUGAAAAAACUUGCUAUAUAAAGUGUUUUUCAAGUUCAAGUGGAGUUUGAAACUUGGUUUGCUACUCUAUCCUUUCACUUACUGUCUUGCUGUGACGCCCCCACUUCUCCCUAAGGCGAACCAGAGGGUAUCCGCGGGACGCCUGCCCAACUCUCACCAGGACUCAAACAAUUUCUGUUCAAGCUUAAUGUAAAACUAUUCAACAAUACUAGAUAAGUAAGAAAGUGCGGAAAACUUUCAAACUUAACAAUAUAUAUAUAACGCUUAUCCAAUCAUUACAUUAAAUUCUCAAAAAUUACAUCAAUACCCAAAAUAUAUAACAUCUAGGUACAUCAAAUAUCCAAAUCAUACAUUAAAUUCCCAAUAGUACAACCAAUAAGAGGUCUAGCCCAAAAUAUAUUAGAAACCCUAAGCCAAAAAUGCAUCAAAAGAGUUCCUCCAAGCAUCAUUCCAAGCCCAAUCCUGCUAAGGAAUCCAAAUCUACAGGGUGAGCAAAACGCUCGUGAGGCCAAGGACACACAUGCAAGCACAUAGUCCAAGUAACAAGCCCAAUUAACAAGUCACAUAAUAAAAUACAAGUAAUUGUCAAUUCCAAUGAAAUGUAAACAGAAACAAUUCAAGGAUAUGGUAGCUCUCAGGAGUUAAGUUCCACUUGCUUUGCUAGGGUCAUUCGUAUACCUUCCCGCGAUGACUCUCCGUCAACCGGGUCGGUAUUUUGAAUUCGUAGAUCUCCACUUACUUCUCAUAUCCGUCCACCAUACAUACCACAACCGGGCCCGCACGUUAUUUAUGAGGCGAUACUCAACGAGUAUGCCAAGCAAGAUCUCUCCAACAGAUCAAGCUUAUCAUGUGAUUCUCAUGGCUCACCGCGAUUCCCGACCAAACCCAUGUCGGCUUGAGUUUCAAGGUCGGCUUAUGAGUUUGGGUGUCCCCCUUGUGUAUUUGAGUGUCGAGGAGAUUUAUUCCAACGACGUAUGCAGUCAUAGCAUACUAUUUCAGGUCAAGUAAGCAUUUGAUGUAUUCAAGCAUUCAGGUCAUGUCCAGCAGGUCAUUUAUUUCAUGUCAAGCAAGUUAAUCAUGAGUUAUUUAUUUCAAAUGAGAACGAGUGCGAUAAAGUACACACUCGACUCCAUUUUCAAAAUCUCAAGUCCACAGGAAUUCAAGUAGUCAUGCACUUGACACUCACCAAGUCAACCAAAGAGAAUUGUUACUUGAAAUUCAAACGUCUACCGUAGGAUCCUCUUGAAGGUUCUCGUGCGAGCCUGAAUAUUUAAUAGUGAACAAUCACUUAUAAACCCCAAUUAUCAAGAAAGAAUGCACGCUUGUACAAUUCUAGAAAAUUUCACUAAAAUGAGCCUAAAUUACUUGCGAAUUAAGGUUCAAAAGUGGGGUUUUAAAGCAUAAGAGAAAUCGAUUUCUCAUCUUUGAAAUCAAGUAUAAAACGGUCAAGUAAUAUCAAAAGAAUAAGGAUAAUUCAAAAAACUCCAUUUCCUUAAGAUUCGAAAAUUUCAGUUUUGAUACGAGAUCUUUGAAAAAUCGUAUCUCACUCUUUACAAGUCCAAAAUUGGAAAACAUGGUACUGUUGGAAACCUCUUAUGAAGUACUAAAAGUUCCUAGAAAACACCUUUCCAGGAUUCUAAAUGGAAGGUAUCCGAAAAUUAGCUCAAAGUUGCUGUUUUGGGGCAUUGAAGACAGGUUUAAGUUGGUUUUUGGCCAACUUUGAAAAUUUGGUAAAAUUCACUUGAUUUGAACUAACCUCUAGAAUUUGGAACUCUAUUAGGGUUGCAAUCCAAGUUUAAAAAAAAAAUAAACGAAAUGAGAAUCGGAGUUUUGAGCACCAAGAUACAAUAGCUCAAAGUUGGUGAAAAAUCGAACUGUUAAGCCAAUUUUCCAGAUUUAAGUUCCAAACUUUGGGACUUUAGUUAGGUAUCGAAACGGACUCGGAACAGUGUCAAAUUUGGUAAGAAUAUACUACCGUAUAAGGGACACUCUUUUGCCAAAUUUCAUAGAAAAAUAUGUUCGAAAAUCGGUUAACAAGACCGUUGAAAUCACAAGAAAUUCUAAGGCUAAGCUGCCUUUGAACUUCCGUUUUACCGUUUCCAAGCAUUUGAUCAAGAAACAUCUCAAACCUGGUCCAUUCUAGUAGGUAAUGUCUAAAAUAUGUCCAAGGUACAUUUGAUAGGUGAUGUACACUAAGAAGCUUCGGAUAACAAGUUCCAAAUCAUUGUUAGUUUCAAAUAUGUCCAAAUGCAUGGUAUUUCUUCACAAUACUAGAUUCGAAUUUUGGUCAUAAAUCACUCAAUUCAACCCGGAAUUGAGCAUGGUUGGUGGCGUUGGAAAACACAUUCAUAGAGCUACAAUUUCUUAGAAGAAAUCAUUUUUAAAAUCUGUCCACAACUAGCCCACAUUUAAGCAUCAAGUUGUAGUUCAUGUUCUGCCUUGUAGUGAACCAACGAAACAGUGCAGCCAAGUUCAAACGGUUGGUGUGGUUCACUCAGGUGGAAUCAGAAUGUGCAUUUUAUACCGUUGGAAAGCUGGGAAUGUCUAGUAUCAGUGCCACAAACAGAACUCGAUUUCAACAUUGGGACAAAGAGUUAUAGUCUAAACAAAAUCACUGCCAGAGUAAUACGGGACACAAUUCCAGUUUUGGCAAAUUUUCUAAAUCUCAACAUGCACUUACCCAAAUCACGUAAAAUUUUGAGAAAACUUUAUACACAACCUAUAUUACACAUUUUCAUCAGAAACAAGUCAAUUGGACUUCAAGAAAGUACACUAAAAUGCACGAAAAUGGCAAGGCAGAAUCGGCACCUUCACAUGCAACCCCUCAUUUGACUUCCUUUUCACUUUUAUCACUUAACUCUACUAAACUAACACUUAAUCAACACAAUUAACAUCCAAUCUUAUCAAAUUAGAUCAUCAAAGUCAUUUUGGGAUUUCAUAGAGCCCACUCACGAAUUUUCUAACAAUUUAAAGCUGCCCAUGAGAAUCCAAGAGCUCAUGAGUGUAAUCUAUCUUUCAUAAAUCAAGAAUUAAGUGGUUGAUCAUUACUUACUUUCUUAGAGAGCCAAGACAGAAAUUUCAGUCACUUUGAGUUGGAGAAAAACUGUGAGAGGCAGCUCCUUUCCUAGUUUAUCUUGAUCACCAAUUGAUUUGAGUGUUGUGUGUAAAAUUUGAAGGUAAUUUGAGCAAGGAAUUGAGGAGAAAGAGUGGAGGAAUUUUCUGGUCUUGUUCUUCCUUUGUUGCUCGGCUGUUUGAGUGUAUGUGAGGAAGGAAAUUCCGAUGUUAUUAGAUUUUAAGGUAGGCUAAAAACUUGUGGCUCAAAUUUUCUCAAAGUUGUACACUAAAAUAAUGCACGUGCGCGUGCGUUUCGUGCUCGAUUCCUCUCGAGUUUAUUGCACUAGUGCACUAAAUCUCUAAUGCACUUACAUUCAUAUUAUUAUUAUUCACUCUUAAUAGUCCCAAAAUAAUGGUCUAAGGCUCCUCAAUUACUCGCGCGCGUAAAAACGCUUAUUUCCAAUUUAAGCGCGAGAUAGAGAAAUUUCUAAGAAGUUCUUAUAACGAUAAUAUAACUAACUAACCUUUGAACACUUAUAUAUAAAAAUACCUAUUUUAGGACUAAUGUAAAAGUCUCCAAUUUUUCAAACUUAUUGUAUUCUCGAAUCGAUUAUUUACUCCAAUCGCGUAUUAACUAUUUUCACUUAACGAGCCUUUAGAAAUUAAAUUUUAAAACGAGUCACUUUAAAAAUAUAACUAAGCUAUAGAUCCAUCUAAUUAGAUCUAAAAAGAUUAGAAAAUAAUAAUCGGAGCAUUUGGCCAAAUAAAUAAUUAAAUAAGUUAGAAUUUUGAGUUUAAAAUAGAUAUAUUUUUUUUGUGAGUCUUUACAUCCUCUCCCCCUUAAGAAAAUUUCAUCCUUGAAAUUUACCUUGAUCUGCGAACAAGCUUGGAUACUUUCCUCGGAUUGCCUCUUCAACUUCCCAGAUCGCUUCCUCUAGUUCGUGGUUUCUCUAGAGAACCUUUAUUAAAGGUAUCUGCUUAUUUCUCAAUUAUUUUACCUUUCUAUCCAGAAGUUUCACCAGUCUCUCCUCAUAGGUCAAAGUCUUAUCAAUCUCAAUACUUUCCGGUUGCAAAAUAUGAGAAGGGUCUGGAUGAUACUUCUUAAGCAUGGACACAUGGAAAACAUUAUGAAUCCGAGACAGACUCGGUGGCUAUUCCAACUUAUAGGUUACAUUUCCUACACGUUGGAUAACCUUGUAAGGUCCUACAAAUCUUGGUUGUAACUUCUUUCCCUUCCCAGACAUUAAACUUGCUUUUAGAGGUGUAAUCUUGAGAAAUACUAGAUCUCCAACUUCAAAUUCCAAAUCCUUUCUCCGAUUAUCUGUAUAACUCUUCUGACGACUUUGUGCAGUUUGGAUUCUCUGACGUACUAACUUUACUUUCUCAUUAGCUUCCUCAAUUCAGGGCACUGUAGUCGGGUCUAAAAUCUUUCGUUCACCUAUUUCGUCCCAACAAAUCGGUGAUCUACACUUUCGACCAUAAAGUGCUUCAUAUGGAGCCAUUUGAAUAGAAGAGUGGAAGCUAUUGUUAUAGGAAAAUUCCACUAGUGUUAAAAAUUUACUCCAACUCUCCCCAAAAUCCAAAACACAAGUGCUCAACAUAUUCUCAAGUGUUUAAAUCGUCUGCUCGGACUGUCCAUCGGUUUGGGGAUGGUAAGUAGUAUUGAAAUUCAAUUUAGUCCCCAACACCUCUUGCAUCUUUUGCCAGAAUCUCGAAACAAAUCUUGGAUGUCUAUCAGAUACAAUACUUACCGGUAUUCCAUGUAACCUGAUAAUCUCAUCCAUGUACAGCUUAGCUAACUUCUCCAAUGGGUAUUUCAUAUUAAUCGGCAGAAAAUGAGCCAAUUUGGUCAAUCUAUCCACUAUUACCCAAAUGGCAUCAUGGCCUCUUUGUGUCCUCGGUAAUCCUGAUACAAAAUCUAUAGUGAUGUUCUCCCAUUUCCACUCAGGUAUUUCCAAAGGUUGCAAAAGUCCUGAUGGUUUCUGAUGUUCGACUUUAACCUAUUAACAAAUUAAACAGGUUUGGACAAAUUGGGCAAUUUUCUUUUUCAUGCUCUCCCACCAGUACAAACUCUUCAAAUCUUGGUACAUUUUAUUCCCUCCAAGAUGUACAGUAAAUUUAGAUCGGUGUGCCUCUUCUAAAAUUUCCUUCUUAAGCCCUUCAUCCUUUGACACUACUAUCCAAUUCUGAAACUUCAAAAUACCAUUUGAUCCCAAAUUAAAAUCCAAUUUUUCUCCCUUUUUGACACUUUCCACCCACUUUUGCACUACAAGGUCUUUUUCCUGAGACUCUUUAAUACGUCCCAUCAAAAUGGAAUUCACUACAAUGUUCUCAAGGAUUAUUUUUCUCGGCUCCAAUCGAGAAUUCCAAGAACUAAUUUUUUCUAACAAGUGAAGCUCCUUAAUCAUCAAUCCGACCACUUGUACUUGACGACUUAGAGCAUCAGCCACUACAUUGGCUUUUUCUGGAUGAUACUUUAUCGUGCAAUCAUAAUCUUUUAGAAAUUCCAUCCAUCUACGUUGCCUUAAAUUCAGCUCCUUCUGAGAAAAUAAGUACUUAAGGCUUUUGUGGUCAGUGAAAACAUUGAACGUCACCCCGUACAAGUGAUGCCUUCAAAUUUUUAAAGCAAAUACCACAGCCGCUAACUCCAAGUCAUGGGUCGGGUAAUUUCCUUCAUGCGGUUUCAAUUUUCUAGAGGUAUAGGCUAUCACUUUGUCAUUUUGCAUUAAAACACAGCCUAAUCCUUCCUUGGAAGCAUCUGUGUAGACCACAAAGCUAUCUUUUCCAUUCGGUAGGGCUAACACUGGCGCCUCAGUCAAACGUCUUUUUAACUCUUGAAAACUUUCUUCACACUUAGGACUCCAUAUAAACUUUUUAUUUUUCUUGGUUAACUCGGUCAUGGGUCCAGUAAUUCUAAAAAAAUCUUGAAUAAAUCUCCGGUAAUACCCGGCUAAUCCAAUAAAGCUUCGGACCUCAGUAGGGUUUUCCGGUCGUUUCCAUUUUGAAACAGUUUCAACUUUGGCCGGGUCUACUUUAAUCCCUUCCUUAAAAUUAUGUGUCCCAAGAAAGUCACUUCUUUUAAUCAAAACUCAUACUUGAUAAACUUAGCAUACAAUUGGUGUUCACUUAGAGUUUGCAAAACAAUCCUCAAGUGCUUCUCAUGAUCCUCCAUAUUCUUAGAAUACACCAAAAUAUCGUCAAUAAAAACCACGACAAAUUGGUCCAAGUAAGGUAAAAACCCUAUGCAUUAAAUCCAUGAAAACAACAGGUGCAUUUGUUAAUCCAAACGGCAUUACGGCAAACUCAAAGUGCCCGUAUCUCGAGUUAAAAGCAGUCUUGGGUAUAUCCUUCUCCAAAAUCUUCAGUUGAUAGUAACCCUGUCUCAAAUUCAACUUCGAGAACACUACCGCCCCUUGCAAUUGGUCGAACAACUCAUCAAUGUGGGGCAGUGGGUACUUAUUCUUAACUGUAACAUCAUUUAAGUCUCGGUAAUCUAUACACAGUCUCAAACUCCUAUCCUUCUUCUUAACAAAUAAAACCGGGGCUCCCCACGGUGAAUCACUUCCCCUUAUAAAAUCCCGUUCCAACAAAUCCUGUAGUUGUAAUUUUAAUUCUUUCAAUUCGGUUGGAGCCAUUCGAUAUGGCGUCUUAGAAAUAGGUGUUACUCCCGAGGUCACAUCAAUCUUAAAAGUUAUAUCCCGUUCUGGAGGCAAAAACUCUAAUUUUUCAGGAAAAAUAUCUAGAAAAUCUUUCACUACAGGCAUGUCCUACAAAUUCACCUUAUCACUAGGGGUGUUAAUAACGAAGGUCAAAUAUCCUUGAGUUCCUUUACUUAACAAUCUUCUAACCCGAAUUCCUGAAAUAAGUGCAGACGAAACCAACUUACCCCUCACAUCCAGUUUCAGGGUUGCCUCCCCUGGAAUACACAAUUCUACAAUGUUUGUCCUACAAUUCAACUGGGCAUUAUAACGGGUUAGCCAAUCCAUCUCUAAAAUCACAUCAUACCCCUUAAUUGCUAAGUCUAUCAAAUCGGCCAAUAAUUUUCGUUCCCCAACACAGAUUUCACAAUCCCUAUACACCAAGUUAGCAAUUAAACUUUUGUCUCCAGUAGGUGUUCUAACCUCCAAGUCAUAUGGUAACUUAAUUGGCUUCAAGUCUAUCACACUCAUAAAGUUAGGGUUUACAAAAGAAUGUGUUGCACCCGGAUCAAUUAAAACCCCAGCUAAACGUUGAAAAAUUGGAAUUGUACCUUCAACCAUCUUAGUCGCCUCAGGGACCUGUUGAUAGUCCAGUGCAUAGACCCUAGCCGAUACUUUCGGUCUACUUCCUCCAGCACUGGUCUGUUUAGAGGUUGACUUUUCUGGCCUCUGAGUGUUACCUCCCAUCUUCGUUUUACUUGGACAGUUCACGAGUUGGUGCUCCGUGCUACCACAAGCCAAAAACUUCCUAGACUUCCUCCAGCAUUCAUUCUCAGAGUGGUUAGAUUUUUCACAGUAUUCACAAGUGACUUGAGGGGUCAUGGCUAAACCACUAGAAGGCGCUCCCCUAUUCUGAACCGGUCCACUACGACCUCCUCUGGAUAAAGCUUCCCUAGGAGGUCCAGUAGUCCUUAAUCCUCUCAUUCCUUUUCCAAUUUUAGAAGGCUGUGAACUCUUACUAGUCUGUCUAGAAGUACGACUAGAAAAGUUCCUCUUCAUAUUGUGAAAGUUUUUAACUUGCAUUCUUGCACUUUCUACCCGUUGCGCUUUCUCUAAAGCCUCAGUAAAUGUGGAGCUUUGAGCUGCAGCUAAGCCCUCCUGGAUUUUUACAUUAAGUCCCUGCACAAACCGCCUUAUCCUUUUCCGCUCAUUGGUUACCAAUUCAGGGGCAUAUUUAGAAAGUUUAGUAAAUUUUCCUUCGUAUUCAGCUACACUAAGGGUCCCUUGUUUCAACUUGAUAAAUUCAUCCUCCCUCUUUUCUUGAAUCAGAGGUGGAAGAAAUUUUUCAUUAAACUCCCUCGUGAAAUUCUCCCAAGUCCAAGGGGUUUGAACUCUCUCCCAUUUUCCUUUUAUCAUGUCCCACCAAGCACGAACCACUCCCUCAAAUUGGAAAGCAGCAAAAUUCACUUGCCUAUUCUCAGCAUAGUCUAAGACGGCGAAUAUAUUGGUCAUUCUUUCCAACCAAUUCUCCGCUACCUUAGGAUCGGGUUCACCAACGAAUUUAGGCGGAUUAAACUUCAAAAAUCUUUCUAAGGCUCGGUCCUCUCCUCUUUCUCGUCCCCCAAGUUAGUUAAGUGAUCCAGGACCUUGCCUAUCAGCUAAGCGUUCUAGGAUGUCAGUCAUCCUAUUGAUGGCAGUAGCCACUUGAUUUUCCUCUAUAUUUUUCUGUCCCUGGGUCAGUCCAGUUGCCGAUCCCUGGUCAUCUCCAUGAGAUUGGGUCUGUCAAAUCCCUCGCCCACGGUCUCGAGCACGGUCUCGACCACUUCUUUGUCCGUCCAUUAUCCUAUAUGUGCCUAGUGCAAGAAAUAAAUCAAUUUCGAGAGAAAAUGCUUAAAACAAGAAUCAAUCACGAAAGCAUUGAAAAUAACAAUAAUUUACAUUCAUUAUCAUUUCAAGUUCAUACAAUUAGCAAGUCAUGGGAAAAUCACAAAAAUAUAGCACGCAAGUGCUACAAGAGUACUUUUAGUCACAGAAGACUAAAGUAAAAGCAAGUGCCACAAAAGUUGGCCACACAGUCAUGCAAAAUACAAUGGCUUCAGCACGUAGCAUCACCCCUGCUAAUCCUAUUUACACCAGUCAAAAGGGUCAAAAGGGUCGAUCACUAGGGACCUAGUCCACAGCAGGACUACCAGGCGGAAUCUCCUCCUCAAGAUCCUCCUCCGGAUCCUCCUCCUGGACCGGGUUCUAAACUAUAUCCGCCACUCCCUCUAUCAUCUCAGUGGCAUCAGCCAAGAUCCUAGAAACUCGAUCACGGACCUCCCCUCUUAAUCUAGUAAGUCGAGCCCUAGUACUCUGGAGCUCCUCAUGAACAACUGCAGCUGUAGCCACCUCGCCCUCUACUACCUCCUCAAGCUCAGCGAUCCUCUCGCCCUGAGCACUAACCAUCUAUCUAAACUCGUCCACCUCGGCCUGUAAGUCUAAGUUGGCAGUAACCAACUAACGACGCUCGUCGUCCAAUGCUAGCACAAUGUGGUUCGGGUAGGCAAAUGUCACCCUACAUGGGCAACGAGGAUAUCUAUCAUAAGGUGUAUAUCGCACGCGAGUUCCUCCACUCAGAACUCGGUAGUAAAUGGGCCUAGGAGGUUCUACGUGACCAUUAGCAUGGCCAUUCCCAUUAGCUGCCGGAGUCUCAUUUUCAUUUUCCAUCCCUGCAAAAUAAUUACACUUUUUAGGUUAGAACCUUAAUCGCUCACUCGCACGGAUGUCACUUACAGUAUGUCUAACUUAGUCACUAGUUCGCCCAAAUAUCACUUAAGGUAUGACUAAGUCGUCCGGUCUCAGGUCUUAAGGGUAGAGUAUCUAGUAUAUCUCCCAUAUAGAUCUCUAACCUAGUGCUCUGAUACCAACUGUGACGCCCCCACUUCUCCCUACGGUGAACCAGAGGGUAUCCGCGGGACGCCUGCCCAACUCUUGCCAGGACUCAAGCAAUUUCUAUUCAAACUUAAUGUAAAACUAUUCAACAAUACUAGAUAAGUAAGAAAGUGCGGAAAACUUCCAAACUUAACAAUAUAUAUAUAACGCUUAUCCAAUCAUUACAUUAAAUUCCUAAAAGCUACAUCAAUAUCCAAAAUAUAUAACAACUAGGUACAUCAAAUAUCCAAAUCAUACAUUAAAUUCUCAAUAGUACAACCAAAAAGAGAUCUAACCCAAAAUAUAUUAGAAACCCUAAGCCAAAAAUACAUCAAAAGAGUUCCUCCAAGUAUCAUUCCAUACCCAAUUCUGUUAAGGAAAACAAAUCUACAGGGAGAGCAAAACGCUCGUGAGGCCAAGGACACACAUGCAAGCACAUAGUCCAAAUAACAAGCCCAAUUAACAAGUCACAUAAUAAAGUACAAGUAAUUGUCAAUUCCAAUGAAAUGUAAACAGAAACAAUUCAAGGAUAUGGUAGCUCUCAUGAGCUAAGUUCCACUUGCUUUGCUAGGGUCAUUCGUAUACCUUCCCGCGAUGACUCUCCGUCAACCGGGUCGGUAUUUUGAAUUCGUAGAUCUCCACUUACUUCUCAUAUCCGUCCACCGUACAUACCACAACCGGGUCCGCACGUUAUUUAUGAGGCGAUACUCAACGAGUAUGCUAAGCAAGAUCUCUCCAACAGAUCAAACUUAUCAUGUGAUUCUCAUGGCUCACCGCGAUUCCCGACCAAACCCAUGUCGGCUCGAGUUUCAAGGUCGGCUUAUGAGUUUGGGUGUCCCCCUUGUGUAUUUGAGUGUCGAGGAGAUUUACUCCAACGACGUAUGCAGCCAUAGCAUAUUAUUUCAGGUCAAGUAAGCAUUUGAUGUAUUCAAGCAUUCAGGUCAUGUCCAGCAGGUCAUUUAUUUCAUGUCAAGCAAGUUAAUCAUGAGUUAUUUAUUUCAAAUGAGAACGAGUGCGAUAAAGUGCACACUCGACUCCAUUUUCAAAAUCUCAAGUCAUGAAUAACAAGUAAACAUGUAUCAAGUCUACAGGAAUUCAAGUAGUCAUGCACUUGACACUCACCAAGUCAACCAAGGAGAAUUGUUACUUGACACCCAUGUCUACAAUUUCCCCCUAGCAUUGGACUAGUGAGAAAAGUCGGAACAAAUGACCACAACUAGCAUUGGACUAGUGUGGAUUCGAGAAAUUGACCACAACUAGCAUUGGACUAGUGUGGUGAAGUCACACAUCGGUUACAAUCAAAUAAAUCAUGUGAGACCUAAUAAAAGCAUGUAAACAUAUAAAUCACACAUAACACAUAACACAUAAGCAUGAUAUCUAAAUCCAAGACCCUAAGAAAGCGGUAACACAUAGCACAUAGACAUGCAAAACACACAUAAGACAAAUAAAGCAAAUAAAGCCCUAACUAUUACAUUCGGGGGAAGCCUACUACAAUCUAAGAGGGGAAACAGAAUAAAAUAAAUAAAAUAAUAACCUAACUAUUACAAUUUUGGCAUUCAAGUGCCUUUCAAAUGAUCGAAAUUGAAAAUAACUAUACAAAACUAAAACAAAUAAUGUGGAUAAAUAAAUAAAUAAAUAAAAUGAAAACAUUCAAAAGGCAUGCAAUUAAGCACAUAAAUCACAUAGACACAUAGGGUCAAAUAAAGUGAAAAUAAGGGAUAGAGUAUACCUUCCUUGCAAUGGUAAUCAAAUGAGGGAAAAAUAGCUUCAAAACAAUAAAAGGGUCAAGACACCAAUUAAAUAGUAAAGUAUAAACAAAAUCACCAAAUCCCUCCCAAUUGCAACUUAAAUGAAAUCAAAUAAUGCAUAAUUUCCAAGAAAAGUAAAUUAUUGAUCAAAUUUCUAAAAUAGAAAAACUACCAAGGACCCAAUUGCAAAUAUUAACUAAUCACUCAAGCCCAAUUAACACAUUUUGAAAAAUUCACGGGUCCAAAAGCAAAGAAGGGGUCAAGUAAUGGUUCAAAUUGCAAUUACUCUAGGACCUAAUUGCAAGAAAUCAAAACAUGAUUGGGCCUUUGUAGCAUUAGAUAGAAAUUGGGGGGCCAAAGUGCAAAUUUUUCAUGCAUACAUAUGAAGCUUUCUUUAUUUAUGCUGGUUUCUUUUAUUUGCAACAGGUUGAGCUUCUCAACAUGCAAUCUCCCAUCCUUCCUAACACAACUAACAUCUCCGCCAGCCAAACAUUCAGAUUAAACAACAAGACAACCAAACUUUCUUUUCAUCUUUAAACACAAAAAUCCAGAGAGCAAGAGCAUGCAAAUCUAGCCAACCAAACUUCUGAGAAAAAGAACGUGAAGCAGGAUAACACACAGAGAAUCAUUUCAACAUUCUGCAAAUCUCAAUGCUUCCCCCCUUACCCAAAGCUGAACCCAAAAUAAGCAAAAGAAAAGAGCCUACAUACACACGAAACUGGUAUUGCCUAUGAACACCAAAUUCUGCAAACCCAUCUUUCGGCCGAACAAAAUCUCAAACAGAUCAAGAAUAACGAUAGCUACAAACAAUGUCAUUGUUGAGACCAACUGUUAUGCUACACUUUGCUGCAAAUAAAUUGCAGCAAACGCAUACAAUGGCAUCGCCAUCCAACAACAAACAGACCCAACAGACAAAAACAAAUCAAAUCAAGGUCUUAAUUCCCAAAGCAACCCGUUUUGCCGACCUCGCUGCAACAAGCCAAAGCUUUGAGGUUGUUGCAGCAAAUUUUAUGUGCAAAAAACAGUUAAGCAACAUUUAAGUUCAGCCAACAAAAUCCUCAAUCAACCUUCCUACUACACAAUCGUAAAACCUUUGGAUUUAAACACAAAAGGAUCGAAGCAUAGGAACUUGCCAAUUUGGAAAUUUGUUUUACAGCUUGUGUAUUCAUUUUCUCAAUUGCGGGCUUCAUUACCAAACACUCGCAUGGUGAAAAUCAAUUCCAAUCCAACCAAACAUGCACACAUUAUACUUAUUACUGCUAAGAAACCAACGCAAGCAAACGAAGAAAAAUGAGACAGCAAUGGACGAAGCAUCAAUGAAAAGAUUUUGCCGACUGUGUGGUAUCCUUCUGGGUUUCGUUCAUCAUAUGCACAACAACCAUGAACCUUAAGCAAGAACCGAUGAUUCAACCUCAUAGAUAACCUAGAUUUCUACCUCAAAAACCCUAAUUCAAACUCAUCAAAUCUUCUACUUCCCCCCCUCCGACCAGAUUCACACAGAAAUAAACAUAAGGAGGAUAACUUCAGUACGUCCCAUAUGCAGUGAGCUAAGAACAAACCCAGUGGAAGAUGUUACCUUUUAUCCCUUUCAAGGGAAAAUCAAGGUCUGGGAUGAUGGAAUAGGGGGUCUUCGUUCAACCGGAGAGUCUAAUCUUCCCGGCUCGCAAGCUGUCCUUCUUUGGCUUCCUCAGCAGAAUACUUGCUCCCUGGUUUUUCUUCUUUUUUUUCUAUCUCACCGUCUUUCAAUCUACUAUGUUUCUUCCUUUCUUAGUUGCUUGCCCUCUAUUCUUUCUUUUCCUUCUAUCUCCAGUCCGCCCCCAGAUUUUUAUCCGCCGCCUCUCUCUUGCUAUUUCUUUCCUCGGGUUUUCUCAUACCCUAGCUCACCUCCAGCCGUCCCCUCUGUUUUCUUUUUUCUAUCCCUCUGCCCUCUGUUUCUCAACCGCUAAUCUUUUCCUCUCCCCAUUUUUUCUCUCCAGCCCCAGACCCCUUUGGCCGUCCACUUAGCUUUCCUUUUAUAUCCUCUCUUUAUAGCUACCAAAACUUCUAAACCUACAUCUAAUGGUGCUGCUGAAAUCAUCUUUUCUUGAUGGUUUAUGAACCCUUAGAUGAGUUUUGUCCAUGAUGAUCUUAGUGUAGGGAUCAAAGCCAAGUGGUUAGGGAGAAAGUGAUCCAAUGGCGAUGAAAAAAAAUGGUGGGAAAAAGAAAAUAGGAUUGUGUUGCAUUUCCUUGUAUUUUCGCUUCAUGUUUCUGCUCAAAAACGAAAUAUGGAGAUAGAGUUCGGAUCACAUGAAGUUCACACAAGCGUGAGCUUGGUCUGACACCUCUUCUCUCUUUUUUAAUUUUUAAUGCUAAAAAUGCCUAACGAGAUAAAGGAUUAAAUAAAAACAAAUAAAGAUAAAUAAAUUACUAUCUAGAAUGCCAAAAUGAAAAAAUAAAAUCAUGAGAUUAAUAAGGUAAAAUAAAUGACAAUUAUCAAUAAAUAAAUAAAAUAAAAUAAAAUAAAAAAUUUGGUGUUUACAUUUUGCCCCUCUUUGUCUGAGUUUCGAAGAAGCUCGAAACAAAGAAGUUGACACCAAAUGCUCACCUGUGGCUAUUCUGCUGCAAAUUAAUCGAACGACUGACAUUCUUGAAAUGAGAACUGACCCCGACAAAAUUUUUUAAAAAUGGAACUGACUCAGAUGAGAAAUUUAAAACGAGACUGACCUCCUGAACAAGAAAUUUAAAAGGGGACUGACCCCGACAAGAAAUUUAAAUCAUGGGAUUGACCUGAACAAGAAAUUUAAAUGGGACUGACCCCAACAAGAAAUUUAAAAGGGGACUGACCCGAACAGGAAAUUUAAAAGGGGACUGACCCCAACAGAAAAUUUAAAUGGGACUGGCCCGAACAGAAAAUUUAAAUGGGACUAGCCCGAAUAGAAAAUUUAAAAUCAUGGGAUUGACCCGAAUAAACUUUAAAUCAUGGGACUGACCCGAACAAAAUUUAAAAUCAUGGGACUGACCCGAACAAACUUUUAAAUCAUGAGACUGACUUGAACAAACUUUAAAAUCAUGGGACUGACCCGAAUAAACUUUAAAUCAUGAGACUGACCCGAAUAAAAAUUUAAUGCUCACUAGUGGGACUAACCCAUGUUCAGUGGCAGUGGAAAUGAAAUGCUCACUGGUGGGACUAACCCAUGUUCAGUGGCAGUGGAAAUGAAAUGCUCACUAGUGGGACUAACCCAUGUUCAGUGGUGAUGAAAAUAAAAUGCACACUAGUGGGACUGACCCAUGUUUAGUGACAAUGAAAAUGAAAUGCACGUUAGUGGGACUGACCCAUGUUUAGUGGCAAUGAAAAUAAAAUGCACGCUAGUGGGACUGACCCAUGUUUAGUGGCAAUGCAAAUGAAGUGCUCACUGGUGGGACUGACCCAUGUUCAGUGGCAAUGAAAACGAAAUGCUCGCUAGUGGGACUGACCCAUGUUUAGCGGCAAUGAAAAUAAAAUGCACACUAGUGGGACUGACCCAUAUUUAGUGGCAAUGAAAAUAAAAUGCACACUAGUGGGACUGACCCAUAUUUAGUGGCAAUGCAAAUGAAGUGCUCACUGGUGGGACUGACCCAUGUUCAGUGGCAGUGAAAACGAAAUGCUCGCUAGUGGGACUGACCCAUGUUUAGCGUCAAUGAAAAUAAAAUGCACACUAGUGGGACUGACCCAUGUUUAGUGGCAGUGAAAACGAAAUGUUCACUGGUGGGACUGACCCAUGUUCAGUGGCAAUGAAAAUGAAAUGCUAGUAUGGAUGCAGAAACUGUAUAAAAUUUACUUGAAAAAUCAUCCAAAAAUUUGCCCCAGUGAUGAAUUGGUCAGUGGGAUUAAACCCGAGCCUGCCGUGAAAAUUGGUCAGUGUGAUUAAACCCAAACCUGCCUUGAGAAGCGGUUAGUGGGAUUAAACCUGAGCCUGCCUUGAUAAUAAGUCAGUGGGAUUACACCCGGGCCUGCCUUUGGCAAAUUGGUCAGUGGGAUUAAACCCAAACCUGCCUUGAAAAUCGGUCAGUGGGAUUAGACCCGAGCCUGCCAUAAGAAUCGGUCAGUGGGAUAGCACCCGAGCCUGCCGUGAAAUUAGCCCCAAAAAUUAAGUGUGAUUGUCAAAAGGGGAAGAUAGAAGGGAGCGCGGCGGACGCUGAGACAUCGCCAACAAGAAUUCAAUUUGAUUUUUCAAGAAAUAAGAAAUUGAAUUUGAUUUUUUUUUAUUUUUGAUUUUUCUGAUUUUUCUGACUUUUGAUUUUUAUUUUUUUUUGGAUUUUCUAAUUUUUUGAUUUUUUUUUGGAUUUUUUCUUUGAUUUUUUUUGGAAUUUUUUUUUGAACUCUUUUUGGAAUUUCUUUUGAAAAAUUUUUGAUAUUUUCGAGAGAAUCUUUUUCAAAAAUAAUUUGCCCCAGUGUAGGGCCCUUCUUUUUUUUCUUUUUCCGGUAUCGGUCUUCCACAUUACUUGAUGUUUCUCCAUCGAUUUCAGCCAUGAAUACCUGCACAGGGGGCUUGUCAAAGUACAACAUGCACUUAAAUUUCUUAUUUUAUUUUAAAAUCAAUGCAACUACUACUCAUGAAAAGAGCAGCGUGUUUGGUUUGACAUCCUCAAAUGUAUUUACAAACAAUUUGCCCUAACGUGGGCUUAUUUUGUGAAAUUUCAAAAAUAAAAAUUUGCCCCAGUGUGGGCCUAUUUAAUUUGCAAAAACUUUGUUUGGAUGACGUUCCAUUUGUUUGAGCAAAGUAAGAAACUAUGUUUCCUAUUAGAAAAUUUCAUGAUGAAUUUCUCGAAAUAAUACCAAAUUACAGAAGAUUUCUUCCUCAUCUUAGUAUCGAUGCUUAGAGUAAUGGGUCCCCAAUUCUUGUUAAAUCGUCUUUCAAGACCAAUCAAGUGAUCUUAUUUCUGAUUUUGAGGUGGCUAAGGAAAAUGAGAAGUCAAGAUUUGUCUUGUUCUUGUGCCCAAAAUUGUAUGUAAUCCAUUCAAUAUCACAUCUUAGUGAAAGCAAAUAGUUUGUCACCCUCAUUUCUUAAGAAAACUUAGUCAACAUAUAAGCUUUUAGGCUUGUAACGUAUGGGCAGAAACGAUAGCUAAACAUGUGAAAACUGGUUAUACCCUUAUAAUUACAAAUGAUUGAUGGAUUUCUUAUGAGUAUAAUCCUCACUUUGGAUUGUCAUGAAGGAUAAGUCAGCGAUGGACUUUAUAAGCUUAUAAUGUGGCUUGAAAACGAUAGUUAAAGAAUAUGACUUCAAGGUCAUUGCACCGAAGAUCGCAUUUUUCCAAAAUUGCCUCUAUUUUGAACUCAAAGAUCUUAGAUUUGGUGACUUUCCUCAUCACUUAACGGGGACUUCACCAUCAAAUCUUUUCAUUUUCUUUGCAUUUAUUUUUGCUUUUUCCAUUUCAUUUCAAAGGUGCCCUGGCGGAUUUUUAGAUGAUGAGUAAUGUUAAUUUCACAGCUAAUCAAUUCAAAAAUACAUCUAAAAAAUUUUCUAACAUCAGAAUAUGCGCAUCACUUGCCAAUUAAUUAGAAAGUUUCUUAACAGAGAUAUUGUAAAAAAAUGGAAGUCAGGACUUUUAGCUUUUGUAAUGGGGUCUGGUGGGGUGCUUAGAAAAGUUAAGACUUGAAAGCGGAUUUUCAAAAGUGGUUUAAAUGAUUUGAGACCGCAUUAUUGCGCCAACCCUAUUUUAGGGUUAAAUCAAAGUUUGCCCCAAUUCAAUCUCCAUUGAGGUUUUUUUCUCUUUCAUUUGUUUCUUUUUCGGCCUUGUGCCAUUCUUUUCCAAAAAUUUGCCCCAGUUUAUGCUCAACAGUGGUUCUCUUUUCUUUUCUUUUCCUUUUGAUUUUGUUGCUUUAUCACUUUUCAUCUCUUGGGACUUUUCUUUCUUUUCAACUCAAACUUGCCCCAGUGUGGGGUUUGCGAUUCUCAGGGGUUGCCAAACGAAGUAAUUUAUUCUGAAGGUUCAAAAGGAAUAACUAGGGAUAGAAUGUCUGAUUGGAAAAGAAGAGGGCCUGACUUUUAUUCCGUUCCUUACAUUAACUCUGAAAGGAAACUUUCAUUAAUGGGAAAUUCUUGCUUGUAUCUGAAUUAACUGACUGAGAAAGACCAUUGUUCAUCCAUAUCUGUGAAACAUAGGUGAUCCGCCGGACAAAACUCUUCCUUUUCUUUUCUCUUCUUCUUUUUUAAAAUUGAAACCCAGGUGGAAUCAAAUUUCCCCAAUUUGCGGUUCCCUCCUUCUUCUUGAAUUUUAGCAUUUUUGCCCUCUUUUUUUUCUUUUUUUUUUCCUCUUUUGAAAAAUCCUCCAAUUUCCUUCCCCGGUGUGGGGUACGAUCAUAAGUGCUUUUGAAAAGAACCAUCUAUUUUAGCUCAAAGGGGGAUGCAAGGGAUAAAUAGUGUUUAGAUUGUAGAAACGAUGGCCAAAGCAUCAUUCUUACAUCUCAUGACAACCAAAGGAACGACAUGCUUAUUGAGAAUCCAUUCCCUUUUGAUAUUUGAAAAUCUUCAAAUGUAAGAUAGUGGUCAUUAAGGCUCUUAUUUGAAACAAAAUUAUUCUUCUUUAUUCUUUAUUCUUUUUUUUUUAAGGCUCAAAUGGGGGAGCAAAUGAUAAAAUCUAUGUAGAUAGAGAAACGAACGCUUGAAGUGUCAUUCCAAAUUUUCAAAACAAACAAGAAUAAUGCACAUUUUUGCUUUCACUGAGAUGUGAAUUGAAUAUAAUUAGACACAGUGGACAUUUUUCAAGCAAAGAUUGCUCCAAUUUGUAAUUUAUCAAUCAAUGUGACUGAUUUUAUUUUGGGAUAAUAGAAGUGGGCAAAAAUAUGAAUUGUACAGUGAAGGAGAAAAGAUAUCUCAUUGGAUUUUUCGAGUGACCUCUUUUAAUUUUGAACACUCUUAUUGUACAGUUCGGAUCACCAAUCUAGUGUACGUAAAGAUUUUAGAAAGCAUACACUUGUGAAUUUUCAGGCUAGAGGUUAAAAAAAAAUCCCUAUUUGGUCUUAUUUCUUAAAAUUCAUCAUGAAACCUCCAAUGAGCAACAAUUAAAGAAUGAAAUGUACAUGAACAUACACAAAACAAUAAGUGUCCAAAAACUUUACUGCUGGAAAAAGUUUAAAACAAAAUUUUUCGUUCAACUAUAAUACAAUAAGAAAAGAAAACUUCUAACAAGCUCCACAUAUAUACACUUUUUGUCUCCCUUUCUUUUGGAACAAAAUGUAUUAACAAAUCAAAUAAAUAGAAUUUUCCCUUGAAAAAACAAUUAUAAAGUCUCUCAGAAACCUUAACCUAGAGCUUUCAGAUGGAUUUUUCAUGUUUUCAUUGUAAGGUCUGCCCAAGAAUCAAGUAAUACUUGUAAUUUUCAAAUUUUAUCAGACAUAGAAAAAUAUUUUCACCUUAUUAAAGCAUUUUUUAUGAAUGCAGGGGAGGGGAAAACAAAAGAAAAAAUACCCCGAGUUAGUAAGCAAGACUAUAAAAUCGGUAUGCAUGUCCUAUUGGGGAACCCUUUUAUGCCAAGGGUAGGCCUAGCAUGAAAAUGCAAUCCUCUAGGGUAUGCACCAUACAAUACCUGAUGAAUCCGAUCCACUGAUUGGGUAAAAAAAUGAUUUGAAAAACUUGGCCAAUUGGAGUGAGAAGAGACGUUUGUCCUAAAAAAUGAGGACGAAGUCCGAAUGGAUUGCUUGUUUUGAUCGACACAUAAAAUGAUGUGAGAAAGAGCCUACUCUUGACAGGAUUGCAAUGUUUAGAUUAGGUCAUUCAGUGAACCUUAGACCAAACCCUAAGAGAGGAAAAUCGGGUCAAAUGGAUAGGAUGAAGUUGAUGAUUUAUUCAAAAUUGACUAGAUUACCUUAAAAAGGGUAAAAUGGUCAAAUGUAUUGAAUUAAAUUUGAUUAUUUAUUCAAAAUUGAAUGGAUAACCCUAAAAAUGAAUUAAACUAAUCAAAUGAAUUGAAUGAAAUCAAUUGAUCAAACAGAUCGAGUGAAAUGAUGAUUUAUUCAAAAUCGAUCGAACUGCCCUAAAACUAGGCAAAUUGGUCAAAUGGAUCGGACGAAAUUGAUGAUUUAUUCAAAAUCGAUAAGAUUGGCCUAAGAAUAGGUAAACUAAUCAAAUGAAUUGAAUGAAAUUAGUGAUCUAUUCAAAAUCGACUAGAUUGCCCCAGAAAUGAACAAAUUGAUAAAAUGGACUGGAUGAAAUUGAUGAAUAAAAUGGUCCAAUGGAUUGAAUGGAAUUGACAGCUUAUUUAAAAAAAAUCAAUCUAUCCAUUGGUAGUUUCAAAAAAUUUAUUGCGAUGCGUUAGUCUAUUAGCCUUCUAAUAUCAAAAUUUGGCCUCAAUUUAUUUACCGUCUCAACAGUGAGGAAAAUAUUGGUGAAUUUCUUCAAGUUAAUGUCCUCUAACCAAGGGAAUUUUACCAAAUAUGUAAAAAUGGCCAACAGAUGAUUGUUAAAUGGCCAUAUCCUAAUGUGCCCAAAGUUGUUGUGUUAUCAGGGAAAAAUUGGAUCCUAUCUUAUCUCGUGCACUACCCCUUUGGAUGGUACAAAAUGUAAACGUGCAAGUCUCCUUGGAUUAAGUAUUCGAGACACGAGGUGGCUUAUUCCUAACAUGGGAUCCCCUAAAUGGCAUUCCCUUUCUAGGGUUUAUGCAUGAUGCCAUUUUAUCAAAGCGCAUAAAUAUGCAGUACACAAAUGAAACGUGACCUAAAGGGAACCUCCUUUAGUAUGCCGGGGUGAGCCUAAAAUAAAAUGUAUUCAUGCUGCAAAUACGAAGCAUUGAAUUUAAACGUGUCAUACCAAAUAAAGUAGGCUCCUAGAGAGUACCAUGCCAGGACUCUUAUUUUCUAGGGCUUAUGAAUGCAAUAAAGACAAAAACCAAGAAAAGUUAGUUCAAUAAAUACACAUAACACAUUGUAGCAAUGCAAUACAAAGAGAUAAAGCAAUAAGAGGGGUUGGAUCCCUCCCCUCGUGAAUAGUGUCCCUAAUAGGGUAAGGCAGACUCUACCCUAGGUAAACUAUCGUGGAUGCAUGAGGUUGGGUUUCACUAAUGCAUCUAGACUCGAUAGGUUUUAGGUCCCCGAGCCUUCAGAUUUGGAAAUCAAGGGUCAUCAAUCCCAAGGUUCUUUGUCGGUGGCUCGAGCGAUUCCCCAGACAUUGCUACGCACACAUCGUGUCACGGCUACAUGUCAUGAGUGAAUCUAUCAAAAAUCCUCGACUUUCGACUAAAAGUUAAAGACUAUCAACCCCAAGCUUAAAAUGGAAGAUUGAAUGACCUCUCAGAUCAUGCUGCGCACAUAUCGUGUCGCGAUCACACGUCCAAGUGGGUCACCUAAUCCUAAUAGGGUGGAGUGACGUGACAAGCCACUAAAAGAAAAAUAAAGGAGGGAUAAAUAAUAAAGCGUAUGCACGUAUGCUAGUGCUCCUUUUUGGAGGGGAGGGAUCGAGAACCAAUGCGAGGCUCUAGGGUAAUGACCCCCCAUCCCAAUGCAAUGCAAAACGCGGGAUAAAAUAAACUAUCCAUUCAUCAAAUCAAACGUAGGCGAAUGGGUGAGGAAAUGAGUUGAUACGCGCGAAAUGCAAAAAUCCUAAAAAGAAAAAAAUGCAAUGCUAAACAUCCAAAUGUAAUAUAUAAGAAGGUUAAAAGAAGAAAAGAAUCGACUAAAUCAAAUGCUCAGACUCUCUAAGUCCCCAGUGGAGUCGCCAGCUGUCGCGCCCCAUUUUUUGAAAACAUAAAUAAAUGGUUUAAAAAGUGAAUUUUGAUUCAAUUUUUGGUUGGAAAAUGAAUUUUUGAAAAAACAUGGGUCUAAAUGGGACAUGAAAAUGCGACGAUUUGACCCAAAAUAUAAUUUAAAAAGGGUUUAUUGAAUGAAAAAUGAAGUCACCACUUGGUAUAGAGUUAAGGUGUACCAAGUCACCUAAAAUGAAAUUUUAAAGAAAAAAUGGAAAAACCCUUUUUAAAUGACUGCAAAUCCACGUAAAUCAAAGAAAAAGAUUCGAGAGUCACAUUCGAAGAAAGGGAAGGCAAGGAUAAAAAUCCGAGGCACCCUUUCGAUCUAACCAAGGAUAGUUGCGUGAUUUAGUUAAGGAUUUUCUUAUUUUAACCAAAAGAUUUAUCACAUAUGGACGUGCUAUAUGAAUGCAACCCUAGACCUAGGAGGGUAUCGGGGGGUCAAAAUUUCUCUUCAAAACUCAAUUGAUGCUAAUCACAUUAAUUGUGAUGCCCAAUGCGGAUUCUUUGGAGAGGUCACGAAUAAUGCAGAAAAUAUGAGACUCUAAGAAAAGAAAUAAAAAAUAAUUAUAGAAAUAUGCAUGUCUUAAAGAAGUGCAUCAUGUCGGGUACGGGGGGCUAAUGUUCGUGAUUCAAUUUUCCCUUUUAGUAGAAGGAAUACGGGCGUGUUAAGGCUAGAAGAGCCAAACUCGUCCAUAUCCCAUAUCCAAGGGGGUAUUCCCUAAUCUAAUCAAGCAAAUGCACUACCCUAAUCCUAAUUUUAAAAUAAAAUGCAAUUCUAAUGUUAUGUUUUCAUACCAAAGGGGUAAGGAAUAUAUAUAUAAGGGAAAAUACGUAAUAAGGGAUAUGAGUAGAAGGGAAUACGGGAUAAAUGAUGUACAUAUAUAAGAAAGUGUCAUGCAACAUGGUAAAACCCUAAAAAGUAAAAACAUGCAUGAGAUGAAGUGAUUUUAUCACACGACCAUGAUCUAACGCUCGAGGGGCUCCUAAGGGUCUAGCGUUGGACUAACCCAUGUCUACAAUUUCCCCAUAGCAUUGGACUAGUGAGAAAAGUCGGAACAAAGGACCACAACUAGCGUUGGACUAGUGUGGAUUCGAGAAAUUGACCACAACUAGCAUUGGACUAGUGUGGUGACGUCACACAUCGGUUACAAUCAAAUAAAUCAUGUGAAACCUAAUAAAAGCAUGUAAACACAUAAAUCACACAUAACACAUAACACAUAAGCAUGAUAUCUAGAUGCAAGACCCUAAGAAAGCGGUAACACCUAGCACAUAGACAUGCAAAACACACAUAAGGCAAAUAAAGCAAAUAAAGCCCUAACUAUUACAUUCGGGGGAAGCCUACUACAAUCUAAGAGGGGAAACGGAAUAAAAUAAAUAAAAUAAUAACUAACUAUUACAACUUUGGCAUUCAAGUGCCUUUCAAAUGAUCGAAAUUGAAAAUAACUAUACAAAACUAAAACAAAUAAUGUGGAUAAAUAAAUAAAUAAAUAAAAUGAAAACAUUCAAAAGGCAUGCAAUUAAGCACAUAAAUCACAUAGACACAUAGGGUCAAAUAAAGUGAAAAUAAGGGAUAGAGUAUACCUUCCUUGCAAUGGUAAUCAAAUGAGGGAAAAAUAGCUUCAAAACAAUAAAAGGGUCAAGGCACCAAUUAAAUAGUAAAGUAUAAACAAAAUCACCAAAUCCCUCCCAAUUGCAACUUAAAUGAAAUCAAAUAAUGCAUAAUUUCCAAGAAAAGUAAAUUAUUGAUCAAAUUUCUAAAAUAGAAAAACUACCAAGGACCCAAUUGCAAAUAUUAACUAAUCACUCAAGCCUAAUUAACACAUUUUGGGAAAUUCACGGGUCCAAGAGCAAAGAAGGGGUCAAGUAAUGGUUCAAAUUGCAAUUACUCUAGGACCUAAUUGCAAGAAAUCAGAACAUGAUUGGGCCUUUGUAGCAUUAGAUAGAAAUUGGGGGGCCAAAGUGCAAAUUUUUCAUGCAUGCAUAUGAAGCUUUCUUUAUUUCUGCUGGUUUCUUUUAUUUGCAACAGGUUGAGCUUCUCAACAUGCAAUCUCCCAUCCUUCCUAACGCAACUAACAUCUCCGCCAACCAAACAUUCAGAUUAAACAACAAGACAACCAAACUUUCUUUUCAUCUUUAAACACAAAAAUCCAGAGAGCAAGAGCAUGCAAAUCUAACCAACCAAACUUCUGAGAAAAAGAACGUGAAGCAGGAUAACACACAGAGAAUCAUUUCAACAUUCUGCAAAUCUCAAUGCUUCCCCCCUUACCCAAAGCUGAACCCAAAAUAAGCAGAAGAAAAGAGCCUACAUACACACGAAACUGGUAUUGCCUAUGAACACCAAAUUCUGCAAACCCAUCUUUCGGCCGAGCAAAAUCUCAAACAGAUCAAGAAUAACGACAGCUACAAAUAAUGUCAUUGUUGAGACCAACUGUUAUGCUACACUUUGCUGCAAAUAAAUUGCAGCAAACGCAUACAAUGGCAUCGCCAUCCAACUACAAACAGACCCAACAGACAAAAACAAAUCAAAUCAGCGUCUUAAUUCCCAAAGCAACCCAUUUUGCUGACCUCGCUGCAACAAGCCAAAGCUUUGAGGUUGUUGCAGCAAAUUUUAUGUGCAAAAAACAGUUAAGCAACAUUUAAGUUCAGCCAACAAAAUCCUCAAUCAACCUUCCUACUACACAAUCGUAAAACCUUUCGAUUUAAACACAAAAGGAUCGAAGCAUAGGAACUUGCCAAUCUGGAAAUUUGUUUUACAGCUUGUGUAUUCAUUUUCUCAAUUGCGGGCUUUAUUACCAAACACUCGCAUGGUGCAAAUCAAUUCCAAUCCAACCAAACAUGCACACAUUAUACUUAUUACUGCUAAGAAACCAACGCAAGCAAACAAAGAAAAAUGAGACAGCAAUGGACGAAGCAUCAAUGAAAAGAUUUUUCCGAAACUGUGUGGUAUCCUUCUGGGUUUCGUUCAUCAUAUGCACAACAACCAUGAACCUUAAGCAAGAACCGAUGAUUCCACCUCAUAGAUAACCUAGAUUUCUACCUCAAAAACCCUAAUUCAAACUCAUCAAAUCUUCUGCUUCCCCCCCUCCGACCAGAUUCACACAGAAAUAAACAUAAGGAGGAUAACUUCAGUACGUCCCAUAUGAAGUGAGCUAAGAACAGACCCAGUGGAAGAUGUUACCUUUUAUCCCUUUCAAGGGAAAAUCAAGGUCUGGGAUGAUGGAAUAGGGGGGUCUUCGUUCAACCGGAGAGUCUAAUCUUCCCGGCUCGCAAGCUGUCCUUCUUUGGCUUCCUCAGCAGAAUACUUGCUCCCUGGUUUUUCUUCUUUUUUUUUCUAGCUCAUCGUCUUUCAAUCUACUAUGUUUCUUCCUUUCUUAGUUGCUUGCCCUCUAUUCUUGCUUUUCCUUCUAUCUCCAGUCCACCCCCAGAUUUUUAUCCGCCGCCUCUCUUGCUAUUUCUUCCCUCGGGUUCUCUCAUACCCUAGCUCACCUCCAGCCGUCCCCUCUGUUUUCUUUUUUCUCUCCCUCUGCCUUCUGUUUCUCAGCCAUUAAUCUUUUCCUCUCCCCCUUUUUUCUCUCCAGCCCCAGACCCCUUUGGCCGUCCACUUAGCUUUCCUUUUAUAUCCUCUCUUUAUAGCUACCAAAACUUCUAAACCUACAUCUAAUGGUGCUGCUGAAAUCAUCUUUCCUUGAUGGUUUAUGAACCCUUAGAUGAGUUUUGUCCAUGAUGAUCUUAGUGUAGGGAUUAAAGCCAAGUGGUUAGGGAGAAAGUGAUCCAAUGGCGAUGAAAAAAAACGGUGGGAAAAAGAAAAUAGGAUUGUGUUGCAUUUCCUUGUAUUUUCGCUUCAUGUUUCUGCUCAAAAACGAAAUAUGGAGAUAGAGCUCGGAUCACAUGAAGCUCACGCAAGCGUGAGCUUGGUCUGACACCUCUUCUCUCUUUUUUAAUUUUUAAUGCUAAAAAUGCCUAACGAGAAAAAGGAUUAAAUAAAAACAAAUAAAGAUAAAUAAAUUAAUAUCUAGAAUGCCAAAAUGAAAAAAUAAAAUCAUGAGAUUAAUAAGGUAAAAUAAAUGACAAUUAACAAUAAAUAAAUAAAUAAAUAAAAUAAAAUAAAUAAAAAUUUGGUGUCUACAAGGAGAAUUCGAAAAACUCCAUUUCCUUAAGAUUCGGAAAUUUCAGUUUUGAUACGAGAUCUUUGAAAAAUCACAUCUCACUCUUUACAAGUCCAAAAUUGGAAAACUUAGUACUGUUGGAAAUCUCUUAGGAAGUACUAAAAGUUCCUAGUAGCCAUCUUUCCAGGAUUCUAAAUGGAAGGUAUCCGAAAAUUAGCUCAAAGUUGCUGUUUUGGGGCAUUGAAGACAGGUUUAAGUUGGUUUUUGGUCAACUUUGAAAAUUUGGCAAAAUUCACUUGAUUUGAACUAACCUCUCGAAUUUGGAAAUUUGUUAGGGUUGCAAUCCACGUUUAAAACAAAAUAAACGGAACGAGAAUCAGAGUUUUGAGCACCAAGAUACAAUAGCUCAAAGUUGGUGAAAAAUCGAAACUGUUAAGCCAAUUUUCCAGAUUUAAGUUCCAAACUUUGGGACUUUAGUUAGGUAUCGAAAUGGACUCGGAAGAGUGCCAAAUUAGGUAUGAAUAUACUACCAUAUAAGGGCCACUCCUUUGCCAAAUUUCAUAGAAAAAUAUGUUCGUAAAUUGGUUAACGAGACCGUUGAAAUCACAAGAAAUUCUAAGGCUAAGCUGCCUUUGAACUUCCGUUUUGCCGUUUCCAAGCAUUUGGUCAAGAAACAUCUCAAACCUGGUCCAUUCCAGUAGGUAAUGUCUAAAAUAUGUCCAAGGUACAUUUGAUAGGUGAUAUACACUAAGAAGUUUCGGAUAACAAGUUCCAAAUCAUUGUUAGUUUCAAAUCUGUCCAAAUGCAUGGUAUUUCUUCACAAUACCAGAUUCCAAUUUUGGUCAUAAAUCACUCAAUUCAACUCGAAAUUGAGCAUGGUUGGUGGCGUUGGAAAACACAUUCAUAGAGAUACAAUUUUUUAGAAGAAACUAUUUUCAAAAUCUGUCCACAACUAGCCCACAUUUAAGCAUCAAGUUGUAGUUCAUGUUCUGCCUUCCAGUGAACCAACGAAACAGUGCAGCCAAGUUCAAAUAGUUGGUGUGGUUCACUCAGGUGGAAUCAGAACGUGCAUUUUAUACCGUUGGAAAGUUGGGAAUAUUUAGUUUCCAGUGCCGCAAAUGGAACUCGAUUUCGACAUCGGGACAAAGAGUUAUAGUCUAAACAAAAUCACUGCCAAAGUAAUACGGGACACAAUUCCAGUUUUGGCAAAUUUUCUAAAUCUCAACAUGCACUCACCCAAAUCACGUAAAAUUUUGAGAAAACUUUUUACACAACAUAUAUUACACAUUUGCAUCAGAAAGAAGUCAAUUGGACUUCAAGAAAGUACACUAAAAUGCACGAAAAUGGCAGGGCAGAAUCGGCACCUUCACAUGCAACCCUUCAUUUGACUUCCUUUUCACUUUUAUCACUUAACUCUACUAAAUUAACACUUAAUCAACACAAUUAACAUCCAAUCUUAUCAAAUCAGAUCAUCAAAGUCAUUGUGGGAUUUCAUAGAGCCCACUCACCAAUUUUCUAACAAUUUAAAGCUGCCCAUGAGAAUCCAAGAGCUCAUGAGUGUAAUCUAUCUUCCAUAAAUCAAGAAUUAAGUGGUUGAUCAUUAUUACUUUCUUAGAGAGCCAAGAUAGAAAUUUUGGUCACUUUGAGCUGGAGAAAAACUGUGAGAGGCAGCUCUUUUCCUAGCUUAUCUUGAUCACCAAGUGAUUUGAGUGUUGUGUGUAAAAUUUGGAGGUAAUUUGAGCAAGGAAUUGAGGAGAAAAAGUGGAGGAAUUUUCUGGUCUUGUUCUUCCUUUGUUGCUCGGCUGUUUGAGUGUAUGUGAGGAAGGAAAUUCUGAUGUUAUUAGCUUCUAAGGUAGGCUUAAAACUGGUGGCUCAAAUUUGCUCAAAGUUGUCCACUAAAAUAAUGCACGUGCGCGUGCGUUUCGUGCUCGAUUCCUCUCGAGUUUAUUGCACUAGUGCACUAAACCUCUAAUGCACUUACAUUCAUAUUAUUAUUAUUCACUCUUAAUAGUCCCAAAAUAAUGGUCUAAAGCUCCUCAAUUACUCGCGCGCGUAAAAACGCAUAUGUCUAAUUUAAGCGCGAGAUAGUGAAAUUUAUAAGAAGUUCUUAUAACAGUAAUAUAACUAACUAACCUUUGAACACUUAUACAUAAAAAUACCUAUUUUAGGACUAAUGUACAAGUCUCCAAUUUUCCAAGUUUAUUGUAUUCUCGAAUCGAUUUCCUCCUGAGGAGCGUUUUUAUUUUCUUUGUUCCAAACCAUCCAUGAUGUUCCGUCGCUCUAGGUGGACUAAAACCAUACAGAGCAAUUCUCCUGAAAAUACAGCCUGUUCCGACAUACAUUGGACCUUGUAAUCCAUCAAAAGCCCUCAUACUCACAUCAAAAAAUACGGUGUUGUGGUUUGCAUACCGAUCAUUUGGAUCAAUCCCCUCGAAUCGUUGAGGGAAUUGUACGUAACAAAUUCUGUCACCACCUCGGUCUAGCAUAAAACACAUUCCCUCCCUCAAUGCCAAGAGUUAUAGAUAUAGUGGUCACAGUCCAAAUUAAGAAUGAAAGGGCCGUUGGACAUAAUUGCCCUGGCACGGACUAGAGCAUUCAUGGCUCUAGCUUUCUUGUUGUGUUCAAAACCACGCCGCUUCUCACGAGAGACAUAAACCAGCAUUGGCAGCCGGAUAUCAACUUCUGCUGUAUCAAUCAAGUUGUCCUUAUCAGCUUCAGUCCCAAAAACUGGCUCUGAAUUAGGCGGCAUCAACAUCAUCUGAAAGAGCGAAACAAGAUAUUAGCAAUGAAGAAUCACAUCAGACUAAAGGAGGAAAAUUGCACCAAAGCCAAGAAGUAAAAAUGCAAUUUACCUGAAUAAUGCCCUCAUGAUCACCUUUUGAAUGACCUUCCUCUCCCGAUGUCCAAGUUCCGGGCCAAUGAGAGCCAUUGAACAUCCAAGUAGCCUUUGGGGCCUUAACGGCUUCUGAAAGAUUGUCCCCAAGUUCAAGCUGUUUCUUCCUAGCCCUUAAGCUCUGCUUGAGCAUUGUAUGCAUUCGAUCUUCUCCUUAUUGACUCCGGCAAGGCAUUUAUCCUGACUUUGAAUUCAUCAUACUCUCUUUUCACUCUUCUCCUGUCCCUCACAAAAUCAAUUUUCACUUUGUUCUUGAGAGGAUCACUCUUCUGACUAAAGUAUGCCUCCGGAUUGCGAGGUACAAUGUUGUGUUUCCUACAGAAGGGAACCCAAGAUUUUGAAAAGCUUGCAGCCUCGGCAAGAGCCUCAAAUGUCACCAGAGAACUUCCAUCAUCAGAUAGAUAACAUGUCACCUUCUCCAUCGGAUAAUCAACUGCAAGUAUAGAAAGAAUAGUGUUUGCAGUAACUAGAGGUGGCUCUUUGUCUGGAUCAGCUGUAGAGACAAAUACAUCAAUCCCUGGAAGGUCAGAUAAUGUUUUGGGAUUGUUGAGGUUUGGAUCGGAUGAUUCAAAUCUCUGCUUCAGAACCGACAGGUCGGUCACCCUUUUCACAGGGCAAAGCUUAGGUAGCUGAUCAAGAAGCCAAGACAGUGCAAACCAAAAUUCACAGACAACAGACAUUAUCCAUAACCACAUUGCUUCAUGAUUAGGAUGUGACACCCUCCAUGUAAGGAAACAGGCAAGUGCAGCAAGACGAAGAGCCAUCAGUAAUCUACACAGCCAAGCCAACAUAAGCUUGCGUCAAUUUGAAUUUUUCGGUAACAAUGUCCUACUAACUAUAUAUAUAUGCACAAGUGGAGGAAUAAAAGGAAUUUGCAUUUCUUAAACUAUUCAAGGUCCUAGAGCGUAGCAAAGAUGAAAAAGUCAGAGCAACAGUGGACUGAAUCUCAUACGACAUAAAUUAGUCAAUGAUCAAUCGCAGAUUAGAGAAACAUAUCCUUGUCCGAUAACAUGCUAGUAAAUUCUUCAAAGUAAGAUCUUUUUCAUCAUGGAAAAACCAAAAAAUGUAUAACAAUUGAGCAGAACAAGUAAACAAGAACUAGAAAACAAAACUCUGGUUGGUUUUGGUUCUGACCUGUAGGGACUGAUUAUUGCAGUAGAAAUUCCAACUUUCCUAGUUAAGGGCUUGUUUCUCCGGUCCGUGAAAUCGGGAGGAUUUUGAUGUCGCUCAGUUCCCAUUCCAGACACGUAUCCAUCUCUAGGCCAAACUGCAUUUCCAUACCCAUAAGUUCCUUUGGUCUCAAACAGCCAUUGUGCAUGAUCAAAAUCAUGGUUUGGAUUCUUGAAAGACUGAACCAAAGAGUAAUUCUCUCCCACUCUGAUUCGCGGUUGGGACCGUGGCUCAUCCUGAAUUUCGUCAUCAAUAACAUCUCCCCUGUAAGGCUCUUUGCAACCGGGGCAUCUUCCGGCUCCAUUUUCAACGCAAUCAAAGAAGCAAUCCCUGUAAAUCCUGAAACCACACUCGCACUGCAUUUUGGAAUUCCUAUCAAGAGCUUUCUCAUCACAGCCCUCGAUUUCACAUACCAGAUUUGAUUUUGUCUUCACAUUUGGUAGCUCAACUUCCUCGGAGCUUUUCCUGACGUGAGCUCGAGUCACCGAAUUGUGUCCUCCGGUAAAAAUGGUAUCUUUGAUGAAGCCUGCACUAGGAAUUCCCCUGCUUUUGCUUCUGUCUAGAGGGCUGUUCUGAGAUCCAGCGAUUAUCCGGUUAUUAGGGGUGGGAGGAAUGUGAACUGUGUAGGCGACAAACUCCUCGGUGCUGUCUUUGGAGAAAGAAAGAUACCUCGCAGUAGUAUUGGAAGAAGAAGCUUUGCCUCCACUGGAAGCCCUCAAUCCUCUUCCACUCAGGGGUGAAUUCGGAUUGUUUGAUAAGGAAUGACGCCGGAUUGGACUAGUCAAGGCGAUUCCAUGGCCCCCACCACCACCUGAGGUAGAGACCGUAAUUGUCAUAGGAGAUGAGGAUGGAGAAUCAACACCCAUUUUCACCAAUUUUUUGUUCUCCUUUUCUUCGGGGAAAACGGGUAUGACAAGAAGGAAACAGAAAUCGGCAGCUGUAUGAGAACAAAGAUCAGAAAUUCAUGGUAAGCAGAGAAAGCUGAUGGGUAUUUUUGGGGGGCAAAAGAAGAAGAAGGAAGGUCUGAACUCUGGGUAGGGAAGCUAUGGUAUAAAUUUGAAAUUUUGUGGGGUUUAGACAGAUAUGGAUUUCCAUGUAACGGUCGACUGAUUAUGGUCGUUGGUUAGGAGAAAUCGGACGGCGCUUCUUUGGACUUAAUAAAAUGCCCGUUUGUGACGCUGAGAUGUCCGAAAGUUUUGAAGAAAGUUAAAAAAAAAAAAAAAAAAAAAAGGUCCUCUGCCCUGCCCACAAUGCAAGGAUCAAAAUGGGCCCGACUUGAAUUUCAACGGCCGGUCCAGUUUUUUUUUUAGUAUAGCAGUCUCAUGAUCGUAAUAAUUUACAAGAGCCUCCGUGAGCUUUGGCAUAUUCGAAACAAGCCCCUCUAGGGUGGGUUUUCUUGCAUUCUGUUCAAUAACAACUUAUGCUUCCUUCAUUUCACUUUGAUAGUUUUGUUUUCCUUUUUCAUCCAUCCUAAAUUAUAGUUCAUUUUUUUCAAUUGAAGAAUAUAGUUAACUUUAAUUUCUCUAAACUACCCUUAUUUAAUAUAGGGUAAAAAAACAAAAAAGCCAUUUUUGGUUAAGUGAACAUACAGAAUAACCCCCGUGAUUUCAAAAUACACAAUCCGACACCUUGUAAUUUGAACUAAAUUGAAAAGGCAAUGGAAAUCGUCAAAACGAAUGUAUUUGAAGCACACACACUUGUGUUUUACAACUAGUGAUACCUGAUAACAGUUUUUUAUGAUUAAUUUUCAUUUAAUAUACCUAUUCUACCCCUUACAGAAAUGCCCCCUGUGGUUAAUUCAACCUAUAGAAAAAGCCCUCCAUAGUUGUGAAACAUAUAAGUUGGAUUUAAUGGAAACUUUCAAAAAAUAUAUUGAAAAGAGAGUAAAGCUUUUUGAGAUAAAUCAACCACCAGUCUUAUGCUUUGGCGUAUUUGAAACAAGCCCUUUGAGGGUGGGUUUUAUACUAUUUUCUUGCAUUUCUUGCAUUCUGUUCAGUAACUUGGACUCCUUUUAUCACACUUUGAUAGUUUUAUUUUAUUUAUUUUUUAUCCGUCUCAAAUUAUAAUCUAUUUUUUUAAUUCAAAAAUAUAGUUAACUUGUAACUUCUCUAAAAUACCCUUGGAUUCAUACCUUGACUAGUACAUUUUUCCAUAGAUUGUUGUUGUAAUUAAGAUAAAGGUAUAGUGAUUAGUCAUACUCCUAAUAUCAAUGUAAGGGUAUUUUAGAAAAAUAAUAGGCUAAAUUUACUCUUCCAACAAGGUUAACUAGUAAUUUUUCCUAAACUGUGUGAAAAAAAAAUCAAAACUAUCAAAAUGAGAUGGAAAGAGUAGAAGAAUUGGAAUAAUGAUUACGAGUUAUAGAACCUUGACAUUAUAUUGAAAUAGAAAUCCAUAAUUGUUGGUAUUUUUGCUCGAUCUGUAUAUGUAUAUAACUACUAGCCUAUUGAUACAUAUCAAUUAACAUGUGUAUAAUGAUAUGUAUAUUUCGAAAAUCAAACAAUUGAACUGAAAAAAAGUAAUGUUGGAUGACAUUUUAUGAUACUGUUGUAACGACAGGACAAGAGAAAACAUGGGAACAAUUUGAGGGCAACUAAAAUUCUGCGAGAUCUAGAUGUCUCCCUCAAGGUUUUUGACAUUCCUACUAUCCUCCCUCGAGGUUUUUAAAAUAUCAGAAAUCUCCCCUAUUAGGUUAUUAAGGCCCAUUCAUUGCAUUACUCAUGGAGAAAUGACUGAAAGAGUUUCCUAUCUCCACCAUUUUUAUUAGCUUACAGUUUUAUCUUCUAAGUCGAUUUGUGGAAUUCUCUGUUUUUAGACCUUAAAAUGGGGAACUUCAUCUUCAUACAUGUUUCGACUUCUUUCUUCUGAUGCCAUGUUCAUCACUCCUGCUGCCUUUCCUGCUAAAGUCAUGUAGAGGGUCGGUGAUAUUUUACUGAUUCCAGCUGUUCUUUUGCUCUGUCAACCUUCCGAUUUUCAACUCUCUACAAUGAUACAUAGACAAGAGCAUUAAGUUCUUCAGACACUUAUCCCAUAAUUCACCAAAUAAUUCACUAGAAUCUGCACCCACAAGGGCCUUAUUAUCAUAAUUAGCAAUUUGUUGCUUGCAAAGCCUGAGCUCCAUCUCAAGUGCACUAAUCCGAGACUCAACAGGUACAUCAUAUUGCUCAACCGUCUGCUUUUGCAUACCUCGAACUACCUCUGGUUGCCAAACUUUCAAUGCAUCUGAUGCUUGUCUGAUGGUAUGCAAGCAUUCCAAUAGCCAGUGCAUGAGCCCAUGGUUCGCCAUAUCGACCGAGUCGUAACUGGAACGGAGGGCCGAAUCACGAAUAUUACCAUAUCCGCGACGACUCGCUCUGAUUCGGCUGAUAUUGAAUGAUUCGAAUCCGUGAUACACGAUAUCGGCCAAUAUAUCCGAGUCAACUCGGAGUCGAUUCGGAUAUUUUUUUACAUUAUGUCUUUUUUGGUAUUUUCUAAUUUUAUUAAUUUUUUCAAAAUUUUUGGAAACUUUCAUGUGUUAUAAUAUGCGUAUCACCCGAUAUUCAUCCGUUAUGCCGCGACGGAUGUGGAACAAUCGAUACCGCGACCGCGACCGCGACCCACGAUGACGAACCAUGCAUGAGCCUAAAAUGUUCCAAUUUCAGAGAAAGCAUUAAACUUUGAAGAUUCUCCACCUUUGAUGUCUAGAACAGAACAGACACAUAUGUCAUUAGAUUGAAGGGCACCAGCAAUGAAAGAAUUUUCGUAAGCAGUCAUAUGGAGAUAUGUUUUGCUACCAGGACACUUACUUGGUUGUAGCCAUGGUUCAAAGACUCGGCCGAGUCGUCACUGGAACGGGGCUUUCCGAUUCGAUACUGGGACGAGAUGACUUUGAAAUAAUGAAUCGUCGAGAACUCGGCCGAGACGUCUCCGAGACGGAUAGAAGCGGCCGAGUCGCGCCCAAAUCAUCUCGAGUCAGCUCGAUAUUUUAUUAUUUUUGCUAAAUUUUUAAUUAUUUUUUUAUCAUAAUUUUUUACAAAUUUUAGAAUAUUAAAUAUUUCAAAAUUUUGUGUCUCGCAGAGACCGUGACGGAUAAGUCGAGACCGAUGUGGAACGGUCCGGAUCGCGACCGCAACCGCAACCAUGACUUUGAACCAUGGUUGUAUCACAUUCUGAACACUCACUGUAGAGGAGAUGGCUAUCUAGCCCUACUACACCUUCAACACCAAUAACCAUCAGAGGCAGCAGCAAACCAUAAAAGCUGCUUCUAAUAUCCAUGUUCCAGGUGCUUGUAAUGUGUCCUACCCUGCUCUUGUCUAAAAAUCUAUCCGAAGUCUCAGAUUGAUCGCAAGUAAUAUAAAAGUCUGUCUGAAUUCCCGGAUUGAUCACCAAGUAAUAUAUAAUUUGGCCAUUGUUCCUUGGUCGUUUCAACUCUAUUCAAUGAAUACGGAGUUAACUAGCUAAACUUAAAGAAGAUCAAAUUUUCAAUACUGAAAGAGUCAGCUUUCGCUAAUAUCUGAAAUGUCACCGUAGUUAACUAACAACCUUGAAGCAGUUUGGAAGCAGUUGCAAUUCAUUUGUUCUAUCAGGCAAACAAUAACACAAUCGUUUUAGGUUGCUUUUCUUUUCUUUUACACCUUUGCAAGUCAUCCCAAAAAACCCAAUUGCUGGAGUUGAAUAAAAGACCAACAACAAACUCAGCACAGGCUUUAAGAUUCUCAAUUUCUCAAGCCCGUAUCAAUCAUGAUUCAUCUCAACUCUAAUGUACGCCUGCCUGCCUGCAGAUGCUAGGGACUGUAGAAAGUAGAAACUGAUUAACCUUCGAGUUUAUCCCUUUAAUUAUGACAGUCCAUUUCAACUUGCAUACGUAUGUCCCUACUUUGUCUAUUAAGUACUUUUAUCAUGUUUGAACUAGUGAUAGACAUGUCCAUCCUGCUAUUCGAAAUCAAAACUAACAUUUCCUACUACCAACCAAUAAGAAGAGUCGCGUGAUCAAGUAUUUCUGGGCUCUUGAAGAGAGGAAUAUCCCAUCGCAUAUGCCUCCCUUUAAAUGAGUGUAUGGAGGGCUGCAGUGAAUUUGAACAACAUUAACACAGCUUUCAUUCAAUAUCACUCAAACUUGAAACUCUAGCAUCUUGGUACCAGUACAGGCGUGAAUGUGUUUGUUGAUGGUCAUCUGACCUUCAUGUAGUCAAGACCAUGAUUCAAAGACUCGGUCGAGCCAUCACCAGAACAGAACUCUUCGUUCCGAUACAGAGGCGAAAUGACUCCGAAAUACAUUAAUCACCGAGAAUUUGGCCGAAAAGUCUCCGACACUGUGUCAACCUGAGUUCAGCAUAUUUUGUCUAUAUUAUUUUGUUUCUUUUGCUAAUUUUUUAUUAUUUUUGUUUAGCAUAUUUUUUUAAUAUUAUUACAAACAACUUUUAGAAUAUUAAAUGGUUCAAAACUUGUGUUUCGUCGAGACGGUAAUCGAUACAUCGAGACCAAUGAUGUAAAACAGUCAGAACCGCGACCGCAACUGCAACCGUAACUUUGAACCAUGGUCAAGACUCAAGACUGAGUUUUGUCCUUGGUCCUUGCCAGAUUCUGGUUAGAUGAUCAUCAACAAACAUAUUCAGAGCAACCUGCAAAUCAGCUUGCUUUGACACUUAAUCCAAAUCAACAAUUUGUUGGAUCAGAUUGCAGCACGAUAAUAAAUUUCUCGUGAUAACCUUAUCUAUCAGCUAUUGCAUGAAUUUGUAAUUCAUCCAUACCGUUUCUUUUUGCAGGCCUGCCAUAUUUUUCUCUAAGUUGGGAUGUAACGCAAGCCCAACAAAUCAUGCUUGUUCAGAUUCAAAUGUGUACCUGCAUACUUCCAGCUCUUGGUUAACAUGCAGUAUAACAAAUCUUAAAGCUUCAAUAUCAUUUUACUAGUGGAUCACUCAAUUACUUGCUAAAUUUUAAUUUCAUGCGGUACCAUCAAGCUCUUACUAAGUUUUCAGUGCAUUUUUUGCAUCUGGAUCAAUUGCUGCUCAGUCGUCCUUUCUUUCACCUUCUCUUGCACAAUUGCUGCUGUUCCUUCUUCGAAACAAGUUUGGCCUAAAGAUCAGGUAUGGAAUUAGUUUCCUAUUCUUUCAUUCUUGGGUUUUCCUUCCAUUGAUUUUGUUCCAUGGAUUUUGCUUAUGAAUAUGUUUUUUUUUUGUGGUCCGAGGGCGAUUUGGCUGCAAAUUUUGAUUCACUGAUACAAUAAUAAACUCAUAACUCUAAGGGUCUGUUUGGUUGGACAGAAAACAUUUUCCAAAGUUUCUACUGUUGAGAUAUGAUUUCUGACGGCAUCUCCAGAAAUCACACCCUUUUCUUUUCACAGUCUGUAACUGAAAAAGACGAUUGAAGACUAUCCAUAAAAGACCAUCGGCAGCGACAUCUCAUCGGCAAACCAAUCCCUUCUUCGCCGACUGCAUCUCCAGCUCCGGCGGAGACCCACUUUCAGAGCUAAGCUACUCCUCCAAUAAGGUUAUUCUUCUUUUAAAAAUCAGCUACAAUUAUUAUCUCUCUCUCUCUCUCAUUUUUUUCCUUUAAAAGCAGCCAAUAUCAAGGCUCAUCCCCACUCUGGGGGCGAUAUCUCAUCCCUGUUCCUGCAACAGCAUCUCCAACAGGGGUGAAGACUCCUUAACUAUUUCUAGAGGUAUGAUGAUCUCUAAUUAGUUUUUUUUCCGCCUUUUUCCUUUGAAAAAUUGUCUAGAAUUUCUGGUGUAGGUUCUUUAAGUUGGAUUGGAAUGAAUUUUUGUGGGUUGCUUUUGUUUUAGUUUGCUCUUACCUGAUUAGGGUUACAUUUGAUUUGAUUGAUGCUAAUGAAUUAAUUUGGCUGCUGAAUUUUGGGCAAUUUAUGAUUCUUGGAAUCUGAUUAUUAAUCUUGGUGCCCUUGUCUCGACCCUCUAACUUGCUCCGAAUCCAGGUAGGGGACGGUAGUGCUUUUCUUACAAUCUGGUGAGAUCAUUUGUAAAAGCUUUAGUGCAUUCAUUGAGUUUGUGAAGCCACGGGCUGAUUCUUGCCAUAGGUGCUUGAUUGAAAAGGGGUUAAUUAAUAAUAUAAGUCAAAACUUUGAAACCAAAAAAAAAAAGAUCUUGCCACCAAGUCUAUCUCAGCAACCUUAAACUUUUCAGUUCCAUUAACUUAAUAUAACCGUGGAAAAACAUAACGCUUUGGAUAUAUUCCCAAAUCAGUGAAUGUUUUGACAUAGCAGCAAGCAAAUCACCAAAUGGCAAUGACGACUCUGUCGUAAAAUGAUCACUGAGGUUUGUCAUCUUGGCAAAUACAGGAAACGACAAAUAAGUACUCUACAGGUUGUUGGUGGCCAUUUUCCAUGGAAGUCUAGAAUUGGGUGCAAUGGGCACAAUAUACGGCCCUCAAUAAAUCCCCACCACAAGCCUUAUUUGAAAAAGAAUCUAAAUGCUAGCCAUAGAUGUCAUUGAGGUUCAGCUUCGUUGAUCUUUCUAUGACCAACCUUUUUGAAAUUUGAAUAGAAUGUUUUCAUGCUGCAGGACAAAGUUGAAGCAAACAGAAGUUGACUACCAGAAUUUUGAUAAUGCCUGAAUCACUUACUUUAAAAAAGAAAGUUUGUACUUGAUUACACUAAAGUUUUACUGAAUUAUAAUAUACAGUAAUUAAGGGGAAUUAUUAAAGUUUUACUUCAAUAUGCAAGUGAGGUAUGUAUAAACAUUGAUAUAUGAGAUAUUCAUUGAAUAAUAAGUUGAGAUUCAUGCAUCCUUGCCCUUUCAACUUACUUGGAUUGCACUCUUUGAAUGACUUCCUUCUAAAAGACUUCUCGUCCUUUUCUGAAAGUAUUUGGCACUAAAAAAGACCUCAAUGAUUGUGCAUUGCACUGCCAUUGAACUUCAACAAAUAUAUUGCCAUCAUGAAUUCAUACACUUACUAGUUCUUUAUUUUUACAUAAAUAAUAUAGUCAAAAGCUACCUUCUUGGAAUCUGAUUAUUAAUUGCAGUGGCUUUUAUCCAUUGGGAACUUGCACUUGCAAUUCUAACUAUCUUUAAAGAUUUGGGGUGGAGAGUUGCUUGACUUAGGCGUUCAGUUUGUUCAUUUGGAGCAGAGUUUGUCCUUUCGGAUAUGGACUAUCCAGGAAGUUGUAAUUGAAUAUGUUUGUUGCUGUUGUUGAUGGAUUAUCAUUUUUUCCUCCUAAGCUUCUUGUGGAUUUCAAUUGUUGGCAUUUGCUGGUGUUCUAGUAUUGUAUACUAGUUUGUUUAGAGCAAUGUCCUUUAAUGAUUUUGCGAAGCUGCACAAUGGACAUGGGAACUUGGACUGUUUCAUUACGCUUACAUUCUUGUUUUUCGUUGUAAUCAGUGAUUAUUGCUUGUAGUAUGAUCAGAUGAACAAGAUGUUGAUUGUGACUAUUUAAAGACACUAAGCAAUUUUCUUUUGGUGGAAACUGACCCUUGGAGAGUGCUCUGUUUCUUUUGUCUAGAGCCAUAGUUGUCAAAAGAAGACAUAGUUGUUAGAAUCAAUGUUGCAGACCUGACUGCAUAAUGUUGGCAAGUUGUGUAUUGAUGUAAAUUCCUAGGAUAAAGGUUUCAGUUGUGAUUAUUUUCUAAUUCAAAGGGUGUAGGUAUUGGUAAUGGUUGUACUGAGGUAUUCUGCUUGGCUUGUUGAUUAAGUUGAUCAUCUGCUUACAACAAAGAACAAUUAUUCUUUCUUCAAUUUUGUGUCUUAAAUGACUGCAUGUUUUGUGGCAUUCUGCUUGGCUUGUUGCUUAAGUUGGUCCUUAAAGAAGAUGAUAAUUAAUUUUAGUUACCUGAUACCAAAUAUCAAGUUGGUUGAUGACCUGGAUGCACAUUUUGUGGCAAAAAUUAUUUAUGGAUUCUAGUUUGUACAGCAUAAAAAAAGGUUGAUUCGGAGAUAAAAUUGCACAGCUUGCUAAGUUUUGGAUUUAGGAGAAGACGGUGCAGCACUUGAAGAACUUAAGUUUUGUAUACUUGGACCAUGAAAGUCGCCUUCUAAAUUUCUUGGAUUAGUCUUUACAUAUCCAGAGAUAAAGCUUUUGAGAAUGGGAAAAUAUUUGCAACAUUGCCAACAAACACUAAAAAAGGAAGUCAGAAAAUAUUUUCACUGACAAACCAAACACCAAAAAAUUAUGAAAAAAGGAAUUUGGAAACUAUUUUCACUAAAUAACCGAACACCGGAAAAUUAUGGAGAAGGAAGUGAUUUUCCAGGAAAAUGACUUCGAUGGAAAAUAUUUAUUUUCCGUCCAACCAAACGGACUCUAAGCUAUCUGAUUUUUCCAUGCUUUACAUAACUCAAACUAAGAGAGAUCAGUUGGCGAUUUUGCUUGUAGACUGUAGCACCAGUUAAAAUUACCUUGAACAACUACAGGUUGACAUCUUAUUUGUUUUCUUUGGUUUUUCUUCUUAAAAUACACUAUGGAAAGAGGAAACAAUUGGGUUAUAGAAAUGGGAAAAAAUCAAAUGUUAGUAAAUAUGUUUCCUCAAGUUGAUAUUUAAUGAGUUGCUAUUACUCUGGAUGUGGAAUUGAUGAACAAAGCAGCCAGGAGGCAUAGAUGCAUAAAAUUGUUGAUGGAUACAAGUCCUUUCAAGUUGCAAUCUCUUCCCCUUUUGUCUUAGCUCUUCUAUAUGGCAAAUUGUUGAUCAAAUCUACUGAAACAAGCAUUCUUUUGCCUUGAACGAUCUGGUUCUAUCAGGAUCAAUCUAUUUAUCCUCUUUGUUUUUUUCCCCUCUAACAAAGCCAGUGUGGUGCCUUGUUCUAUUUGGAUUCUACUUGUGGUUAGAUUGUGCUUAGUUGAAUUCACUUCUAAUUCUUUUUUCAUUUUGGGAUGAUUUAGGUUUUGCUGAAGGUGAAACUAAGUGCAAAAUGCUCUAGAAUGUUCCACAUCAGAUUGUGCAAUCUCCAGCUCGGCUAGGGUUACCAAAUCCAAAUUCACCUUCUCUUCAAAACACUACUCCGGCUAAGUUUGCCUCCCAAGCCCAACAAUCUCAUCCGCCAAAUCAACAGUCAAAUGCAUCAAGCAUUAUUUCAACUUCUUCAACACUGCUUCGUCUCCUUCCCCCUCUGCCAAGAGCUCAGUCUAUUCUUCUGCAAAUGUCCUCACUUGCCUCAAGACUUUUUGAUGUCUCACCUAAUAGGUCGCAUUGGAUUAGCGCAUUUCGAGGUUCCCUACCCUCCUUCUUGUCUUCCCAAUCCCAACCUUUGACAUCAACUGCACCAGAUUCCUACCCUUCUUCCUCCAAAGAAAUUCUCGCUCUUUUCACAAACCUUCAAACUCAGCUAUUUGAAGCUGUUGCAGAGCUCCAAGAAAUUCUUGAUCUUCAAGAUGGAAAACAGAAACUCUCGCACGAAAUCAGGUCAAAAGAUGCUGCAAUUCUUGCACUUGCAAGCAAGCUCAAAGAAGCUGAGCAGGUUCUUGACAACCUUGUGGAUGAUUACUCGGAUUAUCGCCGUUCAAAACGGUCCAAGUCAGAAGAUGUUGCAGAAGAUUCUUCAACCACCACUGUGGCAUCUCAGCUGAAGCUUUCUGAUAUAUUGUCAUAUGCCCAUAGGAUAAGCUACACUACUUUUGCACCACCAGAAUUUGGUGCUGGACAGGCUCCUCUCCGUGGGGCACUCCCCCUGCUCCACAGGAGGAGCAAAUGCGGGGCAUCCCAACUGUACGCUUUUGCUGAUCAUGAUGUUGGUUUACCAAAAACAGAUGAGGAUAAGAAGAAAACUAUAGAGCCAUUGAUCGAAACUCCUGUUGGGCAACCAGCAGAGCCAAAUCCAUUGGCCAAUCUUGCUGGAAUGCAGGGUCUACUUCCACCUAAUAUUGCUGUGCCACCAGGAUGGAAACCUGGAAUGCCCGUGGAGUUGCCCAAUGAUCUACCUAUUCUUCCUCCACCUGGUUGGAAGCCCGGUGAUCCAAUGGCACUGCCCCCAUUGGAUUCUCUUCCUAUACAUCCUGGAAUUGAAGAGCAACAACCUCAGCAUAUCUCCCCUCCAAUGCUUACAAAGACACCCGAGCCUAUACAAGUUCGGCAUGUGCAGCUUGACAUUGACGAUGAUAGUAGUGAUUAUAGCAGUGAUGUUGGUAGCUCUGACAGUGAAGAUUAGUCCUAGACUCCAGUGCUUUUAUGUCGAUGUAAAUUCUGAAAUGCUACGUAGAGCAUCUUUCAAAGAGGAUUGAAGUUGCUAUCUCUAGCCUGUACUUUCUGCUGAUGAAAUUGAAGUUUUACUAGAAUUCUGCAAUUCCUCAAAGAUUGUCUAACUGUGUUUGCAUACCUAGAAUAUUCUUUCAAUUUGCUGAACAUUUCUCGCAAUCCGUUCUAGUACUGGUUUUGAUUCUAAGGUGUUAUUGGAAGCCUAGUUGAGUGAGCAUGAUCUUUUAAAUUUGUGACAAUAUGGACCAGUACACUGAUAUUACACACUUAUGUAAUGUUUUUAUGUAGAUUCUGAGGCAAUAGAUUUUAAUGUUUUACCUUUGACAUACUUUUGUGAUAGUUGAUCAUCUUCUGGACAGUCGUACGUAUAUUGUGUCUUCCGCAAGAUGAGGAACGAAUGAAAGCAGAAAAGCUGUACCUUUUCCUCAGUCAAUACAUCUAAGUACUUCCUAUUUGGGCUGAUAGGUGGGAAUUUACUUAGGUUACUCCAGACAUCCUAACAUAGGAAUAUUGUACUCAGGUUCGUAACACGCUGUAUAAGGGUACCGAUUUGUGUAGCUGUAAACAUAAAAGCAUUUUUCAUCGCAGUCGCUCUAGAAUCUUAAUGCUUGAUGAUUGACAAACGUUUGUUAAAUGAGAUGUAAAGUUAUCAAUGAAUAUGUUGUAAAGAAUUAAAUCAACUGAUGUAAGAAAUGUUGAAGUAGCAGGUGUUGGCAAAAGAGAAAAAAAAAUUGCUUGUUUUAAAGGGAAACUGAAGCAUAAUUCCCUGCAAAGAUCACAGGACAAAUAGGAAAACAAGUUGAGGAGGAAAAAAAUUCACAAAAUUUUCAGAUACUUGUCAGCCCUUGUGAGGUCGCGGACAUUAUAGCAGAAUCAUCUAAGAAAUGAAAAUCCAAGUUACAGAUUGAUGCAGUACAGAAAUUACAGUUUUGGCAAUGGAAAAAAAUUCAAGGGUUGGCUGCAAUAGAAGUUUUCUUCUCUGCCAUGACAAAUUCAUUAGAUUUUAGUAUAGGCAUUGCUCUUCUGGUGUUGGUUGUUGCUUGUGCCCUGAAUGCUCUGAUGUUUCUGACAGCAAGGUUUAUGAAUGAAUGAAUCCCUAUUAUAUGUUGUCAUAGUCAAAUCUUUACGUGACGUGAGAGAAGUACAAAUCCUCUGAUACAUGCAAUCCAAUCCUCACUACUAAUCUGACAUCUAAGCUAAUUUGACUGAAAUAAGAAUGUAUUAUUAAUGAUGAUGAAGAAGAUGAUAUGUACAAUUUUACAUGGCACCGAGCAGCAGCCUAAAGAAAUCUAACUUAAUAAUCGCGAAUAUUACCACAUCCGCAACGACUCGCUCUAUUGAACGAUUCGAAUCCGUGAUGCAUGAUAUCGGCCGAUACAUCCGAGUUAACUUGGAGUCGAUUUGGAUAUUUUUUUAAAUUGUGUCCUUUUUGGUAUUUUCUAAUUUUAUUAAUUUUUUCAAAAUUUUUGGAAACUUUCAUGUGUUAUAAUGUGCGUAUCACCCGAUAUUCAUCCGUUAUGCCGCGAUGGAUGUGGAACAAUCGAUACCGCGAUGCUACCGCGACCCGCGAUGGCGAGCCAUGCAUGAGCCUAAAAUGUUCCAAUUUCAGAGAAAGCAUUAAACUUUGAAGAUUCUCCACCUUUGAUGUCUGGUACAGAACAGACACAUAUGUCUUUAGAUUGAAGGGCACCAGCAAUGAAAGAAUUGUCGUAGGCAAUCAUAUGGAGAUAUGUUUUGCUAAGAGGACACUUACUUGGUUGUAUCCAUGGUUCAAAGACUCGGCCGAGUCGUCACUGGAACGGGGCUUCCCGAUCCGAUAUUGGGACGAGAUGACUCUGAUAUAAUGAAUCGUCGAGAAAUCGGCCGAGACGGAUGGAAACGGCCGAGUCGCGCCCGAAUCAUCCCGAGUCAGCUCGAUAUUUUAUUAUUUUUGCUAAAUUUUUAAUUAUUUUUUUAUCAUAAUUUUUUACAAUUUUUAGAAUAUUAAAUAUUUCAAAAAUUUGUGUCUCGCCGAGACCGUGACGGAUAAGUCGAGACAGAUGUGGAACGGUACGAACCGCGACCGCAACCGCAACCAUGACUUUGAACCAUGGUUGUAUCACAUUCUGAACACUCACUGCAGAGGAGAUGACUCUCUAGCCCUACUACACUUUCAGCACCAAUAACCAUCAGAGGCAGCAACAAACCAUAAAAGCUGCUUCUAAUAUCUAUGUUCCAGGUGCUUGUAAUGUGUCCUACCCUGCUCUUGUCUAAAAUUCUAUCCGAAGUCUCAGAUUGAUCGCAAGUAAUAUAAAAGUCUGUCUGAAUUCCCGGAUUGAUCACCAAGUAAUAUAUAAUUUGGCCAUUGUUCCUUGGUCGUUUCAACUCUAUUCAAUGAAUACGGAGUUAACUAGCUAAACUUAAAGAAGAUCAAAUUUUCAAUACUGAAAGAGUCAGCUUUCGCUAAUAUCUGAAAUGUCACCGUAGUUAACUAACAACCUUGAAGCAGUUUGGAAGCAGUUGCAAUUCAUUUGUUCUAUCAGGCAAACAAUAACACAAUCGUUUUAGGUUGCUUUUCUUUUCUUUUACACCUUUGCAAGUCAUCCCAAAAAACCCAAUUGCUGGAGUUGAAUAAAAGACCAACAACAAACUCAGCACAGGCUUUAAGAUUCUCAAUUUCUCAAGCCCGUAUCAAUCAUGAUUCAUCUCAACUCUAAUGUACGCCUGCCUGCCUGUAGAUGCUAGGGACUGUAGAAAGUAGAAACUGAUUAACCUUCGAGUUUAUCCCUUUAAUUAUGACAGUCCAUUUCAACUUGCAUACGUAUGUCCCUACUUUGUCUAUUAAGUACUUUUAUCAUGUUUGAACUGGUGAUAGACAUGUCCAUCCUGCUAUUUGAAAUCAAAACUAACAUUUCCUGCUACCAACCAAUAAGAAGAGUCGCGUGAUCAAGUAUUUUUGGGCUCUUGAAGAGAGGAAUAUCCCAUCGCAUAUGCCUCCUUUUAAAUGAGUGUAUGGAAGGUUCCAGUGAAUUUGAACAACAUUAACACAGCUUUCAUUCAAUAUCACUCAAACUUGAAACUCUAGCAUCUUGGUACCAGUACAGGCGUGAAUGUGUUUGUUGAUGGUUAUCUGACCUUCAUGUAGUCAAGACCAUGGUUCAAAGACUCGGCCGAGCCAUCACCAGAACGGAACUCUUCGUUCCGAUACAGAGGCGAAAUGACUCCGAAAUACAUUAAUCACCGAGAAUUUGGCCAAGAAGUCUCCGACACCGUGUCAUCCUGAGUUCAGCAUAUUUUGUCUAUAUUAUUUUGUUGCUUUUGCUAAUUUUUUAUUAUUUUUGUUUAGCAUAUUUUUUUAAUAUUAUUACAAACAACUUUUAGAAUAUUAAAUGGUUCAAAAUUUGUGUUUCGUCGACACGGUGAUAUAUAUAUCGAGACCGAUGAUGUGAAACGGUCAGAAUCGCGACCGCAACCACAACUUUGAACCAUGGUCAAGACUCAAGAUUGAGUUUUCUCCUUGGUCCUUGCCAGAUUCUGGUUAGAUGAUCAUCAACAAACAUAUUCAGAGAAACCUGCAAAUCAGCUUGCUUUGACACUUAAUCCAAAUCAACAAUUUGUUGGAUCAGAUUGCAGCAUGAUAAUAAAUUUCUCGUGAUAACCUUAUCUAUCAGCUAUUGCAUGAAUUUGUAAUUCAUCCAUACCGUUUCUUUUUGCAGGCCUGCCAUAUUUUUCUCUAAGCUGGGAUGUAAUGCAAGCCCAACAAAUCAUGCUUGUUCAGAUUCAGCUGUGUACUUGCAUACUUCCUGCUCUUGGUUAACAUGCAGUAUAACAAAUCUUAAGGCUUCAAUAUCAUUUUACUAGUGGAUCACUCUCAAUUACUUGCUAAAUUUUAAUUUCAUGUUGUACCAUCAAGCUCUUACUAAGUUUUCAGUGCACUUUUUGCAUCUGGAUCAAUUGCUGCUCAGUCGUCCCUUCUUUUACCUUCUCCUGCACAAUUGCUGCUGUUCCUUCUUCGAAACAAGUUUGGCCUAAAGAUCAGGUAUGGAAUUAGUUUCCUAUUCUUUCAUUCUUGGGUUUUCCUUACAUUGAUUUUGUUCCAUGGAUUUUGCUUAUGAAUAUGUUUUUUUUUGUGGUCCUAGUGCGAUUUGGCUGCAAAUUUUGAUUCACUGAUACAAUAAUAAACUCAUAACUCUAAGGGUCUGUUCGAUUGGACAGAAAACAUUUUCCAAAGUUUCUACUGUUGAGAUAUGAUUUCUGACGGCAUCUCCAGAAAUCACACCCUUUUCUUUUCACAGUCUGUAACUGAAAAAGAUGAUUGAAGACUAUCCAUAAAAGACCAUCGGCAGCGACAUCUCAUCGGCAAACCAAUCCCUUCUUCGCCGACAGCAUCUCCAGCUCCGGCGGAGACCCACUUUCAGAGGUAAGCUACUCCUCCAAUAAGGUUAUUCUCCUUUUAAAAAUCAGCUACAAUUAUCAUCUCUCUCUCUCUCAUUUUUUUUCUUUAAAAGCAGCCAAUAUCAAGGCUCAUCCCCACUCUGGGGGCGAUAUCUCAUCCCUGUUCCUGCAACAGCAUUUCCAACAGGGGUGAAGACUCCUUAACUAUUUCCAGAGGUAUGAUGAUCUCUUAUUAGUUUUUUUCCGCCAUUUUCCUUUGAAAAAUUGUCUAGAAUUACUGGUGUAGGUUCUUGAAGUUGGAUUGGAAUGAAUUUUUGUGGGUUGCUUUUGUUUUAGUUUGCUCUUACCUGAUUAGGGUUACAUUUGAUUUGAUUGAUGCUAAUGAAUUAAUUUGGCUGCUGAAUUUUGGGCAUUUUAUGAUUCUUGGAAUCUGAUUAUUAAUCUUGGUGCUCUUGUCUCGACUCUCUAACUUGCUCCGAAUCCAGGUAGGGUAGGGUAGUGUUUUUCUUACAAUCUGGUGAGACCAUUUGUAAAAGUUUUAGUGCAUUCAUUGAGUUUGUGAAGCCACGGGCGGAUUCUUGCCAUAGGUGCUUGAUUGAAAAAGGAGUUAUUUAAUAAUAUAAGUCAAAACUUUGAAACCAAAAAAAAAAAAAAAGAUCCUUCCCCCAAGUCUAUCGGAGCAGCCUUAAACUUUUCAGUUCCAUUAACUUAAUAUAACCGUGGAAACACAGAAUGCUUUGGAUAUAUUCCCAAAUCAGUGAAUGUUUUGACAUAGCAACAAGCGAAUCACCCAAUGGCAAUGACGACUCUGUCGUAAAAUGAUCACUGAGGUUUGUCAUCUUGGCAAAUACAAGAAACCACAAAUAAGUAUUCUACUAAAGAAGAUGCGGCCAGAAGUAAAACCGGACUUACACAGGACAUAGUCCAUAGACAUCAUCGGGGAACUGGGGACAAAAUCACUAAAACAGAAAAAGGUACUUGCUGGGUUUAUCUUGUUGGGUUGUUAAGCAAUGCUAGCUUCUAUAAGGGCUGCACAAAUCUUUUAUUUAUAGCAGUACUUAUCAGCGUUUAAUUUCGGAUAGACUCAUGAAUUCCUUUGGUCCUUUUCUCGAGCAACGAAUAUAUUGAUGGAGUUCUUGUUUGUUGGCAAAUUUCAAAGUCUUCAUUCCCUGUCAAGGUUAGACUUCGUAGUUCUCUAAAACGUCAAGAUUAUUUGGAAAUGUUGCAGCAUCUUUCCCUGUUUCUGAUGAUAUCUCUAUCUGCCCUAAAUCAUUUAAUCUUAUCAUUUAUCACAUGUAUUCUGCUUGCUUCAUCACUUGACUUUAUUUCCAAGUGCCAAGUUCCAACUUGUUGAAUAUCAAGAAAAAAACCUUAUUCUGGUCCCAUUUUGGCAUUUUCAAGUUAGAAGCUUUUGUUUUUCUAAGGAGUAAUACUUGUACACAUUUAGCUGAGGUUAUGUCCCUAAUUUUAGAAGCAUGUAAAUCUAAAGUCACAUUGUUUAGACAUUUAAAAUAAUAAGCCUAGAACUUUUAGACCAGGACAAACAAUGAGGGAGAGCACCUGAUUGCCCAUUUUCUUUCAAAUUAAUCUUACAAUUUGGUUCCUCCCAUGUUUAAGAUAUCUGUCAAUUGAAACCCAUGCUUGAGUUAGUGUUUCCCCAGAUUAACAUACUCUCUAGUAAAACGACAACAUCAAAUCUUAGCAUUGUAAAGUUUUUUAUUGGAUGAGCACAAUAUAGCCAGGUGUACCAACAGUCGAAUAAGCCUGUAAUGUACCAACAUUGAUUACUCAAGGAACUUAAAAGAUUCAUGCAUCCUUGCCUUGCCCAGUUUCUACAAGAUGUUAUAGCAACUCUUUAAAGAUGGAGCUAUGUAGCAUUUGUUGAUCUUUUAACAUAUUUAAUGAAGUGCAAAGGAUUGUAAUUUCCUCAAGUUGGUCGUUUACUAGGAUUUCCAAAUAGUAAUGGUUGACAAGGACAGACUAGUAGCAAAGAAGUAAAUUUCAUAACCUUUUUUUUAAUCUCAAUUUCAGAUAUAAAAAUUACUCAUUGGAUGGAUUUUGUGUAAAACCAGACUGGUCAUUGCAUUCUCAAACUUCAGUUGUAUAGGAGUAACAGACUUGUGUACUUCCAUCAAUAUGGCUUUUUCAGCACUUAAAUUCGUAAAUUGCCAAAAAGCUCAAAUCUUCUGCUAUCUAUUUCUUUGUGUUGCAUUAGCCUAAAACUUAUGGAUGAUGGAUUAGGAAAGGAAAUAGACAUUUAAUUUUCAUAUCAAAGUUACAAGUUGUUGGUGGCCAUUUUCCAUGGAAGUCUAGAGUUGGGUGCAAUGGGCACAAUAUACGGCCCUCAAUAAAUCCCCACCACAAGCCUUAUUUGAAAAAGAAUCUAAAUGCUAGCCAUAGAUGUCAUUAAGGUUCAGCUUCGUUGAUCUUUCUAUGACCAACCUUUUUGAAGUUUGAAUAGAAUGUUUUCAUGCUGUAGGACAAAGUUGAAGCAAACAGAAGUUGACUACCAGAAUUUUGAUAAUGCCUGAAUCACUUGCUUUAAAAAAGAAAGUUUGUACUUGAUUACACUAAAGUUUUACUGAAUUAUAAUAUACAGUAAUUAAGGGGAAUUAUUAAAGUUUUACUUCAAUAUGCAAGUGAGGUAUGUAUAAACAUCAAUGGUUUCAAACUCGGCCGGACUGGCCGGUUCGACCGCGACCCGACCAUGUGUCCGGUCCGGUUCAUAGCCUAUGGUGACUUGGUCCAAGAACCGGUCAAACUCGUAAAAACCGUUUAAAUCGGAAUGAACCGUGAACCGCGGUUUUUUAAUUUUUGGCAAAAUUGACUGAAUUUUGACGAGUAAAUUCCCAAAAAGAGGGAUUUUUUAAUCUAACUUCCCAAAGGGUGGCGAUUUUUGAGUCUCUUCUCAAAGGGUGAAAAAUGCAUUCAAGGAAUGCGUUUUUUCAAAUAAAAACGUAAUUUUCAAAUACGUUAUUUUAAUUUUCAUAAAUUUAUUUAAAUAGAAAAAAUUGGUUAAAAACGCAUUAGUGGAAUGCAUUGUUUGAUAGAAAACGCAUUUCGCUAAUGCGCUAUUGUUUAAGAAACCCAUUAGAUGAAUGCGGUUUUCGUUUAUCAAUAUGUACCACUUUUUUCCAUUUCUUUGAUCUUGACUUGGGUUAUGUAAGGUUUUUUUUUUAAAAAAAAUAUUAUCUUAUUAUUUUAUGGAAGUUAUUAUUAAUUUAGCUCACUAACACAAGUCAAGAUAAAAAAAAAAUUUAUUUCAUAGUUGUUAUUAAUUUAUCUGGUAUAGAUUUCAUUUCAAGUUUGCAAAGGCUUAAAGGUUUUUGAACUUUGGAUUUUACAUAUGCAUGCACAUAUUUUGUAUCUUAAAUGUUGGUAAUUUGUCUUAAAAAUCGUAACAAUUUUUCUAAAGAAAAUUUUACGAUUCAUAAAAAGUUAAUCCUAAAUAUUUAGUGUAAAAAUAUGAUGGCCCAAAAUGAGUUAGAAUAAUCACAUAUCUUGAAAACUUUAAUCAAAGGGAAAAUUGCGAAACUCCUCUCAUUUUUCCUCAUUUUCAACUAUUUAUAUCACAUGUUAAGCAAAAACUUGCAUAUUCAAAUAUGUCAUAAGGGGAUAUAAUGUCACAUCUAAUUUUAUAUACUAUGUUUACUUGGUUUUCAAUCCAAAUUUUCUUAUACAAUAAGAAUUCUUAUAACAAGACAAGUACCGGGGAUUAGAAUAGAUUCCUAGAUAUGCUAAAAACUCAUUUAGCAAUCAGUUUUUUUUUAUUAAUAAACGCAUUUCCAAAAUGGGUUUUAGGCCAAAAAAUGCAUUCAUUAAAUGAGACUUUUUAAAACAGCGCAUCCCACUAAUGCAUUUUUUAACUAAUUUUUUCUAUUUAAAUAAAUUUAUGAAAAUUAAAAUAACGUAUUUAAAAAUUACGUUUUUAUUUGAAAAUCAUUCGGGGAGAGACUAAAAAAUUACCGCCCUUUAGGAAGUUAGAUUAAAAAAUCCCUCUUUUUGGGAAUUUACUCGAAUUUUGACCGAUUUAUCUAAACCUAAUCUCCGGUUCACUCUUCAAUCUUCAUUCAGUCUUCUUCUUCGCUGCGCCGCUUCGCCGCUUCGGUCUUCCCACUUCCCCUGCAAUUGCCAAAAUUGCCUGCCGUCCCUAAUCCCUUAUCCAAACUCCAAUCUUUGAUCCAGUGCUAUUUCCACACUUGCUCAUCGAUCAAUACCCAAUUUCUUCCCGUUAGAUUUUCCUCCAGGAAUUUGGGCGAUAACCAGUUCACUGACCUACCUCACUGUCAAAGAAUAGCGGCUUAAAUUUAGUGUAAGCUUGCUCAAACUUUAAUCUCAUCCUCGUUUUGGUUCCAUUAUAUAGAGUUUUCUGUUAGAUGGAUAAACUGCUUGGUUAUAAAAGUUUAGAAACUUUUAGAGGUAAGUUUAGAGGUAAGCAACUUACCUCUGGAUUGCUGCUUGUCACUGGUAAGUUUAGAAAUCUUGCAUUUCUUUACGUGAUUUUGUUUUUGGUUUUUAGUCUUAAUUUAAAAAAAUUUGUGGGGUUCUGAGUCCUUGGUGGUGUUUAAUGAAUUGCCGUAAAAAAGAUUUGAAAGUAAUUUUAAUUGUUUCCUUUGUGUUAAAAUUUCAAGUUUCUUGCUGAUGAUAUAAUGCAGCGAUUGAGUUGUAAACUUGUGGGAUUCUGUGGAAAUAAUUGCAUCUCUAAUUUGAUGCCUUUUCUAAGGUCAAAUGGUUUUUGAUAAACAAUUUGAUGGUUGUCUGAUGAGUAUUAGGUUACAUUAUAUGGAAUUCGUAUGGUUAAAUUUGGGCAGUUGUAGCAUAUCUUCUUAGGUCCAACAGCUACUGAUUGGCUUAGAAUGGAGGUGCUACUGACAAAAUGUUGGAAGGAUGAAGAUAAAACAAUGGUUUUAACUUAAUUAAUGUAGAUGAGAUUUUACUUAACCUAAUGUAGAUGAGUCUGUUUUGUCUUCUGUUGGACGUGAGCUGAGUAUAUGGUUUCAAAGGGCUUCCAUAUUGACGUGCUAAUCCAAAGUCACAGAUCUUCAACUCACCACAAUUAUUUAAAAGUAUAUUUGAUGUCUUUAAAUCUCUGUGCAAAACCCAGUUAUCAUGAAGAUACUUAACACCCUCAAGAAGCUGAAGCAUGAGGCACUUAACUUCACUCUCCCUAAACGGUUGUUUCAUUGUCUCCAUUAACCACUUCAGAUCUUUGGUGACAGUUUCAGUUCCCAAAUACAAAUAGUCUUAAGCAUCAUUGAUUCUACUAAAAUUAUUGCAUUGCAUCAAAAUUUAUAUCUUAUAUUGCAUUGCAUCAUUGGUGACAGUUUCAGUUUUUUUGUUAAUUCUAAUAUUUAGACAAUUGGACAUAUAAGUUGGAUAACUAUGAUAUUGCUCUUAUUUUAAUUGUGGUUUAUCAUUUAUAUCUUAUUUUGUGCAUAGGUGUGUGUGUGUGUCUAUAUAUAUAUAUAUAUAUAUAUAUAUAUAUAUACAUAUAUAUAUUUAUUUAUUUAUUUAUUGAACCGGGGUUGAGCCGGUCCGACCGGUUGAACCUCGACCCUUUCAUUUCACCGGUUCGAUUAACAGUCCGGGUUUUAAAACAUUGAUAAACAUUGAUAUAUGAGAUAUUCAUUGAAUAAUAAGUUGAGAUUCAUGCAUCCUUGCCCUUUCAACUUACUUGGAUUGCACUCUUUGAAUGACUUCCUUCUAAAAGACUUCUCGUCCUUUUCUAAAAGUAUUUGGCCCUAAAAAAGACCUCAAUGAUAGUGCAUUGCACUACCAUUGAACUUCAACAAAUAUAUUGCCAUCACGAAUUCAUACACUUACUAGUUCUUUAUUUUUACAGAAAUAAUAUAGUCAAAAGCUACCUUCUUGGAAUCUGAUUAUUAAUUUCAGUGGCUUUUAUCCAUUGGGAACUUGCACUUGCAAUUCUGACUAUCUUUAAAGAUUUGGGGGUGGAGAGUUGCUUGACUGCUUUUAUCCAUUGGGAACUUGCACUUGCAAUUCUGACUAUCUUUAAAGAUUUGUGGUGGAGAGUUGCUUGACUUAGGCUUUCAGUUUGUUCAUUUGGAGCAGAGUUUGUUCUUUCGGAUAUGGACUAUCCAGGAAGUUGUAAUUGAAUAUGUUUGUUGCUGUUGUUGAUGGAUUAUCAUUUUUUCCUCCUAAGCUUCUUGUCGAUUUCAAUUGUUGGCAUUUGCUGGUGUUCUAGUGUUGUAUACUAGUUUGUUUAGAGCAAUGUCCUUUAAUGAUUUUGUGAAGCUGCACAAUGGACAUGGGAACUUGGACUGUUUCAUUAUGCUUACAUUCUUGUUUUUUGUUGUAAUCAGUGGUUAUUGCUUGUAGUAUGAUCAGAUGAACAAGAUGUUGAUUGUGACUAUUUAAAGACACUAAGCAAUUUUCUUUUGGUGGAAACUGACCCUUGGAGAGUGCUCUGUUUCUUCUGUCUAGAGCCAUAGUUGUCAAAAGAAGACAUAGUUGUUAGAAUCAAUGUUGCAGACCUGACUGCAUAAUGUUGGCAAGUUGUGUAUUGAUGUAAAUUCCUAGGAUAAAGGUUUCAGUUGUGAUUAUUUUCUGAUUCAAAGGGUGUAGGUAUUGGUAAUGGUUGUACUGAGGUAUUCUGCUUGGCUUGUUGCUUAAGUUGAUCAUCUGCUUACAUCAAAGAUGAAUUAUUCUUUCUUCAAUUUUGUGUCUUAAAUGACUGCAUGUUUUGUGGUAUUCUGCUUGGCUUGUUGCUUAAGUUGGUCCUUAAAGAAGAUGAUAAUUAAUUUUAGUUACCUGAUACCAAAUAUCAAGUUGGUUGAUGACCUGGAUGCACAUUUUGUGGCAAAAAUUAUUUAUGGAUUCUAGUUUAUACAGCAUAAAUAAAGGUUGAUUUGGAGAGAAUAUUGCACAGCUUGCUAAGUUUUGGGUUUUGGAGAAGACGGUGCAGCACUUGAAGAACUUAAGUUUUGUAUAAAAUUGUUGAUGGAUACAAGUCCUUUCAAGUUGCAUUCUCUUCCCCUUUUGUCUUAGCUCUUCUAUAUGGCAAAUUGUUGAUCAAAUCAACUGAAACAAGCAUUCUUUUGCCUUGAACGAUCUGGUUCUAUCAGGAUCAAUCUAUUUAUCCUCUUUGUUUUUUUCCCCUCUAACAAAGCGCCAGUGUGGUGCCUUGUUCUAUUUGGAUUCUACUUGUGGUUAGAUUGUGCUUAAUUGAAUUCACUUGUAAAUCUUUUUUCUUUUUGGGAUGAUUUAGGUUUUGCUGAAGGUGAAACUAAGUGCAAAAUGCUCCAGAAUGUUCCACAUCAGAUUGUGCAAUCUCCAGCUAGGCUAGGGUUACCAAAUCCAAAUUCACCUUCUCUUCAAAACACUACUCCGGCUAAGUUUGCCUCCCAAGCCCAGCAAUCUCAUCCACCCAAUCAACAGCCAUAUGCAUCAAGCAUUAUUCCAACUUCUUCAACACUUCUUCCUCUCCUUCCCCCUCUGCCAAGAGCUCAGUCUAUUCUUCUGCAAAUGUCCUCACUUGCCUCAAGACUUUUUGAUGUCUCACCUAAUAGGUCGCAUUGGAUUAGCGCAUUUCGAGGUUCCCUACCCUCCUUCUUGUCUUCCCAAUCCCAACCUUUGACAUCAACUGCACCAGAUUCCUACCCUUCUUCCUCCAAAGAAAUUCUCGCUCUUUUCACAAACCUUCAAACUCAGCUAUUUGAAGCUGUUGCAGAGCUCCAAGAAAUUCUUGAUCUUCAAGAUGGAAAACAGAAACUCUCGCACGAAAUCAGGUCAAAAGAUGCUGCAAUUCUUGCACUUGCAAGCAAGCUCAAAGAAGCUGAGCAGGUUCUUGACAACCUUGUGGAUGAUUACUCGGAUUAUCGCCGUUCAAAACGGUCCAAGUCAGAAGAUGUUGCAGAAGAUUCUUCAACCACCACUGUGGCAUCUCAGCUGAAGCUUUCUGAUAUAUUGUCAUAUGCCCAUAGGAUAAGCUACACUACUUUUGCACCACCAGAAUUUGGUGCUGGACAGGCUCCUCUCCGUGGGGCACUCCCACCUGCUCCACAGGAGGAGCAAAUGCGGGCAUCCCAACUGUACGCUUUUGCUGAUCAUGAUGUUGGUUUACCAAAAACAGAUGAGGAUAAGAAGAAAACUAUAGAGCCAUUGAUCGAAACUCCUGUUGGGCAACCAGCAGAGCCAAAUCCACUGGCCAAUCUUGCUGGAAUGCAGGGUCUACUUCCACCUAAUAUUGCUAUGCCAUCAGGAUGGAAACCUGGAAUGCCCGUGGAGUUGCCCAGUGAUCUACCUAUUCUUCCUCCACCUGGUUGGAAACCUGGUGAUCCAGUGGCACUGCCCCCAUUGGAUUCUCUUCCUAUACCUCCUAGAAUUGAAGAGCAACAACCUCAGCAUAUCCCCCCUCCAAUGCUUACAAAGGCACCCGAGCCUAUACAAGUUCGGCAUGUGCAGCUUGACAUUGACGAUGACAGUAGUGAUUAUAGCAGUGAUGUUGGUAGCUCUGACAGUGAAGAUUAGUCCUAGACUCCAGUGCUUUUAUGUCGAUGUAAAUUCUGAAAUGCUACGUAGAACAUCUUUCAAAGAGGAUUGAAGUUGCUAUCUCUAGCCUGUACUUUCUGCUGAUGAAAUUGAAGUUUUAUUAGAAUUCUGCAAUUCCUCGAAGGCUGUCUAACCUUUCAAUUUGCUGAACAUUUCUCGCAAUCCGUUCUAGUACUGGUUUUGAUUCUAAGGUGUUAUUGGAAGCCUGGUUGAGUGAGCAUGAUCUUUUAAAUUGACAUUACACUGACAUUACACACUUAUGUAAUGUUUUUAUGUAGAUUCUGAUGCAAUAGAUUUUUAUGUUUUACCUUUGACGUACUUUUGUGAUAAUUGAUCAUCUUCUGGACGGUCGUACAUAUAUUGUGUCUUCCGCAAGAUGAGGAACGAAUGAAAGCAGAAAAGCUGCACCUUUUCCUCAGUCAAUACAUCUAAGUACUCCCAGAAAAUCAGCUGAAUCAGUGCCUUCAUAAAAAAGCAUUUCAGUCUUCGCAGCAUCAAGAGGAAAUUGGGAUUGUCACAGGGAAUUGGGGUUGCGGUGCUUUUGGUGGAGAUCCUCAACUUAAAGCUAUUAUUCAGUGGCUUGCUGCUUCUCAGGUGAUGCCUUCUACGGGCUUCAUUUUCAGCUUCUUUAUGUGGUGCAAUGCACCAAGUGUGAUUAACUGAUUCCAUAUUGGACAUUAUGACAUUUUGCUAGUCUGGAAAGAUUUAUUUACUGUGUUCUGUUUUCUGUUCUAAUUCUUCUUUCUCAGUCUUAUAUUCCUAGUAAAUAUUAGAUAUCCAUGUUAAUUGUCAGGUGAACCAUUUCUAUAUGUUAUUUGAUAAUACUGAGAAAGUUGCUGAGCUAUUUUGAGCUAAUGUAUUGCCUUGCGGAAAAAAUGGAUCUGUCAUGAUGUUGUGUUUAGUCCAAAUUUAUUCUGAGAUUGCUUCUUGAUAUAUGCUGCUCUUUACUUACGUCUUCGUUUCUGUCAUCAUGAUUGAAUUCUUGAAAGAAUUGCAAACAUGUGACUUACUAAAUCCUUUCUACUGCUGUUGUAAUGGAAUCUGGUUUAGGAAUGGAUGCUUGGCCCGUAUCCUAUUUGUGUAAUACCAUAAUUAUUUGACAUACAAUAUGGACAUUCUUUCUCUUUCCGAAGACAUCAGUUCAUAGAUUUCGUGCAUUUUGUUAUCAACUGGUUUUAUUUAGUCUUCUCCUUUCAGUUCUUCUAUGAUUUUUCUGAUAUUGUCCUAUGUUCCAGGCAUUAAGACCUUUCAUCUUGUACCACACAUUUGGUUUGGAGACAUUGGAGGUGCUAGAUCAGGUACUUAACUUCUGCCAGCUGUAAAUGAUGUUUAACGUAUUGAUUUGAAUGUAUAUGAGAUUUUUUCUCUUUUUUUUUUAUUGUUUUUCUGCUGAAUAAUGGAUUUCUGUUUUAGGAGCACCAAAAUAAGUAAAGGACAAGUGGUCUUGGUUACUUUGUCAGCUUUAAGUAUGUGGCCUUAAAAAAGGAUGAUCUUUGGAGUAUUUCUUUGUAUUCAGACACUUACCCCCUCCAUCAUAAUUUGUUCUUCACUUCUGGGUCCCAAUUCCUAUUGCACUUACCUGCACAAUUCUCAUGUAUAUCCACAUGCACUUGUAGUCAGCUUCUUCAAGGCCAAGCUAUAAAAAGUACACGAUUGACCACUAUUUGUGCAUUGUUAUUUCGAAAGGGGUUUCCUAAAAGUGAAGAACAAACUGUAUUCUAGUCCUGCAAUCUUCUUUUAGAGAUGUGAUCAAAUGGUCAAAUUGUGACUAAGUGUGGUGUCUCCUCCAAGCAUUUUCUUAAUGCUAAUCUUAAAAGGCAAACUAUCCUUUGGUUGGUUACCUUUGCCAAGGUUUAGUUUGCCCCUUUGACUCAAAUUCAUUUGGUCCAUUUAUUAACUAUAGCUCAAAGAUGGUUGCCAUUAUCUUUUGGAGUUCUUCUGUUAAAUUUAUUAUCAUUUCUUGAACAAGGAACUUCCCUUGUUUUUAAGGUUGUGGCAGACUAAGUUCAAAUUCAAAAAGUAACAAAUCGGUGGUGAAGGAGCACGGUUGAAACUUUACCAAAUUUAGUGCUCGAUGAUGUGGCUGUUGCAUUUCAAAUACUGAAAUAAUUUCUUGUCAAUUGUUUAUGCUGCUGGAUACUGUGUCUCCUGCACUUUGCGAAUUAUAGGUCUAACACGCGGCCUAUUAUUCAUUAGAUUCUUAGAUCUGACUGAUUGAACUUUGGACCACCUUUCAUUAUUUUAUGGAUGGACACUUUCUUUUCAUGCCCAUUGGUUGUUGACAAUUUCUCUUUUAGGUGACUCGCUGGAUUAUAUCCCAUGAGUGGACUGUUGGAGAACUUUGGAAUAUGAUGGUUGAGUACGGAUCCAAGAGAUUAAAAGGUGAAGCCAGAGUUGGCUUUUUCAGUUGGCUCCUUCCCUUGGUAGAUUCCAAUGAUGCAUGAGCUGUUGGGCAUCACCUCAAUCUUCAUGAGAUUUACUGAGCAUUGACCAAAAUUUCUUCUUUGGUGGGCACUUUCUUGGCUUGGUGCGGCUCAUAUUUGAUUCACUAUGGAAGACUAGCAUAGUGUAAAUGCUUUCACUGUUAGUUGCACUGUGGAAAUAUAGAAUACUCGGCAUAAUUUUUCCCUAUAGGGGUGCGUGGUCUGUGUAUCUGAGGGACAUUUUAUUGUUCGUUAGUGACAAAAAAGAAGUGCAUCUGGAGUUGCUCUGCGCCAAUGGUUGAUUUUGUCUGACCCAAGAUCUCCUUUGCAAUUCACCUGUAAGGGAGAAUGGAUGAGCUCAAGGGCAGGUAAAAUGAAGGCAUUCUAGCUAUUCAUUGAACAAGAAAAUGACAGGAGAGGGGGGGUUGCAUGCACGGAGAUGGAGGGUAUUUACUAUCUGCUGCCCACUGCCCCGGAUUUGAAACUGCUGUGGAAGCAUAUGCGAUCAAACUCUGGCUUGCGACAGCAACUCUGCUGCUAUCAGAAUUUGUUGGUUAGAAAGCUUUGUCCAUAACCAACCUAGUUAUGAGGAUCUAACCCGCAUUCAUGUAAUACCUUUCUUUCUUGUUUAGUGAACGGAGGCUCGUAGAAUUCGCUGAAAGAUAGGAUCAGCUGUUUGGUACGUCUCCUUUUGUACCUAUAAUUAAGUCUAUACACGUUAGGAUGAGGUUCAAAAGUUACCAUUCAUACAAGGACCAUUAAUUUGACAUAUCUUUUACUUCCACAAAAUAAAAUAGGGGAAAAAAAUUCUCAUUACUGAAAAUUGGUCUACACAAACUAGGGCUGUUCACGAAUUGGAUUGCGAGCGCCUCGAAUACGAGCUCGACUCGAGCUCGGUCAAUAUCAAGCUCGAGUCGAGCUUGAGCUCAAAAACAUUAAGAUCGUUGGCUCGCGAGUUCGAUUAUAUGUAUGUAUCUUUUAUUUUUUAUUUUAAUAGUAAAAUUACAUAUAUAUUCUUAAUAUUUUAUUAUUUGUUAAGAAAAAUUAUUAUUUUAUUUAUUUUUAAAAUAAAAUAAUUAUUUUUUAUUUUUUAAAAAUAAAAUAAUUAUUUUUAUUUUUUAACCUCGAGCUCGACUCAAAUUUGAGUUCGUUGAGCUCGAGCUCGAGCUCGAGUUCCAGUUUUGUAAAAUUAACUAGAGGUUCGGUUCGAUUAGAUCAAAACUCAAUUCGACUCGAUUCGUUUGCACCCUUAACACAAACACAAGCAUUGGGUAGAGCGGGAUUAAUUUAAUGCAUGUCUAGACUUGUAAGAGGGUGGUGGAUAAACUUGCCCUGAUAAUGACUUUAGGGGAUUAAUUCUUUCUUUGUGCUUGAUGUUUCAUGAUGAACAUCAAUUUUUUUGUUUGGGGUGGUUUUGAGAGUUCGAGUUUGAAAAUAUUUUUUACCGUUCCAAUGAUUAGCUUAUUGUAAUUUUCCCAUUCCAGGGAUUAUUUUACCUACUUAUAUCCUUUUUUUUUCUUUUUCAAUGCUCUUAGUAGGCCAGAUGCUCUCGUGCUAACUAUCCCAUAAUUUGAAAUUAAAAAAAAAAUCUAAUUUGGCAUCUAAAAGAGGAUCCAAUAUUAGGCAUCUUUUUUCCAAUUUAUGCACUUGAUAAAUAAAAGGAACCAAAUAUAAAAAGAUUUUAGUUGAGCUAAAUUUUCUUAUAAUUGUGGUGACAGCAAGAAUCUUAAGGUAUGAAAAAAAAAUGUUUUGUUAAAUUUUGGAAGUUGUUAUUUUUUGUAUGAAUAAUGGAUAUAUUUUAGGGUUAAUUACAUUUACCUCCCCUGAGGUUUGACCAUAUUACCAAUCAAUCCCUGUAAUUUGUCCAAAUAACGGUCUCACCCUUUGAAUGAUCAAACAUUUAACAAAAACCCCCUUAAUGCCGAAAAUGCCCUUAUUGAGGCCAUAUUGCAUUAAAAAAAGAAUAUAUUUUUAUUUAUUAACCUUCAAGUAAUCCAAAAAAAUAGAAAAAGUUUUUGCUUAUUAUUUUAUAAAAAUCACAUCUUUACUUCCAUAAAUAGUUUUGAAUCAAUAAUUAUUUUAAAUCUUAAAAAUGAAUAUUAAAAAUUAUAUAAAUUGAAAGAAAAAUAAAAAAGAAGCAAUUAUUUUAAAUCCUCAAGUAUGGUUCGAAUUUGUGGUUCAAGGCAUGUUGCGGAGAGCACAAGGCAUGUUUUCCUCAAUUUGAACCAUACUCUAGGAAUUAAAAUAAUUUCUUCUUUUUUUAUUUUUCUUUCAAUUUAUCUAAUUUUUAAUAUUCAUUUUUAAGAUUUAAAAUAAUUAUUGAUUCAAAACUAUUUAUGGAAGCAAAGAUAUGGUUUUUAUAAAAUAAUAAGCAAAAACUUUUUUCUAUUUUUUUGGAUUGCUUCAGGGUUAAUAAAAUAAAAAUAUGUUCUUUUUUUAAUGCAACAUGGCCUCAAUAAGGGUAUUUUCGCCAUUAAGGGGGUUUUUGUUAAAUGUUUGAUCAUUCAAAGGGUGAGACCGUUAUUUGGACAAAUUACAAGGAUUGAUUGGUAAUAUGGUCAAACCUCAGGGGAGGUAAAUGUAAUUAACCCUAUAUUUUAUUGACCCUGUAUAGUAAUGGCCCCAUAAGUAAAUUAACAAGUUAGAUCAAAUAUUUAAUGUAACUAGUAUAAUAAUUGAGGGGCAAUUUUGGCAUAAAAAAAUCUUCUCACAUCUGAAAUUAUUUUCUUAUUGUUGCUUUUUUGAAUUGGAUUAAAUUGUUACAAGAAAAUUAGUUUUAAGGGAGGUUAGUAAUAUUUUUAGAACCUCAGGGGAGGGGCAGUGAAACUAUUAGAAACCUCCCCUGUUAUCCCUAUUAUUGUAUCAUCCUUGCUCCGGAAACCUGCCUUUCCACUGCUAGUGCUGGAGUAGAAAACAGUCGCAGGAUACCAAGUUUUCGGGUUAAUUUCACUUUAUCCCCCCAAACUUUGGACGAUUACUCACUUUAGUCCCUAAACUUCAAAAUGGGACACUUAAGUCACUAAAACUUAUAAAUUUGGACACUUAACUCCCUAAACUUAUAAAAUCGGACACUUAAAUCCCUAAACUCUUAUAAAAUGGGACACUUCGACCACCAUGGCAUUCAGGAUUUUGUUAACAAUUUUCCUUAAUUGGGAGGUAUUUAUAAGUUUAGGGAUUUACUUGUCCUAUUCUAAAGUUUAGGGACUAAAGUGAAUAACCGUCCAAAGUUUGGGGGGACAAAGUGGAAUUAACCCCCAAGUUUGCUGUCUUUUGUAGUCCGUAAGAACUAAGAAAGAAUUGAGGAGACCGGUUUCCAUCGGCAAAGCAAAGAACUUCAGCACUCCACCUCUCUAUCUCUCCUUCUCUGGAUUCAAGCUUUUCACAGUACCAAAACAAAAUACUAUUGUAAGUGGUAAGAAGCCCGCAUUCAAAUCCCUUUCUUGGUUACCACUAAACUUUUGUACCUUCUAUGUGAGUCCUUCUGGAGUUAGUAGUAGUACAAAUAUAUGCAAGUCCUCCCUGCUGCAUGUUGCCUUUUUCGUUUUUUUUUUCCCCAAAUCAAAGUUUGAAUCUUUCUCUGUGAUUUCAAUUGAAAAGUGGACAGCAUCUUUUCCACUGGGGAGUGAGGGGUUGUGGGAGUUUUCCUAUGGAGAUAACCUUGAGACAUCUUCUCAUGUAAUUGUAAUUUAAAGCUUCUCUAUUGUUAUCUAUUUGUCCUUUUCUUUUCUUUUAAUCCUUGGAGAAUUGCACAUUUCCAUUUUUCUGCUACAAAGGAAGGGGUUGCUCUAUGGGGCUUUGUUUGUUAAUUCCACAUUUUGAGGCUCUUGGGUUGGCUGUUGAAAUAAGUAGUCUGUAUUUAGCUGGUAUCCCAUUUUUCAGCACUCCACUGCUGUUGGCGUUUGCUAAAUUCUGAUUUUUUUUCAAAAGGAUCUUUUAGUUUCAUGCCCUUUUAUAUAUAUCUAGCAGCAGAAGAGAUGUCUGUGGCGGCUUCGGCUGCUGCUGCUGCUGUUGGGGCUGGGGCGGUCGCCUUGUUCAGACUAAACAGGUUGCCUUCUUCCCCCUCCACCUCCUCCUGCUCUUGUCUUCUUCUCAAAGGACUCCGAGCUUUUGCACCAUUUCCAUACCGAUACCACUUCGCUUCUUAUUCUACUUCUUCUUUGCUUUCACAAGAAGCAGCAGCUGUUGCUUCCCAACUUCCACGCUCACACGCCGCCAAUACCUCCUCCAAUGUGGUGGAAAUUCUUGAACAGAGAGGCCUGCUGGAAUCUCUCACCAGCGAUAGUCUCAGGUCGGUCUGCUCCUCCUCUGCCCCUAACCAAGCACCUCUUCGAGUCUACUGUGGUUUUGACCCCACCGCUGAUAGCCUCCACCUCGGCAAUCUCCUUGGCAUUAUUGUCCUCUCUUGGUUCCUCCGCUGCGGUCAUCGUGCUGUCGCUCUCAUUGGGGGAGCCACCGGCCGCGUAGGCGACCCUUCUGGCAAGAGUUCCGAAAGGCCUGAGCUUGACCUUGAAACCCUCCAUAAGAACAUUUCUGGGAUUUCCGCCACCAUUUGCCACAUUCUUAGCAGGGCUGCUCCUAUCCCUGAUUCUGUUUCUAUCCUGAAUAAUUAUGAGUGGUGGAAAGAUGUUAGGCUGCUGGAUUUCCUCAAGGAUGUUGGGAGGUAUGCGAGGGUGGGCACCAUGAUGUCCAAGGAAAGCGUCCGCAAGAGGCUUGAAUCUGAUCAGGGCAUGAGCUACACUGAGUUCACCUACCAGAUCCUGCAGGGCUACGACUUUGUCCAUCUCUUUCGCCAAGAAGGAGUCUCUGUUCAGAUCGGUGGCAGCGAUCAAUGGGGCAACAUCACUGCCGGGACUGACCUUAUCCGCAGAAUUCUUCGCGUUGAAGGGGCAGCCCAUGGACUCACAUUCCCUCUCCUCCUCAAGAGUGAUGGUACUAAAUUUGGAAAAUCAGAGGAUGGUGCCAUUUGGCUUUCCCCUUCCAAGUUGACCCCUUAUAACUUUUACCAGUAUUUCUUUUCAGUUCCUGAUGAUGAUGUUGUUAGGUUCCUCAAGAUACUUACUUUCUUGAGCUUGGAGGAGAUUGCACGGCUGGAAAGGGACAUGGAUACCCCCGGCUAUGUUCCCAACACUGCCCAGCGUAGGCUGGCUGAGGAGGUUACUCGCUUUGUACAUGGCCAAGAGGGUCUGGACGAGGCUCUCAAGGCCACUGAGGCUCUGAGGCCUGGGGCAGCUACCAAGUUGGAUGCUAAAACCAUUGAGGGGAUUGGAGAGGAUGUUCCUUCUUGUUCGCUGCCUUACGAUCAGGUCCUGAGUCUGUCUCUGUUGGAUCUCUCCGUUUCAAGUGGAUUGCUUGAGAGUAAAUCAACAGCACGGCGUCUACUCAAGCAAGGAGGGCUUUAUCUGAACAACGGUAGGGUUGACAGUGAGGCGAAAAAGAUUGAGGCAAAUGAUAUUAUAGACGGAAAAGUUAUCCUUUUAUCUGCUGGAAAGAAGAAUAAGAUGGUUGUAAGAGUUUCUUGAUUGCCUUUGCCUUGGAUUAUUUUUCAUUUAUUUUACAUCGCAGAACGUUCAUCAUUGCAAGUUUUGGAUUUGUCUAGAUUAAACAUAUGGACUUAGAUUUUGGUGGAGUUAAUGCUAUUUGGAAUAUCUUUUGUUCCUCUUUUCCGUGAUUAUUGUAUUCUAUUAUAGAUAUUACUUAUCAUUUCAGCAGCUUCACUCUGAUCUGAAUUUUUUCACUAUUAAUCAUUUAUAGUGGAAGUACCUUUCGAAGGCAUUCUCAACUACUGAGAUCGCUUAAGUCUCUUGUUUUUGAAAUUCUCAUUUUGUUUGUUAUCUCAAGAAAAUAGAUAUAGAAUCAACAUAGUCUGUAAUUAUGCACUAAGCAUAGCUCAAGAUGAGGAAUGGGAUAAUCCUCAGUGUUAGGUACAUUUUUGUAAAGCGAAAUUUGGGCCGUUGCCCAACAAUUGUACACUUUUACCUGAUCAAUAUAUAUAUAUAUCUUAUCGUUUCUGGAAAAAAAAAUUAUACUUCAUAAUGUAUAAUAUAUCAUCUAUUGUUAAUAAAAUUUGCAACUUUCUGGACUUCUUGGUUCACUACACUAAAUUGUUUAAUUCAGUGGAGACUGAUGUCGAUCACAGAAUACCUCUUUUCUACAGCAAAUAUUCUCAAAGAUAAUAAGAGAUGGAACGAAGCAUGUGCUGGGUAAAGGAGUUAAAAUCUAUAGCCAUGCCUUGCAGUUCUUCAGAAGGGGUGACUUGAUAAUUCAACUUAUACAAACCUAAACUUUCCCAAGCUGCGGAGAAAUUUUUAAUUUGUUUUGGGCUACAUUAGCUUUUGUUGUCAAAGGGAAGUUUUGAUUUUGAAAGCUAUUGAGAAUUUGGGGGUUGUGGGAAGGUAUGGAACUGCUGUAAAUCCCCUUUACCUACCAAUUUGCCCCGCAUAGCAAUGGCUUUGGCUUGUCUUGUUGGUUUGUCUGUUUAAAUGACAUAAAACAAAUAGAAGUUUUCAUUCUUGAUGGUACAAUAUGUGUCAUGUAAUGGUAAACAUUCAAUAUUCUCCACUCCCUUUAAGGACAAAAGAUUGGUGCCCUAUUUUGGCAGCAUCAUUUGGUGGGAACAGAGAAGCAAGUUUCUUUUAGUUAUUAUCUGAAUUUAUGCUCCCGGAUGAUUGUUGAAAUGAUGUGAGUCAGCUGAUUCUCAGUUGAAGGAUAAAAAUUUGUUAUGAAUAUUAGUUGCUAGUUCUUCAAUGGUAAAGGUUCGAAUGCUAAAUUAACAUGCUUCAAAAAAGUUCUUAUAAUUCCUCUGAAGACAUAUUUCCUAGUAUUGAUAGCAAGAAACAAAAAAGCUUAAUGGUCUGAAAUGUUACUACAAAUCUUUCCCGAUAUGUCUACUAUGUCUGGACUUAAGACACCUCAAGCCCCCCCCCCCCUCCUCCCCAAAAAAAAAAAAAAGAAAGUGUGAGGUGGUUUGACUAGGUCUUCCAACGAUGGCUGAUUUGCUCUUGAAUUUGCGGUCCCUUUUGGAGACCAACUAUCAGCAGCAGCAGCAGCAGCUGCUUAAGAGUAUGCCUACUGUUGCCUCUGCUUGUUAGACACUCUCAAGUAAGAAUGUCAACUCUUUAUGGAGUACUAUUAAUACUUACUACUAUUAAUUAUUUGUACCUAGUACUAGUUUAUAAGCACUUAUAGACGGUUUAAUCAAUUAUGUGUGAGAAUACAGCUACUCCAUUUGAUUACAUACUGUUCUUUGACAAUGCAUUGAUUCAUGAAAACUUCUUUUGUUCUGCUCCUGCUUUACCAUUUACAUCUGUUUGUUUGUUUUAUACGACAACAGGAGUUGAUUUCUGCACUGUUUUACAAAACUUGCAUGCAGCAACACACUUAAAAGGGUAAAAUUAGUACUGGUCAAGGUAAAACUUAUCCUGGCAAUUGCCAAACUAUGGAAAAUUGUUGGUACCAAAUUGCAAAUCGUACCCAUGCUCAUUGCUUAGUUGUCCUACUUCGACUAUAGGAGAAAUGCAAGUUUAGUUCUCAAUAUUUAGCAUGUGUGCUAAAUUGGUCCUUAAUAUUUCAACUAAAAAUGAGACCCACUAUCGGCGCCAGCAGCAGCAGCCCCUUGAUAGUAAUACAACUUGCCUCCGCUUGUUGGACUCCCAGCAGCCUGGCCUUGUGCUUCUCUCUCAAGUAAGAAUAAGAAGCAAAUUCCUUCACUCUUUACGGACUUCUUUUUAUGCUUGUUUCUAUUGGCCGUUUGUUCCUACGAUUAGUAUAGCACCAAAUGUUGCUACUUUAACCAAUUAAAUGCCAGAAUGCGUUUAUUCUGUUCAAUUUUGGAUUGAUUGUUCUUUCUCUAGGCAUUUUGAUUCAUGGAAACUUCUUUUCUUCUGCUCCUACUUUACAAUUUGCAUUUCUGGUUAACAUUGAUGGUUGUUGUGCUUGUUUUAUUUCACAACAGGAGUUGAUUGCUGCUCUGCUUUCUUGCGCUUUCUUUUCUUUAUUUCCUGCUGCUAAUAGAGGUGCCACAUAUCUCCCAGCGAUCAACUUUCAUCAUUUAUUUGCGUAUGUUAUCAUUCCAUCAAUCAGCAUCAUCAUCAAUUGUGCAUACCCCUUCAUUAUUAACUACUCUGCUAUUCUUGCACUCUUGCUUGUCCUUGCAAACUGACACCUUUUCCCUGCCAUAUUACCAGCAAUGUUCUAUGGGCCCUUUUUGUUCAUAUCAAGGACCAACCGGCUUGGGCAACCUUAUUGAAAACUGAUGAUUUUUUUUUUUCUUUGAAACUGAUGGUCACAAGGUUCCUAUGGGUCUGAAGUUUCUUUGGGCUGUUUUGUUAACUGUGUCAAGACUUAGUCUUUCUUCAAUUUAGCUUUUCUAUGACAACAUUUUCCUGGUGUAAAGCUGGCCUUUGAGUUUGUAAUUAAGCGUGUAGAUCAGAAAGCAUGAAGGAGAAUACACUUAGUGUACCGCAUGUGUGUGCUUAAUUUAACAUAACAAGGAAGGAUUAUAAUGCAUAAGAAGUUGACGACCUACUACUACUUACAGUUUCAUGUCUCCAUCUCUUAUUUUGAUCUGUGCACUUCAGUCAUCGUGGUCGGAUCACAGUCAAACCUUGAAAGUGUAGGAUAGUGGCAACUUAAAGAGAGAGAGAGAGAGAGAGAGAGAGGGGGGGUUGGAUCUACAAUCUCGAAGCUUGUGGAAGAGAAGCUAUAAACUUUGGGAGUGAUUAUGCAUAUUGUAACUUCAUCAAUCAAAUCUAAUGAGUGCUGUUGAUUCUUAUCUGAAUUUUCAGUUCAGUCGGCAAGUGGAUAUAUCUGAUACUAAUGUUGUUUCAGGUCUCUAUACGGGUGUUAUGAGGAGUACCAGGAAAGCAAAAUAAAGUACAUUGAUUUGAAUGUAUAUGAGAUUUUUUCUCUUUUUUUAUUGUUUUUCUGCUGAAUAAUGGAUUUCUGUUUUUGGAACACAAAAAUAAGUGAAGGACAAGUGGUCUUGGUUACUUUGUCAGCUUUGAGUAUGUGGCCUUAAAAAAGGAUGAUCGUUGGAGUAUUUCUUUGUAUUCAGACACUUGCUCCCUCCAUCAUAAUUUGUUCUUCACUUCUGGGUCCCAAUUCCUAUUGCACUUACCUGCACAAUUCUCAUGUAUAUCCACAUGCACUUGUAGUCAGCUUCUUCAAGGCCAAACUAGAAAAAGUACACGAUUGACUGCUAUUUGUGCAGUGUUAUUUCAAAAGGGGUUUCCUAAAAGUGAAGAACAAACUGUAUUCUAGUCCUGCUAUCUUCUUUUAGAGAUGUGAUCAAAUGGUCGAAUUGUGACUAAGUGUGGUGUCUCCUCCAAGCAUUUUCUUAAUGCUAAUCUAAAAAGGCAAACUAUCCUUUGGUUGGUUACCUUUGCCAAGGUUUAGUUUGCCCCUUUGACUCAAAUUCAUUUGGUCCAUUUAUUAACUAUAGCUCAAAGAUGGUUGCCAUUAUCUUUUGGAGUUCUUCUGUUAAAUUUAUUGUCAUUUUUUGAACACGGAACUUCCCUUGUUUUUAAGGUUGUGGCAGACUAAGUUCAAAGAUAAAACGUAACAAAUCGGUGGUGAAGGAGCACGGUUGAAACUUUACCAAAUUUAGUGCCCGACGAUGUGGCUGCACUUCGCGAAUUAUAGGUCUAACACGCGGCCUAUUAUUCAUUAGAUUCUUAGAUCUGACUGAUUGAACUUUGGACCACCUUUCCUUAUUUUAUGGAUGGACACUUUCUUUUCAUGCCCAUUGGUUGUUGACAAUUUCUGGAGAUGCUCUGCACCAAUUGUUGAUUUUGUCUGACCCAAGAUCUCCUUUGCAAUUCACCUGUAAGGGAGAAUGGAUGAGCUCAAGGGCAGGUAAAAUGGAGGCAUUCUAGCUAUUCAUUGAACAAGAAAAUGACAGGAGAGGGGGGGUUGCAUGCUGGAGGGUAUUUACUGUCUACUGCCCACUGCCCCGGAUUUGAAACUGCUGUGGAAGCAUAUGUGAUCAAACACUGGCUUGCGACGGCAACUUUGCUGCUACCAGAAUUUGGUUAGAAAGCUUUGUCUAUAACCAGCCUAGUUAUGAGGAUCCAACCCACAUUCAUGUAUUCCUCUCUUGCUUGUUUUGUGAACGGAGGCUCGUUGAAUUCGCUGAAAGAUGGGAUCGGAUGUUUGGUCUAAAAUUGUUUUGUCCGCUUCCAUGAGUAUGGCUCUUUUCGUCAAGUUGAUUUCUCAAUCUUUGUGCCUAUAAUUAAGUCUAUAUGCGUAGUAUUAGGUUCAAAAGUUACCGUUCAUACAAGGACCAUUAAUUUGUCAUAUCUUUUACUUCCACAAAAUAGGGAAAAUUUUGUCUCGUUACUGAAAAUUGGUCUACACAAGCAUUGGGUAGAGCGGGAUUAAUUUAUUGCCCGUCUAGACUUGCAAGGGUGGUGGAUAUGCUUGCCCCGAUGAUGACUUCAGGGAUUAAUUCUUUUCUUUGUGCUUGAUGUUUCAUGAUGGGGUUAAAACGAGGGAAAAAAAUUCCCCUCAUCCCGCCCUAUUACUUCCCCCGGGAUGAGCGCGGGUACGCGCCCCUGUUGCCAUCCCUAGAUAUUAUUAUAUGGGAUUAAAUAUAGAAAAUUCUCAUGAACUUUUAUAGCUGUUGCACAAUAUACUCCAAAGUAUGUUUAUAGGCACUUUGCACCCUAAGAAAACUAUCGUUCACAGAUUUCAUGACCAUACAAAGCGCGUGUCUUGCAAGCUCUGUCCAUUGAAAUUUCUUGAUAUAAUUGUCAUCCUUUCAAACAAAUAUAAAUGGCUAUCUCCAGCUAUCGUUACUUGUUCAUUCUACUCAUUUAUUAUCAUUUUCAUCAUAGUUUUUCCCCUUUUAUUUCCUCUUUUUCACAAAUGCUGCACAAUUUCUACAUUGAGCAUAGUCCUAAUAAUUGCAGCUCAAGCGAUGCAUAUGAAGCAACAAACUUCAACUCAAGAUGCAGGUGUGGAAGAAUGGCACCUCUAUGCACUUCAUGGACUAUUCACAAUUCAAGAAGAAAAUUAAUUGGAAUAACUAAUGUAGUAUUUUUUGGGAUGUGAUCUAUGCAAAAAAAAAAAAAAAAAAAAAAAGAUGGUUCGAAAGAUAAAAAGUUGAUUGCAAAUUGUAUUUGUGAUGCAAGUAAAAUAUUAUUCGAAAUAAUUUUGUUAUCCAAAAAGAAAACAAAAAGUACGAAAAUUUUAUCUUCUCAAAUGAGUAAAAAAUUUCUAAAAAAAAGUCAUUAACCAAUAAUAUACUACUACUAAUAUUUUCUUUUUUAUUUUAAUCUUAUUAUUUGUCACUUUACUAUUAAUAAUUAGAUUUAUUAUGGGCUCAUUUGUUUUUGAUGUAUCUAAAUAAUUUGAAUACUAUACAAAAUAUGCUUUGCACAUAACUAACAUAUAUUUGCAAUUAUUAUUACUAGUAAUAACUGAACAUAAAAAAGAGAUGAAAAGAGAAUAAGUUGAAGUUCAUUAAAAAUAAUAGAUAAAUAAUGAUAGUAAAAAAUUGAAAUAACUAGUCACACAAGACAGAAAAGAAUAAGAAAAAUGUAAAAUGGAACAAGGUAAAGAGUAAAGAAAAAAGUACCAAAAAUAAUUGAUAUAUAAAUAAUAUUCCAAACAAUAGUUUUUUUUUACAUACAUCAUAUUCCAAAAUUAUUUAGAUACUUUAUGGACCAUCACAUCCCACUCUAUGCAACACAAUGGCCAAUCGGACAUGAAGGAUGCUUUUAUCUGUUCAAUUAUUAUUUGAGAAUACAGUUAUCAUUUCAGUGAUAAAGUGAACGAUACAUAAAAAUUAGUUACUUUUCAGUGGAUUUUGGAUGCAAAUUACCUAUAAACAUACUUUGAAGUGUGUCGUGCAAGUGCAACAGCUAUAAAAGUUCACACGGGCGGUUUCUGAAAUUAUCCCUAUUAUUGUAUCAUCCCUUGCUCCAGAAAUUCGCCAUGCCACUGCUAGAGUAGAAAACAUUAGCAGGAUACCAAGUUUGCUAUCUUUUGUAGUCCGUAAUACUAAAUACCAGCAAGAAGAACUAAGAAAGAAUUGAGGAGACCGGUUUCCAUCCGCAAAGCAAAGAACUUCAGCACUCCACCUCUGUAUCUCUCCUUCUCUGGAUUCAAGCUUUUCACAGUACCAAAACAAAAUACUAUUGUAAGUGGUAAGAAGCCCGCCUUCAAAUCCCUUUCUUGGUUACUACUAAACUUUUGUACCUUCUAUGCCAUCGGGAGUUAGUAGUAGUACAAAUAUAUGCGAGUCCUCCCUGCUGCAUGUUGCCUUUUUUCGUUUUUUUUUUCCCCAAAUCAAAGUUUGAAUCUUUCUCUGUGAUUUCAAUUGAAAAGUGGACAGCAUCUUUUCCACUGGGGAGUGAGGGGUUGUGGGAGUUUUCCUAUGGAGAUAACGUUGAGACAUCUUCUCAUGUAAUUGUAAUUUAAAGCUUCUCUAUUGUUAUCUAUUUGUCCUUUUCUUUUCUUUUAAUCAUUGGAAAAUUGCACAUUUCCAUUUUUCUGCUACAAAGGAAGGGGUUGCUCUAUGGGGCUUUGUUUGUUAAUUCCACAUUCUGAGGCUGCUGGGUUGGCUGUUGAAUGAGUAGUGUGUAUUUAGCUCGAAUCUCAUUUUUCAGCACUCCACUGCUGUUGGUGUUUGCUAAAUUCUGAUUUUUUUUUUCCGAAGGAUCUUUUAGUGUCCUGCCCUUUCAUAUAUCAUACUUUCUUUAUCUCAUGCUUCUGCCCUGAUGGUUGAGAAGAACGCGAUCGCACAAAGUCAAGUACAGACGAAAAGUUUCGUGAAAUAUAUUCUUAUUUUCGUUUUUUUUCCUGGAAGACUGGAAAGAAGGAAUUGCUAACUGUGUUUCCGUGGAAUAAAGAUAAGAUAGCCUGUUUAACCAUUGACAUUUGCCAUUGUAAUUUAGGAGUAAAGCUUCUACCUUUACGUGGAUAUUGAGAUUGGAUUUGUUUUGGGUUCUUUUCUGCAUUUGUAUUGCACACGCGUCUUUUCUUGUCUAUUGAGGCCACUAUUGCUGCUACUCAAGUUGAAAAAGUUUUCACUGUUAUUUUGCAGCACUGGUUGCAAUUAGAGGACCUUGCAGUAAAGGUUGUUCUUCAGCUACUAAGAUAAAAGGCAGUCGUGGUUACAACAAAUGGAUGCAUUGAGGCUGCAGUCUUGGUUCUCACCUAUUAAAAUAAAAGGCAGAAAAGAUUCUUCUUCAUGCUAUGGUGAUCUCUCUAUGAGGAGAAAGAAACAGAACCAAACUGUUAUAUCAUCAACCUGGAUGUCUAUGAACAGCCUAUCCAGAUCGCCUUCAUGGGUACGUGCAUCUGAUUCUCAUUUCCCUUCCGUGUCUAAUGUCUAUUUCUACUUCAUAAUAUUCAUUUGUGUGUCAAUUCAUAUCAUUGUGGAGGUCUUAGUGGUAGGGGUUUUUGAUCAGGUUCAUGGGUUCAGAGAAUAUAGGUUAAAGACUACUAAAGCAGUGGGUGUAUCAGAGGCGGAGGAUGGGAGGGAGAAAGGAAGCAAAAAAUCUGGUGAAAAUUCUAUACCUGAUGAUGCCUUUGAUAUGGAUGAUGAAGAGAGGCAGGCAUGGAGGAAAAAAAUUAGGGAAGUGAUCAGUACGAACCCUGCCAUUGAUGAAGAGGUAGAUCCUGAUGAAUGUAGAAAAAAGAUGCAAAAGCUUUUGGCGGAUUAUCCUCUUGUUGUUGAGGAAGAUGACCCCGAUUGGCCAGAAGAUGCUGAUGGUUGGGGUUUCAGCUUAGGUCAAUUCUUCAACAAGAUUACCAUUAAAAAUGUCAAGAAGGAUGAUGAUGACAACUAUGAUAGUGAAAAUGAAAUUGUGUGGCAAGAUGAUGAUUAUAUCCGUCCAAUUAAGGACAUAACAUCUGCAGAAUGGGAAGAGGCAGUGUUCAAGGACAUCAGUCCUUUAGUUGUUCUUGUACAUAACCGUUAUAAAAGGUUUGUUUGCUUUACUUUGUUUUUGUCAUUGGCACUCUUUUAGUGCAAGUUAAUUGGUUUUAAUGUCCAUGUUUUUCUUUUUAAAAUGUUGCUGGGAUUAGUUACCUCAAAUUGCCUGUCUUUUAAUAUGAUGCUUAGUGUUGUAGAUUAGUGCUGAUGCCUGACUAUUUGCUGUGCCUGAAUCAUUUUGGGAUAAUUUCUGGCUAUCAAUUUCUUAGCUAGGUGAUCUCUUUGAGUUCUUAUUCUUCUGCUGUGAUAUGUCCCUCCCUGGGUUAAACAUUUAGGAACGUUUGUCCAGAAAUGCUAUUGAUAUUGCAUAUGCAUAGCCUUUGUUGAGUUACUUUGACCUUUAUAGCAGGCUAUUGCCAGCUAAGUGUUUGUCGAUUGAUCUUAAGGUCGCAGUAUUAUGUGACUAUGUCUUAUCAGUUUUUGAACUCUGGCUUGCUUAUAUAUUCUACCUUGCAUCGAAUAACUUGCAAACAUAGAACUGAGGUCCUGGUAAUAUGCCAACAAGAAUUUACUGAUUGCAAUUGGCAUUAUUUGAUUUGAUUCACCUACAUAGGCAUGCUUGGUUGCUUGACUUGGCAAAGUUACUGAACAGCAAAAUUUUGAAAGAAUUGAUAUGAUCCUCUACCUCCCCUCUUGUGCUCUUCCCCUUGCUUGUUGAUCCUAAUUUUCUGGGUUUUGGAUAACUUUGUGGCAUUUGUCUACAUAUAUAUUUGCAGAGCUGUUAUCUGGAAAAAUAUAGUAAUAUGAAAAUGCAGAUGGAAGGCUUUUGCUGACACCCUUUGCAGCUACUUUUUCUGAGCUGGGUUAUAUUGAGCAAAAUAGUCAUUGACAAAACAUUUUUUGGAGCAUUUUGCUAACACGUUUUACAAUGCCCAUUAUAGUUUGCCGACCAUCUUUUCAUCCACGAGAAAGUGCUGAUUUUUCAGAAAAAAUCCUCAAGAAUGCAAUCCAAAGGAAAGAAUUUUAAAAGAUCUAUAAUUGGUUGCUUCUGUAAGGACUUCUUCAUUAUUCCUCAUAGCUUUAUGAUCUAUGCAGACCAAAGGAAAAUGAAAAGAUUAGGAAUGAAUUGGAGAACGCUGUGCAUAUCAUAUGGAACUGCAGGCUACCAUCUCCAAGAGUAAGUGAAGGCUUUGAGUUAUUAGGUUAUUUGGUAGUUUACCAUGUUCGGCAUAUUGAUACGUGUAUUUCAAAAUAGUGUGUAGCAAUUGAUGGUGUUAACGAGCUUGGUUUGGUCUCUGCUCUACAAGUCUCUGUUUUCCCAGAGCUCAUAUUUAUUAAAGCAGGGAAAAUCUUACAUCGCGAGAAAGGUAAAGUUCAUGUGUUAAGAAGUUCAUGAUUGCCUUCAAAAGAAACUAUCAUUGUGAUUUAACUUUAUUUCCUUUUGCUUCUUCAGCAAUUCGAACGGCAGAUGAGUUGCCAAGAAUGAUGGCAUUCUUUUACUUUGGAGCAGCAAUGCCACCCUGUCUUAGUGGCAUUAAGAACUGUUGAAGAUAUGUGAUCUGAUAUUAUGGAAAGAUUUGAUAUUGUAAAUAUUAGGAAAGAUAUGAUUAUAGUAUCAUGUAUUAAUUAGGUAUCAUAUGAUUAUAGUAUCAUAUAUUAAUUAGGUAGUAGAUUGAUUUAGAUUAGCAUGAUUUUAGGAUUCAAAUUAGGUUACACUUGUGUAUAUAUAUAUGUAUAUUGUGUAGUCCAAAGAUAUGUAGAAGAGUAUUUUCUCUCCCUUUGUCUUAGUUUUCAUGGUAUCAGAGCCCUACCAUCAAGGUUAGGGUCUCUGUCCGCUGCCAGAAAAUUCAUUAGUCAUCAUUCGGUUCAUCUGGUUCUGUGUAGGACAUAUCUGUGUUCUAUUCUUCACUCUUGUUUUAAAGAGUUCAGAUCUGUCCUCUUUUGUUUGUUUCUGUUAAUUCUAAACCCAUGGCAGAAACGAAAUCUGUCGUUACGUCUGAUGUGGUUCCUGUGAUGUCCAAGAUCACGGACCACAAACUCAAUAAUUCUAACUAUCUUGAUUGGAGCAAAACAGUUCGUCUUUAUCUGCGAAGCAUUGAUAAAGACAAUCAUCUGACUGAUGAUCCUCCAAAAGAUGGUUCAAGACAAACAUGGCUAAGGGAAGAUGCUAGAUUGUUCCUGCAAAUACGGAAUUCUAUUGACAGUGAGGUAAUUAGCUUAAUUAAUCACUGUGAAUUUGUUAAGGAGUUAAUGGAGUAUUUAGAAUUUUUGUAUUCUGGUAAAGGGAAUAUUUCUCGCAUAUAUGAGGUGUGUCAAGCCUUUUAUCGUGCAGAGAAACAAGAUAAGUCCAUUAUGACUUAUUUUAUGGAUUUUAAGAAAACUUAUGAGGAGUUUAAUCUGUUAUUACCGUUUAGUUCUGAUGUGAAAGUUCAGCAAACUCAACGGGAACAGAUGGCAAUUAUGAGUUUUUUGGCUGGUCUUUCACCUGAAUUUGAAGCUGCUAAAUCUCAGAUUCUUUCCAGUCCUGAGAUCUCAUCCUUGCAAGAUGUGUUUAGUAGGGUGCUUCGCACAGAGAAUACCCAGUCUGUUCAGUCCAGCAGUGCUCUUGUUGGUCUUGGAAAACAGCAAUACAAAGGUGGUGGUAAAGGAAUUGACACUCGGGGACAGAAUGUAGAAGUGGUUGUGUGUUACUAUUGUCAUAAGCCGGGUCAUAUGAAGCGUGAUUGUAAGAAAUUGCAGUACAAGAACCAGAGAACUCAAUCCGCACAUAUUGCUUCUACCAAUGAUGCUAUUAACCAUGAAAAGUCUGUUACGAUCUCUGCAGAUGAAUUUGCUAAAUUUUCUCAGUAUCAAGAAUCAUUAAAGUCUUCAUCUACUCCCGUAACUGCCAUCGCUGAGUCAGGUAAACCAAACACAUGCCUUGUGUCCUCAUCCUCCAAAUGGGUAAUUGAUUCUGGUGUCACAGAUCAUAUGACAGGUAAUUCUAGUUUAUUUUCUACCUUUCAGCCACACACAUCUGCACCUACAGUUACCUUAGCUGAUGGGUCAAAAUCUCGUGUUCUUGGAUCAAGCUCAGUUAACCCCACUCCAUUAAUCUCAUUGUCAUCUGUCUUAAGUUUGCCUGAGUUGUCUUUUAAUCUAAUUUCUGUGAGUAAACUUACUCGUGCCCUCAAUUGUUCUACCCAAUUGCUUGUUUCAGGAUCUUACGACGAAGCAGAUUAUUGGUAAAGGGCAUGAAUCUGGAGGUCUUUACAUUCUUGACACACAGAUACCAAAGUCCAUAGCUUGUUCUGGAAUUGUAACUCCAUUUGAAGCACAUUGUAGGCUGGGUCAUCCUUCUCUCCCGUUGUUAAAGAUACUUUGUCCACAAUUUCAGAGUUUGUCUUUAUUAGAUUGUGAGUCUUGUCAGUUUGCUAAACAUCAUCGUGUUAAUCUGAGUCCUAGAGUCAAUAAACGGGCGGAUGCUCCUUUUGCAUUAGUUCAUUCAGAUGUCUGGGGACCUAGUCCAGUCAUUUCUAAAACUGGAUUCAAGUAUUUUGUUACUUUUGUCGAUGACCAUUCUCGUAUGACUUGGUUAUAUUUGAUGAAAAAUCGGUCAGAGUUGUUUUCUCAUUUUUGUGCUGAGGUUAAGACCCAAUUUAAGCGUUCUGUACAAAUAUUGCGAAGUGACAAUGCCAAAGAAUAUUUAUUCGCACCUUUUCAAUCUUAUAUGGUGCAAAAUGGCAUUAUUCAUCAAACCUCUUGUGUGGAUACGCCAUCCCAAAAUGAGGUCGCAGAACGAAAGAAUAGACAUUUGCUCGAAACUGCAAGAGCCUUAUCAUUUCAAAUGCAUGUUCCUAAACAUUUUUGGGCUGAUGCAGUGUCCACAGCUUGCUUUCUAAUUAACCGUCUGCCUUCAUCUGUUUUGAAUGGUGGGACUCCUUAUAACACUCUUUUUCCAAAUAGACCCUUGUUUCCCAUCGAACCUAAAAUCUUUGGGUGUACAUGUUUAGUUCGCGACUCUCGUCCCCAAGUCACUAAAUUAGACCCCAAAUCAUUGAAAUGUAUUUUUCUUGGUUAUUUCCGUGUCCAAAAAGGAUAUAGAUGUUAUUGUCCUAGUCUCGGCAGGUACAUUGUGUCAGUUGAUGUUACUUUUCUUGAAAAUACACCUUUUACCCCAUCCUCAUCUCAUUCAUGUCAGGAGGAGGAUAAUGAUUUGUUAAUCUAUACUGUCACAUCCUCAAGUUCUUCCCCUGCUAAACCUCCAAUUACUCAGGUAUAUUCUCGACGACAAAAGUCUCCUGAUGCAUGCCCUGAACCGGUUCCUUCGCUACUAGAUCCUGUCUCAAAUGAUGAUCUUCCUAUUGCUCUUCGCAAAGGUAAGCGUCAAUGCACUUAUCCUGUGUCUUCGUGUGUAUCUUAUAAUCAUUUACCCACCUCUUCUUGUUCCUUUAUUACAUCUAUUGAUCCUAUCUCCCUUCCUAAAACUGUUCAUGAAGCCCUAUCCCAUCCCAGAUGGCACAAUGCUAUGAUAGAGGAGAUAAAUGCUCUAGAUGGUAAUGAUACUUGGAACUUAGUAAAUUUACCUGCAGGGAAGAAGGCCAUUGGGAGUAAGUGGAUUUUUGCAGUUAAAUUUAAUCCUGAUGCGUCGGUUGCUUGGUUAAAAGCUCGUCUUGUUGCCAAAGGCUAUGCCCAAAUCUAUGGAGAGGAUUAUUCUGAUACUUUUUCCCCUGUUGCUAAGUUAACAUCUGUCAGGUUAUUCAUUUCUAUGGCAGCCACUCAUAAUUGGCCUUUGCAUCAACUAGAUAUCAAGAAUGCCUUUCUUCAUGGAGACCUCCAAGAGGAAGUUUAUAUGGAGCAACCACCAGGGUUUGUUGCUCAGGGGGAGUCUGGGAAGGUUUGUCAUCUUCGGAAGUCCUUGUAUGGACUGAAACAAAGUCCUCGUGCUUGGUUUGGAAAAUUUAGUCUAGCAGUUGAAAGGUUUGGGAUGCAGAAAAGCAAAUCUGAUCAUUCUGUUUUCUACAAACAGUCUGAAGUUGGUAUUGUUUUGUUGGUAGUAUAUGUGGAUGAUAUUGUUAUCACUGGGAAUGAUGCUGCAGGUAUUUCAUCUCUUAAAACUUUUCUUCAUAGUCAAUUUCAGACAAAGGAUUUGGGGCUGUUAAAGUAUUUUUUGGGUAUUGAGGUAGCAAAGAGUAGGAAGGAGAUAUUCCUGUCCCAAAGGAAAUAUGUUCUUGACUUGCUAUCUGAAACGGGAAAAUUGGGGGCUAAACCAGCUAGUACCCCAAUGAUUCCUAACUUGCAGCUCACAAAAGAAGGUGAAUUGUUAGAAGAUCCUGGGAGGUAUAGAAGAUUGGUUGGAAAGUUGAAUUAUCUUACAGUAACUCGUCCAGAUAUCGCGUAUUCAGUUAGUGUUGUUAGUCAAUAUAUGACUAAUCCUACUGUUAGAAUUGGAAUUGAAUUAGAAUUGAAAUUCUAUAGAAUUUGAAUUCUAUGAAUUAGAAAUCCAAAUCCUUGCAAUUCUUUCGUUUGGAAAAUACAUAGAAUUGAUACGGAAUUUAUUUGGAAUUCCAAAUCUUUUGUUUGGAUGAGAGAAGAAUUUAUUAGGAAUUAGAAUUGUUUUCAUAAAACAUUUGCUUACAUAAAAUUUUUCUUUUUUUUAUAUAAUAAUUUCUUUUUUUUCUUACAUUUAGCUAAUUUUUACUAAAAAUUUAAAGGAAAAAUGCAAAUUACUUUCUUUUUUGGCAAAAUAUCAGCCAAAACCCCGAAAUUUACAGUUGAAGAACGGAAAAGAAAGAAAAUUUUAAAAGAAUCAAGGAAAGUAGUGGUAAAAUGAAUCAACUACUACUAGUAUAGAACUGAAACGUCCAAGUUCCUUUUCCUUUUUCAUCCCCCCAAGACACCCUCCCCAAACGCGUGUCAUUAACUCUCCCAUUUUCCCUUUCUUUGUUUCCUUUUCUCUCUCUCAAUCAACACCACAACCACUUCGUCGAGGCACCACCUUGACCACAACUCCGUCGGCACCUACGCCACCACUGAAAAUUAUGGACUGAAUUCCCAAAACUCCUCACCACCCUUCUUAUAAGACCUAUACAUAAACUCCUACUUAACUGGAAAAUUAAGAUACUAACUAUAAAAGAACAAAAAUCAGUGAGCCAAAACUCAAAAGCCUUGUAUGAUGGCGGAGCUGGCUCAAUCCGCCGACGUCUACGCGCCGAAGACUAUACAAGUUUGGAGAGCACUAUUAAACUGGCUGGCUUUCUUCUUCCAGAUCUUCGUUCAGAUCAUCAGAGGCACGUCGUCGCUGACUCAGGUCCUGUCUUACGUUGGCCUGCGCCACUCCUCUCUUCUCUCUUCUUCAUCGCCUCAGUUCAAGCCUUUAGUGAUGGGUGAAGGCAGCACAAGUGAAGGAGGCGGCGGCAGGAAUGCUCCAACAGAGCAUUAGAUAUGGCGAUUGAUAAUGGAAAGAGAAGAGAGGUUUGAGUUUUUUCCAUCACUUUUAUAGUUGACCCAUUUUUUAGAUUUUGCCCGUACAAGACCCGCGUGUUGACCCGAUUGGGGAGUUCAGUCGUGGAAUUAGAAUUGGAAUUCUUUGGUCCAACCAAAGAAUUGGAACCAUGGAAUUCGAUCGAUUUGGAAUUGCAAUUCGAUUCUAAUUCUACAGAAAAGAUAGUAUCCAAACACAAGAAUUGAAAUUGGAGCUCCAAUUCCAAUUCUACACUCCAAUUCUAUGGGAACCAAACGUACCCUAAGUGUAUUUGGUAGGGAAAAUGAUGAAAAUGUGUAAGUUUAGUCAUGAUUUGAUUUUGAUCUCUUUUUUUUUUUUUUUUGCUUUUGAUUUUGAUUGAUUUUUUCUUUUCAUAAUUUUCUUUUCUUAAAAUAAACCUACAAAAAAAAUGAGAAAAAUAUACAUUAAAAUGAAAGAAAAUAAAUAACUCAUCACAUAAAAAUUUGACAAAAAUUUGAUGUCUACAUACAUUGAGUGGAAAAAUCAAUUUCCACUAGUAUUGCUAUUAAGGAAAUUUUUUAUUCAUAUAUGCAAUUUCCUAAGAUUUUUAUUAAAGCUAAACAAUGGAAUGGAUUUUUCAAUUCUCUGUAGAAGGAAUGUGUGGUUAGAAUUUGUAAAAACUAAAGGUAGAGGUAAGCAAGAUCAUAUUCCAAAGUUGGAAAAUAUUUUCAAAUGUUAAACAAACACCAGAAAAUGAAGUUAGAAAACAUUUUCAAUAGGCUAAUCAAACACCCAAAAAUGAUGAAAAAGAAAUUAUUUUCCUGGAAAAAUACUUCCAUGGAAAAUAUUUUCCCAUGGAAAACAUUUUACUCCCAACCAAACAGACCCUAAAUGAUUCCAAUUCUACAUUGUGGAGAAGGAGAUGGAAAGCACAAUCCCACAAGCCUAAUUAGGCAUCUUAUUUAUUCACCAAUCUAAUUGAACACCAGGGAGCCUGGAAACGGUGUGAAGAACCAAAACAAAAUAAUCAUUAUACCAGUACAGUAGUAAUUGCACUACUUUUAAAUUGAAUAUCUUAGUUUGCCCUGAUUGCAGAAGUCAAAGAAUAAGAGUUGCACAUAACAAUGACUGGAGAAAACUGGGAUCCAUGGUGACCCUAAUGUUUGGGAAGAAGCAAACAAGUUUAAGCCGGAAAAUUUUGAAGGGAUUUAUGAUGAAGGGGGAUGCAAUGAAGGGUACAAUUUCUUCCAUUUGGAAAAGGGAAGAGAGCUUGUUCAGGAGCUGCUUUGGCUAUGAAGUUAGUUGCCUUGUCAUUAAUGGUUUGCCGUCGCGGGUCGCGGUCGUGGUUGUUUCACAUCUGUCACGGCAUAUCGGUUGAAUAGCGGGUGAUAUACACAUUAUAGCACAUAAAAAUUUUCAAAAAAUCUGAAAAAAUUACUAAAAUUAGAAAAAAUAAAAAAAAACACAAUCUAAAAAAAUAUCCGAGUGGAUUCAGAUAUAUUGGCCGAUACCAUGCAUCACGAAUAUAGUAUUAUCCACGAUUCGACAAUCGGUAUCGUAUUAGUCUCCUCCGUUCUGAUUACGACUCGACUAAUUCACAUCGUAAUCGGCCGAUAUUGCUAACCGUGUUGCCAUUGGGCACUUUUAUUUAAUGCUUUGAGUGGGAAAGAGUAGGGCCUGCAAUGAAGGAUUUGGAAGAAAAUCCAGGCUCAACUAGGCCAGGGCCAAGCCUCUGGAGUCAUUAUACAAGCCAUGUGAGUGUAUGAUCAACUUGAUCUCUCGGCUUUGGUUAAGUUAGAGAUCUUUUUUUUUUCAAAACGAUAGGAAUAUAUAUAUAAGUUAGAGAUCGAUGUAGUAUAAUCCGUUCUUCUUUUCACUGAAAAAAAAGAUUAAAAUAUUUCUUUCCAGAAUAUAAAACUGCAAGUGGGGUAAAAAGAAUUAAAUGCUCGAAAGCAACGGUGGAUAAACUAGACGAACAUCCUAUGCUCUGCAGUUCAGGCUUUUCAAUUAGUAGAUACAACAAGCUCAUGGAAUCCCUUCCUAUAUUGACAGUUUCAUGGCUUCUCAUAUCAGUUCUUUGCAGGGACUUGCUAGUGGUCACAUAUUAAAUAUUCUUAGUAUUUAAUGUCGCAUUCAGACAUUCCAAUCUACUAAAGGCUUGUUCUAAAAUUGCUUGAAUUUGAAAAUUAAUAAUGUAUUCCCAGUCAGCUUUAAAUACACACACACACGAGAGAAAAGGAUUGAACAAAUAUUUCUCUGCAGGGACCUGCCAAUGGUCACACAUUGAUUAUUCAUAGUAUUUUCUCUAGCAUUCAUAUAUAUUCCAAUACACUAAGGGCUUGUUCUAAAACUGUUGGGUGGUAGUUUAUAUUAGUUUUUGGUGAAAAACAUCACCUAUUAAAUCCAAAAUUUUUAUGGCGAUUAUUAAGAAAUAAAUUAAUAGUAAAAUUACGAAAGCGUAUCUAGAUUCAUGUUGACAAACUGGCACUUGAAUCCUUGAAGGUAUUUUUGGGAUGGCCUUUCAGGUUAACACGUAUUCGCUGAUUCUUAAGAGAGCACUUUAGUUUCUCUCUGGUAUCUCUCUUGAGGAUGGAAUAUCGAGAAAGGCUAUUUUGUGGUACUAGAAAAUAUGACAAUAAGAUACGUAUGACUUGGGGACCAUAACCCUAUUUAUAGAUAACUUUUCUGUUAUCUUUUAGAUUCCUAUUUCAACCCAUCAUAGAAAUAGAAAACACUCUUAAGUCUCUACACAUUAAAAACUCACAUCCUAUUAGAUAUAUUAAAGUGCAAACCAUAUUUGAUCACUUUAAUUGGAUUUAAUCUUAUUUGACAGUCUGCAACAUAUAAUUAUUCACAUAUAAAUCCAACGUUGGAUUAAAGAUCCAACAAUUUUUAGUUGGACUAUAUGUGUAACCUUAUAAUUAUGUUUUGCUAUUAACUGUAUGAGUUCAACUUUACUUUCAUUAUCAAAAUGCAUCUACAACCAAUUUGAUCUAUCAAUUACACCAACAUAGGAUCAAAACGGCCUUUGUUAUACUUUCAUAACUCGACCCAUCAAUAGUCACAUAUGAUAUGAUCUGGAUCCCCCACUCUAGCCCACAACUCCGUUCAAGUGGUCCAAUCACAAGAACUCGUGCCAAGAAGAUGCGCGAAGCUCCUCAAGCUCUUGUAUGCACUAUCUAAGAGAGAGUUGGAGACAAUUUGAAGAUCAUUGAAGGCUUGAAGAAUGAAAAUUCAACAAUAUACACCUUACUCCAUGUUGAAGAGUCAAAUGAAGAAUAGUCUUACAAAGUGCCUUAAUCAAAGCCGAGGCUUAUUUGUCAUUCUUUUAGUUAUUUAUUGUACAAUAAAUUCGGCCAAACAGCCUUCUACUUGGCCAAAUAUUAGAUAGCCCAUUGUUAGUCCUUAUCACGGCCCAAAGCCCUAACCUAGCCUAAUUUGCUUAAAGUAUUUUUAAUUUAAAUGAAUCCAAUUCACCUUAAAUCUAGUUUAAGUGAAUCCAAUUCACUUUAGGUUGUCCAGUGUAUGGCUAUAUAAAAGCCAAGGCAAGAGACCUUCAUAAUCAGUUUUUGAAUCAAUAAAAUUGUGAGUUUUCACUUUUCUCUUUCCAAGAGAGGUCUUUGAAUAUUUGAUAGUCUUUCUCAAGUUAUUCAAGUAAACUUAUCAAUCAAGUAACUCCUUAGUUGUGGCGUUCCUCUACCUAUAGUUUGGUUCGCUAAUUCGUUAAGUAGUGGGUUGAGAUAGUAUCAAUAUUAUUCGCUAUUUCGGGGAUUAUAUUGGGUCAAAUUUCCGCUGCCAAACCGUUGGUGUUUGUUGUCUAGAUCGCGUGUCAAGUGUAGAUCACAUCAGUUGGUAAUCAGAGUUAGUCGACAACCACCAGGUUAUAUCCUUCUUUUCUUUUGUGUUUGGAGUCACAUACUCUUGUUCCAAAUCAGUUCACGUGUCAAUUCAAAAAAAAAAAAGUACUGUAGUAUCGUACUGUUCAUAGCUACUGUAGCGAUACUAUUCACCGAGUCGUACUGUUCAUCCGAAAUAUUGUAGCGACACUGUUCAUCCGAAAAAAAAUUUUGUUUUGCAUAACUUGUGUUUCUUUCUUGUUUUGGUGUCUUGUUAUAUUGUUCUUGAAGUCCUGUGCUGGUUUAGAGUUAAAAAAAAAAAAAUCUGGUCACUAGUUUUGUUCUUGAAAGCCGAAAUCAAAAGUAGGGUUUUUUUUUUUUUUUUAACAAAGAGGGUUGGGAAUUUUGUCGUGUCUUGCACUAAAAGAGACUGUUAUAUUAUUGCUUGAACCUCUUGACAAAUUUACCUUGUUUCUUGGGAUUCUUGACAUCUAUCUUGAAGUAGUGGUUUGGUUCUUGAAAUUCUUGAAGCCAAGAUUGACCAAAUCAAAACUUAAUUCUUGUUUCUUGAAGUUGGGACUGAUCUUGUGCAAAAAUCACAAACGAAAUUCUUGUUCCUUGUUGUGAUUCGAAUUGACAAAAAAGAAAAAGAAAUCUGAUUGCGUUUAAAAAAAAAAAGGAGAACGCAAGAAAAAAAGAAAGUCGGAUUCAUAAGGAAAAAGAAAACUAACUUGAAUUUGGAAAUCAAGUUGACUUGGGUUUGAAAAACAAAUCCUAGUUGCACUCAAAUUGUCAAAUUCUGAUUGGUCACCUUUGCACACGUGGGAUACCAGAAAAUCAGCACCUAAACUACCCAAAAACAACCCAAAAAACCUUGUUUACAACUCCCAAAAAUACAGCCUAGUGCAAUUGGGUAGAGUCCAUCUAGGGUUCCAAAAAAAAAUUCUGCCAUUCUUACCCUUGUUUGAGUCGAGUUGUGCAAUCUGUCUCAUUUCAAUUUGUCUUUUUUUGAGUCUUUUCCACCUUUAAAUUCGUGUAUAAGGGUUCCACAACAAGUCCAAAUCAGUCUUGACUUGUACCUAGUUACUAGUUUCCAAAUUGAGUCCUUGUCAAAGUCAAAUACUACCAAAGCUUGAGUUACCUUUUGCGGACUAAAAUCAGUAAAUUUCCAGCAUGUUUUCUUGUGUUCUUUGCUACCUUUUGAGUCAUUAUUCAGUUCUAAAUUUCCAGCUAUUCAUACACUACUUUUGGGGAGAACUUGAUUGAAAUUUGGUUGAACUACUUGGAGGAAAUUUCUGAUUUCUUCAAAGGAAGCAAUCAAGGGAUUUGAGAAAUGAGUGGUGAGAACAUUAGAGUGUUUUAAACACUUGAAUGAUACACGAGAGUGAGCGAAACAUGUAAGGGAGUGAGUGAGGCCUUUUCUACUAAUGUUUGUUGAGUUUUGCAGGUAAUAUAAGUAUGAGACAAACGAAUGCUCAACUAGAGAUCCACCAUCUUGUGCCUAAAGGAGUAAAUGUUAUGGCCUUGCGUGAGAUAACUGAGCAAUUGAAAACUGUCAAAGCUCAAAAACAUGGCUGGUUUUAUACUCGUUAUGGUGUCAAAGAUAAAACCUGCAGCUUGGCCAUUGAUAGGAGUUGUGAAGUCAAUCUUGCAAGUGCUAUCAUGGUUGAGACAUUAAAUCUGCUAACCAUUGAUCACCUUCAACCGUACAAGUUGUCGAGUGCUCAUGGUGAUGUUUGGGUUACUAAGCACACACUUGUACUCAUUCAAAUUGGCAAAUAUAUGGAUGAGGUGUUGUGUGAUGUAGUCCCAAUUCAAGUGACACAUGUAUUGUUGGGCAAAGCAUGGAUGUGGAGACGAGAAGUUAAUAUGAUGGACAUACUAAUAAGUAUUCCUUCUUAUUUAAUGGUCGUCGUUCUGCACUUGUAUUACUUACUUAUGACCAGCUUUAUAUUGAUCUAGAAAACAUGAAAAGUGAGCAUGAGCAUUAUAGUAUGAAGAAAGAGCUAGAUGAGGGAAUUGUAACUGACGAGGUAAAAUCUGAGGGAGUUGAAAGUAAUGAGAGGAAAAAGUCAGCUAUUGAGCGUGAGAAAGAGAUUAAAAAGUCUAAGAGUGAGCUGAUUGUGAGAAAAGAUAAGAGAUCUUACGUUUUUUCUAAUGAUCUUAACUCUACUUUAUUUAGUGUUUCUACUUUUAUGCAGGUUAAGUAAGGAAAAAUUGAGUUGAUCUUGGCAUGUUCUAUUUCUAAAUCCAUCGGUCAAUAUCAAACUUUUCAUGGAAUUUGGGUCUUAAGUGUUGUAUGUCUUUGUUAUCCAUUGAUGUUCAAUUUCAACCAUGAGCCUGACUUUCUUGUUGGGAGGAAUAAUGAAGUUUCAAAGGGAGUUUCUAUACUUGAAAAUUGUUGUAAACCUCCUUCUUAUUUCGUUGGUGAUAAUCCUUUUCUCAUUGUUUCAAAUGUUGAUUCCUUACAACCUGAAUGUAUUUUUCAAUUUGAAGGUACAAAAGCUGCCUGUCUGGAUCUUGCUCCAUUUGUGCAAGAUAAGCCAUACCAACAACGACUUGCAACGAAAUUUGUAACUUUACACAAUCAUAUUCGGGACUUUUCUAACCUGAUUGCGUAUCACUAUAAAAAUCCUUAUCUUGUGAAUGUGAAUGGUAAGCUGUCAAGUGAUUUUAUACCUACAAAUGCUAAUUGUGUGAUUUAUUGUGUAGGUCCAAAUUCGACCAUUCAUGACAAAAGGUUGAUUAGAGAGCAUUGGAGUGGAACCUGAAAUUUUCACAAGCUUUAUACAAGAUGUUUCUUGUCUUGGAGAAUGUCUUUGUUCAAAAGCAUCAUAAGGCUGACCAAACGACAUGCAACAUGGCUCGUAGUUAUUCAUCUAUUUCCAACCUUAUUGUCCUUUAAGCGCACUGUCGAUUUGUGGACAAAUCGCUUUCAAGAGGAGGGGAACGAUAUGAUCCGGAUCCCCCACUCUAGCCCACAACUCCGUUCAAGUGGUCCGAUCACAAGAGUUUGUGCCAAGAAGAUGCGCGAAACUCCUCAAACUCUUGUAUGUACUAUCCAAAAGAGAGUUGGAGACAAUUUGAAAAUCAUUGAAGGCUUGGAGAAUGAAAAUUCAACAAUAUACAUCUUACUCCAAGUUGAAGAGUCAAAUGAAGAAUAGUCUUACAAAGUGCCUUAAUCAAACCCGAGGCUUAUUUGUCAUUCUUUUAGUUAUUUAUUGUUCAAUAAAUUCGGCCAAACAGCCUUCUACUUGGCCGAAUAUUAGAUAGUCCAUUGUUAGUCCUUAUCUCGGCCCAAAGGCCUAGCCUAGCCGAAUUUGCUUAAAGUAUUUUUAGUUUAAGUGAAUCCAAUUCACUUUAGGUCUAGUUUAAGUGAAUCCAAUUCACUUUAGAUUUUCCAGUGUAUUAGCCAAGGCAAGAGACCUUCAGAAUCAGUUUUUGAAUCAAUAAAAUUGUGAGUUUUCACUUUUUUCUUUCCAAGAGAGGUUCUUUGAAUAUUUGAUAACCUUUCUCAAGUUAUUCAAGUAAACUUAUCAAUCAAGUAACUCCUUGGUUGUGGCGUUCCUCUACCUAUAGUUUGGUUCGCUAAUUCGUUAAGUAGUGGGUUGAGAUAGUAUCAAUAUUAUUCGCUAUUUCGGGGAUUAUAUUGGGUCAAAUUUCCGCUGCCAAUCCGUUGGUGUUCGUUGUCUAGAUCGCAUGUCAAGUGUAGAUCACAUCAACAUAUAUUGAUACAAUUGAAUGACAUGAAUCAUAAUGUGUAUGUGUAACAUGAAAAUUUCAUGUAAUAUGAUCAUAACAUGCCUAUUUCUAACUGAUCCACCUUAAACAUUCAUGAGAUCAAACCAUACAAAAAUUAGAGUGUAAAUAAAUACAAAUUUUAUUUAUGCAUAAAAUAUUCUUAAAACUUUAAUAAUAAAAAAUAUUGUAAAAACAUUUAAAAUAACAAACUCCCAUUAAAACUGUACAUCACUUAAUAACAUGACAUCCAUACGAGCAGUAUGCUCAUGAAACACUUUGAGUGGCAGUCCCUUAGUAAGCGAAUCUACAACCAUAGAGUUUGUCCCAAUAUACUCUAUCCAUAACUGUCCACUCUGCACUUUUUCUUUAACAGUCAGGAAUUUGAUAUCUAUAUGUUUAGGUUUUGUUGAACUCCUAUUGUUAUUGGAAUAUAAGACUGCUGAUUUAUUGUCACAAAAUAAUUUGAGUGGUCUUUCAAUAUUAUCCACUACACGUAAUUCUAUGACAAAAUUUCGCAGCCAAAUUCUAUGGUUGGAUGUCUCAUAGCAAGUUAUAAAUUCUGCAGCCAUAGUAGAAGAUAUUAUAAGAGACUAUUUAGCAUUCUUUCAAGAUAUGACACCCCCAACUAGCAAUUAGAUAUAGUCUGACAUUGACUUCAUACUAUCUUAGUAUCCAACAUAAUCGAAAUCAGUAUACUCAAUGAUCUCGAGUUUAUCUGACCUCCGAUACAUGAGCAUGUAAUUUUUUAUUUUCUGUAAAUACCUUAAGACCGUUUGGUUGCCUUCCAAUGAUCUAAUCUAGGAUUGUUUUAAUAUUUACUCAACAUCCCAAUAAUGUACGCAAUAUCCGGACACGUACAGACCUGAGUAUAUAUUAGAUUCCCUACUGCUGAUGCAUAGGAAAUCUUUUGUAUUUCCUUUUCUUCAAAAGUAUUUUUAGGACAUUGGUCGAGACUAAACUUAUCUCUUUUAGUUAUAGGAGUGUCACCUGAUUUAUAAUUUUGCAUGCUAUAUCUUUUAAGAAUUUUUUCGAUAUAACACUUUGUGAUAGUUCAAAAAUACCCCGAAAGCGAUCCCGAUGUAUUUGUAUGCCUAGCACAAAAGAUAUAUCAUCAAGAUCUUUUAUCUCAUAGUUCUUAAUUAGAAAUCUCUUGGUUUCAUGCAAUAAAUCUAUAUCGUUGCUGGCAAGUAAAAUGUCAUCAACAUACAACAUCAGAAAAAUAUACUUGCUCCCACAAAACUUAUAAUAUAUACAAUUAUCUAUUAAAUUCAUUUCAAAAUCAAAUGAGAUGAUUACUUGAUGAAAUUUGAAAUACCAUUGUCGAGACGCUUGUUUGAGUCCAUAGAUGAAUUUUUUAAAUUUGUAAACCACAUUUUUUGGAUCUCCCAAUACAAAAUUUUCUGACUGCACCAUAUAAAUCGUCUUAUCAAUAUUACCAUUAAGAAAUGAAGUCUUUACAUCUAUUUAGUAUAAUUCAAGAUUAAAAUGCGCCACUAAUGUUAUAAUAAUUCUAAAAAUCUUUCGAAAAGACAGGAGAGAAUGUUUUUAUAUAAUCGAUAUAUUCUUUUUAUGUAAAUCCCUUACAACAAUACGGAUUUUGUAUUUUUUUUACAUUAUCUUUCGAAUCCCUCUUAAUUUUAAAUAUCCAUUUACAACCAAUGGGUUUCGCUCCUUCUAGUAAUGGGACAAGAUUCUAGACAUCAUUGUCUUUAAUAAAUUUAAUUUCUUCAUUCAUGACAUCGAUUCAUUUUUAAGAAUUUGAAUUUUUCAUGAUUUGAUGGAAGUUAUUUGGAUCAUCUUCCAUCAAUUUAAUGUCAUUCUUAUAUUUUUGGAGAAAAAUAAUGUAAUCGUCUGGCAUUACGUUUCUUUUUUUUCUAGUGGAUCUUUUUAGUGACACUGAUUCUUGAAAAUGUAGAGUUUGCUUUUUUAUAACAGUUUGCUCUUCAAUAUUAUCUUGAUUUGUUGUAUCAUAAUCAAUUUCAGGAAUGAGAUCCUGAACAAGAUCAAUGACACAUGUGAAAAUAUUAAUAUAUUUCUCUUCAAAGACAAGAUUUUUAACUGUAUCUUCUCCCCCAAACUCAACAUCUUCGAAGAAUCGAAUAUUUUGUAUUUUUUUUACAUUAUCUUUCGAAUCCCUCUUAAUUUUAAAUAUCCAUUUACAACCAAUGGAUUUCGCUCCUUCUAGUAAUGGGAUAAGAUUCUAGACAUCAUUGUCUUUAAUAAAUUUAAUUUCUUCAUUCAUGACAUCGAUUCAUUUUUAAGAAUUUGAUUUUUUCAUGAUUUGAUGGAAGUUAUUUGGAUCAUCUUCCAUCAAUUUAAUGUCAUUCUUAGAUUUUUGGAGAAAAAUAAUGUAAUCGUCUGGCAUUACGUUUCUUUUUUUUUCUAGUGGAUCUUUUUAGUGACACUGAUUCUUGAAAAUGUAGAGUUUGCUUUUUUAUAAUAGUUUGCUCUUCAAUAUUAUCUUGAUUUGUUGUAUCAUAAUCAAUUUCAGGAAUGAGAUCCUGAACAAGAUCAAUGACACAUGUGAAAAUAUUAAUAUAUUUCUCUUCAAAGACAAGAUUUUUAAUUGUAUCUUCUCCCCCAAACUCAACAUCUUCGAAGAAUCGAAUAUUUUGUGUCUCGAAAAUCGAUUUAGUAGUGGAAUUAUAAAACUUGUAACCCCUGGAUCUAUCAAAAUAUCCAUAGAAUAAUAAUUAAACGUCUUUGAUUUCAGUUUCUUUUCAUUUGUCCUAUAUGGUCUUGUCUCAAUUGGACAUUCCUAAAUAUGUAAAUGUUUCAAAUUGGUCUUUUUUCCUAUCCAAAUCUCAUAAGAGAUUUUGAUAGUUACUUUAGUUGAAAUUCUGUUAAGAAUAUAUGCGGCAGUUUUAAGUGCUUCUCCCUAGAAUGAUUUUGGUAAGGUAGAAUGACAUAUCAUACUCCUUACCAUGUUUUUAAGCGUUCUAUUUCGUCUUUCAAUUAUACCAUUCAUAGUGGGUGAAUCCGGUGUAAUAUAUUGUGGGAUGAUACCAUAUUCCUUUAGAUAUUUGACAAAUGGUUCUGGACGUUGUUUACCUGAAUCGUCAUAUCUACCAUAGUACUCAUUACCACGGUCAGAUCUGACGCUUUUAAUUCUUUUGUUAAAUUGGUUCUCAACUUCAACCUUAAAAUUUUUGAACACGUUCAGUGAUUGUGAUUUUUUAGAAAUGAGAUAUAUGUAACCAUAUUUUGAAAAAUCGUCUAUGAACGUUAUAAAAUAUUGUUAACAAUUUCAAGCAGAUGUAGGAAAUGACCCACAAAUAUUUGUAUAUAUAAAUUCUAAGACGUCUAAGGACCUAUUGAUUUCAAAUUUCCUCUUAUUGGUUUGUUUUCCUUUUAUACAGUUAACACAAUUACCAAAAACUGUAAAUUCAAGGGGUCGAGAAUUUCAUUUGACAUAAGUCUUUUCAUUCUUCGUUUGAAAAUACGUCCUAAUCUCUUGUACCAUAAUGCAGCCGAAUUCUCAUUGGUUAAUUUUCUCUUUACUCCUCUAGUACUCAAAUACAAAUAUUCAUUAAAUGAGACAAUUGUAUCAAUUAAAUAUAGAUUAUCGUAAUGCAUUAAAGAACAAGAACUAAUCAAUUUUAAAUCAUGAAAUAAUUUAAAAUUUUCAUUUUCAAAUGAACAAAAAUAACCAAAUUUGUUCAAAGCAAAAAUAGAAAUCAAAUUCUGUUGAACAGACGGUACAAUAAAUGUUUCAUUAAGAUCCAAAUAAAAUUCGAUUUUUAACAAUAAUCUAAAAACUCCGAUUAACUCAACUUGAACUAUUUUGCCAUCGUCCACAUAGAUAUAGCUUUCCUUAUCAUUAGGUUUUCGACAAUUCAGACAACCCUGCAUAGACACACUAAUAUGAGUUGUUGCACCUGAAUCUAACCAUCAUGCGUGUCUGAGUAUCGAAGUUAAAUUAAUUUCAGAAUAAACCAAAUUAAGAAGCAUACCUUUCUUAGUACGCUAAGCAUGAUAGUUGGUGCAAUACUUCUUUCUAUGCCCUUUAACUCCACAGAGGAAACAAUUAUUCUUUCUCGGAUCAAUCGAUUUUUUCUGUUAUUUCUUUUGCGGUACCGUACCUAUAGAUUAUUUAUCAUUCUUUCUCUUAAAUUCGUUAUUUUUAUUAUUAGUGGUUGAGACCAGAUAAAUACUCUCUGUCUAGUUUUGUUUCAACCUUUCCUAUUCCUCUAUACAAUAUGAAAUGAGUUCAUUUAGAGAUCAAGCCUUUUUUUGAUAGUUGUAACUCACCUUAAACUGAUUAAACUGUGUGGGAAGAAAUAUUAAAAUCAAAUGCACUAGUAACUCUUCAAAGAGUACCAAUUUAAGUGCAUUUAAUUUCAAAAUAAGAUGAGACAUCUUCAUAAUGUACUCUCUGAUAUUACCUUUACCACUAUAUUUUAUUGAAACUAAGUGUGUCAAGAGUGUACUAAUUUCAGUUUUUUCACUCUUGAUAAACUUUUUUUUAAUGUUUUGAAGGAAUUUCUUAGCGGUAACUAUCAUUUUUGACAUUGUUUCUUUGAAUGCUUCUGAAACGGCCGUUUUAAUGAUCAUCAAACACAAGUGAGUUGAUCUCUCCCACCUUUCCUUAGCUCUCUUUUCAUUAGAGGUACUUUGAUCUGUAAGAGGUGGAAGAGAAUCAACCCUUAACGCAAGGUCGAGAUCCAUUACUCCAAGUACUAUUAAGAGGUUUUUUUUCCAAGACUUGAAAUUUGUGCUAUUCAACAUAGAAAUAUUAUUGAUGUUGGUAAUAAUAUUUGUAAGAUCAUUCGCAAUUGAACAGAAAAACAUAAAAUAAUUAAAACAAUCUCACAUAGAAUAAAAUAAUAAUAAAUUCAAAUAAAGGUAACCCCAUCUCAAGAUACCAAUGUUCCAUUAAUAUUUUAUUUUUGAUCAAAAUAUUAACUUCUAAGUGAUAUCUUGAUGCAAUAAUAAACACCGAUAAUAAUAACAUGUCAAAAAAUAAAUUUUCCUUUAGGUCAAUUUAUAAUUCACAUGUAAAAAGUCGAAUAUUUAUCACAUGUUUAUUACCACAAGUGCACGUGUAAUUUUGUUAAACAUUGAUAUUCCUUUGGGCCAAUCAAUAUUCAUAAAAAUUACAAGUACCCAAUUACUUAUAUUCUAGAAUAAAUUAAUUUUCACAAGAGAGGUCACUUUGGUAGCAUAUUAUUUUAAUUAAUUUAUUCUAAAAUAUAUAUAAUCAUACCAAUAUUCAAAUUUAAAAUUACACAAAUUACACAAAAAUUUUGAUCAAAAUCAACUUUGGUCAAUUCCGAUCAAAACGUGAUCAAACCUGGUCAAACCAGUCAAAUUUGGUCGAACCAAUCAAUUAGAUCAAGACUUAUUGGACCAAAAGUCCAUAUCUAGAGCUUGAUCCAAAUUUAUCAUUUAAGUCCAAAAUUUUUUUAAAGUUCAUAAUGCCUUAUACGACUAUAUAUUUAAUGGGCCAACCUUAUGGAUUUUAUAAGGUUUAAAUGUCUUAUUUAAAUUUAUUAGGGUUCAUUCAAAUUAGAAAAAUCCUAAUUUUCUUAACAUAAAUAUGUGUAUAUUGGCUCUUAAACAAGAAAACAAGUCCAAGAAUUCAACUUAAUAGUCCUAAUUUUAUAACCAAAGGCAUACCCAUAGCUGGAUUGAAGUGAUAUAAACAAAUUAAACAAUUUACUAGGACAAGUAAACUUGAUUCGUGAAACACAUGCUAAUUAGUCAUAGUUUCAAUCAAAGGCAAAUGUUUGAGAUUAGGGCUGCAAAUGAACCGAACCGCUCGCGAGCGGCUCGAGUCAAGUUCGAUUCGAGCUCUUACCGGCAUUUACCUUCUGCCCCGACCAUGAUAUAUAUAUUUAUUUUAAUAGUAAAAUUACAUAUAUAUCCUUAAUAUUUUAUUAUUUAUUAAGAAAAAAAUAUUAUUUUAUUUAUUUUUUAAAAAUAAAAUAAUUAUUUUUUAUUUUUUCGAUCUCGAACUCGGCUCGAAUCAAGUCGAGCUCAAGCUGGAGCUUUAAAUUAUCAGUUCGUCGAGCUCGAACUCGAACUCGAGUUCGAGUUCAAUAAAAUUAAGUCAAGACUUGGCUUGAUAAGGUCAAAAUUCGAAUCGACUUGACUCGUUUGCAGCCCUAUUUGAGAUGCAAAAGUAGACAAUCGGCCAACUAAAAUAGCAUAAGGAAACAAUGGAUCGGCCAAAACAAUAAUCAAUGAAAUCAAAGUGGGUUCCACUGAAUUCAAUGUUAAAACAAUGGAUCGUACAAUUUGUGAAUUGACUACUGUCAUGAAAACUGCAUCAUAACAUAUGCAAACAAUCAUGAUCAGAAUAGUAUUUAACCAGAAUUUUCGUGAAUCAAAACUAGAACCACGGAAUAAUUAUGACCAAAAGACUAGAGACAAAACUAACAAUCAAUUAGGACAAGCCAAUUCACACGACAUAAAUGAGUUUCAAUACAAUUCGUUUCAACCAAAUUCACGCGAUUUCCAAAUUUGAACAAUCGGCCAUUACCAGGAGUAUUCUUGUUUAAGAGCAGGCAACCAUAUAACCAAAAUUGAAUUCGCGAGACAAAAAAAUACAAAUUACAGAAUCCAAUUUAUUUCUUAAUAAUUAACCAUAUCUAGUUCACCACUUAUUGAGUGGUAGUUUAUAUUAGUUUUUGGUGAAAACUAUCACCUAUUAAAUCUAAAAUCUUUAUGGUGAUUAUUAAGAAAUAAAUUAAUAAUAAAAUUGCAGAAGCGUACCUGGAUUCAUGUUGACAAAUUGGCACUUGAAUCCUUAAAGAUUUUUUUGGGGAGGUCUUUCAGGUCAACACGUAUUCGCUAAUCCUUGAGAGAGUUCUUUAAUCUCUCUCUGGUAUCUCUUAUGACGAUGGGAUAUCGGAAAAAACUAUUUUGUGGUACUAGAAAAUACGAUAAUAAUAUAAGUGUAAUUUGGGGACCAUAACCCUAUUUAUAGAUAACUUUUUUGUUAUCUUUUGGAUUUCUAUUUUAACCCAUCAUAGAAAGAUGAAAUACUCUUAAGUCUCUACACAUUAAAUACCCACAUCCUAUUAGAUACAUUAAAGUCCAAAUCAUAUUUGAUCACUUUAAUUGGAUUUAACCUUAUUUGACAGUCUGUAACACAUAAUUAUUCACAUAUAAGUCUAAUGUUAGAUUAAAGAUUCAACAAAAACUGCUUAAAAUUAAAGGUUAAUAAUUACUUCACAGUCGGCUUUAAUUAUUAACAGAAAAUGGAUUGAUCAUACUUUGUCCCCUCAAGGUAUGGAUUAGUCACGCUUUAUCACCCCAACUUCACAACUAUAUAAUUUACCCCUUCUUGACCAGUCAAAAUAUUAAAAAUGCUUAACACUGUUAAGACAAAAUAAAGUGCUGAGGAGAUUAAAGGAUCCGUGAUUUGUUAGUGAAGGUACAAUUGUACUCUUGUAUUGGUGCAUAUGGCCUGCGAAAAAAUAAAAGAAAAGUUAUUGACAAGUGAAAAAAAAAACUGACAAUCGACAACAACUAUGAUAAAAAAACUCUUGAAAAGGCCCUGAUGUACACGGGAGAAGGAGUCAGAGAAUCCGCAAGUUAAGAAAAGCACUGCCCGGUAAGAGAUGGCAUCACCACUUUAAUUCAGCCGGUGAUCACUUUUGAAAAACAUUUAUAGAGAAUGUUGCAACAAGCAACAUGCCUAACAUCUUUCACAGUGACAGGGGAACAUUCAAAUGAAAAUAGAGAUUUUGGGAUGAGAACCACGACUGUACAGCGCUAAAAACUCCUCCCCAGUUGUCUUCGAAUUCAAUAUGGAAAAAAUCUACUGCAAAGCCAUGAGGACCAGGGCCUGUACCUCUUAUCAUUUUAAACAAUGUGCUUUUAUUUUCAUCCUGAUUGACUAGAGCUCUGAACGUCCUCCUAUGACAACUGCUUGAGCUUCAAGGAUCUAAGGGCCAUUUACCGAUCUGUAGAUAUAAAUUCCGUGUCAGCAAACAAAUCCAUAAGAAACAUGAGAGCUUAACUUUGAUUCGUUGAUAGUGAUUCAACCGUGAGCCAUACUAAUAGUACGAAGUCUAUUUCUUUGCAAAGGAAGUUUUCAAUUUGAUUAUAUUUUUUUCUUAACGCUCUUUUCCUAAAUCCUCUUUAAUGCUCCACCUUCUUCCAUGAACUCUAGUGGACUCCAUUCAUGACCUCAAUUAAAAUUUUGCAGGUACUAGGCUUCAAGCAUAUUUUAUCAGAUAAAUAGAAAUAAGUGGGAGCAAUUCAUGCCUGUCAAUGCUGCAUUGUAAGAAUACUUCUCAUGUAGUUGGCUUAUAUUAAAUCUGUAUGCAUUUGGAUACCAUGAGUCUUAAACACAAUAACUUGAUUCAAUCAAAAUCCCCUAUGAUAUGCGGUCUGAAUUUGGAUCCACUACCACCUGGCUGGCGGAAAAAAUGUACUGUUUUGUCAGUUUAAUCUUCUACUCCUACUCCUAUCAAGCUGUGGUUGUUGGCACAACAUUUUCCAUGGCUGUGAUUUUCACCUUUCCUUAAUAGACAUUUUAUCUUGCUGAAUCCAUAAUUAUCAACUGCAUCUAAUCUCUUCUAGAUUUUCCUUUGCAUAUGUCAAAGAGGUACUUCAGGAAAUAUUUAAAGCUAAGAUGGUAGAUAAUAAAUGACUACUUUAAAUUUCAUUAAAAACACAAAUAUUUUUAUUAAAUAUAGCAAUUGUCACAAUAUUUUUUCCACAAGGACAGGAAAGGAAACUAAAUACCAUAUCAUUAGUUCAUGUGAGAAAUGAUACACCAAUGAAUGUGGGUGAUACAUGGUGAUACGAUUACUUAUCACUCUAUUCCCCUAUUUAGAUUUUUUUAACAUAUCCAUAAUGAGCACUCGUUAAUACAUUUAAAUUAUAUUUAACUUAUCAUAUUAAUAUAUACUGUCACACUUACUCUACUCCCAUUAGAUAAUUUCCCAUAUGAGCUACACUUAUACAAUUUUAACACUUGAAUCCCCUCUUAAUGAGUACCCAAUGGGCAUUCGUUAAUCAAACCGCUAAAAAUAUUUUUGAUUUAAUUUUACUUUUGCGAAUGACUUAAUGACUGUCAAUAUGGUAGUUCCUAAAUGACCAAAGUUUGAAAGUUCUCUGACUAAAUACACACAAUGUAGUCUUUACAAAUUUGGAUAUUUCUCCAAUGUAACUUUCAGGAAGGGAAAGUAUUUAUUAGUGGGUCCAAUUAUUCAAUUGCUAGAUAUGGCAAUCCUGACCUAAUGUUUUACUAAUUUAUCUCCGUUCAGCGUGUGAACUAGCACAUUUGCAAAACGUAUUGAAGAUUAUUCUUUAAAGCAAAUUUCUUGGCUUUCUGACUUUUUAUUGUAAAGCAUUUACGUAGACCAAUUCACGACUCACUUGUAAGCGAAGAUUUUGGGAUUUCUCCAAGCCUUUUUGUUGUUUCGGAUGUUAAGAGCAACUAGAAGUCUAGGAUUUUACAUACUUGGACAUUCUUUUUUGUGUAACUGGCUUCAACUUCCAUCCAUCUCUGUUCAUAACUUGUCAAGAUUCUGUUUUUAAGGAUUGGCUUUAUCUCUGUUAUAGUAUCCAAACAUGGAAAAGUCCCAUGUUGUUGUUUCUCUUCUUCUGGUUCUACUGUUUCAUGUUGGCAUAGCCACAGCAGUUAUAACUGAAGAUGGAUCAGAAGCGUGGGGCUAUGUUCCAGUCAGGCCAAGUACUCUAAAUCUUUUCUACAAUCUUUAUCCCAAUUUAGAUAUUUAAAGGGCAGAGAUAUAUGGAUUUAGUUGUCAAUGACGAACUUGAAUUGUUGUGCUUGUGGCAGAGGUUCACAUGUUCUGGUGGUACUACAGAAGUCCAAACAGGAUUCAUGAUCCAAAAAAGCCUUGGCCAAUAAUUCUUUGGUUGCAGGGCGGACCUGUAAGUAUCAGAAUUCUUGUGGGAUUCUCUCUAGUUUCAAUCUUUAUUGCUUGUUCAUACAAUCAACUGUAAUUUGUUUACUGAAGGGUGCUUCAGGAGUUGGACUUGGUAAUUUCGAAGAAUUCGGGCCUCUAGAUGUGUUCCUAAAGCCAAGAAAUUCGACAUGGUUGCAGAAAGCUGAUCUUCUGUUUGUGGUAGGUACAAGGUUGCAUAACGUUGGUGAAUAAUCACAUCAGCAUCAAUACUGUUUUACAAAAUAAAAUGGGAAUUCCCUGCAGGGUUUUUCUUGUAUCUGCUUAUCUAAAUUCAUUUUUGCCCGUUUCCAAUGUAUAUAGGAUUAUCCAGUUGGGACUGGUUACAGUUUUGUGGAAGACGUUAAAAACACCACAUUGUUUGUGAAGAGUGAUAUGGAGGCUGCAAAGGAUGGAACUAAAUUCUUGACUGAGUUUUUCAACAGGAAUCAUACUCUCCAAAAGAGUCCUCUGUAUAUUGUAGCAGAGUCUUAUGGAGGCAAAUUUGCUGUUACUCUGGCAUUAUCUGCUUUAAAAGCUAUUGAGGCUGGAAAGCUGAAGCUAAAUAUUGGAGGUAACAAUUGCUUUUUCAUUCUCAAAAUUAAAAUUUUAUUCUCUCUCUUCAAUCCUGAAGUCUUGAGCUUGCUGUUACCUUUUCUGCAUAGGAGUUGCAUUGGGGGAUAGUUGGAUUUCACCAGAAGAUUUUACCGUAUGUAGUUUCUGUUCUUCAUUCGUCUCAUGAUUACUUAGUUGGAACAGCUGAAUUGAGUUCUGGUGAUCAAAAUACAGUCUUCAUGGGCUCCUCUUUUGAAAGACGUCUCAUUGCUUGACAGCAAUGGUUUCCAGAUAUCAAACAGGUAUUAAGUUAUUAUACUUGAAAGAUGGCACUAUCCUGAAUCCACGCCUCAAAUGCGUCGAUGCUGUGUUUUUUUAGUAUUGAAACUUGCGUGAAUUUAGCAUUUCUGUCUAACCUAAUCAAGCUCGACAAUUUUAAGCUGUCUAAUAAGCCUAUUGUUCAAUGCAGGGUUGCUAAUCAAAUUAAGAAGCAAAUUGCAGCAGGUAAGUUUGCGGAGGCCACAGACACAUGGAAUGAAUUGGAAGAUCUAAUUACCAAGUACAGUAACAAUGUGGUAUGAAUUUGAAGAAUUUAUGUUUAAUCACAACAAAUUGGUAAGUUUGUGCUUGACGAUUCCUUUUGUGGAUAAAUACAGGACUUCUACAAUUUCCUCUCAUUUGCAGAGGACGACCCUUCAUCGCUGUCAGCUGCUUCAGAGCUAAAACAACGUAUUGCAGUAAAAAGGUCCUGUCCUGGAGGUGAUGGAGAUCUUUAUAGCUUGAUGAAUGGAGAUAUUAAAAAGAAGUUGAAGAUUAUACCACCAAAUGUUACGUAAGUUUUCUCCUUAGAAAAUUUUCAGACUUUUUCAGAGUUCAUUACUUAUUUGUUAUUAAAGGAUUAGUAUGGUAUCAACAGAUGGGGAGGGCAGUCCAAUAGUGUUUUUGAAGCCCUGAAAGGUGAUUUCAUGAGACCCAGGAUUAGUGAGGUAACUAAAUCAGCUGCAUUUUUUUUUGGUUAGGAAUUAAUCACAAAGUUUAGGAACUUUCGUUUUUAGUUUGAGCUACACCAAGAAUGUUUUUUGAAUUUCUGGAUCAGCAUUCUUUGACACAUCUCAAUUGCGAUAAGAGCAGUUACCCAAUUAUAUGCAGUAAAUUCUAAAGCAUUUGAUCAACUACUUUUGGCAGGUUGAUGAGCUUUUAGCAAAAGGAAUAAAUGUGUCUAUCUACAAUGGACAAGUAAGAUUCUGUAAUGCUUUAUGUUGUUUCUCACAAUAUUCUCCAAAGAGGAAUGGAAAAAUAGUGUAUUAACAUUUCUGGAAGAAUGGGAUUUAUACAGAAGCAGUCGAUAGAUAUUCAAGGAAAAACUUGAUUUGACUUUCUGGUUGUACUAUGAUUCCACUGCAUAGCAUUUGUUUUCAAAAAUUGGCAAUAAGAUAAUAUGGCAAUAAUGGAACAUAAUAAUGGUAAUCAGGUAAAGGAUGAUAUUUUGGAGUAAUCGUACUUGUAAUUUGAUAUUUGCUCACAAUAAAUUGUGAAUUCCAGUGGAUAAACUUGAUCAGGGCAGCUUUAAUAUCCAUGCUACAAAUUUCACUGUUUUUUUUUUUUUAUAUUUUUGUUUUUGGCUAAGUAGUUCAAUUUAAAUGUUGUUUUGUUGUUGCUUGUAGUUCGAUCUAAUCUGUGCAACCAAGGGAACCAACGCAUGGGUUGAAAAGCUCAAGUAAGAAAAAAAAAAUCCCAUAAGUAAAUAAGCACCAAAAUUUCUUCCCCUGAUCAGUAAUUUUUUUGCCUAUUUUCACAGGUGGCAUGGGAUAAAAAAUUUCUUGAACAAGGAUAGAACGCCUCUCUAUUGUGGAGGUGACAAGAGUAUUAAGGGUUUCACCAAAUCGUACAGAAAUCUUCAUUUCUACUGGAUUCUCAAUGCUGGCCACUUUGUAAGUCAACAAACCAUUGUCAUAUUUCUGCUGCAUUUGUUUGUUAGUUUAAAAUUACUGUUACUUUUGCCUACUUGACAAGGUUGAGAACACAACACACACACUUGUCUCAAUAGCUUUAGUAUGUCAUAGCCAAUCUCCACAUUUGAGAAAUGCUAAAGUUUGCAUAAUAUAUUGUCUUUGUCCAAGAAACCAUCAAAGGUAGAAAAAAAAGUAAUACUCCCUCCGUUCUAUUGAAACGUUCACUUCUCAUCUUUGCAUGUGCCAAAAUACUUGUCAUGUCCAAAAGCUAAACAUAAUUUUCGCUCUCAUUUCAAAUACUCUUGUUCAUUGUCAUUUUGGGGAAGACAUUUCAAACAAUUGAGAUUUUACUCUGGGAGCAUGAAGCUGAGAAAGCUUAAAUAAUUAUCAGUAUCAGUUCCAUUGAAAGGUGGAUUGCCAAAAAGUGGCAAAACUAUGGGAUUGAAAGUAGUAAUUGCCAGACUUAUAAUGAAACUUUAGAUUAUUGAGACAAAGAUGAAACUGUGUGUGUAUGUGUGUGUCUGAAAGAAGAAUUGAAUGAAUUUGACAAGCAACAUCACACUGUAUCUACUUGAGGACAAUGAAACUGGUUCUGCUGCCACGCAAUAACUACCAUUUAAGUUAGGGUAGAUUGGACUUAUACCAAUAUGUCUGGCAUUUAUUGGUGGUAAAUCUACCAAACCCUGUGGGAAUAUCCGAAUAUGAGAUGAUUAAGAACAAAAGAACAUUAUGGAACAUCUUUGUGAGAGAAAUUUUCCAUAGAAAUUAUUUGUUGAAGCUGUUUAUUGGUUAUAGACAUGAGAAGGGCAAGCAGAAUGGACAUUAAGAUUUGCGGCAAAUAUGUUCUCGCUAAGUAAAUACUAUAUUUGGUAGAUUUGUAAGAAAAUUUAUUUCCCCUUUUCGAUUUCUCUAUAGGUCCCUGUUGACCAGCCCUGUGUAGCAUUAAAGAUGAUAGGAAGCAUCACACAGUCACCUGCUGCUUCAGGGUUGGUGUCGCUUUCCAACUUAGCCAAUACAGAAGACAGAUACUGAAGAAAUAUGAACCGAAGAAUAACAUAGAAUUCUCUUUUGAUUCUGAAAAAACCAUCACAGGAAUGAGAAUUAUUUCAGAGGAAAUUGGAAAUUAUUUUUUAGUAUUUUCGUCUUGUGGAGUCUUUAUGACAUUUUUUUUAGGGCAAGUUUUACUUUAUCCCCCUGUGAUUUAGCGUUUUUUUUUUAAAUAACCCCCCUAUGGUUUCAAAAGUUAUAUAUAACCCCCUCAUGGUUUGGAUUAAAGUGUCAAAGUGACAGGAAUGAUCAUUCAUAACGGAGUCACCUAAAAUGCCAAAAUUACCCUUAUAUAAAGUUGAAAAUUAGGAUUAAUCACAUUUAAUCCCGUUAAGGUAUACCCUAUUUCUUAGUUUACCCCCUAACCUUUUAUUUUGCUCACUUAACCCCCUAUAGGAUAAAAUUGCCCUUGCAUAAUUUUGACUUUUCAUUUAUCUUGUUUUCCUUUCUUUUAUUUCUGUUUCUCUUUCUUCUUUAUUUAAUUCUUCCUCUUUCUCACAAAAAUCUUCACCUUAAUGAUUGAAAUUGAAAAAGAGGAAUUGCAGAGAUCUAUCUUCUCCUUAAAUGAUUAAAAAAAUAUUCAAAUCACUUUCCUAAAAUACAAUUUUUUUAGCCUUUCAAUUCUUUUAAUUUUGGAUUUUCCUCUUUCCUUUCUAGUUUCUCAUUUUAUUCCCAAGAAAAUAUCUUAAGAUGAAAUUGUGACUUGAUUAAUAAUCAUCAAUUGAAAUUUGUGACACGUGGCAUCAUAAAAAAAAUCAAAAUUAGUUUUUGAUGCCUUUUAAAUCUUCACCCAAAAAUAUGCAAUUACAAACUCAAAACAAAAAUUUUCGUUGAAAUGGAAUUUUCUAUUGGGAAUGAUGAAAGAGAGAAGAAAAAGAAAAAGAAAUAAAAGAAAGGAAAACAAUUUCAUCUUUUGAUAUUUUCUUGAGAAUAAAAUGAGAAACUAGAAAGGAAAGAGGAAAACUCAAAAUUAAAAGAAUUGAAAGGCUAAAAAAAUUGUAUUUUAAGAAAGUGAUUUGAAUAUUUUUUUAAUCAUUUAAGAACUGCAAUUCCUCUUUUUUAAUUUCAAUCAUUAAGGUGAAGAUUUUUGUGGGAAAGAGAAAGAAUUAAAUAAAGAAGAAAGAGAAAAAGAAAUAAAAGAAAGGAAAACAAGGUAAAUAAAAAAUGAAAAUAAUGCAAGGGCAAUUUUGUCCUAUAGGGGGUUAAGUGAGCAAAAUUAAAGGCUAGAGGGUAGACUGAGAAAUGGGGUGUACCUUAAGGGGAUUAAAUGUGAUUAACCCUUUAUUUAUUUAUUAACCAAGGGAGGGUUAUGUGUAUAUUUUGAAAACCAUAAGGGGAUUAUAUGGUAAAGUAUUAAACCAUAAGGGGGUUAUAUAGUAAAAUAUAAAAAUCAUACGGGAUUAGUGUGUCAUGUAUUUAUAAGGGUAAUUACGACAUUUCUAGAAGUUCCGUUACAAAUGACUAUUUCCGUCACUUUGACACUUUAAUCCAAACCAUGAGGGGGUUAUGUAUAGUUUUUGAAACCAUAGGGGAGUUAUGUAAAAAAUGCUAAACCACAGGGGGUAAAAUGUAAUUUACCCUUUUUUUAUAUAGAAAAAAUAGAAUUUCAUUACUGAAUUUGCUAAAAAUCAUCCAGCAGAUUUUGUUUAAGAAAGUUAGGAGGUCCAUUUUAUAGAUAUCCAUCAAGUUACUGGACUUGACACGAUUUAAUUUGCAUGUCCUUAUAGUUGGUGAAUAAUUCGAGACUUGAUAUUUGACAAGCUAGUGAUGCCUGACGUCGAGAGAUACAAACCACAGGUGCUCAAACCGUUUCAUUAGGUUUGCAAUUUAACCAGAAUCAAAAGCUGCAAAGAUAAUACUUUACAUUCAAUUUGCCACAACAUAUAGGCGGAUGCAUCCUAGACACUCAAGCUAGUUCCUACGGUUAAGAUUUGAGGAAAAAAAAUUGCAGAAAAAAGUAGCCUACAAUUUUGUGCUACAUGUCCGAGAAAAAAAAGAAAAAAGAAAAAAGAAAAAAAUAUAUAUAUAACUCCUAAAAUUCACCUAAAAUGCCUUAGAUUCAACAGGGUAAUUUUUGUACCUUAAAACAUCCAAAUUGAAUUUUAAACAUGAAAAAAUAGCAUUUUGGGAAACUAUGAAUAUUGGAAAUUGAGUUAACUAUACUAAUCCAAAUUCUAGGGACCAAAAUGCAAAAUUAAAAUUUUUUGCUAAUGUAAAUUUGAUUUCGACUAUUUGUCAAGUUUUCCUUCUGUCUAAAAGAAGAAAAUUUUAGUACCACAUUUAUUUUGCGUGAGACUUUAGAAAUUAAUUUUGCUCAUAAACCAAACAUUAGGAAUCAAAAGUGCAUUUCUCCAUUUCUCAGAAAAGGAAAGUAAAACUUCCUUUGCCAAUUUGAUGAAAAUGCUCGGCAAUUUUUUCAUGCCUUCAACCAAUUUGAAUUCUAUUUUAGUAAAUCAUUCUAGUAUAAUUUCAUGAGUUUUGUCAUAAUAACAAAAACUGCCUUGCCUUUCUUUUUGUUCAAGGAUAAAUUCUAAACUAGUAAAAAGAGGGAUUCAGAGUCGAAUGAAGGGAUCUGACGGUUCCCUGACUAAUGUCCUUGCCAACUAGUUUGGGUCUUGAGACAAUAUAGAGAGACUUAUUGUGUAAAACCUAUUUUCUAUGCAUUUGAAAUCAAAUGCAAAAAGUAAAUAAAUCAGUAAAGUGUUAUCGCCACUGUGCAAUUUAUGGUGGGUUAGUUCAAUUUACUCUUUUUACCUACUUUUAAACAGCCUAACCACUACAUGGAUAUUUAAAAAAAUUAAACUAAUCGAUUUAUUGAAAAAAAAAACCUACAAUUAGUUAAUAGUAGCAUGAAAUUGGACUCAAAAAUAAAUAAUUGAUUAGCAAUGCCUAGGCCUCAAUUUCACAGCCAAUGUGGAUUGAUCCUUGCUUGGUCAUUGGUUAUUCGAUUACUAGAGUUCCGUUAAUAUUUGGUUAUUUUCAAAUAAAUUAAAAAACCAGAUCCAAUACCAAACCAAAAUUUACUUCGGUUAGCGGAUAAUCGAUAUUGCUAUUAUCAGUCACUAGUUUAACCGGUUAACAAAUCUUAAAUGCCUUUUAGUUUUAGGGAGGGGGAGAAAGACAUCUCAAAUACUCGAACAAUAAUCCAUCCACAAUGCAAUAAAAUGUGUGCCUCUAAAAUAUAAUCAAAAAAUAAAUAAGAAGUUAAAUUUUCACUAGCCUUGUUAAAAUAUCAUAAUAUCAUUUGUCCCUAUAGAAACACCUUCCAUUAUUAUCUCUCUCUCUCUAGAACUCAAUUUCUCUUUCUUCUCUGCAAUUUCUUCCAACCAAAACCUCAUUUGACUCUUCUUUGGGAAAGAGAUUAGAUAAUUUGGUCUUUUCUCAUGGGAUGUAACUUUUCUCUAAUUUUAUUUCUUUAUUUGAAUAAAUUCACUUUUAAGUUUUCUAGUGAAAGAUUAUUCUCUUCUAGGGUUUCCUUGUAUGAAAAUCUUCUAUCCUAGAUUUUUAUGAUAAGAGUUUUAUUUUCUCUUAAAAUAUUCUUAUGAGAGUGUGUUUUUUUUUUUUUUAAUGGGUGAGAAUAGAGAUUUGGUAGAUCUCAAAAACCAAAUCAAAAAAUCAAUUCUAAAUUAUUUUCUUUGGACUUGAAGUAGUUUUUAUCAAAUUUGACUAUUUAAAGACAUGCUUAAAGAUAUAUUGGAUUGCAAUGAUAUUCAUCUAAUAGAAAAUACUCUUGGAUUGCAAUAUUAUGAUCAAGUUUAUUGCUUUUUAUAUUUGUUGUGUCAAUUGAUUUUCAAAUUUGUAUGUUUACAUCAUAUUUGAUGUACUUGCUAUCAUGAAUGUAGAUAUUACAUUGAAAUUAUCCUUUUUAUCCAAAAAAAAAAAGGUAUCAUUUGUUCCAUCUAGCAUGAUGAAGCCAACUAAUAGCCAACAAUAGGCCAGGGGGGCUCUUGGAGGGAAGGAAGGAUUGAGGUUCGCCGGAUUGUGAUGAGAUGUGAUAAAAAAGGCUGUUCGGUUGUGAAACUCGAAAAAAAAAACAAUUGGGCUUAACUUUGAAAUGUGUGAUUAACUUUGGGCUUAAUUCAGAUAGUCAAUAUGCUAGUAGGAUACCACUGGUAAAAGACUAGUACUAUUUUGGUCGGCCGGCUAUUAAUCAAUAACCAAAUAAAAAGUUCAUUCAACUAUUCGAAUAUUAAAUUUCGGAGUCUAAUUUGGUAUUAUUUAAUCCAAUUCUUGAGAUUCACUUUAGAAUAGACAAUCCUAAUAAAUUUCCAAUAACUAAGGGUGUGUUUUGAAAACUAAAAUUUGAAAUUUAAAUCUAUUAAGUUAUUGAAUUAUUAAAUAUUAAAUCUAAUACAUUUGAAUAUAUACCACAUUUAGUGAUGAGUGAAUAGUUUAUCACUUAUUUUUUGGAGCAAAUUUUGCUUAGUAAAUUAAUCCAGAUGUUCAAUUUUUGGUUAUCAAACGCAUCUAAAUAUAUUAAAAUCUGAAUCUAUUAAAUUUAAGUGCAGAAUUACAUUAUCAAACAGUUGAUAAUGGUGCAGUCGGUUUUUUUUUGGUUUAUUCAAACUGCCCUCCAGAUGUGUCGUUCUUAUCUUCGAAAAUGUAUUACAUUGUCAAAAAAAAAAAAAAUUUUACUUUGGAACUCUGGGGUUGCUUUCUUCCAGUUAGAGAAUGUGGAAAAUCAUGAAGAAGAAAGGGAGGACAGAAACAACUAUUUUUUAUAAUAAAAUAUUUCUUAAAAUUGCUUCGAAGUUGUAUACACAUAAAGUAUGUUAUAAUCAGUAGUAUUUGCUUACGAGAAGAAAGAUGGUUAAAAUUAAAUGUCAAUUUGCUACUGUAUUGGAUAACCUUGAAACUCUAGUCAUUGGAUGUUUCAAUGUUGCACGAAUAAUAUUUGGGUCUUUCUUAACAAGACAUUUGGUGUUUCAUGAAUAGAUGAAUUGAUAUCUAUUAUUCUGCGAUUAGUAUAUGCAAGUUCACUUAACAAUCAUUUUCUAGGUAUAAAACUAGCAAAACAUGAAGGAAACACAAACAAGAACCAAGUUUGUAUUAUAACUAAACAUUAUAAUUAACACAAGAAAUAAAGUAAUAGGAGAAAUGUCACCAUUUUCACAUGAGUUUCGAAACCUCUAUCUUCAUCCUCAACUUCAUCUAGGCUUAGUUACAUACAAGGCUUGAAUGAAACAAACUAUACUAAUCUACACUACCAAACUAAUGAACUAAGAAAACUAAUGAAGAUUACAUUUUUUGUGGUAUUUCUAGCCUUCAAAAGUUGUUCAAAUAAGCUCUCCAAAGGCAUAUAUUUAUAGAGAAUUCAAUAUCCAAAUGAGUUGUUAAAGUUGAUGUAGAUUGCAUCUUGAAAUCAUCAAAAGUUACUUCUUGAAGUCUCUAUGCUUGCUUGCUCAUAUCCAGCUGAAUUUCUUAUAGAAAAAUUGGUCAAAAAACUUGUGUAAACAGAGACACAAGUUGUAGAACAAGUUGCAGCCGCAAUUAAAGAAAAUGCAGGCUCAGAAAAUGUGGGCUGAGGUCACAUAUUUAUCCCAUGUUUUCCUCUUUUGUGGGUUUUCUCAUUUUUGGUCAGUCUUCAACUUUGCUCUAUUUUUGUAUCAAAUUCAACUGAUAUUUUCUAGAUCAUAGAACCUGAACUAACUCUUGCACGAAACAUGAAAGUUGUAGUCCUUUGAAUGAGCUUUCCAAUGCUUCAAGAAUCAUUCAAUUUAGAGCUCUGUGUACUGAGAAAUGACCAAAAUACCCUUAAUUAAUCAAUUCCCUAUUUCAGCUUUCAACAACAAAAAUGAAUAGAGAAUUUUAAAAAUUUUAAAAAAUGAGUGUAAAGGAAUCUAAAAAAUAUUCAAUUUAACACUAGAGAUAAAGCAUGUGUUGUGGAUGCACUCUAUUUAUUUGUUUUGAAUACUGUUUUAACAAAAAAAUUAAGCAUUAUAAUUUGUACAUGCACUUUUAUAUACUAUUAUGUACAAAUUAUGAAUUCUUAUACCUACCAAGUGUUUUAUUUGAUCAAAAGUGAAUAUCUUAUACUUAUUUUAUAGAGUUAGCAAAUUUUUUGUCAAUUUUUCUAGAACGUUUCUAUAAUUUUUAUAGAACUUUUGUAUAAUUUUAUCAUAUGAUAAUAAAUUUUAUAGAUUGUACAAAGCACUAAGACCCAAUAUGGUCAAUUAAUAUAUUUUAGGGGCUACCUUUUUUCAGAUUGAAAAUUAAGGCACUAAUUUGAUCAAAAUUGAAUACGUUAAAGACUACUUUUCUUUUGUCUAAAACUAUGAAAACUAAUUUAGUCUAACCCAUAAACUUUGAGAACUAAAAUUGCAUUAUAAGACAAAAGAGUUGAUGCAUUUGGAAAAGUGUAAGGGUCUAUUUGUUUGGACUGAAAUUGUUUUCCAAAAAAUGUUUUCUGAAAUUUCUGGUGUUUGGCUGUCAAAAAGGUCGCAAAAAUUUUUUCUCGUAUAAAAUGUUUUGCACAUGCAAGUGUAAAAUACUCCCUCAUCUAAUUAAACGUAUCAUACUUUCAAUUUUGAUUUGUCCCAAAAUUAAUGUCACUUAUCACAAUUAGCAAUGAAACUUUUCACCCAUUUCCAUCUCAUGAAACGUGUCAUACUUUCAAUUUUGAUUUGUCCCAAAAUUAAUAUCAUUUAUCACAAUUGGCAAUGAAAAUUUUCACCCAUUUCCAUCUCAUACCCUUAAAUAUACCACAUUCUUUUAAUCUUUUGAUGGGCCCCAAAAAAUUAAAAGAAUUAUGCUUGGUACACGUGUGUCCCACAGCAAGUGCAACCAAUGGUUGUGCAGGAUACUUUCCCAAGUGCAACCAAUGGUUAGGAGACAUUCUCAAUGCUUGGAUCCCAGAGUCUUGUCACCACUACUUUAUCUUUCUAAACAUCCAACAAGUUUUAAUGCAUAGAAACUACAGAAGGUAUUGCUAGAAGUUAGACCAGAAUCAUUUGAAGUCUUAGCACUAUUGAAAAUAAGUUCUGAGUCUUGAGUGCGACAAAUAUUUUAGGACAGAGUAACUUAGGGUCUGUUUGAUAAUAUAAAAAAGUGCUAAAAUUGAAUCUUUUCAAAUAUUCGGAUAUUUUAAAUAUUUGAUAAAUAAAAAUCUAUCUGCUGAACUUGUGUCUAUUCUUUUCAGCGCUAGAAUUCUAAUUGAAUGUUUAAUUCUGAUAAGAAUCAAUAAAAUUAUUUUAACUAUCUUAUCUUAUCUAAUUCUUAUCUUAUCUUAUCUUUUCUACCUAACCUACCAUUGUUUAUUAAUUAUGUUCAAAAUUCUUAUAUGAUUAAACAACCUAAUAUUCUCUAUCUAACAGUUUUCCAUUUCUCUUUUCUCCCUUUUUAAUGACUUUCAUAUCUUCGCCAAACUCCUCAUAUAAUAUACUUCAUUUUUUGUAUUAAUUUGAUUUAAAAAUAUAUAUUAUCAUUUUCAUACCUAACAAUUUUAAAUUAAUUAAAUCAUAGGUUCUAUUUUUUUUGUUGAAAAGAUAUAAGGGCAAAAUUGUCAAAUUUUACUUAUUCAAUAUUCAGUUAUAAAUGUUUAUCAAAUAAUAUUAAUAGGUUUAGUAUUAAAAUUCAGACAUUCAUAUAUUUCUUUUUAGUGUUUAAAAUUCAGCAAAUUAAUUGUUUCAGUAUUCAGAUUUUAGAAUUCAGACUUCAGAAUUCAGAUUCAAUUUUAUCAAACGGAAUCUUAUCCAAGGAAUGUACUGUGGUACUGAAGUUAUUUUCCCUUGAACAAUAAAACUGUCGGAGCUAAUCAUCUCACUAUCCCUUUAAAUAUCAAAAUUGUACGCAUGACAAAACAUCCCUCAUGAAACUUGCUGAAUAUCCACUGCCAGCGACCUCCCCUCUUCCUCACAGUUCUCGCUUAACCUACACUCGCAGCCGCAGGCACCACCUGCUAGAGAAAUUUCUAAGUUUGUGAUGAAAUUUAAAAAAAUUCUACAAAAAGGGCGAUUUCGGUGAGGUAUUCCGUAGGGGGGUCUUCGCAUUUCAGGAAUGCGAGCUCUGAUGAGCUCGCAUUCCUGGAAUGCGAGCUCAGCAGAAUUGUUUUAUUUUUUUUUUCGGAGAGCUCGCAUUCCGCGAAUGCGAGCUCUCCCAAAUUUAAAUUUUUUCGCAUUUGCAGCAAAGGAAUGGACUAGUGCAUACGCAACUGGUGCAUGACAAAGAAGGCAGGAUAUCGUGGUUAAAAAGGAUUUUGGCAACUCUUGUUGUAUGUUUAAUUGACAGGCAAGUUUGUCGUUUGAGUAAUAGAUGAAUUAGUCUUUCAAACUAUGUGCCAUUGGUGUCCCUAAAACUUCCGCAUUCAGCUGUAUUUUACUAUUUUCCGGUUUAGAAGGCUUGCUUUAAAUAUGUACAGCUGCCGUGCUAUAUUUUGUUAUAAAUUUGCUUGUCAUACAUUUUAAGGAUAAUUAUAGAAACUUCCCUUAAGAUUUUUGAUAAUUUCACUGGGCUCCCAUAAGGUUUGCAAGACUACACCUGCCUACCUUGAUUUGAUUUAACUAAACAUUAAAAUAACAUUGACUUAGGUCAAAGUUUUAAAUGAGUAACCUAAAAUGCUGAUUUAUUAUAGUGAUAGGAUAUUUUUUUAUGGUGUUUAUUAGGGAUUGAUUGAGAAAUUGUUGAAAUAAUUCUUUUAAAGUUCGUAAAUUUUUUGAGUGAUAGAAUUACCAUAAUUUGGUAGUUGGGUCAUAUCUUUUAGAUUUAUUAUAAGUAUGACUUUCAGAAAAUUAAAUUCAAACUUGCUAGGAAAAAAAUUUAAAAUGAAAUUUACGAGCUCCCAAAAAAAUGUAAAAUUAACUGUAAAUGUUGUUUGUUUUGUAGAAUUUGUCUUUACUAAAAUGCUGUCGGUAAUAAAAUCUUAUUUUAAAAUCUGUACUAAAAUCUUAAAUUUCGGAGAAAUGUUAGAGAAAUGUUAUUUAAAAAUCUGUAAUUAGCAUAGGAAUAAAUUUUAUUUAUUUUAAAACUUGCACGUGCCUAAAGUCAUCAAAUAUGUGCUCUAAAAAAAAUCAUAUUUCUUUUAUAUUAAAAAAAAUUGGCCCAAGUUCCGUCAAUGCUCCGGCUCCAAGAGAAGAACAACCGGGACCUGCAAAGAGCUUGGAAUGCCUAGCACUUGAUAAACUAAUUAAAUUUCGUAAGAAACAAAGUUAAACUGGCAACAUUUAGCAACAGUACCUCCAUUGAGCCACAGGAUAUAUCACUGAGCAGGACAUAUCACUGAGCUCGCAGACAUAUCACUGAGCUCGCAUUCGCAAUGCCUCCUGAGCUCGCAUUCUGCGAAUGCGAGCUCCAAUGCGAGCUCGCAUUCCCGGAAUGCGAAGACCCCCAUUUGCAGAAUGCACUCCAAAAACCGCCCUCGUUGUAGAAUUCUUUUUUUUUCCAUCAUAAACUAAGAAUUCACCCCCACCUGCUAUCCUCCUCUUACUCACCUUUCUCAUACUAAUCCAUUCCUUUCAUACUAAUAUACAACUAUAUGCGUGGGAUAGAGAAACUCCACUUCUAAGGUGGGUUUUGUCUUGACAAGUUUUUUGGAAGAAAAACCGGGAAAAACGAAAGAGAUGCUAUUGGAUGAAGAUCUGUUAAAGAAUUUAUACGCAUCAAAUUCGAAGCACUAAUUUUGCAUAUGAUGGUUAGAGUAAUCAAAUUUGAAACGAUUUUAAUUGACAUAUCAGUAUAUAACUAGUAUGAUAUGUAAUUGGUUUGAGAUAUUAUGAAUUCCCUUUCAUGGAGUUUGAUCUGAUUUUUGGGAAGUCGAAGGAUUUGCAUUUGGAUGGUCAAUCAACGUUGAAUCGGGUGGUGUCAUGCUGGCAGUUGGCAGUAGGGAAGGGAAUGGAUUGGGUACCUGCCCUAGGCAUCAUUUCGCUAACCCGAUCUGUACCUUACGCAUCAGCAAUUUUUUGUUCCUUACCCGCUCCACAUAUCAGCGGGUAUCUGCUGAGAUAGGAUCGAGUCAACGGGUAUCCAUCUCACCCCGCUUAUCAUUUAAUUUUUGGGAAAAUGACCUGUUUCAUCCCUCACAUUUCGUAAAAAUAUUCUUUUCGUCCCUCACUUUUAAAAUGAAGCAAAUUCGUCUCUGACAUUUAAAAAUUAAAUCUAUUACAUCCCUGAACCUAAUUUUCAAUCUGAAUUAAAUCAUCUAAUAACUCAGUAAUAAAUUUCGAAAAUAGAAUUGAUAGAUCAUUUGGUCAACUUCAUCGUAUUCACAUGACAUUUAUUAAACCAAAAAAAUAAAAAUUAUAACAUAAAAGGUCAUUCUUUGUCUUGGAAUAGUAGAGUUUUUUUUUUAUAAAUCUUUUCAUGCACCAUUAGUAUAUCCGCUUGCAAAUCUAGAUGUGUAUCAUAAAUAUAAAAUUUGGUGUUUAAAUUUAAAUUAAAAUGAUAUGGCGGUACAUAAAACUGUCAGUGUAUACAAUAAUAAUGUAGAAAAGAUUAAUCUUUCUUUUUUAUAUUAUAAUUUUUUCUUUUUUCUUUUUAGGUUCAUUAAAUUUUACAUGAAUAUCAAGUUGAGUUAACCAAGUGAUCUACCAAUUACACCCCCAAAAUUUGUAAUCAGGUUGAUUGGUGGUUUGAUUCAGAUUAAAAUUUGGGUUCAGGGAUGUAAUAAUUUUAGUUUUUAAAUGUCAAGGACGAAAUUGUUUCAUUUUAAAAGUGAGGGACGAAAAGAAUAUUUUUGUGAAAUGUGAAGGAUGAAACCGAUCAUUUUCCCUUAAUUUUUUUUAAAAAAAAUUAAGUUAUAUUAAUUAGUUUUGUAUUUUACAUAUUCUUCUAAAAUUUAAUAAAGAUUUUUUUUCUCAACAAAAAGUUUUAGAAACAAAAAUGCUAAGAGAGUACAAGAAAAAGAAAAAAAUUCAAAGAAUUCAAAGUAAAAAAAUUGAAAUAAGUAGCACCUAUAUGUUUCACAUUAAUUAAAAUCUUUUUAAAAAAAUAUAAGAUCAUGACCUCUACAAAUGAAUCUUGUAAACAAACUAUAAUCUCCCAUAUUUAUAAUGCAAUUUGUUCAAUGAAAUUGCUUACUUAUCUCUAAAAAUAUUGUUUUAUUAUAUGUGCACAAAAAUAAAAAUUAUAUAUAUAUAUAAUGUAUAUAAGCCGGUAUCCGAUCCUCUUUUGAUCUAAUCAAAUAAUACAGAUUGAGUAUCUUAAUUUUCGGAUUGGAUAGGAUCGGAUAUGAUCGAUUUUCGAGUUAACAGGUAUUUUUACCCACCCCUAAUUGGCAGACGUAAACAGAGGAAUCUGAGGGGAAUAUUCUUGUUUUGAUUUUGGGGACAGUGCACCAAAUACAUGAGAAUCGAAGAACUUCCUUGAAUAAAAUUAUUUUCAUCCAAAAUCUUUUCUUCGGGAAAAAGUUUUACACUCUGACUAACGGACCCUAAGUGUUCCUCUAAUUAUGCAACGCAAAUAUGGCAAUUUGAAGAGAUCUGAAUGCUCUCUCCAUUGACUUGAUUGUGUAACAUCAUUGUCUAUUUUCACUCCUUGCCCUUUUUCAAUACCUCAGGGUGGCUUAGCAUAAGAGGCAUAACCGACUCCAAUGCAUGUAUAGUCAAACAGAACAAAAAGCCCAAGCAAAACAAGAGCACAACGUUAUGGCCGACUACAAUGCAUGUAUGGUCAAACAGAACAAAAUGCUCGAGCAAAACAAGCGUGCAACGUUAUGGCCGACUCCAAUGCAUGUACGGUCAAACAUAAAAAAUGCCCAAGAAAAAGCAAAAGGAGAGCACACAUUAUGGUGAACGGCAAAAGAUGUUUAACAAGAUUUUGUAUUGAUUGAGGAAUAAUGCUUUAUAAUUGCUGCAACUGACAGUAUAUUUUUAUGGAUGCUACCAAAGAAAACCAAACGAUUUUUUGUGAAUAAAAGUUUCUUGUCAGAUUCCAUAAUGUAAUAGAGGCUACUCUUGUCUGCUUUAGCAUUUCCAAAAUUUCUCUCUGGAGAGAUUCUUCAAAACAACCGUUGUUUAGAGAUUUAAAGCCUACUUUGGUUUUAAAAGUUGUAAACAGCAAUCGGUAUUUGAAAAAGAACCUUAAAAUUAAAUUUCACAAAAUAAAUUUUUUCUCUACAAUGAUUUACAAGGAGAAGACAAAAUCAAGGAAGGAAACAGUUAAGACAAAGUUUCUAAGUUUUGGCCCAAAAAAAGAAAAAGAAAAAGAGAAAACUAGCUGAUUUUAAGGAAAACAAUACAAUAGCAAUCGAAAAUGCAAGUUCUUGAUUUGUUAAAAUGUUUAAAUUGGGACCCUUGUCUUAGAUCUUUUAUUUAUUUGGCGACCUAUUAUGAUAUAAAAAAAGGAUAAUUUUAUAAACUUUCCUUAAGCUUUCUACAAAUUUUGCUUCGCCCCUUACAGAUUUCACUAUUAUAUAUAAUGCCCUUAUUUUUCAAAUUCAAUGUAACAAUGGCACUCCAUGCAUAUCAAAUGUUAUAAAAGCUUUCGAUUAAAAAAUUAUCCUUCCAUGGCCUUUAGAAAAUUAAUAUAAUAAAUUCAACUAAAAAUCACGAAAAUGCUUCAAAUAAAAUCAAAGAAAUUCAUAAAAAGUAUGAUAGUCCACAAAGAAUUAAAAUGAGGUAUAAAAAUAAUUGAUAGAAUAAAUAUCUAAAGCUAAUCCUUGAAAGUACUUAGGGUCACAAGAAAUUGAAAUAACAAACUUAAAUUCUAAAAAGGGUUUGAAAUUGCAAAAUAAAAACCGGAGAGAAAAUUCCUUCAUUAACAAUAGUUUAAUAGGCUACUUGAUCACAUAUACCAAUUUCUAAAAAUGAACUCUUUAAUUAUCCCAAGCAACACUAGUAUUUUCUUAAGUGUUCCUAAGCAUCAGAGUUUAGGUUUUUAAUUCUCUAUAUGGCUUUGUUAUGAUUUACCUUAUUAGAUUUUCAUGAUUUUUUUCAAAACAAAAAUAAUAAAAUCAACUUAUCUCAUUUUCAUUUCAUUUUCAAAGUCCUUUGUUGGAGUUUAAUUGAAUGUAUGACUUUUAACAUUUUAUGUGAUUUUUUUGGAUAAAUGGCCGACUUUGUUGCAUUGAAAUUGAAAAUAAGGAAGCCAGGGAGGUAAGCGUAAUAUUUCUAGCUUCCCCCACCCCCCCAGCCCCAAGGGAGGGAGCCAAGGUGAAGUUUUACUUAUCCCUCAAAAAAAGUGCUAAGUGCUUGUGGAAUGGGGUUUAUAUUUCUAGCUUCCCCCACCCCUUCCCCCCCAAAAAAAGCCCUUAUAAUUAUUUAGAUAUUUUCUCACAUUUUUUCCCCUUCCCUGAAGUAGACAGCUAAUGAAUCCAGCUCCUUUCCAUUACUUAUUUUCUCCGAUUAUCCUCAAUAUAGCAAUAUGAGUUUGACAUGUGUCCAAUUUGAAGUCAAUGUCCAGGAUUUCUUUUGCUCAUAACCAGCAUCUUAACCUUGGUUAAGCACAAUUUAACAUACCAUGUUUACCAUAAUUUGGAGUAUUUGAAAAAAAAAAACCACCUUUUCCAGCCAAAUUUUAUAUGGGAAAAGUAAAAUAAAGAAAAGUCAAAUCAUGGAAUUUCAUGGGAAAAGAAAAGGAAAGAAAAGUCAAAUCAUGGAAUUUAAGUUACAGGUAUAUCGUGCCCAAAUCAUGAUCUUGCGUCUUUUUCUCAAACUUUCAGUGAAUUGGUAAUGUUUUUCUCACUUGAAACGGAUUUUUUGUUUUGGGAAUCUCGAAAUUGUUCUCAAAGUAAAUAUUCAGAUUAAUGUUAAGAUCCAAACGCGGAACACACAACUAUUGAGAUAUUAAGUAUACAACAAUUCAUGAAAAACAAGUCACAAGUAUGAAAGAUAAACGACAUUCAAUAUUUAAUGUGGUUUAGCUCCACCAUUAAGUUUACGUGCAUAGAGAUAAACCUGUUCUUUAUUAUGAAAGGAAAAUCCUAUACAAGAAUACAACUUAAACCCAAAUCCAACCCUUGUAUACCAUCUCUUAUCUCUCAAGAACCCUAUCUGACUCCAUGGAUAAGGCUACAUGUUGCCUCUUGUGUGCCCCCUUGUGUGUCUCUUUAUAGUAUGCCAGCCUAUUUAUUUACAGGGAACAUUAUUUGGUCAAAACCCAAAUAACAAUAGGAAACCAAUUCUAAUUCUUAGACUUAUACAGAAUAGGAAAUAACUUCUAAUCUUAAACAAAAUACGAAAUUUCUUGGCUACUACUUCAAGUAACUAAAACCAAUUAGAAAACUAGUUACUUCCACACAAAACAAGAAACUUGCCUAAAAGAAAUUAAGUCAAUUUCUUAACAAAUCUCCACCUUGGCGAAAAUUUCUUUUAACAACCAUUUGUUUUUAACUACUAAAUAAUAUGGUACCGAACUACACACCCGAAUCAAUACAGUCCUUGCACCAAAUUGAUUCAAUCAGCAAAUGAACAUGUGUAGUUAUUCCAAAUCUACCUUCCAGUUGACUCGUGAGAAAGUGCCUCAAUUCACCAUCUCCGUUUGCAGGAUUUCUUCUCACCACUACUUAUAAUCCGAGAUCUCCUUCUGUGAGUUUUAACCCUGAUCAUUGAGGCAAUCAAGUGAUAAAAUUAUCAUAUUUCUUUUCAUCCUCAGGACUGUCUCGCCACGUGUGAUUUUCAAGACUUCGUAAAAAACGAAAAAAUCGUAACUGUCAAAGUCUUCUGGGACGUACCACACCACACCACACAAAGAACUGUCAGAGACUUCUUUGUUUCUCUGGGACAUACCACACCACACAAAGAACAUAACCAAAAUCUAAAAUCCACUGGAACGCAGUUUUAACCUUUGGAGGUGUGAGAAAGUCUCUACCGAUUCACGUCCAAAAUCAAAAUUGGACUCUACCUUUUUCCUUACCCUUGAAUCACUUGGCUAGAUUCACCGUUAAGCGCCUCCAUGCUUUUCGACUUCCUAUCCUUCACCAUCAAUUUUUUUUGUCAAGCAAUUGAAACAAGGAUAUCACUCAUUAAAUUGUCCAAUUAGUAACAGCUACAAAUUCACUUGAUCUCAAUAGUUAACCAAGAUUCAACCUUGAACAACCAAACUUUUGAUUCAACCAUUCAGUUUGUUGGAAUCUAAGUGCUUGUGAGCAAUCCAAUCUCACAACCAAACUCUGAUACCACUUAUUAGGAUUCAAGCGCGGAAUACACAACUAUUGAAACAUCAAGUAUACAAUAAUUUAACGACAAAUAAGUCACAAGCAUGAAAGAUAAAUGACACACAAUAUUUAACAUGGUUUGACUCCACCAUUGAGCCUACGUCCACAGAGAGAAACUUGUUCUUUAUUAUAAGAGGAAAACCCUACAUAAGAUUACAACUUGAACCCAAAUCCAACCCUUGCAUACCAUCUCUCAUCUUUCAAGAACCCUCUCACACCCCAUGUAUAAGACUAUAUGUUGCCUCUUGUGUGCUCCUUGUGUGUCUCUUUGAAGUAUGCCAACCCACCUAUUUAUAGGGAAUAUUAUUUGGCCAAAACCCAAAUAACAACAGGAAACCAAUUCUAAUACCUGGACUUAUACAGAAUAAGAAAUAAUUUCUAAUUCUAAACAAAAUAGAAAAUUUCUUGGCUACUAUUUCAAGUAAUUAAAAUCAAUUGGGAAACUAGUUACUUCCACACAAAACAAGAAACUUGCCUAAAAGAAAUUAAACCAAUUUUCUAACAAUUAAUCAUAUCAUUCUCAUCUUUUUAUCUUAUUUCAUCGUCGAUUUUCUUGCUUAUGUAAUCGAUUUAUGAUUUUAGAACUUGAGUCACUAGAAUAAGUUCCAAAAGGACAAGAUAUUCUAAUUAUAUAGUUGCCUAAUGCAUAUUAACUUUUUCUUGAAGCACAACAUAUGCUAAUUGGACAUAUAAAAAUUUUUACAUCUUCAAAAGCGAGGUAGUGAAACUGAAUUUUACUAUUCAGUUUUAGAAUUUGGAAGAACUGAUAAUGUUUAGGGAUCUUCUACAGUGGAACGGUAAAAUGAAGAAGCUGAUUAGAUGAAUACAGAAAUGAAGGCCUAGAAUUUUGCUUCUACUAAUUGGAUGUAUUGAAGUCCGUUAACUAAUGUUAAGUAAAUAAAUCUUAUCCCUCUAAAUAUUGUAAGGACAAGUGUCAGAAUAUCCAAAAGCAUAUUUAGGGAAAUGGAAAAGGUAUUGGGUGGGUGUGUGUGUGUGUGUGAUGGAGAGGAGCCAAAUCCAAUGGGUAACUAGGCGUCUAGGACAAAUCACCCAUGUAAUAUAUCUAAUCGAACUUUCUAAGUCUUCGACUUUCUUCAAUCCUUGCAUACAAAUUUGCAAAGUCUGUUUGUCAGGAUCAAUUUUAUCUAUCUUUUGUGUCCGAAAUGGAAAGGUCAGACAUUGUUUCUCUUCUUAUGGUUCUAUUUCAGGUGGGAAUAGCCAUAGUAGUUGGAAGUCAAGAUGGAUCAGAAGCGUGGAGAUAUGUUCAAGUCAGACCAAGUAUGUUUCUGAUGUUUUAAAUGCCAAUUAAAAGGAUCACUUGUCAAUGCUGAUAUUGAGUUCUUGUGUUUGUUUCAGAGGCUCACAUGUUCUGGUGGUACUCAUGGUUCGCCAUAUCAGCCGAUACUAAUACAUAUCAGCCGAGUCGUAACCGGAACGGAGGGGACCGAUACGAUACCAAUCCACGAAUCGCGGAUAUUACCAUAUCCAUGACGACUUGCUCUGACUCGGUCAAUAUUGGUCUAUUCGAAUCCGUGAUGCAUGAUAUCGGCCAAUAUAUCCGAGAUAACUCGGAGUCAACUGGAAUAUUUUUUUAAAUUAUGCCUUUUUGAUAUUUUCUAAUUUUAGUAAUUUUUUUGAAAUUUUGGAAAACUUUCUUGUACUAUAAUGUGCAUAACACCCGAUAUUCAACUGAUAUGUCGCGACGGAUGUGGAACAACCGAGACCGUAACCCGUGAUGGCGAACCAUGGUGGUACUACAGAAGUCCAAAUAGGAUUCAAGAUCUAGAAAAGCCUUGGCCAAUUAUUCUUUGCCUGCAAGGCGGACCGUGAGUAUCAGAAUUCUCGUGGGAUUUUUUCAAGUUUCAAUCUUUGUUGCUUGUUCAUACAAUCAACUGUAUUUUGUUUAUGAAGGGUGCUUUAGGAGUUGGAUUUGGUAAUUUUGAAGAAUUUGGACCUCUAGACAUGUUUCUAAAGCCAAAAAAAUUUGACAUGGUUGCAGAAAGCUGAUCUUUUGUUUGUGGUUGGUACUAGGUUGCAUAAUGUUGGUGAAUAAUCACAUCAGCAUCCAUGCUGUUUUUCAAACUGAAAUGGGAUUUUCCUACAGGUUUUUUCUUGUAUCUCCUUAUCUAAAUUUAUUUUGCCUGUUUGCAAUCUAAAUAGGAUUAUCCAGUUGAAACAUGUUACAGUUUUGUGAAAAACGUUAAAAACACCACAUUAUUUGUGAAGACUAAUGUGGAGGCUGCAAAGGAUGGAACUAAAUUCUUGAUUGAAUUUUUCAAUAGGAAUGAGACCCUCCAAAAGAGUCCUCUAUAUAUUGUGGCUGAGUCUUAUGGAGGCAAAUUUGCCAUUACUCUGGCUUUAUCUGCUUUAAAAUUAAGCUAUUGAGGCUGGGAAGCUAAAGCUGAAUCUCGGAGGUAACAAUUCGUUUUUCAUUCUUAAAACUAAAAUCUUAGUUUCUCUUCAAUCCUAAACUCUUGAGCUAGCUCUUACCUUUUUUGUAUAGGAGUUGCAUCGGGGUAUAGUUGGAUUUCACCAGAGAUUUUACCAUAUGUAGUUUCUGUUCUUCAUUCAUCUCAUGAUUACUUAGUUAGAAGAGGUGAAUUGAGUUCUGGUGACCAAAAUACAGUUUUCAUGGGCUCCUUUUUUGAAAGACAUCUCGUUUCUUGACAGCAAUGGUUUCCAGAACUCAAUCAGGUAUCAAGUUUUACACCUAAAGAUGGUACCAUCCUAAAUCCAAGCCUUAAAUGCAUCAAUGAAAUAUGUUUUUUACUAUUGAAACUUGUGUGAAUUUAGCAACCCCACAUGUCUGACCUAAUCGAGCUCAAAAAUUUUAAGUUGCCUAAGAAGCUUGUAUUGUUUAAUGCAGGGUGGCUAAUCAAAUUAAGAAGCAAAUUGCAGCAGGUACGUUUGCAGAGGCCACAGACACUUGGAACGAAUUGGAAGAUCUAAUUACCAAUUACAGUAACAAUAUGGUAUGAAUUUUCGCAUAGUCUAAUUGAACUUAUGUUAAUCACAACAAAUCGGUGCAUUUGUGUGACAGCCCCACCUCCCCCUAGGGCGUACCCAAGGAUUUGGCGGAUCGCUUGCCCAACUCUCGCCAGGACUCAGUCACAAUUCAUGAAAAUUUACAAAUAGAACCUCAAAAUACAAUGAUCUUAAUUACAGCCAUCAAUAUAGAUACAUUCAUGGACCUCUAAUGUUCAUACAGUCUAUAAUACAGCCAAAGAGUCGAACUUGCUAAAAAUCAAACCAAACAAGUCGGCUAGACACCUAUGCAGUGCUUACACGAGCAACUAACAAAUUUGGAAGAAAUCGAGACCUUCCUCAAUUCAAUCUCUCAAGUUCUCAUCCCUGUAAGGAAAACAAAUGCCGUGGAAUGAGCUAAAAAUCUAGUGAGAUUUCAAGUAAUUAAACAGGUAAAAUACAAGACAAGAUAGCAUAUCCAGACAUCGAGAAACAAGUCAAACACGAAUGGAUCAUGACUCAGUAUAUAGCUAAACAAGUAGCCAGAUAAAACAUGCAAAAGGGUACAGUAAGAAACACAUUCAUGUCAAGGAUACAAGUUGCCCUCUGGAGCAAGUUCUACAGUAGCUUGAUCAAGGUCCGUUGACUCUCCGUUAACCAUGGAAGUAUAACGUCCGUAGAUCUUCACUUUACACCAAUUCCGUCCACCUAUCAACCACCUUACCUGGCCCGAACACCAUAGGAGUACCCAAGGUUCGUCAAUCUCAUCGACCAAGCCCUUGCUGGCUCGAUUCGACCAACUAGCCCUAUGUUGGACUUAUAGUCCCAGAUAUUCAGAUUGGAGACGUUAGUUGUCACUUACGCUCCAUAUUCAGAAAUAAACAGAGAUGGUAUUACUCUAGCAUACCAAUAGUCGAGGAGAUAACACUCCACUCGACAAAACAGAACAGAGGUACGUACGGCCGCUCAGCACUUACAGGUAAAGCACAAGCAUAAACACAAGUACAUGUCAUCUACAAAUCAAGUUACUUGUUCAUGUAUGAAGGGGAUAUCAAGUGUUUAGUCACAUCAAGUUAAUUGAGUGUAUAUAAGAGCAUCCUCGCCUACACAAGUUUAAAUCACAAAUAAGUUCAGCAUAUCAUGUUUCCAAGCAUUUCAAAUAUUUCAAAUCCAAACAAUUGAAAUCAGGUGAUUAAGAACCCUGUUCAAACAAGAAAACUUGAAGGAAGAUACAGAAAUAAAAAAUUCUCUCAGCGAAUCUGGCCACCAAUCCGGCCAGGUUUUGGCCGGAUUUUCAGGGGAAAACUUAAAAACUUUGAAGCUCACUGCCUCAAAUCCGGCUGGCAAUCCGGCUGAAAAUCCGGCCUGAAAGUGACCGGAUUCUGGCCACUUUUCAGUUGUAACAAAACGGCUAACACAUGUUUUAACAAAAUAUCACAAGUUCAAUUGAGCUAGGUCAAGUGCGAUAAAGUACACACUUACUUAUGAGACGAGAAAUCAAGUACCUAGAAUUGUCUAACAACAAUGAGCAUGUAACACGUAAGUCAAGGGAAUAACCACUCGAGUGACCAACAAGUCAAGUGCAAGCAAAGCAAUUCAUUUCCUAUCAAUAUCACGAAGUGAACUGCAUAGGAUCGAGUAUGAUAAAGUACAUCCUCAUCCCAAAGAUUAUCAGUUCAAGAACAACUACUUAAACCAAGUAAACAUGUCAUUCAAUCAAGCAGACAUUCCACGUAAAUAUUUUCAUGUACUUGGAACACUCACCAAUCAAAUGCAACCCUUCACUUUAUCCCUAGUUCGUCCUCUUGAACUCUCUCAAGUCCUGUGGUUAUAUACUAACGUGCAAUAUAAAGCCAAAAUACAUGAAAAAAUUAAAGUUUCUAAGACUUCAUUUCCUUUCUCUUAAACCUCAAUUCCACUCAUAAACCAUACCCAAAAUGAUUGACCAACUCCAAACUUAAAGUGGAAAAUAAAAGUACAAAUGGUUCUAAGAGAACAAAAUUUCUCAGCUUUGCACAACACAAUUUUGAAAAAUCAUAUCUUACGCUUCUUAAGUUCAAAAUUGAUAAAAUUUAUAUCGUCGGAAAAUAGACUUAAAGGGCUACAAUUUUUCAGAAUGCACUUUUGUAAGAUUCAGACCACAAGUCAGUCAAAUUCAAGCCACAAAUUGCUGCUUCAUUCAGUAAAAGACAGAACAGGGAUGCAAUUUCGGUCAACUUUGAAAAAACAUAGAUAUUCAUAGGAAUUGAGAAAAAGGAUGAAAUUUUCUUAGUUGAUACUAGUUUCAAAUGCAAUAAACAGAACUCAAUUCCAAUUUUUCUACAACAAGAUAUAGUAGAUUUGCUAAGGCUGUCCACGGGUUCCUAAGGACAAAAUUUUCAGCAGCACCCCCUUUGUGUUUACUACUUUUUCCAGCCAAUUCAAGGCUUCAUUCUUACCACAAAACAGCCUCAACUCAAUCAUAUACAUACCAAGCCAAAAACUCACUAAAUCAAGCAUGUAACUAUCACCUACUCAAGCUAGAAAAUGAAACCCUAAGCUGAAAUUUAUGCAUACAUGCUGAAAUUUCCUUUAGGCAAGUUAAACUAACACAUAAAAGCUAGCUAUUUCACAUAGCAAAGCUACCAAACCAUGGCCAACACUUAACCAUCGUGUGUGGGCAGAUAAUUCACCAUAAAAACUGAAUUUUUCCAGAACAUCACUUCAAAUCAUAAUAUUUCUCAUAAAACUACCAAAGUUGAAACCCUAAACCACUAAUUGACAAAUAUUUGAAGUAGAGAGAGUUUCUUGCCAUAAAUACCUUGUAACUCCAAGAUAGAUGGAAGCUUAGUGCUUUUCCUCCAAAAAUCUCUCCACUCAAGCCCUUAAUCUUCCCUAGCGAACCACUUUUAUGGAGUAUUUUGCAAGCCUGUGGAUUGAAACUCAAGAUUCAAGCUAGCAGUUGAAGUGGAAGAUGAACUUUUCUCUUGGUUUCUCCCUCUCAAAAUUUCGGCAAAGCUAGUGCAAAAUGAAGACAAUUUUUGGUCAAAUUUGAUUUUAAGAAAGUUAAGAAGACAUGGUCAAAGUCCAACAUCCAAUGGUUUCGCGACACUUGGCUCUUUAGGGUUUUGAUCUCAUCCUCUUGUCUUCCAAUGGUUAGUCUAUCUAGCUGACCUCUAAUUAUCCCCUAACACCUUGUAAACUAAUGUUCCUUUAUGCAAGAUUUCACCUAGUAGUCAAAAAUUUACCGCACUAACCGUACUAGCAAGUCCCACGUCCAUAAUGCACUUCAAAUUUAACGUGUACUAAUUUAUACCAAGAAAAUGAUUUUAAAACUUCACUCACUUAUAAAAAUAUCAAGGAAAUUAAGGCAAUAAUUUAAAGUAAAGAAAAUGCACUCAAAGAAAUAAAUAAAUAUAACCUAAUUUUCCAGGGUCUCAUAGUUUGUGCUUGAUGAUUUCUUUUGUGGAUAAAUACAGGACUUCGAACAAUUUCCUCUCGUUUGCAAUGGACGACCCUUUAUCGUUGUUAGCUGCUUCAGAACUAAAACAACGUAUUGCAGUAAAAAGGUCCUCUCCUAGAGGUGACGGUGAUCUUUAUGCAUUUAUGAAUGGUGAAAUUAAAAAGAAGUUGAAGAUUAUACAACCAAAUAUUAUGUAAGUUUUUCUUCUUAGAAAAAUUUCAGACUUCUUCUGAGUUCAUCACUUAAUUGUCAUUCAACGACUAAUAAUGGAAUCAACAGAUGGGGAGGGCAAUCCGGUCCUAUUUUUGAAGGCCUGAAAGGUGAUUUCAUGAGGGCAAGGAUUAGUGAGGUAACUAAAUCAGCUUUUUUUUGUUAGUAGUUAAUUAUAAAAGUUUAAGAACUUCAGACGUUUUGGUUUGAACUAUACCAAGAAUGUUUAUUGACUUUCUGGAUUAGCAUUUUUUUACACAUCUCAAUUGAGAUGAGACUAGCUUAUCCAAUUAUAUGCAGUCAAUUCUAAAGCAUUUUUUCAACUACUUUUUUACAGGUAGAUGAACUUCUAACAAAAGGAGUAAAUGUGACUAUCUACAAUGGACAAGUAAGAUUAUGCAACUCUAAGCAAAAGAAAUCUAAAUCUUUAUGCUUAGAAUGUUCUCCAAAAAAAUUUGAAAAAAAAUACUAUUUUAAGAUUCAUGGAAGAAUGGAUAUUUGUAGAUAUCCAAGAAAAACUUCAUAGGACAUCGUAGAUUAUUGGCUGCAAUACAACAGCGUGAAUAAUGGAACAAAAUAAUGGUAGUCAAGUUGGAUGGGAUUUUGAAGCAGUCGUAAUUAGUAUAAAUUUGAUACACUGACAUGGUCUUAAUCAAGUUGAAACAUUUUUUUUGUGGUCACAAAAAAUUGUGACUUCUAGUAGAUAAACUUGACCUGGGAUUUUUUAUUAUCCACGCUAUGAAUUUCACUCUCUCCUUGUAUUUUCUUUUUGGCUAAAUAGUUCAAUCAAAGUGUUAUUUUACUAUUGCUUGUAGUUUGAUCUCAUGUGUGCAACCAAGAGAACAAACGCAUGGCUCGAAAAGCUCAAGUAAGAAAAAAGAAUCCCACAAGUAAAUAAGCACCUAAAUCACCUCCUAAGAAGAAAAAUGUACAAAAUAAAAACACCCUAUUACCCUAAUCAAUAAUCUUUUGCCUAUUUUAAUAGGUGGAAUAGGAUCAAAGAUUUCUUGAACAAGGAUAGAACGCCUCUCUAUUGUGAAGGUGAUAGGAGUGUAAAGGCUUUCACCAAAUCAUACAGAAAUUUACAUUUCUGCUGGAUUCUUAAUGACGGCACUACAACAAAAAUGGCUUUUCUUGACACGUGUAUAAGGACACUUGUUGGUUUGUGUCAUUAUAGCACUUCUAUCAUGACAUUUGUUAUCAAAUCAAUAAAAAAUACUUUAAUUUUUUUUAUUUUAUCUGAUAUAAAAAUAAUAAUGUGUCUUUAGAUUCCCUAUCAUGACACUUGAGAAAAUGUGAGAUACACCAAAAAAAUUAAAACAUAAAACGAUGUCGUUUGAUUUUGGCGGAAGAUUCCUUUGCCAAAACACUUAGUGAAAUCUCAAAAUUUCAUUUUGCCGGCCAGCAAAAUUUUGGCUCUUCUCAUCUCUCUCGGCAAACUAUCUCUCAAAGCUCUCUGCCAAAAUUUUCCUUUCCCCACAAAGUUUUUUCUGCUGAAUCUCUCUGCAAUCAAACUACCUUUGCUUCCCUAUUGAAGGUAUGUAAUUGCAUGGUUACUUUUUGCCCUAAAUUGUACAAUUUUCUGAUUUCCUGCUCCUGCUCUGUAAACCAAUUGAUGUGAAAAUAAUUAACUCCUGUAAGCUGCAAUAAGAUUCUGUGGUAUGCUAGUUCAAGUUCGAUACUGAUUUUUCUUCUAAAAGUUGCUUCAUUCUCAAUCUUGUUUUCAUGAUUUUCUGUUUCGGCUGACAGGUAAGAACUAUAUAUUAGUUGGCAUGGUUCACAAGCCCAAUUAAUUAUAAUAGAUGUAGAGCUAAUCAAAGAAUUACUAACCAACAGAGAAGGCGCUUACCAGAAAAUGGAUAUGGAAGGCAUUGCAAAGAAAUUAUCAAAUUAAUAGGUGAGCCGCUUAUAACAAAUGAGGGGAAAAAAUGGGCAAAAGUACACAAACUGGCUAACCACUCAUUCCUUGCAGAGAGCCUAAAGGUAAGCCUUCUUCUAUGUUAAUCACAUCACGAGUCAAGAAUAAGAAAGUUCGUUGUCCCAUAUAUGAAAAUGGGAAGUGAAUUUGGCAUAUAAUAUUGCUCGAGUAAUUCCCUAUACAUGAUUUGCUUCUCAUAAGAAUAACCUUUUGCACAGAGCAAGGUACCAGAAAUGAUUGCUAGUGUCGAGGCGUUGCUGGAAAGCAAAGGUAUCAGCUCUCGUCUUAUGCCAAAAAAGCUCCUCUUGCCCCCUGCCCUGUACCCCGGCUUCUCCCACAUAAGUGACCACUACCCUUUAUACUGGAUUUGUCGUCCAUAACCUGUUCGAUAAAAUGUCAACCUUCUUUCCUUUGGUACUGAUAUUAAUUUACUCAAUAAUAUAUAAACUAAUAGAAUUAUUGUAAUUAAGAUGCUUUAUCCUCUUUCAUAUCUGUGAGCGCAUUUGAUGUGUUUCUGUUGCUUUGACAUAUGCUUGUUUAUUGCUGAUCUCUUUCUUCAGUCUGUAAUUAAGAAGAAGUAUGGCCAAGAUGCAACAAAUGUUGGUGAUGAGGGUGACAUUGCUCUAAUAUCCAGGUUAGUUCAUGGCAUUUUGCUAAUAUGCUUCCUGUUCAUUGUUCAAUUCGGUUGUCAUAUGUUUUACAACUUUGUGACUUUGACAUUUCAGGAGAACAAGGAAGGUCUUGAAUUGCUUAAAACAGCUAUUGCUAAAGCUGGUUACACUGGUAAAGUAAGUAUUGGAAUGGAUGUUUAUACUGGUUACACUGUUCUUGAAUGCUAUGGGUAUAUGUUUUGCUGGUGAAAAUGGAGCAGAUGUCAAAGGCGGAUGUUUGUAUGGAAGCAGGCUGCAUCUAAGCUUAGGGGUGUACAAGUUUUUACUUACACAGAGCUUGAGAUUGCAACAAACAAAUUUAGUGCAGCAAAUGUGAUAGGAAAUGGAGGGUAUGGGGUAGUGUAUAGAGGGAUUUUGAGUGAUGGCACUGUGGCUGCAAUUAAGAUGUUGCACAGAGAAGGGAAACAAUGAGGAACGUGCCUUUCGGUUAGAGGUUAGUGGACUUCAUUUAUUGCUAGUUUUCAUAUUAUCCAAUUUUUUAAGCUACAUAAGCUUGUCAAUUAAACUCAUCUGUACACUCAAUUGAAGAUUUUUUUUUAUUUUUUGGUAUUUUCCCCUCUUUGGCUAAAUACAUUGGGGAAUAAAGGGAAGUGGUGAGUGAGAAUGGAAGUGAGAUAUUUGCCUAAAAAAUUAAUGGUACUUCUGGCAUUGGUCCAGCCAUUGCUUUCUUGAACAUCCUAAUUGAACUUAUUUGAUGGGUGCUUGUCUGUGGUAUGGUUUAUUUCAACAAGUCUGUAUUGAAAUCAGUUUGAAGAGUUUGAAAUUGCUGCAGGUUGUGAUUGGGAUGGAUGUGGCUGCUUCUGAGUUUUAUGGUAAAGACAAGACUUAUGAUCUAAACUUCAAAGAAGAGGUAUUGCUUUUUCACAUUUUCUCCCCAGAUUGUUAUGUCAAACGUUCGAAUUCAUUGCUAAGCCAAAGGAUAAAAUUACAUCUAGAUUCAUAAAUUCUAGUCUUCUAAAGGGCGGUAAUUUCAAUCAUGACAUCUAUCUUUUUGGUCAUUCUUCUUCUUUAUUUAGUAUGUUUGCUGCUUUAGUAGUAUGUUUGGUGAUAGCAAGUAGAAAUUUCAGUGCAAUGAUGGCAACUGGAUCAGUGUGUUAUUCCAAAACCUUUUGAUAUACAAGAAAAUAUAACUUGUGUUAUCACCUUUGCUUUUGCCAGUUAAGUUUUGCAAACCUGCUUGGUACCAAAAUUUGGCUAUUCAGCAAUCAACUUUAUUUCGAAUGAAAUGAAUCCUGUUUGGUAUCGUUACUUUACAUUAGAACGUAAUUGCUAGGUGCUGAUAUCUUUAAUUUAUUUUUUUAUUUCUGGUCUUUCUUUGCAGAAUAAUGAUGGCUCACAAAAGAUAUCAGGUUAUGACUGAAGGCUCUCAUUUCAUUGGAAAGUUUGGAAGCUACUGCAAGUUCUUUCUACUUGCUAGGGAUGAGAAUAUUUUAGUUUGUGCACAAGAGAAUCUUUUAAGUUUGUGCACAUGAGAAUCUUUCAAGUUUGUAUUUGUUAGGGAUUUGUUAUGUUAGUACUUGUUACUGACUUUUAGUUCAACAAAUUAUAUUUGAGUAUUGACUUUUGCUUUAAGAUUACUAUAUGCAUUCUGUUCUUUGGGAUAAUUUUACAAGUCCUUUGGGUUUCUGAUUGACGGAAUGUAUAGCAGGGAGCACUACCUGCAGGUUGCUUCUAUAUAAAAAAAAAAAAGAAAAAAAAACUCCUGGCAGUUAAAAGUGUCAGCAUAGCUCAGUUAAAAAAACUCCUACUUGUUACUGACUAUAACUAUCCUGACACUUUCGAUUAUCAAGAAAAUGGAAUUUUGUUGGCAGAUGGGUUGCUAUAACAGCAUAGUUUUCCUGACACUUUGAAUGCUACGAGCCUAUCCCCACAUUGGAAGGGACGACACUCGUCCGAGAUGUGAGGAAAGGUAAAGUGUCAGGUUAGAUUAUUUAUACUGACACUUUUAAAUGCCGUUAAAGGUCAUUUUUGUUGUAGUGUUCUAAUGAAAAUUCUUUUACAAUGUCCUCAGUUCUAAGUUGAUUUGCUUUUUCCUUGGGUAUAAAGGGAUCCAAAUUGGUUGCUUGAGCCACCAAUUUUUCUUUCCCUUUGAGGAUGGCUAUAUAACAUGUCCUAACCACCUCAAGAUCUCCAUGAACCUCUGCUGUCCCACUGGAAGUCAGAAACUUCAUGCUCAAAUGUAAAGUUGAGGUAUUGGCUUUUAAAGAGUUAUGAGUAGAUUAGCCAAGGAACAUAUUGUAUGAUGAAGGUCCUUUAGCAACCACGAAAUUGACUGGAACAAUUCGAUAUCUAGGGACUUUUCCAUUAGUUACCAUUAGAGUAAUCAUCUUUCAGGUUUUAUAGGAGGGCUAAAAUAUCCUACCUAUGGCCUCCUUACUAGAGUAAAUUGCCUAUCUUUUAACUUAAGGUUCUUGAAAGUUUUGUAAUAUGAUACAUCUACUAUGCUUCCUGGAUCUAUAAACACUUAUCUGAAAUUAUUAGUGAUCACAUCUAGAUAAUUGGCUCUUGAUGGCUUGAUGCCAAUGAGACAAAAUCCUCAGGUCCAUUUAUGAUUUCUCAUAUAUGUUCAAUUCAUUGGGUAGAAUUAUCCUCUUCUAGUAGAGUUUGGUUAUUUUUUUGGGUUGAAUGACUAUUCUCACUAGUAGGUCCUCUAGCUAUUGCAUUGAUGACUCGAACUAGAUUUUGUGAAUCAAGGUCAAGUGAACGAUCUCGAGGUGAUCUCUGUUGAUCUCGUUUGUCGUUUUCUCCUUUAUCAUUUUGAUUGUUCGGACUAUAAUCUUUUCUUUCUCCCUAGGAAGCUUGGUUAUUUUGAACGUACUCUUUCAAGUUUCUCAUUUGAUCAACUCCUCUAUUUCUUUUUUUUAAUCCUUGCAUUUCUCAAUGUCGUGACUGAUAUCCCUAUGAAAGUACAAUAAAGGAUUUUAUUCCUUUAUUUUUGGAACCAGACAUCCUAGGAGACCUUCUUUCAAUAUCUUUUGCUUCCAUUACUGCCAAGAUUUGAGAUCUUGGUAUUGAUAAGGGCGUGAAAUUCUUUUCCUGAGAUGGACUCUUCCUUUUAGAAAGUUGGUCAAAAAUGUUCCUCUUGAUCUGCCCAACUUUAAGGUCAAUGGUUCCAUUCUUUCUUCAUCUGUCUUCAAAGUCUUUCUCAGAUUCUUGUUUAAGACGAGUAGCCUUCUCGGCAGUUCCAUCUACGUGAGCUCUAUUCAAUAGUUCUUCCAAUGUCAUAGGUGGUUUCUUGGCAAAUUUAUAAUAUAACUCAUUACUUCUCAAGCCAUUUAUAAAUGCUACCAUCAUCACCUUAUCAUCUUUAUCUCAGGUUUGGAGACUCAUUAUUAAAAUUAGUCAUAUAAUUCCUAAUAGAUUUAUCAUGCCUUUGUUUUAUCACCAUUAAUGUGCUGCAUUCUUGUAGUAAACUUUGGAAGAGACGAAUUGUGCUACAAAUUGCCUAGCUAGUUCAAGGAAAGACUUGACUAAUCUUAGUGGUAAUAGUGGAACCAAAGCUGAGCCCUUUCCUUCAAGAACAUAGGAAAGGUCUUGCAAUGAUUCUCAUCUAUAGUGCUUUGCAGUCAUAUAUGAGUAAGAAACACAAACAGGUGAUCCUCUAGAUUUGUAGAUGCAUCAUACAUAUCCAUGAAUUUUAAAUCUUUUUGGUGGAGGAUAUUCUUCAAUUUCCUUGACAAAGGGAGAAAACUAUGUAAAAAGAUCUGCAUAUUGAUUUGGCUGCAGGAUUAGAUCGAGUUCAUCCUGAAUUGGAUCCUUAGGCAUAUGGUAUUCCAAAUAACUUUUAUUAACCGAGGAUGAGAGCAAUGAGAGUAGUGCUUACUAGUUUUUGAGAUAAAAAUAUGCUUCCUAAAGGGAGAAUAAACCCAUUUCCUCUUAGGGGGAUGAUCAUCAUCAGAGCUAUUUUAGGACGACAAAGCUUGCCUUUCUAUCAUCUUUAUCAGAGCUUUUGAAUUUUACACCUCUUCUGCCUUAUUUUUCCUUUCACCAGGCUGACAAUAUCAUCAAAUAAAGGGAAAUUAUUUGGUACAAAAUUCAUAAUUUUCUCUUUCUUCUCCUCUAAAAUCUAAUAGUCAUUGUUACCCUAAGUUUGCCCAGGGAUGUCAUGAGGUUCUUUGGGGUAACUUUAAUUGGUAUUGCCUAUAGAUUACUUGGAGGCUGUCUUUGUCAUAAGGAAGUUAUAUUACUCCACUUCCCAUAGAGAGCGCAAAUUGUUGAAGCAGUAUUUCCUUCCACUGAGUUGGACUAGACAGGUAAGAAGGGAGCUCAAUCGCAUAAAGGUAGAACUCUCUAAGAAACAUACAAGGAAAGUACCAAUUCAUGAAGAUCCUCGGGGUCAAGUCUCUAAGGUCACUCUGAUUCUCAAGUCAUUUUUUGACUUGAGGAGAAGAAUAUCCUCCUAAUUAGGUGUUAGGUAUCCCUAUAUAUAGGUUUUCGUACAAGAGAGUGAUAAGAGAUUAAGACUAACAAGAUAAAGAGACAAAGAUUACCUCUUUUUGAUUAGUUGAAUAGACAUUAGUUCAUAUGAUGAUUUUCUUAAGAUUAGGAUAGUUAUUAUCACUAACCAACUCAGAUCACCCUUAUUUUAGGAAGUCAAAAACUUAUCCUACCCCUAAAGUCUUCAGUGUCUGAAAUGGAAAAGUCAGACGUUGUUGUUUCUCUUCUUAUGAUUCUACUAUUUCAUGUGGGAAUAGCAAUAGCUGCUGGAAGUCAAGAUGGAUCAGAAGCGUGAGGAUAUGUUCAAAUCAGGCCAAGUAUGUUUCUGAUGUUUUAAGUGCCCAUUACAUGUAUUACUUGUCAAUGUUGAUAUUGAGUUCUUGUGUAUGUUUCAAAGGCUCACAUGCUCUGGUGGUACUAUAGAAGUCCAAACAUGAUUCAAGAUCUCGAAAAGCCUUGGCCAAUUAUUCUUUGGCUGUAGAUAGGGCUACAAAUGAGCUAAAUCGAGUCAAAUGUUGAUUUAAUUUUAGCAAGUUCGAGGUUGAAUUCGAGUUCGACGAGCUCUCAAUGUAAAGGUCGAAGUCAAACUUGACCUCAAAUUUGAACCAAGUCGAGCUCGAUCUCGAGUUUAAAAAAUAAAAAAAAAAUUAUCUUAUUUUUAAAAGAAUGAAUAAAAUAAUAAUUUUUCUUAAUAAAUAACAAAAUAUUAUGGAUAUAUACAUGUAAUUUUAUUAUGUAAAUAAUAUAUAUAUAUAAUUGAGUCAACUCACGAGUUAACAAGUUGAUUAUCUUUGUAUUCAAGCUUGACUUAGUCAGUUCAAACUCGACUCAAGUUCAGUGUUGCCCGACCUCGAGUUGAAUAUUGAUUCGAGUUACUCGUGAUCAGUCAUGAGUGGCUCUACUUGUAUGCAGCCUUAGCUGCAAAGUAGACCUGUGAGUAUCAGAAUUCCCAUAGGGUUCCCUCAAAUUUCAAUCUUGAUUAUUUUUAUGAUAAAACAAUCUGUUUUUGUAGUGAAGGGAGCUUCAGGUGUGGGAAUUGGUAACUUUGAGGAGAUUGGGCCUCUAGAUGUUUUCCUAAAGCGAGGAAAUUCAACAUGGUUGCAGAAAGUUGAUCUCCUGUUUGUGUAGGUAAUGGUUGGUACAUUAAUGUUAGUGAAUUAUCUCAUUAAUAUGCAGCUUUUUCAAAAAUCAAUAUGAGAUUUUCCUGGAGGGGUUUUUUGUAUUUUCUUACCUGAUUUUGUUUUCUAGUAAUUGUGCAUAGAAUUAUCUAGUUGGGAUGGCCAUAGUUUUGUGGAAGACACGGAAGACACCACAUUGUUUGUGAAAAGUGAUUUUGAGGCAACAACUGACGAAACUACAUUCUUGAUCGAAUUUUUCAAAGGGAAUGAGAUCCUUUAGAAGAGUCCUCUGUACAUUAUAGAAGAGUUUUAUGGAGGCAAAUUUGCUAUUAAGGCUUUAUCUGCUUUAAAGGCUAUUAAAGCUAGAAAAUUGAAGCUAAAUCUUGGACUUAAAAAUUGAAUUUAGAGCCCUAAAAUUGAAUAUGGAGUACCUUUUUUCUUAAAUCCCAAAGUAUUGAGCUAUUACCUUUAUAAAUAUAAGUUGCAUUAAGGGAUAGUUGGAUCUCACUAGAAGAUUCUUCAGUUUGUAGUCAGUAUUUUUUUUCUUUACUUGUUCACUAGUGUCAUGAUUAGGGCAGCUGAAUUGAGUCUUAUAUUGAAAUGCAGUCUUCAUGGGUCCUCUUAUAAAAGAUGUCUCGUUGCUUGACAGCAAUGAUUUGAAGAAAUCAAACAGGUCUUCAAUGUUUAUGCUUUAAACUAGUAGUACAUAUUAGCAUAAUUCUCUAAUCUAAUCAAGCUCAAAGAUUUUGGUUCUCUAAUAAGUCUAUAUUUAAUGUAGGGUAGUUCUUCAAAUUAAGAAGCAAAUUGCAGCAGGUAAGUUUGCAGAGGCCACAGAAACAUGGAAGGAAUUGAUAGCAGUCAUUAGCCAUUAUAGUAAUAAUAUGGUAUGAAUUCUUUUGACUUUUUUCCUAGCCUAUCUAAACUUAAAGGUAAUCACAAUAAAUUGGUAAAUUUAUGCUUGCCGAUUUCAUUUGUGUAUAAAUAGAGUAUUUCUACAAUUUCCUCUCAAUUUUACAUGAGGAUGAGCCUUUAUCAUUAUCAGCUGAAUCCAAACUAAAACACAAAAUUGCAGUAAGAAGGUACUCAGUAUACCCUCAAAGAUUGAGGUGCCCUUCCGAAGGUGAUGGUAAUGAUGAUAAUGUUACCUAGAUGAAUGGUUAUAUUAGAAAGAAGUUAAGGACUAUAUCACUGAAUGUCACGUGAGUUUUUCUCCUUAGAAAAUUUUUUACUUCUCAGAGUUGGAGAAGUAAUAAUGGCUAGAACAGAUGGGAAUUUUCAACUUGUUGCUAGAGCCAUCCAAGGUGAUUUCAUUAGGACAUGGAUUAGGGAGGCAAAUAUAUCAGCUUUUGUGUUUUAGUUGAGAACGAAAAGUCGGGAAGUUUUCAGGAACUAUAUCAGUUUGUAAUUUUGAAUUAUACCAAAAAUGAUUUUUUUUCCUCAUUUGAUCAGCAUUCUUCAAUCACAUCUCAAUUGAGAUAAGACCAGCUUAUCCAAUUACAUGCAGUAAAUUCUCAAGCAUUUGUUCAACUACUUUUUGCAGGUCGAUGAACUUUGAGCAAAUGGAGUAAAUGUUAAUAUCUAAAAUGGACAAGCACAAUUCUGCAAUGGUUUAAGAAAUAUAGAGCAGGAAUGAUGCUUUAUUUUCCAUGCUAUCAAUUUGACUUUCUUUAGUUUGAUUAGAAUGUUAUUUAUUGUUGCUGAUAGCUUCAUCUCAUCUGUCCAACCAACGUAUCCAAUGCCCACAUGGGUUGAAAAGCUCAAGUAGGAAUUAAUUAAUCCCACAAGUAAUUGAGAACCCAAAUCCCUCUUUCUAAGAAAAACACUCUCUUAUCAAAAUCAGUAACUUUUUUCCUAUUUCAUUGGUGGGAUGGGAUCACAUUUUUCUUGAACAUGGAUAGAACUCCUGCGUAUUUUGAAGAUGACAAAGAGUAUAAAGGGUUUCACCAAAUCAUACAGAAAUUUACAUUUCUACUGGAUUCUUAAUGCUGGCCACUUUGUAGGUCAACUAACUAUUGUCAUAUUUCUGCUGUAUUUGUCUCUGUUGGUCUAAAAUUACUAUGACUCUUGCCUACUAGAGGCAAGGUUGAGAAGACAACACAUCCAAUAGUUUUAGUACGUCAUAGCCAAUCUCCUAAUUUUGGAAGGCUAAAGUUUUGCACAAUUUUAUCAUGAAUGUUGAAGAAAAUGUAAGGUUUGCUUGGCAUCCAUGCUUUUUGCUAGUUUAUUUUGGACAAAUUUUUUCCCCAACUUUAAGUUACACUUUUAAAAAUAGGGUUAUUAUCACUUUAAUGGAGUUUGUUAAUUCAAUUAAAAAGACAUGUUUAGCCCUUAAAAUUAUUAUCAUUUUCCUUUCAUAAACUAUAGCUUUAUUAUCAAUUUACCCCCUAGAAUUAUUUUUUAGACAAUUUAUCCCACAAUUAAACCAAUUUAGUGAGUUAAAAAACUUUAGAAAAAAAGUAUUCUCCUCUUUAAAUAAUAAAAAUAAUAAAAAAUUUAGAGUGGUUGUUCUCUUUUUUAGUAUCAAGAGAAAAAGUCAAAGUAUUAAUCUCUUUCUUCUUGGUAAUCUUAUUAAUACUAAAAAAAAUAGAAAGGUUGGGAAAAGAGAGAGAGAGAGAGAGAGAGAGAGAGAGAGAGAAAGAGCUCAAUUCUUAUUUUAAAAAAAUACAAAUAAGAAAGAAUUCAAUAUUUUUAUUUUUUUUAAAGUUACUUUACUUUUUUGUUUACUAUCCAAUUCUAAUCCUAAUCUCGGUGAUGUUAAAGUAAUACGAUAAUAUUAGAUUCUUUCUUAUUUUUUUCUUUGCAAAAUCUAAUUUUUUCUGUCUCCUUUUCUCCUAUCUCUUUUUCUUUUCUUAGUAUUAAUAAGUAUGAAAAAAGAAAUUUGAAAAAAAUCAUUUUUUAUGUUUUUGGAACUCUUAGAGUGAGAAAAAAAGGACGAAUAAUCAUUCCAAUUUUUUUUUAAUUAUAUAUAGAAAGAAUAGAUACAUUAAUAUUUUUUUGAACAUACUAUUGUGGCUAAUAAUGGAGUAAAAUGCCUAGAAAAUAUUGUUAGGAAGUAAAGUGAUUGUAUCACUGUAAUUUAAAGGGGUGAAAUGAUAAUGAUAAUGUAGUAAUGCUAAUAAAUAAAAGGGUAUUUUUAUCCAAAAUUUGUUAACAUGUUGAGUUGAACUACUUAUGGGGGUGGAAUGAUUAAAAGAUAAUGUUAGAAAAUAAAUUGAUAGUAGUGAUAUAGUUUAAGGGAGUAAAGUGAUAAUAAUCCUUAAAAAUACUCCAAAGUUUUUAAAAUAUACACCCAAAAUACCCCAAAGCAUACAAAAAAGUCUUUUCCUUCUUUCCUUUCUUCCCCCCACCUCAACCUGCUAUCACCACCAUCGACCACCUCAGCCUCUCCUUUUUUUUUAAUUCUCUCAUUCUCUCUCCCUCACCUCCUCCCCCUCACUUGUCCUCUCCUAGUCUCGGGAAGGGGGGAGGGGGAUGGGGUCAGGGAGAGGAGGGAGAGAGAGUGGCAGGGGAAAGGGAGAGGGAAGGUGAGGGUGGCGGUUGCACUAGGGAGGGUGGGAGAAGGAGAGCGAUGGUGGUGUGGGGAAGGAAGAAGAAAGAGAAACAAAAGGAAAAAAAAAAGAAAGAAAAGGAAAAGAAAAAAAAGAAAGUUUUUAAUUUUUCAAACUCUCAAAUAUACAAAGUUUUUUUACGAGUUCUACAUUAAGUUUUAUGAUAAAAUUUUAUAUAGACACCACAAAAUACACCAUCCAGGUGAACCCAUUGUUUUUCUUGAUCCUUCCCAUUGAAAUGGUUAUUCUCAUUUUUGUGCAUCUAAAUAUAUUUGUCAUAUUCAAAAAGUAAGAACAUAAUGUUUACUCUUUUUAUGCUCCAAAUCAUUGUCUUUUUGUGGAAGACAUGCAUGUCGUUCCAUUCAGAUGUUCAAUUCGAGAGCAUAAACUUCGAAAAAGUUUAGCUAAUUGUCUCUACCAAAAAGCAACAAAACACUAGCACGAAGUAAUUGAUGGGCUUGUAUGGAUGGAAUUUAUAUAUGAAGAUAGCAAGAUGUGUAACAUGUGCAUCUAAUACAAGAAUUAAAUGAAUUUAAGAGGUAAUAAGACACCACAUCACUACUACUGGAUAGUCAAACUGGUUUUGCUUUACCACGCACUAACAGAUGUCUGCCAUUUACUGGUAAAUUUACUAAUCAAGAAUGGAACAUGAAUUUUAAAGAAGAAAGAAAGCUAUGGAAGUCAAAAUUUCACGCACCAUUUAUUUAUUGAAGUUAUUGACAGAUAUCAGCAGUUUCGAUCAAAGGAAAUUAAGAUCAUAUGCUGAACGAAUUCUUGCAAAAUUAAUGUAUGUUAGGUCUUGUCCUAGAAAAUUGAACAAGAAGAACAAAAAGACUCUUGACAACCCAACAAAGGCAACUGCACAACAAAUAAAUCAAACAGAGAGAUAUCAAAAUUUAAGUGGUUCAAUAGAAUUGGCCUACAUCCACGGGUGAAAGAGAAACAUAAUAUUACUACAAACUAGAGAGUACAAAAGAGAGAAAGUACAAAAUCAUAGAAAAUCAUUCUAAAAUCUAAAGGCACCUAAAACUAAAAAUACAAAAGAGACUAAAUAGCACAAAAAAGUUUAAUGGUCCAAAGGUUCACUAACUUGCUCUUUUAGUUUGACGCAUAAACAAAAUCUCUCUCGACUUGGGGCAUGAGACCCCAAAAAACUUCUCUUGAAUGGAGCCUUGAAACUUGGAUUGGUACGCUUAAUAUAUUUUAACUCAUUAAGUCCAUUGUAUUUAGAACCACCAAGAGAGAGAUUUCUUUGUAAAUUUUUUGAUAAGGGAUACAAAGAUAAACUCAACAAAUCUCCACCUUGGCAUGUAUCCAACAUCAACAAAUGACAGACAAGUGGCAAAUAUGCUACACUUCCCCACAAAAGUUCCUACAGAACCCAAUGAGUCACAAAAAUCCCAAAAGAUCCCAACGCACCAUCAAAAAAUCAAAAUACAAAAGACUCAACGGAUUCCAACUGGCAAAACACGCAAAGGAUUCAACAGAUCCCAAAGGGUUAAAAACAUGAAUAUGAUAAUUUUGCUUUUCAAGUUCACUAUGUAGGACGACUCCCAAAUUGUCCUCUCUCGUGCUCAGGAAAGACCAAUUUUUUUUUUAUCAUAGAAAAAAAGUGGGAAUAUGAUAUGGUGACAAUUGAGAUGGCAUCUAGUAGGGCUCGUGGUCAAUUUGGUGGUGGAAGUGCAUCACCAAACUCGAAAAGUUGCUUUCAUUCUUGCUGAAUAACUGAACAUCAAUCUUUCCAAGAUUAGAAACUCAAUUUCCUCACGUUUGCUGCUACUGGAAUUUUAAUUUUCUUUGCAUUUGUUGCUGCUGAAAAUUGGGCUUCGCCAAACUUUAGUCGUUGGUGUUUGAAUUCAUUAGUGUAGCCUUGCACCUCAAUUGUUUGUCAAUUUGCCUCAACGAAUUUUAUGCCAAAAUAGACAUCAGCUCUACGUCCCUACUUGCCGGAGAUGGCGGCCUGUGGGCCGUCUGACAAGCUUCCGGACAGUGGGACUUCAGUUUUGAGGUCCUUUGCAUCAGUACUAGCAGAUGGUACGAAACAAACUGAUGCCUUAGCCUUGGGAGAGGUCUCAACCUUUAGAGGAGAGCCAGCCUUGCGCAUCUCUCGCAGGGAAAUAGAGCAGCUUUCUGUUCCAUUUCAGAACUCUUUGGUGGGGCGCUUCUUGUUCAACAGACCACCCAUGGAAGUUAUUAGGAAAUUCUUUCUUUCGCUGGGUUUACGAGGUGCUGUAAGGUUGGGCUCCUUGACCAGAAACAUGUUCUGAUCCGUCCGGUGUUGGAGGAAGACUACACCCGUCUUUUUGCACGUAGAAUCUGGUAUGUUAGCAGCUCGCCAAUGUCAAUUUCCAAGUGGUCGCUACAUAAGCUUGUCAAUUAAACUCAUCUGUACACUCAAUUGAAGAUUUUUUUUUGUUUUUUGGUAUUUUCCCCUCUUUGGCUAAAUACAUUGGGGAAUAAAGGGAAGUGGUGAGUGAGAAUGGAAGUGAGAUAUUUGCCUAAAAAAUUAAUGGUACUUCUGGCAUUGGUCCAGCCAUUGCUUUCUUGAACAUCCUAAUUGAACUUAUUUGAUGGGUGCUUGUCUGUGGUAUGGUUUAUUUCAACAAGUCUGUAUUGAAAUCAGUUUGAAGAGUUUGAAAUUGCUGCAGGUUGUGAUUGGGAUGGAUGUGGCUGCUUCUGAGUUUUCUGGUAAAGACAAGACUUAUGAUCUAAACUUCAAAGAAGAGGUAUUGUUUUUUCACAUUUUCUCUCCAGAUUGUUAUGUCAAACGUUCGAAUUCAUUGCUAAGCCAAAGGAUAAAAUUACAUCUAGAUUCAUAAAUUCUAGUCUUCUAAAGGGGGGUAAUUUCAAUCAUGACAUCUAUCUUUUUGGUCAUUCUUCUUCUUUAUUUAGUAUGUUUGCUGCUUUAGUAGUAUGUUUGGUGAUAGCAAGUAGAAAUUUCAGUGCAAUGAUGGCAACUGGAUCAGUGUGUUAUUCCAAAACCUUUUGAUAUACAAGAAAAUAUAACUUGCGUUAUCACCUUUGCUUUUGCCAGUUAAGUUUUGCAAACCUGCUUGGUACCAAAAUUUGGCUAUUCAGCAAUCAACUUUAUUUCGAAUGAAAUGAAUCCUGUUUGGUAUCGUUACUUUACAUUAGAACAUAAUUACUAGGUGCUGAUAUCUUUAAUUUAUUUUUUUAUUUCUGGUCUUUCUUUGCAGAAUAAUGAUGGCUCACAAAAGAUAUCAGGUUAUGACUGAAGGCUCUCAUUUCAUUGGAAAGUUUGGAAGCUACUGCAAGUUCUUUCUACUUGCUAGGGAUGAGAAUAUUUUAGUUUGUGCACAAGAGAAUCUUUUAAGUUUGUGCACAUGAGAAUCUUUCAAGUUUGUAUUUGUUAGGGAUUUGUUAUGUUAGUACUUGUUACUGACUUUUAGUUCAACAAAUUAUAUUUGAGUAUUGACUUUUGCUUUUAGAUUACUAUAUGGAUUCUGUUCUUUGGGAUAAUUUUACAAGUCCUUUGGGUUUCUGAUUGACGGAAUGUAUUGCAGGGAGCACUACCUGCAGGUUGCUUCUAUAUAAAAAAAAAAGAACAAAAAACUCCUGGCAGUUAAAAGUGUCAGCAUAGAAUUCGAUAUUCUAAUGUUGUACUAUACCUAUCCUGACACUUUCAAUUAUCAAGAAAAGGGAUUUUUGUUGGCAGAUGGGAUGUUAUAAUAGCAUAGUUUUCCUGACAUGUUGAAUAGUAUGAGUCAAUCCCCACAUUGGAAGGGACAACACUCGCCCUAGGUGUGAGGAUAGAUAAAGUGUCAGGUUAGAUUAUCUAUACUGACGCUUUUAAAUGCCGUUAAAGGCCAUUUUUGUUGUAGUGCGGCCACUUUGUAAGCCAACUAACUAUUGUCAUAUUCUGCUGUAUUUCUUUUAUUGGUCUAAAUUACUGUCACUCUUGCCUACUUGGCAAGAUUAAGAAGACAAGGCACACUAUUAUCCCAGAAUUGGAAUAGAUAUGAUUGAGUUACGUCACAGUUAGGCAUGGUUAUUGUACUUUUUUCAUAAUUUAGUGUAUAUUUAUUGACAUGAUUAUAUUUAUGUGUUGAAUUGAUGUAUAUGAAUAAAUUUUGAAUACAACAAAGUUAUAUAAAAGUAUACCAUAUUAUGGAGAAAGUACAAAAUCGGACAAUUGCACCAAAAUUUCAAUAGCACUUGUCCCUGGUCCCUAUUAUCCCAAUAGUUUUCACAAUUUGAUCGAUGUCUAAGAAACCACCCAUGUAAAAGAAAAAAUAAUACUUCCUUCAUUCUAUUGGAAAUGUCACUUCCCAUUUUUUUCACAGCCCAAAAUAUUUGUCAAGUCCAAAAAGUUAAAACAUAAUUUUUGCUUUUUUUUUCUACUUUUAUUCAUUAUCUUUUUGUGGAAGAUGUUGCCAAUUCAGGUUUUACUUCGGGAGAAUAAAGUUGAGAAAGUUUAAACAAUUAUCAGUAUCAGACCACUUUUAUUGAAAGUUGGAUUGCCAAAAAGUGACAAAAGUAGUAAUUGCCAGACUUAUAUUGGAACUUUAUAUGAUGAUACAAAGAUGAAAUUGGUCCUGCUGCCAAAGCAAUAACUGCCAAGCUAUUUUUCAAAAAAAAAAAACACCAAACUAUGGUAGAUUACGCCUGGCAUUUAUUGGUAAAUCUACCAGACCCUUAUGGAAUACUAGACGUUUAAGAACAAAAGAAAAUUAUGGGACAUCUUUGUGAUAGAAAUUUUCCGCAUGAAUUAUUUCUUGAAAUUAUUUAUUGGUUACAGACAUGAGAAUGGCUACCAAAAUGGACAUUGAGAUUUACUUUGAAUAUGUUCUUGCUAAAUGAAUAUAAAUAUAUAUAUAUGUUGGAUUUGUGGGCCAGCUUAUUUAUGGGACAAACUACAAAAACAAACCUUAGGAUUCCAUUCUUGUGAAGAAGGAAAAAAGUCAGCCAUCACUUUUGCCUUUGGAGGAAAAACGAAGAGAGAGAAAGUGUGAAGAAGCUAGAGAAAGAGAAACUUCAAAGUCUUGAUUGGAGGGUGAUUCAAAAUCCAAUUGAGAUGAAAUUUUACACACGCGAUCCUCUCAUCAAGCCCUACUCAUCUACCUAUUCAGAUUUUGGAUUUUCUCUUUGUUUGGUAAUACUUUUUCAAACUCACUUCUUUGACAAUUGUAGUUUUUGGGAGUGAUUUUGUAGCGAUUUGACUUGAUUGAUAUUGGCAAUAUUAUUGUCAUCUAGAUGUUUCAAAUAGACCUGUGUAUUCCCAUUAUUAUGAUAGUGAAGAUUUUUGACUGGAUUAGGUCCCGUGAUUUUUUUCAAUUUGAAUUUUUCACGUAAAAAUCUUGGUGUUCUGUGUCUUUUAUUUUUCUUGCAUUCUAUUUUUACUGUUGGCAUCGUUGCUUGGUGAUUUGAUUUAUUCCUAUUUUAAUUGGUACUUGGGAAAAGAAAAAUUUAUUCUACGCUAAUUCUAAUAUUGUGUGCCUGUACCGGUACUCCUUUCCCAAAAAAGAGUAUCAGAGCAGUCAGGUUAGGUUGCUUUUUCAUACUAGUUAAAAAUGGAUGAUUCAAAUAGUGGUUGCAUGACAAAAUUGGAUUCUAAUAAUUAUUCGAUUUGAAAGUCUAGAAUGAAAAGCUACCUGUAUUGAAGAGAUUUGUUUGAAUCUGUUUUAUGGUAUAAGGGUAGACCAAGUGAUAUGAGUGAUAAAAAAUGGGAUGUUAUGCACAGAAAAAUUGUUGGUAAUAUUAGAAAAUGAAUUAGUCAGAGUAUAUGCUAAUGACACCAGAACUGAUAUAUUAUGAAAAAAGCUUGAGAGUAUGUAUGAACGGAAGACCAGUUUGAACAAGGCUAGUUGUCUGAAGCAGAUUACUCGGAUGAGAUAUAAAGAUGGGAAAUAUAUGACUGAAUAUCUGAAUAAUUUUCAGGAAUUGAUAAACCAGACAACUACGUUAAAUUCGAAUUUGGAUGAUGAAGUGUAGGCUCUAUUAUUAUUCAGUUCACUAUCGAAUAGUUGAAAAAUCAUGGUGGUCUCUAACAGCAAUUCAGUUCCGAAUGAUGUGUUGACCAUGGCUAUUGCAAAGGAGGCCAUGAUGAAUGAAGUGUUCAGGAGGAAGGAACGAGAAAUUAUCUAUGAGUCACAGGCCCUGAUGACAGAAAAAAAAGGAAAGAAGAGGGAGGAGCAAAAGUAGAGGACUCUACAAUAGGAAUGACAAAUCCAGAUGCAAGUUUGAGUCACGAAAAAAUUUGCAUGCAAAUAUUGUAAAAAAAAUGGGCAUUAUAUGAAGGAAUGCAAAAUUUUAAAAUGGGAACAAGAUGAGAAAAAGGGUAAGAGGAAAGAAAAAGGUGAUAAAGAGACUACAACAGUUGUGGUAGCUCAUAAUGAUAUGUUUGUAUUCUGUGAUGAUGGUCAGGUGAAUAUUAUUCAUUAUGAUAGUGAUAGGGUAGUUGAUUCGAGUGCAUCCUACCAUAUUACUGCUCAUAGGCAUUUCUUCUCAAUUUACACCGAAGAAGAUUUUGGAUACAUUAGGAUAGGAAAUGAGGUCUCAUUCAAAGUUAUUGACACGGAAAACAUAUAUUUGGAUACAGAUGUCGGGUGUCAGCUGAUAUUAAGAAAUGCUUGACAUGUCUAUGAUAUUCGUCUUAAUCUUAUUUCUACAAGAAAACUUGACGAUGAGGGUUAUCAUAACUUGCAAGGUGGAUGCAAAUGAAAACUCAACAAAGAAAAUCUUGUUAUUGCUAGAGGAAAGAAGCAGAGUACCCUCUACUUGAUGCAAGCCAAGUUGGGGAAGGGAGAAGUGAAUGCAAUUCGUGAUUCAUCAAUUGACCUUUGGCAUAGGCGACUUGGACACAUUGGUGAAAAGGAAAUUCAGACACUUGUUCGCAAAUAGUUUCUACUUGAAGUUACAGGUAAUGUACUUAAACCUUGUGUUGAUUGCAUUUAUGGAAAACAACACAGAGUUGCAUUUUAAAAUUUUUCUCGAAGUAGAAAACUGAAUCCGUUAGAAUUGGUGCACACUGAUAUUUACUAUAUGAAAGAUAAGUCUCUUGAUGGUGUUGUUUAUUUUAUAAGUUUUAUUGAUAACUUUGCUAGAAAGGUUUGGUGUUUUGUUUUGAAAUCUAAAAAUCAGGUUUUGGAUGUAUUUAAAGAUUUUCAUAACAAAAUUGAAAGAGAAACUAGUAAGCAGUUAAAGUGUGUGCGUACUGAUAAUGGUGGUGAGUACAGAGGACCAUUUGAAAUCUAUCACAAGUUCCGUGAGAUUAGAUUAGAGAAAACUAUACCAAAAACUCCUCAAGAGAAUGGAGUAGCAGAGAGGAUGAAUAGAUCCAUUACUGAGCGGAUUAGAUGUAUGCUCUCUAAUUCUAAGUUGCCAAAAUCCUUUUGGAGUGAGGCAAUGAGGACUGCAGUUGAUUUGAUUAAUCUUUCUCCAUUAGUUUCUCUAGAUGAUGAUAUCCCAGAGAAAAUAUGGACGGGAAAAGAUAUAUCCUUCAAGCAUUUGAGAGUUUUUGGUUGCAGGACAUUUGUUCAUAUUCCUAAAAAUGAGAGGUCAAAACUUGGUGUAAAAUCAAAGUAGUGUAUUUUUUUGAGUUAUGGACAUGAAGAUUUUGGCUAUAGGUUGUAUAAUCUUGAUAAGAAGGUGAUUAGGAGCAAAGAUAUUGUUUUCUUUAAAGAUCAAACUAUUGAAGACAUUGAUAAAGGUGACAAUCCAAAAUCCUCAUAUGACAUUCCUGCUAGUUCAAAUCUAGAUCCAAAUCUAGUUCUAGUACCUACUGAUUUUAAUCAAUGGGGAGUUGAGACAGAGUAGAAAGAGGAUGUUGAUGAUGGUAAAAUCCUGCUGCUAAUGAACCUGAGCAUGAGGCGCCACCUACUCCACCACCUCCACCACAAGAUGAGUUUAGGAGAUCUACUAGAGAGAGGAGACCUUCUAACAGAUAUAAUCCCCAUGAAUAUGUGUUAUUGACAGAUAGAGGAGAGCCAAAGUCCUACUGUGAGGCUCUAGAGCAUGAGAACAAAGAAGAUUGGUUGCGAGUCAUGCAAGAGGAGAUGGUGUCCCUGCAUGAGAAUCACACUUAUAAGUUAGUGAUACUGCCUAAGGACAAGAGAGUUCUGAAAAACAAAUAGAUCUACAAGUUGACGAUUCAAGAGUAUAGCUCACAAGCAAAGUACAAAGAAAUAUUGGUUGUGAAGGGAUUUAGUCAAAAAAAGGGUAUAGAUUUUGAAAAAACUUUCUCUCCUGUUGUAAAGAUGUCAUCAAUUCAAAUUGUUCUGGGUAUUGCAGCCAAUUUAAAUUUAGAGAUUGAAUAAUUUGAUGUAAAGACAGCCUUCCUGCAUGGUGAUUUGGAAGAGGAAAUCUACAUGGAACAGCCAGAGGUGUUUAAAGAAAGUGGAAAGGAAAAUCUUAUAUGUCGUCUCAAGAACAGCUUGUAUAGUCUAUAACAGACACGAGACAAUGAUACAAGAAGUUUGAUUCCUUCAUGAUAGACCACAAGUACCACAGGACUACAUUUGAUCACUGUAUUUAUGUGAAAAAUUUUUCAGAUAGUGAUUUUAUUAUUCUCUUGUUGUAUGUUGAUGACAUGUUGAUUGUUGGCCAUGAUACUAUAAAAAUUGAUAGGUUGAAAAAGGAGUUAAGUAAAUCCUUUGAAAUGAAGGAUUUGGGUCCGGUUAGACAGAUAUUGGAGAUGAAAAUCUCACGAGAUGGGCAAAAUGAAAAGUUUUGGUUGUCUCAAGAAAAUACAUUGAGAAAGUAUUCAACAAAUUUAACAUGAACAAGGCUAAGUAAGGCUCAACUCCACUUGCGGGUCAUUUUAAUUUGAACAUCAAGCAGUUGCUCAUGCAGUUGGAAUAGUCAGUCGGUAUCUCUCUAAUCCUAGUAAGGAGCAUUGGAAUGCUAUCAAAUAGAUUCUCAGAUAUCUCAAGAGAACUUCCAAAUUGUGUUUGUAUUUCAACAAUGGUAAAAUUAUGCUAGAUGGGUACAUCGAUGCAGAUGUGGCAAGUGAUAUUGAUAAUAGAAAAUCCACAUUUGGGUACUUGAUGAUUUUUGUAAGGGGAACAAUGUCAUGGCAAAAUAAAUUACAGAAAUGUAUUGCUCUUUCCAGUAUAGAGGCAAAGUAUAUCGCAACCACUAAAGUAUGCAAGAAGAAUUUUUGAUUGCAAAAAUUCCUUCAAGAGUUAGGUAUAAAACAAGAGAAGUAUAGUCUUUACUGUAACAGUAAGAGCGCUAUUCAUUUGUAUAAAAACUCUACAUUUCACUCUUGGUACAAACACAUUGAUGUGAGAUAUCAUUGGAUUCAGAAAAUAAUGGAUAACAAGUUGUUGACACUUGAGAAGAUUCAUACAAAUGAUAAUGGUGCUGACAUGUUGACCAAGGUAUUGCCUAAGGAGAAAAUCUUGUUUUUUAGAUAGGAAGUAGGUUUGACUAUACCCUCAAAUGAGUUGGAGAGGGAAAUUGUUGAAUUUUUGGGCCAAACCACAAAAACAAAUCGUAGGUUUUCAUUCUUGUGAAGAAAGAAAAAAGUUUACCGUCACUUUUGUCUUUGGAGAAAAAAUGAAGAGAGAAAGGGUGAAGAAACUAGAGAGAGAGAAACUUCAAGGUUUUGAUUGGAGGGUGAUUCAAAACCCAGUUGAGGUGAAAUUUUACACACAUGAUCCUCUCAUUAAACACUACUUAUCUACCUAUUCAGAUUUUAGAUUUCCUUUUCAUUUAGUAGCAUUUUUCCAAACCCACUUCUUUGACAGUUGUAGUUUUUGGGGGUGAUUUUGUAGUGAUUUGACUUUGUUGAUAUUGGUAAUAUUAUUAUCAUCUGAAUGUUUUAGAUAGACUUGUUUUUUUCCAUUAUUGUAAUAGUGGAGAUUUUUAAUUGGACUAGGUCGCCUGAUUUUUCCCAAUUUGAGUUUUUCACGUAAAAAUCUUGGUGUCCUGUGCCUUUUAUUUUUCUUGCAUUCUAUUAUUACUAUUGGCAUCGUUGUUUAGUGAUUUGGUUUAUUCCUCUUUUAACUGGUACUUGGAAAAAGAGAAAUUUGUUCUGGACUAAUUCUAAUAUUGUGUGUCUGUACCGGUACCCCUUUCCUAACAAUAUAUAAUAGAUUUGUAAGAAAAUUUUCUUAUAGUUAUGUCAUGUAAUUUUAUUUGCCCUUUUCGAUUUCUUUAUAGGUCUUUGUUGAUCAUCCCUGUGUGGCAUUAAAGAUGAUAGGAAGCAUCAUGCAGUCACCUGCUGCUUCAGAAUAGGGGUGGCUUUCCAAUUUAGCCAAUAUAAAAGACCAACGCUGAAGAUACAUGAACAGAAGAAUAACAUAGAAGUCUCUUUUGAUUGUGAAAGAACUAUCACAGGAAUGUGAAUUAUUAAGAGAAAAUUGAAAAUUAAUCUUUAGUAUAUUCGUCUUGUGGUGUCAUUAUGACAUUUUCUUUUAUAGAAAAAAGAGAAUUUUCAUUACUAAAUUUGCUAAAAUCAUCCAGCACAAUUUAUUUAAUAAAGUUAGGAGGUCAAUUGUUAUUGGACUUAACAUGAUUUAAUUUGCAUGUCCUUAUAUUUGAUGGAUUAUUCGAGACUUGAUAUUUGAUUAGCUAGUGAUGCAUCAGGUCAAGGGAUACAAACUAGAGGUACUCAAACCAUUUCAUUAGCAGGGUUAAGUUAGGUGAUAGGAUGAGAGGAAUUGUAAAUAUAAGAUAUUGGGUACAAGACCUCCCACUUAAGAAAAAACGUUUCCAUUACUGUUGCGAUUGAAGCAGAAUCAAAAGCCUCAAAAUAACUCUUUACAUUCAAUUUGCCAUAACACAUGUAACUGGAUGCAUCCUAAACACUUGGGCUAAUUCCUAUGAUUAAGAUUUGAGGGAAAAAAUUACAGAAAAAAGUAGUAUUGUAAAACUAAUUAACCAUACCAUCCAAAUUCUACACGUUAGGGACAAAAUAUAAAAUUAAAUUUUUUACUAAUGUAAAUUUGAUUUCGACUAUUUGCCAAGCUUUUCUUCUAUCUAAACAAGAAAAUUUUAUUGCCACAUUUGUUUUGCAUGAAACUUUAGAAAUUAAUUUUGCUCAUAGUCCAAACAUUAGGAACCAAAAAUACAUUUCUCCAUUUUCUAGAAAAGGAAAGCAAAACUUCCUUCCGUUCAAUUUUAUGAACUUGUACUGGUGGACUUUGGUUGAAUUGAAUGUUGGUUUCUGGUUGGACAUUUGAGACAGUUUGGUCAGUUUCAUUAUGGUUGUAUAAUUGUCUUUUGGAAUGAAAACUUCAUUUGUUGUUUUAAAUUCAUUGUUGGAUUGAGGAUUUCUUAAAUUAGGUUGCAAAUAUUGUGUGUUGGUAAUAGGGUUUUGAAUGGGAUUAAACAUAGGUUUAAAUUUUAGACUAGCAGUACCAGUUUGAAAACUAGAAAAAUGAGUUAAACCAAACUCGAGUUGGUUUGUCGAACUCACACAAAUUGAACUUCAUUGAGCCAAGCUCAAGCAUAGGAAUUUUUUUGCUGAAUCAAACUCGAGCCUCAUUUUUCUUGGCUCAGCAAGUUCAAGUUUGAGCUUGACCGCACACAAAAUAAUGUCAAGUUUGGCUCGAUUAACAAAAUGUUUGAUUUGAUGUGGAUCAUUUGCACCCCUAUGUAUGAUUAUGCAAGGGUAAUUUGGAAAGAAAAUCAUUUUAGCAUUUUAUGUGAAUUUUUUUGGAUAUAUGGCCGAUUUUGUUGCAUUGAAAUUCAAGAUAAGGAAGCUAAGGAGUUAAGCAUAAUAUUCCCAACCCCAGGGGAGCCAAGUGAAAUUUUUAGAAGCUGAAGGAGGUUUUUGUAUUUAUCUCUGAAAAGAAGUACUGAGGAAAUGAAGAAUGGGGUUUAUAUUUAGGAUUAACUAUUUAUGCACUACCAUUGUAGUGAUUUUUUCACAUUAGUAGUUAUGGAUGUCUGCUAUAUGUUCAUGAUUUGAAUUUCAAAUUUGAAUUCAUGUUAUGUGAUAAUUUAAACAUGCUAGUGUAAAAAAAAAAGUACAAUGAUAGUAUAAAAAAAACUUAUCUUAUAUCUAAGGGCAAAUUACAUAUAACCUUCCUAUAGUUUUGCAUAAUUCUAGAUGACCCCUCUAAAAUUUUAAAAUAGUCAUAUAACCUCCUGUAAUUUUAUGUAAAGCGAACAAUGGAUGGAAUGCAUAAUCAAUUAUAACAAUUAAACCACACACACUCUAGAAGUGCAUGUCAUGAAAUCAUAAUAUCCAUUUACGCUAUGAUUUGUAUAAAUAUCCACUUUAUUCUCCUGUAAUUAUUACAUUUAUCCACAUAAUUCUCUUAUGGCUUUAUACAAGGUAGUAUAAGUCAUCAUUUGAUUUAGCAUUUAAAUAAGGGCACUGUUGGUAUUUCAAAUAAUAACAUUAUAUAGGUUAUUUUCAAUUAAAAUUUUAGUUUACUAAAAUCAUAAGGGGUAAAGUGAAUAUUUUGAAAUUUUAUGGGAGUUAUGUGGCAAUAAAUAAAAUCAUAAAGGGUUAUUACUAGUUUACCCUAUAUUUAAUAGGUGACAACUUAACCAAAAAAAGACCCUUAUAAUUAUUUAGAUAAUUUAUCACAUUUCCUUCGUCCAUUCUUGAAGUAGCUAGCUAACUAGGAUGUAUAAUCGAACUUUCCUAGCCUUUGACUUUAAUUAAUCCCUGCUCACAAAUUCUUAAAGUCUGUUUGUUAGGAACAUGUUUAUCUAUCUUUUGCUUCUGUUGAAGUGGUAUUUCCUUCCAACGAGCUAAACUAGAUAAGUAAGGCGAGAGCUCAAUCACAUAAAGGCAGAACUCUCUAAAAAACCUAUAAGGAAUGGACCAAUUUAUGAGGAGUCUCGAGGUCAACCCCUCAAGGUCAUUCCACAUUCAAGUUAGUUUUUGACUUGAGGAGAAGGAUAUCCUUCUCGGUGGGUGUUAGGUAUUUCUAUAUAUAGGUUUUCGUACAAGAGAGUGAUAAAGAAAUUAAGAGAUACUGAGAUAAAGAGAUAAAGAUUACCUCUUUUUGUUUGGUACGAUAGACAUUAGUUCAAAUGAUGAUAUUUCAUCAUUUUUAAGAUAAAGAUAGUCACUAUCAUUAACCAACUAAGAUCAACCGUAUCUUCAGGUAGUCAAAAUCUUAUCCUAUCCCCAAGGUUCGAGUUCAAGAUCAACUCGAUCUAUCACUACAAGAAAAUUGGUCAUCAGUGACAACUUUUCUCUGUGACGAAAAAAAGUUGUCACAAAAGUGGAUCCUUUAUUGACGACUUUCUAACUCGUCACAAACCUCUAAUGGGAGCCAACUCAUUUGUGACGACUUUUCUAAGUCGUCACUAGUAAAUUCCCGCCAAGUUUUAGCAAGAGCGCGGGAGUGUUUAGAACACACAAUAGUGACGACAUUAAGAACAUCAUCACUAUUGCUUGGCCUAUUUACGGACGACUUUUUGUUGUCGUCACUGAUCACUAAAAAAAAAAUUUAUUAGUGACAACAUUUUUUAGUGAUGACAAUAAGUCGUCACAAAAGGAGCUUCUUUAGUCGCGACACCUAAAGUUGUCAUAAUUGCAUCAAAGCAACUAAAUGUUUAGUGACGACCCGUUAUUUUCGUCACAAACUACACUGCAAGAAAUAUGGUCAUUAGUGACAACAUUUUUUAGUGACGACAAAAUUCGUCACAAAACGUGAUUGUUUAGUGACGACAAGGAAAGUUGUCAUAAUUGCUCAAAGCAACUAAGUGUUCAGUGACGACCUUGAAAAAGUUGUCACUAAAAUGAUCUAUAUAGUGACAACUUCUAAUAUCGUCACUGUCACUCUACCGAUUUGGAUUUAGUGACAAGAAUUAAUCGUCACUGUUUAAAGUACUUAUUUCUAAGUCACUUUCUGUAAUUCUACUGUGCCACCCUAACUUUUGCGAUUUAGCCCCAAAUGUUGUAAAAAAUUCCAUUAAUUCGAUUAUGAUACCUUAACUUUUACAAUUUAGCCCCAUAUGUAGUGCACCGAUUUCUUUAAUUCUAUUAUUACUCCCUAAUUUUUGUAAUUUAGCCCCAUAUGUAAUUCACCAAUUUUAUUAAUUCUAUUAUGGCACUCUAACUUUUGCAAUUUAACCCCCAUAUGUAAUAUACCAAUUUUAUUAUUUCUAUUAUGGCACCCUAGCUUUUACAAUUUAGCCCCUAUUUUUUUAUUAGGAAAUUGCGAAUGGUAUCUUGAUAAACUAUGCAUAAAUAUUUUAUAAUUUUCUCAAACUUAAGUAAUAAUUUGUUAUAAACUCUAUAGAUAUAUCUUUCAUUACAAUAGUUAUAAGGUAGGCAGGUCUUUUUAUCAAUGGAAUAAGAAAUUUAUGCCAGAUUUAUCCUUUGUACUACAUGCCAAGUAGUAUUAGCAAAGGAAUAACAAAGUACUACAAAGUAAUUAACAAAAUAGCCUUUAGGGAGUGUUGUUUAUGGGCAAAUGAGCAUUAUCUAUUUAAAGUACCAACUUUUUAUGGGCAUUUUACUCUCAAACAUAUAAUUUAUGAUAAAUUUAUAAAUGUUUGUAAGUAAAAUUCAAAAAGUAUUACACUGAUUUCUUACAAAACGAAAACUGGCAGGUUAUCUUUUCAACAUAAAUUAAAUUUUUUUAAAAAAAGAAAUGGCCCAUAAAGUACCAACUCUUUGUGGGUUUCCUCCAUUACAUGAAUAAAUAUUCUGCUAUUUAUGGGCAUUUCACUCUGAAUCAUUUAAUUUACGUUAAAUACAUAAAUGUUUGUAAGUAAAAUUCAAAAAGUGUUGCACUAAUAUUUUUAUGAAAGGGAAACUGGUAGGUUUUGUAUUUAACAUAAAUUAAAUAUGUGAAAGCAAAAAAAAAAAAUUACCCAUAAAUCUAUGUCUUGCAAAUCUAUACUAGUAAAAUAGUUUCAAACAAAAUUAAAUAUUAAAAUAAACUGUAAUUUAUACACAAAAUAUCUGUAAUUUAUACACAUUUUGCAACUACUACUUUGUGUUUUCUCUGUAAUGAAUUUUUUAACUAUUGAGAACUUAAGUUUUGUUUUGCAAAUCUAUACUAGUACAAUAGUUUUAAACAAAAUUAAACAUUAAAAUAAAUGUUUGAAAAAGAACAAAAGUACAUUUAUCACUUGCAGUAAUGUAACAAAAAUUUCUCAACCAUUAUCAAUAUUUUCACAAAAGUAUUAAAAACUAGCAAUUGACAAUAUUAAAAACUAGCAAUUUAAUUAGUGACGACUUUUCUUGUCAUUAUAAUCUUGAAUAAAUCAGUGAUAACAUUAUGUCAUCACUAAAUUUUCUUUGAUUUUGACUUAACAAUAAUGUCUUAUUAAUAGCAUUUGAUUAUUUUUAAUGAAAGUCUGUUAUAACCAUAGAAUUUGACUUUCGUUAUUUUCAAUUAAUGAUGUACUUUAGUGCUGCAAUUAUAAAAAAUUGCAGGGCUAAAAUAUUUGCAAAUUAUAAAAGUAUAUUUUCACUUAUAUGUAAUUAACAAAUUUUGCCACCUAUAUUGAUGAAAAUUUGUGUUUUUGUACUAAAAAAUAAAGAAUAAUACUAUAGCAAUAAAAUCUAUGCUUCAAACCAAAUUAAAAAUAAAAAAAAGCAUGAUGAUUGGUCUCAAAUGUUGGGAAAAUGAUUAUUUUUAUUGAAACUAUGUUAUAACCAUAUAAUUUGAGUUUAAUUAUUUUCAAUUACAUGAUGUUCUUUAGUGCUGCAAUUAUAAGAAAUUAGUAUAAAAUAUUAGCAAAUUAUAAAAGUACAUUUUCAAUUAUAUGAAAUUAACAAAUUUUGCCACCUAUGUUGAUGAAAAUUUUUACUUUUUUGCUAAAAAAUAAAGAAUAAUACUAUAGCAUUAAAAUCUAUGGUUCAAACCAUAUUACAAAUCCAGAAAAAAACAUGAUUUUUGGUAUCAAAUGGAGGGAAAAUGAGCGAAGUCAAAAUUUUGAUCAAAUCACAGUGGAAGUGCCGCGCAACAAAAACAAUAUCCAAAGCAAAGCAAAGACCAAAGCAGCGGAACACAUUCUGAAAAGAAAAGCAACGGAACACUUGGUCUGAGUUAAAGCAACGGAACACUUGAGCAACACAAACUUUCACCGAGCUGAAACAAACAAGCUUCUGCACUGAGCACAAAACAGAGCUUCCGCACGGCACCUGAUACCUUCACCCACACAACAAAUCCGUUCUCUGGCUUCUCACUAGCAUCACCAUGGCUGUCCAGCAUUAAAGGGCAAGGUUUUCAUUGGAAAGGUUCAUUUUUCUCUCUCCUAUACAUUUUCCCCAAUUUUUCCAAAUCCCUAAUAUUCUACAAUAUUUUUUGCAAAUUUCUGCCCAAAAUCUUUUAGCUGUCAAGGAAGAAAAGGGGUCGUCGGCAGGGGAACGAAGGAAAAGACUAAAGUUUCAUUUGGGGGCUGGUGAUUGAGGAAGUGAAACCAGAAACAGAGAAAGGUCUUGGCCUAGAGGGGACACAAAGAAAAUACAGAGCAACAGCCGCUCAUCGGCCAUCACAGCGCGCAAUCUCCAUAGCUGCCGUCACUCUGCUCUCAUCCAAUUUCCGCCGCCUUCAAGUUCCGCCACGGCACCUCCAUUUCGUGCGCCGCCUAGCUGCCUGACGCAUCUCCCCUUCCCGCACGGCCUUUCUCUCUCACUGUCGCUCCUCGAUUUCAUGUUGCCACCCACCACUGGCGCCCAGCUCCAGCGCGGCUACCAUGGCAGCUACAGCCGCCUGAUCAUUCGCACCUUCCUUCGACCAUCACCAUCGCCUGCAGACUUCGCCAAGCAAACGCUGUAAGCCGUCUGCCUUCUUUGAAUUUUAGUUUUCCAUUUUUAGUAUGAACAUUGAAAAGUCUCAAAGCAUGUUUGCCGUGCGUUUGUUCAGUGCCAACUUCAUGUUGAUUGCUAACGAUUUUAGAUUGUAUGCUAUUGUAUGUUGUUUGGACUGAAAUCUCUUGUGUUUUGACAAAUUUUGGGGGGCUAAUUACAGUCCCAAUUGAGCAAAAAUUGCUGGAUCCUUCUAUGCCCAUGUACUGUUUGUUAAAAUGCCCGAGUGAAGGUCUAAAUAGAAGAUUGAUGCGUAAUCUGCUUGGGGAAGACGAUCGUUUGCUUAAAUUUGCAAUUCUGGUCAUUCCAUUUUCUUUUUUGUAAUUUAGCCCCAGAGUUCCUGAACUAAUUUUAGGAUUCCCAGUUUUGGAGGAUGAAGUAUGAGAAGACUUGUAUGCAAAACAAAGGUCUCGUUCUUUCUUUAUCUUACAUCUAUUCAUAUUCAAAUAUUUAUAACCCAUUGAUAUGCACAUAACACGCUCAUAAAAAUAUAGCUGGUUAGAUGCUCUGAAUUUCAUUAGCCAUAAUGUUGACCGUCUGCCUGAUGCAUUGGAUUGUAAAUAUUGUGAAGUGAAAAAAUUCUACUUAGAGACAGCGAACUUUUACUAUUCUGAUGGCAAGGUGGUGCUCAAUGAAAAUAAGCUGCCUGAUUAUUCGAUUCAGUGACUGUCUGCCUGAUUAUUGUUUUUGCCUGUUAAUGUGCUAGAUUAUCACUGUAUAGGCAGAAACUCUGGUAAAACAAGAUUACACAUCUGAUAUUAUGCCUGUUGAUGUUACAACAAAAAAAGCUCUCAUAAUUUCUUGAUAUUAUGUCUGUUGAUAGUCAAACAACUAUAGCUCAUUGAUCAGCAUUGGCCUAAUUUUCAAUGAUAGAAGAACACAUUUUUUUUACUAGCCAUUGAUGUCUAUUUUCAUUGUUUUUGUGCUAUUAUUUUUUCUAUUUCAUUUUCAUAAAUGAAAUUUUUUUUAUCUGUAAAUUGGUUGGAAAUGAUUCAAAUUAGUUCUCUCCAAUUAAGCCAAAAAGUAUAUCAAUUCGAAAUGAGCCAAAAAACAAAGAGUUAUUAUCUGCCACGCCCUCCUCACGUAGCAAGUGACUAAAGAUUUUUAGAAUAACUAUUAUAGGAUCUUCUUUAAACUAACUCAGUUCGCUAAUUUGAUAGGUACUAUUUGAUACUUUCAAAGCCAUUUUUUAGCAAGGAAGGAUUGGGAAGGAAGAAAAAAGGGAGAUGGGAAAAAAAACCAUUAACCACUAGGCUAUCUAUCAGAUUGUUCUUCGCAGUUCAUAUCCUUCUUCUGUUCCUGCACUGUUUGUUAGUUUGAUACUUGAUGUUCAUUUCAUUUUCUUGAAAUUAAAUGAGUUCUUAUUUUUUCCACUUGUUCUUGGGAUGGUCACCACAAUGUUUGAGCAAGCUGACGGGAUUUUUUUUAUCAAUGCAAGUUUAAUUCCGAUUUUACACCCGUUGGACUGCAAGUAUACAGGUCGCAAUUGUAGUACAAGAUGUGUAUCGGGUCGAUCCCACGAGGAGCAAUUAAAACAAUUAUUAGAUACUAAUUUACUCUAUUAUUUAGACUUACAAUUAAUUUGAGCAGAAACUUCAGAUUUUAAUUCAACUACAAAAAUUUUUAAAUAGAUAAAUGCAAUUUCACAAUAGGAGUAGAAUUCACUAAAUAUUAAGAUCUAGGGAUGUAGAUUCCACUUAUGACUCAAAAGAUCUAAAAUGAAUUAAUUCAACACUUGUUACUGCUCUUGUUUAACCAAGGAUUCAUUUCCAGAAAUACCAAAAUCACAUUCUCAUGAUAAUAAUGGGUUAAAACAGAUUAGUUUUUCCUAAUCUCUUGGUAAAUACUAAAUCUGUUCUUAUUCACACAUGAAAUGCAGAUUUCAUCCACUUGAAUGUAUUUCUAUUCUCAUGAAUAUACUACUCAAGCUCUAUUUAUGUCAUUCCAUUAUUUUUACCAUUUCUCAAUGAGUAAAAACAACUAUAAACCUGCUAUUGGUGAUCAAGCAACAACAAGUAAUCCAACAUACACAAGUAGAUAAGUUAAUACAAGACAUAACAAGCAUAAAUCACAAUCACUUCAUAUCAUUUGGCCAUAAGCUUCAUCUACUCCCUAGAUAAAGGAAAUUAGCUACUCAUGAAUGAUGAAACACUCAUAACUUCAUUAAUGUAAAUCAUCAUGAAUUACAAAUACAAACAGAGUAAAGAAAGUCUUAGCCAAGAUAUGGUGAAACCUUCCAAAAAUCUCCUUUGUCUUGAACUUAGAUGAUUACAAGAUGAAACCUCAAUUGUCCUUUGCAAGUACCUAGCUAGAGAGACUAUGUUUUUCUGUCAGAAACUAAGCUACGAAUGGUCCUCAGAUCUCUCCCCAUAUCUCUGCAUAAAAAACACUCAAAUGCUCCAUUUUUCCAAGUCAAAUUCUAUCCUUUGAUUCCCAAAUCUCCACUUUGUUAGCAUAGUCAAAAACCAAUAUUUUUGACUUGAAAAUAAGCCACUUUUCUUGCCCUUUUGUCUUCUGAAGCAUGUGCACCGAAUUCCCUUGCAUCUUAUAGCUGGAAAGUGGUAUGAACACAAGAGAAUUGGCUGAGUCAAAUUGCAGAAUUUCGGCUAUAAAACGCGCCUACACAAAACGCGGUUACAAGUCACGUUUUGUGUACUCGCGUAUUCACUUUAGCCUUACUUCAUCUGCGAUUUUCCCUAUCAUAAAGGCCGAACUAGAUUUUGUGCAAAACACAAAAGUUGUAGCCCUUUGAGUUAGCUUUCCAAUGCUUCAAGAAUCAUCCAAAUCGGAGCUUUGUAGCCUGAGAUAUGAUCGAAAUACUGUCACCUGUUCAAACCUCUGUUUUAACUUCCGACCACAGGGUGCAGCUUCUGUAUUCCAACGUUUUGCCCAUGAAGAUGGCAGAAAUGGAUUUCGAUGUCUUCAUACGAAUUGUAGGUCUCUUUCUUAGCUUUAAAAUGGUAUAAAAAUCACCUCAAUCCGAUAAGUGUAGCUCCAGAUAUGGUCAAAAUACUGAAAAGUGUCAAAACUGACUUGUAUUGCAUUUCCUCACUUGAACGUUUUUCACUUCAUUCUUCUUGUUGCCACUUAAAUUCAUCACCAAAUCUCUAUUUUUCACCUCAAUUGACCUCCUUUGGUGAUUGAUUCAUUAUUCCUGCAUAAAAAUGAAGUUUUUACUAUUAAAAUCAAUAGAAAUGCAAUAUUAUCCACUUUUACCAAAAACCUCUUUAUUUUAAUUAUAAAACUAAAUAAUCAACUCAAAAUUAACUAAUAAAAUGCACUUAAAAAUACGUAAAAUAAACUCUUAUCAAAUACCCCCACACUUGAAUCAUUGCUUGUCCUCAAGCAAUAUAAAAUUCCAACCAUCAAUGAUCCAAAAAUUUAAAAUAAACAUAUGUAGUAUUUCAACUCCAUUUCCUUGAAUCAAGGUAAAUAACCCUUAUGUGAUCUUUCCAUUAAGUUCAAGUACUCAUAAUAUCAAGCAAAGAAGAGCCAAGUAUACCAUAAUUUUACCAAUUCAACUCAACUUCUUAUUUUUAUCUAAUUUCGCAAGCAAGCAACUCCUAUAGUCAAUAAAGAUGCUAACUAAUCUCAUGAUCAACUUCUUAUUUUUCUUAAAGAGGGAUUUAAUUUACUUCUUUUUUUUUUUUUUUUGAUAUUUUAAGGGUUAAAUAUUGCUUAAGUUGUGAAAAAUGCCUUUUGACGCGAAGAUCAACAUUUUUAGAUGCAGAUCCCCGGUUACUCAACAUUUCACAUACUCAAGUUGCUUUGCAUACUCUUAAUUCAAGUACCUUUUUACGCGAAUGUCGACAUUUGUAGAUGCCAACCCCCGGUUACUCGGUACGAGAAUCAUUGGAGUAGAAUAACCAUUUUUUUUUUUAUUUUUUUUAACAAUAUAUAAUAAAAUUCCCUCUAAGAGUAAUCAUGAGAAGAGUAUGACACUUAUUAACCAUAUUAAUUUCUUAUCUUAUAAAAUUAGAUAAAAAGAAGAAUUUUCAUCAAAUAUACAAAAUGUAGGCAUAAUUUUCUCCACUUUACUAGAUAUACUUUCCUAUAGAUGUAAAAAUUAUAAUCACAUAAAAAUCAUUUCCAAAUUUCAUGAGAAAAGAAUUAUCAAAACCGCAUAUAUUUAUUUCAAAAGGAUAAGUGACAAAAUUUUAUUUAUUUAUUAUAGUUAAUAACAUAUAUAUGUAUAAGGUUUUGGAAAAAUUUUGACAGAGUCUCCCCUUAAAAGUGGACUAAAUCUCCCUGCCAGCAACCACAAGAAACACCAUUUAAGCACAAGAAUUAUAUCAAACACAACUAAAAUCACAAGUACCACACAUUUCUUCCCCCACACUUAGAAUACACAUUGUCCUCAAUGUGUAGGGAAAGAAAAGAAAAGAAACAGAAGAAAGGAACAAGUGACUCCCCAAGUGAGAUGACUGCGGUCCAGUGAAGCCUUGAAUCAUGAGUCAUCGACCGCUCAACCAUCCACAGUCAACGAUCUACUAGUUACUGCCACAAGUUCCAAUAUUCAAAAUAAGGAAUGUAAGUUAACAUUUUUCAAACAAAAGAUAAAAAUAACAAGCAAACAAGCAAACAAAAGAAAAGCCAGCCAAAGGGGCAGCCUCAAUCAUCCCCUUCAUCGUCAUCUUCAUCAUCAUUGACAGGAGGUGGAUGUACGCCCAGAUGAUGUUCAAUGUGGUCUAGGCGAGUAUCCAGUCGGGCUAAAUGAUGGUCGAUGUCGUCCAAGCGACCGAAAAGCCGCUGCCAGUUGGUCUGUGGCGGAGGAGGAGGUGGUGCUGCAGUAGAUGGUCCAGCUCCAUCGCGACCAUGUCUAGCCUUUUGUCUCCGCUCCUGAACAGGGCGUGGAAUGUCUCCCGUGCCAAUACCAAGGCGGCGAAGAGUAGUGAUAGUCAUCUCAGCACGUGGUGGAACAUACUCCCGCCUCAUUCCUUCCAACUGAACCUCAAAACGGGGAAAGAUUAAAGUCAGUAGACGAGGAAAUGAUAGUUUGAAGGAAGUCGUCUUACGCCUCGCCGUAGACCGAAUGUGGCUAAUGAUGAUAUUAGGCAGCGAAAUACGAGCAUAUGGAGAUGUCCGGUUAUGGAACAUGUAAUCCAAGAAGUAGAUAUCGCUCUUGCGAACCUCCGUGUGCCCCGUCUUCUUUGGGAUGACAUUGUGAGCCAUCAUGUAAAUGAUAAGCCGAUGACGAGGUUCGAAGACAUUCGCCAAAAUGGUCUCCUUCCUUGUAGAGCGAAAGGGUUGGUACUCGAGACCAAACCUAGCCAUGGCCAAUGAUGGAUCCCACCUCCUAUUCGGGGGAACAAACUCCUUCUUCAAAUCUACUGGACGUCCAUCAUCCAUACACCCCAAAAUAGCAGCCAAAUCUUGCCGUGACAAGAUGAUUCGUCUUCCACGCACCCAGGACUCAACUAUUUCUCCACUAUGGCGCGCCUUACUUUCAAUGUUGGCGUAAAACUCGCGCACCAGGUCUGGGUAGUAAUGAUUUGGAAGGGUGAGAAUCGGAGCCCAUCCAAGUUGAGCAAAAGCGUCCGAGAUAUUAUACAUCAUUUCAACUGUCGGAUUCACGUGCAUCUCAAACAGGAAUUCCAAAUUAGCACGCGCCUCAUGCCACUCCUGAUUCCUGCGAGUGUUGAACCGAGCACUGUCAAAUACAGACAUUCCCGCUCCACGAGAAGUGCCCUCACCAGGUUGACGACUCACUGGCGGAGGAGAAGGUGAACUCUCCUCUUCAGAUACUUCCAUUUGUUCAUUUUCCUCCCUCUCCUCACUGCUAGAGGACGAGGUUAUUACACGUCUUCCCCUUGGCAUAGUACCUAUUGGAAAAUAUUGCAAUUAAACUCAUGUAAUUGGACACAAUUAAAAAUUUAGCCAUGAAUAUCCGAAAAUGAUCCAAAUAAUCUCUAAUUGAUUCCUUCAAGUGAUAACACGUCCAAUAACUAAUAUAUAGGACCAAAUAAGAGAACAAAAAUUUAUGCCCAAAAAUUACUCAAAAUCACCAAUUGAAACAAGAUAUGCAAUAAUUAUAACCCAAUCGGUGAAAUUAGCAACAAUUAUGAUUAUAACUAUUGAGAAUUAACAAUAAUAAUAUGCUUUUAGUUAUAAUCAUGCUUAGGCAAAAAUUAAGCCAAUGAACUCACCAAAUCAACCAAAUUACUCACUAUACACAAUGCACAUGCUUAAACAUCAUCAACUAACCCUUUUUAACCAUAAUUUAACAUCACCAAUGGCUCAAAAAUAUCCUAGUUCCUUUUUCCAAUUUCAUCUAAAUAUAGCAAUUGUGAAUUUUAAAGUACUUGAAAACCAAUAAAUUGCUACAUUUAAACAUUUAAACAUGCUUAAACAAUCAUAAUAAUCAUGAAUAAAAUCAAAAAUAGCCAUGAACCUCAUCAAAUUUUCGAAAUUAAAAGAUGUCAGAUAGCUCAGGAUAAAAAAUAUGAACUUCUAAAAUCAAAAGAUUUGAUGAAGAAACUUACCUCAAUCACGUAGAAGGAUGUUUGGUGAUGCUAAAAAUGCAAAAAGCCCUAUGAAACAACCUCCAAUUGACCUCCAAUUGAAGAAAUUAGAGUUUAAGAACCCUAACCUUCAAUCCCUCAAAAACCAGAUUUUAGGUGUUUUUCUUGGAUUUUAAUCGGUUAAAAAGGUUGUAUGAAGCUCAAAAGGUGUUGGGGUGAUGAUUUCUAGCAAGAUUAUGGAGUAUAAAUGAAAAUUUGUGAGUUGGGUAGAAGGAAGAGGGAAAAACGCGGCUGGAAAAAUUGGAGAAGUGAAGAAGAAAGGCUGAAAUCGCGUUUCUGAAGGCUAUAUUCAGAUACGGAAAACGCGACUAAAAACACGCCUUCAACUCGCGUUUUUGAAGUCGCGUUUCCUGCACAAAUCUUGCAGGAAUGAAAACGCGACUGUGAUGGAAAACGCGACUUCAAGUCGCGUUUCUUAAGUCGCGUUUUUGAGUCUUGAUCCAGGCUUGAAAACGCGACUUCCAUUAAAACGCGACUUUGGGUCGCGUUUUUAAGGCGCGUUUUCUUUUCUGCAGUUGCAGAAUUGAAAACGCGAUUCUGAGAAACGCGACUUGUAGUCGCGUUUUCUUUGAAAACGCGUUUUCUGCUUCGAUUUUUAGCAGAAUUUCAACUUUUGAAAAAUUACAAAAGGUACCCCAAUGACUCAAAAUGCAUCAUAGAUCAUUUGUUUGCCAAUUUUAAUGACUGGAACAAAUGUAAAACAUUAAAAACAUGCAUUUUACCCCUUUAUAAUGAAUCAAAAACACCUUUAACGCAAAUCGAGGGGUUGAGUUGUUUGAUCAAAGUUCGCCUUUUUUGUACUCAAUUGGUCAUCCUUGCCUUCAAUUGCCAACCCUACAUUACAAAAACAACUAUUUAGCUAAAACAUUGAUUCAAACCACAAAAUCACACCAAGUUAACAAAUAUAACCUAAAUAUUGGGUUGCCUCCCAAUUAGCGCUUUUGUUUAUAGUCGUUGGCUCGACUGAAAAAGUUGAAUCACUUUAGAGCAUUAGAGAGAGAUUUUCUCCCCAUGGGUCGAAACUCCCGAACCAAUCCACCAUGUGGUGAACCAUGCAUUGAUCUUCAUAGUCCAAUUUCCUCAAAUGCCAAGGAGGAAUAUUAGACUUGUCAUAGAGAGGCUCAACUUCACCUUGGAGUGGAUUUUGCUUGUCUUUUCUGAAUUGGCUCAACUUUUCACCAUUUUCUUCAUGGAAUGGAGAAUUUAUUAAGCCAACUUCCAUCCUUAUCUUCUCCUCCUUUGUUCCUACACCAUGAAAGUUAGUACCAAGGACAUUUAUAAAUUUAACUUCUUCGGUCCUUUCUUGGUUGACCUUUUCAUCAUAUGGCAUAUUAGAAACAAGAGCAGUAGGCUCUAUAUUCCCUUCUUUAUUUUCCAAAUUGAAUUCCAAUUCCUCACCAUUAACCCGUAAUAUAAGCUUACCUUUUUCUACAUCAAUUAUAGUUCGUGCAGUGGCUAAAAACGGUCGUCCUAGAAUAAUUGGCAUUCUCACAUCUUCUUCAAUAUCUAAGACAACAAAAUCCACAGGUAUUAUAGAUUGUCUUACCUUUAUGAGCACAUUUUCCAAAAUACCCGUGGGACGUGUGAUUGACCGAUCCGCCAAUUGCAAUGUAAUAUUGGUAGCUUUUAGCUCUUGAAGUCCCAAUCUCCGGGCAACCGAUAACGGCAUAAGUGACACACUUGCACCUAAAUCACAUAAAGCAUUAGAAAAAUGCAAUUGACCAAUAGUGCAAGGAAUAGAAAAGCUUCCCGGAUCUUUCAAUUUAGGAGGGAGUUUAUUCUUAAUCAAUGCACUACACUCUUCCGUUAAUGCUAUCAUCUCAUUAUCUACAAUUUUCCUCUUCUUUGACAUGAUGUCUUUCAAGAAACGUGCAUAAGAGGGAAUCUGUGUUAUAGCAUCAAUGAAAGGAAUGUUAAUGUGCAAUUGUUUAAACAUUUUGAAGAACUUUUCAAACUCCCGAUCCUGUCCAUCUUUCUUCAACCUGUGAGGAAAAGGUAUCACAUUAGAAUUUAAAUGAGAAUUUAAUUUGGGAUGAAGUGCAUCAAUAUCAAUGAUAACAUGAUCAUUUUGACUUUCUUGCUCCCCUUCAAUUGCUUGCUUCUUGUCUUUUUCACCACCUGAAUUUUCAAAAUCGAAUCCCUCAACCGUUUUACCGCUUCUAAGAAUGAUUGCAUUGACAUGCUCUCUCGGAUUCACUUCGGUUUUACUUGGUAAUUCACCAGGGUUUCUAUUGUUAAUCACAUUGGCAAUUUGACCAAUUUGAACCUCCACAUUCCUGUACAUUGUAGUGAGUUGAUCCAGUUUCCCUUCUACUCGUUCAAAUCUGUCCGAAGUCACCUUAGCAAGUUUUUCCACCGCGAUCUCCCAACUUGGUUUAGUUUCAGCCUGUGGUUGCCUUGGUUGAAAUCCCGGCGGAUUGGUUGGCCUUUGUUGAUUGCCUUGAUCUUUCCAUCCAAAGUUUGGAUGAUUUCUCCACCCCGGAUUGUAAGUAUUCGAGUAGGGAUUAUUUGGAGCAUUUCGGUUGUAAUUAUUGACAAAUUGUACCUGCUCAGAAUCAACACACUCAUUAAUAUCAUGUUCACCUCCACAGAAAGAACAACAAGCUACGUGAGCAUUAGAUGAACUUGGGCUAACUCCACCUUGUCUACUCAAUAACUUCAUCACGUUAUUCAUUUGGGCACUCAACAUAUUGAGAGUGUCCAUUUCGAUCAUACCUGCGUGACGUCUCGUAUUACCUCUUUCAUUGGCCCAUUGGUAGUUAUUUGCGGCCAUUUCUUCUAUCAAAUUUUGAGCUUCUUGGGGUGAUUUACCCAUUAAAGCUCCACCUGCGGCUGCAUCAAUAAUAGUUUUAGUGGAGAAAGAUAAACCAUUAUAAAAGGUUUGUAUAAUCAGCCAUUCGGGUAGUCCAUGGUGUGGACAUUUCCGUAACAAAUCUCUAAACCUUUCCCAUGCUUCAUAUAAUGAUUCUCCUUCCAUUUGACUAAAACCAGUGAUAUCCAUUCUUAGCUUAGCAGUCUUACCAGGUGGAAAAUACUUAUUCAAAAAUGCUCUUGAUAGUUCAUCCCAUCCAGUGAAAGUAUUAGGAGCAUGAGAGUGUAGCCAAAGUUUGGCCUUAUCUCUCAAUGAAAAUGGGAACAAUCUUAACCUUAUAGCAUCAUCACUAACUCCAUUCAUUUUAAUUGUAUCACAUAUUUCUAAGAAUGUAGCUAAGUGUGUAUUAGGAUCUUCUGCUGCAUUACCUCCAAAUUGAGACUGUUGAACCAUUUGGAUAAGUGAUGGUUUAAUCUCAAAGUUGUUAGCAUUUACCGUAGGCCUUGCUAUGCUCGUUUGAGAUCCUUGUGUUCCUGGUAGAGCAAAAUCUCGUAGAACUCGCCUAUUUGCUUCAUUUUCAGCCAUUUCUUCUUCAAAUGGUAGUUCUAUCAAAAUUUCCUCUAUAGGUUGCCAAAUCUCUUGUUCCUCUUGCUGUGGUGGAUGCCUCCUUUGUCUACGUAGUGUCCUCUCAAUUUCUGAAUCGAAAGGUGCGACUUCUCGAGACUCCCGGUGCAUACACUACAAACAGAAAUAAGGGAUAUUAUGCAACUUCAAUGGUAAAAAAAAACUGAUUACAAUAUAAAAUAAAGCUGUCUAAAUUAAUAAAGAUGAUUAGGCUCUAAUAUUGCCGCUCCCCGGCAACGGCGCCAAAAACUUGACGGGAUUUUUUUUAUCAAUGCAAGUUUAAUUCCGAUUUUACACCCGUUGGACUGCAAGUAUACAGGUCGUAAUUGUAGUACAAGAUGUGUAUCGGGUCGAUCCCACGAGGAGCAAUUAAAACAAUUAUUAGAUACUAAUUUACUCUAUUAUUUAGACUUACAAUUAAUUUGAGCAGAAAUUUCAGAAUGUAAUUCAACUACAAAAAUUCUUAACUAGAUAAAUGCAAUUUCACAAAAGGAAUAGAAUUCACUAAAUAUUAAGAUCUAGGGAUGUAGAUUCCACUUAUGAUUCAAAAGAUCUAAAAUGAAUUAAUUCAACACUUGUUACUGCUCUUGUUUAACCAAGAAUUCAUUUCCAGAAAUACCAAAAUCACAUUCUCAUGAUGAUAAUGGGUUAAAACAGAUUAGUUUUUCCUAAUCUCUUGGUAAAUACUAAAUCUGUUCUUAUUCACACAUGAAAUGCAGAUUUCAUCCACUUGAAUGUAUUUCUAUUCUCAUGAAUAUACUACUCAAGCUCUACUUAUGUCAUUCCAUUAUUUUUACCAUUUCUCAAUGAGUAAAAACAACUAUAAACCUGCUAUUGGUGAUCAAGCAACAAGUAAUCCAACAUACACAAGUAGAUAAGUUAAUACAAGACAUAACAAGCAUAAAUCACAAUCACUUCAUAUCAUUUGGCCAUAAGCUUCAUCUACUCCCUAGAUAAAGGAAAUUAGCUACUCAUGAAUGAUGAAACACUCAUAACUUCAUUAAUGCAAAUCAUCAUAAAUUUACAAAUACAAAAAAGUAAAGAAAGUCUUAGCCAAGAUAUGGUGAAGCCUUCCAAAAAUCUCCUUGUCUUGAACUUAGAUGAUUACAAGAUGAAACCUCAAUUGUCCCUUGCAAGUACCUAGCUAGAGAGACUAUGUUUUUCUGUCAGAAACUAAGCUACGAAUGGUGUUUUUUUUUAUCUCUCCCCAUAUCUCUGCAUAAAAAACACUCAAAUGCUCCAUUUUUCCAAGUCAAAUUCUAUCCUUUGAUUCCCAAAUCUCCACUUUGUUAGCAUAGUCAAAAACCAAUAUUUUUGACUUGAAAAUAAGCCACUUUUCUUGCCCUUUUGUCUUCUGAAGCAUGUGCACCGAAUUCCCUUGCAUCUUAUAGCUGGAAAGUGGUAUGAACACAAGAGAAUUGGCUGAGUCAAAUUGCAGAAUUUCGGCUAUAAAACGCGCCUACACAAAACGCGGUUACAAGUCACGUUUUGUGUACUCGCGUAUUCACUUUGGCCUUAUUUCAUCUGCGAUUUUCUCUAUCAUAAAGGCCGAACUAGCUUUUGUGCAAAACACAAAAGUUGUAGCCCUUUGAGUUAGCUUUCCAAUGCUUCAAGAAUCAUCCAAAUCGGAGCUUUGUAGCCUGAGAUAUGAUCGAAAUACUGUCACCUGUUCAAACCUCUGUUUUAACUUCCGACCACAGGGUGCAGCUUCUGUAUUCCAACGUUUUGCCCAUGAAGAUGGCAGAAAUGGAUUUCGAUGUCUUCAUACGAAUUGUAGGUCUCUUUCUUAGCUUUAAAAUGGUAUAAAAAUCACCUCAAUCCGAUAAGUGUAGCUCCAGAUAUGGUCAAAAUACUGAAAAGUGUCAAAACUGACUUGUAUUGCAUUUCCUCACUUGAACGUUUUUCACUUCAUUCUUCUUGUUGCCACUUAAAUUCAUCACCAAAUCUCUAUUUUUCACCUCAAUUGACCUCCUUUGGUGAUUGAUUCAUUAUUCCUGCAUAAAAAUGAAGUUUUUACUAUUAAAAUCAAUAGAAAUGCAAUAUUAUCCACUUUUACCAAAAAUAUAUAAUUUUACCAAAAACCUCUUUAUUUUAAUUAUAAAACUAAAUAAUCAACUCAAAAUUAACUAAUAAAAUGCACUUAAAAAUACGUAAAAUAAACUCUUAUCACAAGCUCUUCAAACUCUUCAAUCCCACGGUUGCUCGAGUAAUUGUGGAUUUCAUCAUGAGUGUGGAAUUGCUUCAUCCUGCAGUGUUUUAGUUUUUUUCUCUCAAAAACUAUACAUAAGAGUUUUACUUUUUCCAAUAAUAUUUUUCGGUGCAAAAGGCUGUCUAUCUACAAUUUCCAUCACCAAAGAAUAAGCUGUAAAAUUGGGAAUAGUCAUUGGAAUAGAUCUUGGAACUACCUAUUCAUGUGCUCAUAUUUACAAAAAUGGUCAUGUUGAAAUCACAGCAAAUGACCAAGGAAUCGUAUUAAGCCAUCAUGGAUUGCAUUUGCUGGUAGCGAAAGACUGAUUCGAUGUUAAUGUUGAAAGAACUAUCUUUGAUGUCAAGAGACUUAUUGGAUGAAAGUAAGGCACACUCGUGUAUUUAUCAUUUUUGCCGGAACAUUUUGGUGUGUAUACAUAUGCUCACUGAAGUCUUAACUGUUAUAUAACAGGAUUGAGACUAAUGAAGUUUAGACGUUCCUUGUAAGAUUGUGAACAAGGAUGGAAAACCUUAUAUCUAGGUGAAAAUUAAGGAUAGUAAGGUUAAAGUCUUCAGUCUUGAGGAAAUUAGUGUAAUGGUUUUAACUAAGAUGAAAGAAGCAGCUGAAGCUUUCCUUGCAAAGAAAAUUAAGGAUGUUGUGGUAACUGUUCCCGGUAUAGUUCAAUUUCUAGAGUUAUUCGUUGAAUCAUAUUUUACUUCAAUGAUGCCCAGAGGCAGGCAACAAAGAAUGCAGGUAUUAUUGCUGGGCUGAAUGUUGCUAGGACUAUCAAUGAACCCAGAGCAGCAGCAGUUGCCUGUCUAACUACGAAUUAAAAAAGUUUAUCUAACUACACUAAUUAACUGUUGAUUUUGCAAAAUAUUGAACAAUGAUUAAAGCAACCAAUUUCUUGUAUAAGUUUUAUUAGUUACAUUUCUUAUAAAAAGCUUUCAUAUGGUUCUAAUUGCUCUAUUUUAUUGUAGGCAAAGGCUUUCAUCAAAGGAUUAUAGAAUAUUUCAUCAAGUUGAUUAACAAGAAACAUGGAAAGAACAUCAGCAACCACAAUAGACCACUUGGAAAACUGAGGGAAGCUGAACGUGCCAAAAGAGCUUUAAGCAGCCAGCAGCAAGUUAGGACUCAUGCUUGAUUUGACGAGUUGAACAAUGACCUCUUUAGCAAAAACAUGGGACUUGUCAAGAAGGCUAUGGGGGAUGCUGGUUUGGAGAACCACCAGAUGCAUGAAAUUGUUCCUGUUAGUGGGGCUACCAGGAUCCCAAAAGUCCAAUAACUUCUCAAGGACUACUUUGAUGGAAAGGAACCCAACAAGAGUGUAAAACCAGGUGAAGCAGUGGCUUAUGGGGGUGGUGUUCCAGGAGGUAUUCUAAGCCGGAAAGGUGGUGAUGAAAGCAAAGGUACUUUUUAAAAUUUUUAAUGGACAUGUAAAACUUGAUAUUUUGCAAACUUAAGAUGCAACUUGAUUGUCUCAAGAAAGUUGAAACUGUUGGUAUUGAAACUGUUGCUGUGGUAAUGACCAAGUGAUUGGUACUUGUGAAUUUAUUUUGCUGCUUCAUAAUUUAUAAAUUCAUUCCUUGUGAACCCAGAACAAAAAAAAAAUUUGCAUGUGACCAAGUUGUAGCAAUAUCUUGCUACUUCCAUUAACUGUUACUGCAGUAAUGACCAAGUGAUUGGUACUUGUGAAUUUAUUUCAUUGUCAUCUGAGUUGUUGUUACAUGUUAAUGGAAUGUAUUUGAAUGUCAAAGGAGCCUCUUUCUUUUGAAUCAUCUAUACUAAAUUACUGCUGUAUAUGUAAAUAUCAUGCUUUCCUUUUUCUUGUGAAUCAUCAUUACUGCAUUGGCUGUAUCCUUUGUAUUAGUACAUGACUACUCUUUGAACUAAUAUAUUUUUGACUAAUACUCCUUUUCACUCCCAGCCCAAGUUCACGAUACACACCACAUCACUCUUUUCAUCAUCUAAAAUAUUAAAAAUAUUACAAUAACAAAUACAACCUUACUAACAGGUCUAAAGUUCCCACGCCUUGCGUGGGAAGCAAUCACCUAGUUUUAAUAUAUAAACAACCAAAAGCAUAAACAUUAAACAAUAAUUACUGUGGGAGUCCAAUUUAAUUGUUCAAUAAGUUGAGCUAUUUAAAGAAGAAGAAAGAAAAUUAAAAAAAACUGUUUUAGAGAGCUCUUUAGUUGAGCUUAUGCAGUGUUGUAUUUGUAUAGAUUGGACUGUGAUUUCUAACUUCUUGCUGGUGUUGUAAUAUGUGGGCCCAAAUUAUAUGAGCUUCUUAAUGAAUUGUAAUUUUUGUCUUAAUAAUCUAAGUCUCAUUACUUGUUCUUUAUUAUUGUACUCCUCCCCUUACCUACUUCUUUUACUCUUUUAUGACAGAUAAAUGCUAUUCAUACUAGCUUUUGGAAGAUAUCUAUGGUUAUGGUUGAAGAAUGUUGAAGACAAAAUUGCCUUUUACUCAUGGAGUGGUUCAUUUAGAUGUUCUUCAAUUUCUUAAACUGUGAUUGCUUUUGUAAAUGUACCUUAUGUACAAGUGAUAUUUUGGACAAAUGUUAUUUUUGUAGGCAUUAGUUGGGCAAUGUACACUUGAAUUUGGCAUUUGAGAAUGCUAUAUUAUUACCAUGUAAUCUAAUGCAAAUACUUUUGGUUAUCAAUCGUUUAUGUUUAUUUGUAUGGUUUGUUCAAAAUCAAUGAUUUAGCAAUGAUUACAGGCCAAAUUAUGACUAUUAAGCUAUUAUGAAAUUAUCUAAUGACAAAAAAAAGUUGUCACAAAAUAGAAAAUAAAAACUCCUUGUCACAACAGAGACUGUCACUAAAUCUAAGUUACAUUUGUGACGACAAUUGUUGUCAGUAAAAUAGUUAUAUACAAUGGCUUUCGGUGCUUUUUAGUGACGACUUUAAGUAGAGCAUUUUUGACAAAAGGUCAAUUCGUCAAUAAAACACUUCCAGAUUGUCGUCACUAAUGACAACUAUUUAGUGACGACCAAAUAGUUGUCACUAAAUAGUUGUCAUUAGUGACGACAAUCUGGAAGUGUUUUAUUGACGAAUUGAUCUUUUGUAAAAAAUGCUCUACUUAAAGUCGUCACUAAUGAGAACUAUUUAGUGACGACAUUUUAGGUCGUCACUGUUUACUUUUAUCGACGGGGAUUUAGUGACGACUUUGUGACGAUCAAAAAGUCGUCAAUAAAAGGUAUUUGUGACGAUAUUUGUAUGUUCUGUGAUGACUUUGUGUUGUCACUGAUGAACAAUUUUCUUGUAGUGUAUACCAAGUUGGGAUAGUUUGGGUGGCCACAUGGCAUACAUGCAAUGCAUAGCCCUGAAGUCAAAUUUUAUUCUUAUCUGAAUAAAUCUUACCUUUAAUGAACUAGAUACGUAGCAAUCUAUCAUUAGCCAAGCUAGAUCACCAUUAUUUCCUCGAUGCCUGAAUCGACAUUCCAACCACCACUUCGCUAAGAAAUUGUGUCCACCAAUCAUGUCAUCCCUAGAAAUUCAUAAUCCUUUUCAAAUUUUACAUGCAACUACCUUUAUUGAAUUUUCAAAAGUCCAGAAAAGUCCAUAUUCUUCCCCCAUCUUCGUUCUAUAAAUAGAAGACUUCUCAUAUCUAUUUUACUCUUUUUUGCUUCCAAUAUUCUUCUUCCAGUUUUAGGUUUUCAAUUUCGAAAAACCAUCUAUCUAGGAAAUUUUGUCUUUUCUCCUCCAGUGAAUACUCCCUUCUAUAAUUUUUUUAGGCAAUCUUAUUUCUGCAUCUUAAUCAGUAAGUCUCUCUUCCGAUUUAUUUAUCGCUGAUCACUCCAAUAUCUCUAUAUCUUUAUUGAAGCAUAGGUAGAUUCCUGUGAUUAUUAGAGUAGAAAUCGUUUCUUCUUCUUCCUCUUCUUCAUCGUCGCCCUUUUCUUCAUUUGGUCAAAAUUUUGGUCCUAAGUAUCUCCCAGAACUAUUGGAACCCAUAGAAGUUAUGAGUUCUCAUACUUCUUCUAGAACCCCAUCUACUAACCUUCGAGUAGAUCCUGUAGAGCAGGCUAACCCUUCCGAGUAGCUCCCUAUUGUAUAACAUGCUUCUUCAGAAAAGUUUGGUACCAAGUAAGGAGAAGGUGAGGUCAGUGUUAGUGACCAAUGUCACCACCCAUAUGCUCAGGUUUACCUACCUGACCAUGGCUUCAGUGACUUUAGCUACAUCCCCAAUUUCUCCUUUACUCUUUCUCAAGGGGACAUGGACGAGUUAGCUACCACUUAUUCCAUCUCAGAAUCCUUUGAAGCCCAAGCAGCUAGCCUUAACAAAAGGGUCAAUUGACUUUCUCCUAACUAUGUUGCCAUUUAUAGGGAACAGGUUCUCUCGGGUAUAAGACUUCCUACUUCUAUGGCCCUUUUCAACAUCUUGGCCUACAAGAGGAUUAGGAUUAUUUUACUUUAACUCCAUUAAAACCACUAUAGGCUUCCUAAUCUACUGUAGUCUUUGUGUAAUUUCUUAUUCUCUUUCCUUAUUCUGAGCAUACCAUAUGCGUAAGACUUCUCAGCUUGGGUGGUUCUACUUUGCUAGGCGUUCCUCUAGUAAAGAUAGUAAGGGCACCCGUGAUAUUUCAAUUGAGUUCUUUAUUUCAUUAAAAGGUGAAAGAAUGAAUUCUUUUUUGUAAAAAUCGACUUCUCUCCUCCUAAUUUUUGGAAGGUAGGGGAAGUCAAAACUGAUCCAUAUCAUGUCGAUCUAGACAUGGAUGCCUUUUGACUUACUCUUGAGACCUAUAGCCAAAUUACUUACCAAGAAUUUCUCCUCUAGUCAAAUUGCAACAGUCGGACUAGUCAAUCCUCUAUCCAGUGACUAGGAUUGGGAUUUACACUAAGAGGAAUACAAGAAUUGUAAUUUUUCCUUUCUCUUCCUUCCUCUCUCUCUCUUUACGUAGAGCUCUAACCCUUAUUUUUCUUCUUUAUAGUGAGAUAAUUCUCUCAACUCUUAUCCUUUGAGACUUCUGCUCAACUCUUCAGAGGCUAGUAGUAGGGUGGUUCUCUUACUCAAUAGGUCAGCUCUCCUCCUACCUAGACCCCUACGGACACCAAGCAAAGUAAAGGGGCAAAUUAAGGGCAAAAAGGCGGCACCUAAGAGGGAUCGUUGUGCGAAGUUCUGAUGCAAGGGAGACAGUCCAUUGUGGGCUUAAUUCGGCUGAGCAGCAGGCAGACCAUGUAUCACCACUAUUAACAUGGAAUUUCAGAUAUGCAGUGCCACUGAAACCUAGCCAAUAUCACACUAUCCAUGACCCCUAUUACUUUUAUUCAUAAUAGGGUCUUUUCAUCAAUGAUCAAGCUCAGUAUCCAUAUGUUGUCCACGAGUUGACCCGCAGUUCACUGUUGCCAAGGGAUAAGAGAUUCAUGGAGUUGGCUUCCAACUUCAAGUUGUUAGACGUCUUUUAUUCUUUCUAAGCUCAGGUAGGAAGCCAAAGCCUUUGAACCUCAUCUUUUUUUUUUAAGCAAGUUUCCCUUUAAGAAGAGUGUUUUCUUUUUUUACUAAUUUAAUCACCAUGUUUCUCUUCUAAGGAAAAUGAAUCAGGUAUGGAGGUGGCCUACCACUUUGAAAAGCUAAUGCUUGAUCUAGAGAAGGCAACCAAGAGGAAUCAGACCCUUGAAAAGUAGCUCAACACUGCAUAAAAAGAGCUUGAUUCUCUUUAGGCUCAGCUCCAGAAAGCACAGGAUUGGCUACUUAAGUUGCCUUGCUUCAAAUUAGCUUGCAAGAGAUUCAAAAGAGUCAUGCCAAACUAGAAGGGAAACACAAUGUCAAGUUGAUUAAGUCUUUCCAAAAAGGGGAGAGUAAAGCCGUCAGAGAGUUCAUUUGCUCCCCCAAAUUUGAGGAAAACUUAGUCACACUCAGUAGACCAACCUUCCAGUAUGGCUAUUCUAGCGCUUUACCUAAAGUCGAGGCAAUGAACCUCCUUGGAAUCAACUUGUCAAAAUUUUUGGUUUACGAUAUCAAGGCUAAUAAACAGAUCAACAAGUUGGUUGAUGGUUACAUCAAAAGCUACAAACUGGAGGAGGUUAUUGCCAACCUUGAGCUAGAGCUAGUUGAGCAACCGGAGCAUAAUUCAGAGAAAUAAGCUGACCAGGACAGCACUAUCUCCAAGAAAGAGAUUACUAACAACGCUAAUAACAAACAAACUAUAGUCUAGGGCCUUCUUCCUUUGUACUCAACAGUUUUUUGUAUAAAAUAUUUCACAUUUUAAUGAAAAUCUUUCAAUGAAUUCCUCACAUUGCUGUCUUCUUUCAAUGAAUUCCUCAUAUUGCUAGCUUUUUUCAAUGAAUUUGUCAUAUUUUUGUAAUAUGUCUUGAUAUAUCUUGCCCCCUAAUGUACUUAGAAAAUUUUUUAAAGUAUACUAAGUUAAAAGCAUAGCGUCACCUAUUUAUUGGAUAAUUAAAAAUUAUCCAAUUUAAAUGACGAGUGUUCAAAUACAAUAAGAAUUUAGGCCAAAAAAAUAUUUUUAUUUCAAACACAUAGAAAGUACAAAAUCAAAGUUCCGAUUACUUAUUACUGGAUAAAGAGUUUCAAAUUAGUUGUGUGCCAGGGGUGCGGGAUCUCUUCUCUACUGAGAUGAGAUAGUUUAUAAUAUCCAACUUGUCUAGCCUCUAUAAUUGUGUACGGACCAUCCUAAUUAAGAUCUAAUUUAUUAGUUGCAUGUGCGUGGCUAAUUAAAUUUUUUUCUUAGGACAAGACCUCUUACCUUAAAUCUCCUUUGCAGAACUUUAAUGCUAUAGUACUGAGCUACUUGUUCUUUAUAUUUUGCCAUUCUUAUUGUGGCUUACUCCCUCUUUUUGCUCUAUCAUAUCCAAGUUAUAUUUUAUUUCUUUAUUAUUGACUUCUGAAAUAAAAUUCUGAGUCCUAGAUAAGGGGACACCCACUUUUGUUGGUAUAACUGGUCUUACCCCGAAAGUCUGUGCAAAUGGAGUUCCCUGAGUUGUUGUCCUUUGAGUAGUUGUUUGAUAGGCCCAUAGGAUGUUAGGCAAUUCAUCCAAUCAUUCCGAUUGUACUUGCUUCAUCUUGGUUUUCAACUUGUGCAAAACCGCCAUAUUCAUAUUUUUCACCUGCCCAUUAACUUACGGAUGUUCUACUAAAGUGAAAUGCUAUUUUACUUUCAACUCUUCAUACCACUUCUUAAAGGGAUUUUUCACAAACUACUUUCCAUUAUCCGAUAUCAGUACAUAUGGUAUCCUAAAGCGACACAUGUGAGAACUCGAGAAUUUAUAGUUAUACCUUGAAUUUAUUUUUUUAUUUUGUUUUUAGAAAUAAUACAUAUAUUAUACAAUUGAUUAAAUUAAGUGUUUAAUUGAUUUCUUAUAAAUUGAAAAUAAAAAAAAUCCCAGAAUGGUGUAGAAAAAAUUCUUAUAGGGGUAUGUAAAUUGGAACAAACUAAAGUUUGGGGCAAUAUUUGAAGUUGAUAGAAUAACAAAUUCUUAACUAGUAAAUAAACCAAAGCUAAAAGACCAAUUUAACCCUAAAACUUCAGCAAUCAACCGUGUAACCAAGAGGACCACCUUCUGGAAUAGAACCGAAAGAAAAAUGAUAGGUUCUGCCAAUGCAUUUGGGCGGUGAAUUGAGAUAGCUGCCAGGAAGGAAAUGUUACUAAGCCAGCUGAGUAAGCAAUAACCAAAUAGAGAGCAGCUUAAAAGAAACAAAAACUGGGCGGUGGCCGAAAGGAAACAAUCUAAUCUCCUUAAUCAAUAAGGCCGAGAGAGUUGAGAAGAAAAGUUGUCUUCCUUUCUUGCUUCUUCCUAAAGCAGACUCGAGUGAGUGAGAUGGAGUGUGAGGGAAAAGAAAGUGUAAGCUUCACCAACAGCUAACUAUGCGAACGAAAACAGAAGGGAGGUCGAGUGAGGAGUUGUGAUAGCAAACUUGAGCAGCCUGCAACAUCGAACUUUAAGGGAACAGGUAAGAGCUAUAACCACUCUCUGUUUAGUUGAUUUAAUCCAUUAAACAUAAGCCUUAUACGUUGAAUUUAGCUAGAGGCUUAGUUCUGGUUCAAGAAAAUGUUAUGCAGAAUUUGUAACUAAGAGCAGAAAUGAGGUAUGGUUUUGUUUAGUUCUUGAAUUUAGUCUAACAUUUGUUAAGGACAACCUGUAACCGAAGAGAUGUUCCCUGCAUGCUAACUGGAACCUGAGAUUGAAGGGGGAUCCUAAGGAACUAACAAAUGAUACCUUGUUGCUAUACGCAUGUGAAAGCAUUCAAAUCUGAUGCAUGCUGCAAUGCACCAGAUUUGCAGCUAGCUGCAGAAACGAAGCAGAACUCAGUCUUUUUUCCUUUGAACCCUGGUCAUGAACGACCUUGUUUAGCUUAGAGUAACCCGCAGUAGGUUAAGUGUCCUCUGCAUAAAUGAUUGAGACCAAAACUCAGGAAGCUUAACUAGUUGAUGCAACCUGCUGUGAAUCCGAGAGGGAGGAAAUUAACCUUGGAAAGAAAAGCUGCAAACCCUUAAACUUCUAAACUAACUUACAGAGUUGAACCUGUUAUAAUGCCUCUAAAUCUCCACCAGAAAGACAGAAAUGAGUAGGAACUAAACUGAUUGUUGAAGGCAGAAUAAGUUUAGUGAUGGCAGGUAACUUGUCCGAGAGAAUGAAGCAGAAUGUGCUUCUGAUCGGCUAUUUUUUACCCUGAAAAUGUGAGAACUGGGUGUCGAUGCCACCAUAAGAAAUGUAGGUUCAUGUCUUAGUUUCGAAACAUUAUAAAAUUUACCUCAAUCCGAUAAGUAUAGCUCCAGUUAUGAUCAAAACACCAGAGGUUGGCAAAGCUGCCUUUCUCGUUGCCUUUCUCUUGUUUUUCCGAAUGCAUUCUACUUGAUGCUGGCCGUGAAGAAACUUAUUUUUUUAACAGCAUUUCAUCUAAUUCCCAACCCUGUAAGCAUUCAUAAAUGAUAGUUAAGGUUGCUCUGAGAUUUAACGACUAUAUCUAGUUCACGAGUAGAGUUAAAUUAAAGCAAAUGAGAGGAAAACUCAUGAUAGUUAUAUACCUAAAUUGGCUUCUAAUCACUUAAUAUUGUCUUUACAAAUAUGUUAAAAACUAUAAAAUUUGAGGGACGAGUGUAGUGGAAUAAAAUUUAAUUUACAAAUAACUUGGAGUUUAACUAAUUUAAAAAGGGGACCAAUGGAAUAUUCCUAAGCUUUAAACUUAGAAUCUUGAGUAGAAAAUGAUUAAUCCUAAUGUAAACAUUUUAUAAAUUAUUAACUUGAAAAGUAUGUAUAAUUCGUGAUUUAAGAUAAUAAAGUCAAUAAGUCUCGAAAUAAAUUGGGGAAUAAAUAUUGCGUAUAUUUUAUAUUUUAAAGUCAAACCUAAUUCGAAUAAUUUAAGUAAUAAGUGAACAUAUACAAAUUAUAAAUUUAUCAUGAAAUUAUAUAUUUAUCUCAGGAAGUAGCUGUGAGCCAGGAAACAAACCCGAGACUCGAGAGUAAAUUAUUUGGAUAAUUGGUGAGUGUUUUCCGAAUUUAUGUGUUUAACUGUUUAUGUGUAUCUAAGUGAAAUUAUGUGACAAAUGUGCUUAUCAUGAAUUAUUACUAAAUGAUUCCUUGUGAAGUGUAUCUCAAUUGUCCCUCACCUUCUAAGUCGAGAGUGUACUUUAUCACACUCGGCUUAGUUGAGUUUGAGGUCAAUAAUUGGCUGAAUGUUAUUGUAAGUGUGCAUGAAUGUAAGUCGUAUAUGUGCCUCACCGCAUCGGCUGAACUGGGCCCCAAAACUCUCUGUUCAACGGACUAUUCGGGCCAGCAAAGGGCUUGGUUGGGUAGGACCGUAGUUUUGAGUAAAUGUUUCGGUAUACUCGAGUAUUACCAUGAGGUUGGGAGUUAUUGAACUAAUUAUUGAAUAUAGGGGAUUGUUUGUUGUAUUGGAGGACAUAAGGAGGUGAAUCAGCGGAAUGUGCAAUGAUAUUGAAAUGAAUGUACAAUGAUGGUGAAAUAAGUGUCUCUUGAUACUGAAAUGAAUGCUCAAUGACCUUGAAGUGGCUCUAAUGCGAGCACCGUAUCCUGUUGAAAGUGAUUGUUUAGUGAAGUGUUUUUUCGAUUGCUUAAUGAAAGUGAUUGUAUAAUAAAAUGUGCACUACUUGCUUAAUUGUACUGAUUUAAGUGUUUAUUAAAUGUUGCCUACUAGGCAAACCUCACUGAGGUUUAGCUCAACCCUUUAGUUUUGUUUUCCUUAUAGGAGCUGGUGGUAGGGGAACGAACGAGGGAUCUUAGGGAGUUAACGUGAAGAUUUUUGUGAUUGUAAAUCCUUUAGUUUCAUAUUAUGGUUGAAACUUUUGUAUUGAACUUGGUAUUGUAAAAGAUUUGAGCGUUUGGUUUUGGUUAUCAAAAUGUUAUUUCUGAAGUUAAUGUAAGUGAGUGCGCCCUGGCGAGAGCCAGGCAGGCGAUCCGCUAACUUUUAGGGUAUGCCCUAGAAGAAGGUGAGGCCGUCACAACACAUGAUAUUCUUUCAAAAAAAAUUUGAAUUGUUCUCCCUGUUAUAGAACUCAAGGGUUUGGUCUCUAUCCAAUUAGUAAAAUAAUUUAUGGUUACCACCAAGUAUUCAUAAUCUCAAGAGCUCUAGGAAAGGAUCUAAGUAGAUCUAUUCUCUAUGGAGCAAAAGGCCAACAGCUUUGAAUAAGGAUUAUAUCCUAAGUAGGCUAAUGAUGAAUUGAUGUAUGUAUUUGGUAAGCUCUUCAUUUCAACACCAGUUCAGAAGCAUCUUUGAAGAUUGUGGGCCUAUAAUAACCCAUUAGCAUACAUUUCUUUGCUAACAUUCUUGACCCAAUGCGAUUUUCACAUAUCCCUUCAUAAUUUUCUUGGAGUACAUGCAUAAUCUCCUUCUUUUGGGGUGAUACACCUUAAUUGUGAAAAUAAAUAAGACUUCCUAUAAAGAGUUUCUCGAAAGCAGACAUACCUAGUAGUUCGGAGUUUUAUUUAUAUGCUUUCUACUUAUUUCUGGUAGCAUUCUCGAGUUGAGGUAUUCAAUUAUGGGUGACAACCAUGAAUCCGAGUUAUAAAUCGCUUGAACCUCUUGCUAUUCAAAACUAUGCUAUUUGACCACUUUUACUAAGAUUUCUUUAUUGAGAUGUAUAGAGGAUGAAAAAGUUAAUUUAGAUAGAGCAUUUGCCCUCUUGUUCUAGGAACGCAGAAUUUGCUCCAUCUCUACUUUCUCAAACAUCAUUACCAUUUUCCAAACUCUUGCCGGGUACUUCUUGAUCAGAUCUUCCUUAGCCUCAUAGUUCCCUUUUACUUGAUUGACUAUGAGUUGAGAAUCACCAUGAAUCUUUAAGGAAAUCACUCCUACUUGCCAAACUAACUUCAUUCCAAGCAUUAAUGCCUCAUACCCUACUUCAUUAUUGGAUGCUUUAAAGUCAAACCUUAAAGCAUAUAUCAGCUCUUCUCCUGUUGGACUGAUCAACAGUAGCCCUGCUUUACAUCAUUUCUUACUAGAGGACUCAUCCAUGAAUAAAAUUCAUGCUGAUCUAGUUUUAUCCAAGCCAUUUACUUCAAUUUGAGAUAUAACUACUCCUUCAGUUAUGAAAUCGGCUAAAACUAGUGCUUUUAUCGCUGUUCUUAACUUAUAAGAGAUAUCAUGCUUAGCUAAUUCAAUAGCCCAUUUUGUCAUCCUUCCUGAUACCUUUGAUUUUGUGAGUAUUUGCUUAAGUGGUUGAUCUGUUAUGACUAUUAUACUGUGAGAUUGAAAAUAAGGUUUGAGUUUUUUAGUUGCAUGAACAAGAUCCAAGACAAGCUUAUCUACGGAUAUGUAUACCACAUCUUGACUCCAUGAAAUGUUGUAUAACAUAAUAUACUGGUUUUUGAAUACCUUGACUUUCUUGAACUAAGACAACAUUGGUGGCUUCUUUGCACAAAUAUAAGUAGACGAGCAGGAUUUCUCCCUGUUUUAGUGAGAUAAGAGUGGGCAGGUCAACCAAAUACCUUUUCAGCACUUCAAAGGCCUUCUGGCUGUCCUUAAUCCAUUCAAAAUUGAUACUUAUUUUGAGUAUUUUGAAGAAGGGAAGCUUUUUGGUAUUCAUAAUUGAUACCUAGAUAGAGACUAUUCAAUGCUACCAUCCUUCCCAUGCACUUCUUUGACAUUUUUUGAAAGAGUCAUUUUGAUGAUAGCAUUGAGUUUAUUCGAAUUAACUCAUAUUCCAUCUUUGGAUACCAUGUAUCCUAGGAAUUUUCUAGACUUCACCGCAAAUAUACAGUUUUUUGGGAUUAAAUGCAUCCUGCUAUCAUGCAAGAUCUCAAAAACAUUCCUUAAGUCAGGAAUGAGCUGUUAAGUAGUUCAACUCUUUACGAAUAUAUCGCCUACAUAGACCUCCAUGUUCUUGAUGAUCUGCUUUUGAAACAACUUGUUUACUAGCCUUUGUAGGUAGAUCCAACAUUUUUUAAUCUAAACAGCUAUAACAAUAUAUACCUCCUUCUUUAAUAAAAGAGGUCUUUUCCUUAUCGCUUUUCUUCAUUUCUAUCUGGUGAUAGCUCUUAAAAGUAUUCAGAAAAAUAAUAUCACAUCCAAUAAUAUAAUCUACUGGCCUGUCCACCUGAGAAAGUGGGUAACAAUUCUUUAGAAAUGCCUUAUCCAGAUUGGUGAAGUCUACACACAUUCUCUAGGAUUUGUCUUCUUUUUUCACCAAUACUGGAUUAGCUAGCCAGUUCGGAUAGCAUACCUCAGUUAUGAUCCGAGAUUCUAAAAGUUUUUCCACCUCCUAAUUAAUGAUCUCAUUUCUUUCCAAGGCAAAAUUUUGCUUCUUCAACUUUACUGGUUUAGCACUUAGGUCUGCAUUUGGUUUAUGGACAACCAGCUCUACUAGUAUUCCCUAAACAGCUCCUUCAACUAUUCCUUCUCACGCUAGAGUAGAGAAAACCCAAUUUUAAUCACCUGAACUUGUAUUUUCUCUUCCACUACAACAAAAAUGGCUUUUCUUGACACAUGUAUAAGGACACUUGUUGGUUUGUAUCAUUAUAGCACUUCUAUCAUGACAUUUGUUAUCAAAUCAAUAAUAUAUACUUUAAUUUUUUUUUAUUUUAUCUGAUAUAAAAAUAAUAAUGUGUCUUUAGAUUUCCUAUCAUGACACUUGAGAAAAUGUGAGAUACACCAAAAAAAUUAAAACAUAAAACGAUGUCGUUUGAUUUUGGCGGAAGAUUCCUUUGCCAAAACACUUAUAGUGAAAUCUCAAAAUUUCAUUUUGCCGGCCAGCAAAAUUUUGGCUCUUCUCAUCUCUCUCGGCAAACUAUCUCUCAAAGCUCUCUGCCAAAAUUUUCCUUUCCCCACAAAGUUUUUUCUGCUGAAUCUCUCCGCAAUCAAACUACUUUUGCUUCCCUAUUGAAGGUAUGUAAUUGCAUGGUUACUUUUUGCCCUAAAUUGUACAAUUUUCUGAUUUCCUGCUCCUGCUCUGUAAACCAACUGAUGUGAAAAUAAUUAACUCCUGUAAGCUGCAAUAAGAUUCUGUGGUAUGCUAGUUCAAGUUCGAUACUGAUUUUUCUUCUAAAAGUUGCUUCAUUCUCAAUCUUGUUUUCAUGAUUUUCUGUUUCGGCUGACAGGUAAGAACUAUAUAUUAGUUGGCAUGGUUCACAAGCCCAAUUAAUUAUAAUAGAUGCAGAGCUAAUCAAAGAAUUACUAACCAACAGAGAAGGCGCUUACCAGAAAAUGGAUAUGGAAGGCAUUGCAAAGAAAUUAUCAAAUUAAUAGGUGAGCCGCUUAUAACAAAUGAGGGUAAAAAAUGGGCAAAAGUACACAAACUGGCUAACCACUCAUUCCUUGCAGAGAGCCUAAAGGUAAGCCUUCUUCUAUGUUAAUCACAUCACGAGUCAAGAAUAAGAAAGUUCGUUGUCCCAUAUAUGAAAAUGGGAAGUGAAUUUGGCAUAUAAUAUUGCUCGAGUAAUUCCCUAUACAUGAUUUGCUUCUCAUAAGAAUAACCUUUUGCAUAGAGCAAGGUACCAGAAAUGAUUGCUAGUGUCGAGGCGUUGCUGGAAAGCAAAGGUAUCAGCCCUCGUCUUAUGCCAAAAAAUCUCCUCUUGCCCCCUGCCCUGUACCCCGGCUUCUCCCACAUAAGUGACCACUACCCUUUAUACUGGAUUUGUUGUCCAUAACCUGUUCGAUAAAAUGUCAACCUUCUUUCCUUUGGUACUGAUAUUAAUUUACUCAAUAAUAUAUAAACUAAUAGAAUUAUUGUAAUUAAGAUGCUUUAUCCUCUUUCAUAUCUGUGAGCGCAUUUGAUGUGUUUCUGUUGCUUUGACAUAUGCUUGUUUAUUGCUGAUCUCUUUCUUCAGUCUGUAAUUAAGAAGAAGUAUGGCCAAGAUGCAACAAAUGUUGGUGAUGAGGGUGACAUUGCUCUAAUAUCCAGGUUAGUUCAUGGCAUUUUGCUAAUAUGCUUCCUGUUCAUUGUUCAAUUCGGUUGUCAUAUAUUUUACAACUUUGUGACUUUGACAUUUCAGGAGAACAAGGAAGGUCUUGAAUUGCUUAAAACAGCUAUUGCUAAAGCUGGUUACACUGGUAAAGUAAGUAUUGGAAUGGAUGUUUAUACUGGUUACACUGUUCUUGAAUGCUAUGGGUAUAUGUUUUGCUGGUGAAAAUGGAGCAGAUGUCAAAGGCGGAUGUUUGUAUGGAAGCAGGCUGCAUCCAAGCUUAGGGGUGUACAAGUUUUUACUUACACAGAGCUUGAGAUUGCAACAAACAAAUUUAGUGCAGCAAAUGUGAUAGGAAAUGGAGGGUAUGGGGUAGUGUAUAGAGGGAUUUUGAGUGAUGGCACUGUGGCUGCAAUUAAGAUGUUGCACAGAGAAGGGAAACAAUGAGGAACGUGCCUUUCGGUUAGAGGUUAGUGGACUUCAUUUAUUGCUAGUUUUCAUAUUAUCCAAUUUUUUAAGCUACAUAAGCUUGUCAAUUAAACUCAUCUGUACACUCAAUUGAAGAUUUUUUUUUUGUUUUUUGGUAUUUUCCCCUCUUUGGCUAAAUACAUUGGGGAAUAAAGGGAAGUGGUGAGUGAGAAUGGAAGUGAGAUAUUUGCCUAAAAAAUUAAUGGUACUUCUGGCAUUGGUCCAGCCAUUGCUUUCUUGAACAUCCUAAUUGAACUUAUUUGAUGGGUGCUUGUCUGUGGUAUGGUUUAUUUCAACAAGUCUGUAUUGAAAUCAGUUUGAAGAGUUUGAAAUUGCUGCAGGUUGUGAUUGGGAUGGAUGUGGCUGCUUCUGAGUUUUAUGGUAAAGACAAGACUUAUGAUCUAAACUUCAAAGAAGAGGUAUUGCUUUUUCACAUUUUCUCCCCAGAUUGUUAUGUCAAACGUUCGAAUUCAUUGCUAAGCCAAAGGAUAAAAUUACAUCUAGAUUCAUAAAUUCUAGUCUUCUAAAGGGGGGUAAUUUCAAUCAUGACAUCUAUCUUUUUGGUCAUUCUUCUUCUUUAUUUAGUAUGUUUGCUGCUUUAGUAGUAUGUUUGGUGAUAGCAAGUAGAAAUUUCAGUGCAAUGAUGGCAACUGGAUCAGUGUGUUAUUCCAAAACCUUUUGAUAUACAAGAAAAUAUAACUUGCGUUAUCACCUUUGCUUUUGCCAGUUAAGUUUUGCAAACCUGCUUGGUACCAAAAUUUGGCUAUUCAGCAAUCAACUUUAUUUCGAAUGAAAUGAAUCCUGUUUGGUAUCGUUACUUUACAUUAGAACGUAAUUGCUAGGUGCUGAUAUCUUUAAUUUAUUUUUUUAUUUCUGGUCUUUCUUUGCAGAAUAAUGAUGGCUCACAAAAGAUAUCAGGUUAUGACUGAAGGCUCUCAUUUCAUUGGAAAGUUUGGAAGCUACUGCAAGUUCUUUCUACUUGCUAGGGAUGAGAAUAUUUUAGUUUGUGCACAAGAGAAUCUUUUAAGUUUGUGCACAUGAGAAUCUUUCAAGUUUGUAUUUGUUAGGGAUUUGUUAUGUUAGUACUUGUUACUGACUUUUAGUUCAACAAAUUAUAUUUGAGUAUUGACUUUUGCUUUAAGAUUACUAUAUGCAUUCUGUUCUUUGGGAUAAUUUUACAAGUCCUUUGGGUUUCUGAUUGACGGAAUGUAUAGCAGGGAGCACUACCUGCAGGUUGCUUCUAUAUAAAAAAAAAAAAGAAAAAAAAAACUCCUGGCAGUUAAAAGUGUCAGCAUAGCUCAGUUAAAAAAACUCCUACUUGUUACUGACUAUAACUAUCCUGACACUUUCGAUUAUCAAGAAAAUGGAAUUUUGUUGGCAGAUGGGAUGCUAUAACAGCAUAGUUUUCCUGACACUUUGAAUGCUACGAGCCUAUCCCCACAUUGGAAGGGACGACACUCGUCCGAGAUGUGAGGAAAGGUAAAGUGUCAGGUUAGAUUAUUUAUACUGACACUUUUAAAUGCCGUUAAAAGUCAUUUUUGUUGUAGUGUUCUAAUGAAAAUUCUUUUACAAUGUCCUCAGUUCUGAGUUGAUUUGCUUUUUCCUUGGGUAUAAAGGGAUCCAAAUUGGUUGCUUGAGCCACCAAUUUUUCUUUCCCUUUGAGGAUGGCUAUAUAACAUGUCCUAACCACCUCAAGAUCUCCAUGAACCUCUGCUGUCCCACUGGAAGUCAGAAACUUCAUGCUCAAAUGUAAAGUUGAGGUAUUGGCUUUUAAAGAGUUAUGAGUAGAUUAGCCAAGGAACAUAUUGUAUGAUGAAGGUCCUUUAGCAACCACGAAAUUGACUGGAACAAUUCGAUAUCUAGGGACUUUUCCAUUAGUUACCAUUAGAGUAAUCAUCUUUCAGGUUUUAUAGGAGGGCUAAAAUAUCCUACCUAUGGCCUCCUUACUAGAGUAAAUUGCCUAUCUUUUAACUUAAGGUUCUUGAAAGUUUUGUAAUAUGAUACAUCUACUAUGCUUCCUGGAUCUAUAAACACUUAUCUGAAAUUAUUAGUGAUCACAUCUAGAUAAUUGGCUCUUGAUGGCUUGAUGCCAAUGAGACAAAAUCCUCAGGUCCAUUUAUGAUUUCUCAUAUAUGUUCAAUUCAUUGGGUAGAAUUAUCCUCUUCUAGUAGAGUUUGGUUAUUUUUUUGGGUUGAAUGACUAUUCUCACUAGUAGGUCCUCUAGCUAUUGCAUUGAUGACUCGAACUAGAUUUUGUGAAUCAAGGUCAAGUGAACGAUCUCGAGGUGAUCUCUGUUGAUCUCGUUUGUCGUUUUCUCCUUUAUCAUUUUGAUUGUUCGGACUAUAAUCUUUUCUUUCUCCCUAGGAAGCUUGGUUAUUUUGAACGUACUCUUUCAAGUUUCUCAUUUGAUCAACUCCUCUAUUUCUUUUUUUUAAUCCUUGCAUUUCUCAAUGUCGUGACUGAUAUCCCUAUGAAAGUACAAUAAAGGAUUUUAUUCCUUUAUUUUUGGAACCAGACAUCCUAGGAGACCUUCUUUCAAUAUCUUUUGCUUCCAUUACUGCCAAGAUUUGAGAUCUUGGUAUUGAUAAGGGCGUGAAAUUCUUUUCCUGAGAUGGACUCUUCCUUUUAGAAAGUUGGUCAAAAAUGUUCCUCUUGAUCUGCCCAACUUUAAGGUCAAUGGUUCCAUUCUUUCUUCAUCUGUCUUCAAAGUCUUUCUCAGAUUCUUGUUUAAGACGAGUAGCCUUCUCGGCAGUUCCAUCUACGUGAGCUCUAUUCAAUAGUUCUUCCAAUGUCAUAGGUGGUUUCUUGGCAAAUUUAUAAUAUAACUCGUUACUUCUCAAGCCAUUUAUAAAUGCUACCAUCAUCACCUUAUCAUCUUUAUCUCAGGUUUGGAGACUCAUUAUUAAAAUUAGUCAUAUAAUUCCUAAUAGAUUUAUCAUGCCUUUGUUUUAUCACCAUUAAUGUGCUGCAUUCUUGUAGUAAACUUUGGAAGAGACGAAUUGUGCUACAAAUUGCCUAGCUAGUUCAAGGAAAGACUUGACUAAUCUUAGUGGUAAUAGUGGAACCAAAGCUGAGCCCUUUCCUUCAAGAACAUAGGAAAGGUCUUGCAAUGAUUCUCAUCUAUAGUGCUUUGCAGUCAUAUAUGAGUAAGAAACACAAACAGGUGAUCCUCUAGAUUUGUAGAUGCAUCAUACAUAUCCAUGAAUUUUAAAUCUUUUUGGUGGAGGAUAUUCUUCAAUUUCCUUGACAAAGGGAGAAAACUAUGUAAAGAUCUGCAUAUUGAUUUGGCUGCAGGAUUAGAUCGAGUUCAUCCUGAAUUGGAUCCUUAGGCAUAUGGUAUUCCAAAUAACUUUUAUUAACCGAGGAUGAGAGCAAUGAGAGUAGUGCUUACUAGUUUUUGAGAUAAAAAUAUGCUUCCUAAAGGGAGAAUAAACCCAUUUCCUCUUAGGGGGAUGAUCAUCAUCAGAGCUAUUUUAGGACGACAAAGCUUGCCUUUCUAUCAUCUUUAUCAGAGCUUUUGAAUUUUACACCUCUUCUGCCUUAUUUUUCCUUUCACCAGGCUGACAAUAUCAUCAAAUAAAGGGAAAUUAUUUGGUACAAAAUUCAUAAUUUUCUCUUUCUUCUCCUCUAAAAUCUAAUAGUCAUUGUUACCCUAAGUUUGCCCAGGGAUGUCAUGAGGUUCUUUGGGGUAACUUUAAUUGGUAUUGCCUAUAGAUUACUUGGAGGCUGUCUUUGUCAUAAGGAAGUUAUAUUACUCCACUUCCCAUAGAGAGCGCAAAUUGUUGAAGCAGUAUUUCCUUCCACUGAGUUGGACUAGACAGGUAAGAAGGGAGCUCAAUCGCAUAAAGGUAGAACUCUCUAAGAAACAUACAAGGAAAGUACCAAUUCAUGAAGAUCCUCGGGGUCAAGUCUCUAAGGUCACUCUGAUUCUCAAGUCAUUUUUUGACUUGAGGAGAAGAAUAUCCUCCUAAUUAGGUGUUAGGUAUCCCUAUAUAUAGGUUUUCGUACAAGAGAGUGAUAAGAGAUUAAGACUAACAAGAUAAAGAGACAAAGAUUACCUCUUUUUGAUUAGUUGAAUAGACAUUAGUUCAUAUGAUGAUUUUCUUAAGAUUAGGAUAGUUAUUAUCACUAACCAACUCAGAUCACCCUUAUUUUAGGAAGUCAAAAACUUAUCCUACCCCUAAAGUCUUCAGUGUCUGAAAUGGAAAAGUCAGACGUUGUUGUUUCUCUUCUUAUGAUUCUACUAUUUCAUGUGGGAAUAGCAAUAGCUGCUGGAAGUCAAGAUGGAUCAGAAGCGUGAGGAUAUGUUCAAAUCAGGCCAAGUAUGUUUCUGAUGUUUUAAGUGCCCAUUACAUGUAUUACUUGUCAAUGUUGAUAUUGAGUUCUUGUGUAUGUUUCAAAGGCUCACAUGCUCUGGUGGUACUAUAGAAGUCCAAACAUGAUUCAAGAUCUCGAAAAGCCUUGGCCAAUUAUUCUUUGGCUGUAGAUAGGGCUACAAAUGAGCUAAAUCGAGUCAAAUGUUGAUUUAAUUUUAGCAAGUUCGAGGUUGAAUUCGAGUUCGACGAGCUCUCAAUGUAAAGGUCGAAGUCAAACUUGACCUCAAAUUUGAACCAAGUCGAGCUCGAUCUCGAGUUUAAAAAAUAAAAAAAAAAUUAUCUUAUUUUUAAAAGAAUGAAUAAAAUAAUAAUUUUUCUUAAUAAAUAACAAAAUAUUAUGGAUAUAUACAUGUAAUUUUAUUAUGUAAAUAAUAUAUAUAUAUAAUUGAGUCAACUCACGAGUUAACAAGUUGAUUAUCUUUGUAUUCAAGCUUGACUUAGUCAGUUCAAACUCGACUCAAGUUCAGUGUUGCCCGACCUCGAGUUGAAUAUUGAUUCGAGUUACUCGUGAUCAGUCAUGAGUGGCUCUACUUGUAUGCAGCCUUAGCUGCAAAGUAGACCUGUGAGUAUCAGAAUUCCCAUAGGGUUCCCUCAAAUUUCAAUCUUGAUUAUUUUUAUGAUAAAACAAUCUGUUUUUGUAGUGAAGGGAGCUUCAGGUGUGGGAAUUGGUAACUUUGAGGAGAUUGGGCCUCUAGAUGUUUUCCUAAAGCGAGGAAAUUCAACAUGGUUGCAGAAAGUUGAUCUCCUGUUUGUGUAGGUAAUGGUUGGUACAUUAAUGUUAGUGAAUUAUCUCAUUAAUAUGCAGCUUUUUCAAAAAUCAAUAUGAGAUUUUCCUGGAGGGGUUUUUUGUAUUUUCUUACCUGAUUUUGUUUUCUAGUAAUUGUGCAUAGAAUUAUCUAGUUGGGAUGGUCAUAGUUUUGUGGAAGACACGGAAGACACCACAUUGUUUGUGAAAAGUGAUUUUGAGGCAACAACUGACGAAACUACAUUCUUGAUCGAAUUUUUCAAAGGGAAUGAGAUCCUUUAGAAGAGUCCUCUGUACAUUAUAGAAGAGUUUUAUGGAGGCAAAUUUGCUAUUAAGGCUUUAUCUGCUUUAAAGGCUAUUAAAGCUAGAAAAUUGAAGCUAAAUCUUGGACUUAAAAAUUGAAUUUAGAGCCCUAAAAUUGAAUAUGGAGUACCUUUUUUCUUAAAUCCCAAAGUAUUGAGCUAUUACCUUUAUAAAUAUAAGUUGCAUUAAGGGAUAGUUGGAUCUCACUAGAAGAUUCUUCAGUUUGUAGUCAGUAUUUUUUUUCUUUACUUGUUCACUAGUGUCAUGAUUAGGGCAGCUGAAUUGAGUCUUAUAUUGAAAUGCAGUCUUCAUGGGUCCUCUUAUAAAAGAUGUCUCGUUGCUUGACAGCAAUGAUUUGAAGAAAUCAAACAGGUCUUCAAUGUUUAUGCUUUAAACUAGUAGUACAUAUUAGCAUAAUUCUCUAAUCUAAUCAAGCUCAAAGAUUUUGGUUCUCUAAUAAGUCUAUAUUUAAUGUAGGGUAGUUCUUCAAAUUAAGAAGCAAAUUGCAGCAGGUAAGUUUGCAGAGGCCACAGAAACAUGGAAGGAAUUGAUAGCAGUCAUUAGCCAUUAUAGUAAUAAUAUGGUAUGAAUUCUUUUGACUUUUUUCCUAGCCUAUCUAAACUUAAAGGUAAUCACAAUAAAUUGGUAAAUUUAUGCUUGCCGAUUUCAUUUGUGUAUAAAUAGAGUAUUUCUACAAUUUCCUCUCAAUUUUACAUGAGGAUGAGCCUUUAUCAUUAUCAGCUGAAUCCAAACUAAAACACAAAAUUGCAGUAAGAAGGUACUCAGUAUACCCUCAAAGAUUGAGGUGCCCUUCCGAAGGUGAUGGUAAUGAUGAUAAUGUUACCUAGAUGAAUGGUUAUAUUAGAAAGAAGUUAAGGACUAUAUCACUGAAUGUCACGUGAGUUUUUCUCCUUAGAAAAUUUUUUACUUCUCAGAGUUGGAGAAGUAAUAAUGGCUAGAACAGAUGGGAAUUUUCAACUUGUUGCUAGAGCCAUCCAAGGUGAUUUCAUUAGGACAUGGAUUAGGGAGGCAAAUAUAUCAGCUUUUGUGUUUUAGUUGAGAACGAAAAGUCGGGAAGUUUUCAGGAACUAUAUCAGUUUGUAAUUUUGAAUUAUACCAAAAAUGAUUUUUUUUCCUCAUUUGAUCAGCAUUCUUCAAUCACAUCUCAAUUGAGAUAAGACCAGCUUAUCCAAUUACAUGCAGUAAAUUCUCAAGCAUUUGUUCAACUACUUUUUGCAGGUCGAUGAACUUUGAGCAAAUGGAGUAAAUGUUAAUAUCUAAAAUGGACAAGCACAAUUCUGCAAUGGUUUAAGAAAUAUAGAGCAGGAAUGAUGCUUUAUUUUCCAUGCUAUCAAUUUGACUUUCUUUAGUUUGAUUAGAAUGUUAUUUAUUGUUGCUGAUAGCUUCAUCUCAUCUGUCCAACCAACGUAUCCAAUGCCCACAUGGGUUGAAAAGCUCAAGUAGGAAUUAAUUAAUCCCACAAGUAAUUGAGAACCCAAAUCCCUCUUUCUAAGAAAAACACUCUCUUAUCAAAAUCAGUAACUUUUUUCCUAUUUCAUUGGUGGGAUGGGAUCACAUUUUUCUUGAACAUGGAUAGAACUCCUGCGUAUUUUGAAGAUGACAAAGAGUAUAAAGGGUUUCACCAAAUCAUACAGAAAUUUACAUUUCUACUGGAUUCUUAAUGCUGGCCACUUUGUAGGUCAACUAACUAUUGUCAUAUUUCUGCUGUAUUUGUCUCUGUUGGUCUAAAAUUACUAUGACUCUUGCCUACUAGAGGCAAGGUUGAGAAGACAACACAUCCAAUAGUUUUAGUACGUCAUAGCCAAUCUCCUAAUUUUGGAAGGCUAAAGUUUUGCACAAUUUUAUCAUGAAUGUUGAAGAAAAUGUAAGGUUUGCUUGGCAUCCAUGCUUUUUGCUAGUUUAUUUUGGACAAAUUUUUUCCCCAACUUUAAGUUACACUUUUAAAAAUAGGGUUAUUAUCACUUUAAUGGAGUUUGUUAAUUCAAUUAAAAAGACAUGUUUAGCCCUUAAAAUUAUUAUCAUUUUCCUUUCAUAAACUAUAGCUUUAUUAUCAAUUUACCCCCUAGAAUUAUUUUUUAGACAAUUUAUCCCACAAUUAAACCAAUUUAGUGAGUUAAAAAACUUUAGAAAAAAAGUAUUCUCCUCUUUAAAUAAUAAAAAUAAUAAAAAAUUUAGAGUGGUUGUUCUCUUUUUUAGUAUCAAGAGAAAAAGUCAAAGUAUUAAUCUCUUUCUUCUUGGUAAUCUUAUUAAUACUAAAAAAAAUAGAAAGGUUGGGAAAAGAGAGAGAGAGAGAGAGAGAGAGAGAGAGAGAGAAAGAGCUCAAUUCUUAUUUUAAAAAAAUACAAAUAAGAAAGAAUUCAAUAUUUUUAUUUUUUUUAAAGUUACUUUACUUUUUUGUUUACUAUCCAAUUCUAAUCCUAAUCUCGGUGAUGUUAAAGUAAUACGAUAAUAUUAGAUUCUUUCUUAUUUUUUUCUUUGCAAAAUCUAAUUUUUUCUGUCUCCUUUUCUCCUAUCUAUUUUUCUUUUCUUAGUAUUAAUAAGUAUGAAAAAAGAAAUUUGAAAAAAAUCAUUUUUUAUGUUUUUGGAACUCUUAGAGUGAGAAAAAAAGGACGAAUAAUCAUUCCAAUUUUUUUUUAAUUAUAUAUAGAAAGAAUAGAUACAUUAAUAUUUUUUUGAACAUACUAUUGUGGCUAAUAAUGGAGUAAAAUGCCUAGAAAAUAUUGUUAGGAAGUAAAGUGAUUGUAUCACUGUAAUUUAAAGGGGUGAAAUGAUAAUGAUAAUGUAGUAAUGCUAAUAAAUAAAAGGGUAUUUUUAUCCAAAAUUUGUUAACAUGUUGAGUUGAACUACUUAUGGGGGUGGAAUGAUUAAAAGAUAAUGUUAGAAAAUAAAUUGAUAGUAGUGAUAUAGUUUAAGAGAGUAAAGUGAUAAUAAUCCUUAAAAAUACUCCAAAGUUUUUAAAAUAUACACCCAAAAUACCCCAAAGCAUACAAAAAAGUCUUUUCCUUCUUUCCUUUCUUCCCCCCACCUCAACCUGCUAUCACCACCAUCGACCACCUCAGCCUCUCCUUUUUUUUUAAUUCUCUCAUUCUCUCUCCCUCACCUCCUCCCCCUCACUUGUCCUCUCCUAGUCUCGGGAAGGGGGGAGGGGGAUGGGGUCAGGGAGAGGAGGGAGAGAGAGUGGCAGGGGAAAGGGAGAGGGAAGGUGAGGGUGGCGGUUGCACUAGGGAGGGUGGGAGAAGGAGAGCGAUGGUGGUGUGGGGAAGGAAGAAGAAAGAGAAACAAAAGGAAAAAAAAAAGAAAGAAAAGGAAAAGAAAAAAAAGAAAGUUUUUAAUUUUUCAAACUCUCAAAUAUACAAAGUUUUUUUACGAGUUCUACAUUAAGUUUUAUGAUAAAAUUUUAUAUAGACACCACAAAAUACACCAUCCAGGUGAACCCAUUGUUUUUCUUGAUCCUUCCCAUUGAAAUGGUUAUUCUCAUUUUUGUGCAUCUAAAUAUAUUUGUCAUAUUCAAAAAGUAAGAACAUAAUGUUUACUCUUUUUAUGCUCCAAAUCAUUGUCUUUUUGUGGAAGACAUGCAUGUCGUUCCAUUCAGAUGUUCAAUUCGAGAGCAUAAACUUCGAAAAAGUUUAGCUAAUUGUCUCUACCAAAAAGCAACAAAACACUAGCACGAAGUAAUUGAUGGGCUUGUAUGGAUGGAAUUUAUAUAUGAAGAUAGCAAGAUGUGUAACAUGUGCAUCUAAUACAAGAAUUAAAUGAAUUUAAGAGGUAAUAAGACACCACAUCACUACUACUGGAUAGUCAAACUGGUUUUGCUUUACCACGCACUAACAGAUGUCUGCCAUUUACUGGUAAAUUUACUAAUCAAGAAUGGAACAUGAAUUUUAAAGAAGAAAGAAAGCUAUGGAAGUCAAAAUUUCACGCACCAUUUAUUUAUUGAAGUUAUUGACAGAUAUCAGCAGUUUCGAUCAAAGGAAAUUAAGAUCAUAUGCUGAACGAAUUCUUGCAAAAUUAAUGUAUGUUAGGUCUUGUCCUAGAAAAUUGAACAAGAAGAACAAAAAGACUCUUGACAACCCAACAAAGGCAACUGCACAACAAAUAAAUCAAACAGAGAGAUAUCAAAAUUUAAGUGGUUCAAUAGAAUUGGCCUACAUCCACGGGUGAAAGAGAAACAUAAUAUUACUACAAACUAGAGAGUACAAAAGAGAGACAGUACAAAAUCAUAGAAAAUCAUUCUAAAAUCUAAAGGCACCUAAAACUAAAAAUACAAAAGAGACUAAAUAGCACAAAAAAGUUUAAUGGUCCAAAGGUUCACUAACUUGCUCUUUUAGUUUGACGCAUAAACAAAAUCUCUCUCGACUUGGGGCAUGAGACCCCAAAAAACUUCUCUUGAAUGGAGCCUUGAAACUUGGAUUGGUACGCUUAAUAUAUUUUAACUCAUUAAGUCCAUUGUAUUUAGAACCACCAAGAGAGAGAUUUCUUUGUAAAUUUUUUGAUAAGGGAUACAAAGAUAAACUCAACAAAUCUCCACCUUGGCAUGUAUCCAACAUCAACAAAUGACAGACAAGUGGCAAAUAUGCUACACUUCCCCACAAAAGUUCCUACAGAACCCAAUGAGUCACAAAAAUCCCAAAAGAUCCCAACGCACCAUCAAAAAAUCAAAAUACAAAAGACUCAACGGAUUCCAACUGGCAAAACACGCAAAGGAUUCAACAGAUCCCAAAGGGUUAAAAACAUGAAUAUGAUAAUUUUGCUUUUCAAGUUCACUAUGUAGGACGACUCCCAAAUUGUCCUCUCUCGUGCUCAGGAAAGACCAAUUUUUUUUUUAUCAUAGAAAAAAAGUGGGAAUAUGAUAUGGUGACAAUUGAGAUGGCAUCUAGUAGGGCUCGUGGUCAAUUUGGUGGUGGAAGUGCAUCACCAAACUCGAAAAGUUGCUUUCAUUCUUGCUGAAUAACUGAACAUCAAUCUUUCCAAGAUUAGAAACUCAAUUUCCUCACGUUUGCUGCUACUGGAAUUUUAAUUUUCUUUGCAUUUGUUGCUGCUGAAAAUUGGGCUUCGCCAAACUUUAGUCGUUGGUGUUUGAAUUCAUUAGUGUAGCCUUGCACCUCAAUUGUUUGUCAAUUUGCCUCAACGAAUUUUAUGCCAAAAUAGACAUCAGCUCUACGUCCCUACUUGCCGGAGAUGGCGGCCUGUGGGCCGUCUGACAAGCUUCCGGACAGUGGGACUUCAGUUUUGAGGUCCUUUGCAUCAGUACUAGCAGAUGGUACGAAACAAACUGAUGCCUUAGCCUUGGGAGAGGUCUCAACCUUUAGAGGAGAGCCAGCCUUGCGCAUCUCUCGCAGGGAAAUAGAGCAGCUUUCUGUUCCAUUUCAGAACUCUUUGGUGGGGCGCUUCUUGUUCAACAGACCACCCAUGGAAGUUAUUAGGAAAUUCUUUCUUUCGCUGGGUUUACGAGGUGCUGUAAGGUUGGGCUCCUUGACCAGAAACAUGUUCUGAUCCGUCCGGUGUUGGAGGAAGACUACACCCGUCUUUUUGCACGUAGAAUCUGGUAUGUUAGCAGCUCGCCAAUGUCAAUUUCCAAGUGGUCGCUAGAGUUCAAGGCAGACCAGGAAUUAUCGAUAGCUCCAAUUUGGGUUUGUUUCCCAGAGUUGCCAAUUCCAUUUUUUCAGCAGACCCAAUUAUUCAAGCUUGCGUCUACUUUGGGAAGGCCUCUUAAGAUUGAUGCAUCAACUAGUGACAUGCGUCGUCCUUCUGUAGCCAGAGUUUUGGUGGAGCUUAACUUUGCAUCUAAUCCUGUGCGGCGUAUUUGGAUAGGUGAUGAGAACUUCGGGUUCUGGCAGCCUGUUGAGAUGGAAACGUGGCCAUCUUACUAUGGGUUUUCCAGUAGGUUUGGCCCUGCAGAGGAGCAAUGCUUUCAUAAAAAUCCUUUCUUGCGAUCUGAUCCGCCAAUUCACAAAGUCCCUUCUAAAACACAGAAACAGCGCCAAAUCUAUGUUCCAAAAGUAGUGAAUGAGAAGGAGAAGGAGUUGGAGGUGACGACAGUCCAGAGCAAACCGGCCGCAGAUGUCAACAAGGAACAAGGAAUGUCUGCUGCUCAUGCUCAGACAAUUCCGGAGGCUGCCACUUUAGGGAAUAAUUCGCAGUUUGUUUUGGAUAGUAUUAAUCCUGAUGAUUUUCAAUUGAAUAUUGGGCAAAAUCAUAAGGGUAAGGAAAAGAUGUCUGAUGUUCAAUCUUUGGUUUUACCAAACCUGCAAAUGAAUAAGCCGUUGGUUAUACGGGAGCCUCAAGAGUCUGGUGUGGAUUGAAAUUUGAGUGGGGUUGUAUCUCGGAUAGGAAAAGCUGCAAAGUCUGUUAUUGUCACAGAUCGGGUUGUGGUGCCGGAGCAUGGAACAGAUGUUGGGCUGCAGACUUCGACUUCGAAUCCACUUGAGGAUGGGGAAUUCACUGAUCCGGAGUCUGAGAAUGACCAUUCCAUUCAACCAGCUAAUGGCGCAUUCACAGAGGCUGCUUCGGAAGAGAAGGCGAUGGAGGUUGGCGACUCCUCAUAGCAAGGUAAUGGAAUUACGCCUGAUGUGGCUAACGAUGCGCUCGUGAAGGUAGACCAACUUCAUGACCCACGUGAUAUGGUGUCAGUUGGAGACACACCCCUUGUGGGUACAAGUACAAGUACAAGAACAGACACGAAAUCCUCUAUGCCUCAAAAUCCAUGGUUUAAAAAUGUGCCACAAUUUAAAGAUGUGUUCGAAGAGCUUAAAUGGAAGAAAUUACAUGGUAGGAUCCCCCUCGUUGAUAGGUUGCAAUUUUAUUAUUAAUUUUCCCUAUUACCUGACUCGAUGUGGAUUAAUUGUUGGAUUCUACUCACUUUUAAUAUUUUGCAUUUAUUUCAGGGAGUAGAACAAAAAUAUGAUAACAAGUGCCGAUUUGACAGAAGAGGAAUCCAAAUAAUAGAACUUAUCCCAGGGGCAUUUUUGGAAAAGAAAAACUUAUCCCCAUUUUGGUAAUUACUGCAAAGGCAAGGAUGAAGGCAGGGCUUCCUUUUUGCUGAUGGGGAGCCGCCGCACAAUAGUUAGGCAUUAGAUAGGAUUGCAAUUAGAUAGGAAUAAAUAGAAAAUGGGAGCAGAGGGUUUUCUCUCCUUUACCUUUAGUUUAUAGCUUUGACUUUUCUUUUGGUUCUUAGUAGCUUAGCUCUCGUAUGUCAGAGGCAAAUAAGAGCAAUUGAAUGAUUCCUUGUAGUUUUUUUUCUUUUGACUUUUCCUUGUGGUCUGUGGUGGAUUCCUCCUGCCGCAUGAUGGCCGCGACUAUUGCUUCAGCUUUACAUGGGUUUUUUGCAACGAAUAUGAACUAAUUUCCUUACUCUAGCCAAGGAGCAACGGAGGCCUUGGUUCGCCUAAGAAUUGUGAGAUCGAUUUAAUUUAAUCUUUUCCUUUUAUUUAUUGGUAUUCGCAUAUUUCUUGAUUGCUAAGCUUAUGCUUAUUUAAUUAAUUGAUUGUCUUGGAUCCGGAUAAUUAGUUAAUUUGGUAAUCUAUUGUCAAUUAGGGCAUUUAAAUCCGUAAUUGUUUAAUUGCCUUGAAUUAGUGACAAUUGGCACGAUUGGAUUCGUGUCAGGGGGAUACGCGGGCUAAUCUAAAAUAACCCUGGUAGUGCGUUAUUUGGUUAGAAUAGGGCUCCUCUAAUACGUAAGGCAAUUGGGGAAUUAAAUCUUACGGGCGUACCUAGGAUUAUUUCUCAAUUAGAGCAGUGAUUAAUGGGCGUACCUUAAUCACCGACACAGUAAGGAGGGGUUGACUGUCAUCGCUUGUUUGGCAGUUAUAACCUAUUUAUUAAUAAAUAAUUGAAAUCGCUUGUGCAUCGAUGAUCAAUUAGGUGAAUCAUUGCCGAAGUUAUUUCUUGGUUAGAUCCUUAAUUAUCACCCAUUUGACUUUAGUAAUUUGUUAUUUAAUUUUUAGUAGUUUUUUAGAUUUUAUUUGAAUUUCUUUGAUUGUCACCUUCUGCACAAAAACACCCCCUUUGUUACUGUGAAUUUGAGAAGAAACAGUUACACCCAGUCCCUGUGGAUUCGACCCUACUUACCACUAUCUAUAGAAAUUAACUUUAGUUGAGCAGGUUUUUGUUAUUGCACAGGCUGACAACCUGGCACUCGUAUAUCAAAAGCCUUUUCUUCAUUCAAAUACAACAUGCAAUGGUGACAAAAUUGAAGAAGAAGAAGAUGAUUCACAACGCGAUAAAGACAAAGACCAAGACCAGAAACUAGUUCACGAGCAAUUUACCCAAGUGAUUUCAAAGAAAGCGAGGAAGCAGCUUUCAAAAAAAGGUAAAACAAUGCAAACACGUCAAGAUGUUAAAUCAAAUUCCCAUGCUCACUCACAAUCCCACAAAUGUGGGGCACCAUCAUGUGGAUGAUUCGUUCGAUUCAUCUGUUAUGUAUUUAGAUUCGCAGAUUUUUUCAUAUGUGCGUAUUAUUGUUGAUCCUUAGCUGUCCCUUUUACUUUAACAGAGGUCAGGUUUGGCCCCCCUCUAAUUCGUUGUACUCUUUUCGGAUAUAAAUAAAUUAAGGGAUGGAUCUCUAUUUAAAAAAAAAAAAAGUUCACUAUGUAGGAAAGUUGUCUUAACAUCAAGCUGUUCCAACUCCAAAUCAUAUAUGACAACUAAAGUAAGUAAAAUACGAAUAUAGCUAUGCUUAACAACAAACGAAAAUACAUAAUUGAAAUCAACAAUUUGUACCCAACUGUAAUCCUUUGCAAUCAAUUGUACUUUGUACAUUGCAUUUUCAACUACUGAAACACCUUCAUUCUUCUUGAAUACUCAUUUGCAUUCAACUUCUUAUCUAAAGAUAAUUUUACAAGAACCCAAGUUCCAUUUUGGUAGAGACUCAAUUUCUUCAUUUAUUGCAAUAUAUCACUAAGUAGAAUCAUCACAAUAAACUAACAUCUAAAUAGGUAAAAGACUUGUAAACUCCAUCAUUCUGUUUUGUAAUAGACAAAGCAUAUGCAAUCAAAUUUACAUAUCCUUGAGGUAGUCGAAGAUCCCUCCUUGAACUAUUUUUGGCUAUUGAAUAUUGCUUCUCUUCUGGAUUAUUUUCAUUAGUAGAUUCAAGUGCAUCUACUAGCAUUUGCUGAAUAGAAGAACUAGACUAAGAAAGAACAAAACUGCCAAUUUCAAUUUUCACCUAUUUCUACAUACUAUCAUCUGUACCACAAGAACUGGAAGACUCCUUGGAAGACAGUAUAGAGAAUAUAUCGGAAAUAACAUCUCUACUGAUCAUAAAUUUUGGGAAUUUCAGAUGAAGAAAACACAAUAUAUGCACUUUUACCCCAAAAGCAUACCCAAGAAAAGUACUUUUUUUUGCCCAAAACUUCAAUUUUUCAUUAUUCACAUGCAUGUGUGUUGUACACCCAAAAGCUAUUAAAUUAGAGUAGUUAGCAGUAGUGCACAACCAAACUUCCUCAAGAGUUUGAAAAUCAAGAGAUGUAGAAGGAACGCGAUUGACAAUAUAACAAGCCAUAUAGAUAGCCUCUGCCCAAAAAUCCUUUAUCAACUGUGCAUUAAAGAUCAUACAUCUAUCUCUUUUCAAAAGCGUUCUAUUUAUGUGUUCUACCAUACCAUUUUAUUGAGAUGUCAUUCUAACAAUGCGGUCUUGAAUAAUUCCUUCAUUCUUGUAUAAUUCAUCAAAUUCACCUUCACAGAAUUUCAUGUCAUUAUCUAUUUUAAGCCCUUAAUGUGUUUAUCUAUCUGUUUCUCAAUCAAAACUUCUAUUGUUUGAAAGUUAGGCAAACAUGAUUCUUAUGUUUAAGAAAAUAAACUCAAAUUUUCCUUAAAUAAUCAUCAAUGAAAGUCAAUAUAUAGCUUGCACCACCCUUAGAUGAAACACGAAUUGAACCCUAUAGAUCUAAAUAAAUAUAAUCAAGACCUUUAGUCUUGUGAAUUGUUGAUGAAUUGAAACUGACCUUUUUUCGUUUUUCGAAGACACAGUGUUCAUAGAAUUCCAAUGACUCAAUACUUUGUCCACAAAGAAGUCCCCUUUUGUUUAGUAUGUCCAAGUCUUUCUCACUUGCAUUUUAAAUGCAUAUGCUACAAUUUGAUGAUGUCAAAAUCAAAUAAAGAUGAUAGUAGAUCCUGUGCUAAUAGAUCCUUGCAAAAUAUACAAAUGACUAGACUUGCAAGUUUUUAUAACAACAAAAACAUCUCUAGAAACCUUCAAAAUGCCAUUUUCAGCUGUGUAUUUGAAUCCAAGGGCCUCCUAGAUUCGUCAAGAGAUGAAAUUCUUUUCUAAAUCAAGAACAUGUCUAACAUUAGUGAGUGUUCUCACAAUACAUCAUGCAUUUUAAUUCAGACUGUACUCUUACGAAUAAUAUCAUAAAUGGCAUUAUUGCCCAUUAAAACAAAUCCACCAUUACCAGGCUCAUAAGUAGAAAGCAAAUCCCUAUUGAGACACAUGUGAUAAGAACACCUUGAAUCUAAAAUUCUUUCUUUUUUAGACCUUGUUCUAUCAUUAGUCACAAAGAAAAUAUUUCUAUCACUCUCAUUAGCUGCAACACAAGUUUCAACAAUGUCAAUAUAUUCCUUACAAUGUUUUCCCUUUUUCUUUAGUUUAUUUUUCAAUAUAAAGCAAUUAGCCAUAAUAUGCCACAUUUUGUGACAAUAAUUACACUCCAAAUUUCUAUGUCUGGAUUUAGAUCUAAAUUUAGACCUACUACUAGCAGAUUCUUUUUUAUCAAUUCUGCCACUAAGGCCUUUUGCCUGACCCCCCAUUAAUUUUUCUAAUGAUAUCUCUGUCUAUCUACUCCUUAGUUUUUAAUGCAGAUUUAAGUUUUCAAUAUGAAACUGUUUCUUUUCCAUAAACCAUAUUAUUGUGAAAUACUUAAACGAUUGGGGAAGGGAACACAACAAUAAUAGGAUCUAAUCUUCAUUAUCAAUUUUCGAAUAAAUAUUCUCCAAAUCCAUAAUAAUGAUGUACCUUCAGUCAUCUAAAAUAUAUAUAGACUUUGCCUUAGAUAAACUUGAUUCUCAACUAUCUUCUUCGUAUACAAAACUUUAAUCUUGUCCCAAAUGGCCUUAGUUGAAGUCUUAGCGGCUAUCUCCCAUAAAAUCUCGUCAUAGAGAUUUAAAAUAAUACUUGAUCUUGUCUUCUUAUCCAUUUUAGCAAAAUUCGCAUAUGUCAUAUUCUUUAAUUUUUUUCAACUUCCUGUAUCACUAGAUCAACUCCGUGUCGAACCAAGGUCGCCUCCAUCUUAAGCUGCCACAAUCCGAAGUUGACACUCCUGUAUAAUUUUUCGACUACCGUCUUUAUUAUUGUCAUUGUCGCCACAUAAUCUAGAGAGAAAUUUUGAUACUAGUUCCUCAGGUCUAAUCCCAUGAAAUUGACCAACAAAAAUAAUAGUACUCUUGGCAAUCUAACAAAGAGAAUAACAUAGCAAAUAAAUCAAAUAGAGAGAUAUCAAAAUUUAUGUGGCUCAGUCAAAUUGACUUACAUCCAUGAGCGAAGGAGUAAUAUAAUAUUACUAUGAGUAAGAGAGUACAAAAGAAAAAGUACAAAACCGUAAAAAAUAAUUCUAAGGUCCAAAGGUACCUAAAACUGAAAAUACAAAAAAGACUAAAACUGAAAGUAUAAAAGAGUCUAAAUAGUAUAAUAGACUUAAUGGUUCAAAGGCCCACUAAUUUGUCCUUUUCAUUUGAUAUUUAACCAAAAUUUCUCUUAACAUAGUACAUUUAAACUCAUUUAAAUCCAUUGUAAUUAAAACCACUAAGAGAAGAGAUCUCUUUAUAAAAUUCUCAAUAUGGGAUAUAGAAACAAAUUCAACAAUAUAUAUGUGCUGAAUCUAUGGCCCCAUUUGGUAAGUGAGUUUUUUAGCUAUUUGUCUAAAACUUUACUGUAGAAGUUGUAAAAAAAAAAUUUUAAAUGUGUCAAUUUUUGGAUAUUUUGAAGUGUAUAGUUUAAAAAUUUUAAGAAAUUUUUUGAGAUUAUUUAGUUAAAGUUGUUAAAAAACUUGUAGCAGACAAACUUUGCCAAAAACUUGCCUGCCAAACAAGGUAUAUUAAAAUUUCUUCUAUUUGUCCCACUAUUUUAUUUUCCCUUCUUGUUUUCUUUGUAGGUUCUUAUUGACCAGCCGUGCGUAGCAUUGAAGAUGAUAGGAAGCAUCACAAAUCACUUGCAGCUUUAGAGUAGACAUUGGCUUUCCAAUUUAACCCCACACGAGACAGACUCUGAAGAAAUAAGAAGAGAAGAGAUGACCUAUAGAUAGCCUGCUCAGGGAGGGGAAAAGAAUAACAGAAAAGAAGUCCAUUGAUUGCCAAAGAAAAAUAUCACAAGAAUGAGAAUCAUUUCAGAAGAAAAAGGAGAUUAAUCGGGACCUUGUUUUUCACAUUAUUGUGUCACAGUAGUUUUUUCAGUUUAUGACGUGAUUUUAAUUUGCUUGUGCUGAUAGAGAUUAACUCUGAGGCGUUAUAUUUGACCAGCUGGUGAAUGACAUUGGGUUCGGUGCACAAAUGCACAUUAGGGGUAUUAAUACCUUUUCAUUGUUGGGCAAAAAAAAAAAACAUUUCAUUAGGGUUGCAACUCAAUAAAAAUUAAAAAAGAAAUGCACAGAUGCUUCCUAGCGUUUCACGCAAUUAUAUGCCUAAAAUCAUAUGCUGAAACAAGUUCUAUUUUUAAGAUUUGGAGAUUAAGUUGCAGCAAAAAGUAGCCUCAAUUUCUGUCUUAAGAGAAAAAACAUAGAAUUCUUUGAAAUCCAAAAUAACUGUAAAGCUUCUAAAAUUCACCCAGAGAAUGAAUAUUUGUACAUAAUUGAACACCACAUAUCUAAUUUUAAUCAUAAACGGAAAGUAUUUUGCCAAACUCAGACUCUUUGAAAUAUUUAGAGUCAACUAAACCAUACUCCAAACUUUGGGAGUUAUGAUGUAAAGUCAAAACGUUGACUAACAUCAAUUCAAUUUCAUUGUAAGCCAUUGUUAAAUUUCUGUCGAUUAUACCUAAAAUUAAAGAUUUUAAGAAUCAUAUUUAUUACCCUCGAAAGAUUAUAAACGAGUUUUGCUUAUAAGGCAAACGUUGCAAACUACAAUUGCAUUUUUCCCUUCUCCAAAAAGGAAAAAUGAAAAAAAAAUCCCCCCAGUCAGUCCAGGUGAAUAAUCUAAGGUGUUUUCUCUUGCAUUCAACUUCUCUAAAUUCUAAUUCACGCUUACUGCUAAUCCUCGAUUCAUGUCAGUUGAAGACCCAUCGCAAUAUUUUGACUGAACCAUAAUUUUCUUAUAAUUCCUCGAGUUUUAGCAAUGAGUUCUAAAAUUUGAACUAACCUUGUUUAACAUGAAGAGACAUUUCACAUAAUUAUCUGUUGCUUUUGACUUUGAAACUAAAUGAUAAAAAUUAACCAAUUGAAUAAUUUGUUAGAAGCACAGUACAAUUUUAUUUUAAAAAUUGUCGUAGAUUAUCAAUUCAACUUAUCCUUGUCCUGUUCUCCAACUUCUAAAAUGCCUAUUUUUUUGAUACAAAGAAAAUAAAUAGGCUUUUUUUGUUCUAAAAAGCCUAUUUAUGAAACGGGUAUAAAAAAUUUGAAGCAAUUUGUAAUAAGUAUAUGAAACGGUGACUCAAUAACGCUUAUUUGAUUUAUUUCAUUUAAUAACAAUAAUUUUCUGGUUUAUUUGAAUUGUGAACCUCCCCACUGUCCUCAAAAAAAUAUUGACUAACAAUACGAUAUGAAACAAUUUACCUGGGUCCGUGAUGGACUAGAGUCCUAAACAAGUUUAAUAUGCUUCAAGCUUUUUACAUUUUAGAAGGAUACAAAAGAUUUAUUUUACAAAGACUUGCCAGAGUAAAGAAGAAGUGGGGAACAAGCACACUUGGAGAGCGCAAUACAACAGAGAGUUGUAUGCUGCGUUCGGGAAGGAUGAAUUACUCCCGAAAAGGAAUCUAUUAAUUCGUUAUUAUCACUUUACUCCUAUAAUAACGUCUUGUUUAACUAUCAUUAUUCCCUUUAUUAUUAUUUUCUAGUUAUUUUACUCUCAAGACUAAUGGCAAAUGUAAUAAAGUUUAUUGACUCAAGUGAAAGAUAUGUUUAGCUUUAUGAUUAUCAAUUUACUCUGUUAAACUAUAACAUUAUUAUCAAUUUACCCCAUAAUAUUAUUUUUAGACACUUUACCCUAUCAUUAACUAACUCAGCAAGUUAAACAAAUUUAGAUGAAAGUGUGUUCGUUACUUGCAUAGUUAAAAAAUAAAGGAAAAAAUAUAGAAAAGCCCCUUGAGGUUAAUUGAACAUAAACUUUAGUACCUCGUGAUUUAAACUAAUUUAAAAUAGCUACAAAAAUUGUUUGAAUUAACGGGUUUGAAAUACAUGCGUUUUUUUUUUUUGCAAGUAUUUGUAGUGGAAACAAACAAAAUUUCAGUUGAUAUAUCUAUUAUACCCUUAGAGUUAUAAUACAGAAAAGUUUCAUGUGGUUAAGCAAACCUACACAAAAAGGCCCUUGUAGUUUCAAAUCAUGUAAUCUAGUACCUCAUGGUUUGAACUAAUAUAAAAAUCAACAAAAAUAAUUUAAAUUAACAAGUUUGAGGUUGCUUGAUGUGAAAAAUAAUUUUUUUAAAUCAAAUUUUUAGCUAAUGUAGAACUUUCAAAAACAACCCAAAACUCCCAAAUACAACUCACCUUAUUUCUAUACAUAAAAUAAAUAAAUAAAAAUUCCUAAAUAAAGCUCACCUUAUUUCUAUACACAAAUUAAAUAAAUAAAAACUUUCAAAUACAACUUACCUUAUUCCUAUGCACAAAAUAAAUAAAUAAAUAAAAAUAACAUGUAACCAUAUGGGCUUUUUCAUUGGCUUAAUCAUAGAGGAUUUUUCCAUGAGUUUGCCUAAUAGGAUGAUUGCUAGAAGGUCUUUUAUUACUUAUAUAUAUUAGGAUAAUUGUAUCAUUUCACCUGUCUUUGUUAGUUUUGAUGAUUUCCAUUACUAUUUCAAAUUAGUUCAAACAUGUUGAGCCGAAAUGUACGAUUUGAAACCAAAAAGGGCUUUAUUGUAAGUUAGCUUAACCACCGGGGACUUUCUUGUAUUUUAUUGAUAGGGUGUUAAUUGUUAGUAAUUUUAUUGUUAAUUUCCCCUUUUAUUCUUGCCAAAUAUUGUUUUAAUUAUUAAUAUUUACUUAUAUUUGGUAUUGGGGUUUAAUUUCAGGAACAAAGCAGAAAAUUACCAAAAAGGAGGGACUUUUAUGGGAAAAUGGAGACUUCUAAGGACCUUGGACUCUUGAAUUGGUGGGGACCACAAGCUAGUGCAAGGCAUUUAGUCAUGUGGGCUUUUCAAAGAAAGUUACGUAAGAGACUUGGAGCAAGAAGUACUUUGGAGGUUUUGUCCACAUGUGCGGGGACCACGGAUAAGAAACAUGAGUCAUUUGGACUCUAGGAAAAGAAACGUACAAGACUUUGAAUUUGGUGUGGGGACCACUAGAGAUAGCAUUAGACUUCCUUUUGGCUUUAAAAAGGGAGAAACGUACGAGAGAUGGGGAAUCAAUAGUUCUUAGUUUAGUUUUAGUUUUCUUUUCUGGGCUCUUUCGCAUGGUUGUUCUCCAUUAAUGGAGAACUAACCUCUUAAUUCUAGUCAAGGGGACAACUGAAGAUUUGGUUCAACAAUUACUGUGAGAUCGAAUUUAUUUUAAUUGUUUCCUCCAUUUAUUGGUAUUCAUAUGUUUCCUGCUUUUAACUGUUAUAGCUCUUGUGUAUGAUUGAUUAGUGCGCAAUAAUUAAUUAUUCAUAUGGACUAUUUUGCUAAAUAGGGGUAAUUGAAUCCGUAAUUGUUCGUUAUCUCUACCUCAGUAGCAACUGGCGUAAUCGGGUUUAUGUCAGGGGAGCAUAUGAUCUAGCUUAAACAAACCCUCGUAGCGUGUUUGUUGGUUAGGAUUGGGCCUUUCUAAUUAUUAAUGCAAUCUAGAAAUUAAAUUCCACGGUCGUACCUGGGGUUAUUUUUGGGUUAGAGAAAUAGCUAACGGUCGUACCUUAGCUAUCGAGAAAUUAAGGAAGGGUUGGUUGUUUAUCGCGUACAUGACAACUAUAACUAAUCUAUUACUAAAUGUUGGAAUUAUCUGUGAAUCAAUGAUCAGUGCCCGAACCAUUUCUGAAGUAUACCCUUGGCUAGAGCUAUCUUAAUUAUUUCUUUUACUUAUUUUCUGCAGUUAAUUUAUUUAGUUAGCAUUUAAUCCAAAACCCCCCAUAUCUUGAACUCUAGAAGAAACGAAUUAUCCCCAGUCCCUGUGGAUUCGACCCUACUCACCGCUAUAUACAAAAUCUGUAUUUUUCUUGAGUAGGUAUUUAUUAUUGUACAGGUUCGGCACCUGUCAAUUUUUGGCGCCGUUGCCGGGGACUGGCGCUAGUUAUUUGUUUCUUUUUAAGUUCAUCUUGUUUUCUUUCUUUUUUUUUUUUUAUAGUUUAUGGCUGCUAGCAUUCCAUAUUUUGAUGAUAGACCGGACUUUGUUCCUGAAUGGGGUUAUGAGACUCAUGUUCUUCCUAAUGAUCAAUGGGCUGUUGCAAAUUGUGGAACUUAUUUUGACUCAGGUUAUUCAACUGACACAUGCCCCGCAUUUCAAGACAAUCUAAGUGCUCCAAUUGAUACUUUCGGAGAUUUUCCACCCCAAUAUCAAAUGCAGUAUGACCCUUAUUCAAACGGGUAUGAUCAAGGAUGGUGGGAUAAUUCCAGUUUUGAUUAUGCGACCGGGCCAAUGGAUUUUCAACAGCAAGAGUCUCAACAACCAUCGUCCCUGUCAGGGUACCAGCAGCAAUACCAACCCCGACCACCUCCGCCCCCAAGCUCUGGUCCAUCUUUGGAGGAGAUGAUAAAACAAGUGAUGACAAACAUGGCGCAAAAUCAGCAAAGGACGGAGGCAAUUCUUAUGCAAAAUCAACAAAGGACGGACUCCGAAAUGCAGGAUAUAAGGAAUCAGAUAAGUCAAAUGGCUACAACAAUCAAUCGUUUGGAUUCCCAGAACCAAGGUGAAUUGCCAUCUCAACCUGAGUUGAACCCGAAGAAUGUCAGCGCCAUGACCUUGAGGAGUGGCAAAGAGGUUCAAGGGCCUGAGCUUGUAAUCCCUAAGGACAAGGAUGAGGAGAUGCAAGAAUGUCAAAAUGAGAAAUCUACAGAUGCAGUUGAAAAAGAAGCCGAAAAUGAAGAAAUGGAACCCCAACCGCAACCCAUUGAAGUGAAAGAAUCCAGUGAAGAAUCAUCAAAUGUGGUGACACCACCUCCAUUCCCUAACCCGCAUUUUCUUAACUUUUAUUCCAUGAUUUCUGUUAAUGAGAUUGAUUUUGUUAUACCGGAAGUUUUUGAGUCUCAUGGCAGAAAUAAGUUAAGAGUAGCUAUGGUCAAAUAUCUUGAACCGUUGAGUGCUCUUGAUGGAGGGGUGGAGGAAAAAUUGAGAUCACUGCUUGAUUAUUUGGCACCAUCAACUAAUCCAUGGAAGACCGUAGCUCGUGUGCUCAAAGAUUACUCCAUCUAUGAGGGUUACCAGGAUCAUAUAGAGGAUGAAGCAUUAAGACGAGCUACACGAUUUUAUCCUCCAUGAACAAAACAUGAUAAUGUCUAGCCAAAGACAUUAAAGAAAGGCGCUCAUUGGGAGACAACCCAAUUUCUUUUAGUUGUUUGUUUGAUUUUAUUUGUUAGUUUAAAUCUGUCUUCCUUGAAUUUGAUUGAUUUUGGGUGUUAAUUUUCGUUUUUUGCUGAUUUGUAGGUGAUCUUCAAUCAUGACGCGCCCGUGUGGUGAUGUGCAGGACGCUCACGAUCAGAAAAUUCUGAAACUUCUGGGAGCUCUCUUACCCUCAUGACGCGCCCGCGUCACGUUCGCGGGAAAGGUAAGGAUUCAAAAAAAAAAAAAAAAAUCUUUUAACCGUAGCUACCUCUUUUCUUUUUUGUUACAAAAGAAAAAAAAAUAAAAAAUAAAAUAAAAAAAUAAAAAUAAAAAAUUUUGAAAAAAUAAAAAAAAAAAAAAGAAAAAAGGAAAAAAAAGAGGAAGUAAUACGGAAUCAAAAGGAAAAAAUUUUUCUUUCUCCUUAACCGUAGCUAGUUCUUGACUUGUCAACGUAAAAACAAAAAAAAAUAAAAAAUAAAAAAAAAUCCUUUCUUUUUCUUUCUUCUUUCUUUCUUUUCUUUCUUUCUUUCUUCUUCUUUCUUUUUCUUUCUUUCUUUCUUCUACUCUGUUCUCCUGCUGGUCCGUCGCUCCUGCUACACGCGCACCUCCAGCUCAGUGCCGCCCUCAGCCCUCUCUCCACCACCAAAUCUGCCCCCACCGCUCGUCACUGCCGACGCGAGAGUGACGCGGCCGCACGCUGCCGGCUCCAACUACACGGCUCUCCUCCAUCUCCCUCCAGCUCCUCUGAGCUCUGUUGCUCACCCGGCGUCGACCACCACCACAAGCCGUCCCUCGCAGCAGCUUCCUCUUUCUGUCCGCUGCUUCUUCCUCUCGCUCGAUUGGACCCAUCGAGCGCCGCCGCUGCUGAAGCUUGCCAGCCGCCCCCUUCGCUGUCCGCGCGCCAAGUUCAGCCACGCGACGCAGGCCACGGACAGGGCCCGUACGCCACUUCGCGAAGGCCCAGCUCAUCUGAGUUCCGCCGCCCGCAGCUCCACCUCCGACCGCUGCUGUUCACGACACCAAACGCUGCACCUCCUCUCUCUUCGCCGCACGCCACCCGCUGCUGUCCCCUUUCAUUUGGUUGUCAUCCAAGGUGGAGGUAAUUGGAACUUGUCCCCCAUUCUCUUAAUAACUAAUUGGUGCUGCCUGGGUUGCUCAAUAGUUAAUGUUGUUGACGAUUGAAGUUUAUUUUCUCAAUUGGUGAAUUCCACCAGUGGUACUGGUCGGACUAUUUUCGCUUGGAAUUGCUAUUUCUUUUGGGUUGGGUGAAAUUGUGCAAUUAAUUGGCCAACUGGAGCCAUUUGUUGGGACUUUGGGUGAGCUGAAAUAUUGCAGUUGUUUGUUAAAUUGGGAGGCCUCUGUACCAUUUACAUUGCUUAUUCCAGUUCAGUGCAUCUAGUUGAAAUGCUGGGGUUCAUUAUUAGAUUUGACUGAGAAUCCUGUGGAUACAUUGCUUGUUGUGUGAAUUGAGCUACAUUAUUUGGGGGAUCUCACUAGUGUGGGUUAGUAGCCGUUGAACUUGUUUCAUCCAUUGUUUGGGUAUUUUGGCUUCGCUGGGUCACUUCUACUCUUUUGGCUGACUGUUGGAGGCUGGGCACUUGGAGUUACUCUGCUACUGUCGAAUUUAUGAGUUAUUAUUGAUUGCAUUGUUAUUUCUUGGGGCUGUUGCUACAAUUUCAGUUGAUUGAGUUGUGCAUUUCAUUUUCCGCCAGUUGUACUAGUUGGAGUGUUUUCCCCCGAAUGUGUUUCCUCUAGCUGGUUAGAUAUUCGAUCAAACUGCCAGGAUCUUGUGGUUGUGUUGCUCUUGAUAAACUUUAGGGUUGCUAUUGCUAGAUUUAGCAUAUUACUGGGGUAUUCGUUAAAAUUUUAGAGUGCAUUUGUUGAGAUUAUGAAUGGCCAAGUUUGCUUGUUGACUGACUGAAUUAGGUAGUCCCUGUGCUUAUUGACGUGACUUUGCUAGUUCCCAGUUAUUGAUAAUAGUUUCUGGUUGUUGAUUUUGGAGUGCAACUAUUGCUUUAUUGACCAUAUUUGGGCUUGAGUGGCCCGUGUUUGCUUUUGCAUUUGACUAUUGAGUUGGGGAACACCAGUGACUAUGGAUUUGCAUUUGUUGGUUGCUAUCUUUGUUGGAUAUUCUGUCUUUUGUUAUUUGGGGUGAUAAUUGGCGUCAAUGGUGAGUGGCGCCACUUACAAGUACAGGUUCACAACGGAGAUGAGCGAAUGACGAAUAUCACCCGCCAAGUGGCAAGGAUGUCUCAGAACUCGGCUUCCCUCCACUGUUCCCUCCUAUCCCUUAGCUGUUCAACAGGGAAGUUUCAUUGUUCUCUUCGUUUUCAUUACUUUAUUACCUCCAUUGAGGACAAUGUAGGAUUUAGGUGUGGGGGGAGCAGUUAUGGUGCUAGUGUCUUUCAUUCAUUUUUUUUUCUUUUUAGUGAUUGGCUCGUAAGUGCAUGCCAAGGUUUGAUGUUGGAUUAUUACCUCUAUUUCUACUAUUGCCAAUUUUAAUAAUAAAAGGGUAUCAAGUUAAUGUGGUUGAAUCCAAAAACAUCUCUUUGGUGAAUAUCGAUGAUUGUUUUACUCUUAUAAUUUUUGGUUAACUUUCCUAGGCAUAGGGAAUGAUUAUUGGCAUUUUCAUGUGAAUUGGUCCGGUUAUUAACUUUAGUUCUCCAUGUUUGAAAAUGAGGCUAGCUGAUGCAAGUUUUCUUUUGGUUCUUGUAUUAUAUUGAGUUUUUGUGAUUUUUAGCUAUGAAUAAACUUGACUGUACUCCGCUAUUAGUUACUACUGAGUAACCGGGGAUCUGCACCUAAAAGUGUUGAUUCUCGCGUCAAAAGGUAGUAAUUGCUAUGAGUACGUGGUCACGUGGCGAUAGAAGCUGAGUAACCGGGCUCCUUCAUAUGGCCAAUGUUGGAGUUCGCGUCAAAAGGCUCAAAUGGCUAGCGACUAAGUCUUUUGUUACUAUUGAAAAAAAAAAAAAAAAAAAAAAAAAAAAAUAGAAAAACGAAAAAAAAAAAAGUGAAGGUUGUGUUAGUGUGUAAUAAAAAUCAGCUUGCCGAAUUAUGGAUUUAAUGUUGAGAUUUUGGUUAAUAGUUGGACCAUUUGCUGAUAAAUGUGAGCAACCAUUCCUUUUUCUUAGAUUAGUUUGCUUUAAAUUGGAGGAGUUGGUAGUUCAGAUGCUAACCGGGGUGAUUUUUCUUGGAUCUUGACCUGUGUCGCUUGAUAUAUGAUUUUCUCGGUGUCCUGGCAAUAUGGUAGUUGGAGUAACAGCCAUGGUCAAAUUUUGGUAUUCAAUUGUUGUUCCCAUGCUUGAGGGCAAGCAUGAUUUAGGUGCGGGGGGAAUUGAUAGGGUGUUAAUUGUUAGUAAUUUUAUUGUUAAUUUCCCCUUUUAUUCUUGCCAAAUAUUGUUUUAAUUAUUAAUAUUUACUUAUAUUUGGUAUUGGGGUUUAAUUUCAGGAACAAAGCAGAAAAUUACCAAAAAGGAGGGACUUUUAUGGGAAAAUGGAGACUUCUAAGGACCUUGGACUCUUGAAUUGGUGGGGACCACAAGCUAGUGCAAGGCAUUUAGUCAUGUGGGCUUUUCAAAGAAAGUUACGUAAGAGACUUGGAGCAAGAAGUACUUUGGAGGUUUUGUCCACAUGUGCGGGGACCACGGAUAAGAAGCAUGAGUCAUUUGGACUCUAGGAAAAGAAACGUACAAGACUUUGAAUUUGGUGUGGGGACCACUAGAGAUAGCAUUAGACUUCCUUUUGGCUUUAAAAAGGGAGAAACGUACGAGAGAUGGGGAAUCAAUAGUUCUUAGUUUAGUUUUAGUUUUCUUUUCUGGGCUCUUUCGCAUGGUUGUUCUCCAUUAAUGGAGAACUAACCUCUUAAUUCUAGUCAAGGGGACAACUGAAGAUUUGGUUCAACAAUUACUGUGAGAUCGAAUUUAUUUUAAUUGUUUCCUCCAUUUAUUGGUAUUCAUAUGUUUCCUGCUUUUAACUGUUAUAGCUCUUGUGUAUGAUUGAUUAGUGCGCAAUAAUUAAUUAUUCAUAUGGACUAUUUUGCUAAAUAGGGGUAAUUGAAUCCGUAAUUGUUCGUUAUCUCUACCUUAUUUUCUUACUUUUUAAAAUUGAGUUUUCUAGCUCCCUCUCCUUCUACUUUUAUUUUCUUGAUGUUAAUAAGAGUGAAAAAAAAAUAACGGAAAAACUGUUUUGCUUUUAUUUUCUUUGUACAUUUAGAGUGGAAAAAAGAGAGGAGAAUAGCCGUUUCAAUCUUUUAUUAUUUUUACUUAUAUAUGAGAGAAGGGUAUUUCCUUCACAAAAAUUUCAACGCGCUAAGUUUAACUGUGUAAUAAAAUGCAUAAUGCUUGGGAAUAAAUCGGCUUAGGGGUGCAGAUAAAGUAAUGAAAAAAAUAACAUUGGGGUAAAGUGAAAAUAGUACUAUGGGGAUAAAGUAAUAAUAAUUCAGAUAAAUGAUUAAAGUUUUGGUAGAAGUGGACCGGAAGUAGACAACAAUUUCCCAUGUAAGGCGGUGGCUUCUAAUUCAUUACUCCAAUAAUUUGUCUCCGCGGAUAAAUUUUGGUUUUCGUUUAAUAUUUAAAAGUCGCCUUUAUAUGAUUUGCUAUAAGUAAUAAAACUUGAGUGUACAAGAUGGUUAAACAAUUAAGGUGGGAUUUAAAAUGGGCUUCUUUGUACUUAAAAUAUAGGCUUGAUUGCAAAGUGCACCCUUAAACUAUUACCGGUUUGUACAUUGCACCCCUAACUAUGAACUGUAGCAAUAUACUACCUUUAUCUUUGAAUUUUUAGCACAUUACUCAAUUAUCAUUAAUUUGGUGGGAUACAGGUUAGUGAAAAGACUUCAACAACCUUGCAAAAUAUACGGUGCCAAAUUUGAUCUUUUACUACUCCUACAAUUGCGGCCACAAUCAUAUUUACAACUAAUUAAUGGCAACAAGCAAUUUUAGAAGGUCACAUGCAAGGAUUUUAUUUUCUCUUCUUAUCUACUAUUUUUCCAUUUUUUUCACAGCAAAAGCAAGGAAAAAUCUCUUCACCUAUGCUUUUGUCUUGGUAAUUAGAAUGUUUAAUCUCUUAUUUACUAAUACAAAAUUAGUUUCCAUCAAAUUCCACUUCAGAUUCCCUAUCAGCAAUAUAGAUCAAAACUAAUUAUCACCAAACUCAUAACCACAGCAAACACAUGGCAAACCAACCAAAUUAGAAAAACCAAAACAAGCCACCAAGAUAAACCCAUCAUUAAUGAAACCAAAACCAUAGACCUAAAAACAACUCGUACCCUAAUUCAUUUGGAUGGAGGAAUUGAGAUAAUAGAUAGGCGUUAUCUUUGAGAUUAGGAUAGAAAGACGAAGGUUAGUGGGGUUUUAGAGGAACUGCAAUUGAUUCAUAUGUUUUACAAGAGUGGAAAGGAGAAUUCGAGACCUGCUUGAGAACAAAGAAUCAGAGGGGUGAGGGAGUUUAAAAAAUGGAUAAGGGAUUUGUUUGAGGACAAAUAAUCAGUGAAGAAAAGGAAAUGGAAAUGGAUUGGGGUUGUUCCAGAGAUUAGAGAGUGGAGUGUAUCCCAUAUGGAGAGGCAAAAGAAUGUGAGCAUAGGAAAUGGUCACCAUAGGGAUUUUGGUUACUCAGAAUGGGGCAAAAUAGUCAUCAAAGUUUUUUCUUGACUUAUUUAUAAUCGAUUGAGGUAAGGUGCUAAAAAUAAAUAGAUGAAGGUAUUAUAGUGCUACAAUUCAUAGUUUAAGAUGCAACCUAUAAUCCAAAGAUAGUUUGAGGGUGCAUUUUGUUAUUAACCCUAAAAUAUAUGGAACUGGGCAAAGAAUUGGGUUGGAUGGCAAGAUAGCACAAAAUAAGAGGUGUAUCUGGUGCUAUUUUGUAUAAAAAAAAAGAUUUAAAUUUAUGAUGCUAAAUAUGUAUCUGUAACGCUAAAAUAUGCAAUUAAUGGAUAUUGAUAAUGUUAGAAUUUUGUAAUAGGCUCAUUCUCUCUUUUUGGUUGAUUAUCCUGUGCCCUUUGGGGCAAAAAAUAGGAAGCGUCAAAUUAAAAUAACAUAAAAAGCAAGUAUAGUCAAGAUCUGGAAUUGGUCGAUGAAAUGGCUGGUGCCUGGUGUCAUCUUGAUAUGAUUUGUUUAUCAUAUAUACACGCUUUCUCAAUCUGACAAGCUAAGAUACACCAUUUCACUAACAAAUAAGAAGAAAAUUUAAUCCCCUUGAUAUAUGUGUGUGUAUAUAUAUAUAUCAAGUCAGCUGCUUAGAAGAUCUUAGUGAUUAUUUUAUAGACAUAUAAUUGCAUUUAUUUUUUCUUAAAAAGUAGUAUUCAAUAAUGUCGUGUAUUUGCUACAUAUGUGAAGAACUUGAUUUUCGACGAAUGGCAAUAACUUUGGUCAUGCGGCGUAGCCAAGAACUCGUUUUGAUUGAAUUUUUUAGGAGUUUUUGGAAAUUUUUUUAUAAAAAUAAUUAUACUAUAAUAUUUUUUGAAAUAUGGUAUAUCAGUUAAAAAAUAGUUGAAAAAUGUGUCCAGAGAGUGUUUAAAUAAAGGUAAGAUAUUUAGACUAAGAUUCAAGCGCCAAUUUUCUUACAUAUUCUUCCAGUUCUGUUUCUUUUAACUUAGGAAUGGAAUAAAUACCCAAAUAAUUAAAGUAUUGGGUAAAAAACAAAAAGUCUCUUGUGGUAAAUCUAAUAUACAGAAAACCCCCUAUAGUUUCAAAAUGUAUAAAACGAUACCUUACGCUUUGAAUUAAAUUGUAAAGGUGACAGAAUCCGUUAAAAUUAACGAAAAUGACUUAUUGGAACCUAAAAAAUUUUUUUUAUGCCUAAUUUUUAACAAAUAUACCUACUCUACCCUUAGCCCCCAAUUAUCUCUCUCCAAAGAAUGAAACAAAUGAUUUUGUUGAGCUAUCCUUUGCUUAGUUAUAUCAGGGCAUUUUUAUCAUUUCAUCUAUCCCCGUUAAGUUUAACAGAUUCCAUCAUCUUUACAAUUUAGUUCAAAAUAUGAGGUAUCGUUUUAUACGUUUUGAAACUAUCUGGAGUUUUUCUGUAUAUUAGAUUUAUCACAGGGGAUUUUUUUUAUUUUUUAUUUGUUGCAUCGAUGAAAUGUUAUUUGCACUCUAUAUUUUGUUUUUUGCAUUCCUACCAUUUGUUUUAUCAUAAGUCUAAUAAAUGAAAAUUAUAUGAUUAAAAUAAUAGUGGGAGUGUAAUUAACAAAAAUUAAAGUGUGAAUAACAUUUCUCCAAGUUUUUUGUUUAAAAAUAAAUAUUGAAAAGACUUGUAUUUUCCAAAACAAUUUUGAUUCCAAAAAUCCAAAAUUAUACAAAUGGUGCCCAAACAAAAAUUCCAAAACUAUUAAUUGCCUAGUACCUUUCUUCUUCUUUUUUUUUUUUUAAUCAGAUGGCGAAGGUCGAAUAAGAUCUAGAGAAACAUAGAGAUACUACGCACCCUUAUCAAUUUAGAAGAAAUCAUAUAUAAUGACACGUUGACGAAAGGAAAAGUUUGAAUGGUUGACCUUCCGUCGCACCAAAAUUUAAAAGUCUUUGGGAGUGGUUUUGGGUUGUUGGUUAAUUGCCUGGUACUUUUCGCUUCAUAAAAGUACACAUAAUGCUAAAAAGCUGCUAUUACUUUCCAAAAUAAUUUCUACAUAGAAAGCAGGACCGUAGACUUCACACUGCAGCUUCUCUCCGACUGUACCUCUCAACUUUCCAUAACUUUGUCUUCAAGAAAACGCCGAAAAAAAUGAAAAUGAAAACUUUCCAAAUUUCUUAGUAUUAACUAAUCAGCGUAACGGUAGCAUAUAUAUAUAUAUAUAUAUAUUCUCAGGGCCCAGACAUCAGUCUAAAUUAGUCCCAAGCUCUUUAGUUCUCAAAUCAUCAGGUAGUAUUAAAACUCCGGAUUUUCUUCAAUUUUUGCAAGAAUGGCAAUUUUGAGUUCUCAGAAGAGAGAAGAGAUGAGAAGAAAUGAAAGUUUUCGCCGACGCCCUCGAAAGAGCAGCAAGCCCUGUAGAGCUAGUACCAAUUCUGUUGCAGAUCAGUUUCGUUUUUGGCCCUUUUUGGUUGAAAAAACCGAAGCACCAACCCAGAAAUCUUGUGUAAAUAAGGGCAAGAAAAUGAUCGGAUUAGCACUGCCUAAUCUUGAUCAAGAACUGCCCUCCAAGAAAUCUUGUGGAAAGCUACGUGCUGAAGCUAAAACUAGCCAAGAAAGCCGAAAAAUCGAGAUCAUUUUCAAGAAAAAAUUAGUGAAAGCCAAAGCUCAAGUUUUUCCACCUCCAUCGCACAACUUCCAACUGACUUCAAGAAUUACAUGAGCAGGAAACUGGGGCGACGGGGGACCCUGUUUUGGUGAUUGAGAAGAGUUUGUUUCCAUCAGAUGUUUCAGCCAAGCUUCACAGAUUGUCGAUACCAGUCAAGCAAGUUGCCAAUCACGAGUUCUUGACAGAAGAAGAGAGGAAAAGAUUCAACAAUGGGAACAAACAAGAAAAAAUUGAUGCCAUCUGGUUGAGCCAUCACUUUCUGAAUCGAAAAUCAGGUUCAAGAAAUGGUACAUCCAUGAUUCUGGAAUGUAUAUUUUGACUAGUGGUUGGAAUGAUGUUGUGGAGAGGAAUGGAUUGAAACAAGGAACAUUAGUGCAGCUAUGGUCAUUCCGGAAAGAAUCCCAAUUGUACUUUGCUCUGAUUAGGCUCUAAUUACACGGUUAAAACUUUUGUGUAAUUAAUUGCAAGCUAAUCAAUUAAAUGAAGUUCUGAAGUUGAUUUUCUUUUGUCGUUUUGGAAGUUGGAACUUGGAAGGGUGGAAACUAUUACAUAGCUAUAAAUUAUAUCUUAAUUUGCUCAAAAAGAUUAUUAAUAAUUUAAUUUAAUUUUAAUUUGUACUUGUUUAUAGGGAUAAUUUCAGUAACCUCCCUUGAGGUUUUUGACAAUUUCACUCGGCUCCCCUAGGUUUAAGAAAUCACACUUACCUCUCUUGAUAUAGUAAAAUACCUAUAAUGCCCUUCACUCAAUAGGCAAUUUUAAAUUUAAAAUAAUAAAUUUAAAAAUCUAAAAAAAAAUCUAUUUUGCCGUCUCUUGUCUAUUUUCUAGUUUAUAUAACAUCUUUUUAUUAUUUUCAAUUUUGUGGAUAUUAGCAAAUUGAAAUUACAAAAUCUACAAAGGGACCAGAUUAUGUGUCAAAUUAGAAGGAAAUGAAGAGACUCACAAUGAUAGAAAAAUAAAUAAUGAAAUUGAUGAUUGAAAUAGGAAAAAUAACUAAAGAUGUGGAAUUUGUCAUAUUUUGUUUGUUGUUAAGAAAAUUUUUUAUAAAAUAUCAAUAAUUACAUAAUGCUUUCUUCCAUUGGAUUAGAAAUUUUUUAUUAUGAUUUUAUUGUGAAGGUAGAAUUUAUAAUAUUUUGUUUGUUGUUAAGAAAACCUUUUAUAAAAUGUCAAUAAUUACAUAAUGUUUUUUUUCAUUGGAUUAGAAAUUUUUUAUUAUGAUUUUAUUGUGGAGGUAGAAUUUUUGCUCUAUUUUUGAGAUAUGAAUAUUUUUAAGGCUAUUGGGGAUUUAUAAUGGUGAUUCUAGAUCAAAUUAGUUUGUAUUUGAGUAUUGAUAUUUAAUUUGGGGUAUAACAUUAGUUGUCAAUAGGAUUUUGUGUGUGUAUGUGUAUUUUGUGGUAAGUAUAGAUACUGUGUAUGUAAUUUGGGAUCUUUUGGAUAGCUAUUUGAUUUUAGAACUUAUAUUUGGAUGGUUCAUAGGGAUUUAACUUAUUAAUAUAUGUAAAGUGUGAAAGAAAAUGAUUGAAUAUAUUAUAUUUUUCUUUCUUAGUUUUGUACAAAAGGACAAUUUAGGAAUUUUGAAAGAAAAUCUAAAUUCUUGGACCUGUAUUAUUAUUAAACAGUAAAAGUAGGGGAGGUAUAUAUAAUUUUUAAAACCAGAGGACAGCUCUUUGUAAUUGUGAGAAACCUCAAGGGAGGUUUGUGAAAUUAUCCCUUGUUUAUAUGCUAUAGCUGUAGUGGAAUGAUCAAUUCUCGCUGUCAAGCCAACCCAAUGGUGGGAUUGUGGGGUUCUGCUUUUACUGUUUUUCUUUUUACUUAUUUAAUUUAAACUUGGGGAGCAAGAUUUAGACCUUGCACUGACUAGCCGCGUUGACCAAGAAGGUCUGAAUCUUUUGCAGGGUUAAGAAAUGCAAGAUGACUUAUUAUAAUGGGUCUCGGAGUUUACUUGUAUUACAUUGUAGCCCCUCAAUAGUGUAUGUUGAAAAAACACAUGAUUUAUUUUGAGUGCUUUCUUGUAUACUAAAUUGUAAAAUUUUGCCCUGUUAUUUUUACUUUCACGGAAUGCAUGUUUUUGUGCUAAGAUUACAUUGAACAGGUGCAAAAAAAAAAAAAAGGUAUAAUUGAUGUGAUCAAAAAGAUUUGAGUAAUGUGCAAAUUGGAUAAAUGUUGGAGGUAAAUUUUCAAUAUUAACUGUAAAAGAAAUCAAUAAAUUGGUUGGAUAGACUAGUAAUGACUUUAAUUUCAUAAAGGGCCCGUUUGGCAAGUGAGUUUUUUGGAUGCUUAUCUAAAAUUUUACUGUAUCUUUCUGUAGAUGUUGUAGAAAAAAAUUUUGAAGUGUAUAUCUGGAUAUUUUGAAGUGUAUAGUUUAAAAAUUUUGAAAAUUUUUUGAGAUUACUCUAGCUAAAAUUAUUAAAAAAACUUGUAGCAGACAAACUUGGCAAAAAACUUGCUUGCUAAACAAGGAAGGCUAGCUAAAUUUUUUUAUAAAAGUAAUAUUAAUAUGACUUUAAUUUAAUAAAGGCUGGCUAAAUUUUUUUUUGGUAAAAGUAUUAUUAAUUUGAUAAAGUCUAUAAAUGCAAGGGUGUAAUAACUAUGAUUUUAGGUCUUUGCAUGGCAUGUGAAGUAGAAAGCCAAGUAGUAAAAUUUGAUUAUCUCAUAUUGUUGAAUGUUACAUUGAUGCCCACAUUGCACCUUGCCCAAAGAUUAAAUUAUCACCCAGGAUAAGAUCCAUGCGGUAGUUUAAUUGGAAGAUAUUUUGGAGUUUGAGGGUACAAUCUUUGUUAAUUUUUCUAAUAUAUUAUAUCUCAUUUAGUUUUAGAUAUGUUGGAAUCUAUUGUAAGUUUGAUGUAAUUUAUGCCAUUAGUAUAAAGCGCAUAAAAUUGGGUGCUCUAACUGGUUUGAAUUUUGUAGUUUAAUAAAAAAAAAAAUAGCUUUUAUAGGUUAAUUGAUUAGCACGUGAGUUAUUAUUCCUUAAUCUUGCUGUUUAAAAUUAGGUGCUACUUUAUUUUUGCUUUUUAAAUUUAAUUUAACAGACAUAUAACUGUACGUGACUCUUAUCAAUAAUUAAACAAACUCUUCAGAUAUCUUAAAUUUGCUUUGAAUUAGAUACAACAGGGACUAGAUUUGUUUUUACCAAAAUAUCAAGGACUAAAAUUGCACAAGUACUAAAUAGCCAAAAUUACAUUUUUCCCCAAAUCCUAGUACUUGUAAUAAACAAUAAACUCCUAUUAUUUAGCGGCCACUCACGUCCAACACUAAAACAAAUUUUAUAUUUUUACUAUUAUAAUCUAAAGAGAUUCAGGGCUUUCAAUUUUAAAUUUGCUUAUGGAAUUUAUUAAAAAAAAAAAAAAGAGCAUAAUCCUCAAUGAUCGGAAACCAUUUUUAUCAAUAAAAAAAAUCCCAGCAACCAAAAAAGGAAACUUUCCUAAACAUUACUUCCGCAAACUAACACAACGGUAAUAUGACCUUCCCGAAUCCGAAUAGAAUUCAGGAUUAAGAGGUUUCCGGGUUUCAGUUUUAAAUUUGCUCUUGGAGAAAAUGGAAUGAAAAAUGGUUACAUUUUCUAAAUAUAGUUCUCAAAAUAUUAAUACGGGCAACAAAUUACCUUUAGGCAUUGAACAUCAAGUACUAUUACUAAAAUCCCAGAAUCCCAGAACCAGAAAGCAAAAAAGGAAACUUCCAAAACUAUUACUCCCACAAACUAACAUAACGGUAAUAUGCCCCACCUGAGUCCUAAUAGGAUUCAGAUACCAACUUAAACUAUCCAACACAAAUAGCUGUAUAAAUUCUGAAUCCUCACAUUGCCGCAGAAUUUCUUCGUAGGAGUCCUUAAACCUAGUUUUUUUCAACAUCAGCAGCAGUUGUUCUUGAGAAGAAGACGAGAGACAGAGAUUUCUGAUCACUGGGCUUCAUCAUUCCAGUCCGUUUUAGGUUUUCUUCAAUUAUUUCUUUUCAUUGUUAGUUUUAAGUAAUCAUUAAUAGGAAGAAAUCGUAGUUCUAGCAUCUAAGUUGGUGGAAGGGAAGAUCAAGAAAAUUUCCGCCGACGCCCUCGAUAGAGCAAGUAUCCUCAAAGAUCAAAGUUCGAUUCNNNNNNNNNNNNNNNNNNNNNNNNNNNNNNNNNNNNNNNNNNNNNNNNNNNNNNNNNNNNNNNNNNNNNNNNNNNNNNNNNNNNNNNNNNNNNNNNNNNNNNNNNNNNNNNNNNNNNNNNNNNNNNNNNNNNNNNNNNNNNNNNNNNNNNNNNNNNNNNNNNNNNNNNNNNNNNNNNNNNNNNNNNNNNNNNNNNNNNNNNNNNNNNNNNNNNNNNNNNNNNNNNNNNNNNNNNNNNNNNNNNNNNNNNNNNNNNNNNNNNNNNNNNNNNNNNNNNNNNNNNNNNNNNNNNNNNNNNNNNNNNNNNNNNNNNNNNNNNNNNNNNNNNNNNNNNNNNNNNNNNNNNNNNNNNNNNNNNNNNNNNNNNNNNNNNNNNNNNNNNNNNNNNNNNNNNNNNNNNNNNNNNNNNNNNNNNNNNNNNNNNNNNNNNNNNNNNNNNNNNNNNNNNNNNNNNNNNNNNNNNNNNNNNNNNNNNNNNNNNNNNNNNNNNNNNNNNNNNNNNNNNNNNNNNNNNNNNNNNNNNNNNNNNNNNNNNNNNNNNNNNNNNNNNNNNNNNNNNNNNNNNNNNNNNNNNNNNNNNNNNNNNNNNNNNNNNNNNNNNNNNNNNNNNNNNNNNNNNNNNNNNNNNNNNNNNNNNNNNNNNNNNNNNNNNNNNNNNNNNNNNNNNNNNNNNNNNNNNNNNNNNNNNNNNNNNNNNNNNNNNNNNNNNNNNNNNNNNNNNNNNNNNNNNNNNNNNNNNNNNNNNNNNNNNNNNNNNNNNNNNNNNNNNNNNNNNNNNNNNNNNNNNNNNNNNNNNNNNNNNNNNNNNNNNNNNNNNNNNNNNNNNNNNNNNNNNNNNNNNNNNNNNNNNNNNNNNNNNNNNNNNNNNNNNNNNNNNNNNNNNNNNNNNNNNNNNNNNNNNNNNNNNNNNNNNNNNNNNNNNNNNNNNNNNNNNNNNNNNNNNNNNNNNNNNNNNNNNNNNNNNNNNNNNNNNNNNNNNNNNNNNNNNNNNNNNNNNNNNNNNNNNNNNNNNNNNNNNNNNNNNNNNNNNNNNNNNNNNNNNNNNNNNNNNNNNNNNNNNNNNNNNNNNNNNNNNNNNNNNNNNNNNNNNNNNNNNNNNNNNNNNNNNNNNNNNNNNNNNNNNNNNNNNNNNNNNNNNNNNNNNNNNNNNNNNNNNNNNNNNNNNNNNNNNNNNNNNNNNNNNNNNNNNNNNNNNNNNNNNNNNNNNNNNNNNNNNNNNNNNNNNNNNNNNNNNNNNNNNNNNNNNNNNNNNNNNNNNNNNNNNNNNNNNNNNNNNNNNNNNNNNNNNNNNNNNNNNNNNNNNNNNNNNNNNNNNNNNNNNNNNNNNNNNNNNNNNNNNNNNNNNNNNNNNNNNNNNNNNNNNNNNNNNNNNNNNNNNNNNNNNNNNNNNNNNNNNNNNNNNNNNNNNNNNNNNNNNNNNNNNNNNNNNNNNNNNNNNNNNNNNNNNNNNNNNNNNNNNNNNNNNNNNNNNNNNNNNNNNNNNNNNNNNNNNNNNNNNNNNNNNNNNNNNNNNNNNNNNNNNNNNNNNNNNNNNNNNNNNNNNNNNNNNNNNNNNNNNNNNNNNNNNNNNNNNNNNNNNNNNNNNNNNNNNNNNNNNNNNNNNNNNNNNNNNNNNNNNNNNNNNNNNNNNNNNNNNNNNNNNNNNNNNNNNNNNNNNNNNNNNNNNNNNNNNNNNNNNNNNNNNNNNNNNNNNNNNNNNNNNNNNNNNNNNNNNNNNNNNNNNNNNNNNNNNNNNNNNNNNNNNNNNNNNNNNNNNNNNNNNNNNNNNNNNNNNNNNNNNNNNNNNNNNNNNNNNNNNNNNNNNNNNNNNNNNNNNNNNNNNNNNNNNNNNNNNNNNNNNNNNNNNNNNNNNNNNNNNNNNNNNNNNNNNNNNNNNNNNNNNNNNNNNNNNNNNNNNNNNNNNNNNNNNNNNNNNNNNNNNNNNNNNNNNNNNNNNNNNNNNNNNNNNNNNNNNNNNNNNNNNNNNNNNNNNNNNNNNNNNNNNNNNNNNNNNNNNNNNNNNNNNNNNNNNNNNNNNNNNNNNNNNNNNNNNNNNNNNNNNNNNNNNNNNNNNNNNNNNNNNNNNNNNNNNNNNNNNNNNNNNNNNNNNNNNNNNNNNNNNNNNNNNNNNNNNNNNNNNNNNNNNNNNNNNNNNNNNNNNNNNNNNNNNNNNNNNNNNNNNNNNNNNNNNNNNNNNNNNNNNNNNNNNNNNNNNNNNNNNNNNNNNNNNNNNNNNNNNNNNNNNNNNNNNNNNNNNNNNNNNNNNNNNNNNNNNNNNNNNNNNNNNNNNNNNNNNNNNNNNNNNNNNNNNNNNNNNNNNNNNNNNNNNNNNNNNNNNNNNNNNNNNNNNNNNNNNNNNNNNNNNNNNNNNNNNNNNNNNNNNNNNNNNNNNNNNNNNNNNNNNNNNNNNNNNNNNNNNNNNNNNNNNNNNNNNNNNNNNNNNNNNNNNNNNNNNNNNNNNNNNNNNNNNNNNNNNNNNNNNNNNNNNNNNNNNNNNNNNNNNNNNNNNNNNNNNNNNNNNNNNNNNNNNNNNNNNNNNNNNNNNNNNNNNNNNNNNNNNNNNNNNNNNNNNNNNNNNNNNNNNNNNNNNNNNNNNNNNNNNNNNNNNNNNNNNNNNNNNNNNNNNNNNNNNNNNNNNNNNNNNNNNNNNNNNNNNNNNNNNNNNNNNNNNNNNNNNNNNNNNNNNNNNNNNNNNNNNNNNNNNNNNNNNNNNNNNNNNNNNNNNNNNNNNNNNNNNNNNNNNNNNNNNNNNNNNNNNNNNNNNNNNNNNNNNNNNNNNNNNNNNNNNNNNNNNNNNNNNNNNNNNNNNNNNNNNNNNNNNNNNNNNNNNNNNNNNNNNNNNNNNNNNNNNNNNNNNNNNNNNNNNNNNNNNNNNNNNNNNNNNNNNNNNNNNNNNNNNNNNNNNNNNNNNNNNNNNNNNNNNNNNNNNNNNNNNNNNNNNNNNNNNNNNNNNNNNNNNNNNNNNNNNNNNNNNNNNNNNNNNNNNNNNNNNNNNNNNNNNNNNNNNNNNNNNNNNNNNNNNNNNNNNNNNNNNNNNNNNNNNNNNNNNNNNNNNNNNNNNNNNNNNNNNNNNNNNNNNNNNNNNNNNNNNNNNNNNNNNNNNNNNNNNNNNNNNNNNNNNNNNNNNNNNNNNNNNNNNNNNNNNNNNNNNNNNNNNNNNNNNNNNNNNNNNNNNNNNNNNNNNNNNNNNNNNNNNNNNNNNNNNNNNNNNNNNNNNNNNNNNNNNNNNNNNNNNNNNNNNNNNNNNNNNNNNNNNNNNNNNNNNNNNNNNNNNNNNNNNNNNNNNNNNNNNNNNNNNNNNNNNNNNNNNNNNNNNNNNNNNNNNNNNNNNNNNNNNNNNNNNNNNNNNNNNNNNNNNNNNNNNNNNNNNNNNNNNNNNNNNNNNNNNNNNNNNNNNNNNNNNNNNNNNNNNNNNNNNNNNNNNNNNNNNNNNNNNNNNNNNNNNNNNNNNNNNNNNNNNNNNNNNNNNNNNNNNNNNNNNNNNNNNNNNNNNNNNNNNNNNNNNNNNNNNNNNNNNNNNNNNNNNNNNNNNNNNNNNNNNNNNNNNNNNNNNNNNNNNNNNNNNNNNNNNNNNNNNNNNNNNNNNNNNNNNNNNNNNNNNNNNNNNNNNNNNNNNNNNNNNNNNNNNNNNNNNNNNNNNNNNNNNNNNNNNNNNNNNNNNNNNNNNNNNNNNNNNNNNNNNNNNNNNNNNNNNNNNNNNNNNNNNNNNNNNNNNNNNNNNNNNNNNNNNNNNNNNNNNNNNNNNNNNNNNNNNNNNNNNNNNNNNNNNNNNNNNNNNNNNNNNNNNNNNNNNNNNNNNNNNNNNNNNNNNNNNNNNNNNNNNNNNNNNNNNNNNNNNNNNNNNNNNNNNNNNNNNNNNNNNNNNNNNNNNNNNNNNNNNNNNNNNNNNNNNNNNNNNNNNNNNNNNNNNNNNNNNNNNNNNNNNNNNNNNNNNNNNNNNNNNNNNNNNNNNNNNNNNNNNNNNNNNNNNNNNNNNNNNNNNNNNNNNNNNNNNNNNNNNNNNNNNNNNNNNNNNNNNNNNNNNNNNNNNNNNNNNNNNNNNNNNNNNNNNNNNNNNNNNNNNNNNNNNNNNNNNNNNNNNNNNNNNNNNNNNNNNNNNNNNNNNNNNNNNNNNNNNNNNNNNNNNNNNNNNNNNNNNNNNNNNNNNNNNNNNNNNNNNNNNNNNNNNNNNNNNNNNNNNNNNNNNNNNNNNNNNNNNNNNNNNNNNNNNNNNNNNNNNNNNNNNNNNNNNNNNNNNNNNNNNNNNNNNNNNNNNNNNNNNNNNNNNNNNNNNNNNNNNNNNNNNNNNNNNNNNNNNNNNNNNNNNNNNNNNNNNNNNNNNNNNNNNNNNNNNNNNNNNNNNNNNNNNNNNNNNNNNNNNNNNNNNNNNNNNNNNNNNNNNNNNNNNNNNNNNNNNNNNNNNNNNNNNNNNNNNNNNNNNNNNNNNNNNNNNNNNNNNNNNNNNNNNNNNNNNNNNNNNNNNNNNNNNNNNNNNNNNNNNNNNNNNNNNNNNNNNNNNNNNNNNNNNNNNNNNNNNNNNNNNNNNNNNNNNNNNNNNNNNNNNNNNNNNNNNNNNNNNNNNNNNNNNNNNNNNNNNNNNNNNNNNNNNNNNNNNNNNNNNNNNNNNNNNNNNNNNNNNNNNNNNNNNNNNNNNNNNNNNNNNNNNNNNNNNNNNNNNNNNNNNNNNNNNNNNNNNNNNNNNNNNNNNNNNNNNNNNNNNNNNNNNNNNNNNNNNNNNNNNNNNNNNNNNNNNNNNNNNNNNNNNNNNNNNNNNNNNNNNNNNNNNNNNNNNNNNNNNNNNNNNNNNNNNNNNNNNNNNNNNNNNNNNNNNNNNNNNNNNNNNNNNNNNNNNNNNNNNNNNNNNNNNNNNNNNNNNNNNNNNNNNNNNNNNNNNNNNNNNNNNNNNNNNNNNNNNNNNNNNNNNNNNNNNNNNNNNNNNNNNNNNNNNNNNNNNNNNNNNNNNNNNNNNNNNNNNNNNNNNNNNNNNNNNNNNNNNNNNNNNNNNNNNNNNNNNNNNNNNNNNNNNNNNNNNNNNNNNNNNNNNNNNNNNNNNNNNNNNNNNNNNNNNNNNNNNNNNNNNNNNNNNNNNNNNNNNNNNNNNNNNNNNNNNNNNNNNNNNNNNNNNNNNNNNNNNNNNNNNNNNNNNNNNNNNNNNNNNNNNNNNNNNNNNNNNNNNNNNNNNNNNNNNNNNNNNNNNNNNNNNNNNNNNNNNNNNNNNNNNNNNNNNNNNNNNNNNNNNNNNNNNNNNNNNNNNNNNNNNNNNNNNNNNNNNNNNNNNNNNNNNNNNNNNNNNNNNNNNNNNNNNNNNNNNNNNNNNNNNNNNNNNNNNNNNNNNNNNNNNNNNNNNNNNNNNNNNNNNNNNNNNNNNNNNNNNNNNNNNNNNNNNNNNNNNNNNNNNNNNNNNNNNNNNNNNNNNNNNNNNNNNNNNNNNNNNNNNNNNNNNNNNNNNNNNNNNNNNNNNNNNNNNNNNNNNNNNNNNNNNNNNNNNNNNNNNNNNNNNNNNNNNNNNNNNNNNNNNNNNNNNNNNNNNNNNNNNNNNNNNNNNNNNNNNNNNNNNNNNNNNNNNNNNNNNNNNNNNNNNNNNNNNNNNNNNNNNNNNNNNNNNNNNNNNNNNNNNNNNNNNNNNNNNNNNNNNNNNNNNNNNNNNNNNNNNNNNNNNNNNNNNNNNNNNNNNNNNNNNNNNNNNNNNNNNNNNNNNNNNNNNNNNNNNNNNNNNNNNNNNNNNNNNNNNNNNNNNNNNNNNNNNNNNNNNNNNNNNNNNNNNNNNNNNNNNNNNNNNNNNNNNNNNNNNNNNNNNNNNNNNNNNNNNNNNNNNNNNNNNNNNNNNNNNNNNNNNNNNNNNNNNNNNNNNNNNNNNNNNNNNNNNNNNNNNNNNNNNNNNNNNNNNNNNNNNNNNNNNNNNNNNNNNNNNNNNNNNNNNNNNNNNNNNNNNNNNNNNNNNNNNNNNNNNNNNNNNNNNNNNNNNNNNNNNNNNNNNNNNNNNNNNNNNNNNNNNNNNNNNNNNNNNNNNNNNNNNNNNNNNNNNNNNNNNNNNNNNNNNNNNNNNNNNNNNNNNNNNNNNNNNNNNNNNNNNNNNNNNNNNNNNNNNNNNNNNNNNNNNNNNNNNNNNNNNNNNNNNNNNNNNNNNNNNNNNNNNNNNNNNNNNNNNNNNNNNNNNNNNNNNNNNNNNNNNNNNNNNNNNNNNNNNNNNNNNNNNNNNNNNNNNNNNNNNNNNNNNNNNNNNNNNNNNNNNNNNNNNNNNNNNNNNNNNNNNNNNNNNNNNNNNNNNNNNNNNNNNNNNNNNNNNNNNNNNNNNNNNNNNNNNNNNNNNNNNNNNNNNNNNNNNNNNNNNNNNNNNNNNNNNNNNNNNNNNNNNNNNNNNNNNNNNNNNNNNNNNNNNNNNNNNNNNNNNNNNNNNNNNNNNNNNNNNNNNNNNNNNNNNNNNNNNNNNNNNNNNNNNNNNNNNNNNNNNNNNNNNNNNNNNNNNNNNNNNNNNNNNNNNNNNNNNNNNNNNNNNNNNNNNNNNNNNNNNNNNNNNNNNNNNNNNNNNNNNNNNNNNNNNNNNNNNNNNNNNNNNNNNNNNNNNNNNNNNNNNNNNNNNNNNNNNNNNNNNNNNNNNNNNNNNNNNNNNNNNNNNNNNNNNNNNNNNNNNNNNNNNNNNNNNNNNNNNNNNNNNNNNNNNNNNNNNNNNNNNNNNNNNNNNNNNNNNNNNNNNNNNNNNNNNNNNNNNNNNNNNNNNNNNNNNNNNNNNNNNNNNNNNNNNNNNNNNNNNNNNNNNNNNNNNNNNNNNNNNNNNNNNNNNNNNNNNNNNNNNNNNNNNNNNNNNNNNNNNNNNNNNNNNNNNNNNNNNNNNNNNNNNNNNNNNNNNNNNNNNNNNNNNNNNNNNNNNNNNNNNNNNNNNNNNNNNNNNNNNNNNNNNNNNNNNNNNNNNNNNNNNNNNNNNNNNNNNNNNNNNNNNNNNNNNNNNNNNNNNNNNNNNNNNNNNUGGUGGAGAACCUUCCAAGGUACUGCUCACAUUGUUUCCGCCAAGGUCACGAUGUGGAGACUUGUCAUGUUUUAAAGCCCGAGUUGCGAGGAGCAUCUGGUCACCAUACCAAGACUACUGGAACAACACAACUACGGUUGGCAGAGACGUCGAAUACAGACAUGCCUGAUGGCCCUUUGGAGGGUAAUGGAGAAAGGCCAUCGGUAUUGAUACAAGAUGCGGCAGUAAUUGAUGGGGCAAAGGGAGAAGUUAAUGAGACUGUGACUGGCAAAGCGCUAGUUGCUCACGAUCAGUUAAUAGGUGGUACGCCUCACGAAGCUGAGCAAGGUGACCAGGUGCAGCAGUCCUGUGCUACUAUACCAGCGCAGCAGGAGAGGAAAAUGGAGGAGAAUUAUGGGACGGUGGCGGUAGAAGGUAUCGAGGUGGUGCUGCCACAUGACAAAGGAGAGGAACGUUCUGAGGAUGUGGGGAGUGGGUUGCCCGCGAGGGUGGUCGUACGUUCUGCUGAGGGGCAAGUUGAAGACAUACAAGAUACUCAACGAAGGGACGGUACCCUCUCCCCUAGGGGCAAGGAUCUUAUCCGACAAGAAGAGUCAUCACUAGAGACCGGGCAUAUAGACACGGGGGGUACCCUGGAACUAGAAGAAGUUGUUCGUAAGGAGCGAAUGGAUGCAAGGUCGCGUGGUCUCCGGGUUGGUCUCCCGUCAGAUAGAACACUACGCUCCAUGGUUAGUUCUUCAACAAAUUCUUUUUCUGUCCUUUCUGAUGAUUAAGUUACUUUUUUGGAAUAUAAGAGGGGUAGCUCGUGCUCCUAAUUUAAGGCGGUUAAGGAAACUUAUUAAAUUGUAUGAUCUUCAAUUGGUGGUUGUUGUUGAACCUAAGUUGAGGGUGGAGUCAAUUACUGAUAUUAGAAUUAAAUUGGGGAUGGAUUGUUGCAUGUUCAAUCAUUGGGGUUCUGUUUGGAUUUUCUACCGGUCAUUGUUUACGUGUCAGAUUACAGGGGAGUCUCCCCAACAUAUAACUAUUAGAGUACAAUCUCAUCUUUUCCAAGACUCCAUUAUUUUGUCUUGUAUACACGCGAAGUGUACGCAGCAGGACAGAGAGGAUUUGUGGAAUGCACUUUUGCAGGAUAAACCCGCCUUCAAUCCUUGGUUUUUGGUGGGGGAUUUCAAUGUGGUCACAAAUACAGAGGAGAAGAGGGGUGGAUUGCCAUUUAGACCGUCGGAGGGAUCAGACUUUCUGAAUUUUAUGGCGCUAGCUGGUGUCAGUGAUGCGGGAUUCUCUGGGUCAAGGUUUACAUGGUGUAAUAAUCGUUCGGGAACGGCGCGGAUCUGGAAGCGUCUGGAUCGCUUACUUCUGUGUGGGAGUGCAAUGGAGCUACCGUACCAAUUCAUGGUGCAACAUUUAGGCCGUGACCCGUCGGAUCAUGCUCCCUUGUUGCUAUCGGUGGAUACGAGGCUAGACAAUAAACCCAAGCCGUUUCGUUUCUUAAACAUCUGGACCACUCAUCCUGAUUUUCUGGGGGUUAUCAAGGACUGUUGGGUUCAUCCAGUCAAUGGCUCUCCUUUGCAAGUAUUGGCAUCGAAGUUGAGGAAUGUUAAAAAUGCCCUCAAGCAGUGGUCUAGGACGACAUUCGGGGAUAUUUUUGAAGGGGUACGUAGUGCAGAGCGUGUGGUAACCGAGUCUGAGACAGCAUACGACCUCGAUCCUACUGAGCAGCGACGGAGCGAGUUACAUCAUGCUCGGGCUCGAUUGCGCCGAGCGCUUGUAGUUGAGGAGGGUUUUUGGAGACAAAAGGCGCGGGUUAAGUGGCUUUCGGACGGAGAUAGGAACACCAAAUAUUUCCACUCCUUGGUUUCGGAAAGGAGACGUAGGGCAGUAAUUCAUCGAGUCAGGGGUACUGCUGGAGAAUGGAUCGAGGGGGAAUGCCAAAUUGGGGAGGCAGCGGUGGGUUUCUUUAAGGAACUUUUCACGGCAGAGGGGGAUCUUCCCUCCCUUACCGGUCUGGAGAUCAUACCUAAACUGAUAACAGACCAGGAAAACUCACGGUUAACGGACAUUCCAUCUCUUACAGAAGUUAAAGACAUAGUCUUUGCUAUGGAUGGAGAGAGCGCAGCCGGCCCGGACGGGUUUACAGGGAAAUUCUUUACCUUUGCUUGGGAGGUAGUGGCAUCGGAUUUAUACCGGGCGGUUGUCAGCUUUUUCUGCGGUGCUGAACUACCUAGGAGUAUCACGGCUACCUCAAUUGUGUUGCUGCCAAAAGUGGAGAACCCCCAAGAUUUUAAGCAUUUUCGUCCAAUCAGUCUGUGCAACUUUACUAACAAAAUCAUCUCCAAGCUGUUAUCGGCAAGGUUGGCGAUGAUAUUACCCCGGAUUAUAUCUCCACAGCAAAGCGGGUUUGUCCAAGGGAGGCAGAUUACAGAUAAUUUCUUGUUAGCUCAGGAGUUAGUAGCCGAUAUCGGGAAAUCAAAUCGGGGUGGCAAUGUGGUCAUCAAGUUAGACAUGAUGAAGGCUUAUGAUAAAGUCUCAUGGCCCUUUCUCCUACAGGUGCUACGAUAUUUCGGAUUCAGUGAGACCUGGAUAGACAUGAUUUGGCGAUUAAUAUCGAAUGUGUGGUUCUCGGUACUUGUUAAUGGUGGUUCAAACGGCUUUUUCAGAUCUUCACGGGGUUUACGGCAAGGGGAUCCAAUUUCACCAGCCUUAUUCGUUAUCGGAGCUGAGGUGCUGUCUAGAACCCUCAACACGCUACCCACACAAAGAGGAUUUACUCCGUUCAAAGUUCCUCCUCAUUGUUCUAUAAUUACGCAUUUGGCAUUCGCCGAUGACGUGAUUAUCUUUUCCAGUGGGGCCAAGUCAUCCCUACGUCUGAUUACACGGGUUUUGGAUGAUUAUAAUGAGGCAUCAGGUCAGCGAAUCAACCCUCAGAAGAGUUGUUUCCUUACUCAUCCACGGGCACCAUCUCAGAGGGCAGCGGUUGUUAACCAGAUACUAGGGUAUAAUAAACGCGACUUUCCAAUACGGUACCUUGGUUGUCCCUUGUAUACCGGAAGGAGCAAGAAGGUUUACUAUACGGAUAUAUACAAUGCGGUGGCGAAUCGGAUUUUGAGUUGGAAAAACCAGAUUUUAUCGCUAGGAGGCAGGGUGGUGUUGAUUCAGAGCGUGUUAUCCUCUAUGCCAAUUCACUUGCUGGCAGCCGCGUCCCCUCCAAAAGGGAUGUUGAUGGUCAUAGAGAAAUUGUUCGCCAAGUUCUUGUGGGGAUCUUCGAAUUUCGGGGAUAAAUUCCAUUGGAUACGUUGGGCAGAUUUGUGUCGGCCGAAGGAUGAAGGGGGUGUAGGCCUGCGGGGUUUGAAACAGGUCUACGACUCAUUUUCCAUUAAACUCUGGUGGAAAUUUCGACAACAACAAUCAUUAUGGGCAAAGUUUAUGUCCCAGAAGUAUUGUGCAGGUCAUCACCCUUGUCUUGCUGAUAUUGGGCAUCCGGGAUCCCAAGUUUGGCAGAGGAUGGUCACAAUGCAGCGUUUUGGGGAGGAUAAUAUUAGCUGGGUAGUUCGGGAGGGGGCUUUGGACUUUUGGCAUGAUAAUUGGAUGGGGUCAGGUGCGCUUUGUGACAAGGUUGAGGUCUUCCAUGAUCAUUCGGUGGUUGAUUUUGUAGAUCGGCGGGCUUGGAAUGUGGACAUGCUCCAUCAAUUCUUGGAUGGAGAAUUGGUUACGCAGGUUUUGGAGAUUGACCCUCCUACCGAUAGGGGAAAUGAUACAAUGGUAUGGGCAUUGACGAACUCGGGUGUUUUUUCCACUGCAUCGGCUUACUCAUUGAUCCGUCAAUCCAAUGACAAUUCUUGGCUUUUUGGUCGUAUAUGGCAGCAGGGUCUUCCAGUCAAGGUUUCUUUCUUUAUGCUGCGACUACUACAGGGGAGGCUCCCUCUUAUGGAUCGCCUAAAGAGGUUUGGGGUUUGUGGCCCAUCUAGAUGCUUGUGUUGUCAGAAUCCCCAGGAGGAGGAUUUGAAUCAUGUGUUUUGCUCAGGAGAAGGGGCACGAUUGGUCUGGCGACACUUCGAGAGUACUGCUGGUGAGUUUAGUGGGGUGCAUACGGUGCGUCAUAUGGUGUGGUCUUGUUGGUUAAGGAGGGGGACUAAUGAUCGUGUAAAGUUUUUGCAUAAUAUACUUCCUUCGGUGGUAUGCUGGGUUUUAUGGAAGGCUAGGAAUGAAGGGGUGUUUGAAGGUCGGAAGAUGAGGAUCAGGCCUACGGUGAAUCGGAUUGUUCAGUUUCUGCAUGAUUUCCUUCAGUCACGGUUCCCGGGGGUGCAGCCUUCUGCCCCUACAUGGGAAGGGUUGCUUCUCGAAUUAGGUAGUCAUCAAAGGCGGAUGGUUAUUAGGCCAGUUUACUGGGUAACUCCACGUAGAGGCUAUAAGUUGAAUUCAGAUGGAUGUUCUCGGGGGAACCCAGGAAGGAGUGGGGGGGGUGGGCUUGUGCGGGAUAGUCGAGGAAAUUUUGUAUUCGGCUACGCGGAGCCCUUCGGGGUGAUAACCAGCAUGCAGGCGGAACUUCGAGCGUUGCUAUGGGGCGUUAGACAUUGUGUGAUUCGAGGGUGCUUGGAGUUACACUUAGAGGCGGAUUCUCUCACCCUGGUUCACAUUGUUCAAGGGACUAGUGCUUGUCCUUGGCGUUUACAGAGAGAUCUGGAUGAGUUGAUGAUGUUCAAGCAAUAUUUCACAUCGAUCACACACUGCUACAGGGAAGCAAACGCACCUGCAGAUCGUUUGGCAAAUUUUGGUGCUGAUUCUAGUACAGGUCAUGUGUUUAAUACAUUCUCAGAAUUGCCGCAAUUGGUUAGGGGGGCUAUUAGAUUAGAUCGAUUAGGAUUUCCUACGUUUCGUACACGGUGUCUGGCAUGAAUUGGAAUAAGAAGCAGAAAAGGCCAAUGAAGGUGAAAAUGGCGGUUAGAAGGACAUCAAGGGAGGAAGAUUGACUGCUAAAAUCUUCAAAGAUCAUCCUUCAGAUUCACUGGAAGACAUCCUGAUAUGGAAAAAUGAAGAUUUAAUCUUAAUUUCAGUUUUUAAAUGCUUAAACUUUCACUAGCUUGUAAAUUUAUUGUCAAAUUGUGGUUUGAUGGCAGGGAGUUUCGUCCUUUUUUAAGGGGAAACUCUGCCGAAAUUUUUAUAAAAUAAUAAAAUUUCAAUUAAAAAAAAAAGUAUAUAUUUGUUGGUAGUGAAAGUAGAGAGAAAUUUAUACUUUUAUUCACUAGUUUGUUUGGAGUUCACAAGAUUGCAAAUGAGGUUGGAAUAACAUCUAUUUUUACGGAAAGCAGAAUGAAUAAUACAUUAACUAACUUUAAUACUUAUACAUGGAAUAGUACAUCAAGAUGAUAAAAUUGAGUUGUUUCAUGAGAAGAUAAGUGUAUCACAUUAAUCUAGGGGGAAAAUACAUGUAUUAAUCCUCUAGGGGAAUUGAAUGGACAUCCACAUCUAUUUGUAUUUGUUUCAUAACAAGUUUGGUGUUUUUGCCAUUUUUGUUUUGGGUAAUCAUGAAAAGUUUUAAGUCUCACAAAAAAUGAUAACUCUUUUUGUUUUAAUCCGUCGAGACAUUGGUUUACACUAUUAUCUCGCUGCAACAUAGUUUCAACAUAUUUCUCAAAAUAUUUUCAUCUAACUUUGAAUUCAUGUAUAUUCCUGUUUGGUUAAGUUACACUAAAUUUCUUUAACAAUUAUCAUUCAAUUCAAUAUACUUUAAAAUAAGUUAAAUUAAAAGAACCGUUUUCUCUUAGUCUUAAAAAGAAUUAAGUUAGUAAUAUUCAUAUUUGAGAACAACACGUUACCCACACUAAGUCUAGAAAAGAAUUACUGAUGUAUCAGAAUUAUCGUUUUCGAAAAAAAAGAUGUACCUGUUUAUUCAAAAAAAAAAAAUCAUUGUUUCACUAAUUUAGAUAAAAAAAAUCAACAAAAUUGAGAUGAUGUACAGAUUAUUGAAAAGGGGCCAAUUUUGUCAAGACUUCAUGUUUUCUCACCAAAGCUAUUGAGCACCAAUCUCAAAAAAGUCAUAAAGAGCCAAGCCAAAGCAAAAAAAAAAAUCAAUAAGGAAGGCAACAAACUGGCCUGUACGGUGACCUUAUCCUUUUGGAUUCAUUUCAGCGGAUAAUGAUUCAUUUACACUUGAUAGUGAUGUAAAUCUGCAUCCAUCUUCAAAAGCAAAAAAUACCUCCCUUGUUUCCUGUUAAUGAUCAUGGAAGUCAUCUAUAGCAUCCUAGUUCUCAGUUUCUUGGUAGUCUUAGUUGCUAUAAAACAUCUUCAAGAAAACAAGAGAACACUAAAGCCUCCAAGUCCACCAGCUCUCCCAAUUCUAGGCCAUCUGCACCUCCUGAAAGCUGCCCCUCACCGUGCUCUUCAACUUCUCUCCAUCAAAUACGGCCCCCUGAUUUCCCUUCGAUUUGGGAUUCGUCCUAUACUUGUUGUUUCCUCACCAUCUCUUGCAGAGGAAUGCUUCACUAAGACUAAUGAUGUUAUCUUUGCUAACCGACCAGGGUCCAUUUCUGGCAAAAUCCUUGGCUACAACAACAGUACUAUCGGAUUCUCUCCUUAUGGAGACCACUGGCGAAAUCUCCGCCGUGUUACCACCAUCCAUAUUUUUUCUUCCGCUAGUCUCCACAACUUUUCCUCAAUCUGGACAGAGGAAAUCCGUUUCAGUGUCAGGAAAUUGUUCUCAAUGAACUCUGAUGACAAAGUGUGGAAAGAUGUAAACAUGAACUCUGUGUUCUUGGAUUUGGUAUUCAAUGUGAUCAUGAAAAUGCUUGCAGGAAAAAAAUGGCCAUCUGAUAAAACAGCUGAUUUGUUUUCGCUGAUCUCCUUCAUGGGUAUUUGUGAUUAUGUCCCUGUCUUGAGAUGGAUUGGAUUUCGAGGGUUGGAGAAAAAUUUGAGCAAUUUACAGCAAAAGAGGGACAAAUUAUUCAGGGAUCUCAUUGAUCAAACUAGGAAAAAGGAAGGUGAAGGUGGCUCAUGCUCGACUGAGCAGAGAAGAACUGUUAUCCAAGCAUUGCUGUCCCUUCAAGAUGCUGAACCUGAAUUCUUAACUGAUGAAACUGUCAAAGGGAUCAUACUAGUAAGCCAACUUGCCAUUUCUCUUUUCUCCUUAACAUAAUAUUUUUUGCUUUGGUAAUUAUUGCUCUUUAUAUCCGGUUUCUAUUUUCAUAUUUCAUUUUUUUUUAAUGCAAAUCAACCUUUUCUCCAAUUAGUCAGUGAACUCCUCUUCUAGCUGGUAAUCUCUUAUGUUGGGCUUUACAUUCAUUUUGACAAUACAUGCCUUGUUGUUCUUCUAGAUUAUGUUCACUGCUGGAGUACACACUUCAGCUCUGACCAUGGAGUGGGCUAUGUCCCUUAUGCUAAACCACCCCCAGGUAUUGAAGAAGGCAAGGAGUGAAAUAGACAACAACGUUACACAAUCAGGGCAAUUGAUUGAGGAUUCAGAUCUCUCCAAAUUGCCAUAUUUGCGUUGCAUAAUCAAAGAAACACUUAGACUUUUUCCUGCAGCACCAACUCUUUUGCCUCAUUAUUCAUCUGAGGAUUGCACCAUAGGAGGCUUCAAAGUUCCUAAAGGCACAACUUUGUUAGUAAAUGCUUGGGCUAUUCACAGAGAUCCGAAGGUUUGGGAAGAGCCAGCCAAGUUUAAGCCAGAAAGGUUUGAGGGAAUUAAUGAAGGGGCUUGCGAUGAAGGGUUCAAAUUUAUUCCAUUUGGAAAAGGUAGGAGGGCUUGUCCAGGUGCUGCCUUAGGCAUGAGAUUUAUUAGCCUGACGUUGGGAACAAUGCUACAAUGUUUUGAUUGGGAAAGAGUAGGGCCUCAAUUGGUGGAUUUAGAAGAAAAAUCUGGUAUAACUUUGGACAAGGCCAAGCCUUUGGAAGCAUUGUUCAGGCCACGCUCAUCCAUGAUUGAAUUGGUUUCUCAGCUUUGACUAAAGAACAUGACUGGUGGCUUUUGAAGAUUGUAUCAUAAUACUAUCUGAAAUACUUAAAGCUCAAACUACAAAGGUGCACCUAUUGCAAAGUGUGAAAAAAAGUGAAAAUAAGAGGAAGGAGAAUAUAAGCAUGAAAAUCUUUCAGUCUAUGCAGUUAUUAAAUAUUAAAUAGGCUUUGAACUAAACCGUGUUUGGCUUUUUCUUUUUGCUUUUAAUAUUGGUCUUUUCAAUUCACUGUAAGUGCAUCUACUCGAGGUCUUUGGUUUUCCACAUUUGUAAUUAUAGAAAAUCUUCAACCUU
rnacentral:lncRNA from 1 species